rnacentral:lncRNA from 1 species
UAAGAAACUCUCAAGUGUCCAACAUGCUGAACAAGCUCCUUCUUCAUCCAAACCGUCAGGAAAAUCCCAACCAUCUGUUUCCCCACAAUCAGGCUGUACCUCAUUUGAUUAGCGCCGAGAGUAGCAGCAGCAGAAGAAAUCUCUAAAGAUCCAUAGCUGCUAAGUCCAUCGUCCUCUUCUUCGGAGGAAAAUCCAUCAUCUCCUACGUUUGUCUGCGGGCACCACAUGCAGAAGUCCUUACUAUUUUUCCUAUCCAUCACAGGACUGCAGUUGCAGGUCUUGAGGCGACGAACACUCUCAGUCCUGAAGCUCUUGCAUAUCUUCCUAAGAGAAGGCCUCUGAAAAGGAAGUGGGGUUGCAAUAGUGGUAAAAGGGUUUGAACCUUUUGAACCGACAGUAUAUGAUUUGUUCAGAGAUUGAUUGAUGAGAGCAAGCCACUUUGCAGCAGGCUCACUAUCUUCUGCCCCAAGGACAUUGCCAGCAUUCAAUGGAACAAUUUCCUGGAAACUAACAGUUCAUGAAGAGAAAAAAAAAACCAGUUAUAAAGGAUAGAACAAUCAGAAACAUGACAGGAAAACAAAAGAUGGAUCAUGGAUCAUUCACCCUAAGACAUAUAUGUCUGCUUGGUUGUGUACUUGGAGAACAUCAUCGAGAUUGAGGCCACUGUGUGGAGAUUUCCCUCCCACAUUCCAUGUCGCCACAAAAAUUCUGGCCAUCAGAUUAUAAAAAAGAACAGUAAGAAAGACAACAAAACACAAGUACAGUAACCCAAGGAGGGAAGUCCAUGGUCACUUGCUUGUGUUUUACCUAAAUGGUUCUGAUGUCUGAUGAUUAGGCAUCUCCGAAUGGAGAUGGUUCGAAAGGAGAGAGUGGAUCGCUGAACCGGUACUGUGUGUUUCUGUCGGAAGGAAAUUAGAAAAAAAUCAGAGAAUACUUAGGAAGAGAAAAAGAGUUGGAAUAUAAAGAUUAAAGAGAUGUUCUUUAGUAAAUUUCCUGUGGAUCCCAAUAACAACCAUAGAGACUUAGCCAAACUUUUCCCCCAGAAAGGAACAGACAUUUAGAAGAAGAAGAAGAAGGCUUUGACAGAGGGAAGAAACCAAAACACACAUCUGAUGGGCCCUCUAAAGCAAAAAUAUAUGCCAUUGAAGCUUCCUAAAGUUGCAAUCUUGCGUCUGUUGAAAAGUUCCAUUCAAAAGAAUAUAUUCUCUCAAAAACAUCUAUUCAAAUUGCAGCUACAUUAUAAAAAAUAUACGGUCUUAUCCCUACACAAGGAAAAUGUCUUUAUCCUUGAAGUAACCCAGUGGACUUCAUCUUUUACUAGAGAAUGCAAAUGGGAAUCAAAGCUGGUCCAGCAAAAAGCUACCUGAAUUUGGUAUCUAGAGAACCCCAGAUGGAUGAAACAGUUACACCAAUAAUGUGUGGGAAUAUUAGCAUCUUUCUCCGAUAUCUCAAAUGAAGAUAAAAGAAAGAGAACCACAAGGAUCAAAUCCCAUCCAUAAUUGAAGAAAAGACAACAGCACAGCAUAUAAGAAGUUAUUCCUUCCUUCCUUCUCAACAAUGUAGAUCUCCAAUGCACAUACCAGGGGAAUUCAAUGGAACACUUAUGGAUCUCCUCGCUUCCACCUCCCUCGACGAGAAAAUCUUCUUGAGAAACGACUGCCAAACAAACAGAGAACAAUGAAUCAGAGUCAACAAAGAAACCCCACGUGAGAAAGUUUGAAUAUUAGUACCUGAUUGUUGCUGUCUUGGUUGUUCAUCGACCGGAAACUACCAAGUCAAGAGUCUUUUGCCCAAUACAACUGUUGCAUUGACGAGAAAAGGGUAUGAUCACAAUCAGAACUCCCAGAAUCAGACAACUGUAAAGCAACUGAAUUUGUCACUCUGAACUUAUUAAAAAGAAAGGGGUUUUCAGUUUUUACCAGAAGCAAUAUGUGGUGGUUGUGGAUUGAAGAUGAUGAUGACUAUGCGAUGGAGAAAUGCUAAAGAAAAGUUGAGCCACUACCGAGGGAAGUUGGAAGUCGUUGGCGAAUCAACAAGUUUCUCCAGAAAGUCAACAUGUCAAAGAAGAGGAAAUCGAGGAGGAGCAAGAAAUCGGAGAAAAAGGAAGAACAGAGGAAGAAGAAAUUAAGGGAGGGAUGAAUAUUCUGGUGGGCAGGAUUUGGGGGUCUGAUAAGCAAAGUGGAGAGAAACAAAUGGAAGGAGGAUAAUAAUAUAGUGAAAGACAGGUGGCGGAUGGAUUUAGACCAGCAAAAGAGAGUUUCCGCAAAGCUGUCUCUACUGAUAAUUAACAAAUCAACACCAUUAAUUAACUAUUUUGUUUCUGGCGGGGAUGCUCUGGUUUCUGUUGAUUGUUGAAUUGUUUGUUUAAGGUAGUGGAACAGUCAAAAGUAGGAGUCAAUGUAAUCUCUCCUUUUGUACAGUUGGAAGUAUAGGACUAAUGAAUAGCCGCCGCCGGAGGGAAACUGAAUCUGCGGGGCCGGUGGCGAAUGAAGACCGGACUUCCUCCUACUUGUUGGCUGGUUCUUGUAGUUUAUUAUAUACCCAGGACGUCGGAGAUGAUAUAACUAUUUUUUACAUCAUUUUUGGAAACCAUGUAACGAUGGUGCAUAUAAAUCCUCGUUGGGAGCAAGUUUUUUCUUAAGGAAUAGUGAAUACAUAGAUAAUUUUAUUGAAACAUAAACUUAAUCCAAUGAUUGGGAAUUUUUUGGUUAAAUAUUAAAUAGGUUGUGACGCAGAAAUUAUAUUAAUACCAUGGUACCAUUUUUGACGAUAUGCCUAUAAGUAGUAAUAUUUUAGAUUUUUUUGUUCAAUAAUGCGAACUAGAGAGAAACAUGUUACUAUUUGUAAAGUCUAAUUCCCCUGUUUUAAGGAAAAUUCUAUCUUUAACGCAAGCUGAUGAUUGACGCUUUCGAGUCAUGAAGAGAUAGAGUCUAUCUUCGUUUCUAAAUCCUUUGCUUUCUUCAUUUGUACUUCUCUUAGUAGGAGGUACCUCCUACUUCCGCAUCCUCUUCCCCUUCUAUCGUUUUCUAAGUGAUAUUUUUCGGCAUACUGAAAAGAUAACCACUAAAAAAAAGUCAACCAAGACGGUUGUUCGUAUUUCAGUUUUUUUUCAAGUCCUUAAAAAGCACACUUACUUGCGGCAUCUCAAAUCUCUAUUUAUAUUGGUUAUACUCCAUGAGGAUCACUGUGCAAUGACCAAAGUAGCUCGAGUUUACCUUCCAAUGCGUUCUUUUCCCCACCUCUCUUAUUCAUUACAUAUUGAUCGUCCAGUUGACUUGCGACAAUCGAAAUUCGAUCUUUGAUAACGAGGACAAACGUCCUGAAUAAUUCCUCCCAUCUCAGUCAACUAUUGGAUUUUGAAAGUUAUAUCGACAGUUUUAUAUAUGAUAAUCCUCAUUGAUAAAAUUGUCUAACUAAUGUGUGAGCAAACUAACUCUGGUAAGUCGAAAGGUAGCGGUAAAUACAGGACGUAUGCUAGGAAGCCAAUCACUACAUGUUAGCACACAGGGAAAUGUACAUCCUUCACACAAGGAGUGACAAAAUGAUGCAAACAAAUUUUGGAGAGCGCUAGACCCUGUCACUAAUCUCAAUUCUGCAAUGCACGCACCGAACCAGAGUCGGGUUCAUAACCAUGUACCCGGAACCGGUAUAUACACGUGUGGGUAUGGCUAUCGUGGUUCGACGUGAAAUCCAACCUAACAGUAUCAAUGGCACGGGUGGCCAAAACAUUAAAGGUUUGUGCAUUACUCUUUUCCAGGUCGUAAGUGAACUCGGUAAGCAACGUCUUUUCAGUAUCCACGGGUGAAGCGAUGUCAGAGCCUCUUAACCAACCAGUCACACGGCAGUCCUUUGGGGCGCUUGAUCGAUCGUAAGCAACACUCUGUCGAAAUAACAAUACAGGACCACAGAUAAGCACUUGAGAAACAGAGAGCAGUCACACUCACAAUAUCAGUACAGUACCAGGGAUGACAGAAAAAACAGAAAAGCUAUAGCAAGUUGAUAUGCAACAGGCUCAUAGAGGACAGAUAUCUGAUCAACCAACUAGCCCUAUAUAAUUUCCAGGCACGCAAGCAGCAAAUAUGGUAAAUAGAUGGGUUAGUUGUUUCUUAGAAGAAGAACCAUUCCUAUUGGCAAAGCAUAAGAGAAGGCAUGCAGGUAUCGAAAUUGAUGUCAAAACAUCAAAAGUUACAGCUAUAUACCAUCAAUAAUCUUUCCGAUUAAUAACAUAUCAUUAGUUGAGUUCUGUAACGAGAGAGCCCAAGGUAACAUAAAUGCCAAAGACAGAACUUCAUUCCAAAUCCUAACACAGCGAUAAGGUUACGUUAAAGACUUGAGACCUCAACGAACCUGGCUACUUCCCUAAGACUCUCUUACUUCAAUUCUGCUUCAAGCAGAACUUAAAUUUCAACAUAGAGAAUCAUUACAGCACCAAAACGACAAUGCAUACAGACAGAUUGCAGUGCUUCUGCAAGGAACCAUCAAGAGGAACAGGUCAAACUCAUACAGUGACACAGGUUUAGAAAGAAUAGCUAUUUUCAAAACCACUUUGAUAGUUAGGGAAGAAUUCACAGGUCCAGUCCUUCGGAUAAUUGAAAUAUCCAAGCUAUAUGUGAGUUUUCAUUCAGCAUUACUUUUUUACUGUCACAUACAUAAUCAAGUCAAGUUCAAAUAUAUAAAACCCCAUGCAUAACCUGAAGCACACCCAAUGCAAUAACUAAUACCUGAAUUAAGAGAAAUUAAAAGCAUUUACCUUGGCAACAUGCUCCAACGUAAUAGCCUCAGGAACAAUAGCUUUACGGAGGCUUAUCUCCACAAAUCCACUAGUUCCUUUCAGAGGAAAACACUGCCCAGGCUCUCCAAAACUCGGCCUUAACAUCUUAGAUGCGUCAGCAUGAGCCCCACUAACACCACGAGUACUCCGGAGCCAGUCGCUCAAGGGACUCUGCUUACCAAAAAACUCAGAAUGCUUUAUCACAAACGCACCACCCUCAGCAAGGGCAUAAUCCACCUUUCCAAGGCCAUCCGCAGCAUGCUUCUCAAUUUCCUUCUCCACAAUCUCUUUAGCAUAAGCUCUAAUAACAUCUAAACUAUGAGAGUCUUCACCAAGCUGAACAUCUUUCGUCUUCUUCAGUUCUUCAUAGAACUUCCCGAACUCAUCCUUUGUCAACCAAUCCCCUGCCUUUAUCUCCGCUAUUGACUUCUCCAACACUUCACUCCUGGUUUCAAAAUUCUUCAACAUUGUGUCGAAAUUCACACUUCUAUCCUGAAGUUUCUUGUUCACUUCAUGCCUCAAGCCUCCUAUCUCGUUCUCAAUCUUUUUAUCUACAACCUCCACCUGAACCUGAAUCAUUUUGGCAGUAGUCUUCAACAACGACUCAACUUCUGAAAUCCGCCCUUCAAUCUCCGCUAAACCAGUCAUCAUCCCUGCAUUAGGGCUUUCCGAUUUUGAAGCUAAACUUCUGAUCAACUGAACUAGCCCCACCAACACGAGCAAAAGCGCAAAAUUCUUGGUAAAAAUACUAGCGACAGUAACCCACCGUGGCUUCACAGGUUUCGGUGCCAGUUUCCGUCCCCUGCGCGGAGAAACCGUCGAAUUAACCGCGUUGCUCUUCCUGAGCAGCAACGGAUCCUUGGACGUUCUCUCGAGAAUCGCUUCGCCCCGGAUCGAGUUAUGACUCACAUCCUUGCUGUGCGCCGGAGCGACUUUAUCCUUACCAAUGAUAUUACCAGUGUCGCCGCCAUUCUUGGCUUGCGCUUCGUUGGGGAACAACUCAACGGUGUUGGACUUCUUUUCGCCGAUGAGAACAGGCCUCCGGCGAGCCGCCGCGGGGUUCGCCGUGAUGGACACGGUCGAAGCGGACAUGGUUCACUCGCUACGGAUCCCUGGCAGCAGUAUCGACGGUAUAGCGAUUGCAGAGAUUGGAAGCAGAAUUGGAGGGAACGGCCAAACGGGAAAACAGUAACCCUAGAAUUCAAAAUUUUAGUGCUAGAACAAGAAGAAUGGGGAUCGCAAUUUGUUGGGAGUAAGCAAUGAAAUAAAAUAAAAAAGAUAAUUGGAGCGGUGGAUCGAAUCGAAGAAUUAAACAAGAAGAAUUAAACGACGCGACGUUUUGAGCGCUCGUCUUGUCUGUAUAUUUUUUGUGUCAGAUCCACUAUUUCUAUUGGGCUUACACUAAUUAUAUUGGGCUUACGCUUGGGCUAUGAAUCUUAGGUGGAUUUCAGCCUUCAAUUGAUAGGUGAUCGUAAUUCUAUCAAUUUAUUUUUUAUUUUUUUAUAAAUGAAACUUAGAAGGAACUAAUGAUGGCCAUGUUGGGACGGGUUUGGUAUAUUUAUUAUCGUUUAUUUAGUUAUUGAAUUUUAUUUUUAUAAAUGGGUAUAAUUUUUAAACUGUGUUCAUUAGUGGGUUUAUUUGUUUAGUCGAGUAAUUUUUGCUUAUUAAAAUAAAUUACUCAUUUAAUAGACACGAUAAAGUAUUUUUGAUUUGUAAAUUGUAAAGUAAUCGAAAUAUAGUAGCUCGUCUUAGCAGAAAAGGGAUCAUAUUCAAUAAUAGUGAAACAAAUUCAAUAUAAGUAAUGAAUCACAUAAUCAAAAUAGUUUGAAAAAACUUCUUUGAAAAUAGAAAGAGAAGAUGUUAGGGUUUUAGUGAUUUCUCAAUGGGUUUGGUUUAUAUAUAUAUAGCUAAUUAAACACAUAAUAUAUAUGGCAGGUACCCAUUGAGCGGAUACUAUCAAAUCCGUUCUCACCUGUUACCCACUUUAAACGGGUACCGAGUUUGUCCGUGCCCGUCAAUUACCCAUGUUGAUCGGGUUUUACUCACCCAAAUUAAACAGGUUCUGGGUGGAUAUCGGUUUUUGGAUUACUAUUGCCAUGGCUAAAAGGAACACGCAAUUCCAAAAGAAAUCAGAAAAUUAAAAGAAAUUAUUGUCUACACAAGCUCCACUCAUAAAUGGAUUAGCAAGUGCAACUUGAAUAAAAAAAUGAGACUAAACAAUUUAUUAGAGCUCUUCUGAAAGCUUUUAUUUAAGGAGGUGUGUUAAUAAGUACUAUGCAUAUUAAUCAGAACCCUCACUCAACAACUCAAAUUAUUCAAAUUAUUAAGAUGUAACUAUUUUUAACAAAAUUGUUAUAUUAGAUAACACGACCCACCUUAAACUUUUGUUCAAUUCUUGUCACUGGCUUUCCCAUUAAACCCACCACAUGUGAAUAAAUUUAUCGUCUUAAGUUAGCAAAAAAAAAUUAAAUCUUAAUUCCUGUAUAACAAAUCAUUUAUAUCUUAUAAAUUUCACAUUCUCAAAUAAUAUAAAAUUUUGCUCCACAUCACCAUUAAUAUAAACCAACCCCUAACUACUCUUGAUUUUAUCAUGAAACAAGUAAGUCAACUUAUGAACAGAAUCCAACGACAUCGACUGCAAUAAUUAAUGUGUUUGGUCCUAGUGCUGUUGGCACAUUUUGAUAACAGGAACAGGAUGUUAGAUAGAAGGUAGUUAAUUACUCCGUGCCCUAUAAAUUCAGGUCAGGCUACUUGGCUAGAUACAGCAGCGGCAGCUAAGGCGGGGGCGGACACAUCGGCGAUCAGCAGAAAGCAGGAGGCGAGGUAUUGAAAGUAAGUAAUCAACAAUCAAGAGUAUUCUUUUUCUAAAUCAUUUCAAAAAAUAUCUCAAUUACUCAACUAAAUUAAUUAAUAUGUUUUAAUAACUAAACUAAUUUUAGCCACACACUAAACCUAUAAAGUGUGCUAGUAUUUUUCUAAGAAAUUUGUAUUAUUCUAUAAAUAUGAAACUUCACUUUAUGUAAAUGUGAAAUAUAGAGAAACAAAAAUAAAUAAGAAAGAAGUAGCAGAGAGUGUGAGUGGUGAGGGAAUAGGUCAAGUGAUCAAAUUGUAAUAUAUACAAAAUUGAGUGAUUAAUUGAAUGAGUUGUCAAAAUAUUAUCUCUUCGAUCCUAAAUUUCGCUACAUUUCCGCUAGCGCCCCAACAGGGGCUGCCGCUGGCGGUGACGUAUAGCAUUCCGUUUGCGAUGGCGUCGAUCUACUCGUAUAGAUCUGGGGCUGGGCAGGGGCUGUCGAUGGGAGUUUUGAGUUUUGCGGUAUGUCUGCCUGCAAAUGGUGGUUUCCUUAGGGAGUGGUUCGUUGGACGCUGCGUUGGGUGGCGGGAUUUUGCCGGCGUUUGUGGUCGGAGCUGUGGUGGCCAUUGUAAGUGGAAUAUGUGCCGUCACUCUAUUGCCGAAGCCGAGGGUUCCGUCGUGAAAAUCCAUGUAUAGUUUAAUAAGAAUUUGAAAGAAAAUAAAAUUGAAAUUAUGCCAACUCAUAAUGUCAAUCCAACUAGACAUUCCGUUACUUUUUUUUAAAACCUUAGGCGCAAUCGCCUGUACUUUUUAUUUACGAUUAAUCUUAUCUCCGAAAUAUUAAAUCAAUAAAUCAACAAUAGAUUAGAAAUAAAAUAUAUAUAUACGUCCAAAAUAUAUAAUUAAUUAACCAAGUAUAUGAUUAUCUUUUCGAUAAACAUAAUAUAAAAAAGUUUGUUUUUAGGCAAUUAUUUGUUUAUAUAAAUGUUACAUUUUUAUGUUGAUUAUUAAUUAUUUAAAUAUAUUCAUUUAUUGUAGUUUAUCGUAUUGCUAGAAGUUGAAAACGAUGCAUGCAUGCUCUGUAAUCAAUGAGGGUAUUUUUAUUAUGAUUUGUUUUAAUUCAAAAUAAUGUAAUUUUGAGUAUGUUAUGUAAUAUAAUCGUAUAAAUGUUAUUUUAUGAAAUUAAAAGUAUAAAUUUUUAAUUGGUUAGUACGAGAAAGAAAGACAACAUUUGUGUAUGGCGUGAAUAAAUGAGUUAUAUAGGUGAAUGAAAAUGAUGUACGUGAAUAAUUGAUAUGGAAAAGGUUAUAUUUGUGUGUGAAUUGUGAAACAAAUGAGUAAUGACUGAAACAACAAACUCCUCCUUUCUUUCUCUUCCUUUUGCAUGUACAUUUCUAUGGAUAGAAUACGGCUCUGAAAGCGCGUUUAAAUGUUAUUAAAAAUCACCGGUAUGAAUCUUGGAAGAGAAAAAUCAAUGUUAUCAUAGUUCAGUUCAAUGGGACAAGUCCUGAUCAAGCGAAUAAAAAAUAUGUAAGCUAUGCAUAUAAAUAAGAGUGUCUUGAGUUGGCCAAAUAAUCCACCACACAGUUGAUUUUACACGAUAAAUAUAAAACACAUCAACUUUUUAUUGACCAUUACAUAAUUUCAGAAAAUUGCAAGAUAAAAACUUAGAUAACAUGCUGAUGAUCAACGAAAAAUACUGAUAGAGGAUUACAAAAGCGGCUUUGGCAUGUACAUAAGUUGCCUUUUGCUGAUUUUUUUCCUUUUAUUNNNNNNNNNNNNNNNNNNNNNNNNNNNNNNNNNNNNNNNNNNNNNNNNNNNNNNNNNNNNNNNNNNNNNNNNNNNNNNNNNNNNNNNNNNNNNNNNNNNNNNNNNNNNNNNNNNNNNNNNNNNNNNNNNNNNNNNNNNNNNNNNNNNNNNNNNNNNNNNNNNNNNNNNNNNNNNNNNNNNNNNNNNNNNNNNNNNNNNNNNNNNNNNNNNNNNNNNNNNNNNNNNNNNNNUUACUAAGUUGUGUUAUUAAAAUAUUUUAUUUCAAAUUUAAGAUAGGUAAACGAGUUAUAUAAAUUUCGAACUAAAUUCAAAUGAAAACCUAAGUCCAAAUAUAGUCGUUUGCGUAAAAUUGCCUACUAAUUUUUUUUUAAAAUGUAUUGCCCAAAGGGUCCAAUCCAAUAUGCCAAUAGUAGAUUAGGCAUUAAUUGGUUGUUCGACAGAAAUCAAAUCAUAGAAGGUGAAACGUCACAAAAUAAUUCAAAUGAUGAACAGAUUCAGAUAGAGAUAUUUCACCAUAAAAUAAACUAUUCCCUCGAUUAUAAUGAACUAACAUUCACGCUACUCUAUAAAUUCAUGUCAGGCUAGCUCAUUAUUGAAAAUUACAAAUUAAGGUGGAAAUUAACAUUAUAUAUCAGCGGUGGCUAUGGCGGCUACAUCAGAGAUGAGCGGGAAGCUGGAGGCGGAGGUGGAGCUGAAAGCUCCGCCGGCGAAGUUCUUUAACGUGUUCAGGGAAGCAGCUCAUCACAUCCCAAAGCACACUCCUUCCAACAUUCAGGCAGUCGAGUGCCACCACGGUGACUGGGAAAGUCACGACGGCAUCAAGAUCUGGAACUACACCUGUGGUAUAUACGUACAUAUAUACUAUGCGUACAAUAUUAUAUUCACUUUGUAGUCCAACAAUUUGCAUCACCAUAACUCGAGUUACUCGUAAGGAGAAAAAAAUUGGUGACUGAUAACAUUUUGUGACAGAAUAGAUAUGGUCAACAUAAGUAUCCCCUCAUUUAGUAACGACCUCUGGUUACCGUCACGAAUGAUUUUCAAGUGCAACUAAAUAGAUUUUCUGGUAAUUUAAUUUAUGUCACUAAUAAUUCAAGUUUUGGUCACUAAUUUUGAUAUUUUACUGACUGUUCUAUGUUGUCCUGGUGAAUGGUUCUGAAUUAUUAUAGUUACAGAAAUAUUUGUGACCGGUUUCUGACUUUUGUUACAAACAAAAUGGUCCCCAAAAAAUCAAUUUUCCGUAGUGUCUGUUGGUAUAUAUAUAGAUUUCUGAUCAUGUGAGUUUAUAUAAAGAGGGGAAGGCGGAGGUGUUCAAGGAGAGGGUGGAGUUCGACGAGCAGAAUAAGAUCGUGAAAUUGAAUGGUUUAGAAGGAGAUGUGAUGAAGAUAUACAAAGUGUACAACCCGAUUUUCGAGUUCAUCACCAAAAGUGAAGGGGGCGGGGUGGUAAAGCUGAGCAUCGAGUACGAGAAGCUGGACCCGAGUUUCCCACCUCCAACCAAGUACAUGGAUUUCAUGAUCGACCUUACUAAGGAGACUGAUGCCGGCCUUGUCAAAGCCGGUUGAUGCAUUGGAUAAUUAAUCGAACAUCGGUCGCUCCCACCCGCUACUUUCAUAUAAAUGUAUGGUAAAUAAAAUCCCAUCUAUGAAUAAAUCGGGUGGACUACUGCUUCAGUGCUAGCUUGACUACUGUAUUUGAUCACUUAUGUAUGGCAAAUAAAUUACAUUUCUCUUGGAAGUCCGACAUUCAAAGUUAACAACCACCUCCGAUCCGGCAGUCAAAACCACAUCUCUGGUAAUUUUGCUGGUGGUGGCCGGCGGCGGUUGGUUCGUGCUAUUUGCUUCUUGGAAUAUUUAUGGCAUCGUUUUUGGGACAGGAUUUGAGGGGGGUUUGAACAAUUCUUAAUUUUGUAAUUAUGCAUCUGCCCCACCACCAUAUCCACCUCCAUGUGCCCCUCCAGCAUCUGCACCGACAACUCCGCCUCCUCCUCCUCCUCCACCAUCACCACCACCACCACCUGCUCCACCACCAUGACCGGCUCCUUCUCCUCCACCAUAGCCAGCUCCGCCAGCACCCUCACCACCACCACUUUCAUACAGUUGAAAUAAUGUUGUGAUUGAAAUGUAAGAAAUGAAAGUUUAAUAAUUGAUAUGUAAAAAGAUGAAAUUAAGUAAUUAUUUUAUAAAAUAAAAGAAAAUGUUGGAAAUGUAUUGAAGAGAAACAAAGGAAGCAAACUGUUUUUUUUUAUUUAUUUUUUAAAUAAUUUGAUGAAAAAAGUUUAGAAUUUGUCGAGAAAAUUUUUGUUUCAUUUUAUUUUGGUUGAAGUUGCUUCAGCAUUUUUUUUGUUUUUGUUUUUUUAUUGAUUUUUGAUUGAAAUUUAUAGAUUGAAUGAUACACAAAUAUAUUAUGUUUUAUCUAGUUUUUAUAUAUGGAAUAAAACAAGAACAUAUUAAUUGUAAUCUUCUCUUAUCCAACUAAUUUAAAGGUUAAUUAUAAAUUUUAUUGAUGGUUUGAUAUAAUUACAUGAUGAUGAUUUGGAUGUGAUAUGUUGAUGGCUUGUCUUCAAUAAUUUUUGAAGAUAAAGUAACUUAUGAAAGCUUCACUUUUCAACACGUACCCAGCACCAGCACCAGCACCAUGGUCUCCUCCACCACCACCGCCACCUCCAGCUCCUCCUCCACCUCCAUCGCCAUAUCCAGCUACACCUCCUGCAUAACCAGCACCACUUCCUUCUCCACUACCACUACCUCCCACGUCAGAUCCAUCCUCCGUAAGCUCCAACACCACCAUGCUCACCGGCAGCACCUCCACCGCCGCCUCCACCUCCAGAACCACCACCGCUUCCUCCUCCUAUUAACCCGGCAACAGUCCCAUAACCGCCCCCACUUCCAGCACCAUGACCAGCACCAUAUCCCGAACCAGAAACAUGACCAACGAUCCCCUCGUCAAAUGUGAAAAGGGCUCUAGCGGCUGAGGCAAUCCCCAAACCCACAAAAAGAAAGAAGAAUGUUCCUCGGAGCCAUGUAUAUGUUGUUACAGUUUAAAGAGUUGCUUGGGUUUGGAGAUUGGUGGAAGGAGAAGUAGUGGCUAUUUAUAGGCAUUGGAUUGAAGUUCCAACUAUUGGUGGAGUGGUUGAGGCACAUGGCGACAGUGCAAAGGCAACUAAGGUCGUCGUCUGCACCAACAGUAUACCACAGUCCACCACUACCAAGGGGAAGUGAAAGUGACUAGUGUUCAUUCGCUGUCUUCCAUUUUCUGUAGACACCGUAGGAUAUGGCAUGAUUAACCCAGGAGAGUUCUUUUGAUGUUGCUUGGGGGUCUUGUUUUGGAUCAUUAACCCAGAAGUGAAAUAAAACUGAAGAGGGACUAGAUAUGUAAUUCCAUGGACACUCUUCUUUCAGAACAACAUUAAAGCAACAAAUUACAAACUGUAUAUUGUUAGCCAAUAAAUAAAAAACAAGUUCCUACCCCCUGACUGACUUUUCACAAAGAUACAAAGAAGAACGCAAAAAGGAAAAUAAAUGGAAAGUAAAUAAGAAAACCUCUCAUGAGCCAGGCUCUGCUUGAGAAAUACAUUGUUUUCUUCCUCUACUCUGCUCACUUCACUUACAGGUACAAAUGGCAUUCUCCGAAUUUCAUCAUCAAUUUAAAAACUUGUGCAUUGGGGGGCAGGAAACAUUAGUUCGGAACAUUCAAGGAUAGCGCCACGGAUUGGUAAAUCCCGACUAGCUCAGGGUGCAGUGGACCCUUGACUCUGAACAAGAUGAAACGUUAGUUAGAAUGGGGACGACGAUGUUCGCCUAAGCUGAUACCUGGGUUCAGGUGCUGCUGGUGCACUUGGCAAUGUGUUCUCCAGCUCCUGCAAAUCCGCAUUUGAAUGACCAACAAUACUUUAAAAAGGUAGUUUCAAAAGCAAAUAACUUAGGGGAAACAUUUCAAAUGCAGACUAUAGCAAAGCAUCCACCAGGAUUUGAAGACUUAACAAGUUCGAAGAACAAAUCAAAGAGUGCCCGUCAUUGAUAACUAUUUUGACGUCAUCAAUAUUGAACACUGAUGCUACUAAAGCUAAUAAGGAAACGAUUGGUGCUCUCGAAGAAUUAGCCUUAGCCUAGCUAAUAAGGAUUGUAUUCAUAACCAUGUCUGCACAAGGUUUUUCUGUUUUUGGUAACAAGUAAACGGACAUUUUAUUUUUCAUGACAUUUUGAUAUCAAUGCAAGUUUUCUGCACACAGCCAAGAAACAAACUUUUCAGUUACCAUGAACUCAACAAAAGUUCAUGAAUGAAAAUCAAUUAAGAAGGAAUGAUAUUAAGUAGAAUUCCUGUGAUGAGUGUAGCUAGAAAUGAGACAAUCGGAAGUCAGUUGAAGGAGAUCCAUAAGUCUUAGAAACCACUCACAUAUUCCAAGUUCUUAUAUUCCUCAAGCAAAUUACAAAGAUUAUUCACUAAAUGUAUGUUCUAAUCCCCUCAUCAAUAAUCACCUAAAUCACCUAAAGUCAAGCAAAAUGAAGCAGGACAGAAUUUGAAUGCAAACUGACCUUUAGUUUCCUCAGCCUUUCAUUUUCCUCUUCCAGGCGAGAAAUUUUAUUCUCUAGCUCAUUUGUGUAUGCCUGAAUUGCCGAUUAAGCUAUGUCAACAUGAGAUAACUUAUAAAGCACGAUAAUCCACUCGAAAGAUUCAAACAAGCAAAACAAACCUGUUUCCGAGCUCUUGAUCGGGCAGCUGAUUCUCGGUUUUUUAUCAUCCUCUUCUGCCUCCUUUCAACAUUCUUCACAACUACUUCAUCGGGUGCAACUCUUUUCCUGGAAGUCAUUUGUGAAUCCAACAAUGUCCCAAUUAGAGGUGGUGGAGCUAUCGGAACUGGAUUCUCCGGAUAUGCAACAUCCAUCACAGAACCAGCCCCCAUAUGGACUUGCUGAGGCACAGGCUGGCCUGGCAUAAACAUCCCCAUCACAUUAGGCUGUGGAUGUUGGAACUGUGCAUGCGGAUACUGCAACCAUUGGCCAUGUUCAGGAAACCGUUGUGCUGCAUUUGCAUCAGAACCGGCAAUAGCAACAUCUCUAUUAUUAUUAUCAUCGAUAGGUUCCUCACCAACAACUCCUGCCUUGGCAAGGAAAUCCUCCAAUGUCAUCUCCCCCAAAGUGGGUUGUCUAUCUUUAGACUUCCUCUCUCCAUUAUUUUUGCUUUGUUGAAUGUCUCUCCAAACCUCAUCGACUGUCUUUUUGCUCAAAGCACCAGCUAUUGACAAGCUUCCCUGCCGCGGCAAGGAUGUUCGACUAUCUGCCAUCUGAGUGUUUUUGGCCUCUGCCUAUUGACAAGCUUCCCUGGCGUGGUAAGGAUGUUUGAUUAUCAGCCAUCUGAGUGUUUUCAGCCUCUGCACCCGUAACAUGGUUCGCUUCAGCUGUCCAUACAUUUCUAAGAAGUUCGUCCAGAUUCAUGCUACUGAAGGGUUUCCCCAAGUCACCCAACUGAUUUUGAACCUCAUCCAGAGUGAGGUUAUACAAUGAGUUCUGCCGGCCCAACAGCUGCAAAUGAGACUGGUUGCCGUUACCCCUACCAUCACCAUUAGAUCCCAUUAUCUAUAUCCCCAUUCAACAGUUUAAACUCAUUCCAGGCCGACCAUUUGUAAACUCAGCAGAAGCCAACCAAGAACUCUUCUUACAGCUGCUCUCCUCAAAUUCAACUCACAACCAACAAAUAAAACCUGAAACACCCAAUUAAUAAGUCACAACUAAAUGCACAGACUAUAUUUUUGGACUCUUCUAGCUACUCAAGAACAUUGCAUGACUGGUAAAACCGAUUAACUCCACAAGGAAUCUUAAUUGAUCUCCUGAUGUAGGAAGAACUAACUAGCAAACAAUCAUAAGUCAUAACCUUGAAAGGGUUGUAUUAGGGCCAGAUAGAUUCAGACUAGAAAAUAGAUUAUUACCAUCUGCAAACGAGACAGUUCAAAGAGGAUCAUCCACCUAAGAAUCUCUACUUAUAAUACCAUAAACAAACGGAAGAGCCAAAAACAAAACGAUUCCUUUAUUAUAUAAAUCCAACCGGCCUCACAACUUGAUACUCCAGCCGUAAACUGAAUAGGACACAGGAAACAAAACAAACAAUAGACAAAUUCAGCCUCACAAUCACAGAGAAUGGGGAGAACAUCGAUCACAAGAGACGGACAGCAAGAGGGGUGUGGUGGUGGGGGUGGGGGAAGGGGAAGAAAGAAGGCAAUGUUACCACCCCGACGGUGCAUUACUGGAAAAUGUAACAUGCAAAACGGCAGAGUAGGUAAAAACACUAGUGUCUCCAUUGACAACUAAAAAGCUUGAGGCUUUAUACCCCAAAUCCACCAUUAGCUCACUCAAUCAACAAAAUCUCAAGAGUACCCCCCACAUGAAUUAGAAAAGCAAAAGGGAACGUUUUGCAUGGAACAGCAGAGAAAGGAAUUGGUGCCGUCGGAGACUGCAACAACCGGAAGAACAACAAAACCUAAGAGAAGAAUGAUCACUGCACGAAAACCAAGAACAGUAAUGGACACGCUAUCCCUUUCUUCACACACAGUGCUUGGAACCCGAAAUAGAGUGAUGGCUUUGAAAGUAAUCCAAACCCAAGGUGAUGGAGAAGUAAGGGGAGGGGGGGGGGGGGGGGGGGGGGGGGGAAGAAGUUUACCCCGUUUGUGAUCUGAGCCUGUUGCGUUGGAAAAGCAUAGCGAAGAAGGAAGAAACUUCGGGAUUCGAGUUUCCUCUGUUUUCGGUUUUCCAGUGUGGGUUUGUAGAGAGGGGUUUGGAUUCAGGUGUGGAGGAGAAGGGGAGGAAGUCUGCAGUUCGUUCAUGUAUUCAUUCAAUCACACACCAACAGGAAGAGAAUCAAACCAAGGAAAUAAGAACGGUAAGGGGAAAAUAUUAAUUUUUUUUAAAUCUAAAUAAUAUAUUAAAUAUAAAAAAGUGACAUAAUAAAAUACUUCCUCGAAUAUCGCAUUUAAUUCCCAAGAGACAAAGCUUGAUGUGAAAAAGUACAAUUAUAAAAAAGUAUUAUUUCUGGCAAAAACUAUAAUAGACUUUUAAAAUAUAAAAUAAUGCAUUUUUGCAAAGAUAAAAGAGGCUAAAGACAUCACAAUUACAAGAUGAUAGACCACAAUUUUGACAAUGUGAACAAAAUUUAGUCGGAUUAAGACAAUUAGAUAGAGAGCGGUCAAAGUUAAGUAUUUAUUAAGAGCGUAUGGAUUAUUAUCAACGAAUUUAAAAAAUAUUUAAGAAUUAAAAUUUAGUUAGAUGGUCCAACGAGAAGACGAUUAGAUAAAAAACGAUCAAUGAGAACUACCAACAACACUUAUAUGGUUCGUGGGUCGCGGGUUUCACGGUUUACCCGGCUAGGUAUUAAUUAUUUAUUUUCACGGUCCCCUUGUCGUUCUUUUUCCUUUUGUCUCGAUUCUAUUUCUGCUCCUGCUGCUGCCUGAGUGAUUGAAUGAAUACAUAAACGCGAACUUGCAGAGUGCUCUUCUCUGACUUCUUCACCUGAAUCAAAACCCUCUCUUUCAAACCCACUCUGAAAAUCCUAAAACCAGAUAAACAGGCAAAACCUUGAAUCCAAAAUUUCUUCCUCGUCGUUGAUGCUUCGCCAUCGCAACAGGCGCAGAUCACAACCGGGUAAACUUCUCUUUCACAUUCGCGGUUUUCGAUUCUCUCAAAACCAUCACUGUAUUUCGGGUUCCAAGCACUGGGAAGGAGGGAGAGUGUUGUCCAUUACUGUUCUCGGUGUGUGCAGUGAUCAUUCUUCUCUUAGGUUUUCGAUUGUUGCAGUCUCCGAGGUCACCGAUUUCUUCCCGGUGUUCCAUGCAAAGUUCCCUUUGCUUUCCUAAUUCAUGUGGGUACUCUCUGGAUUUCGUGAUUUAGUGAGUUAAUGACGGAUUUGGGGUAUAAAGCCGCGAGCUUUGUAGUUCUUAAUGGAAACAGUAGUGUUCUAGCUACUCUGGGUUUUGCAUGUUAGAUUUUCCAGUUAUGAACCGUUGGGGUAGUAACAUUUCCUUCUUCUCUCUUUCUUGUGACAAAUGUCUUUGCCUUCAUCGUGUUUGUGGGUUUGAAUUUGUCGAUUGUUUGUUUUGUUUUCUGUGUCCUAUUCAGUUUAUGGUUGGGGUGUCAACUGUCAAGUUGUGAUGGCCGGUCGGGUUUAUAUAAUAAAGACGCUCUCUGAGUCUUCCUUUUGAUUCGGCUCUUCCCUUUGUUUUAUAAGUAGAGAUGUUAGGUGGAUCCUCUUUAAACUGUCUAGGCUGCAGAUCGUAAUAUUCUCUAAUCUAGUCUCAAUCAGGUGUGAAUCUUUCUGGCCCUAAUGAUUCUUUGUUGGUUAGUUCUUUCUACCUCGUCUAUCUGAUGCAUUGUCAGGAGAUCCGUUAGAAUUCCCUGUGGAGUUCAUAGGUUUUACUAGCGAUUGUUUGGAAAAAAGCAAUGAUCUUGCGUAGCUAUUAGAAGGUUCAGCAAUAUAGUUUCUGCAUUUAGAUUUCUGACUUCUUAAUUGGGCGUUUCAGGUUUUAAUUGUUGGUUGUAAGUUGAAUUUGGGGAAAGCAGCUGUAAGAAGAGGUUUGGUUCAGCUAAGGCCUCUGUUGAGUUUACGAAUGGUCGGCCUGGAAUGAGUUUAAACUGUUGAAUGAGGAUAUAGAUAAUGGGUUCCAAUGGUGAUGGUAGGAGUAGCGGCAAUCUGUCUCAUUUGCAGCCUUUGGGCCGGCAGAACUCAUUGUACAACCUCACUCUGGAUGAGGUUCAAAAUCAGUUGGGUGACUUGGGGAAACCCUUCAGUAGCAUGAAUCUGGACGAACUUCUUAGAAAUGUAUGGACAGCUGAGGCUAACCAUGUUACGGGUGCAGAGGCCGAAAACACUCAGAUGGCCGAUAGUCAAACAUCCUUGCCGCGGCAGGGAAGCUUGUCAAUAGCUGGUGCUUUGAGCAAAAAGACAGUCGAUGAGGUUUGGAGAGACAUUCAACAAAGCAAAAAUAAUGGGGAGAGGAAGUCUAAAGAUAGACAACCCACUUUGGGGGAGAUGACAUUGGAGGAUUUCCUUGCCAAGGCAGGAGUUGUUGGUGAGGAACCUAUCGAUGAUAAUAAUAAUAGAGAUGUUGCUAUUGCCGGUUCUGAUGCAAAUGCAGCACAACGGUUUCCUCAACAUGGCCAAUGGUUACAGUAUCCGCAUGCACAGUUCCAGCAUCCACAGCCUAAUGUGAUGGGGAUGUUUAUGCCAGGCCAGCCUGAGCCUCAGCAAGUCCAUAUGGGGGCUGGUUCUGUGAUGGAUGUUGCAUACCCGGAGAAUCCAGUUCCGAUAGCUCCACCACCUCUAAUUGGGACAUUGUCGGAUUCACAAAUGGCUUCCAGGAAACGAGGUGCACCCGAUGAAGUAGUUGUGAAGAAUGUUGAAAGGAGGCAGAAGAGGAUGAUAAAAAACCGAGAAUCAGCUGCCCGAUCAAGAGCUCGGAAACAGGUUUGUUUUGCUUGUUUGAAUCUUUCAAGCGGAUUAUGGUGAUUUAUGCAUUCUAUUUCUCUGCUUCUUGAACCCAUAGUCAUCUCAUUUUGUCAUGAUUUUGUCGGCAAUUCAGGCAUACACAAAUGAGCUAGAGAACAAAAUUUCUCGCCUGGAAGAGGAAAAUGAAAGGCUGAGAAAAUUAAAGGUUAGUUUGCUUCAUUUUGCUCGACUUUCUCGUGUUUUUGGUGCAUUGUCAAUCUAAAGCUCAAGUAGAGGCAUCUGAUUGCCGUUGCCCUUAUCUUGUUGAUUUGCAGAGAUCAGCUCAAGUGUUUAAUGCUUUUCAGAUAUGUGUACAAUACAUUAUUAUCAUCUUUGUGAUUUAGCGGAUUUUUCUUGAGGGGACUAAAAGAGAAUUUGAGUGAAUUAUCUUUCUCGAGGAACAUGAGAGCGUAGAAUCUGUGACAGGUUUCUAAGCCUUUCAGUUACCAUGAACCCACGAGAUGAGGCCUAAAAUGGUAUACUGUCUAACCCAUAGUAACUGAAAAAGUUCGUUUCUUGGUUGUGUUCUUGGACUAUAUAUAGGAAACUUAAGUUGAUAUAAAACUUCAUGAAGAAAAACAAAUGUCGAUUUACUUAUUACCAAACCUUAUGCAUACAUGGUUAUUAGUUAGGCUAAGGUUAUGGAUAGUCUUUGUCCGCACGCAACUGGUUGAAGGUUGUUAUUCCACAGCCAAUUGCUGUGGUUUGUGUUUGUUUAAUGACCCGUCAUUUGGAGAAUUAUUCAGUCUUCUAUGGUCUAAAAGAGGGUCGAUGUGAGCGAUAAUGAAAGAAUUGAGUCUUUGUUUCAGAAUUGCAGGACUUUGCAUGCAUUUAAGGCUCUGCAUUUUGUUGACAUGCACUCUUUGCUUUGUUCUUCGCACUUGUUUAGACUGCAAAUCCUGGGUUCAUGCAGUCAUCUUCAGUUAUUUGCUUAUGAAACUAUCUUUUUAAAGUAUUUUUUGGUCAUCCAAAUACGCAAUUGCAGGAGCUGGAGAACAUAUUGCCAAGUGCACCAGCAGCACCUGAACCCAGGUAUCAGCUUCGGCGAACGUCGUCAUCACCAUUCUAACUAACGUUUCAUCCUGUUCAGAGUCAACGGUCCACUGCUCUCUGAGCUAGUCAGGAUCUACCAAUCCGUGGCGCCGAAUUAAUGCUUCAUCGUCCCCCCUGCACAAGUAUUUUCCAUUGAUGAUGAAAUAUGUAGAAAGUCAUUUGUGCUUGUAAGUGAAAUGAGCAGAGUAGACGAUGGAAAUCGUUCAAGUUAUUAGAUAAAGUAAGAACAAUUUGUGUCUCAACUCAAGCAGAGCAUUUCUUUUUUCGUUUUCUGGCUUCUUUGUAUCUUUGUGAAAAGUCAGGGGCGUUGGGAAGUUGAAUAGCUCCAGAGAUACAGAUUUGUAACUUGUUAUUUUUCGUUUUGGCUAACAAUAUACAGUUUGUAAUUUGUUGCGUUAAUGUGUCCUGAAACACAAGAAGCAAGGGGUUACAUAUAUGGUCUUGUUCAAGUUUAUUAAACUUAUGGCUUAACGAGUCUGGUUUUUUACUGCAAGUGCAUUCAAACCGACAAAGUCGCAUGAAGGAAACCGAAGUGUGAAAAGGGUUUAAGAAUGUCGGCGAUCCCAUGUGGAGUUGAGGCAAGUUGUAGUGGUAGAGGUGGAAACAUGCACACUCCCCCAUCAUGGAUAACAGUUGUGUUUAGGUUUCGCUAUUUUAUUCGUAUUUGUGGGUAUUCGACUUUAUUCGAUUCGAUCGAAAUAGAAAAUACUCGUAUUGAAUGGGUUACGGGUGAGUAUAGGAAUACCUGUUAAAAACGAGCGAGGACAGGUUAGAGAUGGGUUUAGGUACCCAUCCCAUUAUUCAUACCCAAUUUAAUAUGUAAAAUUAACCUACAGCCCUUAUUUAACAGUUACCAAACUAACACUAAGUCUAGAAUCUCUAAUUCUAUGUCCAAUUCAGAGCGGUUCUCCAUUCUCCACGAUCACGAUUCCACAAAUUUACUUUCGGAGUCACCCUGACGAUAUGUGAUAGUCUUAUUUUUGAAAAACUUAAUUAAGUUGUGAGGGCAUGGGGAUACCUACAUGAAUUCGAAAUCCACAGAUUUAGGGAUGUGUACGAAUACUGAGAUUCGAAUGGGGAUGGAGACGGGUAUUGGUACCCGCACCCCAUUGCCAAACCUAGUUAUGUUCUGUUUAUGGUCUGUGUGACAGCAGAUGAAAUGUAGAAUAGAAUUUGAACGAGAAUCAAAAAAUUAAUUUCCAAAAUACAUUUUAUUAAAAUUUAAGUUUUCAUACUUAAAUUGGUAAAAUGCUCGAGAUUCCAUUAUCUUAUUUACUGCUUCUCUCGUACAAGUGUGAGCUCGCCAGUUCAGUAAGCAACAGCGUCAGUUUAAUUGGUGAAAACUCGCAAAUUUAUAAAUGAAUAUAUAUUUUGCAUUAGGGGAUCAUGUGUGGUUCUAUCAAACACGAGUCAGCUUUUCAGCAUUGCUCAUGCAAUAUGGAUUUUUUCAAAACUGUACCAGUCAUUCUGGUUAGAUUUGACAAUCCGCUCAAAGUUAGGGUUAGAUUCAGAAAAUUGAAAAAAAUUAACCGUAUGCAGAUUAAUUGAAGCAUUGGUAAAAGAUUGACUAGUGAUCUAUCACACAAAAAAAUGUAUGGUUUUAAUGAUCAAGUGACAAUGAGCACAACCAAAGAAACCCUUGGACUUAAUUAUUCUAAGUUUCCAAACUGAAGAAACUGAUUAAUCAUACAAGUCGAAACAAAACUACGUAUAAAUAAGUUAGGUUUUAGGUGUGGUAUCCAUCCAAAUUGAUUAUACAUUUGCAGCAGCAGCAGCAGCAGCAGCAGUAGUAGUAGUAGAGAAAUUGGAAGACAGCAAAUGAACACUUAAUUAGUUAGUGGAAGACUGUUGGUGUUGCUCUCUGAGUAUGCACUGAUAUGUUGCCUUAGAGACCUUUGUUCAUGCGCAAUCCAUCCAUCAUUCCCUUUGCACUUUUUGCCAUGUGCCUCAACCACUCCACCAAUAGCUAACUCUGGGGUUGGAACUUCAAUCCAAUGCCUAUAAAUAGCCACUACUUCUCCUUCCACCAAUCUCCAAACCCAAGCAACUCUAUAAACAGUAACAACAUAUACAUGGCUAGUUACAAGCUCCGAGGAGCAUUCUUCUUUCUUUUUGUGGGUUUGGGGAUCGCCUCAGCUGCUAGAGCCCUUUUCACGUUUGAUGAGGGGAUAGUCGGUCAUGUUUCCGGUUCGGGAUAUGGUGCUGGUCAUGGUGGUGGAAGUGGGGGUGGUUAUGGAAAUGUUGCCGGGUUAAUAGGAGGAGGAGGUGGUGGUGGUUCUGGAGGUGGAGGUGACGGUGGAGGUGCUGCUGGUGAGAGGAGGAGGUGACCAUGGUGCUGGUGCUGGUGCUGGGUAUGGAAGUGGUGGUGGUGAGGGUGCUGGCGGCGCUUAUGCUGGAGGUGGUGCACAUGCUGGGGGAGGCGGCGGAGGAAGUGGAGGUGGCGGUGGAGGAGGUGCUGGUGGUGGUGCUGGAGGACAUGAAGGUGGAUAUGGAGGUGGUGAAGGUGGGGGUCAAGGAGGCGGAGCUGGAGGAGCUGCUGGGGGCUAUGGUGGGGGGGGUGGACAAGGGGGGGGCGGGGGGGGAGGGANNNNNNNNNNNNNNNNNNNNNNNNNNNNNNNNNNNNNNNNNNNNNNNNNNNNNNNNNNNNNNNNNNNNNNNNNNNNNNNNNNNNNNNNNNNNNNNNNNNNNNNNNNNNNNNNNNNNNNNNNNNNNNNNNAGUGGUUGGGGGGAGGCGGCGGGGGUAGGGAGACAGGGGGCGGAGGAGGAGGCGGUGGCGGUUAUUAAUCAUAAAGGGAUAUGUACGUACCAUCUCGAUAAAAAAAAUCAGAUGGUUGAUUAAAAUGUGCGAUGUGAGAGGACAAUGACGUCGUAAAAUCUUAAUUUAUAUGUAUGCCAAAAUAAGAUUAUGAAUAUAAAGCAAGAAAAUGAUUAAUGAUCACAUAAAUAGGGGAAAAUAUAUUAUAAAUAUUUGGAUUAAUACAUAAAUUUAGUCAAACAUAUUAAAAUAUAAUUAAAACUAUUCUAACUUAUUAAUAAUCCGAGAUUAAUUAGCCAAAUGUACCUUUUUUGGGUAAAAAGAUGGAAUUAAUUAGCCAAAUAUACUACUCCAUUUGAAAGAAGAUGAUGAGCUCCAAGGUUUGUGUUUACCCUUCUCUGCCUUGGUUUCCUCCUCUCCAGUACUACUACUGCGAUGUCAGUAGAUGAGACAAAAAACAUGGGUACAUGUAGAUUACAUUGGGUUAGGUUUAGGGAGGAUUUGGGUUAGUAUGAAGCUGAAUUGCAUUUAUUUUUUUUGUCAAGCUUACACUCCAUAUGAUUUCCUAUGGAAAAACAAACAUUUAUAGAUGGAGGUGAUUAUUGGUAUAAAAUGUCAAUUUUUGUGUAUAUUUUGAUAGUUGAUUUAUUGGUCGACUAAUUUAAUUGAGAAUAAUUUUUGAAUUAAAAUUUUAUUUAUCUUCUAACAGUUAUUACAAAUUAAAAAGUAAAUAAUUCCAUUAAUCAUUAUGUUUUUACAUGCCUUUUGGCAAAUUGAAGGGGGGAACUCUCAUUUCCAUUUGUCCUCUUUUUUAGCCAUCAUCAAACUACAAGAUCUCUGCCCCUCUCUGUAUAAUCUUUUUAUUUUUCUCCAUUAUUCUGCACAAUUUCCAAUUGAUGAUCUUGUUUUCCACCUUCAUUCGUUACAAUAUUCUCUUCAAUAUCUCCCGAUAUUUCCUCACUUAUUUCCAUCAUCUUAGAACAAUAUAUACCUGGGUUUUUUUUAUGUUGGGUUCAUUAAAUAUCUGAUGGGAUAUCCCUGAAUCAGGUAAAGAUGCAACCUUUUGCCCUUUUUGUAUUCUGGGUUUUGUUCUAAAUGUCAUUUUAAUGAUUGGGUUCUCUGUGGAAGAGGGGUUAAUAUACACAUCCAUCAAACAAAUUUUGCAUGAUUGUGGUGGCUUAGAGGAAGGUUUCAUUUGGGCCAAGAAAUUUGGUUCAUGAUUCCUCUGAGCAGAGCAAGACUAUUUAAAUUUCUGGGGAUCAAGAAAGUUUGGGUGGGUGUUAUGGGCUGCAUUUGCUCCAAAGGAGGCCAGCAAGCGAAUGGUAGUUUCAAUGUAGGGAGUAGCGAUGGCAAAACCAGCAAAGGGAAGAGCAAAAAAUCUUCCAGACGGUUAGUUUCGAAAAGAGACCAAGAUACCGAGACCGACGAGGAGUAUGAGAACGUUUGCUCCAUUAUUAACCAACAAGGUAAUGAUGUCGACCAUGAUGUCGGGUCGUCCUCUCCGUUGGCAGUCCACGAUCAUCACCACGAGGUCGACAGGAAGAGCAAAUCCAAGAUGUCGGGCGUAGGGAUUCGAAGCAAGGCGGUUGGCGAGAAAGGAGCUCAAGUUGUCGCCGGUUGGCCUUCUUGGCUCACUGCUGUUGCUGGUGAAGCCAUCAAUGGUUGGAUCCCUCGAAGGCUCGACUCCUUUGAAAAGCUAGAAAAGGUUGGUUUUACGAGUAAAGUUUUUUUUGUCACACUCUCACUGUUCACGCAUAAUGUUACAUUUUCACGUAAAUUUGUUUUUAUUUUCAUGCACAUAACAUAUUUUUCUAUUAACAAUUGUUACCUUUCUCUAUCUUACUUGCUAAUCAAAUUUAUAAGCUGCAUGAAAAUAGCUUAUGUGUGUGAAAAAUAGUGAAUCUGCGUGAAUAGGUAGCAUUUGUGCAUGAAUGGUGAGACAUAUAUUCUUCUUAAUGGUAAAAAUAUCCGGAUUGGGUGACUCCAAAUUGCAAUUCUUUAACUUAAUCUCGAAACUUGUUUUUUUUCCAGAUUGGACAAGGAACAUAUAGUAGCGUUUACAAAUCGAAAGAUCUCGAGUCGAAGAAAAUAGUCGCACUAAAGAAAGUUCGUUUUGCCAACAUGGAUCCAGAGAGUGUCAAGUUCAUGGCAAGAGAGAUAAUCAUAUUACGUAGACUAGACCAUCAGAAUGUUAUGAAGCUUGAAGGCAUCAUCACUUCAAGAAUGUCCGGUAGCUUGUACCUCGUUUUCGAGUACAUGGACCACGAUCUCUCUGGUCUCUUAUCAAGUGCAGGGUCUCAAUUCACCGAACCUCAGGUGUUCGUUUUAUUUGAAGUCGCAUUUCUCAAAAUCGAAUCAGUUACAUUGGUUCAACAUCAACUAAAUUUCAACAUGUGUGACAUGAUGAGCAGAUUAAAUGCUACAUGAAGCAGCUACUCCAGGGACUAGAACAUUGCCACAGCCGCGGAAUCAUGCACCGCGACAUGAAAGGAUCGAAUCUUCUGAUCGACUCCAACGGCAUACUCAAGAUUGCUGACUUCGGUCUUGCAACCUUCUGUAAGCCUAGUGACGACCAGCCUUUAACGAGCCGGGUCGUCACUUUAUGGUACAGACCUCCCGAGCUUUUGCUCGGAUCAACGGAGUACGGCGUGGAAGUCGAUUUAUGGAGUUCUGGUUGCAUCCUGGCUGAAUUGUUCAAUGGAAAGCCUAUCAUGCCUGGAAGAACAGAGGUGGAGCAGAUUCAUAAAAUCUUCAAACUUUGUGGAUCGCCAUCAGAUGGGUACUGGAAGAAGUCAAAAUUGUCUCAUAACACAGUCUUCAAACCACAACAGCCGUACAAACGACGUGUCGUUGAAACGUUCAAGGACAUGAUUCCCUCGUCGGCUAUGUCACUUCUUGAAGUGCUUCUUGCCGUAGAGCCUGAAGAUCGUGGGUCAGCAACUUCAGCACUUACUAGCGAGGUAACUGAACAUCGAAUCCUAGCUAAUUGGUACUUCAACUUAUACAUUGUAACUAUUUGAUCAUUUUUAUCUCUCUUUUUGAUCAGUUCUUCACCACAGAGCCUCUUCCAUGUGACCCGUCUAGCCUGCCAACUUACCCUCCCAGCAAGGAGUUUGAUGUCAAGUUCCGCGAAGACGAAGCUAAAAGGUAAAACCUCACCGUUACCAUUUGGUAUAAUACAUGUCUUGUUGCGUAUAUUUCAGUUUACAAGCGGAAUAUGAUCAAAACAUAUAAUAAGCUAAAUUUUAAUAGAAAAUUUGUGUAUCGAACAACGAAUUGACAAAUAUACUUUUGGUUGCUAACGUUAGAAAAAGCAGAGCAGGAGGCAAAGGCAGGGGAAGGGAAUCAGAAAGGAUCACAUUCACCAAAGGAACAAGACUUGUCGCAGCUCCUAACCCCAACGUGGUAUUUUUCUCCAUUCCUACACAUAAAAUUAGCUCCUCUAAUGUUAUUGAGAGCCUUUUCUAUCAAAUUAAUUCGAUAGCCAAUUCAAUGAUCCAAAAUUAUUUUUAUUAAUUUUAAUUUGACAAUUGAAAUUUUAUUAGGAAUACAAUGGAAAUUUAAAGAAUAUUUUUUCUCUUUCAACUUUUCUUUUUAUCUCUUCUUUUUAUUUUUCUCACGUAAAUUGGAUAUCAUAAUGACAUAACAAUGAUGUAAAUAUGAAGUCAACAUAAUGAGUCUAUUCAAAUGACAUAAUAAAAACGCAUAACAGACUAGUAAAGUGUAUAUAUCACCGACAUAAAAGAGUGUUAAACUGGACAUAACGAUGAUAAAUUCAACUAAUCAUAAGGUGGACGUAACAACGACAUAACGAGCCUGUAAAAUAGUUGUUUUAACGACAUAACAUGCUCGUACAAUGACCACUCAUGUGAUUUUUUUCAACUUUUUUUUGUUUCGAAACUACUUCUUCAAAUCAAUUCGUUUGACUCAUUUUCAUCUGUUGGAUGAAAAUUGCCCCAAAAGCCUCCUGGUCCAAGGGCCCACGAUCUGUCGGAUCAGAGCUCUCGGAUUAAUAGGCGCGUUGCUAGUCUUGCUUCUUUUUAUUGAUGUUCAUAACUUAUAACUUGUUACAGAAGAGAUCAAAAGCACAGGGGACCAAGGAUAGAUCAAUCAUGAACAACGAAAGGCAGAGCAAUAAAGAUGACGACGGCGAAGCUUCCAAUAAGGCCUCAACAUCAACAAAUGCAACUUCUACUUCUUCAAAGCAAACACCCAAGUCUCCGCCGUCAAAAUCUGCAGCGCAAGCGGCUCAACUGUCGAGAUUUACGAACUCAGUGGUCAUUAGAGACAACAGCUCACACUAUGAUUAUGGCGGCGGUAACUCCGACCACUGGCAGAAAGUUCGUGAUCACGCCCCUACUGGCAUGGAUGCCACCAGGGUAAGUUAGUGAAAAUCACACGUUAGAAUGACAAGGAGCUUAUAGUUAACUUCCAAUUUUUGUGUGAUGAUUAAAGGCGUUUUACGGGAAGAAAGGAAGGAUGCAUCAUUCGGGGCCAUUGAUGACGGCGGGAGGGAACAUUGACGAGAUGUUGAAAGAGCACGAACGGAGAAUUCAACACGCCGUGAGGAAAGCAAGGUCGGGGAAGAAUAAGAACUUCCAAGCUGAUGGCGGAGGUGAACAAGAUGGAUCUCAGUUAUAUCGAGUGGAAAAAUGACGAGGGAACUUAUUUUGGUCGAUCGUAAUUGAAGAGAGAUUUGUAAGAAUGUAUAUUCUUUGGAAAUUAGUGUUAUUUAAUUUGUAUGGAUUAGCAUGUACAUAAUGCUCAAAUAGCUUGAACUGAUAUGGUUGUCCGCGCGAUGCCGUGAAGAUUUAAAUUGAUAAUGAUUUAGACAUUGCAUGUUCGUUGUUCAAAAGUUAAUUGUAAAUGAGAAAGAUGAUAUAAGAUUAUAUUGAUUAGGUACUAAUAGAUUUAUUAUUAAUAAUAUAUAAAAUAUUUACAGGACAAAAUGUAUGAUAAUUAAUAUGUGCAAAAUUUACAUGACAAACGGAUUCGAGCAUGCGAUGAAUCGGUACUUAGGUACUUCUCGUUGACUUAUUCUUAGACCGAUGACUCGGUACUUAUAUCGAGUUUGGAAACAGCAAAAUCGAACAAGAAAAGGUUGGAGAACGGAGCAAAAAAGUAACGGCGGCAGGGAAUAAUGAAUAAUCCGGUUCUAGGGUUUAUGUUAACCCUGCAACCAAUCACCGGGAAACUUGGCUGGAAAAAUAAAUUGAAAAGAGGAAAAGCGAAUAAAAGGAGAGUCGCCGUAAACGCCGCCAAGGCAUGGCCACGUAGGAGCAGAGUGAAAUCCGAAGCUGGUGUCCGCCUUCCAAACCUAGAGGCUCGGAGCUUAGUACAGCUGGAGACAGGCUGUCAACAACGAAGACCCACUCACCUAUUCCCCCUAACUACGUUCCCUCUGUCUUUCUUCUUCCUCCCUUAUUUUUCCUUUGCCAUUCUCUCUCCUCUCCCCGUUGUUCUCCUGUCUUUCUCUCCCUUUUCUGUUUGCCUCCUCUUCUCCCGUCUCUUCGUAUUCGACCUAGGGUUUCGCUGAUCUCCUCCGGCGAUUCGCCGAUCCUCCAUUGACGGUUGCCGGAUCAACAUUCUCUGCUUCGUAAGCUUUCGAUUCGUUCUACUUUUUGCCUGUUUUCGUUCUUGUUUUCUCCGUUUGUUUCUAUCGAUUUUUUUAUUCAUCCUUUUCCGCUCGGUGUGGAGCUUUUGCAUGUUUGUUUGGAUUUUGUAAUUUUUUUAUUUGAUAUCUCCUUUCUGCUGCUUUUUCAUUCAACAUUCGCUGUAGAAUUUUUCUGUGUUAGUUGAUAAUGCCGUUCAUGUGUUGCUCUUUUGGUUUUUAUCUGUCUGCCUCUCGUUCUCACUCUUGGAUUUUGGCGAUUUUCCCCUUACUACAAGUUAUGUAUGUUCUUUGAACUCUGUACAAUUGUUUUGGAAUUGGGGAUGUUAGGGUUUUGUUAUUAAUGUUGGCUGAAUGCUUGAGGUUAUGGUUAACAGUCCAGGGCCAAUGGGGGUUAGGAGAAGUAGGAGAGUUCCUGGAAACGGUUAUACUUAUUUGCUCAUUGGCUACUUAUUGCCCACUCAUGUGUUGGUCAUACGAAGGGAGUUAAUGAAUUUUGUGCUGCGAAAAAGUAUGAUAUCUGAUUGGGCCUUGAUGUGCGUCAGAUCUUUUCAGCAUAUAUCUUUGCUGUAUGCUUGUGGACAAGAAUCAAUAGCUGAAUUCUGACUACACGUAUAUUGGUUUUGUUACUCAUAUAGCUUGGGGCAUUUGUGUUGAAAUUGGAUGGAUUGUCUGUGGUUAAUGUUUUGCUGUUAUUACCUGCGAUGUCCUGCUUAGUUAGUUAGUUGGCUCUGGUUAGUUUACUGAAUGGUUGCAUGUUCUGCUGUGCAGGUGUUUAGGUGGCUAAUUUACAAUUUCAGAUUUUGGAACGUUUUGUAAUCUGGGAUAGAUUGGUAAAGUUGAAGGUGAAUGACUUUACUUCUGUGGAUCUUGAGCUCUCCACAAGGGAUAGUUGCACCUGGUUUUAUAAGCAAAAUAUAAUCCUGGGAAGAAAGCGACUACCCAGCUUGAGGACUUUUUUUAUCCAUGCUGGCUGAGAGCAUGCGUGGAAUUUGUGUUUCGGGUAAUGCCCCUGACGAGAAGUACUGCCGAUGGGCUCGGUGUGGUUUAAAACUUUUUGUUGGGUUCCUCUGUUCUAUCUUGCUCUUAUUGGGGUUCUUGGACUUGUGUGCAUUGUCUACUCAAUUUACUUCCGAUCUCGCGUUCGUAAUCAGGGCUUCACCCAGCUCAGUUAUUUCAGCGGUCCUUGGAUCAUUCGAAUCACCUUCAUUAUAUUUGUCAUCUGGUGGGGUGCUGGUGAAAUUGUCCGGUUAAGUUUCUUGAGACGUGAGGGUAGGGUGCUGAAUGCACUCGACUUAAAAUGGCAGGAGAAUGUCUGCAAAGUCUACAUCAUUUCGAAUCUCGGGUUUGCCGAACCAUGUUUAUUCCUCACGCUUGUGUUUCUCCUGCGUGCGUUUCGAAUCUCGGGUUUGCCGAGCCAUGUUUAUUCCUCACGCUUGUGUUUCUCCUGCGUGCUCCCUUGCAGAGGAUGGACUCUGGGAUUUUAACUCAGAGAUGGAAUUGGAAAACAGCAGGAUACAUUCUUCUCUUUUGCCUACCAGUGUUCAUUCUUCAGCUCUUUAUUAUUCUAAUUGGUCCAGAGCUACACAAGGAAGAUAGUACCUUGAUGAAGAGCUUGCCCCACUAUUUUACCAAGGCAGCUACAACGCAGAGUAGCGCUGUUAUUGCACUCUGUACUUACCCUUUAUUGAAUACAAUCCUCCUUGGGAUUUUUGCCACCGUGCUUACAUUCUACCUGUUCUGGCUUGGAAGGCGCAUCUUGAAGUUGGUUAUCAACAAGGGGUUGCAGAAGAGACUAUAUAUACUAAUAUUCUCAGUUUCAAGCUUCCUUCCUUUGAGGAUUAUUUUACUGGGGUUAUUUUACUGGGAUUAUCAGUUUUAACAGAACCAGAGAAACCACUCUAUGAAGUGCUGGCUUUUACAGCAUUUCUUGCCCUUCUAUGUUGCGCCGGAAUCUCUAUUUGCAUGCUGGUUUACCUCCCCGUUACAGAUUCAUUGGCCUUGGGGUGUGUAAGAGAUUUGGAGGCGAGGAGGAGGAUUAGUGAAGAGCACAAUGAAAAUGUCUCCCUUAUUGCUGCUAACCAGAGCUACCCGGAGGAAGAAAGCAGUCGAAUUAGCCCUGACAGGACAUCUGAUGAAUCAACGAAGCGUGGAUCUAUAUCAUUCCGUGCUUACGGAAAGGAUGGGACAUCGACUGGAGCAUUUGUCGAGCUAAGCCUAUUUUCUCCUAGUCGAGAUGCGACUCCACCGGGGUCACCCCCACUUCUUGGUUGGCCAAUGCGACCUUGUGAACAAGCUCUUCAUGGUCAUGGACCUUAGUGAAUAUCCGAUUUUGUGGUUAAAAUAUAAUGGUUGAGGGGAAGAGUGGAAGAAGAAAGAGACUGAUUGUAAAGGGGGGGUGGGGUUGGGUUAGUUUCCAAUAAGGAUUUUUGAUUCCUGGUUUGCUUUCUAAUUCUUAGAUAUGAUGGGUUUGCCUCUCAGGUUUAAUGAAUUAUUUUUGUGAUCUCCAUUUCAUCCCUUGGUGUCUUACACAUAUUCAUUCCUGCAAUUUGCAUCUGUUAACGAUGAUGCUCUGAAUCGAUAUCAUUUCCUGAUGUUAUCCAAGUUGCAAGCAAAUGAUUGUUGGCGUUGGACCAAUUUGAUUAUUGUUAUCCAAGUCAAGGUUCAAAAAGGCGAAAGGUGCUAGGCGGGCGUUGUGGUACCGUCUAACUCGAUUAAUCGUUUUUAGGCGCGACUAGGCGAUUUCUAUGGUUGAUCACACGUUCAAAACGCCCGGAUCGACACCUAAGCCCAAUGUGCGGCGUUUUCUUAAACCUUGAUCCAUGUUAAGCUGUAACCUGAAAGGAAUGAGUUAGGUGUCGUUGGUGGGGGGUAUAGCUGUAAGGAGUUGGAGAUUUCCUCCUGGCUUGGAAGUAUUGGUUGUAAGUGUAAGGCUUAGCUGUAACUUUGUAGAUGAAUGUUGUAGUACAGCUGUUUAAUGCGCAUUUCGAGUUGGUAAGAAUCUAUUGUUUAAUCAGUUCGUUCAUCCCCUCACUCCUUCUGGCUUUUGGGUUGACAGACUUGCAGCACUAUUCUUCCCCCCCUCCACGUCGGGGGAAGCAGGUUUCAACUGCUUUUAGUUACGUCUUUUGUUCUGUGUAUCAUCUCCCUCAUACUCUCCAGCUGGCCUGUUACUUCAUAGUUAAGUCGAAAUACUCAAGACCCACAUCUUUUAGACCCGAAAAGUGACCUUUUUGCUGUAUAUUGUAUUCUCCAUCUUAUCCAGAAGAUUAUAGUUAAGUAGAAAUGCUCGACUCAGAUCUUUUAGGUCCAGAAAGUCCCUAGUCAAACGACCCCUAGUAAGUGAAAAAAGAGGAGUUGCCUUCCCCAUUAUCACUUGGAUUAUUAGAGGGGCUGACGACCCCUACUUUUCUUUUAUCGGUUAGUCUACUUUUGCUUGGCCGGCUAUCCUGAAACUGGGCCUGGGUCCAGUGGGCUCAUAAUCUGCGAACUAAGUGCAUGCAAUCAUGGGCUUGCAGGAUCCGAUCCACGGUCAAAAAUCAACCCACGGAUUUAAGGAAGAAGCUAGGAAAAGAACUAGUGGUUCUCCUAUUUCCACGCCAUUAAAAUUUAGAAAAAUGCGCCUGGAAAUUUCUAAAUGUAAUUACAGUAAACAAGCGAGGGCAAUAUUGGCAAAUACAGAAGAAAGGUCCUAAAAAAGAGGCGCCGCCACCGCCUGACGAAACGGCGUAGUUCUUUCCUAUUGUUAAAUUUAGCUUACAUCUCAGGCCCCCCUCCUUCAAAAAUCAUACCUUGAACAAACCCAAGCGUACAUCUCCCUCUCUUCGUCUCCGAUAAUCCGAGCUUUCGUUCACUGUAAUGGCGACCUUCAACGAAGCUCCUCCCGGUAAUCCCGACGCCGGAGCUAAGAUCUUCAAGACCAAGUGCGCCCAGUGCCAUACCGUCGACAAAGGCGCUGGUCACAAACAAGGUAUAACGGGAUUGUCUCUGGCUCUUGAUUUCGCUCUAUGGAUCUCUUCUGGAUCCGAUCUAUUUGAUGCCUGGGCCUCGUUCUUGUGAGAUGUUUUCUGUAACUCGAUUUGCUCUGAUCUGUUUGAUAUCUUUCGGGAUGGAUGUGUGUCUAGUGGAUUUUUUUUUUCAAUUGCAACGGAAAUUGUUCACUUUAUUAGAUCUGUGGGUGAGAUUUGAAUCCAGGAUUUGUGUUGGAUCUUUUUCUUGAUUGUUUCACAGGCGCUUUAUCGUUGUCUUGUUCAGAUUAAAAUGAUCUUUGGCUCCCUGAUAUUGGUUUUUUAGUAUUUGAUUGGCGGGUUUUUCUCAACUUGCAGGUCCUAAUUUGAAUGGACUUUUCGGAAGGCAGUCUGGAACUACCCCAGGCUACUCAUACUCUGCUGCCAAUAAGAAUAUGGCUGUGAACUGGGCAGAGAACACAUUGUACGACUACUUGCUUAACCCCAAGAAGGUAUGUCAUCAGGGCCCUAAGUUCUCGCAGUAAGAUCUUUCAUGUAUGACGUUGAUAACUUGUUACUGAUCCUUUUUACCAUCUUCCUCAUGUUGUGAUUUCGUUGUAAUCCUGUCGUUGAAUUCACUCUUUGCAUGGAAAUGAUCCUUCACUAUACAUAUGAUUGAAGUUACUGCGAUCGUAUGAAGCCUUCCACAAUUUAAUGACUAAAUGACUAAUGAUUCUACCAUUUUGUUAUACUGGAAAUUAUAAAACUUUAGUAGCUUGGUGGAUUGUGUUGUGUUGGUUGUCUUUGUUUAAUUACCUACUGGAUUUAUGGGGUUUGUGGAGUUUCUUUGUUUGCAAUGAGUACGAUCAGGGUCUCGAUUGUGAAAAGUAGAUACAUUUACUGAAGGGAUGAUCCCCGUUUGUGCAAGUAGCUAGAUGUUACUUGUACAUAUACCAACAUGUGCAACGAUGUCGUGUUUUCUCGCAGUAUAUCCCUGGAACUAAGAUGGUGUUCCCUGGACUGAAGAAGCCACAGGAGCGUGCAGACCUUAUUGCGUAUCUGAAGCAAUCCACUGCCUGAUCAUAUUGAUUUUGACACAGAUUCGUGUUGCCAUUAAAUGGUAUCUGUCCCAAAUUGGACAUGGUUUUUCUUUUUUCAAUCUUCUGAAAUUGAAGCAGUAGGCAUUCCUUAAAAUAAAGAACGCCGUUUUGGAUUUGAAAGUUCCCUAUACUAUAUUCAGUUAGGGAAGGUAUAUUGGUUGAGCUUGCGACUCAGUCAUGAGUUUUCUCUGUGAGGCCGUUUGCUGGACCUCUAAAUUGAUUUCCAGAAUAGCCAUAUAUAUAUAUACUAUUGGAUUUUUCUUGUUUCUCUUGUGUUUUCAGUUAAUAUCUCUUAACGUUCUAUUUAAAAACCGUGCUCGGUCGCUUGGAUUAGCUGAAAUGCAAGCUGAAUGUAUGUUAAUUUUCUGUUGAUAAACCUUGAGAUGAACUGAGACGAUUAUUGGGGAUGGAAAAUGCCUGCUAUUUGUCCGCAUGGUUUGUUUCGAGGAUGACGAAAUAAGAUGGAAGGGCGGACAGUUGUGUCGGUUUCGGUAUAUAACAAAUGAGAUGAAGGAUGGGCAGUUGCGUCAGUAACGUGAAUUGUGGUAUUUUGUCUGAGGCGUAUCAAAUUGUAUCGUUGCUGCACAAAUUCUGAUGUGGUGGGAAGUCCCAAGACAAGUCUGGUAAGGUUGCUGUUUGUCUCACUGUUAAGUGCAAAGUCCAAUUACCAGGAUUAGCCAGUUGGGUUCAGAGUUUUGUAAUCUGUUCCAUCUGCAAUUGUUCUGGUUGCAACGUAUCGAUUUGGUGAACCCUUUCAGAUAGCUUGCUGAGUUGAAGAGCUUUGAAGGUUCUAGUCGGCAGCAGUUGCGUUCAAGAGUUUUGUAAUCUAUUUUGACGAGCAGGAUAACUACGGCGAUUCUACGAGGAACAAACUGAUAAGUUAAAUCCAUUUGAUCGUUGGAUAACAAAUGAAAUAAUCAUAUAGUUACUGCUUGUGUACUGUACCAAAAGAACACGAGAGAGUAUCUGGUGAUAUAAAUAUAGAAGAGAAGUGAUGGAAGCAGGGGACUAGCAACAAUCUGGUUAUCUGCCAUGCCAUGGAAAAGAAACAUUACUCAAAUAUGAUACCAAAAGGACUCUUCACACUGUACCCAUCAGCCACCCAAAACAGGCUCCCUUGAACAAACCUCGCACUCGUCCCCUUCUUCGCCAUGAAUGUCACCGAAUAUUUCGCCUUCUCAUUCAACUUACUGAAAGCAAUCUCACUAGGCUUAACUUCAAUCCCCACUGCUUCUUCUGGUGCAUACACCUCCACUUUGUAAACUGAGUUCGCCUUCCCAACAUUAGUGACCGUUCUCGUGUACGUCACUGGCUGAGAACCCAACUGUACCACGAAAGACGGGUAGUUCAGCUCAGCUUCGGAUAUCGAUUCAUCAGAAAAGCAUUUGACCUUCUGCUGCACAAUGGUGGACACCUGAGCAUUGUUGUAACCCAAACCACAUAGGUAAGGAACAUAGUCUUCCGGCUGGAUGUCAUAAACCAGUCCGGGAUUGCUGGCUCCAGUCGGAUUUAUAUGACCGGAUCCCAUAUCGAACAUGUCGGCUAGAAGAUGCUGCUCAUCCGAAAUCGGCUGCCCACCGGUUUGAGUCAAAUGUGCUGUCGUCAUCAUGGCUGAUUUUACUGCAGCUGGUGACCAAUCCGGAUGAGCACUUCUGAGCAAAGCUGCAAUGCCGCUUAGAUGAGGGCAUGCCAUUGAUGUUCCUGAUAUCAUAUUGAAGUUCGAACCAUUGUUGUUGUUGGCUAACUCGUCCAGAGGAGUUGGCCAAGCAGCUAAUGUGCUUACACCAGGUCCAAUGAUGUCGGGUUUCAUGAUCCCGGGGCUCGAUUGGCUAGGACCCCUCGAUGAAAAGGAAGCAACUUGGGGAGCAUUUUGCUUGCGAAUCACGGUUCCUUUGAACGCAAUUUUUGCAACCGGCGAUGAUGUGGAGUUGAUGUAACCCUUGAUGGAAUUCCCUGCUUCAUAGCUGACGUGUGAUGCUGGUAGCUCAUGAGCAUCAGCUAAUGUUGUGAAACCAUAAUCUUUGUUAUUAACCAGGAUCAUUGCAGCUCCACCGUUUGCUUUCACUUCGAUUCCUUUAUCAAGUCUUUUGAUUUGGCCUCCGAUUUCACAGACGACUAUUUUGCCCUUGACAUAAAGAUGGCUUAAUGAUCCAGGUGCACAGAACACAGCUGAUGAGUUAUCAGCUGAGCCUGCAUAAACAAGUGGCAACAUUUUUUCGGAAUCGAAAUCCUUCGGCUGGAAAAGGGUUUGACCAUCAAACUCUUUUUUGUUGCCAAGAUAAACAGUUGAUAUCAUCUGUCUAUCAACAGUGCUAGCUCCAACGGUCAGAAUCCAUGGGGCUUCAUUAGACAGAGUUCCGGUACCCGGACCAUUGUUCCCUGCAGCACAGCUGACAAAAACUCCCUUCUUGAUCGCACCGAACGCUCCGAUCGCGAUUCCAUCGUCGAAAAAUGGAGCCGAGUCCCCACCGAGUGAGAGUGAUAGAACAUCAACACCGUCCCCAACUGCAGCAUCAAUUGCUGCCAAUAUUGCACUAUCAGGACAACCUUGUGGGCCACACACUUUGUAUAUGGCCAAGUGAGCCAUGGGUGCCAUUCCAACAGCUGUUCCGGAACCUUGCCCUAAAGCAUUGGCAUUUAACACAGCACUGCCAGCUACCGUGCUGGCAGUGUGAGUCCCGUGGCCUUCCUCAUCGGCCACGGAAUCGCUGCUCGAAACGAGGUUUCGAGCACCGAUAAGCUUGUUGUUGCAAGCUCCUUCCUUUAGCUCGCAUUUCCCUUUCCAUUUCGCGGGGGGAGGAGGCAUGCCUUUGUCACUAAAUGAAGGAUGGUUCGGUGUUACUCCAGUAUCAAGAACACCAACAAUGACUCCUUUCACAUAGUUUGAAGUGUUCCAUAACCCUGAGUUCUGAUUUAGCCCCAAGAAUUUUGGAGUGUAAGUAGUCUGAAGAGACAGGAUUCUCUCAGGACGCGCUGACACGAACCCUUGCUUCGAUUUCAUCGUCUCGAGCUCUUCCCUGGUGAGUUUCGCAGCGAAUCCUGUGGCCACUUGGUGGUAAGAGUGUACCAUCCGUGAAUCGUCAGAGCUUAGUUCAGUAACUGGCAGGAACUGCUGGUAGUACCUGUCUAGAUCCUCCGAUUCGAAUGAUUCUAUGCCAAGAGGUUUCUCCACAAAUACCAGAUAUGUAUUCAGUGCAUUUGUUCCAGGAACUACUUCUUCUGUCUGGGAGAAACAGAACAUAGAAGAAGCAACAAGUAGAAACAUAAUAUGGCCCAACAUCUUGCACUUCUUGUUCUCUUUGCCGAUGAAGAGAACAAGAGAUGCUGGGUGGGAUGGAGUGGAGAUGUUCAUGUGAUGCAAAAUAUAUAGAGUUAUGUUUUGUUUAAGGAAAUGAGAUCAUGAGAUAAUUAACCAAAGGAAUGUAUAUUUGAGAGUGGUACUGGUAGGGCUAUUCUUCAAGUUGAUAAUUGAUGGACAAAUUUGAUGAUGAUGGGGCACUGUUUACAACUGGUGUUCGGUUACAAAACAAAUUAAGGGACAAAGAUGUAUGGGAAGAGUUUUGUUGAGUGCAGAGAUCAUUUGAUUCUGUUUGUUGUCUUUUGUCUGGGUUUGUCAGGACACUUGAACUUGGAAAAGCUAACAGUACUGCAAUUGCUUUUCUAUGGAUAUAUUGAAAUAUCCAAUUUUUUGUCAUGGGGAUAUGAAUAGUUAGAGUUUCGAACUUUCGAGUUUGGCUCAGGAUAAUUUUAAGUUCGAUUCAAUGUUUGGUCGUGUCGGAGCUAGAGGGAGAGGAAGAGUUCCGACUAUCUUAUUUCUUUGUUUCGAGUACUAAAUUAUAUGUAAAGUACAGAUGAUUUUGUAAUCCGGUUUAUGAUAUUUGAAAUUCUGCUUCUGUCCACUUAUUUUUUCAAACUAAACAAAAUUAAACUUAUAACCAAUCUAUAGUUGUUAAAAAAAAUUUACAUAGAAAAAAAACUCGNNNNNNNNNNNNNNNNNNNNNNNNNNNNNNNNNNNNNNNNNNNNNNNNNNNNNNNNNNNNUAAUAUCUUUUGUUUUAACCUCUAGCUUUAUUCCUCCUUGCCUUGUUUGGAGUAUAACUACAUAACAAGAAAUUUGAACACAUACUUUCUAAUAGUCGAAUAUGAAUAUUCAAAUUUAGUCCGAAUUUUUAAAUUUAGCCCAAACUAGUUUCAAUUCCAAAUAUGUCUUUUAACGAAAUUUUAUUAAAUUUUUCGUCGAAAUUAGUGGAGAUUAAGACUGCUAAAAUAACGUAUCAGCUGACAUGUCAAAUAUAACCAUGUCAUCAUCCCUAAAUUAAAUAAAAAUGAUAAUUAAGAAAAUUAAUAAAUAACAAAAUAAUAAUAAAACGUGUUAGGUUUGAUUUUUAAUUUUAUUUUGUUGGGAAUAAUUAAAUUUUGUUUUAUAAUUAAAAUGCUGACGUGGAGGCUGAUAUGACAUUUAUUUGGCCGGUCAACUGAAUGCCAAAUGCCAUGUCAGCUCCGCCUGUCUCGUCACUAACGGUGUUAAAAAUUUUGACUGAAAAUUUAUUCAAUAGGCUAGAAUUAUCGGAAGACCGAAACUAUUGGUUAGAUAACGAUCAUCAAAAUAAUUCGAACUAGAUUUGGAAAUCCUCUCAAAGUUUAGGUUAGAUUUGGGUAUUCGGUUCUUUUUAAUUUACAUGUGUGUCAUGUCACAUGUAAAAAACGUUGAAUUUUACGUUAAUUAUUUGUGAGAGUUGGCUAGACUUUUUAUCAGGUAUAUGUGUUCAAAUCAUUUAUCAGCAAGAUUUAGCGGACCCAUUCAGAGAAUCAAACCGAGUAAGCCUAAUUGAAACAGCACAUAAUCGAACAACGGAUCAAAUCCAAAUCGAAAAGGAAACAACGCAUAUACACACACAAAACUCACAAUAGUGCUAAAGGACACAGAGAUACGAUCGUAUACGACACAGGUCCUGUUCAAAUAAGGUCGUAACGAUGAUAACUACUGCUUCUUGAAAACCUUGAUCCCUCUCCAACGAGACUCCAUGUAGUUAGACGCGUCAUCCUGAGUGUAAACUCCAAACUUGAAAUAAUGGGACCUGCCGCCGUGGCCAGGUCCCUGAUAGACGAGACUACCGUCCACAUAAAUCUUCAGCUUUCCUGCAUCAGCAUCGUGGAUCACAUUCAACCGAAACCACCUAUUGUAGAUGUCCGAAAGGAUGGGAGCACGGUACGCCGAGAGUUCCCCUCGAUAAACUCGAACCAUCAUCGUAGUUGCACGACCACUCGCUCCAAACACUUGCAUCACACACACCCCUGAUGUCCCGCUUGGCACGAACCCAUGGCCUUCGAAUUGCCACACUCCUGACGAAUAGUCAUUCCCCUGCAGCCAUUGAGAAUGCUUUAGAAUGGUCUUUUGAAUAAUUCAGAAAUUAAAUAAUAUUGGCCUGAUCAUGGGGCAAUAGGGUAAUGUAUAUCGGGUUAGACCCGUUAUGGUUACGGAUUAAUCGAAACAUUUUAUGUAUAUAAGGAAUGUUGGUCUCCUCUGUAAUUAAGUCAUCUCUCACCGAAACCUUUAAUAAGAUUCUCAUCUUCUCUCCGUGGAGUAGCCGACCUCAAGGUCGGAAAUCACAUUAAUCGUCUAUGUUGUUCUUCUAUUAUUCCUUCAAUAUUCUAGUGUUAUUCUCUUUUUAUCAUGUUAAGAACCGUUGCAUCCCAAUAACUCGAUUGGUAUUUAUAUUAUUUACUAACAUGCCCCUUCAAACGGAAGCUCUCAAAAAAGUUGAGGUUUGCACAUCUUCGAUAAAUCAUGUGCAGAGAUUGGGGGCUAUAUAUCGGAAUUCGAAACGGAGACCUCUCGGUCAUGUAAAGCUCUGAUACCAUGUCAAGAAUCGUUGCAUCCCAAUAACUCGAAUUGUUGAGAAGAAAUUCUGAUUGGUAUUUAUAUUAUUCACUAACACAAUAUGCUCUACGGCACAUGGUCUAAAAAUUUUCGUGGCCUCGAAUUUUUCGAAUUUACAGUAUUCGGUUUAACAAAUCUUAAUAGAAUUGAGGACAAUUAACCAAAUAUAAUAUCGGCUUACGUACAGUAAUACGGAUUUCAGUGCGAGGUCUGGUGUUGCUACCCUUGAAGUGUGGUUUGUCAGUGGAGUAAACCCAGAGCUUGUGGACGUCGUCUUGGUAGCUGUAACGUUGGUCCUUCUGCAGAUCGUACGGCCACUGGACCUCAAAGUUCGAAUCACUCAGCGGAACAGCAACGAACCCUUCGGUUGGAUCGACAGCACCAAAAGCUAGCCAGGGGAACAGCUGAACAAGGAUUACAAGACGGCACAACAACAAUACUCCUCCACCGGAAAUAGAAGCCAUAAUUAAUCAAUGAAAAGGAAGCAACUGUAGUAGUUUUAGAAUAGUGGAAACUCAACUCUGGCAAUUUAGGUGUGAAAGGUUUACUCUGAAUUUUGGUUCAUUAUAUAGAUAAGAGAUUCCAAAGGUGGCGGCAGCAAGGGAAUGUUUCGUUCUCUUGAAACCUACUUCGGACGUAUCUCGUUUCCUAUACAUUCUGUCUUUGUUAAGAGUCCGGGUAAGUAGCAAGGAGAUCGGUCUCCUUACGGGCAAUAAAGAGUAAUCCGAACUGUCCAUAUUGAAUGCCAGAUCUAGUAGACGAGAGGGCCAAUUUAAACCAGGGAUAAAUUUGUCUUUUCGUAAUUUUCGCACACAACUUAUACUCUUUGGUAAACGGACCACGGAUCGUCGUCAACAUGGUCGUACCCAUAGUAUCAGAGUCAACAUUCACUCCAUACCAUUAUCGAGAAAUGGCAGGAGAGCUAAGUGAUUGCAGAAGUAAGUACCAAGAUUUCAGAAUCAUCGACAUCUUCCGUAUGGAUGCUAACAUCGAGCCUCGAUUUUCCUUAAUCCUUAUACUUGAUCUUCGACGACGUCCGUCUCCUCAUUUUACAGUACACAAUCCCUCUCUGUUAAGCUUCACAAUCCUGGUUCGCUACACAUCCCUCUCUUCUUCUCCCAUCAUAUCAUCAAUAUUUACAAACACAUCAAUUAUAUUUUAAAAUUUUCAAUUCUUUUGGUGGACCAGAUUACCCCUCGUCGGUUAGAGGUACAUUGGAUUUUGAAUGUCUAAAUUAGACGGCUACGAUUUAUUUGCUGGAACUUUGCAGCCUAUUCGGGUUUCUUUUUUGUUAGUGAAGAACCGUAGUCUCAGUUGCUGAUAUUGAACCAGAACAAAUACAUAUAAAUUAGUGUUCUUUACGCAGUUAACUUUCGUUUUAAUUAACCAGUAAUGACAAGUUAAAAGUCUUAUUACUUUAUUAAACUAACUUUGAAUAUACAAGUAUGUCAAAGUUUUAGAUCAUGUGAAUACAAAUACGUCAAAGUUGUAGAUCAUGUAAAGAAUCGUUUCGUCACAAUAAUUCGAGUUGUUGGGAGAGGAUUUUGAUUGAUGUUUAUGUUAUUCGUUAACAAUCUCCAUCCCAUAAAUUGAUUAGCAAUUUUCAAUAAAGACUUUAUCACCAUAUCGACAACAUUAACAAUUAACUCAUUCAGCAAUUUCUUACCAUCUAAUUAAAAUGAACCAAUGAAAUAUCAUUAUCUAUUAUUUAUCUUCAAUUUAUUUUCAUUCAUAAAUACAUUUCUUAAAAAAUGAGUCAUCUUGUUUGUGUGGCAUUAGCAAUUGCUUAUUGGAUGCCAUUUAGAAUUAUGGUUAGCAUUGAGUUAAAAACUCUAUUUAUUAAUUAUUUUGCAGUUGGUAAUUAUUGAUCUAUAAUUAAUAGAGGGCAUGAUUAAUGAAAAAUAAUGAAAUAUUUUGCAGCAAUUAUAUAUGUUGCUGAAUUUUUAGUUAUAAUUAGACACGAGAUGUCGUUAAAUGUGUAUGAUGUUUGUUCUGGAAAAAAAAUAGUAACACAUUCGAAGACAGCAGUAACUAUGGUGAAAUAAUCUGACAACUUGGAUGCAUAGCUUUUGGACAUCAACAAAAUGAAACUACUGAUAGAGAUCAUAGUCCAACUCCGAAGUCAGAGAAGUCGAAAACUAUGGUGUAAAAUCAUACAAAUGUUAGCAAGUUCUUACACUUAUUGACUACUACAAAGGGAAACAAAAUGCAUAACUAACUUGAUGCAUUCUUAAAGUUAACAUACCACUCUGUUCCUGCGAUUUUCGUAAUCCGAACCCGGACUUUGAACUCGAGCAGAUCCGAAGUUUCCAAUCACUUUGGGACGACUGCAAUUGCACUGGUGACCGUAUACCGAGGAGCCGUCCAGAUCAAGUAUCCUUGAGAGUAAGGCUUUGCACCAUAUUUCCCAGCCUUUCUAGUGAACGUCACAGAAUAUGUUGCCUUCUGAUUCAGCCUGCUGAAAGCAAUCUUCUUGGGACUCACCUUAACAUCAACUCCUUCCGGCGCGAUCACCUUGGCAAUGUAGAUCGAGUUUGCCAGUCCGACAUUCGUCACGGUUCUCGAGUAAGUCAGAGGUGUGGAUCCCAGUUUGAUCGAGAAUGUAGGGUAGUUGAGCUGAGCUUCAGGAAUGCUCGAAUUCCCGCAACGCACUUUGCAGUUUACGAUCGUCGAAAUCUGGCUGUUCAAGUAAGCCAACCCACAUAGGUAAGGAAUGUAGUCAUUGGGGCUGAGGUCGUAAACCAGCCCCGGAUUAGCAGCUGCAUUCGGAUUGACAUGUCCUGCACCGACGGCGAACAAGUUCGCCUUUUUAAGCUGUUCGUCCAGUAUAGGCAAGUUGCCGAGAUUCGAGAGGUGGGCGGUGGUCAUCAUGGCUGAUUUGAUUGCGGCGGGGGACCAAUCAGGGUGAACACUCUUGAGCAGAGCAGCAAUGCCGCUCAAGUGAGGGCAAGACAUCGAAGUUCCAGAGAUCAUAUUGAACGGGAUGUUGUCGGUUAUAUUGUCCACCGAAACCGGCCAUGCAGCUAGGAUGUUGACUCCAGGACCAAUGAUGUCAGGUUUCAGGAUUCCUGGAGAUUCAAUGCUGGGGCCCCUGGAGGAGAAUGAAGCUACUUGCGGGGAAUUCGGGUUACCAAGUAUUGUCCCUUUGAAAAAGAUGGUAGCUUUCGGAUAUUUCGUCGAGUUAAUAUACGAUUUGAUUGCUUCACCGGCUAAAAAUCCGACGUGUGAUGCAGGGAGGACAUGGGGAUCUGCUAAUGUAUCAAACCCAUCAGCUUGAUCGUUCAUCAGAAUCAUUGCAACUCCACCUUUGUUUUUCACUUCCUGUCCCUUGGCAAUUCUGGCAAUAUUACCCCCUCUUUCACACAAGACGAUUUUGCCCCUGACGGAAUUGCUCAAUGUGUUGGGCCCACAGAAUUUUGCACCUCUUCUUUUCCUGUUUGUACCUGCAUACACAAAUUAUUAAUGAAUGAUAUAAAAUCGAGUUAUCACAUAAUAAUUUAAAUUAUUAAAAUAUAACGAUUUUCUAGUUUAAUUUAUACCUGCGUACAAAAGUGGCAGGAAUUGUUGGGAAUGAAAUUUCCUGUCCUGGAAUAGAGAUUGACCAUCAAAUCCUGCUUUGCUCCCAAGCAGAACUGUUGAUUUAAUCUUCCUAUCAAUCGUGCUGGCCCCGACGGUUAAAAUCCAUGGUGCCUCGUUGGACGCUGAUGAUUUUACCGGGCCAGCGUUUCCUGCCGAGCAGCUUACGAAAACACCCUUCUGUAUGGCUCCGAAUGCGCCAAGCGCAAUCGGAUCUUUGUAGAAGGGUUCUGUAUCACCCCCGAGCGAGAGAGAAAGCACAUCAACCCCGUCGGCUACCGCACUAUCCAUUGCUGCUAGUAUAGCAGCACCGGUACAACCGAGCUUCUCGUCGCAGACUCUGUACAUUGCAAUGUGGGCUAACGGUGCCAUCCCGACUGCUGUACCGUUCGCCUCACCGAAGGCGUUCGCCCACGGGAUCGCAUUUCCAGCUGCCGUGCUGGAAGUGUGCGUCCCGUGGCCAUCAUCAUCUGACGCAUCCGGAUUAUGCGAGACGAGAUUCCUAGCGCCGAUUAGCUUGUUGUUACAUUUGGCUCCUCGUGGUAGCUCACAUCUGCCUUUCCAUUUCGCAGGAGGAGGAGGCAUGUGGUCGUCUCUGAACGACGGGUGGUUGGGUGCUAUACCAGUGUCGAGAACUCCGAUAAUUACACCUUUACCCCCGCCGUUUUUCCAAGGGUUCCAUAACCCUUUGUUCUGUUGCAGCCCCAGGAACUCCGGAGUGCGAGUUGUGUGUAAAGAGUAAGUCUUGUCCAUGUGAACUGAGAGGAUCCCUUCCUUUUUUUCCAUUUCCUUCACUUCGUGUUCGGUCAGCCUGGCAGCAAAUCCUGUCGCGAUGUUGUGGUAGGAAUGGACCAUUAUGGUAGUGUCCUGAUCAUCAGUUAAGCUUGUUGUCAGAGUCUGAUGAUCUGGAAGGUAGGAAGUGUACCAUUUGUUCCAAGCUUCUUCAUCUUCUUGUUGAAAGGUGGAACUUUCUGGCUUCUCCAGGAACACAAUGUAAGUGUUCAACUGGCCGCGGUUGGAUAAUUCGGAGGAGAAGCAAGAUGGCAGUGAAGCAAGACUGAUCAGAAUUGCUAUAAUCAUCGUCACUGUCAUCUUGUUCUCCAUUUUCCUUUGGAUUGUGAUGUGCUGUUUGUUUGUGUGUUGCACUGGAUAUGAUGUUUGUAACGAACAUUAUAUAGUGGUGGAAGGUGUUUGUUAACUUCACUAAUCUGGAAAGUGGCCGGCAAUGCUGCGGUGCAUCCAAAGCUGAAGCCACCAGCCAAAAAUUUUGGACAUUUGUAAGGCGAUUGAACUUAAGUGUGAUGGGAAAACCAAGGGGCCGGGAGCGAGCAAGCAAGUUAGAUCAAUAUGAGCGAGUCCGAUUCUAGAGCGAACGACAUUGCUCCUUGGUGCCAAAAUUAAUAGUCAAAAUUAAUCAUGGGUAAUAUUGUUACGUUGUUUAUAAUAUUGUUAUGGUCCAACAAUAAUAUUAAAAAGUUUUCCGAUCAUUUUCCCAGCAAUUCCGACCUCUGUUGAUUAAUUUUGUUGCAGCCACAUGAUCAUCUUCGCUAGCUCUAGAUAUCUAGGGAAUAUUUUUUAUUUUUUAGAAUUUUUUCCUACGACCUGUCGUACAAUUUUAUACAGAGAGUUGUACGGAUCAUACAUUGUGUAUAAGUUUGUACAAAUCCAUACAGAAAUGUAUACACAUUUAUAUGGAUUUUGUACAAAGUAUUAUACUAAGUAUCGUACUAAGUAUCAUACUAAGUACUAUACUUAGUACAAGACUUUAUAUACACAUUUGAUUUGUAUGACCGUGUGAUGUGCUGUAUUUUUUACACACUUGUUCACAUUAUAAAAUAUAUUUUUGUGUGUCGAAAUGUAUUCAAACUUAGGAUUUUGAGUAUAUGUUUGGUUUUCUUACUCCUCGAGGCCGUAUUACAUUGUUUGGGAUGUUUUGAUGCAUUUCAGGCGAAUUACAGCGUAUAGGGACAAGUGGGAACUAAUAUGGACAAUUGAAGUUGCUUGGAGCGAAGAUUGGUUGGAAUUUAAGAGGAACACACCGUGUCCCAUAAGAACACACCGUAUCCUUUGGAACACGACCGUGUCUUUUGAUUUGCAUUCUUAGUUAAUAAUUAGUUAGGAAAACAUUCAUAUAGAUGAUCAUUCACUGUUACUUGGUCUAGUUAGUGUAAUCAAGUUGAGUAAUAGCAUUAGAAGACCCUAGGGAAAUACGAUUCCAUUAGUUCAUUCUAGUGGGUAUUUGAUUAGCGGUGUAAAAUCCGUUCUUCACUAUAAAAUGUCAAUUUUACCCCAUAUUUUCAGUCGUUAUAUUUAAGAUAUAAUAUUUGAACGAUUGAGAUUGUGCAAGCUUUCUAGAUUAGAUCCAGUUUCCAUUUCCCUAACUCCAAAUUCGGACUCGUCUACAGGUUAACAUUUUAUGGGUUGGAGUUUAGUUAAGCAUCAGCUAUAUGUUGUGUUUUUCGUAUUUUCUGAGUAGUAUCAGCCAAAUAUUUUCCAGAAAUAACAAGGGAGGUGUCCAGAAGUAAGCUCCACCAUUAUCAUAAUUAGAAUUAUUAACUAGACUUUCACUUAUAUGUUGUAGUAAAUAUCAACCACUCACAAGUUAGCUAGUAAUAAAAACAAAAUCAGUCUUGAUCAAAACUUAUUAUAUUGUUUACCUAAAGUCAUAUCUAAUUAUUCUAUUCAUUUUUUCUUUUUAAAAGUUUAAAAUUAAAGAAUUAUUGAUUCCUUGGUUGUGGAAGGAGUAUUUGUUGUUGGCAUCCAAAAAUCAAGCAAGGCAGGAAAAAUAUUGAAUUGGUGUGGAAUGAAGGAGGAAGGGAGGAGGUAUUUAUAGAUUCGUUGGAGUUAGCGGCGCACCCUCGGAUGUGUGGCGCGUUCUAGGGGCUCCAAUGGCUAUAUUGUAACGGUCAGGAAACGACCGUUACAAUAUAAAUGUUGGAGUAUCUCUAGAACGUGCCGCACGUCCUAGAGUGCGCCCAGUGUUUUAGGGGCUCAUAUUGAACAUUUUGUAUAAUUUAUGUUUCAUUUUAACCGUUUAUGUAAUUUUUUAUUUAAUCGUGCGUAAUUUUUUUACUUUAUUUAAUACUAAUUGUAACUGAAGUCAUAUCUAAUUAUUCUAUAUCAAGUAAUAUUCAGAUGGGGAAGAAACGUGCAUACACCUCCUAAUUCCUAUUUGUAUUUUUACUUAAGAUUUAAAUGAUUUAACAUUGUAUGCAUAAAUCUGUCAGAUGUAGAGUUUGCAUGGUUUCUUCAUCUUCUAUCAACUUGCUGGAUUUAUGAUAUAUUAAAAGAAAGAAAUAAAAAUUGCAUAUGAAAUAUUUGAAAUAAAAACUUAUAAGAAUAUCCCUAAUUUAUUUUCUUAUUAAUUGAUAUUCUCAUCUCAGCAAAAAUGAGCACAGAACUGAAUCUCGAUAGGAUAUGGAUUUAAUGAUUGAAAUUACCAGUUCUUCAUGUGAAAAGUAACACCUUGGUUAUACCUACUAUCUCUCUCUCUCUUUGCGACCCAUCCACCAUGGCAGCAUGGCCUACAUCACCGAUACCACCGCCAACUCAUUCUCCUCGGCUGCACUUGACGCCGCCGCCAACUCACCAUCCUCGCCUGUGCUCGUUGAUCGCUGUGUUCAAAAUCUCUCUGUAACGACAGCGAUGACGAGGAACUUUCGCUGAAGGAAGCACAGCCAAUCCUCCUUCGGAGGUUGUGAAGACUGGAUCAUCUCUGACAAUGUGCUCUCUUUUGAAGCCAGAUGGGCUAUCUCUUUGUUAGUUUUUGUGUCAAACUAUGUUUUCUGAAUUUCCUUUGGAUAUUCUUUUAUAUGCUAGUUUUUCUUGUCUUGAGCUGAUUUUUAUUUGGUUCUUUGAGUUUUACUGAAUGAGUUACGAUAUUGAAAAGAGGUACGUGCGAAAUCAAUUAAUUAAAAGGAUAAUUAUUUUUCUCGUUAUAAUUUAUUUGUAGGUUACACUUUUGAAGUUAUUAACCAUGCAGUGUUUUUUAUGAGAUAUAUAAAUAUAUGUUUAUAUGGCUACGGGAAAAGCAAUCAAAGGUUUAGCCUUUUGCAAAGUAAUCCCAAACUUAUCAUCCAUGUCCAAGCUCAAUGGGUCAACUCCAUCUUCGAGCUUCCAGUCAAAUCGAUGAACUAAUGAACCCACCAUCAUAUGCAACAUCCUCAUUGCCAGUGGCAAUCCAGGACAGAUCCUUCUUCCACCUCCGAAUGGUAUGAAUUCGAAGCUGUCCCCUCCGGCAUUAAUCUCCGAUCCCAUAAAUCUCUCCGGCAUAAAUGAGUCUGGGUUGUCCCAUAUGGCUGGAUCUCUGCCGAUAGCCCACGCAUUAACUAUAAUUUGUGCUCCUUUUGGCACAUUAAAUCCAGAAAUGACCACAUCCGAUCCUGCCUUUCUAGGAAACAGCAGAGGACCUGCUGGAUGCAACCUCAAAGUCUCUUUGAUUAUUGCUUGUAGAAAAGGUAACCUGGCAAUGUUGGAUUCAUGAAGAUGAUUGUCUUUUCCAAUGAUCUGGUCUAGUUCUGUCCUUGUUUUAGCAAAUGUGUUGGGAUUGCGAAGCAGUUCAACCAUUGACCAUUCUACUGUGGUUGCAAUGGUAUCAGUCCCAGCAACAAACAAAUCCUGAACAAUCAUAAACAGAAAUAAAUAAAAGUAUUACUCUCGAUUCGACGAUCAAACAUGCAAUGGACUCCAUUGUGAAGAAAGGUAUAUUACUCUUGAUCUGACAAUCAAAUAUGAAAGUUUUUCUUUUUUUGUCUACUUUCGCGUUUUGCCGCGGGAAACAAUAUAGUUCUAGUACGAAAAAUAUAAAAACAAAUUCAACCAAAUAAUAAAGAAAUGCAUAUACAAAAUCUAAAAAUAUAUAUGAGCAUUAAAAUUGAAUAUGGACAUGAUUGACUUGCUACUACAGUUCAUUAGUAAAUAUAAUUGUGAAAUGAGUGGUAUGACAUACUAUAAUUUGAAUUCAAUAAGUAAUAUUUUAAGAAAGUUGAAAUGUAACGAUUAACAAAAAUUUGGAAGUAUAAAUACUUGAUUUCUAAUGCAUAUUAUAUUUUUAUUAGAAACUAAUGUAUAUUUUAAAUUGGAGAGAAAAUGAAUUUAUAAAAUCUUUAUUUUAUAUUGAAGAGAAAAUAAAUGUUUAAAAUCACAGAAAAGUUAAAUUUAUAGAGUAAAUAUAAGUCUUACAUUUUUUGUUACACAUAAGUUUUACAUAGGAUUUGUUGGAGGGGAUCUUAUUUUAUUGUGCAAUAGUAACUCUCAUCCUACUAUUGCAUAAGAAAGUAGGAUUCCCUCCAAUAUUCCGUUAGUUUUUUUUAUUUAAAUAAAAUUUGGAUGGAAAAUUAACAAAAUAUUAUGUUUGUUAAAACCGUCAAAAUUUAAGAGGUUUGAUCAUUAAAAUUUAGUAAAGAAAUGGCAUGAUAAAUUAUAUAUAGAACAAAGGGUGUAAUUCUACAAUGAAGAUUUAGCGUACAUAUCACAUCAAUUGUGUUUAGCUUGAUUUGAACGUGAUUGUUAUGGUUAGCGUUAAAUAGCACAGUAUGAAACUGCAAGAAGCCAUGGAAAUAUAUGGACUCAAAGUAAGGGAGUGAAGAGUUCAAAUGAAAGCUCACCAACAAUAAGUGAUUGAUGAGAUCUAGAUCCAUUGAAGCUUCCCGACUCUCUUGAUCAACAAUGUCCAGCAGCGUAUCCAGCAUGUCAUUACUCGAUACAUACUCCUCCGACUUUCGCUUCUUCAAUCGCUCCUCGAUUAUUCUUCCGAACAGAUUCAUCACCUUCUCGGAAUGACUUCUCAUCCUCCUUUGUAUCCCCUGCAAAUCCAUUGCGCUGAGAAGAGGGAAAAAGUCUCCCAAAUUGGGCUUACCGGAUUCAGUCAUUAUACCCCUCGUGGCCUCUUCGAACUCCGCAGCAUCAAAACCACACCAUGAAGUAGUAGUACGGACCUCCUCCAUCAAAUCCAACGAAAGAACCGUCGUCGAAAUAGAGCCGAAAACUGCCCUGAAUGCCGCCCUUCCAAUAUCCACCGCCUUUCCCUCGUUGGCAUUUUGUCGAACAACUUUGAGAAACUCCAGAACCUUUUCCCACCGAAGGCCUUGGUUGGAAUCCAGCCUCUGGGAGGCGAAGAGAUGAGUGUUGCAGAUUUUCCUGAGGUUCCUCCACUUGGAUGACUCGAAAGGGAGCAACGGCAUGCCGAAUUCGUGGUGAUCGCUGGCGCAUAGUGCCUGUGUAAGCUGGCGGUUGCAGAGGAUAUGGUCGUGUUUUUGGAGAAUUUGUUUGGCUACAGCCCGAGAGGAAGCGACGAUUGUGGUUACUUGGCCAAGCUUGAGGCUCAUUAUGGGACCGUGAAUUUUGGCAAGUUGGGCUAGGGAUUUGUGUGGUUUGUCGUCCAGGUUGUGGAGGUUUCCUAUGAUCGGAAGGCGGGUAGGACCGGGCGGGAGAUUGGCCGUAGUUUGGUCGGAGAAGAAGCGGCGGAGGAUGGCCAAGGUUGUUAGGAGGCAGAACAAGCAGGUAAUGAUCUGUAACAAGUCCAUUUUAAUGUGUUCUAUUGGUUACAAUUUCAAUUUCUCAGCUUACACAGCUUUGAUAUAAAUACACAAGAAGAAUGAAAAUGAGCUUUUCUAUAUUUCCAGUUGCUAUAUUGCGGCUUGUUUGUUUGCGGCCGAUUGAAACAGAAUAUUUAUCGCUUCGAACUUUAGAGGGCAAAAAGCAUAUUGUGGGCUACUUAUAAUUUGAAAUACAUAUUUUUUUCAAUUUUUUUUAAAUAGUUAUAAUUUGAAAAAUAUAACUGGUUAUAAUUAUCACUAAUUAUUAACAAAUAACUAAUUAUAUUUAAUAAUCCUAACAAAUAACUAAUUAUAUUUAAUAAUCCUAAUUGAUUAUAGUUAUGACUAUUUAUUAACAUAUAACUAGUUAUAUUAUUAGUAAUCAUAACUAGUUAUAAUUUUUCACCGGAAUAGUAGAUGGUGACUUGCUGGAAAAGGCACCGUCGGCAACAGAAGGAUGUCGACUGAUGACCAGAGUCUCGCCGGAAAAUGGCUGGCUGGUGACCGAGGCCGGGUGACAAAGAACGAUGCUGAUGUGGCAGUGGUGUUUUUAUAANNNNNNNNNNNNNNNNNNNNNNNACAAAAACAAAAUUGUGACAAAACUUUACUAACUUCUUAUACAAAUCACUAAAUUAAUGAAAUUCGGAAAUUUAACGGUCCACGAUCCUUCUAAACAUCCUGAAACUACUAAAAUCUUGAAAGUUGAACAACUCCCACCUAUUACCAUUUCUUGCAUUGGCUUGUUUAAAUGACAGAGGUUGACAUACACACAAAGAAAGACAAUAUGCGAAGGAAAACAAACAAACAGGCUACUAACCAACGGAUAAGCUAAGAUUUAAGGAUCUAUUUGUUUGUUUGUGGUCGUUUGAAAGAGAAUAUUGCGGCUUCGGAUCAAAUUAAAUUAGGCCAAGUUCCGGCACAUUUUAAAAUCAGAAAUCAUCUCUAAUUUCAAUGAUUAAUUUUAAUCAUUAAUUUUUUAUUUAAAUAUGUUUAAGUGUGUACAUAAUUAAUUAAUAAUUAAUAUUCUCUUACUUUUUUCUAUCAAAAUGUGCCAUUAUUCAUGAAUCUCAUUAAUAAAGUUGACUUAGAUUUCUAUAGUUAAGUAUAUUUGUCACGUAUCGAAAGACAAUCCACCAUAGGUAAAGUUGUAUAGAGACAAUCGUUUUAUAGAGAAAUAGACCAAGUUUGGUGUUGUUAUCAGUAGUUUAGGUGUUGAUGGACCAAGUUAAUACUAAUUCCAAUUAUUUAUGCACUAUUUCCAAUUACUUGUGAUUUCCUUUAAUUCUUAAAGAGCACCUUAUCAUUUUGUAGAAUUUCUCGGUGUUCAUUACUGGUUAGCCUAGUUGAAGUGAUUUCAACCUUGAUUGGGAAAUUGAUAGUGAUAAUCCGUGCACAUGAUCGUGCUACAGAUUCAUACGAGUAAUAAGAGGAGUUUUAAUAUUCAAUUCAAGUCCAACAUUUUUUCAAUUCGAUUACUAUUAGGAAGUUCAGCUUGAUGAAUCAUCCCUUCCAAGAACUUGUUUUUUUCCUUCUGUUCAAACCUCAAUUGUUAGUUUUAAUUGAAUUAAUAGAAUCAUUAGAAACCCUGUCCAAAUUGUUAAGUCUAGACCAUGUUGAUAAGUUUGAGUAAAAGUAUAACGAGAGAAAUCUUUGGACACAUACGACACUUGUGUUGUCGAGAUAAUUGUCAAGUUAUUUUGGCGACCAAGAUGCCUCCGUGGCACUCUUUCGACCCGCGGACAACUUCAACGCAAAGGAAUGGAGGUUAGCGACACCUGCAGUCAGCUACCCUCGGAACCACCUUUGAACAACCUCAAAGUAACAAACCAUCGAUUAUCCGUAACCCCAAAGUGUUCAAUUAGACUACCCAACACUACAACAAAAUUUAACAUAUAUCGCAGGCGGCUGAUCGUAGAUACGUGCUCCCGCAACCACCAUCAAACUCUAACUCUCCAUCAGACUUCAUACUCCAUUACUACAAGUUAUCUAGGCGUGGGAAUAGCCAGCAAUGGUUUUGCUUUCUGCAAACUGAUCCCAAACUUCUCUUCCAUAUCCAAACUCUCCGGCUCGACUCCAUCCUCCAACUUCCAAUUAAACCAAUGAACUAAGGAACCUAACAUCAUAUGCAACAUCCUCAUUGCCAGUGGCAAUCCAGGACAGAUCCUUCUUCCACCGCCGAAUGGUAUCAACUCAAAACUAUUCCCUCUAACAUCAACCUCUGAUUCCAUGAACCUCUCGGGCAUGAACGACUUCGAAUCGCUCCAUAUGGUCGAAUCUCUACCAAUAGCCCAUGCAUUCACCAUAAUUUGUGCUCCCUUUGGCACGGUGAACCCGGACACUUCCACGUCGGCUCUUGCCUUGCGAGGAAGAAGGAGGGGAACCGAUGGGUGUAGCCUAAAUGUCUCCUUAAUUAUUGCUUGUAGAUAAGGUAACCGAAGGAUGUCAGAUUCUUGAAGAUGUUUGUCUUUUCCAAUAACUCGAUCGAGUUCUUCCCUUGCUUUAGCAAAUGUGUUUGGAUUGCGGAGCAACUCUGCCAUUGCCCAUUCCAACGUGCUUGAACUUGUAUCGGUACCGGCUACAAAUAGAACCUAUUAAUUUUAAAAAAGCUUAUUAAAUAAUUAAAAUGGUUAAGUGGAUAAUUGAUCCGUAAUGAUUACAUCACUAUUGACAACAACAAUAAAAAACAUUUAAAAAAUAUCUUUUUAUUUUCAUUUGACUAUUAUUCGAAGAGGUUAACAUAAUGAAAUCUCAAGUUUUAGUCAUUCUCAACAUGCAUAUUAAAUAUUAGCUAAUUUGAAAAAAUUUAGUUUUCAUGUCAAAAUUGGUCAAUUUACGUGUGUUAUACUAUGAAAAUUUGACCGUUUUCACAAGAAAAUUUCAAAAAUUUUAAAUUGGCUAAUAUUUGACAUGCAUGUUGAAAAUGAUUAAAAAUCAAGUUUCAUUAUGAACACCAAUAACCAAACCAUAAAAUCUAUUAACUUAAUAAUCGAUCUGUAAUGACAACCCUACAAAUCAUAUUUGCGAUGUUGUCGUCUAAAAUAGGGAUAAUACACAAAUAAGCCCUUUUACUAUUACAAAUUAACAUCUAAUUAAGCCCCCUUACUAUAUUUUGUUCAAACCAAAACCCUAUACUUUGCUCCGGUUAAUUUCAUGUCAUUGGAGUUCGGUUUUUAUGCAUAAAAAAUGGACUCCAAUGACGGGAAAUUAACUGGGGACUUUGUUGUUAGUCGGGGCAAAGAGUAGGGGCUUGAUUCGAAUGAAAUAUUUUAAGCGGGAUUAGAUGUUAACUUCUAAUAGUAGUGGCGAUUAUUUAGAUAUAAUCCCUAAAAAAAUACAAGGAUAGACGACAAAUAACAAUUAUUAAAAUAGAUAUGAAGAGAUCAGGUCAAAUAAAGAGAGCUCACCAAGAACAAGUGCUUGAUGAGAUCUAGAUCCAUGGAAGCCUCUGCAUUCUCUUGAUCAACAAUAUCCAGCAACGUAUCCAUCAUGUCAUUGCACGUUACAUACGCCUCGGACUUUCGAUUCUUCAACCGUUCGUCGAUUACCCUUCCGAACAAAUUCAACACCUUACCGAAAUGAGUCCUCAUUCGCCGAUGUAUCCCCUGCAAAUCCAACUUACCCAAUACAGGAAAAUAGUCUCCCAAGUUCGGCUUCCCAGCUUCAUCCAUUAUACUCCUCGCGACCUCCUUAAACUCCGUUGCAUCCUUCGACCUUUCGUCCGUUAGAUCCAAUGAAAGCACAGUCAUCGACAGAGAGCUAAAAGUCGUCCUGAACGCCACCUCCCCAAUAUCAACCGCUUUCCCCUUACAGGCAUUUUGUCGAACACCUUCCAAGAGCUCAUGAAUCCUCUUCUCCCUGGACUCCUGGUUCAAAUCCAACUUCUGGGUGGUGAAUAGGUACGUGUUGCAUACUUUCCGGAGGUUCCUCCACUUGGGUCCCACGGGGAGCCAAGGCAGGCCGUAUUCGUGGUGGGUGUGGGGGCGGGUGGCGUGGUUGGGGGCGCGGAUGGCCAAGAUGAGAUGGCGGUCGGAGAGGAUCUGGUCAUGCUUUUGGAGGAUUUGUUUGGCCAUCGGUGGAGAAGAAGCAACAAUUGUUGUGACUUGGCCGAGUUUCAGGCUCAUUAAGGGACCGUGAAUAGAGGCAAGAUGGGCUAAGGAUCGGUGAGGUUUGUCGCCUAGAUUGUGAAGGUUACCUAUGAUCGGAAGGCAGGGAGGGCCCGGCGGGAGAGUGACCGGAGUUUGGUUUGACUGGAACCGGAGAAGGAUUGCCAAGGUUGUGAGGAGGCAGAGUAAGCAGGUGAUCAUCAGUAGUAGCUCCAUUUUCUGAGGAUGGUUUUGAAUUGAUCGCCGAACAAACUUUGUUUAUAUAUUAAACACAAAAUUAUUAUAUUAAUACGUUACUGCCAUUUUCCGUGUUGACUAUAUUCACGUGGAUUUGAUGGAUUCUGCUGCUCAUGCAAGAUGAGUCUGCUGAUUAUUAUUUGGUUUUUUUUAUCAACGAAUCGAUUUUAUUAGAAAAAGGAGGAAGUAUAAGAAAGUAAAUCUCAAAUUUUGAAAUGAUUAUCUAUACAUGUUCCGAUCCAAAAAGAAUUAGUAAAUGCAGCUGAAAUCAAAGUUAAAAAAAGCCUAAAUAUCAAACUCACAUGUCAAUAGCGAGAAAUUUGUUGUUUUACUAUACAAUUUUAGCACAAAUAUCACAUUUUAUUUUUAUGUUGAUUAUUAAUUAUUCACGCGCAUAAUUUUAUAUUGUCUUUCUCGCUCUUAUUAGCCUAACAAAAUUAUCACGCAUUUUUAUGAGGUAACAUUGAUGAAACAAAAUACUUCUUCCUUCUCAAUAUCUUCGGCCAAGUGUCGCAACUCACUGUCGAGAAGCCGUAGCAAGUAUAUGAUGAGUAGUAACUGGUCCAGGUUUUUCAAACGUCUUUAUGUCUACGACAUAAUCUUUAAGCACAACUUAUUUUAUUUAACUAAUAACAACACAACGAAAAUGUAUUUUUCUGUACGUCAACUAAAUAUUACGCUUAAAAAAAUGUAUUCGUAAAUUAAUUAUUCAAUUUAUAAAUUUUAAUUCAAAUCCGGUUCAAUGUACAUUUCGAUUAUAAAUCCGUCAUGAUAUAGACUGAUACGAUGGGUAAAGUCGUCAUGUAGUGUUCUGCGUGCAUAACGGCCAAUAUAUCUUGUAAACAACGUAACAAAAAUUUCACCGUAACCAGAAGAAAUACCGACACACUUAAACAGGGGCGGAGCUAGUGCGUGGCACCCCUCCGGCCGCCGGGUGAAAUAUAAAUUUAUAACUACAUUUUACAAUCUUUAAUCCGUAAAAGUUAAACAACACGCAACUAGAGAAGUUGUAUGUUGCUUACCGGGUCAUUACCGGGUCAUUACAAGAUAGAAAGUAAUACAUAUUCGAAAAGUAGUAGAUAUAUAGCGAAAUUCAUACCCUUAUUUCCAUUUUCCAUAUAUAUAUGUGUAUUAUAUGAGUGCGGGGACAACAAGUAAAGGUUUAGCUUUCUUCAAAGUGACUCCAAACUCCUCUUCCAUAUCCAAACUCAUCGGAUCGACUCCAUUUUCGAGCUUCCAAUCAAACCAAUGAACUAAUGAACCCAGCAUCAGAUGCAACAUUCUCGUUGCCAAUGGCAAUCCAGGACAAAUCCUUCUUCCGCCUCCGAAUGGUAUCAGUUCGAAACCAUUCCCUCUAACAUCAAUCACCGAUUCCAUGAAUCUCUCUGGCACGAAUGAAUCCGGAUUUUCCCAUAUGGUUGGAUCUCUACCAAUAGCCCAUGCAUUCACUAGGAUUUGUGCUCCUUUAGGCACGGUGAAUCCGCAAAUUUCCACGUCAGUUCCUGCCUUUCUAGGAACUAGAAAGGGAACAGCCGGGUGCAACCUAAAUGUCUCUUUGAUUACUGCUUGUAAGAAAGGUAACCGUGCGAUAUCAGAUUCUUGAAGAUGAUUGCCUUUUCCAAUGACUUCGUUCAGUUCCUUCCUUACUUUAGCAAAUGCGUUGGGAUUGCGGAGCAGUUCAACCAUGGCCCAUUCUAACGUGCUUGAUGUUGUAUCAGUUCCAGCAACAAAUAAAUCCUGAUAAACGAGUACAAAACAGGUGAUGAAAGAAAACAUAUUACUAUUGGUUCGACAAUAAACAUGUCGAUCAUGUUUGGUUUUUGGUGUUUUUAGUUUGUUUAAAUGCAGGAAGCUAUGGAAUUGAUAUCAAGGUAGUAUGGAAGAGAUAAAAAGGCUCACCAAGAACAAGUGUUUGAUGACAUUUAUAUCCAUGGAAGCCUCAAGAUUUCCUUCAGCGAUGUCGAGGAGCGUAUCCAACAUGUCAUUAUCCGUUACAUACGCCUCUGAUUUUCGCUUCUUCAAUCUUUUCUCGAUUAACCUUUCGAAUAAAUUCAUUAUCUUCGUCGAAUGACUUUUCAUCCUCCUCUCUAUCCCCUGCAAAUCCAGAAACCCAAGAAUUGGGAAAAAAUCUCCCAAAUUGGGCUUACCGGCUUCAUCGAUUGAACCCCUCGUAGCUUCCUUGAAUUCCACAACGUCCCUCGAUCCCUCAUCUGCCGUCAAAUCCAACGACAUAACCAUCAUCGACAUAGCACUGAGACUCGCCCUGAACGCUGCUCCUCCAAUAUCCACCGCCUUUCUCUCUGAGGCAUUUUUUCGAACACCUUUGAGGAACUCCUGAAUUUUUUCUCUCCGGAGGUCCUGGUUGGAAUCCAACUUCUGGGCAGUGAAGAGAUAAGUGUUGCAUACUUUUCUGAGGUUCCUCCACUUAGGUCCCACAGGGAGCAACGACAUACCACACUCAUGGUGACCGUUGUUACAGAAGGCGCGGCUGAGCUGCCGGUAGGAUAGGACUUGAUCGUGCUUUUGGAGGAUUUCUUUGGCUACAGCAGGAGAGGAAGCGACGAUUGUAGUAAUUUGGCCGAGCUUGAGGCUCAUUAAGGGACCAUGAAUCUUGGCGAGAUGGGCUAGAGAUUGGUGGGGUUUUUCGCCCAGGUUGUGGAGGUUACCUAUGAUUGGAAGGCGGGAAGGGCCCGGUGGGAGAUUGGACGGAGUUUUGUCGGAGAGGAAGCGGAGGAGGAGGAUUGUUAAGGUGGAGAGGAGGCAGAGCAAGCAGGUGAUGAUGAAUAACAAAUCCAUUUUUGCUACUGGUACAAGUUUCAACUGUCAACCCUGCAACGUACACAAUCAGACAACUACUUUGUUAUAUAGAGAAGGGUGAAAAUGCUAUUGAUAUGAGAACUCUUUUUUUUAUCAAUCCAAUAAUCAAUUUAAUGAUUUAAAAUUAUUUUUGUUAAAUUUAAUCUGAUAAUUAAAAUUUUAUUAGGUAUAUUAUGAAAAUUUUAAACAAUUUUUUUUCUUUUCAACUUUUCUUUCUCUCUUCUUUUUCUCCUCCUCUCACAUAAACUAAAUAUAAUAAUGACAUAACAAUAACGUAACGUAGAUAUAACAAUUAACAUAUAAAGUCGAUAUAAUGAGCCUACUAAAAUGACAUAAUUAAAACGCAUAACAGACUAGUAAAAUGUAUAUAUCACCGACAUAAAAGAGUGGUAAAUUGGACAUAACGAUGAUGAAUUCAACUACUCCUAAGAUGGACGUAACAACGACAUAAUGUGCCUGUAAAAUGGCGACAUAACAAGCUCGUACAACGACCACACUCAUGUGACUUUCUAAUUUUUUUGUGUCGGCACUACCCUCAUUCAAGUCAAUUUAUUUGACUCGUUUUCAAUCGUUGGAUGAAAAUUGACCUAUAAAUUAUCUAAUUCAAUGACCUACGAUCUGUUGAAAUGAUCCAACAAAAAGGUUCCUGAAUCAAUAGCCGUCGAGAGAAAUUAACGAUAUUCAACAACGGAAAACGGAGAAAAGUAAAAGAAGAGGAAAACAUGGAGGGAAGAAAAGUAAAAGAAGAGGAAAACAUGGAGGGAAGAAAAGUAAAAGAUAAGGAAAAAAAGAUGAGGAAAAAUAGGAGAUUGGAGAAUAAACAUUUCGUUUGAUAGUGCCUAGCUUAUUCGCCUUAGCUUAAUUGGUAUCUUUGCAAGUUCAAAGUUAGAAGUAGAAGGGAAAUUUCGGUAUUAUGCAAAAUUUACAUCGACGGUUCUUUACUAAUUUUGUAAAUAAUUAUGUUAUGUAGACGGAUAAGUUUAUGUAGCGUGCAGAAUUAGUAUAUUAAACAUAAUUUGAUAGAAAAUUAAUAGAAGGAUUUGUUUGUUAAAAAAAUUUAGAGAGUUUAGUCGAUUAAAAUUUAACAGAUAGGUGUCGAUAUAAAUUUUCGGGCUUAAGACUUAAGCCAACUAUUUGCGCCCAGUUUCAAUCGGCAGCCCACCAUUUAAAAACAAGGAGAGCCCAACAGUAAUAACAAGCCUAUACUGAGAUGAGAAGAUGAUGACCGACCGCGAUCUUCCCUCCAACGGCACACCUGCAAAUUAAACAGAUAACUAGUAAAACAGAAAUGCUGAUUUGCAGCUGCAUCCUGUGGGAAUAUGAUCAUGAUUAUAUACUCAUGGUUGAACUGUUAGAGCUGAGCUAUAUAUGUAUUUGAUGGGAACCAAGAACUUAUACGUAAAGAUUUUGAUAAGUUCUAUGUACACAGCAAAAUACUUUUGUGCUAACCUUAUUUGGACUGCAACGAAGAAGCUCCUGUGGAUCACCUAAUUAAUGGUGGUUUUGACAAACACGAAAAUUAGUUGGUGCAGUCUCAUAAAUGCAGCCUUGAAUACGUUUCGAAGCUGGGGAAGCUGCUGGUUUUCGCACUAUAAUAACAAGUGAGGACAAACAGUUAUUACUAGUCUAUCUAUCUCUUCAUGCAGCUCAUCCGUUACUUCACUUUGAUUUUGCCUUCCUUCAUUCUUUUUGUUACCUCUCUCUGUUGGCCCCCCUCUGUUUUCUCUGUACAACAAUGGAGAACAAUCAUAGCAGUUAUCAAUCAGAGUCGUCGUCGCUGUCUCAAAGAAUCCCAACUUUCAAUAUUCCUCGUCUCUCCUCCGACUCCCCAACCAGUACUUAAAUUCUCUGUGUUUUCUUUUCCCUCUUCAUUUCUGGUUUUUGUUUUUCGUUCUGACUUGUGGCAGUUACUUAACCAGUUGGACUGGGACUAGGACUCAUGACUGGCAGUGGCAGCAAAGAUGAAGAUGAUCAUGAUCAUGAUAUUACGAAUCUGCAGUUGGGGAACUCGAGAUUGGGGGUAGUGUUCACAGUGUCGCAGAUUCAAGAGCUGCAGUUGCAGUGGAUGAUCUACAAGUAUAUAGAGGCAGGAUUAAGAGUUCCACAGAGUCUCCUUGUCCCUAUCUGGAAUAGCUUACAUUCAGCUGUACCUUUGAUCAACACCCCAACCUUGUCCCUAUCUUGUAAGCAAAACUAGCCAUUUCCAGCCCCACCCGAAUAACCGACUCAAUUCUGACCAGAUUUUUAUGAUGAUUUAUUAGUAGGGACGCAGUGGAGGGAGAUGAGCAGGUACAAAAAAGGGGUGGAAUUGGAUGACGAACCAGGAAGGUGCAGAAGAACUGAUGGCAAGAAAUGGAGGUGCAGCAAGGAAUCCCUCCCUGAUCAUAAGUACUGCCAGAAGCACAUGCACCGCGGCCGUCUCAACCGCAACCGUUCAAGAAAGCCUGUGGAAUAAUUCCAAUAAAAUCGGUGUCUUUUAUCUGUUGAUUCUAUACAAUUUGAACAACUUCAAUCCUGACUCAAAAGUCCAGCAGACUUUGAAUUUGACAACUUUUUCAAGGUUUGGCCCUUUUUUCUUACAUAUCAAAACAUAUACAAAGAGAUAAAAAAAUUAUAAGAGAACUGAGAUUGAAACAAGCGAUUCUGGCUGUGUACUAUAAGUUAGAUGCCUGUCCUGUACCCACACUCUGCCUGCUGUGUAUGGAUGGAGUUUGUAUUCAUCAACAACUUGCAACUUCAUCCUGAUAUGGAAUUCUGCCUCCCGUGCCUUCACCCUGCUGUGUAUGGAUGGAGUUUUUUCUUCCCGUUUUUGCCAGACUGCACAAGAAUCGUAAGCCUACGAUAACAGAGGUUCCUCUGGCAGUGUUUUGAGCCGUCUCUUAGCGUAGAGAGUGAAAAACACUGCGGUAGUUGCUGUGCAACAGAAACCAAUGACAUUGAAGGCGAUCUGUGGGGCUGAGAGAUUGUGAUGUUCUUUUGAAGCAUCUGCCAGGGUCAAUAUGAUGAUCCCACUGCAUCAGACAGAUUGGAUUAAUACAGAUCAUAUUAUGAAAUUAUUCCAUCAAUUGAAAGCAUCGCAAAUCUUUCUCAGGGCCAAAUAUUCAGGCCAGUAAUGACAGGUUGAUUUAUAUAUCUUAAGUUUAGGGUGGUUAGCUAGCCAACUAAUAAGAUCCCCAUAAAAUUAAUAUUCCCAUCCCAACCUAGCUACUCUUACCAAAGCUUUGGCCAACCGUCCUAGACAGAUAUUUCACCUGAAUGUGACAUUUCAUACAGCCUAGAAUUGAUACUAUACCGCCAAUAAAUCCACGAUAAACUUAGGAAAGGUAAACCAUCUAAUGAAUACUUGAUGUGCACAUGGACAUUGGGAUGAACACUCAGCUGUAACUUCCUCCUAGAUCCCAAUAUAUCUAGGUUAUCAAGGUGAACAUUGACAACAAAACAAAUACUGUGAUGGCUAAAUAUUUUCGAUGCAUCUACCCGAUCAGUCUGCUCAGUACUAGAAAUGGCUAUGGCAAAGAUUCAGGCAUAUAAACAAAGAAGGAAAGCCAGGGUCUUUCUGCAGAAAGAAAAUCAAUUAAUCAGAUAGAGAGUUCUUACGUAUAGAGUGUCAAAAAAGUGUCUGGCGCCGUACCCACCAACGACCCUAGCAGAUAAGGGCCAUACUUGACAUGAGUUGCAACGGCACAGUAAUUAUACAGGACGUAAGGAAAUGGCGAAAUUCUUAUAAGCGCCACUGCACGAAACUGAUGGAACCAAUUUCCUUCACCUGCUGCUCUCAGUAUGGCAGCCUGCUUUGGAUACUUCUCUAACUGCACCUGCAUCGGCAUUGAGGGUACCAAAUAACAUGUUUAAGACGAAAAAUGCACUGAUGAAUGGAAACCAAUUCGAUAUUAGAGCAAGUUUGGUACCCGAAUUUUAUGCAGGAACAGAUUUCCAAUACAAAAUGGAAGUGAGAUUCCAACUGCCAAGGCGACGGUGAUCAAUAAGAAUCCGUAUCCAUAGCCAAAAGUCAUCCCAGCUAUCCACAUUGAAGGAGAAGAUGGAAGGAGCAGGAUUGGGAAUAAUGCAACUGACAGGAAGACCAGUAGCCCUAGCUGUGGAGUAGUAAACGUUGAUUUCUCCCAGUUUAUAAUAGGAAUAAUUUCCUGUACACGCAGUAUUCUUAGUCAAGACCAACAAAAAGGUUGAAAGAAACAUGGAACUUCUUCCACAGCUGACAAUACAAAUGAAAUUAUUAAAGAAAGGUGUCCUGCUGAAAAUGAUCAUCUAGACUCCAAGUCAGUACAAAUGAAGCCUCAUAGUCAUCCAUGAUAAUUGUAAAAAGCAAAAAAUUAUGGCAAAAUCAAGCAGGAAUUUUGAUACUUAACAAAAAUAGAAAGCUGGGGAACUCAGAGAAGUUGCUGCUAAAAUCCACCAGUAACAACAUACAAAGAGCCUAAUUAGAGAACGGCAUGAACAAACAAGAAUCAGCACCAGAAAAGAAAAAACAGUGCAUAGAGAUCCUUGGCUGCAGAAAGCAAAAUGAAAUGAAAAGAGUGAAAUCUUACGUUUUCGAUGAAGAAGGGGCCAACCCAUCUGAAAACAACGAAAGCCACACCACCCACAACAGCCAACAGAGUUACGAGCCUGACCCAAUACCAAACAACACACCAUCUCAACUUCCAGCAGAAGAAACUACACCCUGGUUUCUCAAGAAACCCUUCUUCUUCAUCAGCAUCAGCAUCGUCCCCUCUCAAUCUCAUGUACCCGCUCUUAUCAACAUCAUCAUCGUCAUCCACUCUCAUCCUCAGCUCAGAGACCAAGCUGUCAUCUUCAUUUCUAUACGUCAUCGAAAGAAGAAAAAAAGAAAUCCCCCAAAAUUUUGUUCAGAACCCUAACAGAAAGAGGGGAAAUCUGCGGAAAUGGAACUUGUUUGUGUGUCGGUGCAGUAUUGCUGGUUCAAUGUGGGAUCAAGAUACAGCAGAACAAAGAAGAUGAGGAUGAGAGGGAGAAAGGAAGAGGACGAGAGAUCAAUGGAGGUAUGAAUGAAGAGACGGAGAAGGAGAAGGCUGUGUUUCAAAGGAGGAUCCUUUUUCUUAUUUAUUAAUAAUUAAUUUUUCUCAUCUUCCCCAUUGAUGUCAGCCAAGCUUCCUCUUCUCUCUCCAGCUCGACACCUCCUCCGUGGCCUCACCCUCGAGUUUUCAGAUAUUUUAUUUCAUUUCAACAAACUACUAUUUAUAACGGUAAUGUAACCUUAACGGCUGAUUAUAAUUCUGACGAUAAAUUUUAUUAACCUUGUAAGCGGGAAAAUAAGUAACCUUUUUGCGGUUGACAGGGCUAAGUAAAACGACGAUGGAGUUGGUUAGUCAAGACAACGACGGAACCUGGAAAUACAUAAGAUUCUACUGAAAUAAUCUUAAUGAUUUUUGGGCAGGAUGGCGAAAGUAACCAAGAGACAAUUUAUUUUGAGGCAUCAGGGAAUACUUGGUUGUUCAAUCCUUGCUGUUAUACUUUCUGAACAUUUCAUAAUCGAAAUAAAUGAACUUCUCUAAAUACUCAAAGUUUCAUAUCCGAGGCGAGUUUUCAAGAAAGAGAGGAUGAUGUGGUGGAAUAAAGAAAGAAUAUGUUAUAAAUUAAAGAAGAAAAAUUAAUAAUAACGUUGGAGGAUAUUUAGAAACAUCAAAAAAAUAUGACACCAACAAGUCUGAACAACAUGUUCUGCUAGGAGAAAAAUUCACUGAUAACAACUCGUCUGGAGAAUCGGCCCCCCUCAUCGUCUCUGAUUUUUUUGGUUCGGACUACACCGACUUUUUCCUGCUUUAUUAGUUUCGAUUGCAUUUUUUUUAUUAGUUUUUUCAGGUAUUAAUGUUUGGAUCGUCAACCUCUGUUCUAGGUUAUUUUGAUUUUGAAAUAAAUGGAAGUACGAACGUGCUAACUUCUGCUAACUCUUUAUAAGUGUGUGAUUCAUCUGUUAUAAAUGGUAAUAAUUAUGUGUUCAUAUAUCAACUCUAAUCAAUCCAUAUUGGUUGCAUAUACAAAAGCGAAAUCUUAAUCAUGGAAUCAUAGUUCAUUAAAUGAAACAUAUUUAGACUAAUUGCUCGUAACUGUUGAACAAACGGCAUUUAUCUUAUCUUAAUUUUGUCUCCUUUAUUAAACUCUCAACAUACUUACUCGAAUUCCAUAAAAAAAAUCUCUAUCAUUUAGUUACAUCAGGUCCAUCGAAAAAUAAAAAUAAAAUCACAUAAAUCAAACAUCACUUUAGAAUUAUCUUUUUAUAAAUAGAUGACACAAUUAAACGAGAUCGAUAACAUUUCUACUUCUCAUGAUCUACUCCACCAUGAACAAUGGCUUGCUUGCUACUGAGGAUUUCUCCGGCAACUGUCGAAUCAACUGGCUGAAUUUCGUAUUAUCCACACAUGUGCUGCAAAGCGUCGUGGUCACUAGCUGGCAGUCGGUUUCAACGAUGGCCUUCACUGCUCGAGCCUCCUCCUCCUCUGUCGUAGUAAUUCCAGCCUCUAUGCAUCAGAUAGUGCAGCAACUGGGCCACUCGUCAUGGACGACCACCCCUACUCCAUGACUGGACUCUUGCUCAAAGAUAGCAAUGUCAACGUUGCACUUAACAAUCCCAUAUAUGUUGAGUGUUGACAAAUUAGAAGCUGUUCCUUUGGGACAUUCACAUGACGUGGCGUCAAAGCUGCAUUUUCAGUCUUGUUUAUCUUUGUUUAGUUGUCGUGACUCAACACGAUCGAGUAAAUGAAGUAUGAUGAAUGUUUUGAUCGACAUCAGCCCCUUAAUCUAACGGUCCGUGAAAAAGGGGAUUUUUUAGUAUUUUCCAAAGUAUUUAUACGCGUCGUUUUGAUGAGAUAUGUAUUUGGAGUAGAAUUAUGUUAUAUUCGAGAAUGUGAUAUUUAUGAAGUGUAAAGUGUCAAGUGUGCCGUAGGAAUUAUCAUAUUUUGGUUAAUGAGUUAUUCGAUGUGGUAUUUGAUAACGAAAAAUAUUACAUUCUCGAAAUAUUGCAGUAUUUCAAAAUUUUAGUUUUAUUUUGGUUGUGAUGAGAUAUUUGAAAUAACACGAAAAUGAAUUAUUUGAUAUAUCAUAAUGUAAAACACCAUAAAUUUUAUAUUUAGAUAAUACAAUACGAGUUAUUUUGACUCAAAUAUUUCAAAACGAAUAUACUUUAAUUGGCCAAAACAACUCUCCAAACAACAAGUUGUUGGGAGAAACUUCAAAUUUCCUGAUUGAGAAUUGCUGUGAAGUAUCAAAUGAAGGAGACAUCCCAUGUGGUGUAUUACUCUUGUUCCAGUAUGAUUCUGAUUCCCCAUGCUCGAAAUUUAAACCGAAAUCGAAAUUGAAACAAAGGUUUUUAUGAACUAAAUUCAACCAGCCUAAUCGAUAUCGAAAACUCAAAAGACUCGCAAACGAAAUUUCCCACGUGUGGCAAAUCUGGUUAAUGCCGGCGGCUGUCACCAACUACCCCUAUGAACGAAGAUCUCCCUGCUCAUCUACGCAAACGCAAUCGGCAGGAAAGGUUGGCAGAUACAGUGGACUUUCUUCACUUUCACUGUUUGACUCUCUUUUGAUUCAUCCAUGACCCUUACUGCCCGGUGGUAUCUGCAACCUCAAACCUUCCACAAGCCUCCGUAUCCACGUCAACAAUACACUACCCACUUCCCCAAAUGUAGCAAUCAACUCUUCCCUGCUUUCCCUCGCAGUUCCCUCGUCAAGUUUGCAGGUAAAGCUCCACCCUUUGCACAUUCGUUCGUUCCCUUUGAUUCUUCUCAAUCGACAGUCUUUUAUGUGCUCUUCUUACCAAUACCAGAUUUGACUUAUGUUGGAGUCUCAAUAAUCAUGCCCUCAUUUGCAAGGUGAUAAGCUCGUGCUUAGUGUAUUGUAUUAUCCCAAUGUUGUCCAUGAAUCGAAAUAGCUCAUCCCAUUAUAAUGUUUUUGUGAGGUUUUUUUCUUGUUGGCAGCUGAAAGUUCGAGACUUUUGGUGAUCAAAUGUGUUUCUGAUAAGUUAUCGGGAUCCUUUGAGCCGGAUUCCGGAAAUGGCGAUCAAAGUCAGGUAUCAAUCGUUCAGCUUUUGUUAGUCUUAUUUAGGCUGUUUAGUUACUCCAAGUCUAGUGGUGCUCAAAUUUUGGAUAUGCUUAGCAAUUGCUAAAGCCCUUAUGAUUGGUUUAGUUGUGUUCAUUCAACGAGCAUCUCGUACUGUGUUUGAAUUGUUACCGUUCUCUUUCAGACGAUUGAUAAGAGAAAAGGGUCUCUUGCCGAUAUUCUUAAGCAAGCAAAUUCGCUACUGCCGCAUGUAGUCCUUGCUAGUACCUUGGUGGCACUUGUCUAUCCGCCUUCUUUCACCUGGUUCACCACCAGGUUUGUUUUCUUUGAUCAAAAUCAUUUCAGUGAGCUUUUGUAAGUGAAUGAAUCUUCCACUGAAAGUUACAGAUUUGUUUCAGGUACUAUGCUCCUGCAUUAGGGUUCUUAAUGUUUGCAGUUGGACUUAACUCGAACGAAAAGGACUUUGUUGAAGCAUUCAGCAGGCCAACAGCCAUCUUGGCUGGUUACAUUGGUCAAUUUGUGGUGAAGCCUAUUCUUGGCUAUUUAUUCGGCAUACUUUCAGUUUCAACGUUUGGCCUUCCCACUGCGAUCGGUGAGCUACAUAUAAUAAUAUAAUGGCUUCUUUGGACCUCAAAGUCCUAUGUCGAUUUUCCUCAAACAGUUUGUUCAUUUUUUAUACUAGGUGCUGGGAUUAUGUUGGUAUCUUGUGUAAGCGGGGCUCAAUUUUCGAACUAUGCUACUUUUCUUACUGAUCCAUCUCUGGUUCCUCUAAGCAUAGUCAUGACUUCAUUGUCCACUGCAACAGCAGUGUUCGUAACGCCUUUACUAUCUCUCUUACUCGUCGGCAAGAGACUCCCUGUCGAUGUAAAAGGUAUGGUGGCCAGCAUCAUGCAGAUUGUAGUUGCUCCUAUUGCUGCAGGCUUGUUUCUGAACAGGUGAAUGGUACUUCCUUUUAUUUAAUCAAGUUUGUCCAAGAUGUGUUCUUUCCUCAACCAUUUAUCUUGUCGCUCUAAACCAUCAGGUUCUUUCCACCGAUAUCAAGUGCUAUUCGGCCAUUUUUGCCUCCUCUCUCCGUGAUCGUAACAGCAUGCUGUGUCGGAGCACCUCUCGCGAUCAAUGUGGAGUCGGUCAUGUCCCCAUUUGGUGUAACCAUAUUGUCACUCAUAAUCGCAUUUCACGUGUCGGCAUUUGUUAUUGGGUAUACCUUUACUGGUUUCACCUUCAACAAUGCGUCGGAUUUGAAGCCCCUGCAAAGAACCAUAUCAUAUGAGACGGGUAGAUUGAAAAUUUUCUAUAUGUAGUCUGAUCAUUUCGAGAUGAAAUGGAAUAUAUCUGGUAUAUGCAGGAAUGCAGAGUAGUCUACUGGCCCUUGCACUUGCUAACAAGUUUUUCAAAGAUCCGUUAGUUGUGGUGCCUCCGGCUAUCUCUGUAAGUUAUCGAAUUCCUGCUUUUCUCUUAUUAUAUCCUCAUCCAUCGCCGCAACAUCGUUGAAAUGAAUGGAAUCAACCUUGCAGACGGUAAUCAUGUCUCUGAUGGGAUUCUCCCUGGUGAUGAUUUGGGGUAAGAAGAAAGAACGACUGUAGAGGUGGAAUAUAUAAACAAAUAGCGCAUGAAGUGCAGCUUCAUUACUGCUGUUCGUUUCUUCACCUGACACAGAUGAAUGUGUGGCAGUGGAACUGAGAUGUAAUGAAAGAUCAUAGAAAAUGUCGGCUUGUCGACCAUUUUAGCCAACGAUGUAAUAUCAUGUAGUGUGCACAAGGCUACUUCCUAUUCCAAUCUUAAUGAGGUCAUCGGUCAAAUUUGUGAAGCAGUUACGUUAAAUAAAACCAAUAUAAUAUUAACUUUUUGGAAGUGAAAUCCGUAAAGUAACGCAGUUAGUUGCCGCUGGCAUCCUGGAUGUGUAACGAUUAACGGCUGGCGACCUGAAGAUGUAACGAUUAACGACAUUCUUGCCUUAUCUAUCUUCUGAUAAACCCAUAAGCUACAAAACCUGGCAUUCUUUUUGGCGCGACAUAAGAACAUUAUUUAGCAUCCUUCCAUCCGGAAAAGAAGGAUCAAACGCUCGAAAUCAAUGGCCUUCACUGCAACAACAACUGCCUUAUCAAUCUUCUCUUCCAAUUCCAAACCGUUCCCUUCUCAUAAAUCUUCCCUUACCCUUCUCGAUUCUCCUCCUCCUUCAUCUAUCUGUACUCCGACCUCUCUUCGAACUCGACCACUUGCCACCCUAAACUCCGCCAAAUGCGGCGUCGCCGGUCUAGUUGGAGCCGGUCUGUUUCUGACCGCUAUCGGACCCGCCUUUGCCGUCAGCCUACCGUUGGUGGGUGAGCUCGCGGAACCCGCCAACGCCCUCUCUUUGCCCACGUGGGCAGUCCACGUUUCCAGUGUCGUCGAGUGGUUGGAUCUUCGGUUUUCUGCAUUCCUGUUGUGUUGAAAUUUUCACUUUCUCUAAUUUUUUUAACUCCGUGGCUUUUCCCAUUUUGAUAGGGUCACAGCAAUGGCUCUGGUGUGGCAGUACGGGGAAAAAUCUGGGUUUGAAACCUGGAAGGGACUCUCUUGGGGGAUGGUUAGUUAAAGUUUCCUUAUUUACAGCUGGAAUUCGUGGGUUUUGAGCUAGCUGAUAAUAGUGAAUUGGGAUCAGGUACCUUUACUUGGUGGAGCUAUGUGUGCAUGCACAUGGCAUUUCUUCUACAAUGCCGAGUCUCUAGAGGUAAUCGAAUGGCUGUCUUUACUCUGUUCCAACUCAGUAAAAAGACAUUGAAAUUGGCUCUGGAGAAUUUGCUGAUAAGUUAAAUGACUACGUAUUAGGUACUGGUGGCUAUUCAAGCUGCAUUGACAGUUGUUGGUAAUGCAACAAUGUGCUUUGCUGCAUACCGUAUUUUUAGAGCAUCACAGGAAGGCGCUAAGGAUCUUUGAACGCUCACGUCAAGUUCUAGUAGUCGUCCAACAACAGGAUAUUGAGUUCCUUCUUCCAGGUGAUGAUAUCUGGAUAUAGUUGAUGUGAUGAAGUAAAUGUUUCUUUAUGUUUAUAUGCUUAUGGCUUCUGUUUAGAUUUGGUUACCAGUUAUCAAGCUUUUAUCAUUUUCAGGGAUCGUGACGAACCUGGUGAUAUGUCUUUUGGGUAGAAUGAGGAAGUUUUCAAUGGUAAAUAGAAUGUUGAUUAGUUUCUUGUCGUAGCAAAGUGGUUACUUGCAUCUGAAGGUCAAGCUACAGGAAAGAGUUGAGCUACAGUCUCCAGUGGUGUAAAUUGACCAUCAUAAGUGAGUCUGUCCAUCAAGUAUGCUGAUAUUCUCUUAAUUAUCGUGGUUAACAAUUGCAAAACCAUUGCCUCCAUGGCUGACUUUCUAUGUUUCCUUUCACACUUCAUGCGGCUGGUUAUGCCACUUGUUUGAAAUAGUGCUUAAUAUUUGACUCGGUCGAUUGUAUAUGAUCAUGCAUCUUGAAUUCCUUCAACUUGCCUACGGCAAUUGCUCUGUUUGACGGUUGUUUGUUUCAACAUGCAAUCAAUGAAAGAUUUGACCUUGUGAAAUAGAUGAGCAAUUUUACUGAUUAUCAGGAUCAGUUUAUUCUUGUAUGUCCUGGUUGUAUGCUUAGCGGCUUAUCCUAUUCUUGAUAAGCCUUCCUACGCAAGUUUCAGAGGGAAUUUAAGAUCUUUUGCGAGACCAAAUGUAAUGAUCAGACAAAGUUUCAUUCUUCUGAAACCCCCAUAAGAACCCAAGUAACAUAAGCUUACAUCUAUUGUCAAAACAUAUUGUCAAGGGCUUAGCUUCUAAGAUGAUCGUAUAGAACAGAAUUCAUUUUACCAGCAUGGAGCUCUAGUCAUGUUGGCUUUUCUCAAGGGUAGGCAUUCAGACUUACAAUAGAACUGGUUCCAUGUAUAUAUGUGAGACAUUAGACAUCUGAAUGGUGAAGGUUUCUUGUAGACAAGGAACUAGAGAGUGGGCUUCGUUUCAAUCCACUUAUGACUUGCGCUACAUUACAAUUUAGCAUAAACAUAAAUGUCAUAACCAUCAAAACUAAUAUUCUUGACGAUCAAUACUGAGCUAGAACAGGGGAGUGGCUGAAUAGAAAUGUAGAAUUGUUUUUGUGCUGUUUCUAAUAUUUGUACAGAAGAAACAGAGCCGCAGAGAAGCGAUCGAAAUGAGGGAACUUCUCUUGGAACUCCCUCAUCAAGGCUAAAUUCUCUCUGUGAAGAAGGUAUGCUUUCUGCCUCAGCUUCUCAUUUUCUUCUAAGAUGGUUUGGUUUUCCAAGUAUAGCUUCAAAUUCUUAAUCUCCAUAUCCUUCUCCCCAGUUCCCUCACCACACCUUCUCCUGUUUCUGCCAAAAGAGAAAGAAAUUAGCCUCAGUAACAUCUAAAAACAAAAGAAUUGAAAAGAUGCAAUCAUUUUACACACCUGGUGAGCCCAAUGACUUGAAGUCUAGGCUUCUUGGGAUGUUGUUGCCUUCUUUUUGAAGUCUCCAGAACAGAAACAGUGGACCUGUCUUCUCUGAUCAUACACAUUAUGUGCAAUUGCUAACAAAGUGGGAGAGAAAUGGAAGGUUGGGAGAGAAAGUAUGGGGAUUUAGAGCUCCUAUAAAUAUAGGAAUGAAGAAAAAGAUGGGUUGUGACUUGUGAGUGUAUUGAUUAGGCAGAGGUAGUGGGCUGAUGGUGUGUGCAUUUGAGAUAGAGAGAGAGAGCUCCUUCUUGUCCAUGGCAAUGAUUGCAGAUUGGAUUCAUUCAAGAAAUAUAAGAGACGAAAAGUCCUGAAUGAUGAUGAUGAUGGUUUUCUAUAUUGGUAACUCGUGCCAAGUUGGUACUCUCUGAGAGGGUAGAAUAGAAUCAUCACCAGCAUCACCACACCAGUCUUGCUGCUACUGGAAUUCUGGGAAAAUGGUAAACUGUCUUUUUAACUAAUACUCUUCAAUGGAGAUGGAGUUUUUCUAUGAUGUUGGUUAAGACUGUUAUGUUUUCUUCAUUCUAGCCAGUAGGUAGAGAGGAUAACAGAAAGUCGGCAUGACUAGUGAUUGCUUCUGGAAAAGUGAAAAUGAGUACAGAAGGUUAUUCUACCAGUUGGCUGGUAGAGGGAAUGAGUGGCUUGAGUAGCUGUAGAGUGAAUUCCAUGGUUGCUUAUGGCGGCAAAACUAUGAUUGGUUGGUUUGUUGCAACUGUGAACUAUUUCCAAGUCGGUUCAUGAUUAGGUGUUUGAUGGUUGAAGAUUAUAUUAUUUUAUUUGGUAAACCUUUUUCACCGUAUGAUUUUCACACUGGAUUCAUGAAUAAUCUUGCUAAUUAAAGUACAAUGAAAUAGUAAAAUUAGAGUUUAAGUUGGGAUUUUUUAGGUUUAGUUAUUUAGUGAUCUUGAUUUAUAAUUAUAAAAUAAAAUUUUUGAUACGAUUUGAAAUUUAAGUUUAUAAUGUGAUGUUUAAGUUUCAUUAGAAUUCAUAAUUUAAAUUUUGGAUUUUGGUGUUGAAGCACUGAGCACCCGCCACAUGUACCGAAGCAAGGUGUCUUUUUUUCAUCAAUCAGUCAUGUUAGGGGACGGGCGCUUGCCGCGAAAAGGAGAUAGUUUGUCCGCUCACUCUACAAAUAAGCCUAGGCUAUCCUCAACCGUCCAUCAUCAACGACUCAGAUCUAGUUUGCACCAAAUCACUACUCCCAGCAUGACUUGUGAAAAUCAAACUCAUACCACAAUUUUCCUAUAAAAAGAGUCAUUAACCACUACAUUUAAGAUAUUGAUCUCCUAGCUAAACCAACCAUACGCCCUAGGUUGUGUGCCCACAUUGCGCUAUACACCUACCAUUAGUCAGAUCCCCACCACGCCAUCGCUUAUUCUUUUUGUCGUCGUCAUCACCUGACCUAACCUUGUUGAUUUAACUACGAAUUUUAUAUUUCAAGUUUUAACUAUUAAGAAGAGUUUGUGUCGAUCAGCUAUUACUAAAAUGCCGCACUUUGCUCCACUUAUAUUUGGUUUCUAUUCAUCACAUUUCUCAUUUGGAUAACUGCAUGUCGUCUAUAUAAUGACACAUAAGACACUUCGUUAAAGUGCAAUGUAAAGUGUUGGGCAACCAACCAAAUUGCCUUGUACCUCUACUUCUACUUGUUCAGAGUGUGGUUUGGUUUGUAUUUGUCACAAUCAACCAGGACAAGCGUGGAGACAGAGAGCAAUUCCAAUACGCAACAGUAUUACUAUCGACAAACAUCAUUGCUUACUCCAAUCAUUUCCAUCGUUGAACAGCGCAAAACCCAACCUUCUUUUGAUACAUAGCAAAUUGGAACCUUGUUGCGAUCAUCCAACAGCUAGUCUCAGAUUCGUGUUCUUCAUAUACUUAGUCGGUCAUAUAACGGAAUCAUUUAUUUAGUGACAUGUUUAAUUUUUAGAUAUUUUUUAAAAAUAUUAUUAUUAGUCCUCACUUUCUAAAUUAAUGAUUAAGAUUGUAUAUUUAUUAUCUUCUUAUUUUCACAAAAAAUUUAUCUGAACCCAAUAAAUAAAAAUAAAAUUUUUUGUUGUUAGGCCUAUCCUCGUGCUCGUUACAAAACCCACACACCUAUCCAAAUUUUCUAUUUAAAUUUACCAUUUUUUUCGAUGUGAAGAAAGUAAAAGGUAGCAUUUGUUUGUGGUGUGAAUAAAUGGUGAAUGUAUAUAAAUAAAUGUAAAGAUGUGUAAAUAAUUAAUAAUCAAUAUAAAAAAUACAACAUUUAAACGUAAAUAGUGAGAGUAAGACAACAAACUCCUCUUUAAUAAAAGAUAUAAAUUCUUAUCAUACAUGGUCAUCUACAUAAUUCUAUCAUGUUUAUUUCCCUUCAAUGUAUAUGCAUGCACCCUAGGUAGGGUUUGUUCUCGAAAUCGACGUAGCCUAAAUUUCAUAAUGCACGAUCAGUCAAUUUUUGGGUUACGUCUUAUUUUUGAAAGGAAAUUUCAAAAAUUCAUCAGACGACCAUAUUACAUAUCUUCGUUCUUAAGUAUAUAGAGAGUUUGUACAUGUAUACAUAACUCUGUACUCACUUUUUCUUAUAAACGAGACACCUCUGUGUACACAAAAUUCAUUUUUAUAACGAAACAAUCAUAUCAGAUAUUCGUCUUCAGAUUAUUCGUCGGUUAGAUAAUAAAGUCACCCGUUCAAAAAAAUGAGAUUCCUCAGUGUACACAAAAUUCAUCUCUACCCUUCAAUCUUAACUUUUAAUAAAAGGGAUAAAAUUAACCGUCCAGAUUGUACUUGAUGCAUCAAAGAAUUCCCUUCUUGGAAGACAACCUGCUCUCCGCGGAAAUCGACUGGCUGCCUAUGUUUACACGGAACUGAUGUGGACCAUUACAGUUUGGAUCUCAUCCGUCAAUCGACAAAGUGUACAUCAUUGGACAGCUCUCAUCAAGGGAUCCACGAUAACACUAUGGUGCGCGCUCCACCACAGCCGGACACUGAAAAGGACAAAUAUGGAAAAUCGAGAAAGAAAAGAAGAAAAUCGUGGAAGCGUGGGGGGUUUUACAUUCGGAAUCAACAUAAUAAACCGGAGGCUCGCCCAGAAAACGAGAGACAGAGAGAGAUAGUUUCAGAGAUAGAGGUGCGGUGGUGGUGCUGCCUCCUCCCCGGUAAUCCUUUUAUCCUCCCUCAACAAAAUCAAAUUUCUCGCCGCUCCUCUUCCCGCUUAUUCUCUCCGGAUUCCUUUUCCCUUGCUCGUCCUGCGGCGAUUUCAGCCGAUCCGUUACUUCAAUAUUUUAACCGAGGUACGGUGAGAUCUCCGUCUCUCUGUGGUUUAGGGUUUUGCUUCCUUUUUAUCGUUAGCUUCUCAGUUAUCAACUAUCGUCGUAUAUAACUUGUCCGCCGCCUGCAUCGGGAUAAUAAUCCGGCGAGAGGGAGAGAGAUUAAAGGGAUAAUUACGUUCAUUUUGGUGAGCUGGAAUCCAAUUUAUUAUUGGUCUAAUAGCUCGGAGUUCCCAACUUUAUCUUAGAUUUCCGAUAAUACCCCCGCUGAAAACAGAACUCUUCCGAAGGGUGAAAUAGUAAUAUGACAAGGUUCUUGCUUGCUAAGGAAGAACGAUUAACCGACAAGGCAGCGUUAUUUAUAUAUAUAUUAAUAAUUAUUAACAAACUGAUUUCACAAUUUCAAUCGGAUUGGAAACAUAAACACGGAACUAGAAAGGAGAGAGACGCAAUUCUCUCUCUUUCUGAUAGACAAACUUCACCUGGAAGGGGAUUCCUUUUCCUUUGAAAACCCUAACAAUCGCUUUUCUGUUUUGAUUCCUUUGAAGCCUGAAGGGAUUUCUCGAGAUGGGUUCGCAGCAAAACGACGGCACGAGCUUCCCACAAUCGGAGCCGAUUCUCUGCGUCAACGGGUGCGGCUUCUUCGGAUCGGCGUCGAACAUGAACCUCUGCUCCAAGUGCUACCGUGACCUGCGGGUGACGGAGGAGCAAGCGGCGUCGGCGAAGGCUGUUAUGGAGAAGACCCUCUGCUUCAAAUCGAAUAAGGCGGAGGCAGUCGCAGCUGAUGUUGUUGCCGUCUCGAAAUCCGCUGUGGCUGAGGCGAUUGCGACGGAGAAGGCGGUGCUUGAAGGGUCUUCGUCAUCAUCGUCGGCGGCGGUGGCGGUUGAUGUGGUGAAGGCGGCGAACAGGUGUUUGACCUGCAAUAAGAGGGUUGGAUUCACGGGGUUUAAGUGCAAGUGCGGCAGCACUUUCUGCGGUUCUCAUAGGUACCCGGAGAACCACGAUUGCGACUUUGAUUUCAAGCAAGCUGGGAGGAACGCAAUCGCCAAGGCCAAUCCUGUCGUGAAGGCGGAUAAGGUCGAUAGGUUCUGAUGAUGAUGAAUGGAUAUGCUCGUGAAUUGAUGAUUUGGUUUGGAACAAGUUCUUUCUUCUUUUCCUUUCUGGACGUUUUUACUUUCUGUGUACCAAAUUUUAGUGAUUAGUAAUCCUAGUUUGUUAGGUGGGUUUGGGAUUGUGGUGGGUUUGGCUGCACGAUUAUGAAAUUUGUGGGGGUUUGGGAUAAGAGGAGGAUGAUUCCAUAAUAAUAGUUCAUCAAUGGAUUGUUAUUUGCUGAAGAACAAAAUGGAAGGAACCCGGUUCUGUGUUGAACUCGAUUGCUUUGAUGAUAAAGCUCUGCUCUUUCUUCGAUGUUUGGAUUGUAUGUACUGUCUGUGUAUAUGGAUGAUGGAUUGUGAUCCUGGGUGUUUGAUUCAUGUGUCUUGAGUUUGGAUUCUGUGUCUUGGUGGUUGAAUGGUUCAAUCUGAUACACGAUUGCGUAUUGACUAGUUUGUUGGAAUAAUCAACAGAAUGGUUCCAAGACAACUUGUAAUAUCUUGACUAUGUGUUCUCCGUGAUUGAUUUAUGCAUAUGAAUUCAUUCAGCAUGUGUUAGCUAGUUCAGAUUAGCUUAUCGCAUCUGGUGCAAACCAUGAAUGGUACAAAUGUUGGAUUUCGAUGAACAAGAAGACUGGCUGUGCUCUCAAAACUUCUAUACUUAGUUCUGUGAAGAUGUCAUGCCUACUACUAACUGCUGUUGCUACCAUUUACCCUCUCCAUUGCCUUGGUUGCCUGACUGUUCCAGUCUAGGAAACAGGUGAAGAUAGAGAGAAGAGAUGCUUGAACCAGAGACCCUGCAACUAUUCCUAUCCAGAAUCCAGUACUUCUCAGAUGAGCUGCAAAUCCAAGGGAUAGUCCCAGGGGAAGCCCAACCAAGUAGAAUGCUCCUAUGUUCAUUAACACUCCAGCUCUCUGCCACCCACAACCUGUUGCUGACCCUGCAAUUUCAAACAGGUUUUAGAUCGUUAGUACUUUUUACUUUCUAUCACAGUUUAUGGCCUUCACGGUGUGAGUAAAGACCCACCAGAGAGGACUCCUUGGAGGCUGUCCAUGACGAUGAAUACGCAGAUUAGAGGAAUGAUGGUUGAAAUGUGCUUCACAACUUGAGGGUCGUUGCUGUAAGCAUAACCCACCACAUCUCUUGCAAAGAACAGAGCAAUACUCACUAUCGAUGAUUCCACCACUGCAACAAACACCGCCACCACUACUGCUAAUCUCGCUGAUCGCGGGUUCCCUGCUCCUAGCUCGUUCGCUACCCGGGUACUAUAAUUCAUUCACCACAGAGGUUGGUGGGUGAUUCGAAUGUAUUUUAGAAAUUUAAAUGAAAACAUGAUGACAAUUAAGUACUUCAAAUUACCUGACUGCAACUCCUAGACUCAGUGGGAUUGUCAAGUGCAACGUAGUCAUUGUCAGACUGUUAAAUCGAGAUACAAACCCCAAAUAACAUAUCAGAAACCAAAGAAUUGUAGAUAUGGGACUUUACAAUAUGAAUCAUAGUUACAUACCUCACCGAUAGAACGGAUGUCUGCAAUCGAGGAUUGGGAAGAUGGCUGGAAAGUAGAGUCAGUACCUCCAUAGACCACCAUUUCAAGCUGAAAAUGUGCAAAGAAAUUGUACAUCAAUGCAAAUAAUUACACACCACUUCAGGCUGAAAGGAGUAUUGUUUCAGUCUAUUACCAAACCAUAACAGCAGCAGGCAACCCAAGUCGGAGAAACUCAGGUAUACAUCCAAAAGCACUCCACGUAAACGGCGCACGAGUCUCCUUAAACUUUCCGGAAAACUUCACGUAAAGCGCAAGCGCCGCCGCGUUCAGCCACGUGGACAUCCCGAACGCCACUGCCACGCUGGCGUCCCCCAUCCUCAGCUUAAACGCGAGGAUCCAGCUCAUCAGCGCGUGCAGACAAAACGCCAUCGUGGAAGCCAGAAGCAUGGGGACCACCACACUCUGUGCUUGCAAGAACCUCGUCAGCGGGCCCACCACAGCCGUCCCCACCAGCCCGAUAACGGACCAAAGACAAAAGUCUCGCGCCCCGUCAGCAACGACCGGGUCCUGGCCCGUAACCCGGAGAAGCCGGCCCGUGAAGGCCCAAAGCAGGCAGAUUGGAGGGCACAUCAGGAAUAAGGAGAUGAUGCCGCUGUAAGCGUAGGUACCGAGCUUCUUGUACUGACCGGCGCCGUAAGCCUGGCCGCAGAGGGUGGACAGCCCGCCGGUCAUCCCGUAGAGGACGCUGUAGCCGGUGACGUUGGUGAGGGCGGUGGCGAUCCCAACGGUGGUGAGCGCCAGCUGGCUGAUGUGCCCCACUAUUACGAUGGACACUGUUUGCUGUAGGUAUUGAAGUGCCAUUACGGCGAUCAUGGGGCCUGCAAUGCGGGCGAUUCGCUUUAGUUCUUCGGCGAAGUCCUUGCGCGAUGUCGUCGCGAAGAUGUUCGCUCCUUGCUCUUCGGCAUCGAUCACAUUGACCAUCUUCGUAUGGACCAAAGUCGGCGGGAAAUUGGGUUUUUGAGGAUGUAAAAUCAGUGCAUAUAUUUGUUGGGUCUGAGCACGAAAUGGACCGUAACUCCACUUCGAUUCAUGCUGUUUUCAUUUAUUGGGAUAAGUGAUUCAUGCUGUCUUUUGUUUAUGAUUUCGUUGGCUAUUCUUAUAAUUAGUCUUUCAAGUUAGGUUUAGGAUUGGUCAACAGUAUUCAUUUUAGAAUGUUACACAACUUGUUUGGUCGUCCCUGCAGCCUAGCUAGGACAUAUAUGCACAAACAAUGCUCAAUAGCAUCUCCGGUUAUACAAACAUUUGUUGGUUUGACAACUUAAAUAUAAGAUGGAAUUAUUAAUAUUUUCUCAUUCGUUAUUUAUUAAGAAUGUUUUUUUUGACAAAAAAUCAUAUCACUUAUAUUCCUUAUUAAAGUUAUAGCAACGUGAGGCAUAUAGGAAGUCGCAUUGGAAGUGCAGUACUCAUCAACAAGGCUAACAUGAAUCGCGGGUUUUUUAAUAGCAAAUACAUCAAUCCUUUCUUUCCCACAAACGAACACUCCAAUAGAGAUUCAGACUAAAAAUAAAAAAUAAGGACACUAACAAUCACCAACAAAAACACAAACUAGAAACAAAGAAAAAGUUGAAGUUAUAAAUAAAACUAGAAAAUAAAUCUAGCAAACUUGAAUGCGAUUAGCAACAUCCCUAUUUGAACUUCUAAGGGAGGCUAGGACCUUAGCCGCUCCAAGUCUCAGCCUCAGUGAACCGGACCACUCGCCCUUGGCUGACCGGCAGGUAACACAGGGAUGAUGUCCUGGUCAUACUUCUUGGAAGGGGGUGGAGGUGCAUCAACGAUGGUGGUAAUCGGCAUAGCAACAGCAACGAUGGCGACGUUGGCGGUGCUAGAGAUGUUGGUGACGAUGGCAACGUUGGCGGUGAUGGAGACGUUGGUGAUGAUGAUGGCAACGUUGGAAGCAAACGGAUGUAAGGCGGUCAUGGUGGUUGUGGUGAGUACGGGGCGCGGCUAGAGUUUCAUGGAGGGGGAAGGGUUUUUCUUAUGAGAGGUAACAAGGCUACUUCUUUUUUAUGAGAACAACGAGGCAAUUUUUUUCCUGCGGAAAGUAACUUUUAACAAAAAUCUAAAUGAAAUUAAAAAAAUGAAAAAAAUCAAAGAAAUUGAAGACAACUACGGCAACUAGAGUUUAUUUGUUAGGAAUGUUAAAUACAAGAGAAUUAAUUUAGGAGACGCUAGUGAUUAACAAAUGUUGGUGGGAUGAAUACACUUGUAAACUUAAAUUGGAAAAGAAUCAAGCAAGCGUCAGGUCGUAUCCAGCUCGGUUGGUCCACUUACUCUCUUUGAAUGUAUUCUUCAAAGUAAACUUGUCGCUCUCAAAUCUAAUGCACAAUCUCAAGUGACACAAGCUAAGUACCAUGCUCUUUUAAUUUUUUUUUUUAAAGGAUAAAUGCAGUUUUUAUUGCUAGUAUAAUUACUUUGGGAAAUUGGUGAGUACAACCAUUUAAUAAUGCCAUGUGACCAUGCUCGGAUAAAUUUAGAGGGAGUAUUGGAUGGUUUGGAUUGAAUUUAACGAUAAAAUCAACCCACCUAUUAAUUGGGUGGAUUGGAUUGGAUUUAACGAUAAAAUCAACAUCUAUUUAAGGUAUGUUAUCUUCCAUCCUUAUGAACCUUUAUAUGCAUUCUCAAAGCUAAACAAUACACUUCAUUAAAGCAAAAAAAUUAUUAUCCAAAAAACUCGAAGUGAAUGAAAGGUUUUUAAGAUAAUUGCAUAGGAAGGUUAGAGAUAAUAAGGAAAUUGUAACUCUCGCCGAUUAGUAUAGUGAAUUGGUGGGUUAAACGAACAACCCAUUACGUAAUCCAAACCCACCCACUAGAUAAACAAUCCGAAACCCACCUAUAUUAUCCACCCACUCAUGAACAGAUCGAUUUAAGUUACAACAAACGGGUUUGGAUAAAUUUGAUGGAUAACCCGAUUCAAUACUCACCAUAAACUUACAACUGUGCGUUUAUCAACUGUGGUGAACCACAGGCCCAAUACUUGGGGUUGCAGAAACAAAGUUGGCCCUUUUGUAGUCAUACAAGUUUCGUACUUCUUUUUCCGAUAUAUUAACGAGUUAACAUGCUCCUACAAUAAAUUUAAUAAUGAUGUAAAAGUUAGAAACAAAAUUUUUGAAAAAAAGAGAAAAAUAUUAUUUCCUCCAAAAUUUUGGUUUCCUGCUCGUGUAAUUAAAUUUUUGUUCCAAAAUUACCUCACUCAAAUAAAUUCAUUUUAUUUAUUUUUAACCGAUGAAUAAAAAUUGGCCCAAAAAUAAUUUAAUUCAACGAUUAAAAUUUGUCCGAUACACCCCUCGGAUCAAUAUCAACGUUGUUGGUUACCAGCCCCAGGGCAAGAAGAGAGACUUUCCCAGCUGGUGCUAUGACUAAAGAAUAGAUGGAGUUAUUAAGUGGGGUGAGUUUACUUUGAAUUCGAGAGAAGUAGAGCUAGGAAAUCUAUAAAAAAAAAAUGUAGUCGUACGUAGAGCAGGUUUCAAUAAUUUGAUGGACAUAAAUCAAUGUCCAUACGCCACCUAUCUAUCUAGCCAUAUGGGACAAACUCUGAGCCUAGAGGUUUUAAUUGUAGCAUGCAUAACAUCGGCUAACCCUUUUCAAUGAUUUUGCUUUUAAGAAUAUUUUAGUUUAUUGCGAUUAGUCCCGUCUGUGAGUCCUUGAGUAUGAUCUUCGGGGUUCAGGAAAUCACGAAAGUGAGAGCUGAGUGUAUUUCUAAAAACAAACCAAUACGAAAUGAGAAGUUAAUUGGGUGGACUAGUCAGAAGGAUGUUGAAGAUAUUAUUAACACCGACGAAUCGGUUAUCCAACCUCAUGGAAUUAUAGCUGAUGGCGGUGUCAUCAGGACCCCAUAAUGUGGUUGCCUGACAGCCUUUGCAAGUAAUUUGGGUAUCUAUACUAUCACUCAAGCCGAGCUCUAUGCAGCUAUUCAUGACCUCCGUCUUGCAUGAGAUGGUGAAUACAAAAAAGUUAACCUUCAAGUGGACUCAUCAGCUGUAGUUUCCUUUGUUAAUAAGGAUCUCCUUGGCGAUACCAGCACGCAGUGAACAUUUGUGAACUAAGACUUCUUCUUCGUCUCAGUUCACAAAUGUUCGCUGAGUCUGGGCCAGUUGUACGGCAUCGUUUCCUGUCAUUAAGUGUUGUGAUUUGAUUGGAGGAAGCUUGAACCGCUUUCCUGUCCGUACUAGGUUUCCUCCUUGCCGUCGAGUUGUGGGAGGAAGUGCGGCUUUUGAAUUUUCUGUUCGUCGCUUGGGAUAUUGGGCGAGGAUCCGUAGUAUUGGUAGUCGACUUAGGUAUAGCAGCAAUAAGUUGGGCCACCUCCUCUCAUCCUCGGAUUCCCGCAAGUAUUUGGCUACCAGUAAAGCCUUAGUAUUCCUCGGUACGAAUAGAAUCAUCCCAUUCCCGAGUGAUUAGCUUUGCCGGUGUCGUGAACAGAAGGUCACAGUAUUUAUCUGUGUCCCAUUGUGCCACAUAUAUAACAGAAGCGUUCCAAUCGUUCGUAUUUGAAUAAGCACUUAACGGUUUCAUCAUUAUGUAGAACGACUUUCUUCCCUCGACGGAGCGGUUUGUUGGCAUCCAACUCCACCUGAACACACAUAAACUGAUUCGUCCACUAAUUUUUGUUGUUUGCAGGAUCAUAAUCAAGGUAUCAUCUACCUGCAUAGUCCCCCAAGAUGCGUCCAACAGCUUCAGAGAAAUACUCAAAGGGUAGUUUAUGCACUUGAAUCCAGAAUGGGACUCAAUUCAACGGAACCUGUUUGGGGUCUUCACCUAUUUGUAGCUCGUGUAGAAAUAGAAGGCUACGAUCAUGGUCGUCCUUCCUUCAUGAUCCGUCGCAGAUCGACUCCAUGGUGGAAUCGGAAUAGGUAUCGGCCGUCGCCAAGCUCCUUGACCAUCAUCGCACGACCUGGUUUUCACGCAAGAGCCAUGGUACUCUUCAUCCUGGAGAGAUUGACUUCUCAAUGUCCCCAAAUUUUGCCGACAAUACAUAGUGGGUAUUUAUGCAGCGGCGCUUUCGGAGUUACCUCCCUGAGGGACACACCUUCGUCGUCGAUGUCGUCCAGGGAGAGGUCUCGUAAGCCUACAAGCUCGGUGCCGGCUUUGAUGUCUUCGGCUACGAUUUCCUGCUCGGUCGUCGGCGAUUCCAGGAUCGUGCCUUCCAUGGUAGCAGGCAUGGUGCACGGAGCGGUUUGGUUCGGUUUGUUUGGUAUGAGCUGGGGGAAGGGAUCGCUGGUGCGAUGAGAUAAUGAUUGUAUGGGGAUGGAAGGCAUGGACGGGAGGCGUGGAGGAUGAAGUAUGGAGGCCGACUGCGACGGCGAGAUCGAACCCAAAAUCCUUCCAGAAAACCCUAGCUGAGGGGAGUUUUUUAUUCUAAUCGUUUUCUUAUUAUUUUUAGAACAUUUCACUCCCAUUUGGCUUGCAUUUAAUCACAUGUCGUAGCUAGAAUUGUAAAAAAAUGCAGAGAUCCCAAUUUAAUUAUAUUACAGUACUGAAAGCCACGAAUCUGCAAUGGGGUUUUCCAAAAGAUUUGAACAACAUUCACAAGCUACCCCAUCUUUCUCUGUCGUCUCUGAACCUCCCACCUUCUCUGUAACUAAACAUGGUAGAAAAUGGUAGAAAAACAUUCGUGGUGAUGUUUUAGUAAAGCAAGUUAUUUUAAAAAAGUGAAUGUGCCACCUGCGAUUGUUUUUCAUAACUAAGUAAUAAUAAAUAAGAAUAUUGAUCUAAAAUUAUGAUUAACAUAUAUCGAAUACGGAGCUGAAACAUCAAACAUUAAAUCAGAUAUAAACAUAUACCUAAAUACCGAAAUUGCUUUGAGCCGUAGACUCCGAACACCCCUUACAUCCGCCCAUGAAAUGAAGGGACGAGAGAGGAAUUCAUUGAAGGGGCAUGCAUUAAGUUUGCCAUUCCCCAGUAACAUUUGACCCUUUGGGGGCAUGGUUGGUUCCUAGAACUUGUCACCCACCUUUGACCUUAUCAACUGCAGUCACCCAAAAAUUUAUUGUCUUCAAUUACUAUGACCCCUUUAUCACCGACCACUCCUCUCUCCUUCCUCUUCAAUGUCUUUUUUUUCGUUUCUAAUUGUUUAAUUUUGAUGGGUUCUUUAGGUUUAAAUAUUUUUUUUGACCUGUCGAAUUAUUUCGGCAGUGAUGGAAUUAGGGUGGACCAACCUAGGUCAUCGAGUACCGACAAGAAUUCUGAUCCGAAAAUAAUGAAAUCUUAUGUAAAUUUUCGAAAUUCAAAUCUUAUUUGGAGAGCCAUAAAUGGCACGGUUUGGUACAAGUGGUGUCGCCACCAUGUUGACAAACGAAGACGGAAUGCUGGAGAUCUUGCGCGAAACAGAUUUGCCGUGAUGCUCAUAUUCUGAUGACAUAGUUUCUUUGUUGAUUACAUAGUAUUAUGCUCCAGUUCUCAUAAUUAGUUGUGAACAGACUUUUGUAUGAACUUUGACCGGUGGAGUGUUGCUCUUUUCGACGCACUCUGUAUGAGAUGACCAUAUAUAAUACUGCACAUUUAUCCCAAAAAUAAAAUUUAUCGAGUUCUUAUAAUCUUUAAACUCGAAAUCCCACAUAAAAUCUCAUGUUGUCUUGAUUCCGUCAUUGCUUAAUCGAAAGAAUAGUGGACAUAUAUAAUUCUACAACUAAGACUAUCAAAAUUUAAUCAUUCUUGACUCGAGAUAUAAAGGGUGAUAUUUCAAAACAACGAGACGUUUCAAAUAAACUUUUUUAUCAUCAAAUAUCAUAUCUCAAUUAUAAUCCAUUAGCUAAAUAAAAUAAUUUUUAUUCUAAAAUACUAUAUAUACAUAAUUAAAAUAACUCAUUUAAACAAUCCACGUACAGUUUUCAUAAUCAAUAUAUGAAUGUUGCUAGAUCUUUUGUUGAACACAAGUUACCAAUGGAGCCAAUGCAAGUAGUAAGUCUAACCUUGUUGGAAGACAAAUUAAAAUGUUCAAGUUAGAAUCAAGAAGCCUACUCUACGUAGUCAAAAUACACCUACCCUCCUUAUCAUCAUCAUCAUUAUCAUGCUACAUUGACUCAAUUGACAUGUUCAUAUAUAGUCAUUCAUGUGUGCUAGCUAGCUAGCUAGGACCAUAUGUUUAGCUUAUACAAAUAUUAAUUAAGAAGAUGAUCAAUUUGACAUGUUCUCUGUGCAUAUGAUAUGUGUUUUCUGCAGUACAGAUUGAGUAAAUCUAAUGGUUGAGACAUACAAUAACGUCAUGAGACUAACAAUAUAGUAACAUGUGAAAUAUCGUUCACUACUGGUCAUCAUAGAGUAACAUUGAAGUAACAUGUCAAUGACAAUGGACUAAAACAAGACUUAACGCUAGAUAACAUUUAACUAGCAUGGUCAGACUAAUUAACAACAUAGAGACAUGUGGAAUAGUACCGUUCAUUAUCAUCAUAUAAUAACAUCGGGGUAACAUGCGAGUGACAAUGAACUAAAACAAAACUAACACUGAAAUAAUACAACACUAAUCAACACGUUGGCAGUGAUGGAAAAUAACUAAAUAAAAAGAAAAAUAACAAGAGCCUUAGAUAUAUAUACUUGAAUCAAUCGUAAACCGUAUGAUGUGCAUUCUUUUCAAAAACCAGAUCAGAUAUCAAGUCUAGUGUGCGGUUCGAUUACUUAAAUGGUCGAACCGACAUUUCCGAAAACUAAUUAAUCACCACCAACAUUAACAUUCAUACAGAUUAAUCACAAUCGACAUCAUCAGGUGCAAUCCAGUGCAGGAGAAACUAAUUGUAUCAAAUUAAACAGAAGAUAUUGCAGGCAGCACUAAUUAAUUAAAAAUCUUCCAAUUAGCUACAAAUCAAUCAACUUACUACGUCAGGCAGUUGACUUCUAUGAUGAUCGCCGAUUAGUAAGGAGGACGGCCGCCGUUACUACCCCAGAAGGCAUCGGCGGGCAAUUGAUUCAUCAAAUUUGGCGGCAACCCGUGGAACAUCGGAUCACCUGACCCGCCUCCCAUACCCGCCUGCUGCUGUUGCUGUUGCGGUACAGUUCCGGGUGACCCGAUCGCCUGACCCGCUCCCGCCAUAUGCUGCUGCGGUGGGUCCUCCUGAUAUUCCANNNNNNNNNNNNNNNNNNNNNNNNNNNNNNNNNNNNNNNNNNNNNNNNNNNNNNNNNNNNNNNNNNNNNNNNNNNNNNNNNNNNNNNNNNNNNNNNNNNNNNNNNNNNNNNNNNNNNNNNNNNNNNNNNNNNNNNNNNNNNNNNNNNNNNNNNNNNNNNNNNNNNNNNNNNNNNNNNNNNNNNNNNNNNNNNNNNNNNNNNNNNNNNNNNNNNNNNNNNNNNNNNNNNNNNNNNNNNNNNNNNNNNNNNNNNNNNNNNNNNNNNNNNNNNNNNNNNNNNNNNNNNNNNNNNNNNNNNNNNNNNNNNNNNNNNNNNNNNNNNNNNNNNNNNNNNNNNNNNNNNNNNNNNNNNNNNNNNNNNNNNNNNNNNNNNNNNNNNNNNNNNNNNNNNNNNNNNNCUGGUGGGGGUCGUUAACGCCUGUCCUGCCGCUCUUCUCGUCAUCAGAGUUGUGUUGUUGCUGUUGCUGGUGGUGAUGGUGGGAGAAUUGCUGGGGGAGGAGAUGGUGGAAAUCUCUGGUGUGGAAUGGAGGCGGGAGGGAAUUAUCGUGGGCCGUCACCGGAUCCAUUUUUUUUUCUUUAAAACAAAAAGGACAACUCUCUGCUUCUUCUUCUUCUUCUUAAUUUCUUUCUCACUCCGACUAUUUGACUAUUUCUUCCUGGUUUUUUUUUACCUUUUGGCUCGGCUGGAUUGUAGGAAUCUACCAUGUUUUAAUUUGUUUAUAAGGUAUUUAGGAUUUUCUUUUCUUUUUCAAACUAUCAAGAUCGGAUACAAGGGGCUUAAUCGAAAUGAUCAAAGUUGGUUUGUCAAAAUUUUCACGAUCAACCUUGAUAGUUGUUUCAUUACUCGUGCAGAAAUGACGACGGGCAUCGUCAAGGGCUUUGAGCUGGCAGGGUCUUUAAGAACCCGACGAUUCUCUGUCCAAUUGGAUUCCAUAGCUGAACUUGCAAUUCUUUAUAAGUCAGUCUUCUUUUGACCAUCAACAUACUAUCUUGUUCUUCAGUUUCACGAGCUCUGCAAUCGUAACAGGGAGAUCGAUGUCCCCCACACAUACCACAAAUCCAAUUGUGCAGCGGAUUACUUGCAAUUAAGGAAUGAUAAUAUCGAAGAUUCCACUAAAUAGGAGGUAUAAUUAUUCUAACAAAGUAUGUAACAGAUAGUAAUUAGAAGUAAUGUUACGACAUAUUCUGUGAGUGAUAAUUCUGCCCAAAUAUGUGUGGUAGUGGACUGAAGUAAUCGGGCAACUUCAGCCAAAUCAAUGUGGAUGGUGAUGGUGGUAGAGAAUCGUUGAGUGGCGGCUACAAGGAUAAUAUGUCGGAUUGCUAAGAACUUUAGGCUAAGUGGAGUUCCUCUAGUGAUAGAGUGUGUCUGAUGAUUGUGAGAUUUAGAGUUUGAAUUCAAUAUACCUUAUAAAAUAAAUAUUAAUAAUAUANNNNNNNNNNNNNNNNNNNNNNNNNNNNNNNNNNNNNNNNNNNNNNNNNNNGUACACACCUAAGGUUUCCACAAGCAAGUUGUGGAUUCCAUUGAGAGGUUUCAUGGUGUUAUUUGAGGUCUUCGAGAAAGGCAAGGAAAAGCAUUUUUCAGCCAGCCUAAGCUAGCUAGGGUUUAUAUUAUUUUGUUAUUAGCUAGUUUGAUUUUUUAAUAANNNNNNNNNNNNNNNNNNNNNNNNNNNNNNNNNNNNNNNNNNNNNNNNNNNNNNNNNNNNNNNNNNNNNNNNNNNNNNNNNNNNNNNNNNNNNNNNNNNNNNNNNNNNNNNNNNNNNNNNNNNNNNNNNNNNNNNNNNNNNNNNNNNNNNNNNNNNNNNNNNNNNNNNNNNNNNNNNNNNNNNNNNNNNNNNNNNNNNNNNNNNNNNNNNNNNNNNNNNNNNNNNNNNNNNNNNNNNNNNNNNNNNNNNNNNNNNNNNNNNNNNNNNNNNNNNNNNNNNNNNNNNNNNNNNNNNNNNNNNNNNNNNNNNNNNNNNNNNNNNNNNNNNNNNNNNNNNNNNNNNNNNNNNNNNNNNNNNNNNNNNNNNNNNNNNNNNNNNNNNNNNNNNNNNNNNNNNNNNNNNNNNNNNNNNNNNNNNNNNNNNNNNNNNNNNNNNNNNNNNNNNNNNNNNNNNNNNNNNNNNNNNNNNNNNNNNNNNNNNNNNNNNNNNNNNNNNNNNNNNNNNNNNNNNNNNNNNNNNNNNNNNNNNNNNNNNNNNNNNNNNNNNNNNNNNNNNNNNNNNNNNNNNNNNNNNNNNNNNNNNNNNNNNNNNNNNNNNNNNNNNNNNNNNNNNNNNNNNNNNNNNNNNNNNNNNNNNNUAUGAAAGUGGUGGAUGAGAUAUUUUCAUUAGACUAACAAUCAUUGAGUUUUGUAGAAUCCAAGGAAAAGUACUAGAGAUAUCGUCAAAGUCGAAAAACGGUGUUUGAGAUAUUUUUGAAAAAAGAUGAGUAAAUAGAUUAAUUUUAGUUUUAUAUAUUCACAGAUCAUUGUAUUCUAUUUUUUAUAUAACUAGUACAAUGCAUUUUUAUGUAUUUAAUAAUUAAACUAGUGGCUGAAUCAAGAUGAUAUGGAUCUAGGCGUGAAUUAUAAGAAAAAGUCAAUGAGAUAUAUGCAUAAAAAAGUCAAUGAAUCAUAUCAUACAAGGCAAUCGAGAUUGAACCAUAUAUGGUAUAAAAAUUGACCUAAUUUUUUUGUACGUAAUGAGGCAAUUGUUUUGUCAUUUUAUUAAUGCUGAAAUUUCAGAAUUUGAAAAUAGACUUACAUUAUUUAAGUAUUAAUAAAUUUAAUUAAGAGGUAUAUUUUCGAUAUGAGUUUACAAGCUGGACAGAAGAAAGCUACAACCAUCGACUCUGUCAGAAGAGCAAACCCGAAAAAAACAAAACGAAUCGAUGGAAACAGGCUUAGUUCAAACAUGACCCGAAAAAUAGAAUUACACUAUGCUCUACCGCUUUAUUUAUCAAAUACAUACAUAUUAAUUAUAUGACUUCGGGGUUAGGAAGUUAUAAAGCUGUAGACCCGCGUAGACACAAUGUCGGGGUUCUAAAUUUUCAUAGGGACCCCCCGGAAUUCUUUCCAACGCCUGUUGAAUAAUUUUUAUGGAUUGGGCCUUGGAAAGUUUUAGUAUAAACAGGAGGGAUUCGCAAAUCCUCCAGACGUAGGGCUCGCAGGGCUUUAAACACGACAUGCUGUUUUUUUCCAUUCAUUCCUUUCAGGAUCAGUCGCGGUCUUACAAACUAUACCNNNNNNNNNNNNNNNNNNNNNNNNNNNNNNNNNNNNNNNNNNNNNNNNNNNNNNNNNNNNNNNNNNNNNNNNNNNNNNNNNNNNNNNNNNNNNNNNNNNNNNNNNNNNNNNNNNNNNNNNNNNNNNNNNNNNNNNNNAAAAUGGUCGACUUACCCCAAUGUAAUUAUAUUUAUUUAGCACACCGUUGUCAAGAUGAACGUUAAUGUGUUGAGAAAAACACAUUCUUCUUAACCCGAAAUGGUUGGGGAGAGGAAAGGUUUACUUACCUUUACCACUGAAUAUGAUCAAGUGUUUCCAUCAACAAGUUAUAUUUGCUGAUAGUUUUACUUGAGCCAUUGCGGUAAAAUUUAUCCUCAAAAGUUAAUUUGAAAAAGAUAUAUUUAAUGAUGUGAUAUUCAAUUGAUACGUAACGCAUUAAUUUGGACCAUCAAAUCAUAUUGAACCGAAUUAAAAUGGCUGACUAACAAUAUUUAUCAGUAAAUCGCUUAACCAAAUUUAACUGUGUAAUAAUAGAAAAUAAUUAGUGAGGGAAGCGACAAAUUAAGGAGGGGGGCGUACCCACGUGAAAAUGUAAUGACUUUACUCACCCUCUUAAUUCUUAUAUAUUACUCUCACUAAUCUUGUCUUUAAUUUUGAAUCUGUUUCUGUCUUUACCUUUUCUUUUCUUUCUUAAAGCUUGUUUUUUUCCUUUUUUUUUAUCGGAAGAAAUUAAGAUAUAUAGUGAAUAUAAAUAAAAAUUAAAAAUCGAUCUAAAUUAUGAGAUCAACCCGCUACAACAUAGGAGAUAUAAAAAGAGCAUGUCACACCAUUUAAAAAAAACAAUUCUAUCAACUGAUUGGCAAACAACUUGCAUCUGGAGUCGAGAGCAUCCCGCUAUAAAGGCACCACUUGCCAUAUACCGUACUCCGCUAAAACAAACGGGUAGGAACCAUCUCAACAUCCUCUUUAAAAUCCACCUGCAAAAUGAAGAACCAAAACAACGCUCGCAUGCAUCGUGUAUGGUUGGAGCUCAAAAUCAUAGAAGUCAAAGAAGUCUAGAUAUGUCAGCCCUACCCUGCUCACACUUCAAAUGACCAACCCCGCCAUCCGAAAUCAAAACCACCUCAACCACAUUGAUUUUGAGUCCGGACAUCGAAAACAUCCCAAUCAAUCAGUCAGUGACCCCCACACCACAUUUUUCAUUGCUCCUAUGCCAUUUCUGUUUUUGGACAUGUAAAUUUCAAUCAUAUUGCAUCGUGUCAUUAUCGUAAUAAAGAUGGAAAACAGCUUAAUUCACAUAAUCGUAUCAAGGUCGGUUUCAGUCGCAUCACCUAUCAUACACUUAAACCAUCAUUGCCGAUAGUCAUUAAUAAUACAAUCAUGCAAAAAUACACAUCAACGCCGGGCAUACACGUUUGGCCGCCGGGGGAGCCAUUAUCCCAAAACGUCCAUCAGUUCCUUAUUUCCUAUUCAAAGGUUCGUCCGCAGAUAUUUCGGCGGGCAAGUAAUAGAGUCUUUUAUUUAAUAAUUCAAAUGACCCUUAGAUAUUUUUAAAAAAUGUCGUCGAUAAUCUUCACACAGUGAUUAUACAUUUUUUGAUAUUUUACUGCUAUUUUUCGUCGGCCCAAAAAGCCUAUUUAUUAAAAAAAAUCAUGCAACAAUACAGAAAUUGAUCACGACCAAGCGGAGUUCUGGGGUGUAAAAGGUGCUGACAAGGAGGGAUGAUGGGCCGGGCUUCAAAUCCAACAAUUUAAGUGUCUCCAUGUUACAGGCUUACAUAAACAGGCUUAAUUAACCCAUGUUAUCUGGCCCAAUCAUUGGUCCAUAAUAUGAUUUUUCUAUACUGUAGGCUUCUAUAUCCGUGGAAAAUCGUACCGAAUUAAUCCAAAUGUUUCAUGGGCUUUCUGAUGUCAAGGAUUAUUACUUAUUUUUAGAGUUUGAUAAUAUCAUUCAUAUCCACGUUUAUUCAACACUAUUGGAUUAAUUUUGCUAAUAUCUAUAUUAAACGAGUUAUGGAGGUGGGUAUAAGGUAUAUCUGCUAAAAAUGAGCGGAGAUGGAUCGAAAAUAAAUUUAGGUAUCGCACUCCAAUAUUACAUCAUUUGGAUAUGAAGCAAUUUCAAUUGAUUCUCACUAAUUCGUCCUCUCAUUUUUCUCUAUUAUCUCUGGUUUAGCUUCAAACAAUUUACUUUUGGUAUGAUAAUAUUUCACCAAAUUGGUCAUUCUCUCUCGUGUGAAUCAAAUGGAUCAACACAUCCUUUUGGCUCUUUUUCGCCAUGGAAGAGUUUUUUUUAAUGUUAAGUCAGUCAUUCAUUCCAUCAAACCUUAAAAAUUUAUUAUAUGAGUGAAUCAGUCAUUUGAAAAGACCAGAUUCCUGAUCGAGACAGUAAUCCAAUUUACGAGCGAGUUGAGAGAACAAAUAGUGAAAACAACUUGUAUCCUAAAAUUGAGGCAAAGGGACGAUUGCAUCGGAAAAAAGAGAGCUGCACAUUCCCACGACCACGAUAGAUCACGUCGGGUGAGGCAAUUCACCAAGGUCUAACAGCCAGAGAAGAUGCCAAUCGAGCCCGGAGAGGAGAUAGCCAAAGAGAUAGCUCCGUGAAAAGCGCGUGCCUCUACAACAAUCGGAGACGAACAAACGAUCCAUCUGGUGCUAUUAGAAAUGUUCCCCUCACUAGUCAUAAUGAUUAAGGAAAGUGGCCAGAUAAAAAUUCGAUAUAAUCAAUCAAUUAGAUAUUUAUCACACAUAUAUCUACAUAAUCGCUUUGAUGAUAAAAGUCAUAAUUAAUCAUCGAAUAGAAAAAAAUGCUUAAUAGGAACUUUUAAAUGAAAUAAAAACUUUGAGUGAUUAGCAUGAAAUCAAUUUGUAUAACUCCUCCUCCACUUUUUCUUUUCAUUUAAAUAAUUUUCCAACCCCUAUUGGGUUCUUUUAUUUAUUUACUGAUUUUGUAUACAGACGUGAAAUGCAAGCGCCACUCUCUCUGUAGCUAUUAAUUUAUGCUUUUCAAUAUUGUUCAAAUUUGUCCUAUUUAUUAUUGCAUUUUUUUUUAAAUCAUUAAAAAGUUAGGUCGGGUUACCGACCAAAAUAGGUUCACCCCAUUCCCACGUCAAGGACAAAGUUUAAGUAAAAUAAAAUACUUUAAAGAGAUGGGCAUUUUAAUUAUAAAAUACAUAUUGCUUACCACAAGCAUUUACUCAAAAAAAUCGUGAUAAUUUUGUUCUUUUCUUCAAGGUGAAAGUAAAGUAAAUAUAUAAUUAUUNNNNNNNNNNNNNNNNNNNNNNNNNNNNNNNNNNNNNNNNNNNNNNNNNNNNNNNNNNNNNNNNNNNNNNNNUUAAUUGAUUCUUGUUUUGGAAGAUGAAAGUGAGUAAUUACGUUGUCUGAUGUUAAAAUUAAUUAUUGUUGUGACGGAGUCAUUAUUGUAGGAGAGUGGUGCAUUUUAAUAAAUUAUUAUUCAUAUAAAUUCAUGAUNNNNNNNNNNNNNNNNNNNNNNNNNNNNNNNNNNNNNNNNNNNNNNNNNNNNNNNNNNNNNNNNNNNNNNNNNNNNNNNNNNNNNNNNNNNNNNNNNNNNNNNNNNNNNNNNNNNNNNNNNNNNNNNNNNNNNNNNNNNNNNNNNNNNNNNNNNNNNNNNNNNNNNNNNNNNNNNNNNNNNNNNNNNNNNNNNNNNNNNNNNNNNNNNNNNNNNNNNNNNNNNNNNNNNNNNNNNNNNNNNNNNNNNNNNNNNNNNNNNNNNNNNNNNNNNNNNNNNNNNNNNNNNNNNNNNNNNNNNNNNNNNNNNNNNNNNNNNNNNNNNNNNNNNNNNNNNNNNNNNNNNNNNNNNNNNNNNNNNNNNNNNNNNNNNNNNNNNNNNNNNNNNNNNNNNNNNNNNNNNNNNNNNNNNNNNNNNNNNNNNNNNNNNNNNNNNNNNNNNNNNNNNNNNNNNNNNNNNNNNNNNNNNNNNNNNNNNNNNNNNNNNNNNNNNNNNNNNNNNNNNNNNNNNNNNNNNNNNNNNNNNNNNNNNNNNNNNNNNNNNNNNNNNNNNNNNNNNNNNNNNNNNNNNNNNNNNNNNNNNNNNNNNNNNNNNNNNNNNNNNNNNNNNNNNNNNNNNNNNNNNNNNNNNNNNNNNNNNNNNNNNNNNNNNNNNNNNNNNNNNNNNNNNNNNNNNNNNNNNNNNNNNNNNNNNNNNNNNNNNNNNNNNNNNNNNNNNNNNNNNNNNNNNNNNNNNNNNNNNNNNNNNNNNNNNNNNNNNNNNNNNNNNNNNNNNNNNNNNNNNNNNNNNNNNNNNNNNNNNNNNNNNNNNNNNNNNNNNNNNNNNNNNNNNNNNNNNNNNNNNNNNNNNNNNNNNNNNNNNNNNNNNNNNNNNNNNNNNNNNNNCACCCCCCCACCCCACCCCUCCCGCCCCCGCGGCGCUUCCACAGCCGCAUGUAUCGGCCGGAGUUCUGCCGGCGACCUUGAUUCCCGGGAAGAAAAAGCGAGGCCGGCCAAGAAAGUACCGCCCAGAUGGGAGUGCCGCCAAGCCACUGUCGCCGAAACCCAUCUCCUCUGCAGCUCCGGCACCGCCACCUGUUAUCGAUUUCUCCGCCGAGAAGCGCCCUAAGGUGGAGCCGAUCGCCAAAAAGUAUGAACCGCCUGCGGAUAAGUUUGGUGAGUUGACAAAAAUCUUUCGCUUGUUUGUGGAUAAAUUUCGAACUUUUGGUGUUUGUUCGGAAGUGGGUUUUUUAUGGAAAAAUUUGUUAGGCGUACGGAAUUGAAGUUCGUUAGCUAGUAGCAGCCGUCCUUUCUUAUCUAUUGACAACUUUAUUUGUGGGGACGUAAAAGGAUGGAUAUCCAUCAAGUUGUGAUCUUUGAUUGAGAGAGUUUGUGGGAAGGUACUGUUGAUUUUGGUGGCCUCUUCUGCUACCGUGACAGAGUUGCAGAAGGGGCUGAUAAGAGGUGAAAAAGCUUCAUGCUUUUCUGGUUCUGGUGACUCAUGAUGACAUAAAACAUCAUAUGCGGUUCUCUCUUUUGUUGAUUAUGUUUCGGGUUGUUGGUUUCGGUUUGUUCUUUCCACCCGUAGACCUUGGUCUUUGACCGCCUGUGUUGGUCAAGUUUGCUUAAAUAGUCGCGCUUUUCCAUGGUUUGGCGGUUUGGUCUUUCCUAGUAAGAAAGUUGUGAACUUUUGAGAAUGGUGUUUGAAUUUUGAUGUUGAUUUUGUAUCAGAACAUGCACCUGUGGGGGAGUGGGUCUCAUGCUCUGUUGGCGCUAAUUUCACUCCUCAUAUCAUCACUGUAAAUGCUGGAGAGGUAAUUCUGCUGCUGCUGCUCUGAAACAUGAUUUGCUUGCAAUCUCAUUCUGCAUGUAAAAUCUGGAUUUUGAAAUAUGAGAUAAUGACCGAUUUAGGAUAUGUUUUGCGUGUGAUGACUUUUGCGAUUCAUGAUCCUAGAGUUUGUUAAGAGUUGGUUAUGACUUUGGUCUGGUUCAUCAUACUUAGGAUGUUACGAUGAAGAUCAUAUCGUUCUCUCAACAAGGACCUCGGGCCAUAUGCAUACUUUCUGCCAAUGGUAUAAUCUCCAAUGUCACGCUGCAUCAGCCUGAUUCUUCUGGAGGUACACUAACUUACGAGGUAAUAGUUUCUUCGUUCCUUAACAUCGCCUUUUACUAUGACGCACAUGGGUUUACUUCGCUAUCGUCGUUGAUUCAAUUGUCGCAGUUGACAGAACAAUUUGCAGGUUGUUUGGUCUUGAACUAUGCAAAACUGACCUCUUCCUAUCGAAUUUCAUUCAUCCAGGGUCGGUUUGAAAUAUUAUCGUUGUCUGGUUCAUUCAUGCCUAGUGAAAGCGAAGGGACAAGGAGCAGAACCGGUGGGAUGAGCAUCUCGUUGGCAAGUCCAGAUGGACGCGUCGUGGGUGGUGGCAUCGCUGGUCUAUUAAUAGCUGCGAGUCCAGUACAGGUUUUGCUUCUUCAUGUUCUUUCCCAUUUGCUCAUUCUGAUCUUUUUGCUUUCUUUGAACACUUUUUAACUUCUGCUCUGGGGAAUCAGGUUGUGGUGGGCAGCUUUCUCGCCGGGAACCAGCACGAACAGAACCCGAAGAAGCAUAAUAAGCACGAUUCCUUUACCAUCACAACCACAUCGGCGACUCACGUAUCUAUUGCUGAUCCAACAUCCGCAGUCACAUCUUCCUCGUUCCGGGGAGAUACUUGGUCUGCAGUCCCAACAGAUUCGAGAAAUAAUAAAAGUGAGAUUAACAUGACUACUGUACAUGCAGGGUGAGCAAACUAAAAACCAUGGAGGUUCCCAGUAUUUACUUACUACUACUGCUACUACUUCCCGCUCGAAGACCAAGUCAUAAGAGAGUUGGUGUAGGAUCAUUGGGAUUCUCACCGCUUAUGUUUUUGUUUGAUAUUCUUCUUACAUGUCUUUGUUGUGUCUUGUCAGCGUUACUUUUGUCUGUAUGUGGGAAAGUUGACUUCUUUUUUCUUUGUUUUUUAUGAAGACAUUUGUUGUUCUUGUUAGAUAUAGAAAAAGGGUUUUAGUGAUUAGCACGUUAGAUAGUGUGAGGCUGCUGAUUACUGUCUCAUUGUACAAUCUAUGCACAAAAUUCAGAUCUGAAUGCAUCCUUUGGUUGAUGGAAUCUAUGUUAAAACAUUCAAUACAAUAACCAACCAAAAAUAUACCAAAACAUUCAAAGCACACUCACUGAAUCUGUUCUUCUCCUCACGGGUACAACUAUGUGCUAAAAAUCGAGCUCUGAAAAUUUUCGGUAAAUCUGACAACUGCAGGCUUUUUCGUUUUAAUGAUAACCAGGAGGCGAUGACCAAGGUGAGCUGUUUUGGUUGUCAACUACGUCGUUAACUAUACUUUGAGGUCGGACUAUUUUGUCUAUGAUGCCAUAGUCCAUGGCCUCAUGAGAUUUCAAGACUAGACCCCCUCUCUUCAUGUCCUGUUCAAUCUGCACAGACACGGAUAUUUACAUACACUGCAUGCAAAAGGAAUCCAGAAACGAACGAGGCAGUAGCCAGAUAGGUCCACAAAAUGAAUGAGACGUAUGAGACUACAAGUUUCCUGACCUUCUCAACUGGCUGUCCGGUGUUCUUCGAGAACUCCUGGUAAAGAUAAUUCUUGAUUCUAACAAGUUCAUCUCUCUCGGCCUUCAUUGCAUCUGCCUGAAAGUAGAAGUCGUCAAAGUCGGAGUUAUAUAUUAGCAAAAAUAUAUUCUUUUAGUGGCCUGCUUCCAUUUAAAGUUUGCAUAGCAACAUUUGUACCUCGCCACGAGCUGCCCCAGCAGGAGCUUCUAGCGUCAGCCUACAGUUAGGCAUUCCUGAUCGAUAUCCCUAUUACAAGAGAAAAAGUGAUUCAGCUAACAUACAAAUUUCAAGGGCGUACAUGAUUUUAAAUGUAAGGCUCGUAAAGGAUCCAAUUAUUGAUCAAUGGGCAACAUCAUGUUCCGCAGUUAUCCAUAAGAUCAAGUAUGCUCUCAUGCGACAUGGAAAAUAUUACACAAGGAAACUAACCAAUGUGUAGCUAUCAAAGUUGGUUACAUCAAUCAGGAUAGUACAAAGCAAUAGCAACGUAAUAUCCAAUUCCGAGUCUGCAGUUAUUCCCAAAAUCUUCUAAAUGGACCCAAGUACUUCCUUCCUGCUUAUAUGUGCACAACAAAGUUGCACCCUGAAACCUUAGAGACUUUGUAUUUAAGCCUUGGGGUCAACAAUUAUCUAGAAAAAGUCACUGAAUCCUCCCCUAGCACAUACACAGAUAUGCAACGGAUGCUUCGAUUUUUCAAAAGUAAGGCACAAUGAAGAUACUAUAUCACGAGAAGAACAUAUGGUGGUGCUGGUAAGAAUUUUGCCAGUUAACAAGAAAUCUUACUUUGUCUCCAGCUGCAAUCAUAAAAGUUGCCAUAUUAUACGAAUACCCUAUGCAGUGGGUACCAAUAGGACUGCUCAAGGCCUUCAUAGCAUCGUAGAUAAUUAAGCUGGGACUAAGCUGCGCACACAAGAAUGCACUCUUAGCUGAAAACACACAGAAGAGCAGUGUUAUAUACCAUAUUGAGGAUAAAAGGUUAACAUAAACUUACAUCUCCACCAGGGCCAUUAAAGUAGAAAUACAUUCUCUUGGUAUCGUCGACGCUAUCAAGAUACAACAUUACCCCCAAUAAUUUGUUGCUGUAUUGUGUAUUGAUCGCCCGAGGGACAAAGAUUAUUCUCCUCCUUUGCUGCAGCAAAUGAUUUUUGGUAAGGUUUUGAGUCAUAGAAGAAAAUGGUUUUGAACCAUCUAAACCAGAGGAAACUCAUCGUCAGAUGAUGUGGUCAACUACUGUAAACUGUGUUACACUAUCAGCCAUCAAAUUUAAGGUCAAACAUCUUUACUACAAUGGAAUUAAUCGGUACACAAACAACUUACAAGGGCUGUAUACACAUCAACAUAUUGCACAGAAUUCUCCCCAGGAGUUUUACUGAGUACGCGUGGUGUACCACCGAAACUCAUUUCGAUUGCUGCUGGCUGUUUGGAGUUUCGAAUCCUGCAGAAAAAAGGCAUAACCCAAAUGAAUAAAGUAGCUGUCUUUACAACCAACAGCCCUAUACUAAAGAUUUACCCGCGGCGGCUUCGACGGAAGAAAUCUGCAGUGGAAUUGGGUGAUAUGGCACCAUAGAGACCUGCAAUUUGAAAGCACAAAGCAAUCACGACAAUGAAGAAGUUUAACGAAUUAGAGAGAGAGAUAGGGAGAGCGAGUGAGGAGAAUAGAACUUGAAGAUUGAGCCUUUAAUCCAGAGCAAAGCUUUGUUCCGAGGCUGAAUACAAAAAAAACAAAGAGGAUUCAAUCCUUAGGAUACGAGGGGAUUAUAAUUUGCAAACAUUGCCAAAUGUUUAGCUUUGGACCUGAGAGAAGGUUGAUGAAGGUUAGUAUUCAGCGUGGACGCCAUUGUUGAUGGAGUUUUCGACAGCUGAGUAGCGAGUUUUACAAGUCUUCUGGGGUUCAAGGAUUAGAAAUGGGGGGGGAUUUGAUUGAAGGUGGCAUAUACUAGUACUAUGCUGGUUCCAGUAUCACAGUAAGACUCAGCCCAAUAGCUAAGGGUACAUGGGUUAGAUUUCACUCAAUAAUUUUACAGUGGAUCAUGUGUUUAAGGGCUUGGCCCUUGUGUUUUUUUAAGAACGAAUUUAAACUGUGCCUCUUCCUUCUACGGCGAUGUCGGCUGCUGUUCUUCUCCUCUUUCUUUCGAGAAUGGAGGAAUGAAUGCAAGAGGAACUAAUGAACAAUUAGAGUAUUUUUUUCCCGGCUAGGCAACAAUUUAUUGAGCAACUCCCGUCUAACACCUUUUUGAACCUUGGAUGAAUCUAAUCCACCAAGCGAGGAGCAAACCCAACACUGUCAUCAAUCAGAAAAGGAAAAACCAAUCAACCUGACCUAAUCUUUUCCCAUGUCAAUAUUAGAUGGUGCAUCAAUUCACGAGCCAAAAUAAUGUUAUAUUUUUAACAUCAAUUAACAUUCUUCACAGUUGCAGGUCAGCGAACCUCUAUCGUUGGUCAUUGGGACCUCACGAUGUUAAUAAUCGAGAUUAUGGAAUCCAAUAACAUGUUAUAGUAUCAUGUAAGGUAUAGGCUCACCGGAGGUGGAUGUGACAACAUCAUUGUAAAGCGACAUGAGAUUAUGGUAGUGAGAACGAGGUGAUUCAAAAGUACACAACUUGAUGUACGAACUUUCUGAUGUUGUAGAACCGGUUGAUUCAAAGCACACAACUCUGAACGUAGAGUACUCUAAGAAGGCAAAUGCGAUAUUUGAUUUUGGCCGACUAUAUCGCAAUAUCUCUGCUGAAUUUCGAGCACACUUUGGGUACACAUUCAGGCAUUCUCUUACCAAUAUUCACUCACCAUUGUGGGGAAACCAUCUUGAACGGCUGCAAUGUUGAUUUCUGCUGCACUUCCUGCAUGGCUGACCAAAUUAUAGGCCUAAUCUGUAAAGUAACAGUUCAGAAUUCCAGCAAACUUCUGCAAAAUUGGGAGUAAAUAGCCGACAAAAAGAAAGAAUCCAGUUGGUUUAUGGGAACAGUACAAGGUAGAAAAGAAGCAGAGAUUUUGAUGAUGUAAAAGCUAAAGCCUUCAGACUGUAUUGAGUAGUGGGUUUGAUUACAUUAAGGGGAUGUAAUUGGAGCCCAGUUCAGUAAAUCGAGCUACAACAACCACACCUCACCCUUUUCAAAUCUCCGUUCUUUCACAAUCAUCAUCAGGCUUGCCAAUAAAAGAGGGUUCAUCACAAGGUUGAUGAGAACCAAGAUUCCUGCAAUUUGCAGGACGAAUCAUAGGCAAAGUGUAAAGAUAGAAACUUUAGACACUGUAUACAUAGGCAAAUGAGCUUUCAACCAGAAAUACUGAAGAAAAGCAAGUGAAGCUGCGUCUGAAUCUUGAUGAAAACCACAAGCAUCUUAGACAGCAUCAAGAAAAGGUAAGAGCUUUGCCGUUCGUAGAAGCAAAUUUAGAAUCCAGAAGUCAAAAACUAAGCUGAAAUUAUAUUUCCCACAAGCUGAAAGAAGAGCAAUCUACUAUCUAAUCUUAGCCAAACAAACUCCCGAACCAUUUUUGUCAAAAAAAGCUAUAAGCUGUUUAUAAUCAACAUAGAUAAGACAAAUGAUCAUCCUGGAACUCCCCCCAUUAUCUCAGUUACACAAACUUCUUCUACCUCAUUCAAUUCAAGGCAGAAAAUGUAUGGACUCUAUAUCUCCUGUGAAUAUUCCGCAACUUAGUCCAUGUCGAAGGGUACAAUUACGCAAUUUAGUCCAUGCUGAAGAGUACAAUUGCGCAACUCAGUCCAUGUCGUGAUCUUCCAAUGCCGUCAAGAUCAUCCUACAGCCACCAAACAAUGUCAAUCCAAAAUUCAACUAAAUGAAUAUCAUCUGAUGAGACCAAGAAAAUCAAAGCAGCGUCAACAUACCAGAAUAUUGCUAGAAAAAGGAGGACGAUGAGGUAGAACAAUUUAUAGAGCCGCUGCUUCUUUUCGGCAUGGAGCAAGUUGAAAACCUCAGUAACAUCUAUCAGAUGUUGUUUUCGAGUGUAUCUAAAUCACAUGAACACAAAGACUAGUAAGGUAAACUAGUCUUGAAGUAUCAAUUACAGGAAGCAGAACACAAAAUAUCUACAAGUUACUACAUACACACAAAAGGGAACAGGAAGCUUGAGGGAAAGAAAACCACAAAUUGCAACAAUAAACUGGACGAUAACAGAAAGAGCAAGCUGAAACGAUAACAGUAGUGACUAAGAAAUAGCAUCAGAUAUUCAGAUUAGUUCAGUAAUUCAGUUAAUAACCUAUCUAAGUUUUAGCUUCAAUAUGAAUGAUAAUUAACCAGAUGAUUAUCUACGCAUGAAUGUUCUAUAGGAGUGCUCAAAGGAACAAAUACCACUCGAACAUAUACAAAGAAAAAUGGCUAACUUACAGCCUGACGUUGUAGUAGAGGUAAGGAGCACACAAGAGAGCCAUACACCAAUGCCCUGUGAGAAGGUAAAACAAGCACAAAGCUCCUUCCGUGAUAUACUCUGGCAAAAUCACUUUGUUUACCCUCGAUGAAGAGUCAUAUGGAUUGAUGUAAUCGAACUCCAAAUCUGCCAAGCACAUCAGCUGCCAGCACAAGCCCAUAAUAAACACAAAAGAAAUAAGAACUAGAACUCGCCCACAUUACAAGUAAAUACAUAAUUCAUAAAACAUGGUCUAAUUAUUCUGAGUAACCGCUUCAAGCAAGCUAUCAAGGCUACAGAAGAAGUUCUUUCUAGACCAAUAACCCUCUCAUGGAGAAGAAGAUGAGAAAUCGAGUCAAGUUUCCAACUUUCAUCUAGAACUAGAACAAAGAUGAACAACGAAAAAAUGACAACAUUUGAGUAGUAAUUCAAUCAAUAGAGCGGGGGAUAGGGGAGAAUAUAAACCUGGAAGACGAUGAUGACGAGUAGGGCAAUAAGGAAAAAGAAGGAGAUUAGCCAUACGUAUAGAUCUCCCAUGCUCCUUCUACCCUACUCUGCCUUUCUCUUUAUCUCUUCUGUUCUUCUUCUUCUUCCUCCUCCUCAACAAUUGGGUUGACGGAGGUGCGCGAGAUUAAGCUUGCCGGCGAUGCCUCCUGGCUUAUUGUGGUCGGCUCUUCUCGAUCUCUCUUCCCAUCUUCAAUCCGACACUGUAUAUUUCGUUUCUGUCCGCUGGUCUCUGGCUUUCUUUUCUUCCUUUAUUUUCUGAAAUUACUUUUUUUUUUCGUUACGAGGGAGGGAACAUGAGUCUUAAUAAUUAACUAGUAACCAAUAUUAUAAUUUCGAGAGGUGGAGAGUUACUAAGUUCAUUAAAAUUAAAAUUUUAGUUUAUUUUAAAAUAAUUAUAAAAAGGUAACCAAUUUGAAAAUCUUAAAUACUAAAAAUAAGUAUAUUACAUUAUNNNNNNNNNNNNNNNNNNNNNNNNNNNNNNNNUUUUUUUUAAAUCGUCAUAAGAAGGUUUUUCAUCGUCAGAUCUUCAAAAAUAAUUUGAACCGUCUAAAAAUAAUCAAAAGCAAAAUCAUAUGAGAAAUACAUAGGCAUUUGUGGUUCCCCUAUGGCUUUAAAUUUAUUUUAAUUUUAAUAGUUUAUUUUUUAUUUUUUUAUUUUUUCUAAGACACACACAGAGGGAAAGAAGAGUAUGAUCGAUUGCUAAAUGUAUUUAAUUAUUUAAAUAUCUCAUUCAAAUAAUCUGUAAAGUUUAAAAAAGAAACUAAAGAUAAGAUAGUAUAAAGGCUUUUUUGUUAAGAAAAGGGAACAAAACAAAUAUCUUGAGAUGAAGAAAUAAAAAGUCUUGCAGUCACCGUUGAAUCCAUGAAAAUGAAAGUAGGUGUGGCGCCGAUAUAUACAACAACGAAUAUGGCCUAUCCGACAGCCUUGAACUCAAACGUUAAUGGCUCUGUGAUGUCGGGAAACACUUUGACCCGAGGCGACGAGCACAUGGUUAGUUGCAUUCUGGAGUUCCAAACCUAUGGUCCUCUGGCUUAACGGUCAAGCAGCUGCAUCCACAUGUAUCUUCGAAGGGCGGACACUUGUAGCAACCACCUGCAAAACGUUUCAAGUUGGUGACUCCAUCCAACUACUCCCAGGCAAAAUUCCUAAUCGCUUCUCUCUGACAGCUUUUCUCAGACAUCUAACAUCACCCCAUUUCCCAGCUGAUGCAUAUAUGUUAGCAAGAAGAGAAUAAUACGCAGCUGUAUUGGGUUCCAACUCAAGGCAAUGGUUAGCUGCAAUCUCUCCAAUCUCCACAUUGUUAUGUACUUUACAAGCAAGAAGCAAAGCUCCCCACACCUCUGCACGAGGCUGCAUUGGCAUGGUCUUUAUCAUCUCAUAUGCCUCUUCUAAUCUUCCCGCUCUACCAAAGAGAUCGACCAUGAUCGCGUAAUGGUCGUUUGAAGGCAUCAGAUCGUGGCCCUUCAUCACGUGAAAGCAUUUGUAGCCUUCUUCGACCAUACCGGAGUGGCAGUAUCCACUUAAAAGCCCUGUAAAUGUGGCUAAGUUGGGUGGCACUCGAGCUUCCUCCAUUGCUUCGAACAACUUGAUGGCUUCGUUGAUUUUGCCGUUCAUUCCAAACCCAGAUAUCAUUGCGCUAUAAGCAACCACAUCUUUCUUGUUUAGCCUGAUAAACAUUUCUUUUGCUUUCUCGAUGUUUCCACAUUUCGCAUACAGGUCGAUCAGUGCAGUAUUCAAUUGAUCAUCUGUAUCAAUUCCGACAUUCCUUAUAUACGACUCCUCGAUCCAUGACCCGAAUGUCAAGUCCCCAACUUGCGAGCAAGCAGAGAUAACACUAACCAGAGUGAUCUUAUCAGGAUGGAUAUGUACCUGAGUUUUCAGCAUCUGGUUGAACAACUGAAGAGCCUCCUGUGGUCUGCUAUUCUUAACAAGACAGGAAAUCAUGGCAUUGAAUGACAAAAGAUCUUUCUUAGCAAGAUUCCGAAACAACUCCUUGGCAGAGUCAACAUCUCCGCAUUUUGAGUAGCCAGAUAUCAUCGUAAUCCACGAGAUAUUAUUCCUUUGGGGCAUUUCAUCAAAGUAGCUUCUUGCUGUCUCGAUCUCACCCCAAUCAACUAGUCCAGAAAUCAUUGCAUUCCAGGACGCUAAAUUUCUUUCAGGCAUCUGUUGAAAUAUAACAGAAGCUUCGUCUAUAUUCCCCACCCCAGCAUAUCCAGAUAACAUCGAAUUCCACGACACAACAUCUUUCUCCGGAAUCUGAUCAAACACCCUUUUGGCUUCAUCUAAGUUCCCGGACUUCAAAUACCCUGACAGAAUCGAAUUCCACGACACCACAUUUUUAUCUGCUAUCUCAUCAAAAGCCUUUUGUGCAGUGUCCAUUGCACCCAGUUUUGAAUAAAGAUCAACAAGGGCUGUUUGUACAUAGACACAGCUGCCAAACCCGUACUUGUAAGCUUGAGCAUGAAUCGAACAGCCAGCAGUCGCAUAUGAGAUCCUACCACAAGCCCUCAACGUAGAACAUACAGCAAUUGUACUAUGACAAAGUCCAAGUCUCAACAUUUCAACGUAGAGACAAAAUGAAUCCUUGAACUGACCUUUCUGGGAGAAGUACCUAAUUGCGCAGCUCCACGAGAAGGCAUCUGGAUUACUUGAAAGGUAAAGCAAGCCCCGAACAUAUUGUGCAAGACUUGUGGAGUAGUUGGUGGCUGAGAGUAGGAUUUGGCGUAUCAAAAGUGGUUCAAGAUAAUGGAGUCUGCUGAUAAUCAUACAUCCAUGGAUUUGUUUCGCCUGAUGAACAGUGACAUGUUUACUCAGUAAGGUUUCCAAUUUAUGAACCAACAUUCUAGUGUAACCUCAAACAAAACCUAGCUGGUAUGGCACCAUUAGCAUACUCCUAAGUUCAUCAAAAGGGUAAUGGAUUUCAACCUUUCCAUUGAAGAAAAAUUUAACAGGAAUUACUUCCUUUCUACUUGGCGACUCAGCAGGCAAGAAUUGAGCAGAGAAGGAUGUAAGAGAGGAAAAACUUCAGAUGAAUGUCCAUAGAAAAUCAAUACAAGAGUUGGGGUUGCGCAAAAUCAUGAACUACUCAAACCGAGAUAUCGAAUAUAUAAAACAUCAAAUUGAGCAAAUGGGCUCAAUCGACGAACGGCAGAAGAACUAACUGUGGGAAAGAAACUAGCUUUCAAGUUUCAAAUGUUUUCAUCAUCGAGAGGUUUCUACAGCUAGGAGUAUUCAAUUCAAACUAAUGGACAGCUACGAAGUAUAAACGAAGAAGAGCAAGGAGAUUUACUUACCCAAAAGCUAUGAAGAUGAAACCGUACGGACUUUCGUUACCGGGAGUCGACGGCGGUUGGCUAGCUGCGGACGGCAGGCAGGAGGAAGGGCCGCCGAGCCGAGCCGGGAAAAGACAAAUCCGAUGCAUAUUGGGCCUCACCAAGAACAAAGCUCGAUAAAUAAACACAGCCCAUUAACAGAAGCCCGAUAUUUAUUAGGCCUUGUGGUGGAUUUCCGGGUUCGACUCCCGGCAGUGGAAGGGAUUCUUUUUGCUUGAUGAAGGAAUUUCUUCUGUUCUGUUAUUAGUUUAGGUGCCUAUGCCUAACUAUUUAUCUCCUUCUUUUUACGAAUCAAACAUGAUGUUCUCAUUCAUAAAUUAAACAUUUGAGUAAUUACACUGAUACAACUGCGAGGCACUUUCUAAUAAGAAGAAGCAUGUAACUAAUAGUAUUUCGCAUUCUUAAUCUUCAUGACCAUGAUCGGAUCUAGACUCGAUAAACUAGAUCAAUAUCACUGCUACCCCAAUUCUAGAUGAAAACCAAAAGUAUGACAAAACAAGACGAACGUUUUUGUAAACCAAAUCAACAAUUCAAACAAUAUAACAAACUAAGAAGGAACGGAGAGGGAUACAUCGCCCAUGGUGGAUUGACCGGUGAUCCACUUAGACGAUAUUUUUAGAAGACUAGGUGAGUCGCCUCGAGCUGACUCGCCUGUACUUCAAAUCUAUACGGAUCCAGCGAUUUCAGUGGAGCAACAGUGGUGAUGCGGCCGGUUGUCGUCAGGGUCAUCUCCGUCUUCUUCCCCGAUCUCGGCAUUCCCUCCGAUAUGCAAAAAUCCCACGACGGCCCCGAGGACAAAGCUAAAACCCUAGUUUGGACAAAACAACUAUAAUAUAGUUUAAGAUGUUUUAUGCGUAUUCUCUUGAAAACUUGACUAUAUAUCUACUGUAAAUUCCUACUUGACUUACUAACCCAGCUUGUGAAAGUAAACUAGCCAAGCUAUAUAUGUCCAAAUAACAUAUAUAGUCAAGUGCUACAAGGAUGUAAUGCUCACUUUCUGCUAAGUCGUCGGCCCGCUGCAGCUCUUCUCCUAUCCUUCAAUCAAGGUCAGAUUACACUUCAAUGAUUUCGGCAGAGAAUUCUGAUUCUUUUUUGUUAACUUUGAAUUUGUAAUUCUUUCAAUUUCAGAUGGUCGGAAUUCGUACCGGUCUGCCUCUGCCGUCGGGAUGGGAGAUUCUGUCACAAUUGCUGGUUUACUUCAUGAUUGAGGAUUAUACGAAUUACUGGAUCCAUAGGCUGCUUCAUUGUAACUGGGGGUACGAGAACAUUCACAAGGUUCAUCACGAAUACGUAGCUCCGAUUGCGUUUGCUGCAACGUAUGCUCACUGGGCUGAGAUUCUGAUCCUCGGCAUCCCGACUUUCUUGGGUCCGGCUACGGUUCCUGGACACAUUAUCACAUUUUGGCUGUGGAUCUCUCUCAGGCAGAUGGAAGCCAUUGAAACCCACAGCGGGUAUGGUGAUUAAUGACGUUAAUAAUAUUUGCAUAUGCACAGUAGUAAUGAAUUAUCUUUGCAGAUAUGACUUUCCUUGGAGUCUUAACAAAUACAUCCCAUUCUAUGGUGGAGCGGAGUACCACGAUUACCAUCACUACGUUGGAGGGCAAAGCCAGAGCAAUUUCGCAUCGGUCUUCACCUACUGUGAUUACAUCUAUGGAACUGACAAGGUGAGGAAUUUUCCAUUUUGAAUCAAGUGAAGGAGUAAAUAUACUGAUCUUGUGUUGUUGGUUUCGCGUAGGGAUAUCGAUAUUAGAAGAAGAUCCUGCAGAGAGUACGAAUGCGAACCCCUGUUUGUUUUAUCGAAUUGAUAAACAUGAUUUAGUUUUUCUGAUGUUGGUUUUGGGUUUUAUGAUGAUAUCAGAUGCAAGAGGAAGAGGGAGGCUUAAAGUUGGAGUAGAUUGUAAUGCAGAGCUGCUUUAAGUAGAAUAGAAGGAGUUGGUGUUUCUCUGAAACAGAGUUUUCUCUCUGUUUUCUAUAUGGAACCAACUAACAUGGAUCGGCGGAUACAAUGGGGGCCUCCCUCAAGCUGCUGCCGAGCCCAUUUUCCGAUUUUGAACACGUAAUUUUUCUUAUAUUUUAUAGGUUGAUUAUUAUAUUUUCUAUAUAUAACUUAGUGUUUCUUCAUUUUUAUACAAUUCGACCUAAUAUAUCAAACCAUUUUAGAUCCAUCGUUAGGAAGUGUUUUCAGAAGUUUCGCACAAAAAGUUCUUAUCCAUAUGCGAAGUUAUCCUAGUUUGGAGUGAUGUAUGGACUGAAGUGUUCAGUUUUUGUUAAUAUGAUACUUGUGUUAUCCGGAAGGGAAUUUAUUUAGUAUUUAAUCUAUUCAGUAUUUACCCCAGCUGAAGAAGAAGCUUAGUAUGUUUAUGUCAAAAAACGUUUUUGAGUGUCAUAAAAAAAAAAGCACGUCUAGCUCAGUUGGUACAGCGCAAGGCCAUUGACAUUGACUUCGUGGUUGUGGGUUCAAGCUCCAUGGUGGGUGACAUUUUUUAUUUUUUCCCCUCCCAAUUAGCUUGUUAGUUAAGUGGCGGCAGAAACUGUAUUUAGAAGAGCGAAUUAAAAUAUAAUUUUUCUUAAUAACGUUGCAAAAGAAAUAAAACUUUAAUCUCAUAAUUUUUCCUCAAUUAAAUUAACCAACAAAUGAGUAGAAUACAAGAAUUAAUCUAACCUCUUCAUUUUGACGAAGUUUAUAAGUACUUGCAUAAACUCCAGAUGGUUGGAAUUCGGGCAGACCUAAAGUUGCCGACACGAUGGGAAAUUGCGGCGCAGAUUCUCGUAUACUUCAUCGUCGAGAAUUACGUGAGCUACUGGAUACACAUGGGUCUUCAUUGUAGAUGGUUAUACAAGAAGGUUCAUGAGGUUCAUCACGAAUGCACUGCUCCGGUUGCGAUUGAUGCGGUGUACGGUCACUGGAUUGAUACGAUGGUGCUCGGACUCCCUUCUUUUGUGGGGCCGGAACACGUGGUAACCCUUUGGUUGUGGUUUUCUGCACGCCAGCUGGAGGCACUCGGAACCCACUGCGGGUACGUACGUGAGUUAGAAUAUAUGCAUGCAUGUUGUGGUUUUGCAUGUUACGUAGGUAAGCAUUCCUAAUUUGCUUUUAACUGUCACUUUUAAGUAUGAUAUAAUUGUUGGCUACCUUACGAGCUUAAUUUUGCAGGUUAUGAGAAAUAAUUUUCAUUUUUUAAUGAAAAAAAAUAAUGGUUAUUACGUAAGUAUUAUGUAACGCCUUUUAUUUUUACGUGUAACAUAUUUAAUUUUAUCUGUUAUGUAAUAAAUAAUUAUUUUUAUAUAAGGAAUAAAUAUCGAUAUGUAAGCCUUAUGUAACAUGUUUAAUUUUGUCUAAUGUGUAUAUACAUGACCUAAUGUGUAUAACUAGAAAGAUCAUUAAAUUAAUAGUUGACCGAGUCUUGACUGGAAAACAACCAGAAUUCUUCGAGGGAUAUCCUUCCAAGUUGAGCCUAGAGAACUAAAUUAAUGAGCCGGCCCAGAAAUUCGGCCCACAAAAUUUUUGUGUGUGUGAAAGUUUAGCCCAACAUUUGGCUGGCUGAAAUGUUCUCAUUUGAUUGGUCUUAUAAACACCGUAUUGCUGAUUUCCAUUCCGUCCCGUUUGUUAAAGACGGACACUGGACACUUUUAUAAUAUUUAUUUAUUAUAUUUUAUUUUGUAUUGAUUGAAAUAUUUACUAAAAUAUUAUCGUUUGGUUGCGUCUUAUAGAACUUCACAAGUAGAGUAUAAUUUUAUUUAUUUUCGGCAGUACAUCAAUAUCAUCAUAAAACCCUAAAUCCUAAAUUUUCAAAAUGGUACAUAUUUACGAAUCGUUAGUGGUUUGAUCAGAAACCAAAAGACACAAUAAUUUUGCUUUCAGACUAUUAGGUAUCUUUUCCAGAGCAUCAUUUCAUUUAGGGGGUGGGACUGGGACUUAACAAUCAGUGUAUUAUUUCUCACCUUUUUCUAUAUAUAAUCUGUACACGUGUCGCAGAUCAAUUGGAAAUUAUUAUGUAUAUUUCAAACAUAUAAAAUUAAAAUGACAAAUAGGCUCCCAUUUGACUACCGGCAAGUAGGUAAUUAAGUUGGAAGAUAUUAUUCCUUAGGCAUAAUUUUGUGGAAACGGUUGUGUCUUCUUUGAUCAGAUUUGCAUACGGUUUUUUUAUUGAAUCGUUAAGGUUCGAAAAAUAAUAAAAGUGAGAUUGAAAAUUUGUAUUGGACAUAACAACACCGGACAUGAAGCCCCCGUCAGUUGCCAAUCGACCGGGGAGAUUGUAGCAUAUGUUACCAUCAACAAUGUCAAUUUAGGUCGUGUACAAUAAUGAGACUCAAUUUAGGGUGAAACAUGGGUUUCCGGCGAAUAUAUCUUGAGUUGGAUUCAUCUAUAACAAUCUCGAGUAUUUAUAAGGUUUUAGACACUAGACUUGUAUCCACAAAACUCGAUGGCUCUUGCAAAAGGAUUAGAAUGUGCUUAUUUCACAUAUGUUUCGAGUUGAUAACCGACUAGCUUGCUCACUUUGGACACAUGGGACGUUCUUUCUAAAAAAAUAUUUGUUACCCUGAUUCAAUAAUUAUUUUACUCAUACCUACUUUGCCCUUAUUUACCACCACAAACCGUAACGUUACGAAAAAUCCAGAAUACAAAGAAACGACGGUCAACAAAUCAAGUUAAUUAACCAAACCGAAAGCUGAGGAAUCAUUCAACUGUAUUGUAUUAAUUAAAUUAUUAAAAGCAACAAAGUGGUUUUGUCUUUGGAGAAGGGACCCGUGCCGGAGGCACCGAGGCAGUGCGAAUUGGACUCAGGACCCAGGAGUAACCAACUCCACAAUCCAUCUUAUUAUCGAUUGUUUAAUGUUGAAUCGUAUAGAAGUUAAAAAUAUAUUAAAUUAUAUAUAAAAAAUAUAUUAACCAACCUAUAAAUAUAAGAAAAACUACAUAAUAUCAAUGCUCGGAAAUGAAAACUAUUCGCCCCACACGAGGUUUCUGAAUAAGUGAUUGUCUGAUAAUGAGCAAGAAAUAUACGUCUUUCCGCUAAACAGAGUGCAUUGAACUCAUAAUUCAUUAGAAACUUUUUAUGAAUGUCAACUAAGGAUCGUAAGUAAAUUGCUCCCGGCUCUUCAAUCAUUUGAUAACCGGAGUCAUUCUUUGAUAAAUGAUCACUAUGAGUCAGACUCAAUAGAAUUUGAUCAAUCCUUUUUUCUGUCGUUAAGGUGACGAAAUGACGGAAUAAAUCUCUUUCUUUAUCCUCAACCAACUCACUGGUCGCGAUAAAGGAUUCUAUUGGAUCAUCAAUCCAAUCACUGUUUUUUUUUUUUUUUUUUUUUUGAAAACAAACGAGUCCAAUGUCAAACCAAAGACCAGUUCUUGUCAUCCAACUUCUUCAGUCAAAAUUAUAAACCUUUUAACACAAAAACUUUGAAAUUCACACUUUAUUUCUUGUGUUCUUAAGUGGGUGUCAAACAAUGAGUUGGACCAAAAAUGCUUUAAUUAUAUAUAUGAGAAAAAUUGAGCCAUAAAAUGCUAGAAAUACAUAUGAAGUUUUGAAGUCUAAUCUGUUCAAAUGGAAUUAUUAAAGUGGUAGAACGUAUGUUUGAUGAUUCUGAAUUUUAAGAUUUGAAUUUAGUAUACUUUACAAAAUGAACACUUAAUAUAAUAUCUAUUUCCUUUAUAUUGACCAAAAUUUUUGUCUAUUUCGAAAAAAAAUCUACUCCACAAAAUUUAAAAAACCCAUAAAAGAUGAACUAAAAACAAUUAUAUAUUAGAGUAAAGAUUUUAAAAUAAAAAUAGAUAAACAAAGUGAAUGUAGGUUUGGACAAAAGUGGCUGAAUAUUAUGCUGGUAAUUGGUUGUUCUUUCCAUCAUCUAUGUGUUACCGAUUUUAUAAUUAGUAUUAACACUUGGUAGGUGACAGUUGGAUAUUGACUAUAUACCGUACGGCCUAUCCCAUCACGAACUUGUUAUCUACGUAUAAUCGACGUGAAGCUAUAGCAAUAUGAUGCAAGCAUGUAGCUAUUUCAACACAUACAUAGGGAUCGUUUGAAGAUGGUGAAGUUAGCGACGGGGUACCAAUGCUCGAACCAGAGACUGGUUGUCUGUGUGGCAACCACAUAACGAAUCAGCCCAGGUUCGCUUGGUUCAACACACAUACACUGCACUGUGUUUUUUAAAAUAAAAAAGACACUACUUAUAUUAUCAAUGCUUUUGGCCAAAGAUGCUCGUCUUGUCAAACGAACUUUUAGGAGGACUACUACUCAUAACGGGUAAAGCACGUUAGCACAAAGAGUUAGCAAAAGUAAACCCAUUUGUGGUACCCGUCAUCCCAAAUAAAGGAAACCUUGAACGGAGACUUACAAUCUAGACACUAAAAACUAUCCGAUUAGAGAACCAAGAAAUAAAUAAAUGUUCAAAUAGAAAUAAAUGUUGUCCAGGCAUGCCGGUGUCAGUUUUUUGGGUGUUCAUGGAUACCCUCCAACAUCGCCGCCUGUUCUUCCUUAAAAAAACCUUAGCACGAGCCUGUCACCAAGAAAGGAUGCUUGGGUUGCCGUAGUAGCUAGUGCGAGGGAGUACAAUGGUUGGCGGCGACAAAAAAAAACUAUAUAAAUAUGAGAUAGAGCAAAGGCGGGGAUUCAAUGGUAAUGGAGAAGCAAAAAGGCAAAGAGCGAAUCUCGACAAUAAAGAUAAAAAUCAAUACUUAUGCAACCUAUCAAUACAUAGACUACACAUGUUAACAACACUACAUGAAUUGUAUGAACUUUGAACAAUGAUGAUGAGUUCCCACACUACUCAAUUGCAAUCGAGAAAUAACAAGGCAAUGAAGUUCAAAGUAGUCAACCAAAAAAAUACAAAAAAUGUGAAAAACGUAUGGCUAUUGUGUCUCCUCCUACCAAAUAGGAUCUUUUCCUUCUUUAGCAAUCACUCUAACCAAUCCCCUUUUUCCUAUUUUUGUUUUUGAAAAAUACACAUUUGUAUACCUAAAUUAUGUGAAAUUUAUGUCGUAACCAUAUACUAAAUUUUAACCCUUUANNNNNNNNNNNNNNNNNNNNNNNNNNNNNNNNNNNNNNNNNNNNNNUACCCUUUUGUAAAUUUUUUCAUUUAAAUUUUAUUCAAUAUGAUAAUUGUACAUAUCACAUAAACUUAUCUAUACACGUGGCGAAAUUGAAUUUUGUAUAUUUAUUNNNNNNNNNNNNNNNNNNNNNNNNNNNNNNNNNNNNNNNNNNNNNNNNNNNNNNNNNNNNNNNNNNNNNNNNNNNNNNNNNNNNNNNNNNNNNNNNNNNNNNNNNNNNNNNNNNNNNNNNNNNNNNNNNNNNNNNNNNNNNNNNNNNAAUUUUAUAUAGUUUAAUAUGUUAAAAUUUAGUAUAAAUGCCGAUAUAAAUUUUACAUGACGCUCUUCCGAUCUGAGUAUCCAAAUUUACAAAAAUGAAUGUGCAUUCCUCUCUCUAUGUUGCUCUGCUACCUACUCUUGGAUUAAAUCCCAAUUUGAAUAAUAAAUAGAUAAAUGAAAACAAGUGCAAUUUGGAAUAUUAUAUUUGGACUAUCCGUAUAAUAAUAAUAAUAAUAAUAUAGUACUAUGAAAUGGAAGCCAAUAGCAGACAUGAGAAAUAAUUGCAAUAAUAAAUAAUAUGAUAAAAUGGAUAGAAUCUCACACACACUUUGAUUAAAUAAUAAAUAAUAAUUUUUCUGGGUUGGUUGGCAGCAGAAACUCCAAUGGAUGGUUGUUUGUCUCUUGUCUUGGUCAGAUAGCAGCAUAUAUAGCAGAAGCCACACCUGAAGUUGAGUCCAGUUUCAGUCUAACUUCUAACUUUCAUUUUUUAUUUCAUACAUUUAAUUAAUUAUAUAUAUGAAAUUAUAUCUUCAUUAAAUUCCUUUAUUUUCCUUUUUUGCCCAUUUUCUGAACCAACCCACAUGAAAAAGCAAGUCACAAAUGGAAACCUAUCCCAUUCAACUUGGAGAGUAUGAAAUCAACGAAAAAGACCAACUACAUACAUCAAAGCAAUCAACUUUUGUUUUCACAAAUUUUGAAUCUGCUAAAAAUACUUGUAUAUAGUUGAUGUAUCCAAAAUUGUCCGGGGAAGACGAAGGUUGCAAUUUCGUGAUGGCUUUAUCGAUUUUGUCGGGAGCAUUGUUUCGGCAGGAUAUAUGAUGGCUAUAGGCGGGAUAUUUUAGCUUUUAUUGACUAGAGCUGAAAUGAAGGGGAUGGAACGAGAUUGGAAUAUAAGAAUUCGACAAUUGAACAUUCAAAUGGACUCACAGUGUGUUAUCACUCUGUUACAAAACACUGACAACGGUGAACAUCAGCAUGUCAACUUUAUGGCAAGAUCUCAUAAUCUAUUUCGAAAGGAUUGAAUGAUUGGUUCUUGAUGAAGCUAAUCAUGUCUAUAUAAAUGUGAUUAGUAAUAGGUUUAUGUUUAUACUUUAUAUAGUUGAUGAAAAACAGUAGAAAAAAGACAAGAAAACCCCCUGCUCUACAAGGUCCAAAAAAAAGAAAACUCACAACAAAUUAUGUUUUGAAAAAAAAAAUCAAGAAAUAAAAUAUAAAGAUUAAAUAAAAAUAAAGGUAAAAGGGGAAAAUAAUAAAGGCGAAGGAACAUGAAAAGGAUGCCAAAACUAGAAUCCUUUUUAAUUAUUACGGAGCGUGAAGUUCACUCAUCCAAUCACCAUGGAGUGACAGCCAUAUUGUCAGUGUUGAUUUCGUACGUCGGACUGUGGUCUUACUCCACUGUAGCAGUCUCCAUCAACCAUAACUCCUUCCCCUCCCCCCACGCGCAGCCAACAUCCGCGUGAGAGCUCAUGCCUCCUUCUUCUUCGUCUUCUUUGAACUACUGCUUAAAGAAACGCAAUUUGCGCUUCCCUUUCUCUUUCUCUCUCCUGUCUUUGAAUUUUCUAGUUUUCCCCACACAGAAACGUUUCCAAAGCUCGAGACUUUACAGAUCACCACCGGCCUCCAUGGACAACGCUCGCCGGACGAGCAACACUGGGCGGAACCCACCGACGGCCUUCCCCAGCUGAAUGCACUCAAAAUAAGGGGGAGAAAAAAGGGAACAUAAACGUUACAAAAGCUCGUACCUUUUAUCAAUAAACAUACGAAGUCGUCCAAUUGUCAGAUUUUCCCCCCCUUCUUUAUUUUGCAAUAAUGGCGGCGACCAGUAACAACGCAGCCUCCGCCGCCGCGGGGGACGAGAGGGGGGGGAAGGGGGGGGCACGGCGGCGAAGGCGGCGCAGAAGAGGUACGAAGGGCUUGUGAUGGUCAGGAACAAGGCGAUAAAGGGGAAAGGGGCGUGGUAUUGGGCUCACUUGGAGCCGUUACUUGUACACAACGCCGAUACCGGACUCCCCAAAGCGGUCAAGCUCCGGUGCUCCUUAUGCGACGCCGUUUUCUCCGCCUCCAACCCAUCCCGCACGGCCUCCGAGCACCUCAAGCGCGGGACUUGCUCCAAUUUCAACGCCUCCAUUCCAAAACCCAUUUCCUCAAUCUCCCCUUCUCCUCCUCCGUCGUCGUCAACAUUCAGCAGGAAGCGCUCUGCCGUUUCUUCUCCAAGUCCGCUCACCGUCGUCGAUCCAUCGCGGUUCUCCGGCGAGGCAGCGGCCCCAUUACCGCACCAGCACCAUCACCAGCAUUUGGUGCUCUCCGGCGGGAAAGACGAUUUGGGCCAUCUGGCAAUGUUGGAGGACAGCGUCAAGAAGCUUAAAAGCCCCAAGACUUCUCCCGGGCCGGCGCUGAGCAAGACCCAAAUCGAUUCCGCCGUCGACUAUUUAGCCGACUGGGUCUACGAAUCGUGCGGCUCUGUAUCCUUUUCCAGCCUGGAGCAUCCAAAGUUCCGAGCUUUUCUCCACCAAGUGGGUCUCCCGGCGGUUUCCAAGAGGGAUUUGGCCGGAGGGAGACUCGACGUCAAGUUCGAGGUCGCAAAAGCAGAGUGCGAAUCGAGGAUUCGAGACGCAAUGUUCUUCCAGGUUUCUUCCGACGGUUGGAAAUCCGGAGAACCCAAUUUGGUCAAUUUGGCAGUGAAUUUGCCCAACGGUACGAGUGUUUACCGUCGAGCUGUGUUCGUGACCGGUUCGGUCGGUUCGACGUAUGCAGAGGAUGUUCUGUGGGAUACAGUGAAAGGAAUCUGCGGCAAUUUCGUCCAACAAUGUGCUGGAAUCGUAGCAGACAGGUUUAAGGCCAAGGCAUUGAGGAAUUUGGAGAAUCAGCAUCACUGGAUGGUUAAUCUCUGCUGUCAACUUCAAGGGUUCAAGAGUUUGAUCAAGGAUUUAACCAAAGAGCUUCCUUUAUUCAAAUCCGUUUCCGAGAAUUGCUACAAAUUGGCAAAUGUGUUCAACAACAGAACACAGUUUAGGAAAAGCUUGAAUAAGUAUCAGUUGCAGGAGUAUGGCUACUCAGGAGGGUUGAUAAGGGUUCCGUUUUCGAAUUUUGAAUUCAUGUCUGUCUUCUCGAUGAUUGAUGAUGUGUUGAGCAAUGCCAGGGCAGUACAGUUGGUUAUCCAGCUGGACGAAUCUUUGUCCGUGGAAGAAGAAGAACCCGAAGCAAGGGAAGUCGCUGAUAUGGUCGAGGAUGUCGGGUUCUGGAAUGAACUGGAGGCGGUACAUUCGCUGGUGAAGAUAAUUACGGACAUGAUUCAAGAAAUCGAGUCCGAGAGGCCGUUGUUGGGGCAAUGCUUGCCACUCUGGGAAGGGCUGAGAGCUAAAGUGAAGGACUGGUGUUCGAAAUUCGCAAUAGGAGGAGAGGUGGGAUUGAUGGUCGAGAAAGUGAUCGAAAGGCGAUUCGAGAAGAACUAUCAUCCAGCAAUGGCUGCCGCGUACAUACUUGAUCCACUCUACUUGGUGAGGGACACAAGUGGGAAGUACUUACCACCGUUCAAGUAUUUGGCUCCAGAGCAAGAGAAAGACGUGGACAGGCUGAUAACCCGGCUGGUUUCGAGGGAGGAGGCUCACAUUGCUUUAAUGGAAUUAAUGAAAUGGAGGACUGAAGGACUUGAUCCGGUGUAUGCAAGAGCCGUGCAGAUGAAGCAGAGGGAUUCUGUUACGGGGAAGAUGAGGCUUUCAAAUCCGCAAAGCAGUCGGCUUGUCUGGGAGACUUAUCUUACCGAGUUCAAGUCGUUAGGGAAAGUUGCAGUGAGGCUGAUUUUCUUACACGCCACGGCGUGUGGGUUCAAAUGCAAUGUGAACUUGUUGAGAUUGGUUAGUAGUGGACAUGGUGGCAGCCAGUCUAGAGCGGCGAUUGACAAGGCCGAGAAGCUGGUGUUCAUCGCAGCUCAUUCGAAGCUCGAAAGAAGGCGUGACUUUUCGAGCGAUGAGGAUAAAGAUGCCGAGCUUUUGGCUAUGGGAAAUGAAGAGGAUGAUGUUCUGAAUGAAGUUCUUGCUGAUACUUCCUCACUGUAACUUUCCACUGCUCCCCUCUUCCAAAGUUCCAAUCUCUCUCUCUUUUUCCUCUUUAUCUCCAGAUUUUUUAAUUAUUAGGAUUUUAUUGAAUUCUUUCUUUGGAUUAUUUCAUUUUGGUUUUUUCUUUCUCUACUUUGUUAGUGAGGGUAGGGAACAUUCGAGGAAAAGAAAAAAAGGAUUCAGAUGUAUGAUAGUUUGCGAAACCGUAUCGGUCAAUAUCUUAUCGUGUAGCCAGCAGGUUGUAGUCGAGAGUGGUUGUAGCCCCUAAAAUCGUAUCGGUCCAUCAUACACAGGCUUUUAAGAUUCAGAAGAAGCUUAACUAAAGGUGGAAUCGGGUGCAGACUUUAUGGGAUUUGCAGGAAGCUUUAUUAUUGUUUCUUCUUCGUCUUCUUUUCUUUUUGUGCUGAUGUUGCAGAGAGGAGUUCGCCAGUCAGUAGUCUAAACUUUUUCUAGUGUUGUGAAAGAUGGUGACAGACAGUUAUCAUAUUCCAGUUUGACAUUCCAGAGUGCAGUUGUAACAGUGGAUCCCUUUUGCUUUGCUUUGAUUAUCUUAAUUAAUAGGAGUUCCUUGAACAAUAAGCAUCGCUGUUCCCUUUCUGUAACCAUCAUGGCCAUUAUUCGGUAGCUGUCUACGGCCGCGGGGUUCAGUUUCUCUUGCUAUAAGGGGACCGGCGGAUUUGUUUCUGUUAAGAUCAGUAGGUUUUGGCUUGUCCCUUUCUUAUUACUCAUUAUUAGUAAAAAAAGGUUGGAAAUCCUAUUCUUCGUGGCUGCUCGCUUUGCAUAGGAAACCAAAUAUAUUUCGACGACAUGCGUGUUGGCUUCGCUCUUACGUUUUUUCUCCUAAACUCGUUCCUCGUUUAUGUUCAAUUGUAAAUAAAUAAUCACGCUGUAUAUAAUCGAUGACCGGGGUUUGAGAUUGAUGGGCCAGCCGUCAUUGAAGAAGAAUGCAUCAUGCUUUCUACACUUAUGCUCCACAUACUUUUUUUAUUUAUGAUUCAUCCUUAUGCAAAGCCAUGCUAAUCUUCUUUCUAUUGUUCCAAUUUUAUCGGAUGUUACCGAAGAAACCACUCAUGCUCCACAUAUAUUUUAGGUGGUUGAAACUAACUGUUAAUUUUUCAUCUCUAAACGAUUUUCCCAUGUUCAACCCUUUAAUUGAUUGUCAUUGAACCCGACAUGCUCUGUUUACUUCACUUGGUCGGUCAUCAUUAGUCUUUUUGAAAGGCUGGACUAAGUGUAGUUAAGUUUUGAUAAGGAUGCCAAGUAAGCCAAGAUUAAAGGUUUGGACGUUGACCCAAUUCCACUAAUCGAAGUUAACUCUGUCUUCUUCGACGAACUCGAUUCACCUGGUUUUAUUUUGGUCACAGGGAGGAGGACGAAGAAGAUGAGGAAGAAGAAGAAGGUGGAGACCCACCAUGAAUGAAGUGGAAGUCAACUUUUUUUCCACUUGGAAUAUUGAGUCUUCGAACAAGUUAAGUUGGAAAAUGUGGCGACAGUCUUGUCAAUGUCACUGAAUGGAAUCAUAGGAUGCCCCGUAACCUGGGAACAAGACAAAUAGCUUAAAACAUUCAACAACGUAGCUAGUUUUGUUCCUUAGUUUUUGACCCGGUCAAACCAAUCACAACAAGUCUUCACGUUUUGCAACAUGUAAAACAAUAGGACCAAACUAUAUAUAUAAUAUGACUAUAAGAGGGAAGCCAACUUUGAGCAUCUAUAACGUAUUGUUUUUCGAUACGAAUUUACUGCACGAUGUAGUUGAAACAAUCUAAUUGAUGACCCGUUGAAUUUUGAAUUUAAAGUUGUUAUUAAUUGAAGUAUUCAAAAUGGUAUUGGUGCUCAAGGAUCGUUCGAUUCUCGUCAGGCGCAUGUAUGACAUUGUUAAUAGACAGAUUUUACAUAUUUGAGUAAUUUGUCUUAGUAUCCUUUAACUGCACUCUGCGACUACAAUAUCAACAGAUUCUUGUUAAAAUACUUGACAAAUCCAAUUAAACUAUGAAUUUGGAUUAAAUUUAUAUUUUUUUAUUAACUUCUGUGUUAUUUUUAAAUACUAUAUUGGGUCAAAUUUGAAAUAGCACUAAUCCGAAUAUUUAAAAUCUAAAAAAAAAUAUUGGUACUAUACUUGCUAAGGACAUGAACCGUGGGCUAGGGAUGGGUCCCCAUGAUUUGCCACGGUUGAAUCUUCGAGCUUUUCAAAGUUUCAUCUUUAAUUUUUAAUUCUAGGCUCACCAUUUGAUUGAUUAAAUAGUUAGUUCUUCAGGUAAGGUCUUUAAAGCGACUCAUAAAGAAGGUGUCAGGUAUGCCCUUGAGCGAUAAUCUAACUCCUACCAAAUCAAAUUUAUUCGAUGAGACGAAUUGUAUUGUGGUUGCGGCUAUAUAAGACAAUCCACAUGUCCAAAGGAUCGUUAGAGUUUAGGCAGUCAAUUCCUGGCGCGGUUGACUUCCAUCUAAUCCUUUGUCAAGUGGUCCAUCAAAUUUAGAUGAUAUCAGUUUGAUAUAUAAAUACUUUAACCAUUUUAAACUCGGCUUAAUACUCGAUAAUACAUCAACUAAUUUAGUAACCUUGGAUGGUGAAAAAGUAUGGAAUACCAAAAGAAGAAACACAAGUGUUUCGAGGAGAGACAUAAAUUCUUGUCGGCAAAUACCGAUUGACCACUCACCCACUAAUCAAUUUUCAUCUCUAUUAUUUUUUUCUACUGAUUUUUUAAAAAAUAUAUUUAUUUAUUUUCUAUUUUGGAUUGUAUUUGCUUUUAUAUUAUUGGAAGAGCAAAAAGGGCAAUACAUAAUGAUUAGUAUUAUUGGACGACCAAACACUCUUAUCUCUUCCUACUUUUAGUUACGUACAUACCUCAAGAAUCUUCUCCUCUCUUAUGGGAUGCGGAGUUGGUCCUUUUUUGGCUGAGAUUGCGGAGUAUCUUAUAUAUGAUUGGUGGUGUUAUUAUUGUGGAAAUUUUUGUUUAUAUGANNNNNNNNNNNNNNNNNNNNNNNNNNNNNNNNNNNNNNNNNNAGAUGUACUUGUUAGACAAUUUGUUAACGGAACUGUUCAUUCAAUGACACGACGGGUUCUUUUACGUCUCCCAGAUAAUGUGAAGACCGAUAUUUAAGUCUAGUUGUUAAUUUGUAGUUGUUAUGAACUGUUGUAUUUCAAUAAUUUGAGUUGUCGAGAAAUGGUUAAUUAUAAAUUUUAUACCAUUCACUUAUACUAAUAUUAUCUGAACGGAUCGAUUUAUUCAAUCUUUGGCAAUGAUUCUUAUGCUUCAUAGAAGGGAUAAAGUUUGACCAAAGCAUCCAUUGCAUUUGUGUAUUUUGUAUUUAUCUUGAUGAUUUUUUCCAAUUCGUUGUUUGAUUUUUUAUCCUUUUUUAAUUAAGAAAUUAUCGCAUAAAAGUUGAAUGAACAAUAAAAAAAGUGUUUGGAAUGCUUUCUGCAAACGGUUGACAAAGGAAAAANNNNNNNNNNNNNNNNNNNNNNNNNNNNNNNNNNNNNNNNNNNNNNNNNNNNNNNNNNNNNNNNGACCUAUAAAACAAAAAAAAAGACUAUCUACCCAACAAACUGCCUACCAAACCUGCAAAACUAAAGCAAAACAUUUAAAACCGCAAUCAAACCCAACAAUGUUCGGUGCAACAAAUAAACUUCGGAUAUAUAACCGACCAACAACGAUUUUAAAACUAAUAAACUGUUGAGCACGUAUCUAACCAGUCAUAUGUAAAUCGAACACCAACCAACCAACAAACUAGGACCGUGGACUAACAAUAAUACAAAUAUAAUCUUUUCAAAACCGUGGCAACUUUGAUCAACUUAUUACUUGUGAUGAUGACGAUGAUGAUCCAAUGUGUGCCUGCCCAUUUUGGUGAAAUGUCACCAUACAAAUAUCAUCAUAUACUACGAAUAUUAAUUAACUUUGCUUCCACAUGCACGUUCACCACUAGGAACUAAUUGAUUUCUUCACCUCCUCCUUGAUAAAUUUUUUUUUCCGAAUCAAGCAGCAACCAAAUAUUAAUUUUGUGCCGAGAGGCUGAAUGUUUGAACAUCAUUAAUAAACUAUGUCGAAAGUAUGUUUUUUUACAGACGAAAACGCGUGGAAAUAGAAUCGUUAAACUAGCUCGUAUGUAACCAUAUUCCUUUCCCAUCCCAUGCCUAUUAGUACUACUAAUUGUAUUAAUUAAUAUAGAUCACAUUAAUUGAGUACAAUAAUUCUCUUCGAUCGACUUUUUCUCUGUGGAAUUCGUUUACCCCCCUUUACCUUUCAUCAUGAUGAAUUAUGUUAUCUCAUUAGGUGGAUGUACUCAACUACCGAAUAAUUUUCACCAAUGUGAAAAAAGCAUUGGUGCAAGCAAGGUUAGUUAGUUUGUACAUUCUUGUGUGCUUUGUGCCAUUCAUGAUGCCAUCUUGUAUAAGGUACAACGGAAGGUGAGGGUAGGCUUGACAACGGUUCGGAUCGGUGACGGUCAGUGUAUAUUAACUGUUUCACUGUUUUAAUAACGGUUACGGUAACAAGUCAUUAAGUUUGAGAGUUCAGGUUUGAUUUUAAUACAAUCACUAUAUUUCAUCUGGUGCCGCCGAUUAUUAUUAACCAAACUAACCAACCAAAUGCUCUUUCGAUUUGUUGUUGCAAGCUGGUAUCUUUAUAACCAAUAAAGUAUUAACUAUCACGGGAGGUUAAAGGACUUUGCGGAAAUCCCAUUUUUUCAUACUCUCGACUCUAGAUGAUCGCGACUAUCUCCAAGUCUAUCUAAUGGGAUUUGACGAGACUUGUGCUCUAGAUAAAACAAUGUCGUAUUAUAAUUAGCGGUUCGGGGAUGGUUACGAUAACAGUUCGGAUACUACGACAUAUGUCCCUGCACCAUCACGGUUACAUUAUACGGGCGGCUUUCACCAGAACCGUACCUGAAACCAGUUACGAUAAAUUUUCACCGCGUUUUGGUUACAGUCGGUUUUUCGGUUUGCCUUGCCAAACCAGCUACUUGUAAUGGAGCACAAAGUUGAGGGUUGUUUAUCUAUGAAUGGGCACAAGUUUGGACAUUGGAAGAGGAUCCUUCCUUGGUGGUUUCCUUAGGUACAAAAGUUGAUACUCAAGAACCACUUACAUUUUGUACUUUUGCCUUUUGGAAAAAAAUAAAAGGAGAAAUAAAGAUAUGAUGUCUUACUAUUUUUAAACCUAACGUCAUAGUCUUUAACUACUACUAACUACUACUCUUAUACAUAAAUAUAAUAAACAACCCUUCCAAGACGGCGAGAUCAACAACACAUUGAUGUUAUAAACCUUAAUAGAGUUAUACGCCGUAGGCGGGUCUCACCUCGAGACUCUUAGGUGUCUCGGCUCGAGGAAGCUCACUCAUCAACUCACAGUCACAAUCAACCCUAUAGUCGAACCACACUAUAUUGCUCUGACCGGCCCUCCGAGCGGAGUAGUUUGUUGUUGGCAAACAUGUUUUAUUUGAUCAGAGCCCAGAGGAGGAACCAAAUCACUAAAAGAGUCGGAAUAAUUAUAAAUAUAAUUAAUUUGAAGUUUUAUUUUUUGCCCAUACAACAUUGAUAAGUGACACAAUCGUAUGUAUUAAUUGAUAUGUUCUUGGACAUGAAAAUGAGUGACAUAAACUCCAUUAAUUGUUCAUUCAUAAACCAAAUAGUUGGGGCCAGGAAUAAAUAAUAGUUGCUUUAUUCCCCCCUUUAGUUGGAUGAAUGAAUAAUAAUGAUGAUGAUUGCACAUAAAUUAAAGGGUACAACCAUCAUAAUGGUGUCUUGUUGAUGUGUGCUAAGCUUCAACCUUAAGUAGUCUAAUUAAGCAAUUAUCAUCUUAAUCGAGAAAUUAUAUUUGGCGUGUGCAAAAUUUCGAACUUAAUGUUCAACAUGCUAACUAUUAAAUAACUUGUUAGACAGUUUGUCAGAAAGUAAAAAAACCCCGCUCUUAGGGGAUGCCCCCAAUGCCGAAGAACAUGAUAUUAUGUAUGUACGACUCAUUUAAAUUAUGAAUUGGGGGCAAAAGAGAGGAAAACGAUUUUCCGCUAUUGGUGAUUGGAAAACAAAACUAUAUAAAAAAACAAGCUAUUGGUGCAUGUUAGAAAGUUAAAAAAAUAAGAAGUGGAGAUGCGGGGUAUCGAUCCCCGUACCUCUCGCAUGCUAAGCGAGCGCUCUACCAUCUGAGCUACAUCCCCAAUGAAGGUUGAAUUUACUAUACUAGCUAAUUAUUGCUAAUUAUAACUUAUAUAGGUCUGUGGAUAAGUUCAAAAGAGUCCAUAAGUCUAUGCAAUUUCUCAGCCUAAUGGAUGCCAAUUUGAUAAGUUCAUCGCCGCAGUAAGCGAGUGCAAGUCACAAACUCACAAUAACCUUUUGGCAUAAGAAUAAAUAGAUUUUCAAACGUCUAAAUGAGUUGUGGGAUGCGUUCGUUUACAUCCGGAACAGAAUCCAAAGGCUAUAUCAUCCAAAAUUAUGACCUGUUUGCAUAGAAAAUAUUACGCUACACACCAGAUAGCCGAGGAAUCAAGCAGCAACUUCCUGCUCUUUAGAAGCAAGCUGGUUCUGAAUAUGCUGAGGGACAACAUCGAACUUAGCCAACUGCAUCGUGUACGAAGCUCUCCCUUUAGUCGUUCCUCUCAAAGUACUCACGUACUGGAACAUCUCCGCCAAUGGCACAAGCGCAUCCACCACCUGCAUCCCCGCAUCAUUCAUAAUGUUUACUCAAAAAGCCUUUUGAUGCGAAAAAAAGACAGAGGAAAACAGGUGUUCAUUUGCUUUAUACCUUGAGGCCACCAGGUUUGUCUGUAAAGGUAUUAAUCUGACCUCUCCUGGAGUUGAGAUCACCAAUCACAUCCCCCAGGUGUUCCUCUGGAGUCACAACUUCAACCUUCAUUAUCGGUUCCAGCAUCUUAGGAGCGGCUUUCCUAAUCCCUUCUCUGAAGGCUCCUCUAGCGGCAAGUUGGAAGGCCAGCACACUUGAAUCGACAUCGUGGUAGGAACCAUCAACCAACACAGCACGGACAUCAACCACGGGGAAACCGGCCAAAACUCCGUUGCUCAUGCAUUCUUCAAGUCCUUUCAUCACUCCGGGAAUGUAUUCCCUAGGCACUGUUCCUCCCUUGAUCUCGCUCUUGAACUCGUACCCUGAACCGGCCUCCAUGGGCUCGAAUCGUACGGUUAUGUCAGCAAACUGUCCUUGCCCACCUGAUUGCUUCUUGUGCACAUACUUCACUUCUGCUAUUCUGCUAAUGCUCUCACGGUAGUUCACUUGUGGUGCACCAACAUUGGCUUCCACCUGAAAUAGUAUAUAAGUACAAAGUUCAUAACUUUUUUGUGUAUCUUGGCAUUAUAACAUGUAAAUUUUACAGACCUUGAAUUCUCUUUUCAGACGGUCUACGAUGAUCUCAAGAUGCAACUCUCCCAUUCCUUCAAUCACAGUCUGGUUGGUUUCGUCGUCACGCGAAAAGUGGAAAGAAGGAUCUUCCUGCGCAAGCUUGAUCAACCCUGUAGCCAUCUUGUCAAUAUCAGCCUUGGUUUUUGGUUCAAUUGCAACUUUGAUGACAGGAUCGGGGAAAUCCAUCCGUUCAAGCACAACCGUAUUAUCCACAUCGCACAAAGUUUCGCCCGUUAUGGUGUCCUUCAGUCCUGCAAGAGCAACAAUAUCUCCCGUUACGGCCACCUUAACAUCCUCUCUACUAUUUGCAUGCAUCUCGAGAAGCCUGCCAAUUCUCUCUUUCUUCCCCUUGUUUGCAUUCAAGACAUAAGAUCCAGCUGCGAGUUUUCCUGAAUACACUCUUACGAAUGUAAGGGAACCGACAAAUGGAUCGUUCAUGAUCUUAAAUGCUAGGCCGGAAAAUGGUUCGUUGUCGCUGGGGGACCUUUCGAUCGUGAUUUCAGGGUUCUCAGGAUCGGUCCCUUUCAUCGGAGGAACCUCGAUCGGGGAAGGGAGAUAGUCAACAACUGCAUCAAGCAAUGGUUGCACUCCUUUGUUUUUGAAAGCUGAGCCACACAACACCGGUACAAAGUUGCCUCCGAUAGUUCCUUUCCGGAUAAGUUUCUUUAUGGCUUCCUCAUCAGGCUCUAUUCCUUCUAGAUAGUUUUCCAUAGCUUCAUCGUCCAAAUCGACAAUGGUCUCUAUCAUCUGUGCUCGGUAAUCCUGAGCCAAUUCUUCAAGAUCAGUCGGAAUGUCUUCGUACGCAAACUUGGCACCCAAUUCUUCUCCUGACCAAACAAUAGCCUUCAUCCUCACUAGAUCAACCACACCUUUAAAGUUAUCUUCGGAACCAAUAGGAACUUGAAUAACAAGAGGUUUAGCACCCAAGUUAGUUAUGAUCAUGUCUCUAGUCCGGAAAAAGUUCGCUCCGAGCCUAUCCAUCUUAUUGACAAAGCAAAUUCUGGGAACCCCGUAUUUAUCCGCCUGCCUCCACAACAUCUCCGAUUGUGGCUCCACACCAGCAACACUGUCGAACAAGCAGAUCGCACCGUCCAAAACUCGGAGAGCACGUUCCACCUCAAGGGUGAAGUCCACAUGGCCAGGCGUGUCGAUGAUGUUGAUACGAUGCUUGUUCCAGAAGGUGGUGGUGGCAGCUGAAGUAAUGGUGAUCCCUCUUUCUUGCUCCUGUUCCAUCCAAUCCAUAGUAGCUGUUCCUUCGUGGACUUCGCCAAUUUUGUAGUUUCUGCCUGUGUAGAAGAGUACCCUCUCGGUUGUGGUAGUCUUCCCUGCGUCAAUGUGAGCCAUGAUUCCGAUGUUCCGGUAGUCCUUCAGUGGCACAACACGGUUGCCAUCUGCUAGAAAUCACACAUCAACAGCCAAAUUCAGGCCUAAUGUCAUUACCACCAAGAACAUGAAUGAAAGCACAGAGCAAAUUCAAUCUGAAACUUCUCAAAAGAUGAAAGUAGAACUCAAAUGUUCCACCAUACUUGGCAAUUUCCUCACAUGAACACAUAAAUUCAAUUGAAAGCACCGUAACAUCAGACAAGCUCAAUUCAAAUGUUUUCUACCAAAGACCAAACUUUACAAAAUGACUCAACAUAAGGAUUCAAUUGAAGAUGAAGGGUAUCGAAAAAUUGCAUCAAAACAUAAUAAAAUUGGACACGCAUAAACAGAGAAGGCACAGAACGAAAAAGAGAUAGAGAGAGAUAGGAAGACCUUCGGCAGCCAUGGCGAAGACGGAGAAGUUACUCCGCUUUCUCUGCAGGGAAUGGCGUGGAACGGAGAAAUUGGCGGCGACGCGAUGGGUUCCGAGAAAGUUAGUGAGGGAGGUAAUUGAAGGUCGAGGGAGACCCUGAAACCGAACUGGAGAGGACAGGGAUUUCGAUUUCCGCUGACAGCCAUGGAAGGAGCUGAGUGAAGAAGAAGUUGAGACCGUCAGUCGAACUGUCUCCGCCGCCAUGUUUGGGACUUUGGAAGAGCUUCUUCUCUGGCUCUGUCCCUCCUCCUCCUUCUUGUGUUUCCAGCUGAUAUGCGGAUAAUGAACGACAGCUUCAAAAAUCAAACCUCUCUACCCAAAAAUAAAUAAUUCCAAUAUGGUCCGAUUUUAAUUCGUUUUAAGCUUCCUACAAAUUAAAUUUUAAAUCUUUGUAUAGUUGAUAACCAGGCGGCUCUAACAGUGCCGCGUCAUGCUGAAUUCAUAUCCUCAUAUUUAUACUGGAUAAGAGAGAAAUGGGAGAAAAUGGAGAAAUGAAUUCAUCAUCUUGUUUUCAGAUGAUGAACGUUUCGUUUAGCAGCACAUUGAGUGGUACGGAGAUGUUAGAUCGGAAUUAGAUGUUCAAAGUUAGAUCGGAAUUAGAUGAAUGAUAUGCUCAUGGAGCACACUAAUCUAAUUUGGAAUAUGAGUUAGCGGGCUCGUACAAAACAAAUCUAUACAUCUAUUCAAAUUGUAGGAUUGAUAUAUAUACAACUUGAGAGAUAUAAAAGAGAGAUUUUUCGUUACUUUAUGAACCGCUUCAUUAGUACCUCAAUAAACCACCCGAACUUGCGGCCUAAACCCUAAAGCAAGCCGCUGCGAAGGAUAGGACUUAUGCAAUAAUAAGACCCUCCUGUCACACAUCUCGUGCUACACUAAGAAAGACACAAAAUUAAGAACCAGCUAUGCAUCUCUUCGACUUGUCGAACUCCCCACCGAAAACGUGAGUCACAAACAUCUCAAAUUAUUCCAAAACAUAUAUGUACACACUACAUUGCUUACAAAAAGAACAAAAAUAAGUUCAAACAUGACUGGUACUAAACUAGUAGGCAUGUAACCCUGCUGCUAUAAUAGCAGUGAGUAUCACCCAUGUAUAAAUUACAUCCAUUAAUGAAAAAUUAUAAAACUUAUUUAAACCCUCUUUCAACAAUUUAAAUUAUUGGGAUGCAAUGAUUUAUAACAUAAUAUCGAAAUCUAAUAAGACGGAGAGGUCAUCGUUUCCGACAAAGGCGGAGCUAUGUUGGGAGAAGGGGGCUGCAGUAAAUUGCACAAAUAAAUUUUCCAGAUAUGAAGACCAGUAGAACUGAAAGUCUCAAAUUGCUGACCUCCCACUUAAUAACCAAUAUGCUUGCCAUUAUAUCUAGAACAAUAUGUUUGUCUAAAAUUAUCUUAAUGCAUAAUUUAUCAAUUUUGAUGUAUAAACAAUUUAUUAGUAAAUAAUCAUUAUAAAUUUAGUUUUAAUAAAAAAACAAAUAUAGAGAAACUUUUAUCGAUGGCAUAUAAAUUUAGUUCAAAUUUGAAUAAGUGUAUUUUUCAUCAUAGUUCGGGUUUUAUAUUUAAUAAGAUUUAUGUGCUNNNNNNAUUUAUGUGCUAGUUUGAAUAAAAAAAUGUGUUUUAUAAUACUUUUAGAAUAUGAAAUUUUAUUGUGAUUUGUUGUAUGUAGUUUGUUUUGAACUAUUAUUUUAUAAUUAUAUGAAUUUUUAAUAUUUAUAAUGUUGAUAUUUCGUUUAUAGUUGGUUUUUCUAUUAUACAGUUAAUCUUUAUUAUACAACGAGAAGCACCGCCUUGGACAAAAUCUUGGCUCCGCCUCUGGUUUUCAAUCCCGAUAACUCACAUCUCGUAUGCAUAACUUACCUCGUUUGAUGUUAUACAAACCUUAGCUAACUUCCUCUAUUUGAAAAUAUGUUAAUAACUACUAUAAAAUUUAUCGAAACGCUCCAUCAACAAACAUCAACGUCCUAAUAAAUUAAUAUUCUUUCUACGUACAGUAGAUAUAAGAGUAAAGUCAAGUUGAAGACAAGAAUUUAGUAAAUUGUGAUUCACAUUGCACUACGUUGAUAUGGAAGUUUUGGCCUUUUGGAGUUAUCAAUACACGACAGCGAAUGGUUCUUCUGGAACUGAUAGCAACUGGUGCCGGAUGGGCCUUCAAGCACCGCCCGACGUUAAUGCCGGCGACAAGGAUAGCUCUUUUUAACCAAUAUAGGGUGGUGUUGAUUCCGAAAAACACGAAAGGAUUUAGCAGGUGGAUAUUGAUAGUGUUUUCUCCUUAUUUUGAGGUGGCAUGGUCAAUAUUACAAAAGUCUUAUCUUUUUAUCGAGUUAUUCUCGUUUGCAUUUGUGUGAUGCUACUAGUUAGAGCUACCGAUUUAGUGAGAAGAUAAACAUAGAUUCCUAUAUACAUCUCAAAUUGUGUUGUGUCAUAUUCUGUUAUCUUGCAAUAAUUUAAGUUAAAAGCUGAGGUUAAUAUUUUUUUUCCUACAUUCCCUCUUAAAUAAAAAAUUAUAUCCAUCGUUCUUCUCUUAAAAAAUAAUCGAUUUAUCGUAGAUAAACGUUCAUCAAUUCUUCGGGCGCAUCUAGGUUACUUCAGCAGACAAUUCCGACAAGGGUGACAUGGUUGAUAACCUCGCUGCUGAUCAACCGACGUUGGAGUACAAACGAAGUUGCUAGCUAACAUGUGGCUUUGUCGUCCCGUCACUAAAAACUUUCAGUGACCAUAUACUAUUUGGUAACUACAAUUUUUGUUCUUGAGACUUUUUUAUGGUCUCUAAAACUGUACUUUUUUAAAAGUGGAAUGUGGACAGUUAAGCAAAUUCAUUAAUUAUCUCACUGUAAACGGAGAAAGACGUAUAAUCAGUUAAUGCACAGAAAGAACAGAGAUUUUUCAACAAGGAACUUGACUAGAUUCGGAAGAAGAAGCAUAGAGAUUCACCAAAGCCAGAGCGUUACUAGUAAACCGAGAAAUCCUCGCCACGUGUCUCUCAACUAUCUUCUUCACAUUUCUACUCACCACCGCCGAACUCUUUUCCUCCUCCGCCGCCUGCUCCUCGUCGAACCCGUCCGUACAGGUGUCAUCGUCGGUCUCCGCUGCGCUGACCCAAGUCUGAACAUCGGAAAUAACCCGGCAGAAGUCGGGUCCCUGACUGGGCGACCCGCCCAUCUCGGCGACCGAGUUCCCCAGCUCCUCCACAGCGUCUCCGACCUCCUCCACGCAGUCCGCCACCGCCGCAGCCAUCCGGGGCUGCAAGCCUUUCAUUCUGGACAUCCUCUUCAUUAGCCUGGAAGCGGAUUUCGUGACUUUUAAGGUCACGUUGAGAGCUUUCAAAGACAGUUUCCUCGGGUCGGAUCCGAUUUCGGAGGCGUAAGGGGACAGGGUUAUGUAGCAGCGUUUAGGGUAGAGGGUUGAAUUGCAAGAAGUUUUGAUGAAUUCCGCGUCUGGGUUUAACCUUGUGGACGAUUCCGGCGAUGGGUUUGCGGCGGUUGGAGUAAUGAUUACCUUGGUAAGGAAGAAGAGAAAGAAAAUUGCUGCCGACGUUCUCAUUUUUUAUCCCUCCUCUGUUUUCUGUUGCUUAUGAAACAGGGGAAUUGGAAAUGGCGUAUGGGAAAUCUUUUUAUUUGUGUUCUUUUUGGUAUGAGAAACGAAGAAAGGAGAGGGAAAGGAAUGAUUUAUAGGGUUAAUUUGGAAUCGUGGCUCCAAAUAAAGAAGAGAAGAUAAUAGUGGUUUUAAUCCGGCUUAUAGUAGUUUUAGAUUCGGGCCAUAAAUCUCGAUAUAUAUUUACGAUUAUUUUGAGUCCGGCUCAUAGAAGUUUUAGAUUCGGCUUAAGAUAAUAUUAUUUCGGCUCAGUACUAGUUUAAUGGAUAUAUAUUAAUGAUAAUUUUAGCUUAGUAAUUGAUACACAUAUAAUCUGAGUUUUAGAACCCAAAAAAAUUGUCGGUGACAUAUUCAAUCUUUACAGACGACAUCCAAAUGUUUUCUUCUGUAUAUUUUAUCAUAAAUUGGUUGCUCUAUAUAUAAAUUUUCGAUUGAAAACUAACUCAUACAUGUUUUGAUCUUAAAUUCACCAUUAAUAAAGAUCUAAAUUUCCAGCUCGAUCCGAUCAUUAUUUAUUGGAAAUUUGGAGUAAUAGUGCAAAAUAGCAAACACUAUGGAAAUCGCAAGGUACGAUGUUUGUACAUUUUGACGUUCCAUGGCCUACUUGUUUGACACGUUUGUACUGAGUAUAUAUGGCUGAGGUAGAUGUGAUCAAUGGUGUUUCUGCUUACCAUUUUGGACAAGUUGUGUGUACUAGCCUCCGCCUGAUUGUUAUACUUGAUUUGUCAAAUGUAUUUCACAACCACCGGCAUCAUUACUCACUGAUUCGACUUCUGACAUCCAAUCCUCAAACCAUCAGUUUCUCUCAAGUGGAAGUGGUCACUACUAGUCCUUUUGUGUUUCUUGUAACCGCUUCGAAAUGCCGCUCUAUACGCUCCAUCCUGUCGAGAUAAUUGCGCCGCUCAUUUUGUGGCUCGUAAGGCUCUUCAUUAUUCCGACAUAAAGGGCCGCAUGCUAAAACUUCAAUGUCUGUGUCUAUAUAUGUAACUGUUUGUUUGUAUUGCUUCAGACUUUUAUGUGUCACGCAAUGAUACCUUUAACGAAAAAAAACAAGCCUAGAGGCAAACCAUCUCAUUGGUGAAUAGGAAGCAAAGCAGCAAGCAACGGGCUAUUGAGAUUCUUGCAGCAUGUGCCAAGAGAUCUAUCAUAGAAGAUCAGCAAACAGAAACCAGAUUCUCAAUGUGCGAUUUCGGUCAUUCUCGGCGACCCGCCCUACGAUUUUGGGCAUCUCUCUUGAAUUUUGGAGGCUGAACAACUCCUGAAAAGAGAUCGGGAUGUGCACAUUACCACACUUAUCGUGUUGCGGAUGCCCUUGCCUACCAUGGGCAUUCUCUUUCUUUCGGUUUACAUAUUCUUUCCCGUAUCCCAGCUACGGCUGUUUUUUGUAUUCGUGCAAAUUAUACGGGUGUUGCGCUACCCCAUUAUACUUCUAAUAAUGAUUAGGACCUAGCGUCCGCUCCUUUCUAAAGAUAACGGAUACCGGAGAUAACAGAGGAACCACUGGCCAACACAAGAGCACCCAAGUUCCAAAGUUGCUUACUUUGCUUUUGAACCUUGGUCAUUAUGAAAAUCAUCGAAAAGAAUCCUGGUAAUUAUGAAUGAUAUGCAACUGUUCUUAAUGGUAUUGCUUUCUGCAAUAAAUCAGCAGCUUAAUCAUGCACACUGCUACAUCAGGCAAUCAUUAAUUGGAUCAGGUCAAAAUGAGAUCUCUCCUCUGUUCCUUCACAAGGAAAAGGCAUCUUAUUAUGGACAAAGAUUACCUUUCUGGGGCACUGUCCCCUCCACUGGCACUACUCAACUGUAUAAUCCGAUUUUCUAAGCACACCAAGCAACACUCUCCCGGACGCUAUUCCAACUUGUACCAGCAAAAAAAGAGCUCUCUACUGUCAUUUUAUGCGGGUUGGAUGGAUGAUAUUCCCACUCAACGCCAUGUGCUAUCCUGUAAAUAUCGCAGCUUUAAAAUUAUGCUGAUUCGCUCACAUCCCCGUAUCAGGAGAGGAUUGAUGUCGUGAACCCUUGUAGCUAAAAGAGGAGUUGUAAUUCAGGGUUCGAUAGGUCCUUUGGUCUUAACCCAGAGCCACCCCCAAGAACCAUAAUGGCCAGGGAACAGACAUGUUUCGAGUUUCGACAGACCAAGGAGCAAGCUUCAAACGUGACCACACUUGGGGGGUCGGGUAUGGUUUUCAAAACACUGGUUUCGAUUGACCAAGGCGCAACCUUCAAAAUAUGACCCUAUGGUUCAAUUCGACCGCCACACAUUAAGGGUCCCAAUCCAGUCGGCGGAUUUGCCAGCCAGAUCACAACAUGUGGCAUCAUAUAAUUCGGACCUUCGGAUCCCGAAGGGACUAUAAGAGAAAAGAUCUGCUCAUUAAUAUCGAGACAGACACCCAAAAACGAAUUGGCUCAUAUUCACUAAGGGUAUCUGACUGAUGCUUUUCCAUCUCCCUCUCUUAUUUGCUAGUAAACCUACGAGUGGACUUCAAGACCCCACAUCAAGACAUGCUUACUCAACCCGGUUCUCCAUUCCCGAAUCACUCAUCGGUCCACCACCCAAGGUAACCUGGCAAGAGCAAAUUUAGAUUUCAGAUGAUAUAACAGCAAACUCACUAACCGGGUAGCAAGACCCAUGUGAUAUUCCAGAGUACACAACAUUCAUCAUAGUUACCUGCACAGCUGUAGCUGAAACAAAGAAAGCUACAACACUCAUUUCUUCACAUGAAAAUAAAAUAACAAUUUUGAUUCUUAACCAGCCUAAUUUCUCUCUCUCUCUACAGCCCUACAUUACUCUUCUGAUCCUGGUGUGUCUUCUUGGGAGGGGUUAGAAAACUCCUUACAAAGCAUGAUGGGGGCAACCGGCUCGUUGAUAAUCACAUUCUUCUCAAGAAUUACAUGUAACGGAUCUCUCUAUCUCUCAACUGCCUGGAGCGGUGACUGCUCUGAGUGUUGAUGCUGGGACUGGCUUGUUGAUGUCAAGUUCUGCCAGGAUUUCCAGUUCCCCAACUGCCGCUACUACAGUUUCUGGAGCUCCAUUGGGCAGCUCCGGCUUCAGCACAGCAACUAUUGCCCUUACCUGCUGUUGCUGCAAGAAACGACACAAGUUUGGAUUUAGCAAGGGUAAGUGCAUCAUGUAUAAGGACAAAAGCGAGUGGAAGAAUAUGCUAUUCACUUACAAGAUACUGGAGUUUCUCCCUAAAAUCUUUCUCUGUGUUAGACUCAGUUUCUGAUUCAUCAGCAUACUUGUUCCAAGAAAGAAACAAUGUUAGUAUUACACUAAGUUCUACAUAAAGUGAGGACAUGAAAACGAGAGCAGAUAUAGAUGCGACUUGCGAGGCUAGACAAAUGCGAGUUUGACUCUGUCUUCCAACGAUUUACAUUGACCAAAACCAGCGCAAGUGAAGCACAGUUUACAGUACCUACCUCUGCUGCGGAUUAAGCAGUAACUUAUGGCUUAAAAGUAUAUUGAUGGUAAGAAAAUUACCAUAAAUAUUGCUACAGUUAUAAAAACAUUCGUGUCUCACUGCCUCCUGCAUUCUUUAUCAGCAAUACAAAACAAUAGCAACAACUAUUAACAAGAGCAAACAGCCAUUUUCGACCAACCAAACUGGAGUCGUGGGAGCCAAGUUUUCCAGGAACAUACUGGGCAUAUAAAUAAUAAAACAUCUACAUUCUCCUUUAUUGUUCAUUAUAUAAAUUGUUUGAGAGAUAGUGGUGAAUCCUUUACCAUCCCAGUAUAUCUUUAUAUCCAACCACAGAUAAGUUUAACCCGUCAGAACAUCACCAUAAGUAUAGCUUCCAUUUAAAAAAUAUUAAAGUGACUCUAUCCAAGUUAAAUAUUUUAAUUUGUUGCAUGUAAGAAUUGAUAUUCAUAUGAUAGAAAAGUUCCUCUAUAAUGGUGUUUUUCACAAUAGAUUCUAGGAUUCAGGUUUUGCAAUAUUAUCCAUGACCGAAAGACUAUCAGAAGACGAAGAUUUCACUUGCAUCACUUGAUUAGUGACUAUUCCCAUUUUCUUCAAAAGAAUAUUCAAUUCGAAGACGAUCAGCGACUAUAACAAAUGAACUGACAAUAUCUCGCUAGUAAACGAGAUAUCAAAUAAGCAAACCACCCACUACAAAAUUUCAAUCAUUUAGCACCGUACUAGCCGUCAAGUUUGUAACUGCGAUGCCAAGACUAAUACUUUGUGAAUUAAUAAUCAUCUAGCACUAUGCUGAUUUUCCAUAAUAAUAUGAAUCCAUGUCACCUCUAUUCUUAACCAUUUUUUGAUAAUUAGAAUAACAACCAACUUAAUUAAAAAACGCACCCACAAAAAAAUGGUAAAAAGACACUGAUGCACAUAAAUAGUGAAGCGAGAAAUUGUAGUAGCAUACCUUCCUUGGACGGCCAACUGGCCUCCCAGACCUCCUAGGCUUGAUGCCACCAUCACCCACAUUCCGGGUGAGUCCUGACAGCUUAUCAGAGAGCCCUAAAACAACGCCUACAUCAGCAGCAAUUGAUCCAGUACCCUUCCUUGGGCGCCCCCUAGGCCUCGGCGAACUCUCUUGUGGAAUUGCUUCCCCAGUCGUAUCAUAAGGGACCAUCACCGAAAUCGCCUGGUUAUUCUUGGGUGGUCGGCCAGGGCGCCUCUUGUGCCCAUUCGCUCCGGAAACACCCGCCACGGUCUUAGGCUUAGGCUUCCUGGGCCUUCCAGGACUUCUCUUCUUCAACCCACUCAUUGGAGGCCUCCCUCUUCCCCUCUUACCAAUCACAAUCCCGCCGUUUUCAAUGCCCAACAACUUCUUCGGAGGCCUCCCUGGCCUUCUCUUGCCAACAUUAGUCUCCUCCGCCACCCCAAUUGGCACAUUAACCGCCUGAGCUCCGACGUCAGCAUUAAAGUCCACCACAAUGGGUAAGGAUGAGUCAUUACUGGUCGGCUGGCCAUUUGGAGCAAAACCAGGCGGCAGAGUGUUAUCAGCCUCUGGCUGAGAGACCACGACGGAUUGGGGUUGUGGUUGGUGGCCGUUGGAGAGUACAGAAUCAAGCUUAGGCUUUGGAGGCCUUCCACGGCCUCUUUUAGACGCAACAGAAGAAGAAACUAUCGCUUCUGCUGCUCCUACUUCAGAGGUCUGCGGCGGUUGUUCCAGUGGCUGAACCGAAGCAUCGUGGGGAACAUCGGCGGACAGAUCUGGAAGGUCGUUGACGUUGUAAGUGAAAUCCGACCCAGGGAGCUUGUACGAUUUCUUUACCAUGACAAGCAUUCCAUUUGUCUUCAAUUGCUGCAAGGUCUGGGUCAACAGUGCGGGAGGAAGAAGCCCAGGAUAAAAAUGGUCGAUGUACUUGGUUAUCGCUCUUUUGCUUGAGCCGUCGGGUUCUUUCAAAGCCGCAAUCGCAGAGAUGAUCAUCUUCUCCAAUCAAAUUAAAAGAAAUUGAAAGAGAAACAAAAAUUAGGGUUUCAAACUCUGAAACUAAAAGGGGGAAUUUUCAACCUUAAAAGAAUUCUUUUUUGUUUUUGUUUUGUUUUACCUGUGCAUAUGACGGGAUAGGGUCGCCGGAGUUGAACCCAGGUGGCUGUUGAAUGACUGCCGGAGCUUGAGCUGGAGAAGCAUCAGUUGGCCGCGGCGGCGGGGUCGGUACAGCUGCGGCGAAGUUGGGAAGUUGAUGUUGAGAUGCAUAGUUAAGGUUAGGUGGAGGAGGAGCAGCCGCCGUGACAGAUGGAAAGGCGGCGACGGAGUAAGGAGCGGCGGUGAGGGGAGGCUGUUGAUGGGCCCACUGCGGUAUAGAGGUGUGAUACUGAUCCAUUGGGGUUUUAGAGAAAGAGUGAGAGGGAAAUAUGGACAUAAAAAUUCAAUUGAUGAGAAAGAAGAGACAGAGAGAGAAUGAAUAUUUUAAUGAAACUCGAAAUUAGGUCUAAAUAAUUUGGAGGUGGUGAGAUUGAAGAAUGGACGGUGAAGAUUCGCUGAACCGUGGUUUGGCAAGAAGUAAGAGGUAAGCAACCACUAGGAUCGAUGACGUGGAAAUUAUUCGUAUCGUUUUUUUCCUUUUAUUUUGAAAAAUCUCUUUAUUUGUUCAAGUAUAAUUACUUCGGUCAGUGGUAGAAAUAUGUGUUUGGUGAUUCAAAUAUUUCGGAUUCAAAUCCAACACAUUUCAUGAAAUGAACACUUACAUAAUAUUUAUAAUUUCCUUCUCUUUUAUAAGGGCAUAUUCACACAGUUUAUCUACGACUAAAAAGACUCUUCUUAUUUUAAAAUAAAAAAAUUAAAUACCACAUUGUUUAGUGAUUAAUAUGGUUAGACUUGACAAUGAGUCCAAGGUUUUUGAUUAUUUGACAGAGUCCGUUCAAAUUAUUUGGGCUUAUGUCUAUGAUUUAUAGAUAAAUUUUGUGUCGGAUAGAUCUCGAACUAGCGGAAUAGCAAAAUACACACCUCGUAUAUGAUUCAUUAAUAAAACGAUGUUGUCUUUUAUAAGUAUAAAAGCUUUAGUUUUAGGAUUAGAGUUUUUUCAAAUUUUCUCCCAAAAACGAAGAAUCUCUCUCAAUUCAGCUAUAAAAAACCUUCAAUUUCGUCAUAUUUUAUUCGUUUCUAAUUUAAUUUCACUCAAAAAAAAUCUUUCAAUCCGCCAUCAAUAUUUUUUUAACGAAAUCUAUCAUCAUACCUCAUUCCGAUUAAUUUAUAUUUGGUCACAUGCGUGAAUGGGUCACUCUAUUUGUUGGCGCGGAUAGGAAGCCCUUCCCGCCGGAUAGAAAAGUUGCUCCUAAGGACCUCAACCGUUAAUAUGGGUAAUAGCGAUGAAGCCCAUUAGGCCUAAUUUUAGGCCCGUACAAUUUUCACGACUGCAUCGAAAACUCUGGUAGAGUAAUCGUUCUCCUUUCUCGGCCAUUUUCUUCUACCGCGAUGCUCUCUCUCUCAACUUACCGUCACAGCAAUCUACGAUUCGGAGCUUGCUUCGUUGCCUGCUUCUCUAAACUCGCCGAGUCCCCCUCAGCUGCAUCAAGCUCCUCUGCCCUAGUGGAUUGCUUGAUUGCAACCUUCAAAUUUACCGACACCCAAGCCCACUCCAUCGCCUCUCGCUUCCCCACUUUCAAAUCUGCUAAAAAACCCCAAGCCUUGUCCCAAUUCCUUCGAGAUCAGGGUUUCACCGAUGCCCAUAUACAAGCUACAGUCUCCGGAGCACCUCAGAUACUAUUUGCCAACAUUGACAGGAAUCUUAAACCCAAGAUCCAGCAUUUUCGUAAACUGGGCCUUGAGGGUUCUCGUCUGUGUAAAUUCCUCUCGAAAAAUCCCACGAUUUUGACUGCUAGUUUGAAGGAGAAGUUGGGUCCUCGACUUGAAAUUUUGCAGAAAUCCGUCUCUCAGAAAGAUUUAGCUAGGGGUGUAGAAAGGUGCAGUUGGGUUCUGUUUAAGUACUCGGAAUCGAGACUGUUGUCGAACAUUGCAUUGCUGCAGAGCUGUGGCAUUGUCGGGUCUCAGCUCUCGAUGCUGUUCAGAAUGCAGCCCAGGAUUUUCUUGAGGGAAGAAUCUGAACUUAGAGGCAUUGUUUCCAGGACUUUGGAUUUCGGGUUCUCGACGAAAUCUAAGAUGUUUGUACACGGUUUGUACACCGUCAGCGGAUGGAGUGACGCUGCCCUCGAAAGAAAAUUCGCAAUCUUCGACGGGUAUGGAUUUUCGAGGGAAGAAUGUAUCGGCAUGUUCAGAAAGGCACCAGUAUUGCUGAGGUGCUCCGAGGAGAAGUUGAAGUUUGGGAUUGAUUUCUAUUUGAACACAAUGAAGCUGAGCAAAGAGAUGAUAUGUAGCAGGCCUUCGCUGUUGAUGUACAGCAUGACGGAAAGAGUAAUUCCUCGAUACCGUGUUUUGGAGAUGAUGGAGUCGAAGGCGCUGUUUGAAAAGAGGCCGAACUUCAGCACUGUUGCGAGUCUGACGAAUGAGAGGUUUAUCGACAAGUUCGUGUUUUGGUCGUUAGAUCAUGCAGAGGAACUACUAAUGGCUUACAAUGGUCAUGAUGUCAGUGCUGCUAGAGAUGAAACAUGUUUGUAGCUACCUCGAUGGUUUGGAAUUCGUUCUGUACCCUUGUUCUCGGUUCAGAUUGCUCCCUUUCUGCAGUCAUAUAUUCAUCAUAGAUAUAUUCAACUGGAGCUUGGGACCGUGACCUUUUUAUGAUGAUGUUGGUAAUGUUGGCAGGUAAGUUGGUCAAUCUUCUGUAUAACCAACCACAAAUACAGCAAUAUUUCAUUUCAUUUCAUUAGGAAAGAAUCCUAUUGCAUCAAGAGAUAUAUUCACAGAUAGCAUUCAUACGAUUAUUGAUGAUGAUGAUGAUGAUGAAGUUGAUGAUGAUGAUGAUCCUCCCUUCAAUUAGAGGAGAACCCAACAAAUGGAAAAAGAAAUUGAAAAGAAUAAUAACUGGAAUAAAAAAAAAACUAGGCCUUUUCACUGCUUCACAGCAUCGUGCUCGGAAGAGCCCCACCUGGAACCGACAGUCAUCAUCAUCUUAAACUCGUCGAAAUCGAUCGUCCCAUUGCCGUCCCGAUCGACCCCGCUGAUCAUCUUCCUGCACUCUGCAAUCGAGCACUCUUCCCCCAAGCUGAUCAUCACCUUGUGCAGCUCCUCGGCGGUGAUCGACCCGUUGCCGUCGAUGUCGUAGACCGAGAACGCGUGUCUCAGAUUCACCAUCGCCUCCUCGGACCCGACACCCUGGGUGUUCAUGGCCACGAACUCGUCGAAAUCGAUGAACCCGUCCCCGUCGGCGUCGAACUCGGUGAUCAUUUUCUGGAGCUCGUCGUCGUUGGCCCUGUGGCCGAGGCUGGACAUGAUCAUGCCCAGCUCGGAGGCGGAGAUCUUGCCGUCGCCGUUGACGUCGAAUUUCUUGAACACCUGGUCUAGCUCGGAGGCGUGGCAGUUCAUUGUUGGGGAUCCUGAUAGAAGUUUUGGGGGAAUUUGUUGCGGAAUUUAAACAGAUUUGAGUGGAAAUGGAACGAAUGUUUGGGGAUAAAUUUGGUAGAUGGAGAUGAUUGAUUUUGGGGAUUGCCGGAAAAGAUAAUGCUGAAUUUGGUUGUUUCCUGUUAUUUUCAGGAGGGGCUAAUGAGAUCCCAGGAUCUACCGCUUCCAUAUCACUUUUGUUUUUGUUCAGUAAAUUCUAUAAUUUGAUAUAUUUAUUAUCGGCUUCUUUAAUUGUCAGGUUUUAUUCAUAUCCAUCCAUUUGUAUAAAAGGGUAUAAAUUUUUAUAUUUCAUUUUUGUACACACGAUUUUAGAGAAGUUGACUUCACCGAUUUUAGUAUAUAUUUAGUAUCUUUUUUAUGACAUUAUAUUGUCGCGAUGAACUAUGAUUUAUUCCUCGUUUAAUUAUUAACUUAUUAAGAAAUAUUUGCUUGUCGUUCAUAUUAACUUAAGCAAGUAAGUUUUUCGUUAGUAAAGACACGCACUACUUAACGAAAAACUAACGAAAAACUCAACCUACUAUAUUGAAUUAGAUGGAUAUCUAUGGAUUUAAAUAACAGUGCCAACCAUUUCUAAUCUCGAUAACUCAUUUUGAAUAUAAGUAAGUAACAACACAUAGUUCAUUGUUUAAAGUGUCACAUCAUACCGUUAGGUAUAGAAAAGAGUAUCUUUUUAAGAAAAGUUAUACGUAGUAUUGAAACUGGAAAAAUAAGGAUAUUAUUAUAUAUGAUAACAUUGUUAUUCAUAUCUCAUAGCUAGUAGACCCAAGUGGGUGUGUGAUGCUGCUGCUGUAACAAUUUGCGGCGGCUUGUGGUAUUUGAAGGCGACUCUUAGCUUUUCCGGUAGCCUAGAACUGGGUGUGGAUCCGCCGCAAACAUGUUUGCCUUAUGACAGGGGCAGUUUUGUCAUUUUAAGAAAAAAUUAAAAUUUAAAAUCGAACAUCAAAAUUUAAAAACCAAAACUGAAAAUCCAAUAUUUUAAACCCUAAAUUUAAACUUAAAAAUACAAAAUCCAAAAUCGAAAUCUAAAAUCUAAAAUCUAAAAUUAAAAACUCAUUUCAAACUGUUCCGUAACGCAGCAAAUAAAAUUCCUCUAUUUGCUGCGGACACGGAGCGGCGACUCUGGAGCUUUUCCGGUAGACUAGAACUUGUCUCGGUUGCCUUCUGUUUUGGGAAAGAUUUAUGCUUUGUCGUUUCAUUUACAUAUAUUAAAAUUUAUAGAGUGGACCGACCAACAAAACAACCCAUAAUUAAACAUAGCAUUAGCACCUUUGGUUUUGCUUUUCUAAUGUCAAUGAACAUAUAGAGAAAGCAGAAGAGGUAUCUUCUACAGAGAAACCCAAGAUUCCUCUGUUUGUCUCUGGUUCCAGACUUGCAGCCUUUUCACCCUAUAUAUACGUGGAGGUAACACUUCCCAACUUCAUCAACUUAGCCCAAACAACACCAAACACCAACCGCAAACACGUUAAUACACAGAGUUGUCCAAAUAGCUCUAGCUGUAUAUGGCUCUCAACAUCCUCCACGACUUGCAGACAUGGUACACAUCACCCGCCAUGGACACCGUCAAGUUCCUUGUCGCACCGAUCCUUGUAGCAAUCUUAACAUCAUUUCUCCUGACGAAAAAGUGGACCUCGAAAGGGGCCCCUCUCCCUCCGGGUCCAACCGGGCUGCCCAUUGUCGGGUACCUCCCUUUCCUAGGUGUCCACCUCCACCACGAGUUUACCAAGUUGGCAGCCACGUACGGUCCGGUCUACAAGAUGUGGCUGGGGACCAAGCUCUGCGUGGUGGUCAGCUCUCCUUCCUUGGUCAAGGAAGUGGUGAGAGAUCAGGACAGCGUGUUUGCCAACCGGGACCCGCCCAUUGCCUCCGUGGUGCUGACCUACGGAUGUGAUGACGUGGCGUUCUCGAACUACGGCCCCUUGUGGAAGAAGCUGAGGAAGGUGUUCGUGAGGGAGAUGCUGAGCAGCGCCAGCCUGGAGGCAUGUUACGUGCUGAGGAAGGAACAGGUGCGGAACUCGGUGAAGGAGGUGUACUCGAGGUGCGUCGAUGGGGCGAUGGACGUUGGCGAAAUGGCGUUCAAAACGACGACGAAUGCUAUGAUGAGCAUGCUUUGGGGAGGCGUGGAGGAAGCCCUAGGGAAGACGAGCAGUACUAGCUUUUACAGUGAGUUUAGGGACUUGGAGACGGAGAUGUUGGUUCUGAUGGGAACCCCUAACGUGUCAGAUUUCGUACCCGCUUUGGCCAGGUUCGACUUGCAAGGGAUCCAGAAGAAGUCCAAGGUGUUGCUCGAAAAGUUCGAUGUGAUUCUGAGCUCGGCGAUCGAGGAACGACUGAGGUUAGUCGAGAAGAGGGGAGAUACAAGGAAGGAUUUUUUGCAAGUAUUACUGGAUUUCAACCGGGCUGGCCAUGUUGAUACAUGUAUUACCAUCAAUCAAGUCAAAGCUUUGCUUAUGGUAAUUAGUCACCAACCAAAUUAAAAUUGGUAUCUUUAAAUAAUCAUUAAGCUUAUCUUAAUUUGCUCCAACAUGCAGGACAUAUUAGUUGGUGGAACAGACACAACAGCAACCAUGAUAGAGUGGACGAUGGCAGAGCUAGUCAAGCAUCCAGCCACAAUGGCGAAAGUCUACGAAGAACUCGACCGAGUCGUGGGACAAAACGGCAUCGUGGAAGAAUCCCACCUCCACAAGCUAAGCUACCUAGAAGCAGUGAUCAAGGAAACGUCCAGGCUACAUCCAGCGUUGCCACUGCUAGUGCCACGGUGUCCUAGCCAGACGUGCGAGUUAGGCGGCUACACCAUACCAAAGGGCACGAUCGUCUAUCUGAACGCGUACGCGCUCCACACGGACCCGGAGCUGUGGGACCAACCCCUGGAGUUCGAACCGGAGAGGUUUCUCGACGCGGGGGACGACGAGGAAAACGUGAAGUUUGACUUUCAGGGGAACAAUUUCCAGUUCCUUCCGUUUGGAUCGGGGAGGAGGGUCUGUCCUGGACAGCCGUUGGGGGUGAGUACGCAGAAGUACGUGUUGGCUACGCUUCUGCACUCUUUUGAGUGGAAGCUGCCGGAGGGGAGUGAGCUGGAGUUGUCGGAUAAGUUUGGGAUCGUUAUCAAGAAGAUGAAUCCUCUGAUCCUUGUUCCGACUCCCAGGCUGUCCAAUUUGGAGCUCUACUAGAGAGAAUAUUGGACGAUUGAUCAUAAUCUACCAUUAACAAAUAUUCUCAACAUGUUAGCUGAGUCAACGAUGUUUUGUUUAAUUUCGGCGCAUGUUUGGCUGUGAUCGAUAAAACCAAGGUUGUUUGUUUGUCUUUAUGUUUCUUGUCAUUAUUGUCAGACGGACCUUUGUUGUUUGUGUAAAGGUUUGCUGAUUAAUAUAUUGCUGUUGGUUCAUCUUGACUGAAGUUUUGGAGCUCAUGCUCAAUAGUUUCUGGUGGGUACGAAGGCGACGGGAGGUAGUGGUAUAUCUUGGCUGAAGUGGGAUCGUUUAUGUGUUCGUAAAAAGUCUGGCUGGAUGGGAUUUCGAAGUUUUUAUGUUUUUAAUCUAGCUUUUGAGAAAAUAGUUUUGAAAUUUUCUCACCAAUCCUGAUAUUUUGGUUUCAAGAAUCUUCAAAACUAAAUAUUAUCGCAAUGGCGAUUUUCUCAAUGAGAAGUUAGGAUACCGGUCGAGUUAUGUUUGGCGGAGUAUUGUUUCCUCCUAAGAGAUCAUUCGCGUGGGUUAUUGGUGGAACUUCGGGUAUGGAUCGUCCAUAAAAGUACUUAAUGACGAGAGGAGCCGAAUUACUUUUUGAAAACGCCUCCUAGUCUGGAACUUAUGAAUUUGACGGUUAACAAUUUACUCACACCAAACCUUCGGGAAUGGGAUGAGUCAAAACUUGAUGUUUUAGCUUGUUCGGUAAGUAGAGUCGACUCAUGUUGAGUCUUGAGGUGGAUGCGUUUAGCAGUGAGUUAGGUAUUGAGGAGCACUAGGAUGCGAUGUAGUUAACUUCGGUAAAAGUGCAUCUCCCGUUGUAACUCGCUUGUGGGUUGCACCUCACGGGUUACCAAAUCCUACCGUGUAAGCGAAUAGUGUUAUAUGAUGAAUGAAAGCACAUAUGCUCGAUAUAUUCAACAAAAAAGUAUCGUUACGCAAGGCUUACUUUAAAGUGCAAGUGGUGAUGUUGACACCUCUACAUUUUAUGCUUCAAACUCAUCGUCUCCAUAUUAUAAUUAAGUGUUUGUUUGUUUGUUGUUGAGUAUAUUCAAGUAGUUUGUUACUGGCUAACUAACUUGUACAUUAUCCACUGCGAACAUACGCGUUAUGUGACGUAUUGAGUACUAAGUUGUUUAAUUGGCCAAAUGAGUCGCUGAAGAACAAUAGUCAAUCUAGAAAAGAAUCAAUAUUCAAUAGGGGUUGUUGUUGCAAAGAUUGACCCCCCAAUACAAGCAGGCUUCAAAGCAAAGUUUCAUGCACUAGCUUCAGAAAACACCAGAGACGUGACAUUUCUGCGGACAACGACUCUUUCAGAAGCAAACUCCUAAAUCCCUAAAACUGAUUAUCGCAAGAAGAUACAGGGUUAAGUACUAGGCCAGUACUGACCGACAGACGCUAACGAGCAUUCCCAUGCACAAACUUGGACUAGUGUCUCUACCAAACCAUGCCUAAUCCUCUGAUUGCAGUUCUCUAUAGAAGCAUUUCUAACGAAGACCCUAAGCACGAGCAAGACGACCACCGGCCACGGUAAGUUUUGGUCGUAAUCCCAGCUCCAGUAAAGCAACAACUUAGACUAGCGACUCAGCAAGUGUUAAAUAAAAGCACACAAUGAAACAAUAUGAGGCAGCCAACUAUUAUUGAUUAUACACACAGUAUAGCAAGGCAGUUAACUACCAUGGAAUUCAUCAACGUAUCCAAGCCAUCAGAAAAUACUAAAUAGACAUCAACCACCAAUUACCCAGCAAAACCUUGCAGUUGUCCUGCGCAAAGACCAAAGUUCUAAUCUUGCAACCAUUUGUCACCUACCCAAGUCUUACAUCUCUCAACAUUAAGCUAAGAACAGCAUAGUACUUUGGAUUCAAUCAUUUAACACCAUUAAUAAAGGAAAAAGGAGUAGAAGAAAGAUCAUAAGACACUUGAGAUAAGAGCUAGAGAUAUUUAACGAGGCGUUAAUACAUUAGAUACACACUUGAGAUAAUAGAAUGGAGUAAGUUCACCAACAACGGAAUUAGGACUAGAACUACAGAAGGAAAACAAAAAAGAUGACACAAAUCCCCUGACUGCUUAUCAGAGACACGCAGCAGUGCUUCACCAAUUUGAAAUAACACACCAUCGCCAUUCAAACGAACCCUCAUUUCCUCCCCCCAAAUCAUACAAACAAGAGAAACAGAACGACCGAAUUGAAGCAAAAUCAUAACCAGUUGGGAAAAUUCAGAAUGUUACCAAAUUGUUUCCUUUUUUCACUUGGCAACCAUCCUAGCAAUGAAAUCCUCGUACCGGAUCUUCCCAUCCGAUCCGACAUCCACCUCUCUAAUCCACUCGUCGAACUCCGCGGGCUCCAGCUUCUCCCCGAUACUCGUCAAGAUGUGGCGCAGAUCCUGCACUGAGACGAACCCGGUGGAGUCCUUGUCGAGGACCUUGAAAGCGUCGCGGAGCUGGCGAUCGAAGGGCUCGGCUUUCAUGUGCUUCCCCAUGAUAUCGAGGAACCUCUGGAAAUCGAACGGAGCGGUUAGCUUCUCCUCGGCGACGAUGGCCUUGAGCUGGGCCUGGGUAGGGUUCCCGCCGAGGGAUCGCAUGAGGAUCCCGAGCUCGGAGGGCGCGAUUUUUCCGUCGCUGUCGGUGUCGAAGAGGACGAAAGCCUCUUUCAUGGAAUGAACCUGGUCGUCGCUAACCUUUCCCAUUUUCCUGUUCCGGCAGUCGGUCUCCGGUCGAUGUGGAUUUUCUGAUGGGGUAUGUGCGUGUUCCGUUGUUUUGAAAAUGAACGAUUCAGCGAUUCCUGGGAGAAAACUCAGAAAAUAAAUGGCAGCUCCUUAAUUUCUAGGAAGAGCCAAAUGCGUUUACGUUACGACAUCGUUUCUAUUGAAACCUCAGUAGGCCUGCCCGCGUUCACCAUAGGCCCACAUUUGAUGUUGAACCUCCUCAGUUUGUUUGGGCCUAACCGUGUUGUAAUGUUUAUUCUUCAGCGGUUCAGCCCAACCCACAAACUAGCCAAAUAAUUUUUAUGUUUCUCUAUGGUUAGUUUUAUUUUAGUAGAUGGAGAUAGAAUACAUAAAUUGAUUUUAUUUUUGUGAAAAAUAUUAGAUUUAAAAUUCUUUAUCAUCAAAUACACAAUUUUAUCAGUGGAAUAAUUUCAUUUGUAAAUUGUUAAUUUGUGUUUUUUCUAUUUUUUACUAAUCUUAUUACUUUCACAUGAUGUAUUAUUGGUAUAUGAUUGGAGUAUUCAUCUUUAAAAAUUCUUAUCUUACACGUUGCUUUUCAACUAUAUAUAACCUUUUUGUUAUUUUCUGUAUUUGUGAUGUUUAUCUCGUUUUUCUUCUUGGUGUUACAGGUUUAACAUACAAGAAGCGGUCACCUAUACAACUUUGUUUCAGUUUUAGACUGCUCGACAUCAUAAUUGGACAAGAGGUUGUGGCAACACACUCUCGUGCGGGACACUCUACCAUGACCACCUGAUAACAGUGUAUGAGUCUCCAAUUCAGUGGCACGCCUGACUCUUAUAUAUCUUCUAGGACUGUUGCUAGUAGUCCUCACAUUCUAAAUAAAUGGUUACAAUAGUGUGUUUGUUAUCUCCAAAUAAUCUCUACAAAAAGCUACCUAUGACAACAAAUUUAUAUAAUAAAACAGGUAUGUUUAACAAAAAAAAUACGUUAACUGUAAAAAUACAAAUGAUUCGUCGACAACUAAAAUAUGAAAUGGAAUCUUGAACAUAUUCUCAUUCGAAUGAGAAAUUAAAAUUUCAACAAAAUACAUUUUAAGAAAGAAAUUUCUCAUUUUCAUCUAAAUAUCAUUCUACAUUCUAACUCGCAAACUCGCAACAAUUUUUGUAUGUGGAAUCCUACUCAUUUAAACUACAAAGCUAGGAGCCAACUUUGGUGAAGCAUGAAUGAUUGAGCUAGGGGAUCCAAACAAUGGGUCCCAUUCACUUUAGGUCAAGAUUUAACUUUGUGUCUAAUUACUAACUUUGUCCCACUUCACCAAGAAAAAUAAUAACUUUUUGAUAAAAUUAAAAAAAAAGAGAGAAAUUUUGAGCUUAGAGGAAUCCAAUGUUGUAGUGUCCCACUGUCNNNNNNNNNNNNNNNNNNNNNNNNNNNNNNNNNNNNNNNNNNNNNNNNNNNNNNNNNNNNNNNNNNNNNNNNNNNNNNNNNNNNNNNNNNNNNNNNNNNNNNNNNNNNNNNNNNNNNNNNNNNNNNNNNNNNNNNNNNNNNNNNNNNNNNNNNNNNNNNNNNNNNNNNNNNNNNNNNNNNNNNNNNNNNNNNNNNNNNNNNNNNNNNNNNNNNNNNNNUGAGAUAAGAGACGUUUUCCUUAAAAGAAUCGACGCAAGAAUAUACAAUCGACAAGCUAAUUUAUGAGUUACCUUAUUUCGAAUUUUAUUAACCAAUAAAUUUUUUUAUCUUUUAAAAUUUGCCAACAUGACUAAACCAUCUUCUCGAACCAUGUGAUGUCCAAAUUUAACUGAUAUUAAUUUUUGAGAAUAAAUUCUACGCAAAAAUUAUAACACAAAUAUACUUCCAAUUAUCAAAAUAUUCAAUAAGCAUGUGCAAAAUGGUCAUAUUUGGAGUGCGAAAUGGUGAGAUACCUAAAUCUUGACUUCUAGCCUUAACCAAGUUUUUUAACUGAAAAACUUCCACUAUUUUCAAAUUGCAGCUGAUUUUACAGAUGAAAUAUAAACUGACAAUUGACAAACACACUUGUUAUGAAAUUAGACUUUGGGGUCGUUUGGUAUAAAGCAAAUUAAGUUGUGUUUUUCGGCCAAUAUAAAAUAAAGAAAAGAAAUAAAUAUUAUAUUGGUAUCCAUUUUUUAAAAUAUACGACAUUCAAACCUUAAACUGCGGGAUCAUUAAACACACGCUUUAUCACGAAACAACUCCCCCUAAACAAUUUAGCAUUGUUCAAUAUCUUAAACUAAAGUGUUGCAUGGUUAGUGACUUCAUUAUCAAUCCAAAGAAGUACAAAAUCAUACACAUGCACCGCAUAUGGGCAAAGAUAGUGACUUCACUUGAACCGUCAUUUUUGUUCUAUUGUUGGCUCCUUCUUCCCCUGGUCUCAGUCCCCCCCACCAAGACAUAAGUCUCCAAAAUCCAAGUGAACGUGCAAUCAAACACUGUUAUCAUACACUCUUGCUACACCAAUCUUCCAACCUAUCGUUUCAAGAUUACGAUAACGAUAUUACGACAGACAGUACUUUUUUAUUGUGAAUUCUAGUAUUUGACUCAUUGGCCGACUAAUCCAGUCGAAGAUGGUCUCGAGGUUAAGGUUUUACUCAUCUCCUGAGAAAUCAAAUCUUGAUUCGCCCUUCCAAAUUCAGCCUCUGACACUACUAAACCAACAACUUCAAUGGACAAUACUCAUGAAAUAUAAAACACAUCACAGUCUGUCACGUACUUUUUUCUCCUUAGCCUUGUAUGACUGAGUAUCGGUCUACCUUAGACACAGAGCAUUAAAGUCCAAAGUGUGAAUGUGGAUAGUGGGAGAUAGAUAGAUGGAUCCCUCCAAAAAGUCGUUAUUUCUUGGCUUGCUUUUCCACUUCCAAUGAUCAAACCUUCCUCUUUUCAAACCUUUCAUCAUGUACCUUCUGUCUUCCAUUCGCUCAUCCCUCCAGAAAAAAAAAGAACAGCCGAGCUUCACUGUCCAUGGAAUCUGCACAAAGUAGUUAUCUUUGUCAGUGAAAGGGAUACGGAGGUCCAAAAGAGAAUCCUUUACGAGAAAAACUGAAGAUGGGUCUUCUUCUCUUUCCAUCCUUGUACAUGGGUCUGCUCUUGAUUCCACUAUCAAUUAUUGUUGUUUCUGGGAACGCGGAGCUCAGAGCACUCAUGGAGCUGAAAUCUGCUCUUGACCCGACAAACAAGCUGUUGAGGUCGUGGGGCAGCGAUGGCGAGCCUUGCAGCGGAUCGUUCGAAGGGGUCGCCUGCAACGAGCAUCGCAAAGUGGCUAACAUUUCUCUCCAGGGGAAAGGUCUCUCCGGAGCUCUUUCCCCUGCAAUUUCAGAGCUCAAAUGCUUGUCUGGUCUCUACUUGCAUUACAACUCCCUUUCUGGAGAUAUACCCAGAGAGCUAGCCAAUCUGACCGAAUUGUCUGAUCUUUACCUCAAUGUCAAUAACCUUUCUGGCAUCAUUCCUCCUCGGAUCGGUAACAUGGCAGCUUUGCAAGGUUUGUUCUUUGUCUUGUCAAUUUCUUCCUUCCAAGUUCUGAAACUGAAAAAGCUUAUUUCUGCAAAAUAGUUGUGGAGCUAUGCUGCAAUCAGCUGACAGGGGACAUACCAGCAGAGAUGGGUGAUUUGAAGAAGCUAAGCGUUAUAGCAUUGCAGCACAACAAACUAAGCGGCCAAAUACCUCGAAGUUUAGAGAGCUUACAGACUUUGACAAGGCUUGAUUUGGGGUUCAACACUCUCUCCGGUGGAAUCCCUCUCGGAAUAGCUCGACUCCCACGUCUACAACUCCUGGACGUCAGAAACAAUUCCCUCUCAGGAAUUGUCCCUUCUGGUACUUCUUCUUCUGCUUCCAUUCCUACUCUCAGUUUUCCAUGUCUGAACUUUUUGUUUGAAAUGAUGUGUGAAGCUUUACAGAGAUUAAACGAAGGGUUCGAUUUCGAGAACAACCAAGGUCUUUGCGGAGAUGGGAUUCCAGCGUUAAGAGCUUGCUCGAUCUUUGACAACGUGAACGUUAAUGAUCUCGGAGGGGGGAAAAGUCAUGAUCAGCCGUUCAUUAACGACACAUUAACGAAAGAAACUCCAGAAAAGCCAUCUGUCUUCAAUCAGCAGCCCGAGUUGUGCAGUAAUAACGAAACCGGUUGCUCGAAAUCCUCCCCCAAGCUGCCAAAGAUUGCUAUUGUUGCAGGAGUCAUAACCGUUACGAUUGCAUUGAUGAGUGUAUGCUUUCUAGUCGUUUUCAGAUACCGGAGGAGGAAACAGAAGAUCGGGAAUGCAUCAUCCGAGUCUCCGGAUAGUCAUGUGAGUGGAAGUCAUGACCAGCAUCAGCAGCUCAAGGAACUGAAGAGAGGAAGAAGUCUUGUGUCACCACUUGUGAGCUUGGAGUAUCCCAAUGGGUUUCAUUUACCUGAGGAGAAUGAUGACUACCUGAACAGCUUCAGAUUCAACCUGGAAGAGAUCGAGUCAGCGACUCUGUGCUUCUCUGAAGCGAAUUUGUUAGGGAAAGGGAGCUUCUCGUCUGUUUAUAGAGGGGUGUUGAUGAGAGAUGGUACGGAUGUUGCUAUCACUAGCAUCAACAUGACUAGCUGCAAAUCGGAAGAUUCCGAGUUUGCUAAAGGGCUGAGCCUGUUGACCUCGUUGAGGCACGAUAAUCUCGUUCGACUUCGGGGAUUCUGUUGCUCCAAAGGAAGAGGUGAAUGUUACCUGGUUUAUGAUUUUGCUCCUAAAGGGAAGUUGUCCAAGUACCUUGAAGCAGAUGAAGGGAGUAGUAGCCCAGUGCUUGACUGGUCCUCCAGGGUAUCCAUCAUCAAUGGCAUUGCAAAAGGUUAGUCCUUUACCGUUAUGAAAGUUUAUGUAAGGCGUCAAGUAGUCGAAGUAAAAAAAGACUCAAAUUUGUGCAGGUCUUGGAUAUCUGCACAGAGCUGAAGCAAGCAAACCAACAAUCAUUCACCGGAACAUAUCGGUGGACAAGAUUCUGCUCGACCGGCAGCUCAACCCACUGAUUGCGGAAUCAGGACUUCCUAAGCUUUUAGCAGAUGAUAUCAUCUUCUUGACACUGAAAACAAGUGCUGCAAUGGGAUAUCUGGCUCCAGAAUACAUAACCACAGGGAGCUUCAAUGAGAAAAGCGAUGUCUAUGCAUUUGGGGCAAUCAUCCUUCAAGUACUAUGUGGAAGAAACAUGCUCCCUAGCUCGAUGAGGGCGGCGGCUGCUUCGUGUAGAUACCAAGAUUUUAUUGACAAAAGCCUGAAAGGGAACUUCUCUGAGAAUGAGGCUGGGAUACUUGCAGACAUUGCUCUUCGGUGCACUCACGAAUUGCCCGAGGAGCGGCCAGACAUGGUUGCUGUGAUUGAAGAGUUGAACAGAAGCCAAACUUUUACUCCUUGAACUACAGUUUCAUCAUCAUCCAUAGUUCCAUAUCACUGGGAAACUGGAUUCAUUCAAAUUUACCCAUUUUGUAUUGAUGAACAUUAUCAGAAAUAUAGUACAACUUCCUACCUGGGAGACCAAACUUACGAGUCCAGUUGUUAUGAAUGAGCCCAAUCUUUCGUGCUUGAACCAGUAUCAAUCUUCUACUUCGCAGACCAACUCUGAGCCGACCGGGGACCCAAACCGGUCAGGUCAAGUCUCUCGCUCUCUGGCCGUCGGUACAUAAAUACACCGUUGGUACGAAUAAUAUUGCCAAACUCAAGAUUACUAUUAUCAACUAUCUCUUUGACAUCUCUAAUAACAACUCCUGUAUAACUUGCAACAUCGCUCCUUUUAAAUAUGUCUAAGCAUCAAUCGCCAUUUAAUCUACAAGCUGACCAACAUGAUUAUUAUCACGAAAUUUCUCAAAGAACCAAUGGAAAUUUUUCUCUCUCAUUAACCUAUUAAAUUUUUGAAGGUUUUUUAGUUGGAAAUAGACUAUGAGAAUAUGUCCUCAUACAAAAGAAAGAAAGUAAAUAUAAUAUAAAUUUUUUAAAGUAAGGUAUGGUUGGAUUCGAAUCCGAUACGACGAAUGUCUAGAUCGCCAAUCACACAUUACAGCCCGCACUAUUCGACGGUAAAAGACGUAGGAGGCCUUUUCAUCGAGUUAUCUGCUUCUUAUCACUGCUCACUAAUUAAACUAAGCGUAUGGUAAUUGUGGGUUGCGUUUGCCGAUCUUUAUAGAGAAGAGAGGGAAAAAAAAGAGAAGGAAAAGAACAAACACAUCCCCCCCCUGGAAUCUCUCUCCAAUUCUUCUUCCCAUCGCUCCCUCGUCCGAUUCGUCUUCGCAAUCCCCUCGCUCGCUGGCCUUCCUACCGUUGCAUUGCUUGCUUCCUUGCUUCGGUAUUCAUCUGGUAACACGAUACGGCUCUCUCUAACCUUCUUUCUCCCACCUCGAUUACUAGGGUUUAUUUCGAUGGUGUUUCUGUAUCCUUCUUUGAUAGUUUAAAUCUCGAUCGUGCGCGUUCCUUUUCGAUUAUGUUGUGGAUAACAUUGUUCUGUAUGUUGAUGAUCACUGUGUAUUUUGGGGCAGAAGUUUGGCUGUAACAAUGGAGCGAAAAGUUAUUGAAUUGGACCAAGGAUGGGACUAUAUGCAAAACGGGAUCACUAAGCUGAAGAGAAUUCUGGAGGGGGCUGUUGAGCAAUUCAACUCUGAAGAGUAUAUGAUGCUUUACACGUAGGGUCUUUCUUUUGUUCAUCCAGUUUCCAUCCUCAAAUAUGUUUAGUUUUACUUUCGUACGCUUUUCUGAUACCUCGUGUAAUUUUGUGGUACAGAACUAUCUACAACAUGUGUACACAGAAGCCUCCUCAUGACUACUCCCAACAGCUUUACGACAAGUACAGGGAGGCAUUCGAAGAGUACAUUAGCUCCACUGUGAGUAUUCUUUUUUUGUCACUGCUUGUCAUGUUUUUGGGUGAGCGUCAAACCAUUGAAUGCAUUUCUUAUUGUAUCCUUUGGCUUCAUACUGAGCAGAGUUGGUACUAAUUAUGUAUUACCUGAUUCCUUCUAAGGGAAGGCGGGUGAGGUGGGUUCAGAGAUGGAUAUACUGAUUUUUCUUCAUGUGCAUGCUAGGUACUCCCGUCAAUCAGAGAGAAGCAUGAUGAGUUUAUGUUGAGGGAGCUUGUCAAAAGAUGGGCCAAUCAUAAGCUUAUGGUCAGAUGGCUUUCACGUUUCUUCCAUUAUCUUGAUCGUUACUUCAUUGCUCGAAGGUCACUUCCUGCGUUGAAUGUGGUUGGGCUUACCUGCUUUCGCACCCUGGUAUGUAACUGUCUCUACACUAGAAGAUCAUUCCUCUGUUAUAUCCUGUAGAGUACGUAGUUAACCUUUCCAAUCACUCUUUAAAUUGUUACACAAUAUUCUACUUACUUCGGUUCAGGUUUACGAGGAGAUAAAUGUCAAAGCCAGGAAUGCUGUGAUUGCUCUUGUGAGUUAUUUUUAUUUUGAACUUGCUUUUAGCUUUGUGGUCCUCGGUUGUUAUUUCUGAUGGAGUUUUGACAACAAUUGGUUGACUGUGUCCCAGAUUGAUAAAGAGCGUGAGGGUGAGCAGAUUGAUAGAGCCUUGUUGAAGAACGUGUUAGAUAUAUUUGUGGAAAUUGGAAUGGGGCAAAUGGAUUGCUAUGAGAAAGACUUUGAAGCACCUAUGCUGGAAGAUACUGGUGUUUACUACAGCCAGAAAGCUUCAAACUGGAUACAGGAGGAUUCUUGUCCAGCAUACAUGCUAAAGGUAUAUGCUUGUGUUUUUGUAUAAGUUGUUGAUUCUCUUCAAUCAACUAUUGUAUUGUUGAUCCAAAUUCUGAAUUUGCAGUCUGAGGAAUGCUUAAAGAAGGAAAGAGAUAGAGUUUCAAAUUAUUUGCAUUCAAGCAGUGAGGCUAAAUUAGUUGAGGUAAAGCUCAACCCAAACAGUUUUCGGCAUCAAGGUUGUUGGUGUUUGUUGCUGCUGAAUUUGAAAAGAAUUGUGGAAAGUGACAAUUGCAUCAUGAUUUUGACCAUUGUUUGGCUACUUUAAUGUUUAAGAAGUGAUCCGGUGGUAAUUUACUCUUUUUUUAUUGAUCUUAACAUUUCACUUCGAGGUGAUUAGCUACUAGCUCUUAAAAUUUGCAGAAGCAUUGCCCAUGUUAAGCAUAACUGAACUUUGUAUCUUGAUGACCUUUUUGGUGUAUGUACAUUGAAGGAUAACCCAGUCAUUUAGCCGAAGAGCACUGUUUGUGGAACUUUAUUUUUUAUCGCCUAACUUUGCCUUAAAUUUUAUUGAUGGAUCUUUCGGUUUAAGGUGGAACUUAAGAUCAUUAUGCACAUUUUUUUUAUUUCUGGCCCCUAUUGCUAAAGUUGAAUACAGUAUAAUGCAUAUGUAUCUUAUUAUGAUGCUUAGGAUGGAUGGCUGUAGUAUUGUAUUUCCAAUAUGAUAAGGUCCCUUCUUAAAAUGUAUUGGAUUGUAAUACUUUGUGCAAGUAUGCUUAUUAUAACUGUUGUUUCUGGUGUAGAAAGUGCAACAUGAGCUGUUGGUUAAUUUCUCAACUCAGUUGCUUGACAAAGAGAAUUCUGGAUGUCGUGCACUGCUCAGGGAUGAUAAGGUAUUGUUUGAUUGACACUUUUAUUCAAACAAUGUUCUUUGUAUAUUUUCUACAGUUCAGAUAAAAUUAACUAUUGCUAUGUUGUGUAUAGGUAGAAGAUCUCUCUCGGAUGUAUAGGCUUUUUCACAAAAUAACCAAAGGUUUAGAACCUGUUGGAAACAAAGGUUUAGAUCCUGUUGCAACCAUCUUUAAGCAGGUUAGCUAUCAUAUAUCUUUAUCAACCUACCAGUUGAACUAGGGCAGAAUCUUUUGCACUCAUGAUCUCCAUUUUGCAGCAUAUUACUGCUGAAGGCACAGUAUUGGUACAGCAGGCAGAGGAUGCUGCGAGUAACCAGGUAUUCCAUCUGUAUUUUCUUACCUCAUUAGCUCUCUGUUUUAUUGGUCUCUUCGAUUAGAUAUAUUUUUAGAAAGGGAUUGGGACAUCUUGGUUAUGUUGUUACAAGCCAUGUGCUCUUCUAAUUUCAUUUAAUUGUUCUGAUGCGAUUUUUUGACAUCUCUAUCCUGCAGUCUACAAAUGGUGGUGGCCAAGAACAGGUAAAUGAUCUCUGGUUGUGUGCGCCUUUCUUUAUUUUUCUCAACACAUGCUGAUUUUUGUUUGUUCCCAGGUGCUCAUAAGGAAAGUAAUUGAGAUCCAUGACAAGUAUCUUGCCUAUGUUGGCGAUUGUUUCCAAAAUCAUACCUUGUUUCACAAGGUUAGUUGUUUCAUAUUACUGGUGUAAUGCUUCGACUUCUGUCGUAUUACUUCAUCUAACUAUUUCUUUGUUUUUGUUUCUGUUGUUCGAUAGGCAAUGAAAGAAGCAUUUGAGAUAUUCUGCAACAAAACUGUUGGUGGAAGUCCUAGUGCUGAACUUCUUGCAACCUUCUGCGAUAAUAUCCUCAAGAAAGGUGGCAGUGAGAAGCUCAGUGAUGAAGCAAUCGAGGAAAUACUGGAGAAGGUGAGCCUAAUGUUAUGCUUUUUAAAACUAUUUGCUUCAUUUUUCUGUGAUUAUUUCAAUAUUGGGGCUAAAAGAAACUGGGUUGCGAUUGCAGGUUGUUAAACUGCUUGCAUAUAUUAGUGACAAGGACCUUUUUGCUGAAUUCUACAGGUAUAAAUUUUGCAUUUAUGUCCCAUAUGAUUAUUAGCUUGUUUAGUUGUAUUGAUGUAGCACUAGAUUGCUUGUUUGCUAACAAUAAAUGUUAUUUUCUUGUUACAGAAAAAAACUUGCACGGCGUCUGCUCUUUGAACGCAGUGCUAAUGAGGAGCACGAGAAGAGUAUUUUAACUAAGCUUAAGCAGCAAUGUGGUGGACAAUUCACUUCAAAGAUGGAAGGAAUGGUAAUGCAGUAAUGCCUUUAUGAAGUUCCUCAUCUAUUCCUCUUCCGGGUAUGAAUGCACUUGGUAUAUUGAUUGGCUUUUUUAUUCUUCUUUAGGUCACUGAUUUGACGCUAGCAAAGGAUAACCAAGCUGAAUUUGAGAAUUAUCUAUCUAACAAUCCAAGUGCACAUCCCGGGAUCGACUUGUCCGUCAAUGUCCUUACAACCGGGUUUUGGCCUAGCUAUAAGUCUUCUGAUUUGAAUCUUCCUUCGGAGAUGGUAACCUUGUAUUUCCUUUUUGUAAUGUAUUUGAACUUGAGAUAUUUCUUGCUUAUUAGUCAUUGAUGGUUUGCCUUAAUUUUUUGUUACAGGUUAGGGGUGUCCAAGUUUUCAAGGAAUUUUAUGACACAAAAAGUAAGCACAGGAAGCUUACAUGGAUAUACUCUCUUGGAUCUUGUCAACUCACUGGGAAGUUUGAUCAAAAAAAUAUCGAGAUGGUCGUCUCUACAUAUCAGGUAGCCUCACUAUUUCUAAGUUGGUGUACCAUCCCUUUGUCGACUUAUUGAUGCAUUGUUACUCGACGGUGUGUUUAAUACUGCAUCUACUGUUUACUUUGUAAUACUGCAGGCUGCCAUACUUCUGCUGUUCAAUACCUCGGAUAGACUUAGUUACUCCGAGAUCAUGACACAGUCAAACUUGGGUCAUGAAGACUUGGUUAGAUUGCUUCAUUCGUUAUCAUGUGCCAAAUAUAAAAUCCUUAUCAAGGAGCCAAGCACAAAGACCGUUUCCCAAACAGAUAUCUUCGAGUUCAAUCCGAAGUUUACUGAUAGAAUGAGGAGGAUCAAGGUAAUUAACGAUCAGUUUGCUCUUCUAAUAAACUAAUCCAACCACUAGUGAAAAAGGAGCCAUCUGUAUAGGAUCAUAUAACUUACGGAAUCAUUUUAUCUCUAUGUGCAGAUUCCUCUUCCCGUGGUGGACGAAAGGAAGAAGGUUGUAGAGGAUGUUGACAAGGACCGGAGAUAUGCGAUAGACGCUGCCAUUGUGCGUAUAAUGAAGAGCAGGAAAGUGUUGGGGCAUCAACAGCUGGUGAUGGAGUGUGUCGAGCAGCUCAGCCGCAUGUUCAAGGUAAUUACUAAAUGCCAGGAGUCCUUAUAUAAGUAGUAGUAGUAGCAGUUGGUAUCUGAAGAAUGGUAGACGGACAAAGUGCUUGGUUUUUCCUGAAUGUUGGUUUCAUAACUUGCAGCCGGACAUUAAAGCUAUCAAGAAGCGGAUGGAGGAUUUAAUUGCCAGAGACUAUCUGGAGAGAGACAAGGACAAUGCCAACAUGUUCCGCUACUUGGCCUAGAAAUUGCGCAACGAAGGCUGCACAUCGUGCCGGUUUAUGGAGAUUCAGGUAUCGGGGGGAGCAUGAAGAGAGAAGAGUGGAGGGGUUAUACAUUGUAAGAGUAACUGAUUUGGAAAUUGCUUUGUCCAUGUAAAUGGUGUAGUAGAAUCUUCUUUUGUCUUGUUUACUUUCCUUAGUGAGAAAUCAACAACGCAUCUGCAUUUGCUUGCUGGAAAUUUGUUUUGAGUGCUUAGAUUGACAGGCAACUGUUUUUUCGAAAUAUGUUGAUAAUUUGAAUGAAAAACAGGCCAACAGGGUGUUCCAUUUUGUUGAUUGAAUUUGUUACUUUGUUUUAUAACUCCUUUGAGGGGCGUCAUAUUUAGUGAUUGUCGUCGUUAGGUGAAUUCCGGGGCUGCCGGCCAUCAGUAGCCAAUGUGUUAUCGGUGAAGCCAUCAUAGGGACGGAAUGAUUAGUCGAUCUCUAGGAACAAAGACAGGGUGUUAAAAUCACUAGACUAUACCCUAUUUUUUGCUCAAAACAUUUGUUCGAUCCCAUGCAUAUAUACUAGUGUCGAGCUAAAGUGGCCGUCAGUUUCCUUCCCCAUGCAUCAAUCAUCAUCAUGCAUAUAAAAAUCCAACGAAGCAGCAUUUAUUAGCAUCACAUGCAUUUACACCAGCAACUGCAAGUCUCGGUGAUGGUUUUGGCAGUGAGUUGCUGUGAGAAAGUGACAGGGGACGGUUUGGUGGUGAUGGCAUUUACUUCCAUUUCCAAACCCAGGAAGGGAAGGAAGGAUUUCAUUUAAUGAGGUUAGUUGACCGAUUCAGAAAUGGACACUCACGAUUUCAUUUAAUGCAGACUGCAGACAUACACCACCAAUAUUCCCUUUACCCACCACCAUUUUUCAUUUUUUGAGGGGAGAAAUGGUUAUUACCUUCGAGGUUCGAAUCAACUGUUAGAAGAAUUCGCGAGGAGUUAGGGCACUCGAGGUCCGACUCUGAGAUCUCGCAUUCUAUCGUAAAAUGUGACAAAAUAUUAUAUGUAUUCCGAGUAUUGUUAAACGAUCUUUAAAAUAGUGUUACUUGGACGCAGAGUGAAGUUAAAAUAAUGUAACUUUGACAAAUUCUGAUUCAACCAUGCGAUCAUAUGCAGCCAAGAAUAAGAAUGGAAAUGCAAUAAAUAACCACAACGACUACUACUUCAAAUUCAGUGACCAUACUAUUCAGUGGGUAUGGUAAGGCUCUCUAAUUUAUUAGCUAGCUCAGUAUUUAUCACACUACACAAUUUUUUAUUCUAUAUGGCUGGGAAGUACUGAACCUGACUCUGUAAAUUUCCCUCUCUUCUCCUUCAUCUCUCCUAUGUAUUUCUACGCAUUUGUAUCAACGUACUAUCUACCCUUGAAGCAAAAAUUCUCGAAAGAAUCUGAAGGUUUACACAUCGUCGAUAAGUCUUAUUCAACAAUAUCGUGGGCUACCAAGAUUUGCAUACGGAGAACUCUUAACCAAUAAAAAUCCACUUGACGAGGACUGGGGAGUCAGGCUCACGACAGGAUCACAGGACUCCCGCCGCAGAAACUUUUACAGUUUAACCGUCAUUAUUACAAGACGACGAAACCUCUCUUCCCCAAUUGACCGCAGACCUCAUGAAAACGAAAGCAUACUGUAAAAUUGCCAUCACUGUUAUUUAUCUCUCAACCCAUUUCCCCAGUAAUCUCUGCAUAGACAAAAGGAAACAGAGAGGCAGAAAAAGCAGUCAUCUUUGAUUCUCAUUCAUAGCGGAUACUUAUACUUACAGACAUCCCAACUAUCAGGAACUUGGAUGGAUCACUUCUGAGUUAUUAUAUCUUAAAGGGUUCCAAAGAAUCAAGAGAGAAGAUAAAAAAGAAAGGAUCUUUCAGCUAGCUAGCUAGCUAGCUCAGCAAUGGCGCCUGCAGCAGCAGCACCAGCUUCAUCAUCUUCUCCAGUUUCUUCCUCUUCUCGUUCCCCUGCUUCCCUCAACCCUUCUUCUCCGUUAUCCUCUUCCUCUUAUCAUUUCUCCCGCUUCACUCCCGUCAGUACACAUCAUGCCCAACUGUCAAAAUCAAAAUUUGGCCACUGAUGAUUUUCAUGUAACUGACAUGGGUUCUUGGUUUUUCACUUGGUUCGUUGCAGAUUCAAGAAUGCGAGACUGAAGAUCAUUACAACGACUCCACAAGAUCCACGCCUUAUAAGCACCAUCAAACUCCUCUCCAUGAAAAGACUCCCGCCGCCGGCCACCGGAGAGGCACAAAAUCCGGCAGGGAGAAUUUCCACGACGACGAUGACGGUUCGGUAUCCUGCAUCGACUGCCGCCCCCACGCUAGAGAGAGGAUUUCCGUGAUUCCGAUGCAGUACAACAAUGGCGGAUUCAGCAAUAAACACUCAUUUCCAAGCCCUAACGUUAUCUUCAAGUCUAUUUUGUCAUCCCUCACUAAAAAAUCCCCCAAAUCCUCCUCCCCAGCCGCCGCCGGCGGCGCCUACGGAGGGCGNNNNNNNNNNNNNNNNNNNNNNNNNNNNNNNNNNNNNNNNNNNNNNNNNNNNNNNNNNNNNNNNNNNNNNNNNNNNNNNNNNNNNNNNNNNNNNNNNNNNNNNNNNNNNNNNNNNNNNNNNNNNNNNNNNNNNNNNNNNNNNNNNNNNNNNNNNNNNNNNNNNNNNNNNNNNNNNNNNNNNNNNNNNNNNNNNNNNNNNNNNNNNNNNNNNNNNNNNNNNNNNNNNNNNNNNNNNNNNNNNNNNNNNNNNNNNNNNNNNNNNNNNNNNNNNNNNNNNNNNNNNNNNNNNNNNNNNNNNNNNNNNNNNNNNNNNNNNNNNNNNNNNNNNNNNNNNNNNNNNNNNNNNNNNNNNNNNNNNNNNNNNNNNNNNNNNNNNNNNNNNNNNNNNNNNNNNNNNNNNNNNNNNNNNNNNNNNNNNNNNNNNNNNNNNNNNNNNNNNNNNNNNNNNNNNNNNNNNNNNNNNNNNNNNNNNNNNNNNNNNNNNNNNNNNNNNNNNNNNNNNNNNNNNNNNNNNNNNNNNNNNNNNNNNNNNNNNNNNNNNNNNNNNNNNNNNNNNNNNNNNNNNNNNNNNNNNNNNNNNNNNNNNNNNNNNNNNNNNNNNNNNNNNNNNNNNNNNNNNNNNNNNNNNNNNNNNNNNNNNNNNNNNNNNNNNNNNNNNNNNNNNNNNNNNNNNNNNNNNNNNNNNNNNNNAACCCCACCACCCCGCCCCCCCCCCCCGCCCGCGGGCGGCGACUACGGCGGCAUCUCUUCUACCAGAGAAGAACAGUGGAAGAUCGCGGUCGCGGAGCUCUCCCACAAGCUGAUCCAGACGACUCGGAAGCGAGACGAGGCGAUUCUAGAAGCUUCUCGGCUGAAACACACCAUGGCAGAGCUUGAAAAUAAGCUCAACAAGCUCGAGAUCUACUGCCACAACUUGAGCUCCGGACUCGAAGAAUGCAACACCACUAUAAACAACAACAUCAACAACAACUCUAACAAGAUCAUCGUCGACCGAUUUCUGGUCUCCGUCUCCGAAUCGAGAUCCUCCGUCCGAGUCCUGGCCCGAUCCUUGACUUCACAGCUCUCGCAGUACAACGCAGGCAAGGUGUUCGACAAAAUAUCGACUCCACCUCUCCAGCCCUGCGACGUCAAAAUCUCCUCUUCCUCCACAAAAAACCCCAAAGCAGUUCUAAUCCACUUCGAGGCGCUGCUCAACAGGAUCUUCUUCGAAGACUUCGAAACCCUCGGGUUCCAGAAAAGCACCCCUGUCCAAAUCCUGAACCCGGUGGACAGAUGCGAAUCCAAUUACGCGACGUUCGAGGCGCUGAAGGAAGAGCUGACGUGGGAGGAAGUGUUGAGUAAAGGGACUCGCCAUUUCAGCGAGCAGUUCAGCAGGUUCUGCGACCGGAAGAUGAACGAGAUCGUCGCGGUGUUGGGCUGGAACAGAGCAUGGCCAGAGCCGCUGCUCCAGGCUUUCUUCGGCGCUUCCAAAGCCGUUUGGUUGGUUCACUUGCUAGCCAAUUCGGUUCACCCCAGUCUUGCCGUGUUUCGAGUCGACCAAGGGAUGGGGUUCGAUUCGACUUACAUGGAGGAUAUGAAUGGGGACCGAGCCAAGAGGCUGGUCCCCACCACGGUCCGGCUCAUGGUCGCGCCGGGAUUCUACCUCUACGGGAAUGUAAUCAAGUGCAAAGUCGUAUGCAGAUAUCUCAGUAUCAGUAACCCUGCUCCAUGAUCCAUUACUUAGAGUUGAAUCCUUACUGGAUCAGGAUUAACAUGCUUUAUCUUUUGCUGGAUGUACUUCUGCGAAAGCUAUUAGCUUCUUUUUCGUCUCUUUUGUUUUGUUUGGACGUGAAAAGAAGCCGUGCAAAAAGGGGAUGAUCGGAGGUGAUGGUAACAGUUCAUUCCGUCGUUGAGUUCGCUGGCCCAGGCUUGCACAUGAUCUACACUAGAUAAAACGUCCAUCUCAUCCUCCUGCAUCUUGUCCCGAGAGAGAGGCCACCAGUUCACUUUUGCGGUGGCAAGAAGCCGAGAACUGCCUUGCCGUAAAUCGGUGGGGUUCGGACGGUUAUCCCUCUUGCGACCGUUACUCCUGGAACCCUAUCAUUAAGUCUGGUGGCAGUAAUUGAAAGCCAGAAUCAUCCAGUCUUGUGGUUCUUACUCUUAUUGUUCCUUUUACCUCAUAAGGCAGAAGUUUCCUCGUUCGCUGUAGCACAAGCUGAUAACACACUGUGAUGUCGAAUACUUUGGAGGAAGCGCGGAAGGCAGAAGGUUGUGAUAUCCUUUUCGCCUUUGUAUGCGAAUAUUCAGUCAAUCGAAGCUGCUGGCUUUUUACUUGAUAAAUUCAUUUGCACAUCUCCUCUAAUUUCACCACAGUAAUGCCAGUGUUUCAGUCAAUGGAAGCUACAUCUCCUUCUCUCAGUAGGAGUUUGUUAUCUUAGUGCGUGAACGACCCUAGUAAAGACCGACUAUGAUCGCUUCAGACUUGUGGGUGUUCGCAAUAGAUGAUGAGCUCUCCAAAGAGGAAGUGGAGUUACGACACAAACCCGCAAUUACUAUUGCACGGAAAAUAAAAAGAACUUCUUAAUCGAUUGUUCGACUCAGACAAAUGCAACCACACAAUAUUACAAUUCGAACAAAGGGGGGGCUGCAAAAAUGAUGACAGCAACAUAGCUUGAAAUAGAUUAUUCUGGACCUAAGUUUAUCUGACUUGGAUGAUGCCAGCAUUCACAAGCUUUUGGAUCUUGUUCAUCACCAUUGGGUUCUUCAUGUGCUCUUGCGCUGCCUUUGGGUUCUCCUGUAAAUCGCUUAGAACCUGUGAACACCAAACGACAACAGUUAUCAAUUUCAUGCCAAAAUGAACGGAGAGAAGAAAGAAGAAACACAAUUUGCAGAAAUUUACUAACUUGUCUCAUGACAGGGUCGGAUAAGAUGUUCUGAACUUCAGGAUCCUGCAUUCCCUUUGCCUGCAAACCAAAUAUACAGAAAUUAAGAACCUGAACCCAAAAAAUGUAUCAACUAAAAAAUCAAGGUGCUGAAUUGGGUAAGACUCUAACCUGUCUCUCUUUCAGUUCUUCGGGGCUCAGAUCACCUCGGCUGGCUUUGUUGAGUUGCUCAACGCACCUGUGAAACAAUUCAGACCAAACAAAGCACUCAACAACUUGUUCAGAACAGAUACACAAGUGACAAUAAAGGAGAAUGAUGGACACCUUCUCACGCCAUCGAGCAAUUCUUGAUUCCGAGGAUCAUGUUUCAGUCCCACUUGGUAGGUCUCCAUAGCCUUUUCAUACUCUUUCAUGAAGAAUUGAAUAGCACCUUUCCUUGUGUAACCUUUAGCAAAAGUUGGAUCAAGCUCAAUGCACUUUUCUGCGUCUUUUAAUCCCUCGGGCAUGGCAGUUAGUUUCGUGUAGCAAGCAGCUCGGUUGCUGUAUGCCUAUAAAUACGCAAAACCAAUAGUUGGUCAGACGUCACGCCUCACUCAGUUGGCCAUGUCACAAAGCAACAGAGCAAUAGCUUUACCUUAUGAUCCUUCGGGUUUCUUUUAAUCGCUUCUGUGUAAUGUCUAACAGCAUCAGGAUAUUUUUGCUCCUUGAAGCAUUCGUUUCCUACACAGAAAACACUGAAGUUAGCUACAACUACCAUAACAUAGGCGUCUGAAAUGUUGGGAGGAAUAGGGAAAAGAGCACACCUUUCUCCCGUGCUUCAUCGGCCAACUGGGGAUCGAAGUACUCUUGUUGUUCCAGGUCUUUCUUGGCUUUCUCGGCUUCAUUCAGUUUCUUCAAUGUGUCUGGAUUACGGUGCUCGGUCAGGGCCUUUUGGAAGGUCUCGAUGGCCGGCUCAUAGUCCUUUGAGCUUUUUGCCAGCUUCACUAAGGCAGAUCCCUUCCUUGUCAAAGCUCUUGCAACCAUCUUAAAAUCUGAUCUGAGCUCCCUUCCACGCUCCACGGCUUUGUCACAAUCUUUGAUACAUUCUUCAUACUGAAAGGAUAAAAAAACAGAACCAUCAUUAGAAACCACGUCUCAGACAGCAUCCAAAAGGACUAAAGAGAUCGCCUACCAGAACAAGUGCAAAGAUUUGAUAGUUGAAGGCAGAAAACAUUAAACAAACAGCAAUUCAGAAGAAAAAUCAUAACUAUGCACGACAUAUUCAAGCUCUUCCGCAUAAAAUAAAUAGCCAGUCCUGAGAGGAUCACGGGACAAUAUUAGUAGGCUUAUUUCAGUACAGAGCUGAGUGAAAGGUGAUGUCUUUUCUAGCCUCAAAGCACACUAAUGAGGGCUUAUCGGGCAGUAAAAUGACAUUCUAUGAAACAGGCAUAUCAUGGAAUCAGGGAAAACAUCUACAGCCAAAGCAAUUGCCAUGCCAACUCAACAACUUACAGGAGCUAAACAGUUAAACGUAAGAACUAAGAAAAAGAAUCAUACUUUCAACAGGACACUAACGCCUGCAAGUUUACCAGUCAAUGAAAGUAAUUUCAUCAUUAGAAAAGAACAACUAAUUACCUUGCCCAUCUCUAGGUAGACAGCAGCACGGUUCGUCAUAAACGAGAUAUCUCCAUCAUCGAGCUCCAUAGCCUUGGUGUAGUGCGCAAUUGCUGUCUCGAAAUCCUUCAUCUUGUAAGCAGCAUUCCCAGCCUCCUUCUCCUUCAAGGCCUGUGCUUUCCUCUCUCUCGCCUCUUUUUCUUCCUCCGAAACCUCCAUCGGCUCGGGCUCGCGAGUCUUCUCCUCCCUGCGGACAUCAGCAGUCUUCUUCUCAGGGGGAGGAGGAGGCGAUGACUCGGCCUCCGCCUCCGGAAUGUCCAUGUCUUCUGGACUGUCUGCUGUUCUCAACUUCACAUUUAGCAGAACUCCCAAAGCCUGCAUCACCCUCUGAUCCUUCAGAUACAGAUUCAAAUUGGUCGGAUUCUUCUGAAUCUCCUUCAUCAUAUUAACAAAAUCCGGCUGCUGCAAAAAGAUCCUAGUAGAAGGAUCCGCAGUCAGCUUCGCCCACAUCUCCGGCCCGGAAAACGCAUCGCCGAACGGAUUAGGACCCUGAGGAGCAGCUCUAGACCUAGAAGAAGAAGAAGCAGCAGCCUGAGCAUCAGACAAUCCAGACUUCAACGCCUCGUUGUUAGGAUCAAGCUCGAGCCCCUUCUUGAACGCAGCGAUAGCGUCCUCGAACUGGCUCAAACCUUGAUGAGCUGCGCCUAGCCGUGAGUAGCCUUUCGACCAGUCAGGCUUGAGCUCGACAGUCUUCUUGGCGUCGGUUAAUGCGUCGGCGUAGUUCUGGAGGGAGGCGUAGGCGGCGGAUCGAUUGGAGUAGAGUACGUGGUUGGUGGGUGCGAGGGCGAUGGCGUCGGAGAAGUGCUUGAUGGCGGCAGAGUAGUCCCCGGAGGAGAACGCAGCGUUACCCUUGGCCUUGGCUUCGUCCGCCAUGGUAAUUGAUUGAAUUGAACUGGAAGGGAGAUUGAUCGACUGUAGAAUUGGGAGAAGAAGAAAGUUAUUAUAGGAAAAGAGUUGCGAUUUGCGAAGCCAAGAAAGUUCGGGAGAAAACUGAAAAGAGAGGAGAUUCUGGAACGUUCUGCACUGUUUUCUCAAAACGCACCGGAUUUGACUGGGAGGUUGUGGGUUAAGUACAUUCACGGUCACUCAUGUUUGGGAUUUAUGUAAUAAAGGUCACUCUAGUUAGUUAUGUCUAAAAGAGUAUCAUUAAAUUUUGGGUUUAUCACAUUAAGAUCACAUUAAGUUUGAAAUUUGUAACUAAGCACUGUUACUAUCCAAUUUUCCGUUACUAAUUCCACGUCAACAUGCCACCUCACUUAAAGUGUAAUACAAUGUGCUAUUUUUAAGUUGAGGACAAAACUGCUUUUAUAAGAAAAUAAUUAUAUUUACAUAGAAUAAGUAUGUAUAUAUAAGGUGUACCUUCAUUUUAAUCUCUUUGAAAAUAAAAGUUAAUAUAUAUCGGGUUAGAUCCGAUAUGGUUAUGAGCUAACCAAAAUUUUUAUGUAUAUAAAGAAUAUUAGUCUCAUUUAUUAUAAUUAAUUUGUCACUCUCACCAAAACCCAUAAUAAUAAUAAUAUUAUUCGAUCUCAAAAUGGAAAACUACAUUAAUCACCGGUGUUACUCCGUUGUUAUUCAUUUCUUAUUCUUUUUUAUUCCUCGUUUAUUCUACUUUUAUAAGCAAUUAUAAUUUAUUUUGUUGGUGAAAACCUACACACCUAACCUUCAUUAACAAUCAUUUUGUUCUCUGAAACACCAAGUACAUUAUAACAACAUCAAUAAGUCAAAAUAGGAUAUGGAAUAGGAUAAUAGUAAACACCAAAAGGCAUCUCGUGCCCAAUGCCAACAAGAUAAUCAACUGCAUGAUUGCCUUCUCGAUAAAUAUAAAUAAACUCGAUCUCUCACACCCUCUUCAUCAAACUUCUGAACUUAUUCACAAUAAUAAAGUAGAGUAUUGAUGAAUAUCUCUUGAUAUCUGGCAUAUCAACUACAAUGUGUAACGAAAGUCGAGUAUUCUUCGACAUAGUACCCUACUAAUCUAAUGCCCCAUUGACUACUACACUAAUCUUGGACCGAUACUUGUAACAUUAAAUGAUCAAUUACACCUAAAAUUUAACCAAUUCCCCUAAAGAAACAUAUCUAUCUCAUUAACCCCCACCGCCGCAAAAAGUGUCGUCGGCGGCGAAUAAACCCGUCCCGUUCAUUGAUUUUCAUCUCAACCUUCUCAAACUUGGAAUACCCACACGGGAUACUGAUCCCACCCGGACGAUCGAACCCGUAGACCCGCUCCGCCUCCUUAAGUAGCUCCCCGAACAGCGGGUUGUUGAAGUAAAACACGGGUACCACUACCCGCAUUUUCCCGUCGUCGGAUUCCCCGACGUAGACCGCCAAGUGGCCCCUCGGCGGCACCUCCUCCGCUCUCAAUCGACCCAUCUGAAUACACCCGCCCCGAUCCGGAUUUAUAACCGGCCGGGAGUAGAGCUAUUCAACGUCCGCCGCAUGUUCCGGAUCAGACACAGGAUUCCGUCUCUUCCGGGUCGGGUAAUCCACUUGAACGCCGUCCCGACUUUCUUUCCCAGCUUGAUUCCGCUCUUCAUUUUUCCUCUGUUUUUUUUGUUGUCUGUUUCAAACGAUGUUUCAGAGGGCAGAUGCCAGAUGAGAAGUAGAGUCAAAGUGAGCCCGUCGUAUAUAUAGACGGCCGUGGGAGGGAGCGAAGGGACGCGUAGAGGAAAUCUAGUGGGUGAGGCAGAAACGGUCGGGGAUCUCCGGUGGAUGACGGCAGAAAGGUUAAAACUUGGGGACAUAAUACAGUAGCGAAACCAAUACGAUAGCAUUUCAUUCGAGAGCGGAAUUUGGUGUGUUCCCAUGGGGAGCUCAUGACCAAGAUUGGGCAUAACAUCAACUUGAACUUCCAAAUGUCUAACUCCCAUAGACCAUGCCAAUUCCAUACAUGCAACAACUCCGUGAAGCUCCACUCUCGUGACUGAGCAGCAGCCCAAAUUAUUGGAGAAGGCGACAUUGCAAUUUCCUCUGUUAUCACGAAGGACUCCACUUGACGCCGCUCGACAUGUAGCAACGAUGACAGAGUCAAUUUACUCAUUCAAGGAGUGGAAAAAAAUAUUUUAGAAGUGGUGUAGCAAUUUCUAAAAGGAAUUUCCCUUUAAAUUUUUUUAUUUUAUUAAUUUAUCCUUGCAAAUUUUUCUCUACUUAAAUAUUUUGCAAGCAAAACACGGCCUAUUUCACGGAAUUUUUUUUAUCGGUACGAUUAAAUCAAAAAUUACGUGAACGGUCAAACCGAAAUCUAAAUUACAAAAAAUGACAAUUUCCAAAACUUAUGGUGCGCGGCGCAUCGUAGCAUUCACCAAUAUUUGAUUUAUUUGGACAAACUCAGAUUUGUACUUACACCUAAACUUUUUGUGUAAUUGCAUUUUAGUCACUCAUUCAAUUUGUGAAGUGCGCUUAAUUGAAACUCGAUUUUCAAUGAGUUAGGUUAACGUCAAUUGAUUACGAAAUUAAUUAAUUAUCACUUUCGAAUCUACUGGUUUAGGUUGGCCCACCUCAAUUCCUCCAUCGAUGAUGAAGAGCGUUUUUAUAUAAUUCUUCUAUACAAAAAUACUUGAUGUAUAUGGCUAAUAAGAAUUGUUAUACGUCCCCACCAACAAUAACAACUAAAUCUUAAAAAAAAUAAAAUUCAUUUGGUUAUUAUUUGAAAAGUUUAACAUAGUGAAAUAUCAAUUUUUAGUAAUCCCCGACAUGCAUGUCAAAUAUCAGCCAAUUUUAAAAAAAAUAAUUGGUCAAAAACCGUGUGUUAUAUACUAAGGAAAUUUGACCAUUUUCACAUUAAAAUUUCAAAAUUUUCAAAUCGGCUAAUAUUUACUAUACAUGUUAAAAAUGAUUAAAAAAUCAAGUUUCAUUAUGGUAAUCCUGUAAAUAAUGGUCAAAUAAAAUUAAUAAUUAAUUUUAUAAAGGAUCUUUGGCCAAGGGAUUGAGAGAGGGAAUUGAGAUAUGAACAAUGCAUAGAUACACUGACCAGAGAUAUGGAAUUUGAGUUGUUCGUUAGAGAAUGGGAAGGAUGAAUAGAAUAGAUACAGUGAUUACAUGAAGUGGAAAAGAAUUGACAGUUCCCAAUUACACAAAACAUUAAUGCACUCUCAGGCAAACCACACGAGGAAGAAAAUGCUUAAACCCAGCAGUACCAGACUCUGGAACAAUCAGUAGAAGAUGGAGAUUGCAGCAGAAACCAAAUACAGCAGUGUAAUCACUAUGUUCAAGUUGCCGCCUUUGAAAAUUGACGGUGCCGAUGAGAUCUGCUGUGGCCUGCAAUGGUGGAAAUAAUAAAGAGCUUAUAGUUGCAGUUAAAGCAAGAACUUGUUCAGUAGGCUAAAAGGUUUAUAGAUCAUAAUGCAUACUUCUGCAUUUUAGCAAGGGCGCCACAAAAGAGGGCAUUGUCUGGGAUGGGCAACUCUGUUUUGUUUGUUUCCUCAGGAUUCACAACUCUCACGUAUGUUUCUUGUCCCAGGUACCAUGAGUCCAGAUUUUCUGUUCUCAGGUUCCAUACUCCGACAUUGUCCAGUGAUACCAGAAUCGCUGUCCAUGCUCCUGGAUACACCUAUCAGCGAAAAUGCAUAAGAGGGUAAAAGGACAGUCAGGUUAGUGUGGCGAACUGUUGCACCCAACAACUCGAGUUGUUGGCAGAGUUCAUAAUUCGUUUCUAUAGCAUUAUUUUACAGUUAUAAUGACCAUACUCCUAGAUAAGUGCAAGUUUGAGUAACAACAUACUUGAACAGUUGUGCGGGCAAUGCCAUCCCACUUGUUAUAUGUGCCCCUGCUGGUCUCAGACCAUUCUCCAUAGUCCAUCCUGGGACAGACAGAAAGGAAACCAAAGUAUUAAUCGAGUAACUCGAGAUGUACCCCAAUCCAAAUGAGUAUACAACUAACUUAUAUUGCAUAAUGCCAAGAUUGAUGUUACUAUGAUGCACCAUUUUGAGAAAGUGAAAUAGUAUUGUACGAUGUCAAUGUAGACUUACCCAACAACAAAUACUGCAUAUCCACUCAGGUGAUAGCUCUGCACCUUGGUUUCAUUGUUCUGAAGAAUGACUUCCAUGAAUCCUCUGUAUGUCCCAUUGAUGAUUGAUGUCUCCAACUUUGGUGGACCGCUUAGAGGUUUGUUAGGGAAGUCAAGUUUAUAAACUCCCUUCACUUUGAACUGAUCUGCAAGCCUGAUUGGAGUAGCCGGAUUGAUGAAUGAUAUCCCACUAAGGGUGGUUCUUUGCUUCCCAUUAAUCGUCACCGGAGGCUUGUUUUUCAGCACGUAAACGUCAGUCACGUUGAUUGUUCCAUAUCUGAAAGAACCCUGUGGGUUUGGACGUGCUCCGCUUGCAGAUACAUUCCACCUGCACCAAGAAUUAUCAUUUCUUGUAAGUAUCAAAAGUGUAACUCUUUCAUGUAUCAUAAAAUCAAACCUUAAAAGCUCACCUGAUAGAUCUUGCUUGAUUCAUUGAGAAAGUCUUGUCGAAUUCAUCCUGAGGUCCGGCAGGUAAAGGACCACUUGCCUUCCCCUUGGAAUUGGUGUAAUGCAAGAUGGCAACGCCAGUCACCCUUUUCCAUGUCAUCUCGUUGACCAUUCUAGCACUAGCCACAAUGUAGUAAUCACUGCUUGCGUUCUGAUCCAUGGUGAUCAGAAAAGAAUAGGAUUGUCCUACAUGUAUAUCUAAACUAGUAUAGUUCUGCUGCACUGUAUAUGACCCCUCUGACUCUGCUAACAGCAAAUUGUGGUUCUGGAUCCUGAAAUUCAAGCUCGUUGACACCCCAACAUUGUGAACUCUCACUCGGUAAGUUUUUCCUGUGCCCACGAAACUCAAAUAAGGGAGUGCAUUGUUCAACUGUUAUUAGAUUUAGCAUUACCAAAAUGUCAUGCUGAAAGACAAAAAAGAUAAGGGCUUCUUUUCACCUGGAUCAACAGUUAUAGUUUCAUAGUCAAUGCCGUCAGGAACAUAAGUAGUGUUAUAUUGGUAAGGCCCUUUGCCAUUGAUGAGAACUCCAUCUGGCAUCCCCAAUUCUCUCCCUGCAUCAAGGGCUCUCCUCAAAGCCUGGAAAUCCAAACAAAAGUAUCGUCAUGUCAAAAUUCAGCAAACCAUAACCCUGAAUUAAGGCCUGGUUUGGCAAUAGGAAUCAUAAUUCAUGGAAAAGUUGAGUUGGAGUAGGAAUGGAUUAUGGAAGGAAACUUGAAUCAAGGGAUAUAAGAAUUUCACGUGGAAUUAUGUUUUCCAACCUCAACUCAACUACUUUUUACUAUCUUAACUCAACUUUCCUAGGAAUCAUGAUUCUUAUUGUCAAACCAAGCCAAAAAUUCUUCCAACUUGAACGAAGACUAACCGUGUGAUUCCUCUUGUACCAAUCACCAAUCAAAAUGACAAUGUCCCCAUCAGGCUUAUUAAAAGGAAUUGGAAUGAUGUCCCUAUUGUUGAUGAUGAAGCUGCCAAAUCCACCAGAAGCUCUCUGCAUGUUGAGAGAAGGGAAGUAGAAGAAACUCCCAACUUGGUCCUUAACCUGAAACUGGUAAGUCCAGUUCCACUUAGGAGGGAUUGGGCAGUUUGUGCCAGGAAGUCCAUCCUGCCAUGAGCUUCUCCUUUGCUGGAUUCCAGACCUAUGAACAGAAUUCAUAAAGGAUUCGAUUUUCAUGUGCUCUAAUUUCCUUUAAAAUGCAAAAAAAAGGGAAUGAAGAAUUCUACCAAUGCAUAAGGAGAUGUUCGUCCAGUUUGUUCCUGACAUUGACAACAACGUUGUUGUUAGUGGUCACGUUUAUUGUCGGGCCAGGGAACUUGCCGUUAAUGGCAAUUACCUGCAAAAGAGAAAACCAAAAAGAAAACCUGUUCUCAAGAUUAAGCAAAAGCUAGAACAUCAGAAUUGAAGCUUCAAGCGGGAAUCUUUAACCAAAUUGAGCAGAUCUGGAGCUAAAGAUUGAAACUUUAAGCAAUCUAAAGGACACCCACUUCCCCAAAAGACAAUUUCAAGCAGAAUCAAAGGGUAAAAAGUAAUGAAGUGUGGACUGUAACUCUGUCAGUACAAGAAAGGGUUGAAACUAACCUGCUGGGGUUCACCGAGAGGAGAAGCAGUAAUGUAAGAGACCUCAAAAUCAUAGAAAGCAAAGGGAUCCGCAGCUGUGCAUAACCCAAUGUGGAUAAGGAACACAAAGAAAGAAAGCUUACACAGAGCCAUUGUAUCUCUCUCUCUCUCUGUCUCGCUAUGAACAGGUAGCAAAACACAAAGGGAAUCUAGAACAGAGCUCGACCCUUAUUGUUGUUGUUGAAGUUGUUACAUAGUAAGACAGGAAAAGAGAAGAAGGAAGAGAAGCAGCUAGAAAGUCUGGAGAGGAGGAACGGCUAGUUGGAAAUUGGCGUUUAGCAGAGAAAUGGAUGAAAAGGUGUGUGUUCAAAAAAAGGAGAAGAAAGUGUCAGUGUGGUGGGCGUGUAUGUAUGGCCGGGAGAAGAGACGCGGAUAUUGGGUUUUGUCGGUCACCGGUAAUCACUGCCAUUGGCCAGUUCAGUCCUCAUAAUCAUGCGCUUUGAAAACUAAAAUUAAACCCAUAUACAGAGCACCAUUCAAAGUGGAGGAAAGUUACAGUGAGAUCCCUGGAUGUGGGGAACCUAAUGAUUCGCUACCUGUAAUUAUAGUGUUUAAAUGAUUUGCCUUGUGCCCUCUCGGGUUCUUUCAUAUCGGGUUCGUCCCUUUCAUCAUGGCUCACUAUAGGCUUGUUGACUCUUUAAGAUAUUUGAUGAGAAAUGUAACUCGUGUUUUACAAGUUACUAUGCCGGAGCAAGUGAUAGGUAGCAGGUGGCGUGUACUCAUCGUAAAAAUUUUAAAUUUUUUGACGAUUUGUCCUCUCUCACAUCUGGAUCGUUUUGAACCAAUUUCACAGUUUGAGUUGAUUCUGGUAUAGGAUAUCAGGAAAAGCCUUGGGUGAUAUCCUAAUACUGUGAUGACAGUCAUUACAGAGAAAUAUAAUGCCAUAAAAAGCCUAUUAAUUGUUCAAUCCAACUUUUCUAAAAAGUUGAGGUUGAGAUCGUUGAAAGAUCGCAAUCCAAGCGCCUUUUCAAAAGUUGUGGAUGAUAAAAGUCAAAUAAAGCAGGAAUAAUAGCGGAGCAACAUUGGCGGUUAACGUAAUUUCCGACCUUGAGGUCGAUUAGUUCAUAGAAAGAAAGGGGAAUAUUAUUAGGGGUUUUGAGGAGAAUGACGGUUUAAUUACAGAGAAAAAGACUAACACUCUUUAUAUACAUAAGAGUUUCGAUUAACCCAUAACCAUAACUGGUCUAACCCAAUAUAUAUUAACAGUAGAUACAUCAUGUGUUCAAUCAAAGCCAACAAAAUAAUCCGUAACUUUAACAAUUUAAUCUCAAUCCAACAUUUCACCGAAACCUGCGAUCUAAAAUUAAACAGCAAUACAUACACAAAUCCAACUGUAUUGUAUAAGUUACCGUUGGUUGCAUGGCCAAAGCUUAUGGAUGCAACUGUUAAAAAAGAGGUAGCAGACAAAGCAAACAAACACUUUUGUACAAGCAGCCAGAGCAAGAAACGAAUACGAAAUUAUAAGAGCAUUGAUAGAAAAUGUUGUCCCACUCGAUUAAACGAGUUUCAGAACAUAGUAUACACGACAAUAUUCCUUAACUCCUAUCUGUUCCAUAACGAACUGUGAGCCUGCCUAGCUGUUGGGAUUCCAUUUCCAUUCUGCACUCUACAGUUUACGUAGGGGACAAAAUGUUAUCUGUAUAUGCAUGUUUCAAAGAUACAGCCUUUCCCACUUAAUCGGUUGCCGGUUGGAAAGGCCAAAUCCAGCCUGUGCAUGCUUUCUAAAGAUCCAUGAAUUAAUGUUGUAGGUUCCACUCUUCAACUGUUAAUGUUGUUGGUUUCAGAACGAGGUAAAUCCAUGGGUUGGUCUGAGAUAAUGGAUAAUCAUUCUACCUUUCACCUUUGGCUUUAAUUCGGUAGAUUUCAGAAUCAUAAACACUAAACUCGAUAGAUGGCGUUGAAUUUGGAAGUCAAUAGCUUAUAUCAUCAUAAGUUGUGUAAUAUUUGUCCAUAAUUCAGCUUGAUGCUGCAGAUUACGGCACCAAACUGCGGCGACGUAUGCUCGGAAGCAAUGGAUGAACAAACCUCCCAAAUGACUAAUGAUGGCAACUGGGGGAUCAAUGAUGACCCAUCCCCAACCUUUCACAUUUCUCUCAUUGAUUAAUUAAUUACAACAACAUCCCUUUCACAGCCGCCCGCUGCCAAAAAUAGUAAAAAAAAAACAAACCAACAAUGGAUCCAUCCAACCAAACCAUCUACAGGUUUGGGUAUGGCCGGAUGAAUGCAGAGUUCAUCUGCCAAACCUUAAGAGAGGCAGUCACUCCAGCCUCUGUCGCAUUAUUGAACAAGAACAGUCUAGCAGCUCCAUAUAUAGCCUUCGUUGGGUAAACUCUGGAAGUAAUCACUGACCUUCCACCUUGUGCAAAACUCUCUAUGAUUGAAUGAUCUACCAACAUCCUAACCUUGAACUUCUCCCCUUCUAGCACCGGCACGAAGCUCCCGUACAGCUUCUUGUUCACGUCGUUCGCUAAUGAUGACCUGCGAAACAACAUUUAUAAUUAGCAUCAACAUUCAAGAUUACCAGAUGAUGCAAACAUAUGUUUAAACGUUGAAUGAUUGUUUGUUUGGUUUGGUACCUAGACUGGUCAGUGCAGAAUGAGGUCCUCAAAGUUCCAUUCUUUCCUUUCACGACAUAGAAAUAUACAGGGGUUUGUUCACUGAGGGUGUCUUCGGAAAGAACCAGUAGACCGAACGGCCCCAAUGCGCCGCGUUGAGCUGCACCUUUGCUGCUGCUGCACUUGUAUUCCUCGUCGGACUCGACUGCCUUCUCUACUGCUUCUUUGUCUAGCUCGAAUUCGGCCACUACAUCUAGCUGUGUUGCAGAUUCAACUUUAAUGGCCACGACUGAUCCAGGCUUGGCUACAACGUUGUUGAACUCCUGACUUCUCAAUCUCAAUUUGUCAGCCUCUUCCACCGGCCACUGCAAAAGAUUGCUUCCCGUCUUUGUGUCAAGAACAACUGUCCUUGGAAUCCCCUGCAUAUACAGUACCAUGAACAAUUGAAUAUCCAUAUCCUGCAAACUCAUAAAGUUCACAACUUUCAGAUGAAAAAGAACUAAAUACAAACCUGAAGAGAAGCCCAUCCUUUCCUAACGUCGGCAGCUUCACUAUCAGACUCACCAAUCCAACCCCAAAGCACUCUCCUCUGCUUGCUCUGAUCGUAAAACGUCUUGGAAGCGUAGAAGAUGCCGUAAUCAUACCUAAUUCCAAUCCCAACGUCAAUCUCCGGGUUAUCGGGUACCCACUUGGCAUUCACCUCAUCGUAACUCCCAAUCGCGUAGUAAUCAUGCCUAUCAUCAUCCAAACUCGUCUUCAUCACAUGCUUAACCCCAGCACCGUUCGCCGACGUGUCCAUCCCGUUCCGCCCGUCAACCGCCACAGGAUAAAAGUCAACGCACUCCCACAUCCCGGUCCCGGGAACGCCGUGGAGGAUCCCAUCUUUCAGAUCGAAGUUGAUGAAAUCAUCGGUGUCAUAAACCAGAGCGAUUCCGGUUUUGUUGACCUUCGACCCGAUCGUGAUCCUCCACUUCCCUUCUGGUGUCCGCCACGCCGUCGUCGGGUCGCGGAAGUCCUUGAAGUGGAUACCUAGAGGAGGGAAGAGGACCGGGUUGCCCGGGUACUUGACCCAGUUCAGUAGGAGGGGGUCGUUGUGGUCGGCUGGGUAGGCUAGGUUCUGAACCUGGACCGAUUCGUUGGUUGAACCUGUGUAGAGCAUGACGAGGUUACCGUUAGGGAGGAUGGUGGCGGAUCCGGUCCAGACUCCGUUGACGUCGUACCAUUGGUCGGCGACCAUGGCUAAUGGGAGGUGGAGCCAGUGGAUUAGGUCCCGAGAUACGGCGUGGCCCCACACAAUGUCGCCCCAAACGGGGGCGUUUGGGUUGUAUUGGUAGAAGAAGUGGUACCAUCCUUUGUAGAACAAUGGUCCUGUAAAUCAAAUUUAAAUUUAAUUAUUAAUUAAGAAGUGGAUAUUUUUUAUUUACUGAAUUACUGUUACUACGGAUAAGGGAAGGAGGGAUAUAUUUUUUUUUACCAUUAGGAUCUGAAGCCCAGAAAGUUCCACGUCAGCGCCCGCCACCAUGGUAAAAAUAAACAAAAUUAGUAAACAAUCUCCAUGUAAAUCGAACAAUUAAAUACGUAAUUAACUUUAAUCCAUUUAGGAAAAGCCAGUUGUCAACUAAUUAUUUAAAAAAAUAAAAAGAAAAGUGGUGGGGCCGGAGAUCUUACCGUUCAUCCAAUUCUUCUCAGGCUGGAAGUGGAACGCCGUCCUCUGCCACGACAGCAUGCUGUUGUUCCACGGGAACUCUUCCGUGACGCCGUUCUCGCCGCGGAGAAGCUGAUGCUCCGGGAGAUUGGCCUUCUCCGACACACCUGCUGAUUUCCCACGAGAAACAGCUGAUCUGAUUGCGCUUCCAGCUGGGCCCACCAACACCUCAUCCAAAUCGCUUCCGAAUCUGGCGGAUUUAACGAGGCCGGAUUUAUCGUAACCUCCUCCUGCGAGGAUUAAGCAGACCACGAAAAUGCCGCCGAACACGGCGAGGAGAAGCUUCUUUCUUGAUCCCGACGACGGUGCGUGAUUCUUCGACGGUUCGCCUCCGGUGACCGGAAGGAAUGGCUGUUUGUUGUCCGCCAUUGGAAUGGGGGGGAUUUUUCUUUUUUAUUUUGUAUUCCUUUAACUCCGGCGCCGCCGCCCAACAAUGAUUUGGGAGCAAGAAAUCCGGAUUGGAGAAAUACACUCUGUGUUGUGUUUUGUUGUUGUNNNNNNNNAGCUUUAAAGAAGCCGCUUUGGGUUUAAUAUGGGCGAAGCCUGUUUUCUUUUUCCUUUUUUUUUUAUAUAAAUGUCGGAGAGGAAAAGAUAAAAUAAAAUUGUGGUAUUUUAAACUUUUGCUUCUUUUGGUCGGUGUUGGACUGUGGAUAAAUUUUGGACAUUACGAGAAGAAAAAUAAUUAUGGGAGAAGAUAACUCCGAAGAAUAUAUUGUAAUAUAUUUUUAUGGUAUAUAUUUGUAAACAUAAAUGAAGAAAUUCUCGCCAUGUCAACAACGAUAUAAUGGACAAUUUUUUCGAUAGGGAAGGAACAGAAAUGAAAUAAAUUUUAAAAUCAAAGUGAAUAAAUGAAUUUGUGGUACAGUUUCCCUCUUAAAAAAUGUACAAAAUGUAUUGAUCACAAGUCAAAAAAUGUAUGAAAUAUACGUUUAAUGUCUCAUAUCAGUCUAAUUAUUGCUACCAAUGCUAGACAUAGUGUCUACUGAGUNNNNNNNNNNNNNNNNNNNNNCUUCUUUAUAUAUUAUAUACAUAAUUUUUUUCAAAUUGGUGGAAAAUAUAGUCAUAUACGGUGUUUGUUUUGCCAUGAACAUUAUAUAGUCAUAUACAGUAUUUUUUGUUAAAUAAAUCUGAUUCAAUGCCUCAAAUCUGACCAAAUUUCAUACAUCUCCUAAUAUGCAAUGGUAGAAUUAGAAGUGAACGAAUUAACGCUAUCGAUCAGGAAUUUUUGAUUUCAAAAUUACAAAACUUUAUAUAAAAUUUUCAAAAUCAAAAUUUUUUUUUCCAGUGGUUUUGAAUUUUGCCUUUCAAACUCACUAUAAAGUUGAACAUUUGCGGUUGCAUUUGUGAGUGGAGCUAUCAAUCGGAUGAGUUAAUUAGACAAAUCACGAAUAAAUUCAUCGUAUCACAGAUUAAUAGAGUUACGAACCAAUCAGCUUGUCAGAUUAAUCUACCUGUAAGUAACUUUCUUCUUCCUCUAAUUACGAAAAAUUAAAAAAGCGACAUGUAACACAACUGGACGAGGAAACCAAAGUUAUAGGCAAACUAGUAAUCGUGAUAUUUAUAAUUAAGAGCCUAGUCAUGAUUACAUGGAAGUGCCGACGUGGAGCUUAAUUCCCAAAUAAUUCAUUAAACUAAAAUAGGACAAAAUUGAGCCACCGCAAGCUGACCUGGCUUUCUCAUAAAAUAAAAAUAAAUAAAAACACCACCCUUCGCCGGAGAAAAAAAAUGAAGGGGUGGCCACGGAGGAUCAGCCGGUCACUCUCGAACUUCUGACUCAGCUUUUUCUUGGAUUAAUUGGGGAGCAGAAGUGAUGGACUCACUACAUAUAUUCUAUGGCUACACUUUGUUUGGUUUUAUUUAUUAUAGAAGGUUGAAUCUUCGAUGUUUAAUUGAAUUUAAAGAAAGACAUCAUGGUCAAAUGUCAUUAACCAUCAGGAUUAACUAUGGAUUCAUUUAAUUAACCCAUAAGCUAAAGACUUGUCACAAUUAGACUUUCCAACUCUUGACGAAGGACAUUUUUUACCAAUUUGGGUCCAGAUUUCUGGAUGAUUCUGGAUAAUUUAAGUAACCCGAAAUGACCCGCAACCCGAAAUAACACCAAUAUAUUGGAUUUGAAUUUUGUAAAGUUUCACAAUACGUACUACUUUAAUCAAUUUUUGAUGUAAACCCAGUUAGCGAAGAAACAGAGAUGACUUACGAGCUUGUGAUGAACUCAUUCCGAUCUAUAAUUUUAGUAAAUAAACCAACACAGACGCAGAUAAUUACAUAAUUACUGAAUGAAUAAUUAGAUGCCAAUCCAGGACGCAGAUAAUUACACAGUAACGUUAAUAAUAACAGCUGCCAAAGUUGCAGUGCAUAUGUUUUCAGAAAAAGAAAACCAGGGGCCAGUAGCUGGCUAGGUGCACUGCAAGUGCAUCAUCAUCAUCAUCAUGUGAUGUCUGUGCUGGGUUUCGCAUGUGGAAAUGAUCUACGCCUCUCUUCUCCUACCAUCACCCAAUAAUAAUAAUUCCUUUUUUAUUGCGUACUCAAAACUUAUCUGCACUUUCGACGAUAUGAUUAUGUAAGAAAUAUUAUCGAAUAUUUCUCAUUAAAUGUGUCCACAAUUCCCAAUUAUAGCUCUCUUUCUCUUUUUAAACGGUAUAAUUAGACGGUUUCAUCAAAAUUUAUACAUGUGUGUUCGCCUCAUAUAUAGGAAAUUUGGAUGUGUUUGUGAAAAACUUGGUAUUUUAAAAUACCUACACCUGUUUGUGUAAGAACAUUGUGUUGUGUUUGUGUAUAUUUCAGAAAUCUAGAGCUUUUAAUUUUCUCUAUUUUGUGUCUUUCUAAGAAUUUUUAUAAAAAGUNNNNNNNNNNNNNNNNNNNNNNNNNNNNNNNNNAGCUAAUAUUAAGCUAAUAUUAGAGAAAAUAAUUGGCUCUUCACAAUAAAUAAACACAUACUAUUAAUAAAUAAAUAUAAAGUCUAAUUAAAACUAAAUAUUAGCGGAGAUUUACUAGCAUUAUGUUGUUAUGAAUCAGAUUGAUUAAGGGAUGAGUAGAAGAAUGUUUGAGUUCGAGUUUAUUCAUAUUUAUUGUGAAGAUAAUCAUGCAUUAGAUUACUUUGCACGUAUUGAGCACGAGAUAUUUUAUCUUUUGUGUUUACUCUUUUUUAUUUUAGAUCUUAUAUUGGUUUAUUGAUAUCGUUAUAAUGUAUUUAAUGUUUUAUAAAAUAAAAUAAUUAUAAAUGAAGAUUAAAUUCGCUAUAAAGUAUUUUUUAAAAACUGAAACACAUACGGUGUCGGCCACAUUAACAACAUAAUUAACAUGGAAUUAGCAGUCGUAGACUGGAUUCAAAUACAGGCCACAUGGGUCUGCGCCACGUGUUCCAACAUAAACCUACCGUCGACUUGGCAGUAUGCAUUUGUCAUGAAGCUAGAGGCCAAAAUUCAAGAGCUAAUUGAUUACAUGUUAAUUAUACAAAAUUUGAAAAUAUUAAUCUCAGAAGAACCCAGAUGUGAAAUACAUAGAUCGGACACAUGGCCCAAUAUAGUCCCCUCCAACUUUUUUUUUAUUUUUCGCGGUAAAUAAAUUGCCCACAUAGGUAAUUUUGUAAAAAUUAAAAUUGAAAAUUUAAUAUUCUAGAUGCUAAAUUUAAAAAUUUAAAUUUUAAAAUUUGAAUUCAAAAUCUAAAAUCCAAAUCUAAAAACUCAGUAUUUUAAAUUCUAAAUCUAACAAUUUAUUGUUUAUAAAAAAAGAAAGAAAAAAUGAUAAAUUUAUCCAUAAUUUAAGUUAAUUUUUUUAUUUGUUCAAUUUGACGUUCGAAAUGAACCAUGGACAUUCUAAAUUUUUCUUUGUUGAUAAUAAAUAUUAUUUUAAUAUUUAUCGCGAACCCUAUAUCACUAAUAUUAUUAAUAGGUUGAUAGAGGAGGAAUAAUUGAGGAGAUUAGCCAAAUAAAAAAUGCCACAAUGUCGUAAUUUGUUGGGUCGUAAUUGAGGAUUAAGGGCCAUAUAUAGAGACAGGUGUCUUUUUGGUUCAUGUCACUAAUUAUGCCACAUGGAGGAAGAAAGGUGGUGGAAAUGUUUUGCCCUUUUGUCACAAAUUUAAUAAAUAAUGUGUACUUUUGGGCUUUAAUAAUGAGUAAUUAUGACCUCCAUAAUCGUUGUAAUUCAUAUUCUCCGAGUCACAGCUGGUUUUCGUGACUCGGAGAAAUCAGAUGGUUUUCACCCCUAAUUCCUCUAUUGUUCGUAGAUGAGUUUUUUUUUGUUCAACCCACACGGUUCCAUAAUUCUAAUAUUGUGUGCGUUUUUUUAUCUAGAUGUCGAAUACGUUCUGCCAUUUCGAAUUAUAUACUGUCGUAAAAUAUUAUUUCGAAUUCAUUGAUGACCUUCAAGAUUCAUGAUGCGUACAAGGUGUACAAUUUUUAGUAUUACUAAACAAUGAUUUGAAGUUACAGAUCGAUCGAUCAAUGUCUAGCAGUCAUGCAUCAGCAUUAUUUUGAUUGUGCAAUUGUUUAAUUAGUGUAUUAUUGAAGAUGCAUGCAAUAGUUCCACUGUAACGUGUGGGAUCAAGAUCUGCCCAUACUCUGCAAUUAUUAUUCCAGAUAAAUUAUUAUUAAUUUGUCAAGAUCUACAAAUUUGUAUGAGACAAGUAUCAGAUGGGUUGUUUUUAUUUUGGCGUUAUGUGUUCAAUUGAAUGCUAAUUAUGGGAUUAACGGAUGGAUUUAUAAUUUUUUGAGCACCUUUUCCUCCCAAGCAAAUUUUUAGAGAUGAAUUCUACCCAAAGGGUUGUAACAGUUGGUAUCAGACUCUGUCCCAUGCCCGAUCUGCGUUUGCGGAAGGAGCGACCCGCAAAAUGGGCGACCUGAAAACAGAGUAGGCCAGCCGGAGUUGGCUAACAAGAGUAGGCUGCUGUAGGCGUUGGUUCGAAAAUGUGGUGGUGUGUUACGUGUCCAAUUGAAUACUACAUUGCUAAAUAUGAAAUUAGCGGGUAAGUUUAUAAUCUUUUGAAACAUUCUUUCCUCUCAAACUGAUUUUUGAGAUGAGGUCUAUUUAAAAGGUUGUAACAUUGGAGAAUUUGAUUCUACUAGUUUUUGUCUAAAAAGUCUGAAUUCAAGCUAACUUAUAAGACAUGAUGAUUCUAGGCUUGAUUUUUUCAACCUCUCACAUUGAUGUGUCAGAACAUCUAAUCACAUCGUGACAUCAAUAGAUAGAGGUAUAUAUUCCACAUUAGCAAAUCGUUCAACUGUUCUCCUAAUAGGUCUAGGUCAAAGUCCAUUCCGACCUUUUGUCAUUAACGAUAAAGAUCCUGUCUCGGGCUAGUGACCAACCGCCGUAUACCACGUAGCAGCCAGAUCCAUGUACAAGGAUACUAUAUAAGGUACUGUGAUCCCAUUGCAUUUAUAAUACAUAACUUCUUCCUACGUUAAAUGUAGGCAUGAACUAUAUAUGUUAUAGUCUAUACUAUACGUCUACAGUUGGUCAUACGUCUUCAGGCACAUCCCAAUAAUCCUUUGCCUCACAAAUAUACCUACACGUCUUAUUCCCCUUUACGUGAACUUUUUUUUACUACUUUCUUUCAUACACCUUGCGAAAAACCUUUCACGAAGACUUCUAGAAAAAAUUAAAAAGAUUCGCUAAUCAGGUCCAUCAAACUCAAACAUCCAGUUGAAUUAUUCAUUAAUCAACCAAUUAGCUGAAGGAACGAACCUUAAUCAAACUCAAAUUACUUAUUUUGCUCGCCAUCAAAAUAACUCAAAUUACUUAUUUUGCUCGCCAUCAAAAUAGCUUAAUCAAACUCAAAUGAUUCAGUCAGAUCCCUCAAGAGCUAACCUAGCUAAACAUGACGCAUAUAUAGCUCGUCGUCCUGCCAGGAUGAAGCAGUGUUUGUUCAUGCAGCAAAGUUCAGACCUAAAAUGCCUGCACUUAUUGUACAAUGACAAUGAAGAGGAACAGUACGACCAUAACUAAACAAAUUGUUUCGACCAAACAAAACCAGGCCUGCAUCAUCUCCUCUAUUAUUCAAGACAGAGCAUCUGAAGACUGGGUAAUCUGUUCAACAGAAAAAUGGCUGAUUACACGUAUUUAGGGUAAAAACUUAUAUGCGGUGAGCAUGGAUCAAACAUACACAACUUGAUUCUUUUCUGAAUAAUUUGUUCAUAUGCAGCCUCGUUGAUUUGUAGUUCAAAAGUCCGAGCUUUUAUCGAGAAGCUUCUAUGGUUUCAUUUCACUCGCAGAGCUAUUGGUACUAGUCUUAUACUCUAUACAUUCAUCGCCAGUCCUAAUCACAUGAAUAAGUACUACUACAAUGAAACUUCAUCACAUUUAAACCAAAAAUCAGUGAAUCAACCUAUCCAAAGAUUCAAAUCAGCAUCAGCACCAAAUCCAAAUCAAGUAAGAUCCCCUCGCGCAUCAACAAAUCCUCCGGUCGCGUCAUCCUCGUCGUUGGUCUCAAUCCGGUGCCGUUUAAACUUCUUCACCAGAGCAGGCUCCCUGAACCCAACAAGAAACAGAGUCAAUCCUUCAAGAAACAGAGCACCCUGGUAAAGGUCCAGUGUCCCAACGAUCUCCGAUAUCACGCUCCUCCUCAGACGAUUGGCGUCCACGAAAAUGCUCACCAUCUCAUCCAUCUCCGCCUUCAUCGCUUCCCCAACCACCGCCUCGCUCUUCUUUUGCUCCUCAUCCGCCGCCGCUCCGGCGACUCUCCUCAUAAACUCAGACUGAGCCUUCUUCAUCCUCUCCGAGAAGGACGGCACGAUCAGCCUUAGCCCGCGCUCGAUCUGCUCGAUCUUGACCGUCAAUCUGUCGGAAGGGUCUUUCCACGCCAUACCCAGCAGCCCUGGCUGUUCGCUGUCGUUGUUGUCAUCGUUGUCUGCUUCGGAGAGGAAUUUGCGGAGGAGGUUGGUGAGGAGGUAAGGGUGGAGGUCGCCGAGGAAGAGGAAGGGGAGCUCGAGCGGGUUGCGCCAGGAUGGGUGGAGGAGGUGGGGGAGGUUGUCGGCGGCGGAGACGGUGGCGGCGAGGUCGAGAGCGUCGUAGUAGGAGAGGAAGUGGUGGAGGAGGAGCUGGACGUGGGAGGAGAGGAGCGCCGGAGGGGAUGGGUCGGAGAGGGAGCGGUGGAUUAGUGGUAGGAGGGCUGAUUUGAGGGUCUUGAACCACUGUUUGUAGUAGUCUUGGAAGAGCACGGUGGCCGGAGUUAGUUUCUUGGCGGUGGUGGAGGAAGAGUAGAAGGGGUUUGGGAAGGAGAUUUUUGGCAUCUUCAAGAAUGAAAAUUUAGAAAGAUUACUACUCGGAUGUGGGACAGAUUGAUGGUCAGGCUUUGCGUUUUGGAUUUGUAUAUAUAAUCUGCAAUCUGUUGAAGAGUGAAACUUCAUUGCCAUUCUGGUACAUGCAGCUCGGCGGUUGGCUUGAAGAAAGCUCGCUCGUGGUUGGUUUCGAUUUUAAACAAAUCAAAGUUGAGCGUGUGCAUGUCCGACUCAAUAAACUUGCGAGCUAGUUCGAAUUUCCUGAUGACCAACACGUUUAUUUGAGCUCUGGCACCCUCCAGUCCCAGAGGUCCUGAUCAACAUUCUCUUGAAAUCCAAUACCCAACUGGAUUUCUGAAAGGAGUAUACAUUGUCCUUCAACGUCAUACCAGAGCAUCAAAUGGUAUUCAAACACUAUGCCGUUGUAAUGCUGCUAAGGAAUCUUAAUCCCUCAGAUGGUCUAUGCAAUGGGACACACAUCCUGAUAACCCAUCUAGGGACGAAUCUCAUACGCCGAUACGUGGACUAAUCAUUCGGUGGUUAAUACAAGGGCAUUGUGGCCAUUAUCCCUCGCAUAUAGCCCUUGAUUAUACAUACAAUAUAUAGUUGGCCUUUCCCCCUGCGAAGACGACAAUAGCCUCUUCGUCUUUGCUAUGUGGUGACAAUUAACAAAAGCUAAAGUUAGACUCUAUAACAAAUUGAUAUUUAUGUACAAUCACUGAUAUUUAGCCACGACCAGUUAUAUGUUGCCUUCUCAUGCGUGCACUCACCGGCUACAAUUCACAUUGUCCUGGAACCUAAUGCGACUAGCCAGCCUUACAACACCCACAAUAUAGUGUACAAUGAAAUUUUUAGUGAUUUAUGCCUUUAACUAAAACGUUGUAUAUAAGUGAUGCUUCUGUGGAUCUAAUAAAGGAUUCUUACAUUAUAUUACAUGUCUCAGGUAAUAAUGCAUACAUAAAACAUACACUACAUCGUUAUUAACAGCUAAGCAACAUUGUACGUUCUUGAUUCUAGUAGCUAUUAAACCCCGUCCUAUGAUGACUUGGCUUCCUGGCUGAAUGACUAGCCCAUCUGUAUUAAUGGUAAAAUCGUCUUUCUGUGGUCUCCAUGCAUCUCGUCAAAACUUUUUACCGGCAAAACUUAUGAUCCGUUUGACAAAUGGAAUGUGAAAUAGAAUCUUAAGUACUUUCCCACUCGAUCGAAAAACUUAGAUCCUAACAAAAUUCAAAUUUCAUUCCACAUUCACACUUACAAACCGACCGCAAUUAUUCUCCGUCCAAUCCAAGCCCACCCUUGAGUUAGUUUCUUAAUGUAAGGUCAACGUGAUUAAUCUAAGUCCACACAAUUACUGCCUUCCUUCUUAUUACAUGGGGUUGUUUUUUAUUUACUUAUUUAUGGCCGAUUAAGGCGUUAAUGGUCUUAGAUUUGAUAUCCCCGGAGUUCACUCCUACCUCACAGCCAUAAAUUUUUGGGCACCUGACCGGCUACCUCCCUUCCGACGACGGUACACCAACUUCCGUAUAAAUAACAAGGAAGAAGAAGAAAGAACAAAUAACGAAGCUUCUCCCCUUCUAAAAAAUUCAUCCUCCUCCCCUGUUUUCCCCCACCUUUCCAGUUUCCAACAUACUCCAAUGGCGUCCAUACGCAUUUCCCUUCUUCCUCUUCUGUUCAUCUUCAUCCUCCUAUCCCUUUCAUUCAAUCCGGCCAUCUCCCAGGAAUCAUCCAAGUCCAGAAAAGAACGAGCCGGAUCAUCUUCAGACUCAAAAGCCCAUUCAUCCCCGCCGCCCGACUGCACGAACCGUUGGAUCCACAUCCGGCGGCUACCAACAAGAUUCAACAUCGAUCUCCUCGCCAACUGCUCCGUCUACGGCGACCUCUUCUACGACUUCUGCCCUUACCUUUCCAACCACGGCCUCGGACCCAAAACCCACAACCGAUCCCACUCAUGGUAUCGAACCGACCCGUUCCUCCUCGAGCUCACUUUCCACCGCCGGAUGCUCGAGUACCCGUGUCUAACCCCCGACCCGAAUCAGGCCGACGCCGUCUAUCUACCCUACUACGCGGCAAUCGAUUCCCUAAGGUAUCUCUACGGCCCCGAGGUUAACAAUAGUAUGGACCACGGAUUGGAUCUGUUCGAGUUCUUGCAGGAGAACGAGGGGUGGAUCUGGGGCAAGAAUUAUGGAUCGGAUCAUUUUCUAGUGAUGGCCCGACCCGCCUGGGAUUUCUCCCAGCCGCCGGAUCUUGAUCCGCCCGUUUGGGGGACUUCGUUCUUGGAACUCCCCGAGUUCUACAAUCUGACGGCGUUGGUGGUUGAGUCGAGGUUGUGGGCUGGGCAAGAACAGGCGAUUCCUUAUCUGACGUCGUUUCAUCCUCCCAAUUUGGAGCUCUUGAAUUCCUGGAUCAAUCGGGUCAAGGCUUCCAGGAGGACUUCGUUGAUGCUGUUCGCCGGCGGAGGAGGGGUGUCGGCUCAGGCCAAUAUACGGAGGAGCAUUAGGGAUGAGUGUGAGAAUAGUAGUAGUGAGGCGUUCGAGAGCAAUGGUGGGUGGUACUAUUACUCGAAAGUGUGCAACAUUGUUGAUUGCUCGAACGGGAAAUGCGGGCACGACCCGAUCUUAUACAUGAGGCCGAUGUUGCAGUCCACGUUCUGCUUGCAGCCUCCGGGGGAUACGCCGACAAGAAGGUCGACGUUUGACGCGAUAAUCGCUGGGUGCAUACCGGUGUUCUUCGAGGAUCAAUCAGCGAGAAUGCAGUACGGGUGGCACUUGCCGGAGGAGGAGUAUGGGGAGUUUGCAGUUCAUAUUCAGAAGGAGGAUGUGGUGAAUAAAGGGUUGAAGAUUUUGGAUGUGUUGAUGGGGAUUCCUAGGGCUAGAGUUAGGAGGAUGAGACAGAAAGUUAUUGAGUUGAUCCCAAAGAUUGUUUACAGGAAGCAUGGAAGUUCAGCUGAGUUGAGAGCUCACAAGGAUGCUUUUGAUAUUGCAAUUGAUGGAGCUCUGGAGAUGAUUAGGUCUAGGGUCAAAGGUGAAGACUUUUCUGGUAUGAUCAUGAAAUAAUGGAAAGGUCUCUCCUUUUUUUUGUCAUUGUUGUUGUAACAUUACUGGUAUUUGGUUUAUGUUUUUAGUAAGGUAGGAAAGUAGGGAGCUUUGUGGUUUCUGCCUCUAUUGUAAGUAUAACAAGAGUUUCAGUUUUGGACAGAAAAGAAUUGAACUUUUGUUUUAGGGAUUAACAAGAAUUCAACGGUUACAUCAGAAAACUAGCAAAACCGGAUGUUACAGGGAUUUUCUGUGCUACUCUUUGUCUCUGGAGACAUUGGUGGUUUUGAGAAAAUUAAGGAAAGAAACUUCACAAAGAUAUCAUUUCAACCCCAUCUGAUGAUUGCAGAACCCCAAGUUAGACCAGCUCCGAAUCCAGCUGCUGCAAUUUUAUGGCCUGGCUUCACCUUGCCACUUCGUACAGCUUCAUCCAAUGCCAAGGGAAUGGAAGCUGCACUUGUGUUGCCGUAAUUUGCCAGAUUCGAUAUCACCCUUUCGGAUGGAAGGUUCAGACGAUCUGCUACUGAAUCGAUGAUCCUUUUGUUCGCCUAGAAUGGUACAUUGGUUAUAAGCAUUAUAGAAAUAUACAAAGUGAGCAAUCCAUUCCUGACUAGACAUUUUACAACAAGAUCAUUUACCUGGUGCAGUAGCAACCAAUCUAUGUCAGCUGCAGUUAUACCGGCCUUUUCAAGGGACGAUUCUAUGGUCUCUGGCACACAUUGUACAGCAAAGCGAUAAACCUCUUUCCCAUUCAUGGUUAUGCAUGAAUAUGAGGAGUGUCUUGGAGGGAAGUCUAGACCCGAUCCGUUAGAACCUAAUGCAUCAUCCGGUUUGUUUUGGUGGAUCGACGCGUUUAAAUGUCUGCAGCAUUGGAUUGUAAUAAAAUCACAUAUCUAAGAGGUAAAAGUAUGAAACUAGUGUCGUUGUGGACGAAAAAUCCAGUUACAUUACCUCUGGCCGUCACCAUCACUAUGCAGGUCAAAACUAAACAAACCAUCAUCCUCACCGUCACAGGCCUACAGAUUACAAGGUAAAUUGGUAACAACAUUUGAUGUCAUGUAUAAGGCUCGAUUGCCGAAAUAUUGCUUGAAAAGCCUUUUUAAGUACCUGUACCAAAACAGCACCAGCAGCAUCGCCGAAGAGUAUACAAGAUCCUCUAUCAGUCCAGUUCACAUAUCGCGAAAUGGCGUCAGCACCAAUGACUAAAACAUUUUUAAAUCCACCUCCUGUAAAACAUAGAUAGGGAGAUACAUUUAAUUGAACCAAAACCGGCUGGAUCGAGACAGAGAGUCACAAAAGUAGACCUAGAGAAAACAUUACCCCUAAUGUGACAAGAAGCAGAAAUCAACCCCAAAAGGAAUCCACUACAUGCAGCUGUUAUGUCAUAUGCCAAAGGAUUUCCUUUGCAUCCAAGCUGCUUUUGAAUCUGAGGAUCCAAAUAAGAGAAAGAUAGAAUAAAAUACAAACCAGGUAAGAGUCUGAAGAAAUGUGCAAUUUUUUAAGAGUUAGCUGCAUCUUUUGAAAUUUGAUCUUCCAAAUAUGUACUUAAACAAGAAUAUACCUGAGGAGCACUGCUGAAAAGAUCGUCUGGUGUAGAUGUGCACAACAAGAUCAUAUCCAGAUCAUCAGGAUCAACCUUUGCCAUCUCUAGUGCUUUCCUUGCUGAUUCUGCUGCUAAAGAGACCAGGGUUUCUUUUCCUAUAUGCAGAAACGUGCAGGAAUCAUGUAAAGAGCUUUCAUUUGUUCAAUGAAAUUUAGGGAAAGUUCAUUGCAUGAGGAACUUCAAGCGACCACAAAGUAUCUCAAAAGACACCUCAUUGAUCCAGACAAAGUAUGCAUAAUUAGAUAUAGACUGAGCAGGAUUCUCUCAUAUCUACCUAUGCAAAAAUGACAAUCAGAGCACAUAUAUCUUCAAGAGGAUGGAAGGUAGAAUAUAAGGAUUACUUGUACAAACACAAUAUGUUUAUGUCUCUUGCCCACUAUUCAAUAUCUCUGCUUUCCCUUCUAAACUCUCACAUACACCGCUCUCUUCAUUCCAUAAAUAUUUCAACUGAAGCAUUAAAUUACCAAAAUGGAUUCUGAAAACCAACCUGUAAGAACUCUUCGAUUAUGAAUCCCUGUACGAUCUGAUAUCCACUUAUCAUUAGUGUCAACCAGUUUAGCAAGAUCAUCAUUUGAUAUCUGAAGUUGUGGAACUGCUGAGCCGCAUCCUAUAAGUUUGCAGCCUUGACUAACAAGCCUGCAUUAUACAAGUGUGCUCAACGGAAUGAAUAUAGCAGUGAAUCAAUUACAUGGGGCAUCACUAGCACAUCACUUGAAUUCGAAUUUCUCAAUGCAUAUAAAAUAGGCGCAUAUAGCACAAUGCCUACACAACAUGAAAAUCCGCCAAUAUCAUUUAGCAUUAACAAAGUCAGCUAACCACAACUUACUCAUAAAACAUGACAUUACCAUAAAGCACACACCUUUCACCUAUCUGAAUUACUAACGAUGUAAAGGUAGCUACAACACUCGAGAUCCACCAACAUCCAUUUGUAAAUUCUCUCCACUAUUGAAGCAUAAAAGAUAUGAAGAAGAACAGAACACUGACUGACCUAGGCAUUCGAGCUUCAGAAGGGGAAGUCUUCUUGUCAGAACCUUCAACAGCGCUGGAGCAGAAAACCACUCCCUUUCGGAAUCCCUUAAUAGAGCUAAACCCAGAUCCACUGAUACCUAUACAAGGCUUCAUCUUCCUUCCCAAGCCUGGAACCGAAGGACCAACGAAACUAGACACAUUGGCCAUUCACUGAACUCUUGAAUACAACACCCAGCAGACACCCUGAUUACCUUUUAUAACUAUGCUGUGAAAGAAGCAAAGGCAGUCAACUGAGAAAAGGGACAACAAGAACGGUGACAAGUAUGAUGGAAUUGGGAAGAGAUGCCAUAUGGGGUAUUGAAGGAAACAGGGGAAACCCAAUUGCUAUAAAGAGGAGAGGGUGAGGGUGGGUGGGGGAUGAUGAUCUUUGGAAACUCCGAAGAAACCCAAAGAGAAGAGAGAAUCAAUAAUGAAUGGGUGGAGGGUGGGCGACGCUGCCAACGACCCGAUUUUCAGGAAUCCUCUACCGUUGUGCUUUCAAGUGUGGGCAAAUUUGGUUCAUUUGCUUACGGUCUUUGAUUUUGAGAGUGACGAAAUAUCAUCAUAUACAAUUUCCAAAAUUGAAAAAGAUAUUGUGUGUAAUUAUAACAGUGGAAUUUCCUUUUUUUUUUCGUUCGAAUACUUCGCUUUCCCAUCCGACUUUUAUAUGUAGGAGAUUGAGAGUGUUUGAAUUCCUCGUAAGUUAAAAUGAUUGUUUUGUUGGAAUUCGUUACAUUAUAUAGACAAAAGGAUAAUCACGUAAAUUCGGACUAUGAAAAUUCGAAAUGUAAACAAGACUAGACAAGGAUAAGGACUUUUAUUUCUUCAAAUUUGUUGCCUCCAUGCUAGUGCAAAUGCAAAACGUAAUUAAAAACUCCAUCAGAUAAUAGUAAUUAAAAGCUCCAUCAGAAUGAUAUUAUCGAUGAUCGUCAUCAAGAUUUCACGACAUUGCUCUUCACUGGGAUCAACGACAACCCACAUUUUCGUCGGACUGAAGCCCCGAAUGCCUCCGUCAUGUCCAAAUCUUCAGGCUUCAUCCCACCGGGGAGCUUCCAAUCAAAAUGAUAAAGCAAGUUAGCAAGCACAAGCUUGACAACAGCCGAUGCGUAGAGCAUUCCAGGACACAUCCUUCUUCCAGACCCAAACGGAAGAAGCUCGAAAUCCAUACCCUUGUCGUCAAUCGAACGGUCUAGAAACCUUUCGGGAUAGAAUUUGUCAGGCUCGUCCCAGUAACGAGCAUCUCUUCCAAUCGCCCAACCGUUGAUAAUGACUUUGGUGUUGGCUGGGAUCUCAUACCCGUCAAUUUCGACCGUCUCGCUGCUCUGUCUAGGGAGGAGCAAAGGCAGCGGCGGGUGUAGCCUUAAACUUUCUUUAAUAACCAAGUCCAAAUAUGUCAAUUCAUGGAUGAUUGCUUCAUCCACAGUGGCUUUCCCAGAGUACACUCGUCUAACUUCUUCUUGUGCCUUUUGCAGUACUCUCUUGUCUCUCAUCAUUUCAGCCAUUGUCCAGUCUAUUGCUGUGGCUGACGUUUCCACACCAGCAAUGAACAUUUCCUAUUAAGUAACCAAAAAAACGAAAGUUAACCGGCUGAUGCCUUUCUUUUUUAAAUAAAAGAACCCCGUCGACAAUGCCGCCGGCCUGCCGUCAGGUAACUAUGAAACUUGGCUGUCAACUUAGGUAAGAACCAUGAUAUCAGCACAUUAGCACUAAAAUAAUCUUGCACUUUGAACUUUGAACUUAGGAUCUUCUAAAAGGUUUGCUCGUAAAUUUCGACUUGUUUCAACUGACAUUAAUGUGUCGGUUGGACUAGAUUUCUAUACUUACAUUUUUUAAUAAGUGAGAUUUGAACCCUAAUCUCUCCAAAAUAAAAAAUUAGCCAUGACUAUCUCAUGAUAAAUAAAUAUAUGUUAAUAUUAUAAUUUGAUUAAGAAAUAUAUUUAAUUGAUGAUAUUAAACCUCAUGAUAAAUAAUUAACACUAAAAAUGUAUCAAUUUAUCAUAAAUUAAAUAAAUUACACAUCAUCUUAAUUAUUUGAUUAGUAGAAAAAUUUAAAUAAUUUAUAUGGUUUGAAACUUUUUAAAACGAAAGAAAGAUAUAUUUUUCAUAAAUUAGAUUAUGAUAUUAUAUUCUCUAACCGGUUUAAUCCGACUUAAUAAAAAAGUUAUACGAUCUGACUUGAUUAUAUUUAUUUAUUUAUCAACUAAAAUAGUUAGACCCAAUUUAAAAAACGGUCGAAUCAUAAAACCUUUAUUUCGCCGGUUCAAUCUCCGGUCAGAUUUCAAAACCUUACCUAAAUCCAGAAUCUCUAAAAAUAAGUACGUACUACUCGUAGCUAGAAUGAAUUCCAGUAGACUCACCACGGUGACUGCUUUGAUGUUCUCCACAGUCAAAUUGAACUGCUGGGUUCCGUCUUUCUGAAGAUGAAGUAAAACAGUGACGAGAUCAUCAUCAUCCUUCCUUUCACCGGAAUUUUUCACCUUAUGCUCAUUAAUGAUAUCGUCAAGCAUCGAAUCCAGACUUUUGUGCAUCCUGAUGAGUUUAGCCUUGAAUCCAGUCACCACCGGAAUCAAUUUGAACGAAGGGAAAAGAUCCGAAACUCUAAACCCACCCAGAAUAUCAGAAACCUCCCCGACCAUCUUGAGUAACCCAUCAUCUCGAUCCCUCGCCUUCCCCAACGCCGUCCGACUAGUCACCCGAGUCGACAGCCAGAACACCUCCUCGCUGAUAUUAACCUCCGCGGCCUCCGCCGCCGCAGCCUUCUGGGAGAAAGCGUUGACCAGAUUCCCGACUUCGUCCUCCCGGAUAGAUCUGAACCCCCUGACCCGGUUCGCCCCGAGCAGCUCCACCACGCAGAUCUUGCGGAGCUGCUUGUACCUCUCAGUGUAAGCGGUGAACGCGAGGUCGUUCCCGGCGUAGAGUACUAGAUCGGCGCCGAGAAGCGACGGCCUGGAGGCGAAGACGACGUCGUGGGUCUUCAUCACUUGUUUGGCUGCUUGUGAGGAGGAUAUGACUAUGUGGGAGAGUUGUCCGAGUUGGAGGUGCAUGACGUCGGGGCCGUAUUUGACGGCGAGUUCGCGGAGGCGGCGGUGGGGUAGGGUGGAGACUAGCUGGUGGAGAUUCCCUAUGAUUGGGAGUCGCCACGGUCCCGGGGGGAAAUGCUUGGUGCCGCCGCCGCCGGUGAGUCGGCGUGUCAAAGUGAUGAUGAUGAUGGUAGCGAUAGCGAGUGUGGUGAGGAAAGGGAGGGAAAGGGGAGAGGCGGAGAACUGAUUCUCAACGGCCGCCAUACUAGUUGUGGCGAUGAUGGAAGCCAUUAACUGAUUGAUUGCUGAGAUCUUGUUCUUGUGGGUAUCAAGUUUGAGAGGAAGAGAUUGAAAAUGGCGUGAGCAAGCUUGCUCUGCAGCCAUGAUGAGUUCUUUAUUUAUAUCCAAUUCAACGGUAAAAACCGAUUACACUUUUUAACCAAACGGUAACUAAAACAGUAAGAAAGAUAAGCGUAAACGCAGCGUUUAGAGACAACGCUUUACAUAAUGACUUAACGGACCACUUCUCCCUUGACGCCGUUAGUGAACUCUUCCUUCCUUCCGUUAACACUCAGAACAACUGCAGAAUGAUCAUCUUCCUCAUCCUUAGUUGCAGCUGCUGCUAUUUUCUUCUUCAUUCCAUUCUUCUCAUUCAAUAUGCCCCCACAAGUUGAGGAGUAUAUGUCAAUAACUCCCAACUUGCCAAUUAAAAAUCUUAAUCGAACACGGUGCAUUCCUUUAGUGAACAAAUCAGCUGGUUGGAACUCAGUUCCAACGUGAAACAACUUCAACAGUCCACACUUCACACGAUCCCUGACAACAUGACAGUCAAUCUCAAUAUGUUUCGUCCUCUCAUGAAAGACAGGGUUUUCUGCAAUGUGUAUAGCCGAUCGAUUGUCGCAGUAGAUCGCCACUGGAGUGGGAAUAAACACUCUCAAUUCUGACAAUAAUAACUUCAACCAGUCAAUCUCACAUGACAAGUGAGCAAGUGCCCUGUACUCAGCCUCUGAUGAGGAUCUGGACACGGUGCUUUGCUUCUUGGACUUCCAUGUGAGGAUUGCAUUCCCCAGAAAAGUGCAAUAACCAGUCACAGAACGCCUAGUAUCUGGACAGGAAGCCCAGUCUGAGUCACUGUAACCAGACAGAACGAUCUCAUUGUGAGCUGAAUAAAAUAAUCCUUGAGCUGGUGCCAACUUCAGGUACCUCAAUACCCUAUAUGCUGCCUGGAGAUGCACAUCAGUAGGAUGUGCUUGAUAUUGACUGAGUUGCUGCACAGGGAAAGCUAUGUCAGGUCGUGUAAUGGUUAAGUAGUGCAGCCUUCCUAUCAGCCUUCUGUAAACUUCUGGUUCUGAUAGGCUGACUCCCUGACUAGCUGAAAGUUUAGAGCCAAAAUCCAUAGGAGUAUGUGAUGGUUUAGCUUCAAGGUAUCCUGUAUCCUUCAACAACUCGAAACAAUACUUCCUCUGAGAAACUGUGAUCCCUUUGUCAGAACGAGCCACUUCCAGACCAAGGAAGUACUUUAAAGCUCCCAGAUCCUUGAUCUUAAACUGCAUUCGAAGGAAUGAUUUCACAUUCUCUAAUUCCUGCACAUCAUCUCCUGCAAGAAUAAUGUCAUCUACAUACACUAAAAGUGAUGUGGUACUGCUCUCAGUGUGCUUAAGAAAAAGGGAGUGAUCUGAAGCAGACUGAGUGAAGCCAUUCUCAAGCAAGGCAGCAGUCAAUUUAGCAAACCACUGUCUGCUUGCUUGCUUGAGUCCAUACAGGGACUUCUUGAGCUUGCAAACAGAUCCAGAUGGUGCAUUCAAUCCUAACGAAAUCUCCAUAUAAACGUCCUCCUCCAGAUCUCCAUGCAAAAAGGCAUUGGAUACGUCCAUCUGAUGUAAUUCCCAAUUCCUCACAGCUGCUACUGCAAGCAACGUUUUUACAGUAUUUAUCUUUGCCACAGGGGAGAAAGUAUCCAGAAAAUCAAUCCCAUAUGUCUGAGUAUAACCCUUUGCUACCAGCCUUGCUUUAUAACGUUCUACUGCACCAUUUGGUUUGUAUUUUAUCUUGAAUACCCAUUUACUACCAACUAUCUUCUGUCCAAGGGGCUUAGGGACAAUGUCCCAAGUUUGAUUCUCCUGUAAGGCUCCCAACUCUUCCUUUGUAGCCAGGUCCCAACAUGGUUCCUUAACAGCUUCAUAGUAUGUGUCAGGUUCCUUUUGAGUGAUGAUGUUAAGGGCAAAAGCUCUAUAUGAGGCAGAAAGAUUAUCGUAGGUGAUGUGUUUAGAAAUAGGGUGUUUGGCAUAGUGAGAUACAGAUGCAGCAUUAAGAUGAAAGUCAUGGAGGUAGGUUGGUAGGGUUUUUAUUCGACUGGAACGUCUAGGGACUGGUUCUGUGACUGGUUAUGGGUCUGGAGGAAGGUUUGGAUCUAACUCUGAUUCGGAGUUGAAUGAUUCUGGUAAAAGGAAUGAGUCUGGUGAUGUAUUGUUUGGAGGUGAUGUAGGUGGUGUUAAUGUAGGUUGGAAUGGUUGAGGUUCUGGAUGUGUUGGUUGACAUGUAGGUGGUGUAGAGAGUUGAGGUUGAGGUUCUGGAUGUGUUGGUUGAUAUGUAGGUGGUAUAGAGGGGUGGUCCCCCCCCAAACCCGGUAGAGGAAUCUCAGCAGAGUUUGAAGGCUGUAGAGAGGUAGUAAGAAAAGGUAAAAUGGUUUCAUGGAACCUAACAUCCCUAGAGACAAAGAAAUGGUGAGAAUGGAGAUCAUAGAGCUUAUAACCCUUAAUACCACCUGGAUAACCAAGGAACACACACUGUCUCGCCCUAGGCUGAAACUUAGUCCUGUUGUGGGACAACGUUGCUGCAUAAGCAAGACACCCAAAAACUCGCAAUUCAUCCAGAUUAGGAGCAGUGCCAUAGAGUAACUCAUAGGGUGUUUUGUUGUUGAUAGCUGUACUUGGCAAUCUAUUCAACAAAUGGACAGCAUGAACUACAAAAUCACUCCAAAAGAACAAGGGGAGACCAGACUGGAACUUCAAUGCUCGUGCAACAUUCAGUAUAUCCUGAUGUUUUCUCUCUACACGAGCAUUCUGUUCUGGAGUGGCUACACAGCUCAUCUCAUGCAAGAUGCCAUGCUUGGCAUAAUAUUCCACCAUGUGGAAUUCUGCUCCCUGAUCACUACGAAUAACACGGAUUGAACAUCCAAACUGAACAUUCAUAAAGUGGCAGAAAUCUUCCAACCUAUUUCUCGCCUCAGAUUUGUGCUUCAGUAAGUACAACCAAACUCCACGGGAAAAAUCAUCCACAACAGUAAGAAAAUAUGAAAAACCAUCAUGUGAUUUAACGGAUAAUGGACCCCAAAUGUCAACAUGAAUUAACUCAAAGACUUUACUGGCUCGUUUCUCACUGUGAACAAAGGGGAGUCUCUUAUGUUUAGCAAAGUGGCAGGUUUCACAAUGCUUUAUUGUUUCCUUAACAGGAUCAGUGUUACAUGAAUCUAAAGACUUAAUGCGGGAAUUGCUAGGAUGACCAAGGCGCCAGUGCCACAAUUUGAUAGGUUGAGACUGGAAAUUAUAGGUAGUUGCCACAGUGGGAUUAUGAGAAGGAACUUGAGAGGGAAGGAGUUGAUAUAGACCUCGAGUCUGAUUAGCCAAACCAAGAGUCGUCAUGGAAGUAUGGUCCUGAAUGGAACAAGAUUCAGAACGAAAAAUCAAGGAAAUAUUGUGGCCACUGGUCAACUUGCUGACAGAAAUUAGGUUAAAGGCAAAACUAGGCACACAAAGGACAUGUGUGAGGAUGAGUUUAGAAGAGAGACGAACAGUGCCUAUAUGACUAACAGGAACUCUUGUGAAUUUUGGCAAGUAAACAAACACAUUUGUGACAGUAUGAGAUUCGAUGAAAUGUAGUAAGGAACAAGCAAUGUGGUCUGGUGCUCCUGUAUCAACAAUCCUGUAACUAUCAUCAUGUUUCUUGGAAACAGAACUCAAUGCAUAUGUACCUGCAUAGUGAGGUGGUUCAGGCUGGUGUUGAGAUACUGCAAAGGCACGAUGAGGAUUCCCAAAAGAUGAGCUCCCUCCAUUAGAUUGCAACAGCAAUUUCAGUUGCUGCAUCUCAGCACUGGUGAAGCCCACGGUUGCCUCUACUACACUGGAAUCUCUUGAGGAAGAACCAUUUGACUCAAAUUCUUCAUUUUGAGAUGCAGAACCUGCAAAAGGACCACCAGCACCAGGUUUGGCAGGAAACCUCCCUUCUGCAGACUCCUUUUUCUUCUUAGACUUGAGCUUACAGANNNNNNNNNNNNNNNNNNNNNNNNNNNNNNNNNNNNNNNNNNNNNNNNNNNNNNNNNNNNNNNNNNNNNNNNNNNNNNNNNNNNNNNNNNNNNNNNNNNNNNNNNNNNNNNNNNNNNNNNNNNNNNNNNNNNNNNNNNNNNNNNNNNNNNNNNNNNNNNNNNNNNNNNNNNNNNNNNNNNNNNNNNNNNNNNNNNNNNNNNNNNNNNNNNNNNNNNNNNNNNNNNNNNNNNNNNNNNNNNNNNNNNNNNNNNNNNNNNNNNNNNNNNNNNNNNNNNNNNNNNNNNNNNNNNNNNNNNNNNNNNNNNNNNNNNNNNNNNNNNNNNNNNNNNNNNNNNNNNNNNNNNNNNNNNNNNNNNNNNNNNNNNNNNNNNNNNNNNNNNNNNNNNNNNNNNNNNNNNNNNNNNNNNNNNNNNNNNNNNNNNNNNNNNNNNNNNNNNNNNNNNNNNNNNNNNNNNNNNNNNNNNNNNNNNNNNNNNNNNNNNNNNNNNNNNNNNNNNNNNNNNNNNNNNNNNNNNNNNNNNNNNNNNNNNNNNNNNNNNNNNNNNNNNNNNNNNNNNNNNNNNNNNNNNNNNNNNNNNNNNNNNNNNNNNNNNNNNNNNNNNNNNNNNNNNNNNNNNNNNNNNNNNNNNNNNNNNNNNNNNNNNNNNNNNNNNNNNNNNNNNNNNNNNNNNNNNNNNNNNNNNNNNNNNNNNNNNNNNNNNNNNNNNNNNNNNNNNNNNNNNNNNNNNNNNUGUCCCCCCCGCCCCCGCCAUACUAGUUGUGGCGAUGAUGGAAGCCAUUAACUGAUUGAUUGCUGAGAUCUUGUUCUUGUGGGUAUCAAGUUUGAGAGGAAGAGAUUGAAAAUGGCGUGAGCAAGCUUGCUCUGCGGCCAUGGAUGAGUUCUUUAUUUAUAUCCAAUUCAACGGUAAAAACCGAUUACACUGUUUAACCAAACGGUAACUAAAACAGUAAGAAAGAUAAGCGUAAACGCAGCGUUUAGAGACAACGCUUUACAUAAUGACUUAACGGACCACUUUUCCCUUGACGCCGUUAGUGAACUCUUCCUUCCUUCCGUUAACACUCAGAACAACUGCAGAAUGAUCAUCUUCCUCAUCCUUAGUUGCAGCUGCUGCUGUUUUCUUCUUCAUUCCAUUCUUCUCAUUCAAUAGUGGGUGGUCUGAUCAACAUCUGCAGUUCUGCACUCUCUUCGUUUAGACUACAUUGUUAUUAUUAUAAUGGUCUGUGUCGAGUUGUAAUAUAUUGAGGCACGUGAUGAGCAGAUUGUCAUGCAGGUUUCCUCAUGUAGCGUCGAUAGAUGUAAUUUCACAGUUAAAAAACAAUUCUAUAGAUUUCCUACUAGUACCUUGAUCAGUCUCCAGCUAGUGGUCGAAUCGAGCGGAGUUUUUCUCUGCUCGUUCGUUUGAAAUAGCCGCUUAAAUUCAACUCGGUAAAAUAUUUGCUAGGUUAAGCUCGGUUCAAACUCGAGUUCAACUGGUUUAGAAGGCUUAACAAGCUCGACUGUUUUAGAAGCCUUACAGAGUUCGAGCUUAGCUCUUUGCAAAUCGUAACGAGCUCGAGCUUAAACUCGGCCCAUUUGCAAUUUUUAACGAUUUCAAGUUAAAUUUCGAACUUAAGGAUAAAAUUAUACAAAAUUACAAGAUUCUAAAAUGGACACGACUCGUAUAACCUAAAUAAGUAAUUAGUCGUUGUUACUCGUUGGGAUAACAUCAUCCAUCACUGUAUUUUUAUUUUUGAAAUAAAAUAAGGAUAUUCGAACAUUUAAAAAACAAUUGACGAGCUACGCUAAUCGAGCCAACAAACGAAACUCAAUCAAGCUAUCACUCGAGCCAACUUUCGAACUUUAAUCAAACUGUUACUCGAGCAUCGGACAAGCUCGCUAACGAGCUGAGUCGGGAUCAGCUUGAAACUCGGCUCGUUUAUUAUCAAACCAGUGCACGAGUUUCGAUCAAACUUUUUUCAAACGAAACUCCAAACUAUUACUUUUCUCAAGAAUUGUGACGGUGUUAUAUUCGUAGGCGGAAUAGAAGCCUCGGAAUCGUUUCAGCUUUCAAGAAGCCCAUACUAGCAUUGUAACUGUAACAGGCCAGACCCUGACAAGCAUACCUUUGGGCCCCGUAAAAUGAUUCAUAGGAGCUCAUACUUGUUUGGGCCUGGCGGAUCAACUAACUCCCUACCAGAGCUGGAUCAUAUUUAACGCGUAUCGACCCAUUACAAUGUCUUAGGGCUCAUUUGAUUUCACAUUUUAAUCACUCAUAUUAAGAAGCAAAGACUAGAGAUCAAUAUAAAAAAUAUGUCAUCUUAUUAAUACUGAAAAAACCCUUACAAACUGAAAGAAGCCUUACAAUAUUGAAAGCAUUAAUUAACCUAAUUAUAAGGUUUAAUCCCUACCUGGGUUCACAAAGGUUGAGGUCUCCGCUAAAUAAAUGAAAAUUCAUUUUUAGAAAAGUUAGAAUUGAAAUUAGUAUAAGGAGAAAUUGUGAACGAAAACUUGAAUAAACGUUUAAAAGAUGCUUAAUUUAUCACUCGAUUUAAAGGAAGGAUUACCGCUCUUAAAGAGUAAAGUACGAACCCAUAAAUGUGUAACAAGAGCUACCGCAUUUAUACUUCCAAUCGUCCCCAAAAUAAGAAAUAUUGAUUAACAACGCAAACGCUGAGCUCUAAUUGCCAAUAAAUUAAAACAAUUAGCGAAAGUUCGAAAAGAAAAAUGCAAUCGACAAAUAAAAUUAUGAUUCUCAAUCAACUUAAAUGAAAAAAACCCCUAAAAAAUAGACACUCGAUAUACAUAUAUCUGGUGCCUAAUCUCAUAAUUACGAAACCCACCGAAAGAAAACGAUUGCAAAUCUAACUCCACUAUCUCUACACACGUAUAUCAUUGCUUUACUUUCUUCUUCUCUCAUUUCAAUUUUGUUUUCUCCUUAUUCAAACUAAUUAUUCAUGUUAUUCAUUCUAAUUAAUUCUAGAAUUUUCACACUAUUUAAGAAUCAGAUUGAAUAAACAAACCAAACGAAACGAUAACGAAACGAUACUUAGAAGAAAGAAAUGAAAGAAAUAUAAUAUAGGUAUUUAAAGUUUAUAUGUGGGAUGUGAUUGGACUUCCAGCCACACAACGGAACCAACUGCACUAUUCCAUGGUGUCCAUAAUAUAAAUAUCAACCGGAAUUCUCUUCCAACAAUUUGAGUUAUUGGGAUGUAACGGUUUUUGACAUGGUAUCAGGGCUCUAGAUGAGUUAAAGAUCUCGGUUUCAAAUUCUGGUAGCCCCCAAUCGGCACACAUGAUUUAUCGAAAUUGUGUAAACUCCAGCUCUAAUAAAAGCUUUCGUUCGAGAAGGCUUGUUAAUAAAUAAUAUAAAUAUUAAUUAAAAUACUCUUUCAACAACUCGAAUUGCUAAAAUUCAAUGAUAUUUUACGAAGGGGACAAAACAAGAUACAAUGGCAAAGACAAUUUGUAGCUAACAAUUUCACAACUCACUUCCCUUUAUGUGAGCCGUUGGAUUACUAGCACAUUGAAAGCGACAGUGAUUAAUUAAAUUGGUCAAUUAGCAUUAAUGUAGAAUCAGCUUAUGGUUCUAUAAAACGGGCAAAACACUUGAAACCUCCAUAGCGGUUUAGAGUUUUUUUCGCCUUAGCGUCAUUGCCCCAACGCCUCCGUCGCAACUCUGGUUACUCAUCGAGCCGUCGAUGAGAUCGUCCUCAACUCUCUCGACGCUACUGAAUUAACGUUACGAGAUUUCUCUUUGAAUGCCAACAACGAUGAAGGUAUAUCUCUCAAUAAGGUUAUAACGAAACCUCUUCCACACAAAUAGUUAUUUCGGGAGUUGUGGAGAUCGGAUCGUCUCCGACAACAUGUUUUUCCCUGCUAUUGGAUCGUUUUCCUUUUAAAUUGCUUUCUUUUGUGUCGCGGAUACAAUCGUGGUGUCCUUUUCGUUUCAUUUCACUUUCUUUUGUUGCUAGUCAUGUAGGUCGGGAAUUUUUAGUCUAGACUCCUGAAAUUUACUGGAUUUUUACGGUAUUAAGGAGAGCUAGGUUGCAUAGUCAGUUAGUUGUCAUGUUAAUUACUUCUCCCAUUAUAAUUUGUUAUGCGUAUUGCGCCUCUCAAAUUAUCACCCAUGUAAUGUUUUUCAUGUUAUUUUAUCAAUAAUAAACGGUGUAAAAAAAGGAUGAAACGACAGUUUGAUUUGAUUUGAUUAGCAUUUAAUAACCCAAUUUAUGAGCACAUAACAACCUAAAAUCCGCAAUCAAUAAGAACAAACAAAAUUGUGUAAAUAAUAAUAACAGCGAUUUUCCAACUGGCGGUAAUUUUUUAUUUUUAUUUUUACAGUUUAUAGAUAAUAAGAAAGCAAGGCAACACAGCACGAUUAUCAAACACCAGCAACUCGCCGUUUCGCUCCCCACUCACCGAGUCAAACCCGACCCGAUCCUCCGACACGACCGAGUCAACCCCGAGUUGCUUCCACACACGACCCGCUACAACCCGACAAACAAGCAUAGCCCUCCUCCCCUUCCCUCCGCCGGCGCUCUCGUGGGCCGCGCCGCUCCCGGAAAACGUGCAAAUCGCCGAGCCUUUCCCUCCGGGGAAAAUCCAAGCGCUUCCCCGCGCGUCACCGACACCCCCUGCCGGCCCCAGGCAGUAGAACCUCAUCAUCUCGUUGCCGUCCGCCACGCACCUUGCACUCUCCUCCCACGUGCCCCCGCCUCCGGAAAAUCCGGCCCGGGAUUUAACAACUUCCCUGUACUCCUCGAACCGGGUUGAAGUCCGAGACCCGUUCUGGACUUUAAAAAUCAUCUCGAUCCGACCCGAAAACGACCUCUCGCUCCAGCUGGACUGGAAGAUUAUCUCCACCACGUUCCUCGACGGAUGACCCUCCGGAAGUUCCGUCAAGGCAGGGUAGAGCGACGUCGUUUCCGGGUUGCUCUGCGUACGGCUAUGACGGUGGGCCUGUUGAGCUGGAAACGAAUCGGGUCUAGAGUUCGGCUUGGGGUUGGGGUUGGGUUUGUGAGACCUGGAUUUGGGGCGCUUGCGGCGGUGGUGGUUGGCUGCCGAAGAGGACGAAGAGUCGACGACGUCUUUGAUGUUUCUAGAGCUGUGUCGGCAGCUGGAGCUGGCGAUGAGGCUUCGCGGAGAAGGGCUGAAUACGUCGUCGUAGGCUCUGGAUUUGCAUUGAAGAGAUUUCACCCAGGCGGUCGCCAUUUACAGAGGUUGAAAGGGAGAACAGAGAGAUUAGCAAGCUAAGCUUUUUGAAAUGAAAUCAAAAGGAUGAAGUGUGAAUGAGAAAGGUGGGGAUGUUAGAGGAGUGUUUGGUGGGGGAAGGACAACCGAUGGUUUUCUUUUCUUCCUCCUUUCAUGAUUCUCUCUUUCUUUUCUUUCUCUGUCACUUUGUUGGUUAGUUUGCUUUUUUGCCGUUUACUGUGGAUUUUCCUCUCGCUACAAAAAGCUUCAGCUCAGAAUUUGUUGCGGGGACGAGGGUAAAAUUGGUAAUGGCAGGAUAAUAAAUGGAGGGCCUGCUGACUGGAAACGACUUUCUGUUGUUUUCCAGUUUUGCCCCCCCCCCUGCUGCUUUAAUUGUCUGGGAUUAAUCUGACACUGCAUCUUAAUUGUCUACCUUCUCACCUCUUAUUAUUUUUCUGCUUGUCACCAUUUGACCAGUGAAUUUGAGUGAACCAAUAUUCAGUUCGAGUUGAGCUAUCAGAAUUGAAUUGAGAGUUAUUGUGACAGAUGGGUUGUAGAUCAUAUAGCUUGAGAGUAAGGGUACGGGAGAGUACGGGUGUUGUUCGAUUCGCAGUCUGCAAUCCAACUUUUGCUGGGGUACGCUCUCGUCCGUUGACACGCCGGCCUCUCUCUCUAUAUAUAUAUAUGACUAUGAGCUGGUCUCUCAUACAAGUACAGAGUAAGGGAGCUAGCUAGCUAGGUUGAUAUAUUGGAAAAGGAAAAGACUUUUAACUGGUGGAGUUUUGCCAGCCUUUGCUGCCACGCCUGGAGAUUCUUUCUGUUUCUUUUCAAUAUCUCAUCCAUCGUAGAUUCUUAUAUGUGAGUAACCAGUUUGGAAGUAGUAGUCAUAUGUUAAGCUAGUUUGGUAGUGUGUUCUCCGCUGGGAACUGUGUUGGUGGCGUGCUAUCUGCUUUCCCCUCUUGCUUUUUAACAAACCCCACAAAAUUGUUCCACCACUAUGCCUCUGUCGGGUUCGAAAACUAGAAGGGUCGAGACUUCUUUUGCAUGGGUUUCUGAGUUUAUGGAACAUGGCCAGACUCUCUGUUCCUAGGUUUUCUUCUGUGCUUAAUACUGUUAACUUGGGACUCUGUUUCCCAAAUUUUUGGUUGGAUAUGUACAUGUGGAACUUGAACUGUGUCUGGCUAUUGAGCCAUUGAUUCUCUGCCCUUCCUCGUUAAAUCUUCUUCUACCUAGUUUCUUUGCCGAUUGGAUGGUUCAGAUGAAGAUUUGAAAUAAAAAGUUUUUUAAUGGAGUUUUUUUAAAUAGACCGUUUAAAUGGGUGAUUGUAAGUGAUUUCGAAUGCAAUAAUCAUUAUAGAAAUAAAAGAGAAAAAAUGAAAUUAAAAAAGGAAAAUACGUACUAGAAUGUUCGUGAUUAAUGACCAUAUCAAGUUAUCAACUACACGAAAAGAAAACAAAUGGUAAAAUAACUUAGUUAAAAUUUCCAAAUAUCUCAUAUUUCCUAUGAAAUCUCUAUUUUUUUGGGUAAUUUUUCUAGUUAUACUCACAAGAUGAUUUCAAAUCACUCAAAAUCUUUUCAUUUUUAGUGUUCAAAUGGGUAAAUUGAGAAAAAAUUUCCACCAAAGUCCAAUCACAUGUCCAAACCAAACGGCCCACAUAUGAACGAGCAUCAUGAGCUAUUAAUUAAAUUAUAUAUAUAUAUAUAUAAUAGAAAUAGCCCGUGCUUUGCCACAAGAAAUUAUAUAGGCAAUUCUAAUUCACAACUUAACGCGUCAUCAAUCAUUAACAAACAAGCUCAUGAAAUACGAAGAGUGUUACAAUUUUGCUCCACCUCAAUUGGAAAUCUAGAGCUCACAAUAAAAAGUUUCAUAACCCGCCACUUAUCGUGUCAAUCGCUUCAUCGUGCACUAUUGAUGUAAUAGUAAAACUCAUUCUACUAUUUGUGCCUAAGUGACAAAGUGAGCAAUAUUAUACAAUGCAUGUCUAUAUAUAGAAGUGAAUCGUUGUGAGGAUAAAUGAUGCAUUGUGAGGCCUAGGUAAACGCCAAACAGUCACGGAAUUACGUUACUGGACUCGUCAGAGCUUAAUUUUACCAUGGGAAAGUGGCUACGUACAUUAAUAACGUACGUGUUGGUUUCUUCUUUGGGUUUUGUCUUUUGCCUUUCUUGUCACCUUAUUAUAAUUUUGGCUGCAUCUACUUUUUUGGAACUAUGUGCACCAAUGUUGAUAAAGGGUGCAUGGUAGAGUAGAUGUAGUAAGCUGGUGAUGUAUGAGUCGAAGAAUGAAAGGAAAUGAACAAAGCAGAGUACCUACAUGGGGGAAUAUUUACUCUGUAAUUACCUAUGACAACCUCCCUUCUAAAAUGGUAACAUUACAAUAUAUAUAUUUGUUGUCCGAAACUGACGGUGGGACUUCAUCCUGACGAUCGAUACUAUAUAGGCGAUUCUUACUAUCAAACUAAUGUGGUUCGUCGAGAUAUUAUUAUAGACACUUAUUAUGCCUUUGAACGAUAGUCUGGGGAGCUAAGCAUGUUAGUCUUAUGAGCUUGCAAUUGGUCGCUUUGGAGUUUCCCAUUAGGUAACCUAUAUUAUAGCGGCGGAAUCAACAGUAGGCCAACCUGGAUAACCGCCUAUAAUUAAUUAGUUCCAGCUGGAUAAAAUUUUAUAUAAAAUUGUCAAAAAAUGAAAUUUUACGUAAAGGGUUUCUGACCAUCAUGAUUCCGCUAUUGCACAACUAUCAUGGGAGCUCGUUGGAGGUAUCCGUGGUCAGUCCGUGAGCGGUCAGUUUUCAAGUGGUUGACUCGGGACUCUGGGAUCUCGCCCUAAUCAUCAAUACGGUAAGCAGAAUAUGCGAAGAGUUAGAGAUGAAAAAGGAAUCGUCAUAGUAGGGUGGCGUGCAUGUGUUCAAACAUUGAAAGCUGCUCAGUAAUGAGGUGGGAGUCUGAGCCUGGGGUUACGAGCUGGGUAGCGCAGCAGACGCAAGUAGUAGACGGUGGUAACAUUACGUUACUUCCAGGCAUCGUUGUCAAGCUGUAACUCGUGCCCUGUUUUGUUUUCUUUCUUUCCAUUGAUUCGUUCACCAAAACACAAGUGUACGGCUUGUGUGGUUUUGUUUUUGCACCACCACCCCACCACCGUACGUACACUCCUAAAAUAUAAAUUGAUGUCAUGAUUUGUGGAGCAGAGAAUUGAGGGAUGAGGCUGAAGCGGGAAGUGGGCGGGUUUUCGCUGACGGAGGAAUGGGCUUGAAUGAAUUAUUAAGUAAUGGGCCUGACUCCGUUGUCAUAGUUCACGGAAGGCCGUUACCACAGUUCAAAUAUAUCGGCUACAAUUUGCAUUUUAUUUUCCCAUCUCCCCAACUCCAUUACCCAUACCCAUACCCCACAACCACAACAUUACCUUCACCUACAUGAACAUCUCAAAUCGGCCAACAGAAGGAACAAUAACUAAUAUGAGAUAUACAUUUUCCAAAUUGAAAAUGAUCAAAAUGGUUGUUGAUGUUUGUUUUGAUCUACAUGAUUGAUAUACAUAUAAUUUCAGUCUCAAAAUAUGCAUUCGAAACUAAAUAUCAAAACAUAUAUUGAGAGAAAUUAUCACACUUUUCGAGAUUUGAAAUCUUCUGUUGAAAACAUAAUUAUGAAUAUGGUCAGAACAUGUAUCAAUGAACAAUGCCAGAUGGAUUUUGCACCAAUCGAGUUGACAUAGAGUGGUUGCAAAGAGUGUUGUGGAUGCGUCCUCCUUAAUAAUUAUAGCACUGGUCUCACUUUGGUGUGGUGUGUCUGUUGUUAAUUUUAUUCCUUUUUGCCUCUCUUACUUUUGUUUUGGACAGAUGAAUAUUUUGCUUUCGUUUUGAUUUGAUGUUUUUAUGUUCUUUGGGGGAGUUGACCCUUUUUUUUGUGCUCGUCUCUUUAUUGAUUUCAGCUGCACCUAUUUUGAUCAGAGUUUGUGUAGACAAUGAUUUCAAUUUUCGAGACUUACACUCUUAUUUUUCUCUUUCUCGUUGAAAUUGCUGGUUCCUUUUAAUAAAAGUCUCAUUUAUAAAAAAAAUAAAAAUGAUUAGACAUGCACGAUAGUUGCAUAAUUCAUAACCUACCAAAAUUGAUGGCAUAAAUGUAGUUAGCAUCAUGGCAAUAUCAUCCUUGUUCAUAUAUAUUGAAGUAUAGGAAUUAAACUCAAAAUCAAUAUCGUCACAUCUUCCCAUGCAUCUAUAUAAACCCCUCAGUUCCUCUUCUCUGAAACCACACAAUACCAAUAACCCCAUCACAACUCUAAAAAUCAAACAAAAAUGGCUUAUAAUUCUGCCAAGACAGCAGCCUUAGCUCUGUUCCUUGCCCUGAACCUCCUCUGCUUCUCAACCUCCCCUGCCAUGGCCACAGUAGACACAUGCCCGUACGACAUAACCAGGCUUAGCGUUUGUACCGACCUGCUCGGGUAUCUGCUCAGGAUCAGGAUCGGAACCCCGCCUCCUAGCGCACCCUGCUGCACCCUCAUCACCGGGGUGGCUGAUCUCGAUGCUGCUGUUUGUGUUUGCGCUGCCCUUAAAGCCAACGUUCUCGGGACCAUCCUUAACCUCCAAGUUGCCCUCACCCUGCUUCUCAAUCAGUGCGGCAGGCCCGUUCCAUCGGGCUUCACUUGCGCUUAUUGAUCAAUCGAAAUGAAAAUCAAUAUGCAUGCUUACGUAGUUUGUGUUUGGUGUUGACCUCGUAAUGUUCUUAUACUACUACUAUGAAUAAAUGAAUGAAAUCAAGCAAUUUAUUACUUUGUCUACAUCGUAUGUAUCAUACUGUUAUUCCCCGCAAUUUCGAAAAACGUAACAUCGACAAACAGUUGUAUUAGGUACCAACAAAAUUAUCCGUAUCAUAAUCAAAAUUUAUAUGUAUCAUCCAAAUACAAAGAUGUAAAAGGCAUACUGAAAGAUAGGUAGACACAAAAUGAUGAGAGUGAUGAGUUAACUCGUGCGCUAACCCAUUUUUAUUUCUCCUAAUCUAUACCACUGUGUAAGAAGGGUUAGCAAUUUUCAAAAAAGCUACAAUCGUAAUACCGAACUCUGUUAUAUCUGCAAUGCCACUGAUUGAUUAUCUGUCUAAAAAAUGUAGCGCUCAUAUCCUAUCUACCCGGUGAGCCUUAGAACAUGUACAUCCCUAACUUUUUAGUAAUUGUUAAGUGAUAUGCAAGGUGAUGUGACAUCACUCAAGCAAUUUAUAGAGAUGGAGGAUUGCUUGCUAAUUUAACAAAGUCAAUUAGCAAUGCCACAUAAACACAUUGCUACAUUUUUCAAGAAAUUCAUUUAUAUAUAGAAAAUAAAUUGAAAAUAAAUAAUUUUUAAUUGGUUUAUUUUGGUUCAUUUUCAUUAUAUUUAUUUGCAAAAAUGAUGAAUAGAAAUUAUUAAUCAAUUAUUGAAAUUGAAGAGAUUAAAAAUUGUUAAAGAAUUGAAUUGCUAAAGUUACUAAUAUAAUAAUAAAAUAUAUAUUAAAAUUUUUUAAUCAAUUUCUAUACGUCAACUUAAAUUUAUUAUAUGCCAUGCUUUUAAUAUGUUCAUAAUUUUUUAUGAAUUAAUUAUUCUAGACAUGGAGGGAUUAGCCAUCAAUCAACCAAGGCUCACCUAAAUUCUUCCCUUAUGGCCUAAUAAUUACGGCCCAAUAAACAAUAUUAUGGGCCGCUUAUUGCUCUGGCCUACUAGCUGAAAUUUUGGGCUCCGCUUCUGGCCUACUAGCUGGAAUUAUCGACAUAAAUAUAUUUUUUUGAGAAAAGAAAAAAACAAUUGAUAAGGGCCCAACCGGGUUCGAACCGGUGACCUAUUGAUCUGCAGUCAAUUGCUCUACCACUGAGCUAUGGACCCUUAUUUGUUUUAAAACACAUAAUUUGCUAGUAUUACUGAGGACUUAUGAAUCAAAAGAGUCUGAAAUAAAGGGAAAUUUAAAAAAAAAAUUGAAACAAAAUAAUAGGGAGGAAGUGAACAUGGCAAAUUGCAAGCAUAAUACACACAAAGUUCCAAAGGUUGGCACCAAAAUUGAUGUGUCUUUUUCCAGAUGUACAGCUACAAUAAAUCUGGAUCCCUUCUCAUCCUUUCUCAAUUCCCCAAAUUACCCCCUCACUCCAGCACUAUAAAACCAACCCCUCCCACUCACUCUCACUUCCCUCGCACCAAUAGUAACAUAGCAGCAAUGGCUUCCAACGCCAACUCUGCCAUUGCUCUGUUCCUACUCCUCAACGUUCUCUUCUUCACCAUGGUCUCAGCCACACACAAUGCAGGCUGCCCACCUCCCCCGCCGAAACCAGCCGACUGCCCGCCUUCCCCUUCCAAACCGAAACCAACCCCAGCUUCCUCCGGGAAGUGCCCCGUUGACACCCUGAAAUUGGGAGUAUGUGGCAGCGUGUUGGGCUCGUUGCUCAAGAUCAAGAUCGGGGACCCGCCGGUCAAGCCUUGCUGUAGUUUGAUCGAAGGGCUAGUCGAUCUCGAGGCUGCUGUUUGCCUUUGCACCGCGAUUAAGGCCAACAUUCUCGGAAUCCACCUCAAUGUCCCGGUUUCUCUGAGCUUGCUGCUCAAUGUUUGCAGCAAGAAGGCCCCAUCCGGAUUCCAGUGCCCCUAGAUUGAUUAUGAGAACUACGGGGGUCUUUGCUAGCUAUUCAUGUUUCUGUUCACUGAUCGAUCAUGAACUUAUUAUUUGAGUUUUGGAUUUUUUGGGGGCUUGGUUCUUGAAUUGUUGUCAAGCGUCCAUGUCUGGGACAGCACAUAUGUUGUCUAUCUAGUUUGUGUCUGCUGAUUUUUUAUUCUUCGUUUGUGUGUACUAUAUAUGAAAAAGUUGAUUUAUGUUGUGUACUAUUGGGAAAAGGUGGAAAUUACUCAUGGGUUUGGUUGUUCUUAAUCUUUACUAAUACAUAAAUUUCUGGUAAUAUUCAUGUUAGUACCUAACAAACGAUACAUCCCUGUCUAUCGGCAGAAAACCUACUAUGACAACAAGGCCUUUUAUUGUCACAUGACAACACCUCGAUUAAUUAUUAUACAUUAUUGAAAGGCAAAAAACAUUCAUCAAAAUAACAUGUGUGGAUUUCCAAUUACAAUCUCCUCUUUACUAGAUUUAUUUACAAAUUUCCUUUCCAAAUCACUCAUUCAAACCAUAGUUAACUUUUGAGUUUCAAACUAUUAUUAAGUCAAAUAAUCAGAAGUUUCGAAAAUGAUUACAAGACUACGCAAAUCCACAAAAAUUAGCAGCAUGCAGCUGAGAUCCAAACAAAAAUCAAGCCGAGUCGAAAAAACAAAACCACAAAAGAUGGUAUCAUCGAAUUAUUAGUCAUUUAAUUGGAUGGAUACAAGAAGAAGUAGGAACAAUGCAACUAACAAGAAAAGCACAAAGUAGUAGCCAUUCCAGUAGUGUUCAAAGUGGAGGGCAAACGAAGCCAGGAGGAGGAGUCUUGCCGCAGGUGAUGAGAGCUUGAAGUGCUAAAGGAAUGAAGAUGUUGAUGUUAAGCAGCUUCAGCCUUAUCGACGUGCACAAACAAACGGCGGCUUCAAUCUCCAGCAGCCCUUUAAUCACCGGACAGCACACAUUCUCCACUGGGUUCCCUACCCCUACGUGCACCAACCCUCCCAGCACGUCCACGCACGCGCCUAGCUUCAGCCCUCCGAUCGGACACGUGGGUUGCUUAGCUGCCGGAGGAGGACAUGGCACAGAAGAAGGAGGAGGUGGGUUUAUAACUGGAGGCGUCACCACCGGAGGAGGGUAUGUAACCGGAGGAGUAGGGUUGACUAUGAUGGGUGGUGAAACUAUUGGUGGUGGACGAUUAUGCCCUUUGCCUCCGCCACCUCCUUUGCCUUUGCCUUUACCAUGGUGACCACCGCGGCCUCCGCCGUGGUGGGGUGGGCGGGUGGUGGGGGGAUGUGGACGGCCGGUUGGGGUGUGGCCGGAGGGUGGGUUUGGGUGAGUGCAAGGGACACAAGCGUAAGUAGGAGGCAAGGAGAUUAGAAUGAGAUGCAUGGAGAUGAAUAUCAAGGCUAUUAGUUUUGAAGAAGAAGCCAUGGUGCUAGGUUUAUGUGUUUUUUGUUUUAGGGGUUUGGGUUGUUUAUAUAAGCUACGGGAUAUACGUACUAUAUAUUUAAUCUUCAACAUGAUGAGAAUUGAGGUAGAAGGGUAACCCGUGACCAUAGUCUUGAGGUGGAAGGGCAAAAAAGAUCGAUUGGCAAUCCAUUCUAGCAGGAAUUUUCGGGGGUUGGCUCGUAUUCAAAACACUCUUUUAAUCAAAACUUUCAUUUGAGACUUUCCUGCUUCAUACAUAUCGUUUAAAAUAAACGUAAUUGACAUUCAACGAUAAGAGGAUCUUUCAAAAAAAUAAAGCAAAAAUUCUUUCUUAGACUGGAUUGACAUCCCUAAUUAAAGCACAGUGAUAACAGCGAUCUCCUGAUCAUAUUGUAUGCCCUCUUUUCUUCUUUCAUAAAACUCUUUGUGCUCCUAAAUCAGGAUCGAAACUACGAAAAUGGUUAGAACAACAAACUAGUUCGUACUGAAUUCUACGAGAUUGAUUAGAAUAUAAAAUGAGUAAUUUCAUUUGUUAACUUGAAAUAGUAUCGGGGUAAAGACGUAAAAUAGUAGAAAUCAAAAAGAUAAAUGGAUUAUUGGGCAUGUUAGGUAUAAGUGAUAUUAGGUAAUAUUGAUAUUUGAGAUAUUUAUUUGUUUCAGAGAUAGAAUAGCUAGUUAUUGGAUGUGUAAUAUCGUUAUAUUCAAUAUUCACCUAAAUGAGGUAAUAUUGAAUAUCACACCCGAUAUCUUUUCGAUGGACAUAAUUGUCCCAAGGUAAUUUAAUAGUUACAAGCAACGGAGGGCUACAGUGGUAAUUUUCUUCAUCCCUAUAAUUACAAAUUAGGACCCACACCACAUCUGAUCAUUCUCAAACCCUACCAUUCAAUAUUCUAUACCAAAUAAGAAUAUUCAUACUUUUUGGAUUUAAUAUCAAUCUCACUCAAUAUCGUGAUAUCUCAAUUAACGAAUUAUUCAAAAUAUCACGUAAAAAUGAGGCCAAUUAUUAUAUACAAACCCCAAAUAUAUUAUAUGCAAACUCCAAACAUCAAUGGACCAUCCGUGACAGUACUGACCUAGCUAGCUAGCUAGUUUUAAUCCGUGAAUUAUGUUUGUAUUUUUGUCACCUUUAUUCGUGGUCAAUAUAAUCAACUUUUCACAGUAGGUACGUAGCUUUUUUCACCUUUGAAUUCAUCCUUCUAACCUUGUCACUGUGUUGGGGCUGAGAAUCGAAUGCUAAGAGCUGGUCAAUAGCCGUGCAAAUAUGCCCAAAGGGAGGUCAGAUUGAAUAAUUAUAAUAAUAUGCACACAGAAGCAUAGGGGAAAUGUAUGUUUCAGAGUUGGUGGAAAGACAUUGAUCAUGUAUAUAUAUACAUGAUAUGGGAAUCAAUUAUUAAAGGAAGAUAGGUUUCGUUCCACCAUGUAAACAUGUGAAUUUAUAUCGGUGGAUAUUUUUUGUAGGACACUGCUGUAAAAUUAUAAACGUAUAAUACCAUUGAAAAAACAUGAUUUACAAGACACCUAUCCAAUGGGUAUCUGAUAUGAUAUCAUCAAAUAUUAUAGUAUUUGUGUUUUAGAGAGUGAAUAUUAUAGUAUUUGGAUAUAUCAAUAUUACAAAACCGCGAUAUUAAAAUUUUUCAUAAAUGAAAGUUUCUAAUAUCAUGUCAUUCAGAGGAGAAUACCCCUGAUUUUUACAUGUCACGUCAGCUAGCUUGUGGGUAUCUUUGUAAUGAUUACUCCCACUAAGUGCAUCCUUUUAUCUCUCUUCGACUUACACUUUACGGAAAAAAAUCAGAGAUGUCAAACUGAAAUCCCGUCGAGUGAUGUGAGAGUCUGAGAGAGGGAGAAGGUGUGGGUCUGGUGAAAUAAAAUAUAUAUAUAUACAUAUGGUCAAUUAAUAUGCCUAAAAUUGAAGGCAUAUUUGUAAAUGCAUGCAAAUAUCAAAUUUACCAUACCAAACAAUGAUAUUUUUAAGAUCCCUUCUCAAACUCAAUCUAAUUUAAUAUCCCAAUAUCAACUUAUUUAUGGUUGGAAUAUCACGAUAUUCGAGAUAUCAUGUACCAAACGAUCCACGGUGGUUGAAUUUCUAUGGUAGUUGCUCAAAAUUCAAAUUUGACUGAAUUAGGCGUACGUAGUGGGGGAGCACGGUGACAGCUCGGUGGCGCUGUGGUCGAGCAUAAGCGUUGGGGGAGUGCCGAUAAUAAGCUUCUUGGAGCAGCAGCAGAUAGCAUUGGAUACGCUGGAGAACAUCCAUAAAGAGGUAGUACAUAGCGGCUACGAGGUUAUAAAAUUGAAAGGGUACACUUCGUGGGCGAUUGGGUACUCGGCUGCGAAUUUGGCGAGGUCGAUACUGAGGAACCAUUUGAAUUAUCAUUAAUAUUCUUCUCGCCAUCUUUCUCCGCAGAUCUCCAUUUGAAAUAUGGAGAGGGUUGAUACUGAUUAGAACAUCUAGUUAUGCAUAUGCUUUCGAUGGAAUGACAGUAUCUCAAACAAUUCUCGAAACACUUAAAUGUAGGAUUCUCAUCAGCUGGACAUAAAAUUGGAAGCUCAACCAACAAUAACAAAAUGGAAAUAACAAUACACAAUAUCUUUAUAGUAUUUGCCUUCACGUUUAAUGCCUUCAAUCUUCCGCUUAUGUCUCGACCGAGAAUUAAACAACUUAAAUGAUGUAGGUAGUUGCUAUGGUUUGAAGAUUGAAUGAUGAAUCGUGCCAUAUGGUUUUAUACUAAUUUUCAAAAUCUAACAUUUAUUAUGUUAAUAUGAUUGCUGUCCGAUGAUUUAAUGUGAUAUCCAAUCUUAUAUCUUUAGAUUCACCGCAUUAUGCAUUUAUGGGCAAUUACUUUAAAUAAAACAACCAUUAAUAUUUGAUAACAACAACCAUUGAGGUUCAGAGCCAGUUGAAGAUUUGACAAGCAUCUCGCCGCGGAGCUUGUCGUCGUUAGCGUCGACUAGAGCGAUCUCGUCGGCAAGGUCCUGGGUGAGGAUGGUUUGGGCGAUGGCCAUACCGACGUUGCCGACGCCAAUGACGGAGAUCUUGGUGAUGGAGCGCUUGGAUGAGUAGAGCGAGUCGGUUCUCUGGAUGGGUUUGAAAAAUGUUUGGGUUAGGUCUAGGCCGUCGGGGCCGCCUAGCGAUGAACCUGAAGGCGUUUUGUGCAUCUUUUCCGACAGUGAGACUGAGAUGGGUUGAUUGCGAGGUUGACUGGUUCUGGGUUUGAGGUUUCUUCAAAUUACAGAGAGCGUGUGCGUGGAAAUUCCACAAUUCACAUUACUAGUAAAGGCCCAACCCAAUUCAACUCUCGAUAGUCCAACCCAAUUUCCCAGGCAUUGACGCCGUUGGUAUCACAAUCGCAGGCCCAACCAAUUUUUUCCAGGCCUGGUUUCCUUAGCAAAUACUUCAUUUUAGACCAACUGCUAUUUUUAGGAAUUAACUCAAAAAGCAAUUAUUAUCGAUAACACUUUCGGAAGAUAUAUAAUAGCAAACACAUACCAAUUACCUUUUCUAUUAUCUGCCUACCGAACAAUCUGGAGUGGGAUCCCAGAUAAAGUCGACAGCAGCUGACGAAUUUCCUCAACAAUCAAGCCUCCAGCAGCCAACCACACCUAUCCGACCCGCAUUUGGAUAACAUCACCUUCAAUGUCCACCUAUAUAAAACCGCGCCAUUACCACCACAAACAUGCGUCACGGAUAACUAAUAAUUCCAAGAUAGAAGGGUUAGAAAGCCAUGGGUAUGGUGUUCCGACCGCAUGGAGAAUGACUCCAGUUACGUGUCGGAGGACCCAUCCGUCCACCCUCCGGAGCUCGGCCGCAGACAGCCAUCCACAUUGAUCUUAUACCAAGGGGAGGCAAAGGGGAUCGUAGGAAGCCGAAGGGAAGAAGGCGGCCCUGGUAAAACGACAGGCCACCCCUGCAUCUGCCGACAGAACUUGACUCAUGACUGCAUCUGGUUGGUUAAAAGAGAGACAAACCAGCAAGACAAUAUAUUCAAAAACCAUGGCGGAGGGCGGGCAGGCAGACCCAUAUGCAUUCCCAGUAGUGAUAUAUCUGACAUCACGUGAUCGACUUUACCUUCCCCCAACCGUCCAUUUUCUCUCUUGACAACGGACACCCAACGAACUUUGGUCGUCAUAUCAUCACCAGGCUAGCUAAGCUAGGGGAUAAUAAUAAUACAACAAGUUGGUGAUGAGAAGAAGAAAGAAACCAGACCAUCGACUAGCGUAGCCUGCUUGCUGCUGGCUCUCACUUAGUCACUCACACACAUGAAAUGAAAUCAUGAAACUGGAUGACGACAUUACAGUUGGUGUAUAUUAUAUGGUAAUUAAUCAUAUUAUAUAUUAGCUUAUUAGGAUAUAUAGUGUAAUUUAUAUACUAUUAUUAUCAGUAGACAGUAGUACAUUAAAUAUUCAGUGUUUUUCGUUGUGGAUCGGGGGCUUUCGAUGGGGCUGAGCAUAAUCCAUCAUAACAAUACUAGUAUUCCCUUCUUCUUUUUCUGCCUCGUCUCCGCUAGCAUUGGAUUCCUUCUUCUCCGUCGUCUUCUUCUUCUUCUUCAUAUUCUUCCCUGCCAUUAGACCUCUUCCUCUCCAUGUCUUCUUCAUCCCCUGUUUCCAUGCAAAUUGACCACCAUCCCAUAGUUAGAGAAUGGUUUAAAAUUACAGCUUGGCAACAGGGAGGUUUAAGAAUGGAUAUUGUGCGCACACCCCAUUACCUAUUUGAUUUUGUGAUGGUUAUUAAUCAUAAGAGAAAUUAAUUUCAUCACCAUACUUAUAGGGUUAACGACUAUAAUCACUCUUAACAGUUAUACUUAUAAUCACUCAUCGUCAAGAAAAAAGUACAAAAUGAAACCGAAAAUCCGAAAUGAAAAUCAAAAUACAAACAUCCACCGAAUGAAAUUAUUCUUAAGGCAACUGGACAAGAACUUGUAACGAAAUCAUUGUCUACACAUGCAAGCAAAUCCAAAAAGAUUGACAGGUGCAGCUGAGAUCGAAAUAAGGAUCAAGCCGAGUUGAGCAAAAACAAAACAAUCCAUGAACAACAAAGAUAGCAUCAUCAAACUUUAAUUCGUCAUUUUAAAAGAUUGGCAAGCUCAGAAAACUUAGUACCAUUAAUAAUCGUCAAACUCGAUAAGGUUAUGGUUGAUGAAAGGAUUAAGCAGACAAGAUUGGCAAGCCUAAUAUGUCGGUGGAAUAUCAUAUUGUUGUAUACGUACGUACCUCUUUUAUUUUAUCAUCUUUCUCCUGCUUCAGAGGACUGUGCUUGAUGCAGGACGUAAUUGCACCGAGCAAAGUCCAUUCUGCAACUUGUGUUCGGGGUUCGCCUUCCGACGACGCCGAACUAAAAACGGAAACAUCACUACUAGCUUGGUCGUGAGUGAUGAGUUGCCGAGCAGUGCAUGCAUGCACCGAAAGAGAAACGAGCAGUAGCCACGCCAGAACUCGAGACAUCGAUCGUUUGACAGUGCCAAAGGUUGUGUGAGUAUAUGAUUUUGUGAUAACUGCACAAUGAUCGAAGAGAUUGAGUGAAUAGUACUGAUAGAGCUACCUGCAGCAGCUGCUUGAAAUUGUCUUUGUUGGUCUUUCUUUCUAUAGCUUGUUAUAGCGUCUAGGGUUGGCUUGUCUGCUAGGGUUAUAAAGAGCUUAUGGGGACUUUAGCUAGUGUAUAAAAUUAGCAUUUACUCAAUUUUUUGCGGGACCUUCUUCUGUCCCCCUCCCCCCCCACCACCUCACCACUCUUUGAUCAAUCACUGCCUAGAGGCAGAAGUAGGUGGGUGUGGGUGGAGAGUCUCGACUCAAUUUCCAUUUUAAUUUUGCUCCGUAUAUAUUUUCAUCUUGGUUUAGUCAUUGUCACUGCCUCAGUCUAGUUCUAACCGAAAUCGUUGUGCGUUUGGCUCCUUGCCGUCUACAUACAUACAUGUUAAUUAAAGGAUACAGAAAUGCAUAUGUUAUGCUUUUCUGUUGGGUGGUUUAGCCUUGAUAUAAUUAUUGGGGUGGGUCUAGACAGAAGCUAUUUUAUGUUUGGUUGGUAUUUGGAAAACUGUCUUAUAAGUUAAGAGAUCUGUCAACUAUCUUAAUUUCGUCAAAUAUUCAUUUUUAAAUUAUUCGACAAUCAGAUAAUAGAACCAUCUAUUAUGUGUUUCGGACUAAUCAAGAGAGCCGAAUAAGAUGCAAACCCAACAAAAAAAAAAGGAGACGGGGAGGGCCCACAGAGGAAUGGGCUCAUGAUGGGCCCAUGAGUGGGACGGGACGGUGGGGAUGGAUCACUUGGACUGGGGACAAAGGUGCAUGGCUAUUCUAAUAGCCACGUGACACGUCAUCCCUGUGUGCUUUUCAGUGUUCUUCACACAUUCAACAGAAUCAGCCAAAAUCUCCAUUGCCUGUUGUUCUAGGAUUAAUUUUGGAUGCAAUAAUUUAGCACUUUGACACUUUAACAUCACAAUCAUUGAAGAUGACCUCGUUCUCCAAAGAUUAACGCUAGUCGUUAUAACACUUCUAGUAGCUCUCCAAACAAAGAAGAUGAACUUUGGCAGGACCGGUAUUCUCCGCAUCCGUUUCCACAUACGAAGGUGAUCAACAUAAUGAGGUGGUUGCAUCUCCGCAUGGCACAACAAUCCCAAAGGAAAUGACCAUCAGUAGAGCAAGCCAUGAUACGGCUCCUGCCAUCAUGAACCAAGAUCGAUAACACUAGAAAACACUCGAAACCUUCAAAAUCAGAGCUUCGUAUAUUUUGACUCAGGGCAAGUGUUAUUGGACUAUCAUUCUGGUUAGUGGGCAAAAGCUGUUUCUGUGUACCAUUAGCUAGUUUUUCCAUUAAUGUCCUUUACUUGAAAAUAUCAACUACAUAAGCUUUUGGUGGAGGAUUGCCAGAAAGAAGCACACAAUCCAGAGUCACAGCUCAAGUAUUUCCAGUUUUAUGAUCACAAGAAGACUUGAAGAAGAGAUAGAUUUCGGGACGCUUCUAUACAAAGAUAUAACCUGUACACAAUUUGCAGCAGCAGCAGCAAGAACCAUUGUCUAUAUAAAGAACUUAAUGCAAUUAAACUAUAAACCAGCAAAUCACUGUAUGCGAAAGUAUGACAUUCGAUAAAGUGAAAGUAGGCAGAGGUGCUGUGCAACAGUUCGGCUCCUGCCUACUGAUGAAUCUCCAUUCCGAAAGUAUUCUCGCCGCUGUAAGUAACAUAGAGAAAUCCGUCUUCAUCCUUCUUUUCUUCAUAUAGUGCAGACAUUACAGCACCUGAUUUUGUAUAGAUAGAGGAAUGGGAAAAUCAGAACUGGUGCAAUGCUGGUUAAGGAUAUGAGAUCGGAUUCACGUUCUGCACAAGUGCUUACCGGUUGGUGGCAGGACAUUGUCAACGAAUAUGAAGAUCGCCUUUUCAGCACUCAGUUUGAUCCUCUUCCGGAUUACGUAAACAAACUGUCCGACAGUCAAGUCGGAUGGGACUAGGUACCUGCUACCACGAAAAUGCCAAUCUGGUCAACAAAACAUAAAUGAUUCAAAAAGAGCUGGAUGAUCUGCUAGUGCACUUAUCUAUCCUACAUUCCUAGUGCUGUCUCAAGAUAACAAGAUAAGAUCAAAUGGCCUUUGAACAACAUGAGACCAUGAGUUCAUCAACAAGAACAUAUGCAAGAAAGAGUAGGCUCCAAGCAUUCAUUGACCCAGAGGAAGAUCACGAUAAUCAAGGUCUAAAUUUUCAUUGGAGAACUUGAAACAACAUAAAACAUCAUCAAUUUAAAUUGUACUUUUUCUUGUCUAUGUUUGGUAUUUCGCUUCUCUCCGCCUUCUCCACAAUGACCUGCAAAACAAGAAAGCACCGUGAGAAUGAAGCCAGCUAUGAGAAAAGAGAAAGACUUUUGAUAUUCAAUCCAUCACAAAGAUAAUUUUAGUUGAUGCAAGCAGACUGAACACAGUUCUCGAAUGAAUUCAACGUUUGAAUCAAACUCUGAAACCAAUAACAAGAUAGUCAAAUAAAAACAUUGCUCGAAGAACACAUGAUGAAGCUGAAAUGACCGAGGGAACAUUCUAAUGGCGCUCUGUGAUCAUGAGAAUCCAGGUCCAGAAAAGGAAGAAAAACCAUAAAGUAAACUACAAUAGAACUAUCACAGUAUCAAUUAGUCUACCCUAGCCGACGAUUCUGAUCUCCGAUUUCACCAUACAUAACACGAUUAAAGAAAUAAGCGGUGCACUAGUUGACAUCUAGAGUAAGAAACCUAUAAGCACAGCGUCAUAAAUCAUGAUCAGGCAUCAGUUUCUCACCGGAAUUCUAUCUGGGUACUUCUCCCUUAUCCUGGCAGCCUCAGCCUUUCUCUUCUCUGUAAACACAGUAAAGACUUAAUAGUUAAAGCUCCAUUGACAUGAUAGAUAUUCACCAAUCUCUAACUUGGGAUACAUACCAUGGUCAUGCUCUUGUCUGAAGCAACUCUUAGUCAUCUCCCCUGCACCUCAUCCAAACAAAGCAAGUAAAAUCGUCUGCCCACAACUAAAUAGUCUCAACAAAUUACUUCACCAACUAAUCAAAUUCUCAAAAGGGUUAUGUACUUAUGUUCUUCUUCUUUCUUUGUUCAUCCGAAAUCACCAAAAUUCAAGCAAGCAGCUUCAAGCUAAACCUCCCAAUUCCAAACGAACCCCAAAACUAGCUAAAUCAGGUUAACUACUUUUUCGCCAAUAACCCACCGAGUAAAGCAAAAGAAAAAAGGAAAACAAGCCACAGCCACAUCAAACAUUAAUCAUCAACCAUUCAACCGAUUAUGCAGCAAGAACACACAGAUUUCAGACAAUUUGAAGGAAUUCCAACAUCCAAAUAAGAGUGAAGAGCUGACCUUUGUGUACACGAAGCCGGACGAGGAGGCUGGCUAGAAGAAAGAAAGAAAGAAGUUUGCUUUUUUGAUCGAAACUCUGUGCAACAAGGAAGGAAACGGUGAUUCGGCAGCCGAAUAUUUAUUUAUUAUUAUAAAACACCCUUUUUCUUUCCAAUUUGGAGCCCUUCUUUUGGGGCUAAAUUGCAGCAAUAAAUUAUUCCAAUGGAUAAUUUUGAGAUAAUCAUAAUAAUCGGCAGAAGUGUGUCCCUUGCUGCCCACGUUACCUCUAUCUUGUGGCUCAAGCUGCUGAAUCAUCCAGCUGACUUGUUAAUUCAGUUUUAUUACAGCCGACCCUGAGAUUAUUCGAAGAGCGGAGUCACUUAUCAAACCCACUUUUAAUCCAAUCAAAAGUGAGGUUGUAGGUCUGGUGCUGAAUCAUUAAUACAACAAGUGAUUGCGGUGAUUUGGAGUAUUUGGAGAGAGCAGAACGAGAGUCUCUUCACCUACAAAGCUACGCCGACGGAUGUGGUGGUGAAAAGCGGGAUGAGGACUUGGAACAAUGGCUGGCGGCGCAAACAACGAGCCCAGUGUCCGCAAGUAUGCGUUCCAACCUCUUCCUGCACUGACAUCCACCACCGUCUGGUAUGUUCAAGUGCAAUUUUAACAUCGCAACGUUUGAGCAGCAUGUUGGGGUAGGAUUGGUAAUCAGAGAUGAGCAUGGGCACGUUCUGCAAUAUGUUAUGCAACGACUCCCGGGUCGACGAGAUGCGCGGGAAGCUGAGGCUAUAGAACUCCACACGACGCUCGCGUGGGUGCAUAGCUUGGGGUAUGACCAUUGCAUGUUUGAAACGGAUGGCCAAGCGGUGGCUUUGGCAGUUAAGCGUUCGGUGAUUGAUUUUUCAGAGUUUGGCACCAUUAUUGCUGCUUGUCGGUUGCUCAUUGCAUACAGACCACUUUUCAUAGUGUCUUGGGUUAGGAGAGAUAGGAACGGUCCUCAUGAGCUUGCUCGUCACUUCCAGAUCCUUGUGUCGUCCGUUUUGGGAACGACGCCUCUUAAUUGGUUUUUAUCUUAUGUGAACGAUAUGUGUGUUGAGGUUAAUCAUUAAUAGUACAAAUAGCCACUUUUCGAAGAAAAAAAAGUUGAAGUUGUAAUUUGUUUAUAUGAUCAUCCCACUAAUUAACCGAUAAACUAGGUUUGAUGUCGAGCUACCCAUCAAACUCAUCGACUCAUUUAUUUAUUGCUCCAGCUUACAAUUUCCCAAUCAAACCCAAUUAGAUUUCUUAGCCCUAUAAAUCAAACACUGCAACGACAUCAUACAAAAAUGUCAACAGAAGCAUUAUUGGAUAUUAAACUCAAUAAUUCUCCUAGAAGAUGGCUUAGGAGAGUUAUUGAACUUAAUGUCCGAUAAUGCUUCCGUGGUACUGUUGUAUGAUGUCGUUGUAGGGUUUGAUUUGUUUGUUUCUCUUUUACUUAUUUUCUUUCUCGAUUUUCUUUUGCACCCGGGUUUAUGGAGACAAAGAAAUCGAAUUUUUUAUUUUCAAAUUUUUUUUGUAUUUUCCUAGAAUCCGUCACAAUAAAAUCAUCAUUAUUUGGGCCGUAGAGUAGUUGCCCCAGAUGCGUUUGCAGCUUUGAGGUUGUGGGCCUUGCAUAGUUUUUGUCUGGGCUCAAACAUUUCAGGUCAAAGGUGAAAUUCUUAAUGCUAUGCUGAAACUUGGGCUUGGAUCCAAAUAACAUUUAGCUUCUGUUUAGCAUCACUUUAAUAUGUUAAAUUUUAAACUUCAUUUAGAACAUAACUAAAUUGAGAUGCAAGGGAAUAUUUUUUCAUAGGGAUAAAUAAUUAAUCUAUUAAUGCAAAUCAUCAUAACAAAUGUUUGUCAAAUCGAUCGAUAAUUAUGUAAGAGGGGUUUGUAUUAAUCAUGAUGAUAAAUUGCCUAUCUAACGCAUGAACAAUUUUAUAACCCUCUCUUUUUACAAAUACAACCGAAAAAUUCGAUUCGGACAACACAAUCUCCUUACACUUUUUAAUCAAGUCUCCAUACUCUGUAGCAUCGUACGUUUCUCUAUGAAGCGGUGAAUGCACCGAUAAUAACUAGUUAUAACUAAUAAGUCAAUUAAUUAAGGUGGGGGGUUGUUGCAUGUGACGAUCAUAUAAUAUGGGGCCUGGAGGGACCAUCUUCUCUCAUUUUCAUUUGCUUCACAUGGUACCCAUUUUGGCUUCACUCCUUGUUUAGAAGUUGCUUAAACUACUGGAUUUCCUUUCACUUUCUUUUCAUUAUAAUAAUAAUAUAUAAUUAUUUUGACACCUGAACUAACAAUCGGCAACCUCAAAAUUAUAAAAACUUAGUUAUAACUUCUAAUCGAGGAUUCAUGAAAGGAAAGAUAUACUUGAUAAAAUAUAAUGAUAGGUGAAUUUUAAAUUAAUGAUUUUAUAAUAAGUAAUAUGAUGAGAUAAAUAAUCUACUCUAAACUUAGGGGGAUCAAGAUUUAGGAAAUUUCUAUAGUAGGAUCAUUGUUUCCCAACCGUAUCGGUAUGAACAGGAAAUUAAUGAACACUUUUACCAAAUCCCAUUUUUUAUUACGGAUGGGGCCUUGUCAAUUUGCUCAGAGAAUCAGGUCUGGGUAGUUCAUUACGGCAUGCUCGAAACCUUCCCAGGGUCGAGCCCGAUCACCACUAUACAACCGCUCAGAGUCACCCGAGAAACUCCACCAUUUGGAUCUUGUCGAAUGAGAGUUUAGAUCAGAUCCCGAGACUACUAUAAAAAGAAGGUCCCUGCAUUCAUGAGAGGAGAAGAGACCACUCACCAACCCCAAAACUACAUCUAAGAUCCGAACACCCAGCCCACCACAAAAACGCCUCAUGCCCAUUACUCGUCGAGGAGUACAUGUCUGGUACUUCUCUGUCUUCCUCUUUUAUCCUUACUCAAUCGUCCAUUCCUCAUAAUUACUUCUUACUUACAUCUCUACAUGCCUUGUUAAGAAAUGCUUAGUAGACUUUACAACAAAAAAAUACCGAAUCAACCCAUUCUCCAUCAACAAAUCACUAAAUAAUUGAUUGAAAAAUAAAAAACGAAUUAGACCAGUCAAUCAUCAGAAUGGGGUUAGUUUUGGGUGAUUAUAUAUCAAGUCUCAAAUCAUUAGCACUAAUUAGGUUGGGAAGAAACCAUAAUUUACAACUAGCAUGCACAUGGUGAUUGGUGAUUGGUUGGAUUUUAAAACCUCAAGCAUGAGUAACUAAUUUAAUCCAGAAAAGGGUUGUGAUUUUUUGAACUAGUUAAUGAUAUACUCGUGAUCAAUCAUUGCAAACACAGAAGCUCGCUUACGAUUUCUGUUGGUAGAAUACGGCGCCGAAGCUCGCUUAAACGUUAUUGAAAUCGAACGGUACGAGCCGCGAAAAUGAGACACCAACAAUAUCGUAAUUUAGCCAAUGAAACAACUUUUGGUUGGACGAAUCAAAAAUAUAUGGUCAUAUCUAAUUGUUUCUCGAUAAUUAAGUGUUGCCUAUUUCUGUUAAAGACAUUCUUAAAAAAAAAAAAAAGAAAGAAAAAUCAAAUUUAUCCAUCAACGACAUCAUGAAUAAAAAUCAAAGCAAAAACAUUAUAUAUAUAUAUAUAUAUAGUUGGCUUAAUCAUGAUUAUGUCGCAGUUAAAUAGACUAAAAUUAUUAGCAGGCGGCUAUAGUUAGGCUUUUUGUGUAUUGAUUGAUUAAUUAAUUGCUAUUGGGAAGUAUUUUCUUUUCUUAUUUUCAAAUAAUAAAAAGAAUUCGAUAUAUAUAUGGUACGUUCUGUGAUAUUUUUGUUAUAUNNNNNNNNNNNNNNNNNNNNNNNNNNNNNNNNNNNNNNNNNNNNNNNNNNNNNNNNNNNNNNNNNNNNNNNNNNNNNNNNNNNNNNNNNNNNNNNNNNNNNNNNNNNNNNNNNNNNNNNNNNNNNNNNNNNNNNNNNNNNNNNNNNNNNNNNNNNNNNNNNNNNNNNNNNNNNNNNNNNNNNNGGUGUUGGUUAGGUCAUGGACAAGGGUGGAGUUAGACAUGUCAAGUCGGAUUAUAGAACUCCCACUUGGUUAAAUUUGUUUUUUGAAAAUUAAUAUAUAUUUUUUGNNNNNNNNNNNNNNNNNNNNNNNNNNNNNNNNNNNNAAAAUUUAAAUUAAAUUUGAAAUUCUAUUUGGAUAAAUUUGAGGAUUUCAUUUGGAUAAAUUUGCUCAGAAUAGAGGUAAAUAUAAAAUUCAACCAAUCCAAACUUGCAUCGUUUUAAAGUCAAUUUAUUUGCCGUUGCAAGAGCUGAAUAAUCAUAUUGAUGAGGUGAACACUGAAUUGUUAUGUUGUGUAGCUUAUAUAUAUCUAGAUGAUUGUUCCAUUGAUUUUGACAAGCAAAAGUUGGUUAGACUUGUUAGUUUUCAUUCCAAAGAAUUCUAUGUUCAUGAUAUCUCUUUCAUUGAUUUUCAACUGGAUACUUAUAUUUUUGAGAUAAAGCUUGAUGAAAGAUUCAAAGAUUUCAAAGGAAUCUUGGAGUUUUUUUAAAAAAUAGUUGAAACUCGAAAUCACAACAUCAUGUAUCCCAAGAUAUGUUUGCUUGUUGAACUAACAUUAUUUUUGCCGGUUGCAACAACAAGUUUUGAGAGAGCAUUUUCUUCGAUGACCUAUAUUAAGAACAAGCUUCGCAAAGGAGAUGAGAUGUUGAAUGAUGGUUUAAUGGUGUAUAUUGAGAAAGAUGUCGUUUGUAGUUUAGAUAAAAAAUGUAUUGGACAAUACUUUCAAAACAUGAAAACUCACUGUGUCAAACUAUAAAAAGGUCAAAUAUUUGAAUUGAUUUUGUUUUCUCGUUGUAAAAGGACCCACUUGACCUAAUUUCUGACUCCGCCCUUGCUCGAGAGUUAUUGCAAAAUACUAAACAUUAAACAUAGUUGAUCGAGUAAUUAAAAUUACAUUUUCAAACUUGUUAUGACUACAACAUAAUUAGGGAAGACAUACAUUCUUCGACAAACUCUGCGCCACUUGCUCUCUUUGACCGAGUAUCCUUCACCUUUCGAACUUUCCACAUUCUUUUUUUCUUUUCGCUUUUUGCUCAAUCAACCGUAAUUAUCGUCGAUCUUUCUUUCUUUUUCUCUAGAGUAGUUGAAAAUCAAUCGACGACUCUUCCUCAUCAGUUAUGAUAGUUCUUGAUUCGUCAAUUUAUGAUUGAUUAGCCAAAUCAGAAGAACAUUUGUAACCGCAACCCGAUCAAAUACAAUGAUAGUAUUAAAAUCAAAUAUGAACAAUCAAAUUUGAUAAUUUUUGACAAUAAUCGCUAUUAAAACAGUUUAACACUAAAUAUAGACUAACCAUCACCGAUCCGAACUGUUGCUAAGUUUAGAUUUUUUUUUUGGUGUGACAUGAAAAGAGAGAAGAUUACACUGUUACCUCCAACACUUAUUCCGUCAAAACUGACGAAUCUCUCAUAUACUUCUUCCCAACUCUAUUUACUUCCAAUAUAGAUAUCGUCUCAGCUAUCGGAUUGCUUCGUUAGGAGCCCACAGAGAAAUUUACCUCUCGUUUAACAUCGUCUUAUGAUACAACUUCAUCUCUCCAAUUAAAGUUAUAAAAAGUUCUGAAUAAGCGACGAUAAUACGAAAAAUUAUCCAAAUCCAAAAAUUAUAUCACAAAAAGGAAUCCGUGUGAACCUCCACUUGAGUAUAUCCCAACAUUUUCACCCAAAAUAAUUCAUCACGAAUAGCCUACUAGACAUUUCCAUCAACAUUUACCAAAAAAAUAAAAUUGAAAAUUGGAGUUGGGCCCAAGCUUUGUCACAAGAUAUACCGAGCCCAAGAUUACCGGGUCGGAGAGUUGGGCCCAGAAGAUUGACGGAAGCUGGUUUCCAAUGGAGGGAAGAGAUUUCUCAUUUCUGAGUUCUGACCUGUGUGUGUGUAAAAAUGGCGGUGGUGGGGAAAAGAGUGGGCCAUUAAUCACAAAUUUGGGUGGGAAAUUGGAAGAUUUUUUCGCCGCUUGCCCCAAUUCCAAUUCAAUUUUUACCCUCCUCUAUCUCUCUCACUCUCUUUCUCUCUGUGGCUGUAAAACUCUACAGUGAUAGUACUGUGGGGAAGGUGACAGACAGACCCAGUAGCAGAGGCAGAGACAGAGAUAGAAAGAAAGCAGGCAGACCCCUCCCCCCUAACAAUACAAAAUAUAUCAAAAAAUUAAAGUGCCAGAGAUAAAUCAAAAUAAACCCAAUAAAAUAAUACUCCAAAGAAAAGAGAGACAGAGACUAGAGAGGGAAAGAGAAAGAGGGGAGGAGGAGGGAGGAGGAGAGGGGACACUUUAUUUGCCUUUUUUAUGAUGCACGCAUCCAUGGCAGAACAGAGAAGGGUACACAGUACUGCUGCGACAUAACAAGUUUUCUUUUCUUUUCUUUUCUCUUUUCCCAUCAAUUUUAAAUUUUUUUGAAGAAGGGAAACAAACAACAACAGCCCAGAGAGAGAGAGAGAGAGACAGAGCUGAAAGAAAAAGAGAGAGAAGAGACAGAAUGGUCAUGAAGAAGAAGAUGGUUUGAAGAAGAACUGGGUUCCAUGGAUUGAUAAUGAAGAAGCAGAAGCAGCAGUUGAUGGCAUGCAAAGAGAAGUAGAGAAAAACUCAAAACAGAAAAGAAAAAGUUGCUUCUUGCUCUUCUCAGUUCUCAGCCCUCUUUUUCUCCCUUCCUUCCAAAUCUGAGAGAAAAACCUGUUCUUUCUUCAUCCUCUUCCGUGAAUCUUGGCUGUUUUUUACUUGGAGGAAGGAAAAAAAGAAGGGUUUUUGUUUAAUUUGGGUGUUGUUUAACUUCGAGCUCUAGGGAUGCCCUUCCAUCUGGAAGGGAAGGGGGGUUUAGAUACUGCUUCCAUUUUCUCACAGCAAGAAGCUUGGAAGCUGCAACAUCACAACAACAAGCAGGAAGUUAACAGCUUUACGGAGCCUAUUUCAGUUCUUCAUAUGAGAAGGAGUCCUAGCCCACCCACAUCGGCUUCCACUCUUUCCUCUUCCUUCAACGGCACCGCCGGCGGCACCACUCCGACGGCCGGCGGUGACAAAGCCCUUAAUAAUAAUGACAGAAAAGACGAGUGGGCUAAUGAGCUGCAGCCAAUCCCAACUGGAGGGCUGGAUAUUGUUUCAUCUGUUGGAGAAAGAUGCGGUCUUGGACUGUAUGAUUGGGAGAACAUGCUCUCUGAACCCACCCAAGAACAGUCCCUGCUGAGGUGGAUCUCUGGUGGGGAUGUCGACGACUCGUCGUUUGGACUCAAGCACCUUCUUCAGUCUAACAACAAUAACAACGGCAGUGGUAAUAAUAAUCCGCUGGAUUUUGACGGGAUUGUUGAUCAAGGACAUGGAGGGUUUGAAGGAAUUGGUGGAAUUGGAGGUAGCAUUGGUUCCAAUUUGGGGGCUUUCCCUGCUUCAGGGUUUGUGGGCAACAAUGGGAGAAUUGCUCAAGCAGCAGCUGGUUUGGUAUCUCCCAGCUCUUCUGGUUCUGGUUUGGUUAAUUUCAAAGCUAAUAAUACUUUAGUUAAUCUUCCUGCUGCUGCUUCUUUACCUUCUGCAAUGCUUUACCAUCCACAGCAACAAGUUGAUGCUUUGGAUGAGAAGCCACCGCAUAUUCUUAUGAACAUGAAUCCUCACCAACAACCAGCUCCAAACUUCUUCUUCCCUUUGCCAUUUCCACAACAAGAUCAUUAUCAUCAACAACAACCUCAACCCAAGAGGCAGAAUUCUGGUGGCAACAACAUCAUGGAACCAAACAUUCCUCCGAUGUUGCCAAAGCUCCCAUUUUCAGAUCCAGGAGAUGAUAUAUUCUUAAGGAAACAGCAGCAACAUCAACAGUUUCCUCCAGGGGUUCCGUUUCUCCUCCACCAGGGGAUUCAGCCGCCAUUAAUGGGGAAAGAUGACCCUGGAGGAGGAGGUCAACAGCAACAGCAUGCAUUGCUGGACCAGCUCUACAAGGCAGCAGAGCUGGUAGGGACUGGGAAUUUCACUCACGCGCAAGGGAUAUUGGCGCGGCUCAAUCAACAGCUCUCCCCAAUUGGGAAGCCCCUUCACAGGGCUGCUUUCUACUUCAAGGAGGCGCUUCAACUGUUACUUAUGACGAACAACAACCCGGUCACUGCUCCACCACUGCCUAGAACUCCUACUCCUUUUGAUGUCAUCUUCAAAAUGGGUGCAUACAAGGUCUUCUCUGAAGUCUCUCCACUCAUCCAGUUUGUAAACUUCACUUGCAACCAGGCCUUACUCGAGGCUCUGGAGGAUUCCGAUCGAAUCCACAUUGUCGACUUCGACAUUGGAUUUGGUGCUCAAUGGGCGUCCUUUAUGCAGGAGCUGCCUCGCAGUAGAGGUCCCCCCUCGUUAAAGAUCACAGCUUUUGCAUCUCCUUCGACCCACCACCCGAUCGAGCUUGGUCUUAUGCGCGAAAACUUGACUCAGUUCGCCAACGAGAUUGGUGUGAGUUUCGAACUCGACGUGGUCAACUUAGAUUCUCUAGACCAGAAUUGCUUCUCGCUGCCUAUAUUCCGAGCUAGCGAAAACGAGGCUGUUGCUGUGAACUUCCCUAUCUGGUCAUGUUCGCAUCAGCCAUCUGCAUUGCCUUCUUUGCUACGUCUGGUUAAGCAGCUUUCUCCAAAGAUUGUCGUGUCUUUGGAUCGUGGAUGCGAUAGGAGCGAUCUCCCCUUCCCUCAACACAUUCUCCAUGCUCUCCAGUCAUACAUUCAUCUGUUUGAAUCGUUGGAUGCUGUCAAUGUGACUAGUGAUGCUCUGAACAAGAUUGAGAGGUUUUUGCUUCAGCCUAGGAUCGAAAGCACCGUGUUGGGGCGUCUUCGUGCACCGGACAAGAUGCCUAAUUGGAAGACGAUCUUCGCCUCUGCCGGGUUUUCUCCCGUGACAUUUAGCAAUUUCACCGAGACUCAGGCCGAGUGUGUUUUGAAAAGGACUCAAGUGAGGGGAUUUCACGUUGAGAAGCGACACGCCUCCCUCGUCCUUUGCUGGCAGCGUCGAGAACUCAUAUCGGCAUCAGCUUGGAGGUGCUGAGAUCACGGGGCGCGCUUAUCCACUUAACUUGUCUACUAGAGGUUCCCAACUCAAUCUAAUGCGGGUAAUCAUGAAAAUGUCAAUAAAUUUUUGAACUAUCGUUGGUGAUACCUCCUUUUGUGACUAAAUAUGAAUUGUGUAGUUUGUCGGGGGGAGUGUCCCUAUGCUUUGUUGCAUAUGUAGUUGAGCUCCCUUGGGUAGAAAAGCUAUCUUCUAACUUGGAAAAAUUCAGUAGGGUUGUUGUUCUUCUUCAUCCUCGGAAAUGGUUAUUGCUGCUGCUAUGUUAUAUUUCUUCAUAAUUAUGCUGACAAAAUGUGCCUCUGGAGAGUUGUUGUAUAACUAAACAACAAAUUACGAGGGGAAAAGUAGACAACUUCAUUAGUUCUUCCUAUGUAUGAACAUCAAAUUGUUUCAUUUCUCUAGUAUUUGCAUUACAUACAUCAUCCCCAGGUUGCUCGAAAUCGAUAGGCUAGCUCGGAAUGAAACCCCCAGAAAUACACAGGCUAAGUUUCUAUGGUUCUGCCACAGGGCAAGAGCAAAUCUUCCUUUUGAGAUUUUGUAUGUUGGUUCUGCAGAAAUAAUAUCCUUUUUGUUGGAACAUGGCCAAUGGUACAUGCUCCAAACUAGGAAGACAAAACCAGAUACAAAUACACCUAAGCUUUGAUGUAUUUUGUCUCUCCGAUAUUAGCUUUUCCCCCUAAGGGAGUGAGUAACAUGGGGUUAUGUUGUUGAAAGUUUUGUCAAUGCUCAUUUGUCUCAUGGAAAAUAACAUUUAAACAACGUUCUUAUGUUUUUUAUUAUUUAUUAUUAUCAUAAUGCAUGCAUUUAAGCCCCGACAUGUAGCGUGUCACCCUCAAUUUUUUUGCAUUGAUUAAUUAAUUAAUUAUUGAUUUUUGGUUUAGUGUCUAUACCCGUACCUUUUAUACUGAAAAUUUUAUAUUUUUGAGAUUAAAAUUUAAAAAUUAAAUCGUAAAGUCAUUAUAGUAAACUCUAAACACUAAAGAAUGAUGCUAACAUCCUAAAUUCUAAAUCUUAACCAUAAAAUAUUGUAUCAUAAAUUCAAACUUAAAAUCAUAUUACAAACUUUAACUUUUGACAAUAAAUCAAAAUUAAUAAAUCCUAAAUCCUAUAUAUCAAAUUCUAACCCCUAACACUGUAUCUUAAUUCUNNNNNNNNNNNNNNNNNNNNNNNNNNNNNNNNNNNNNNNNNNNNNNNNNNNNNNNNNNNNNNNNNNNNNNNNNNNNNNNNNNNNNNNNNNNNNNNNNNNNNNNNNNNNNNNNNNNNNNNNNNNNNNNNNNNNNNNNNNNNNNNNNNNNNNNNNNNNNNNNNNNNNNNNNNNNNNNNNNNNNNNNNNNNNNNNNNNNNNNNNNNNNNNNNNNNNNNNNNNNNNNNNNNNNNNNNNNNNNNNNNNNNNNNNNNNNNNNNNNNNNNNNNNNNNNNNNNNNNNNNNNNNNNNNNNNNNNNNNNNNNNNNNNNNNNNNNNNNNNNNNNNNNNNNNNNNNNNNNNNNNNNNNNNNNNNNNNNNNNNNNNNNNNNNNNNNNNNNNNNNNNNNNNNNNNNNNNNNNNNNNNNNNNNNNNNNNNNNNNNNNNNNNNNNNNNNNNNNNNNNNNNNNNNNNNNNNNNNNNNNNNNNNNNNNNNNNNNNNNNNNNNNNNNNNNNNNNNNNNNNNNNNNNNNNNNNNNNNNNNNNNNNNNNNNNNNNNNNNNNNNNNNNNNNNNNNNNNNNNNNNNNNNNNNNNNNNNNNNNNNNNNNNNNNNNNNNNNNNNNNNNNNNNNNNNNNNNNNNNNNNNNNNNNNNNNNNNNNUUUUUAAUAUUCACCUAAAUGAGUGAUAUUAAAUAUCAACCCAAUAUCUUUUCAAUGGAUAUAAUUGUCCUUAUAAUAAUUUAAUAGUUACAUGCAACAGAGGGUUAAAUUGAUAAAUUUUUUUGUCAUUAUUAUUAAAAGUCAGGACCCACAUCACAUCUAAUCAUUUUUAAACACUACCACUCAAUAUCCUACACCAAAUUAAAUAAGUAUAUUCAUAUUUUUUGGAUUCAAUAUCAAUCACACCAAAUAUUAUGAAAUUUUGAAUAACUAGCUAUAUAAUAAUAUUGUUUUAAAAAUGAAUUAUUAUGGGGAACUGUUUUAAAUCAAUUUUGUGUAGUUUAAUGAAGUGAUCAAGUUGGGAUAAAAAUAAAGCAGAAAAAGGAUUAAUUAGGAGAGUAUAACUCAUGCAGAGAGAACAUGCCUCGUAUGGACAGCGACAAAGAUUAAUGACCAUAUAAAUUAUUAAUAAUAAUAAUAAUUAAUUAGCAAUGUCGGUUUCGUUGAAAACGAGCCAUCAUCUAUUUAACCAACUCUAACCACCAUAAUUAGAGUUUUAAUUUUGGCGACAUGGGACUAACAAUGAUUUCUUAAUGAAAAAUGGCUCCACGUCCACAAGCUUCCUACUGCUCCAAGUCGCAUCCACCACAGAUAGGUGUGACGGGAUUCGAGAUGUGCAUUCGGAACGAAGAAGGCAAGCUGCUAAACUUCACGCAUGUCGGUAUUGUUCCAGUCUCAGAAGGGGAAGCAAUCGCUCUAUCAUCAGCAUUGAAAUGGGCAUUAGCACUUGCCUACAAUCAGCUGCAGUUUGAAGGCGAUUCUCAAAUGGUGGAGAUGGCGUUGCAAAAUACAGAGGAGGAUACGCGCAUGCGGGAGUAUACGAAAUCACAAUAGCCACUUCUCGUUUAAGUUUGUUAGUAGAGAGCGGAGUAGGUUGCUGUUAUGAUCUUUUGGGUAGAAUUCAUUUCUAAAAGCUAGUUUGAGAGAAGAGGGUGCCCACAAGGUUAUAAACCCACCCGCUAAUCCCACAUUUAAAGAUGUGAUAUUUAACUUAAACGUAACAGUUGUUUAUAUGUUAGCUAGACAAUCCAUAUUCCCAAAAAAUCAGUCUGUAAGUUAUGUGGCUCCUAAUUGACUCACCGAUAUACUCGAUAGUUAUCCAAAAUUUGAAUAAUCCUCAUCAUAUCUCCUAUAAAUUUGAAUCCAAAAGGUGUAAGUUGCUUUCUAGCCGGAUUACUAUUAUUAUGGCAUGUACAUGGUUUAUAAUGUUCUUACUUCUUUAGUUCAAACAUCAUGUGUCGUCAAGUUAUGAUUGUUUUGAGCUCUUCAAAGUCCAAACAAAAGUUUAUAACCUAAAACAAACAUAAUAAGCCUCAUAAUCUCUUUACGGAUGAGUUGAAUUUUAUAGUUCAGGUAUUUAGAUGAGGUAUUUUGGUCGAAAUAAUUCGUUUUGUGUUAUUUGGGUCGAAAUACCUCGUUUAGCAUCAAAUAACUCAGUUUCAAAUUAUUUCAAAUACCUCAUCAAAAUAACUCGUUUCACAACCAAAACAAAAUAUGUGGCAUUUCGAGAUGUGAUAUUUGAAAUAACUCAUUUUUAGUUAUUCAAAUACCUCCCAACCACCUAGGUAUUUAAUUUAACCCCACUAUUUUGAAAAUGUAGUAUUUUCAUUACNNNNNNNNNNNNNNNNNNNUACCAAAUCUCAUAUUAAAUAACUUAAUAGCCAAACAAGAUCUCUAUAUAAAUACUCACAUUCUCAAAUAACCCACCAAUUAAUUUUAAAAAUAUUAUAUAUUCAAAAUAACUGGGUCAAACAAUUGGUUAUUAUUAUUUUUAAAAAGAAUUAUGAUAGAAAUUAUAAAUUUGGAGGUUGGAGAUGGCGGUGUGGGGAAGUGGUCCAUCACUCCAACAUCAGCCAGCUAAUGAGUAAAGUAGAGUUGCAUAGUUGCCGCCGACCCCGAAAAGACCACUAGUCAAUGGCCUCUCCCCCUAACACUUUAUAAGUUAAGAAAAUGUUUCAAAUUAUAAUUUUUUUUUAUGAAGAGCCUUUUUAACGAUAUGAUAUUUAGUGAUAUUAUCAUUAGGUAUUGAUAUGGUUGUACGUUUCGAAUUUUAAACUCAAAAUUUCCAAAAAUAAAAUCAAAAUGCUACAAUUAUUCGAUUGUAAUCAGUUUGAUGAAUAAAAAUUAUUUGUUAUUAAUCGAUUUUUUUGAGCCACGAUUUGAAGGGGGCUUGGGGGCUAUUGGUUGGUGGGUAGUGGAGUGAUGUGAAUUCCUUACAGGCCACGUAAAAUCGAUCAAAAGAAUAUAUUCCAACCCAAUUUCAAAACAAAAGUUGUAGAGACAAAACGUGUCCACAGUUUUUAGUGGCAAAAGUCUCAUUAGCCAAGUUGGGGUGUGUGAGUGUAAAGUUCUAAAAAAGAAAGAAAUAACUUGAAUUACCAAACACGCAUUUUAUCACGGAAACAACCCCAUUUAGACGAAAAGCCACCCGCCUCCAUACGCCAAAAGUCCUCUUAACUUUUCGUGAUGAGCAACCUUCUCAGGCUCUCAAAGAUAUGCUAGCUGUGGAGGAAGAAUCUAAUCAUCUAAUAAUGUUUGUACGUUGGAUGCUAUACAGACUAAAAUACAAAAGAUACAAAGAAAAAAGAAGAAGAAGAAGAAGGAAAGAUGAGCAAAUGAUGAGUGGCUUUUUGCAAAUGUAUAAAGUUGAGAGUGGAGAAAGGAAAAGAGAGGAGAGUAUGCUUUUGUCGUGAAGAAGCAUCCAUCUUAAGAGUUGUGUGGGGAUACUUUCGAGAUUAAAUAGGUUAAAUUUAAAAUGUUAUUAGGUCGAAAUAAAAAAAAAUUUAAUUUAUAAUUAAAUUUGUCACUUUUGAUAACAAAAAGGGAAGACAACAUGUUUAGAAGAAUCACCCCCCUAACUCCGUAUUUGGAGAUCUUGUACGUAGUUAAGUGUCGUCUAAAGAUAUAAAUUUCUGUUGGUCCUAGGCGUGUGUUAGUUGUUGGAGUAUUAAGUAUGGUUUGAAACAAUAUUAAUGGUUGUUGAAACUCGGUUCAUACCAGAGUCGUUAAAUAUUUAUAAUUACUUACAUAAAAAAAUUAGUCUUUAAAUAUAGAUGUGUGUUCGAAUUUUUACGACCUCAAUUUUAAUAACAAUUGAUAUAAAAGUACAAAGUAAUAAUAAAUUUGUGCAAACUUCAAACACGUUAAUUAACUUUAAGAUCGGUACAUAACAAAACAGUAUAAGAUCCGUACAUAAUGAGCAGAGAAUGACGAGAGGUGCGUAAUUGAGCCAACAAAGGAUAAAAGAGAAAUGCACGAAUGCAAAAGUGUGUGGGGAAAGUUAAGGUUGGCGUCACAAAGCUAGAAAACCUUUUGCUUGUGUCUUUUAUAGAUUCUUUGGUCACACAUUUGUACUACUAUUACCACCACCAUAUCUUCUACUUCUUCUUCUUCUUCUUCUUCUACUUCGUAUCCAACCAGGUUAAUGGUCUGAGAGUUUUUUUAUCGGAUCAAUUCGACAGAUUGUGAUUGUUGGAUCAAAUUAUUUUUUGAUCAAUUUUCAUCUAAUGGCUGAAAAUGAUGGGGUAGUUUCGAAAUUGUUUUUGGACAAAUCACAUGAGUGUGAUCAUUGUACGAGCAUGUUUAAUACGACCAUUUUACGGGCUCGUUAUGUCAUUGUUACCUCCACCUUAUUAGUAGUUGAAUUCAUCAUCGUUAUGUCCAAUUUACCACUCUUUUAUGUUGGUUAUAUAUACACUUUACGAGUCUGUUAUGCGUUUUUAUUAUGUCUUUUUAAUAGGCUCAUUAUGUCGACUUCAUAUGUAAAUUGUUAUAUCUACAUUACGUCAUUAUUAUAUUAUUGCUAUGUCAUUCUUAUAUCUAGUUUACGUGAGAAGGGUAAACAAAGAAGAAAAAAAGAAAAGUUGAAAGAUAAGUAAUAUUUUUUAAAGUCUCGUUAUACCCUUGAUAAAAUUUCAACCAUCAAAUUGAAAUUAGCAAAAAUAAUUUUAGACCAUUAAAUAAGCUAUUGGAUUGACCGAGAGAAAUGGCCGGCGAAUCAAUAACAUUUUUGCAUUACCACCACCAUAUCUUCUUCUUCUUCUUCUUCUACAACUUCUUCUUAUCUAAACCUGAUCAUCAUCAUUCAUGGGGUCCUUUUCAUACACACUCUUCCUUCCAAUUGGUAUCUUGCUUUUCUAAUUUGUCUUUGGAUGAUAUCACCUUUCAUUUUCAGACGUAGACUUGCAUAAGCUUACAAACAACGCCACUAGUACUCCUAUGCCUUUCUUAAUUUAGUCUUCUUUGCUUCUCCAAUACCACCCCCAACAAAAAAAAACACAAGCCCCACCCCUCCACCGGCGGAUUCAAAGGUCUCCUCGGUUCGUUGUCUGGUCCACUGUCUAGCCCAUUUUAAGACCAAUAACAUAGUCUAUACAAAAUCAUUUUUGAAAGAUAUAUAUAAGUAUCUUUGCAAAUUUGUCGCGCCAUCUCGACUCCAUCUCUAGGUCUUUCAUCAGCUCUUCGUCUAUGACGCUCAUACCAAUCGGUCCAGUUCAAUUGCCUUGAAAUGUCUGCCAUGGCAAGCUGGACCCAUAACGGUAGCACCAGAUGCACUUGAUAUAAGCUGCAAUUCCCCAUAAUGAUCCAUCAAAUCCACUUCAACAUCAUAGAUAUAGUACGAAAUGUCAGUACUAAUCCCCCAACGUGUUAUUUGAACAUUUGUAACAAGUCUGUCGUACAGUCAAGUUAUUUAUAUUGAUAUAAGUUGAUUAGUAUAUGUUUUAUAUACAUUUUACUGUUUAUUUUUAACCUUUUUAUAAUUCGAUUCGAUACAUUAAAUAUAUUUGUUAUCCAUCCUUAUCAACUAGCUAUCAUCUCUCUUUGUCUUAAUAACCAUGCACCACUUGGUCCUACAAGUACUUAAUAUAUGUUUUCUCCUUUUGUAAUUUCGAUGGUCCACACCAUCACUUGAUCUUAGUGGAACUUUUGAAAAUGACUCUAUCUUAGACUUGACAAUGAGGCUGACUUGGAACGGAAUAUCGAUACUCAUUUUUAUUUUCAUUCUUAAAAUUCAUCUUUAUAUUUAUCCUCAUCUUCAUUCGAAUCUCAAUAUUUAUAUAUAUUUUUAAAUUUUUAAAUUUUAAAUAUUCAAAAAUUUCAAAUAUCCAUAAAUAUCUCCAUCCCGACUAUCUUUACUUUGACAACUUAGGUGUAUUUGCUUAGGUUUGUCAAGGAGAACCUAUGCAAACUGUUGAUAUUUCAGCCCACUGGACUUCAUGAAUAGCCCAAUUAAGAGAACUGGGCUGUUGAUUUUGUCUCCCGGCCUUCAAGAUCUCGAACGACGUCGUCAUUGCCAAUGUUCACGCUUCACGGGCUGCUGAGGUCGCGCGUGCGGAAGAAGCCAGUCGUCGGUACAGUCAGAAAAGAAAAUAAUAAACAAUAAGUGGGGCCUACCAAAUUGCUUGUCAAAUUCACUGCGAGGAUUUUCCCUGCUAAUCGGCAAAUUCUUGGAGAAGGGGUUAGUCAAGCCAUCUCCAGCUUAGGUUUUCUACUUUUCUCAGCUCACUACCUCAAUAGUUUCAAUCCCAGAAGAAACAGCUCGGCUAUGGGGAUCUUGAGGAGCGGGUUCUCGUUUAUACUCGGUACGUCUUUCGGCAUCUACCUUGCUCAGAACUACAACGUCCCUAACAUACGCAAGCUCGCCAACACCGGCAUGGUUAUCGCCAAACACAUCGAGGAGUCGUAUAGGAAGCCCAAGAAGACUGACGUUGACGAUUGAUUCUGUUCUUCUAGGGUUUCACUUCUGGGUUUCUUGUUCCCGCUUUCGAUUCUGCUCAUACUGCUGGGGAGGAUAUCAAUUUUGUCUGGGUAGUUGUAUCGGGAUAGGUUUUCUGUAAGGUUUUUAUGUUUCUCCGAUUGAAUGUCGGCUUCUGUUAAUGGUGAUCUUGGUAGAUUAAUGGAAUUACACUUUACCUUUCCAUUCUUACAAUCUUUGUUCGUUUCUGCCUUGCACAUUCUAAAAAGAUCAUUGAUACUCUUGAAAGCUUUGGAUGUUGAAGCGCCUCUAUAUGCUGCAACAUUGGUCGAUAACGAGAAACUAAUGAUGAAUGCUCUGAAUUGAUAGCAGCAAUCAUUGCUUAAGUCGUGCAACUAUUGUAUUGCUGUAACGCCAUUAUGUUGCAGAAGGAACAGUUUUAUUUUAUGCAGACUGCAGUAGAGAGCAAUUGUAUCAUUCUAGCUCAGUACUUGUGUACUUCCAUUCCUCUGGAAAUCUUAACUUCAUAGCAGUUUGUUGAUUGUCAAGAACAUGCUAUUGACUUCGAGGAGUCCGGCAUCUGCAUUUGCAGUGUAAGUGUGGACAUGUUCUUGAGAUCAUGGCUUAUAUCGAUUCAACAUGAAACUGUUUUAGGUUCAGGCUCCUGGGUAAUUCCUUGUUUAUGUAUGUUACAAAUACUCUUAGCUAGAAGUAUGGUUAAACGUGUAAAUAAAGAACUCGCAUUUACAAGAAGUUGACUGUAGUUGGAGUAUUUCACAUGUUCCAUAACAGGAGAUGCAAUUCUUAUCAGCAGGUAACAAAAUCUGAAGAAGGGGCUCACUGUUUUUUCACUCAAUGGUUAGGCAGAGGUCUUUUGAACUCAACAGACAAGCAUCGGCCAUUGUUGACAGUGUAGCUAUUGCCGGAGGUUUAUCCAAUUUCUGGAACGAAUGCCAGUGAGAAAUGCUUGUAAUUUUGUCUGGAUACACAACAGACACUGCACUUCGGUCUAGAAGUUUAACUAUCUCUUCCAUCUCGCCAAGGAGGUAAACUGCUUCCCUUACACUGCCUUUCCUGUCUUCAAUUGUGCUCUUCAAACACUUGCAGAAGAUCACUGGUCGCAGGUUGGUGAGACAAGCAGCAAAUAUGUCGGCGAUCAGCAUCGAUAUUGUACCAAAUAACCUCUCCCCCGAUUCUGUGUUGUCGCGGUGGAAAUUCUCCAGAACUGUGCUGCUUAUUCUGUACAUGGAAUUAGCUGCCAAUAACUUUGGGUGCCACACUGAAGGGUUCUCCCUCAUGCAUUGUGAUGGGUACGCUUUCUUGAAGUCUUCAAAUCUCUUCUUCCCGGCUUCGGCAAGCCCUUCAAGUACUUCUCUUGUGGUUUCUGCUCUCAGGGACAACUUAGCAAGAUCUACAUCUAACCAUUUAUGGUAAAUGUCGACCCCGGACCAUACAUGGUUAGCUGCUCUUCUAAUAUUUAUUAGCUCUUCUUUUCCAUCCUCGUGUUUUUCUAUAAGGGUGACGUACAUGAGUCCCUCAUGUACACUCCGUAUCAAUUGUUUGACAGAACAGCUGCUGAUAUUCGGAAGUGCAACUGCAAUUGCUGUCAAAGUAACUAUAGGAAGUGACCAACAAUGUGGAGGUUCUUCACCUUCCAAGCUGCAAAUUUUCUCACAGUCAAAUGCUCUUACUCCGUCAAAACCUUCUGCAAAGUUUGCUUUUCUCAAUAGCUCUAUCAGAAGUUUAGGCUGUCUCCUUCUGCCCUUUUGCAUCCAGUGAUCUGUGGCAGUACAAUUCUUCCUCAUAGUCACUUCCACAAGGUUUUCCUCGCCUUCAAGAUGCAAAACAAAGCGACUUAGAUCGAUUUUUUUUGUUACUUCCAGUCCCGGAUCAACGGAAAUGCUAUUACUUGGUAACGACUUCCUUAACUUUUUGCAGGAAACGCAGACCUGCUCGACUCGGGCUGCACAGAAGAUGCAUAUGUAUUGAAUAGCUUUGCAUCCUAUUAUGAUUCCCAUUUGUGCUCGGAUACAUGUUUCCAGAAGUCUGUGCUUCAUGUCAUGUGCAAGUUUCCUAAGAUGCUGGCUUUUGAUGUGUAUGAAUGGACACUCUUUGGUCUCCACUAGAAACUGAAUCCAAUACUUCUCCACCUUGAAGUAUGUCCCUCUACUGGUUUUCUUCCCAGUUCUAGGACACCUGAAAUACACUGAAGUGAACCACCUGACUGCAGGGGCAACAGAACCAACCCCAACUGCAACUGUCUGCGCAAUGAGAACCAAAACAGUUGACCACCUGUAGUCAGACUCCCCUGUACAGAACUUGAAGGUUCCUGGCAUAAGAAAUGAUCGGAACAUCGCCUCUGCUAGAAUUGUAGCCCCAAGGAGACACAGUGCACCUGAAGCUGUACAAGUAACCGAACGCCCCAUCACGAAUUGAGGAUUGCUGGUAUGUGCCAUUAUCCAGAACUUCAUUAGGUCUUCCUUAAGCUCCUCCGGGGAUCUCUUGUUCAUAUCUUUUGACCCUUCGUGCAGCGCCAUCUCACAUCUCUUCUUGUACUUGUACUCCAACUCGCUCUUAGUUGCUGGGACAGCUAAAGCAGAGAAACCGAGAAUCGCAAGCAUCACGAGCAUAAGAGACAUGAUAGCAGCGUGCUCCCUCCAGCAGAUGUAGAUAACUCCUGUGCCUAAUUGGAUGGCCAUGUUGACGAAAACAGUGACGACCAGUAUCGCAAAGGCUAUAAUGUUCAUCAUGAUCUCCUUGUUCUUCNNNNNNNNNNNNNNNNNNNNNNNNNNNNNNNNNNNNNNNNNNNNNNNNNNNNNNNNNNNNNNNNNNNNNNNNNNNNNNNNNNNNNNNNNNNNNNNNNNNNNNNNNNNNNNNNNNNNNNNNNNNNNNNNNNNNNNNNNNNNNNNNNNNNNNNNNNNNNNNNNNNNNNNNNNNNNNNNNNNNNNNNNNNNNNNNNNNNNNNNNNNNNNNNNNNNNNNNNNNNNNNNNNNNNNNNNNNNNNNNNNNNNNNNNNNNNNNNNNNNNNNNNNNNNNNNNNNNNNNNNNNNNNNNNNNNNNNNNNNNNNNNNNNNNNNNNNNNNNNNNNNNNNNNNNNNNNNNNNNNNNNNNNNNNNNNNNNNNNNNNNNNNNNNNNNNNNNNNNNNNNNNNNNNNNNNNNNNNNNNNNNNNNNNNNNNNNNNNNNNNNNNNNNNNNNNNNNNNNNNNNNNNNNNNNNNNNNNNNNNNNNNNNNNNNNNNNNAGCAGAGUGGUAGAUACAACAACUGGAAGAGGUGAUUUUCUUGUCGCGCCAGCCGUGAACGAGAUCUGCAGCCAUGGCUAUUGCACAGGCUAGAGAAGCUGCUGCUACGUAGAGCCCAAUCCAUGGUAGAGGCUGAGUGUACUUUGCCUCGUUCAGGUUCCCGUCAGCGCUGCAACCCACCAUUUGAAUCCAAGGUAAGUCGCUACUGGGUCUUGAGUUUCUGAAGCCUAAAUUAGGAAAGGUGGAAAAUUUUUGUGUCUGAAGGGUUCUUCGAAUUUUCUUAAGGUCGAUGGUCAAGUGUAGAUGUAGAGGAACGAGCGAAGGAAAGUUGAGGGGGUUAAAAAAGUCAAAGCAGAGGAGCCCAGGUGAUUCCGCUGUCUAGGAUAUUGACAGUAGUGGUUGAUAAUCUUACAAUUAUGUUGAACAUAAUUCUUUAGUGGUUGCCUAAUGAAGUAAUGAUUUGUAAUUAUAUGAAGACUCAGGAAUGAUAAUGACGUAGUAGGUGAUUUCUGCUGAAAUGUCUUCUUUCUUUCUUCUCAUUCAAAGCAAGCCAUUAAAGUUUGACUAUUGACUUGUAACAGGUGAAUGAAUGACUGAGAUUCGGCAUCCUCAGCCAAAUCAACCGACGUGAAGGUAUCCUGUAAGAUUGAGUUGAGUUUUUGCUGUAAGUAGUGGUGGAUGGUCAUGAUUUUGAAUUGAUCAUUGUUGCAUGAGUUUCUCAAGUCUUGAAGUGAAGCUAGCGUGAUGUAUAUCGUAUUUGUUACAUGUCGUUUGCUAUCGUAUCGUAUGAGCUUUUCUAGAUAGAGAGAUUAAUCAGUGAAGCUUCAGCAAGUGAUGUUCGUACUGGGACUAACUGGGAGCGAAGUGAAGAACAGAACGGAGGCAAAGAAGCUGAGCAGAUGCAUGGUUAGACGACGCUCUUUUAUUCACAGCAAAGCGACCGGUGAAUACGUAUAUAUUUAAAACUACGUAAAGCAAGAUAUACUUUUCAUUAAGGGUUUAAAUUCAUUUAAUUAAUUUUCAACUCAAUUAUAUUAAAUUAAAUUAAAUAUUAAUUAAAAAAAUUCAUUUGAAGCAAUAAAGUAUGGGUUUUUAGAAAUAUAUUACUAUCAAGUUAGCUCGAAGCAAGUUUAUAAUGAACUUGUAAUCAUCAGCUAUUUUGUCAUCUUCACGUCUUUAAGUUGAUGAAGCCAACUCCGAUGCUCAUUAAACCCUCCUUCCUCUACUGUCCUCAAUAAAAGUUUUAUUGGAUAGUCUGAAGUCCAAUACAUGAAUACUUGAUUUUAAUAAAAGGUUUUAAUGAAUAUUCUCAGCAUCAUCAUCUUCUCUAUAGUUCAUAUCAACUAUGGUGAAUAUAAGAAAUUGGCCAAUUCGAAAAUCUUUAAAAUUAAAUAUAACACCAUUAGUCCAUUAUCUUACAAUCUUAGAAAGAAUAUUUUUUUAAUUUUAUGUGUCUAUUAUUUGGAAAGGUUAAGAUAGUGAAACUUGAAUUUUUAAUUAUUUUUAAUAUGCAUGUCAAAUGUUAGUCAAUUUGAAUUUUUUUAAUUUUCAUGUGAAAAUUAUCAAUUUCCGUGUAUUAUAACCCAUGAAAAUUGACAAUUUUGACAUAAAAAUUAAACUUUUUCAAAUCGGUUAACAUUUGACCUACAUGUAGAAAAUGACUAAAAAUCCAAAUUUCACUAUGGUGAUCCUGUAAAUAAUGACUAAAUAAAGUUAAAAAUUAAAUUUUUGGUGUUAUGUUAGUGUUGAAAACUCAAUCUGACUUAGCCCGACUCGAGCCGGUCAAACCGGACUUCGGAUACCCAAAAUCCCAUAUUAAAUGGGAUCUAACUAAAAAAUGAAUAAACCGCUAUAAAAAACGAACAAAAAAUAUAAAAAAAACAAAUAAAAAACGAAUAAAAAACAAACACUAUAAAUCAACUAACGAAUAAGCGGCUAGUAAACACUGAAGCACCAGACAAGGCUCUUUAAUUUAGAGGUCGUCACACAUUUCAGGAUCCGACAUGCCUUCUCUGGCUGUCACAUGAAUCAUCUUUACUGGAAUUUGUGGUUGUCUGGGAUACGUAUUGACGUGAACCGAUCGACGACGGUUUUGCUGAGAAAUUGGUGAGAUUGGAUGCAUGCAAUCUAAAGUCUAAACGUCGCGUGUGGUAGUUCGUAGUAUAGCUACGUACGUAAUGAUAUUGAUGGCCUACUAAUCCAUUUGAUGUCUGGUUGGAUUCAGGUAUAGAGAUAGAGUAGUGGUUGAACCGUUGAUGAUCCAUGCCUUGGACUCCAGCAAUAUAAUACAAAACACUAACUACCAAUCAAAUGCUCUGCUUCUGUUGCUGUCGGCAUAGAACACAAAUUGGUAUAGGAAGUUGAAGGUGAUAGAAUGCCACAAAUAUUUGUUCAUCCAUAUUCCCCUGUUCUCCUCUGAUCACCAACGUGCUUCCCUCCACGUAUACCUUCACUUCCUCCUUGCCAAGACCAGGCACCUCCAUCCAUAUGUACAUGUUCUUCUCAUCCUCCUACGUCUUCAACCCCCGCCGCCAACCUCCUCCGCUCCCUUCCAAGCUGUUCAUCAUCUCCAGCAUCUGGCCUUUGUACUCGCUGGUGAAAAUGGGUCGAUUGCCAAAUCUGCAUCCAUCCCCUGCAUAUAGUAAAACUCCGAACCAAAAUCAAUAACAAACUAAACUGUGUAUAUGUUUUGUUACCUCCAAAGAAACUAGGAACCCAAGGCGAAGAGCUCCGUCGGUCAUCAGAGGAACCAAUGUUGGAGAGGCUCCGGUCUUCGGAGUUCUUGUCGAGUUGGAUUGUGUCAGUUUCAUCUCCGGCGUACCCAGGGGUGUUUGUGUUAAAUGAGCGGCAGACAUCCAGCCCCGCCAACAUAUAAGAGAUAUAUUAAAAAUAUAUUUUAAGAAAUUGAUUAAAAAAAUAAUUAAACAUUUUAAUAAUUUUUAAUUUACAUUUAAAUCUAAAUUAUAAAUUUCUCACCAAACUUUUUAAACGAACUACUAAGUUGAAAUAGCGGAUAAAACUCCAAACGUACUAAUACUAUUAUAUUUUGAUACAAAGUCCAUGUCUGAUGAACUCCAUUUAUUUACUAAUACAAAUUGAAACUUACUGAACUCCCAUCUCCAGGGAAAGCCUUUCAGCCCGGAGUUUGAUUUCUGCAUUCUCUGCCACCACCGGCCGCCACUACUCAACCUGAACCUCCUUGACAUCUUUCUUACCAGUCUCCUCCUCGCCACCGACCUUCGGCACCACAACCCUCAACACACCAUUCUUCAUCUCCGCCUUAAUCUCCUCAACUUUAUAAUCACUCGUCUGCAACUCCACUCUGCUACUGUAAUACCUCCUCCCAUCAUUACUCUGCCUCUCUUCAUCCAUUUUUCCCUGUUCUCCUCUCAUCACCAGCAUGUUACCCUCCACAUACACCUUCACUUCAUCCUUGCCAAGACCCGGCAUCUCCAUGAUUACAUACAUAUUCUUCUCAUCCUCCUUCAUCUUCAACCCCCUCCUCCUUUCCAAGUUGUUCAUCAUCUCCACCAUCUGGCUUAUCGUCCUCGUCGGUGAAAAUGGGUCGAUUACCAAAUCUGCAGCCGCGAUUCCAAAAAUCAGGGCCAAAAGCAAUAAAAAUUAAACUAAACAUAGUAUCUAUAUGUGUAGAUGUUUAUCACCUCCAAAGAAGCUAGGAACCCAAGAGCUCCGUCGGCUGGCGAGCUCGUUAUCAGAGGAGCGACUGUCCGGAAUGCUCCGGUCGUAGUUGUUGUUGAGUUGGAUUGUGUCCGUUUCAUCUCCGGCGUACCCAGGGGUGUUGGUGUUUAAUGAGCGGCAGACAUCCAGCCCCGCCAAGGCUGACCGGCGGGCUACCUUGAACAAGAACCGGGCAGGAAAAGGAAAACCAGUAGAUCUAAGAGCUAUGGCCGACGACAUGUCUGUAGUAUUGUGGGGGGAGAAAUCAGAAACGUGGUGGGUUUCCUUAAGAAAGGGUGCUAAAAUGACACGACUGCAAAAGAGAAUGUUCUAGUGAAGCGGUGCGAAACUGUAGGAGAAUGUUCCAGGCCUGGUUUACCCGCCAGGAGGUGUAACUCUUUUGGAAACCGCCAUUUUCUAACUGAUUUUUUCUUAACUAUGGAUUUGAUAGUUGUAGGAGGUUUAAUUUGAGAUUUUGUUGGCCAUGUUCUUUUAAUAUUUAUUUUAAUAUUUAUUCGGAAGGAGUUAAGUGUUGUUGUGACUGAUUUUAAUAUAGUUUGGGAGAAAGAAUAUUAGAGAGUAGAUUGACUAGACAUUUUUUGCGCAUUGCAAUUGAUAUGUUAGACGAUCGUAGAGAUUCACCAACAUUCUACUAUAUUGAAUCAGAUUCGUGAGUUAAUGAGGAGGGCGUGGAAAAUCGAAUUUAUUCAUACUUAUUGUGUUCACAAUCACACAACUGAUUAUCUUACCUGUUUUGGGUACAAGAUGUCUUUUGCUGCACAUUCGUUAUUUAUUUCUGAUUCAAUUUUUAACCUAUUGAUGUCGCUAUGAUAUAUUUGGUGUGAAGAAAAAUAGGCCGGAUCACAACACACAAAAUUACCAACUUGUAGAUCUUUUUAAAGCAUUUUAGUCGAGUCUAAUAGAAUCAUCGGGAAAAAAUCAGGCUUUUUAAAAUCACAUAAGAAAUGCACGUCAAUGGAAAGCACUACAAGAGCAAACACAGACCUCCUGACCUAAAACAAAACAAGAUGCUUUUGCUGCUAACACAGAGUGAACUACCAAAUUAACCAAAGCUCUGUCCACUGGAGUUUUCCCAAUCCUUUUACUCAUCAUUCUUUGAAUGAUGCACCAAAAUGAAGGGAUGGAUGUUCAAAUGCAUGAUCUCGAUGAAUCAUUUACGCAUGUUCGGAGCUGCUUUACGUCUUCUUCAAGAGGUAUCCCAUCAAUAUGCCCAGUAAUCCCACAAUGAUCACGAACAUCAGCGACACCCCUCCGCUGCUUUUGCUCCCCUCCCGCCUCAACAUUUCCUGCAAUUUCCACCAGUACAUAUGACAUCCUCUUAGCAUCAGCCUUAACCAUCUUGAUUCGUUGCAAUAUCAAGCACAAAUUGUUGGAGCGGUGCAAUGAAUAUAGUACACAAAUUGAAUAUGUGGUGGUACUAGAGCGUGUAUGUAGUAUGUACGCUGCCAACCUUUUUAAAAUCCUUACCAGCAUGCAAGCCAUCUCAUGACGGCAUUUAACAAUUACUACAGUACAAUGACAGUCAUGUGAAAUAAUAGCUUCCCGACAAGGCACGAGGUAUCAGUUAAUGCGGGAAGAGAUAAGUAACCGUGAAAUCUACGCAGACUGCAUACUUAAUGGCCAAGUAUUUUGAUACUUAAAAAACCAACUGAACAUUAUGGAAUUUAGACAGAUAUAGACCAAGCAACAUAGGAAUAGAUGAUGAUUGACUUACUAAUUCCUGACGAAGCUUGUUAUUUAGCUGAACGGCGCUGUUCUUUUCUUCAGUUAGCUUUGUAAUGAGAGCUUUAGCCUGCCAUUAUAAGUAGUAGCACGUAUGAAUAAUCAGCAACUAAGCAAGACUAGCGCCACCAUAAAACCAUGAUCUGGAAGCACAUUGGUUAAAUAGGAAUGCAGAAGAUGUAAUAUGAAUAAUCAGCAACUAAGCAGCAUAUUAAAAGAAGAAGAAGAAGAACUGUUGUACGAAGUGACUGCUGGAGUCAUAGUGCAGCAGCAGUAGGAUUCGACAGGACUGGUGUUGUAGAACUGGCGUGAAAUAUUGGAUUUCAAUACAGCGAAGGUAAUAAAAAUAAUAGUCACAUCUUUACUCGACUCAGAAAGUUGACAACAUUCAUUAUGACAGAAUGUCAUAGAUUCACUACUCACGGGGACAAAACCGUAGCAUGAUGCAAAAGAAACAUCAUCCUGGGUAUGUGGAACGUAUACUCAGCAGUUACAGUAAAAUUUGGAUCUGGAAGGGCAAGCACAAGCAUACUAGUUGACCAGUAACCUAUAUCUGGAGUACUUUCAUUUCGUUAACCACUUAAUACACGUAUCUGGAGUGUUAUAACAUCUUAAGCACCGUAACUAAUAGCAUAUGGAGAAUAUGAAUUUCAAAUAUCUACACAAACCAAAUGAGUAACAGGCUGUGAGAGGUUAGACCCAAAUCACUCUAUCUACACAAGAGGCAGAUAACCAUUAUGAACGCUAUACCAUAAUUUAUGCAGAAUUAGCCACUGCUGAUAAAAACAUAAUUGAAUUUUUACCUCUGGGGACUUAUCAUCUGUAUCAAACCGUUGGACAAAUGCUUUUGAGGCCUGCAAUAACCAAUUGUAAGGCACAGCUUCCCAACAACAAUGAGAUGAUACCUAAACGAAAACCUCCUAACAGAAAGACUUUAAAUACUCACAACAGCAAACUCGGCACCGUUCACAUGCCCAUUAUCUGAGACAGAACCGCGAGGUGAAGACCCCUCCUCCGAACCUUCAGGAACAGGCGAAGGUGGUUGAGGUGGGGAAACAUACACAACCCUCAACUUAGUUUCCUCCACCAGAUGUCCCGCCUCCUUAUUGAACUACAGAACAGAAUCAUCGUGAGCUCAUACGAACUAUACCUUCCCCACAAACACAGAAAAGUUUGAAGCAAACAUAAAUUGUACCAUCUCCGCAGUGAUAUCCUUUGCAGAUGAACCUUCAGGAGCUUUUACGCUCUGAAGCAGAAACUUAUCCUUGCAUUGCAUAUCAGCAGGAGCUUCCUUUUGUGCUUGCAUUGUUACUGAAACCCAAAGCACCAAACGCAAAAUAGCCAAUGAACAACCACGACAUAGCAACCAAAUCAACCAUCAAUAACACUCAGAAGAGAGAUAGAUCAUUCAAAAUACCCAUUAUGUCACAUGUUGAACGAGGCAAAACAACCCCUGCGUUUGGCCGAACGCAGUACUUCUUCGGAUUCGUCGUUUUGACCUUAAACAGGACAUAACUUAUCAAAUGGACAGAUUAGAGAUACAAACAACAGAAACAGGAACAAAGGAUGAUCACAUAUUCACACAUCUACAUUCCGCAUAUGAAAUUCUAACCACAAUUUGUCCUCUAAACUAUAAGAUGUUUCAGCUGCUUUGAAAUUAUACCCGAAUUGCGCCAAAGGAGAAAUGCAGCCAUAAGAAAAAACAAGCAAAGAAAUAAAACGGAUAAGAAUUAAACAAAAACAUAGCUUUGGAGGAAGCAGCCAAAGAGGAGACUACCCACAUCACGAAAACGACAAUAAAACGAUCCACCGGAAACAAAAAUCAGGUCUGAGCUAGGGAAAAAAAAAGAUGAACAGAGGAAGAAGAGAAAUCAAUCACCUUGAAAGCCACAUGACUAUCGGUUUGAUUGGACAGCUGGAGGGAACAUGAGAUCUGCUUCUUCAAUUCAACUAACAUAUACCAAACAGAAAAAACACAAACUUAGAAGCAGAAAAAACAGAGAACCAGACGCUAGGUUAGCUAAUAAGGAGAACGAAGAGAGGAACUGACAUGGGAAUUUGAGUUCAAGAGGUUCGAUAGUGAGGAGCUCCCCCGUGCUCAUUUCGUUGAUGGAGGAAUUCGGAGGGAAAUGGAAAACCAGAAGAAGGAGGGGGAAGACAGAGAUGAAGAUCCGGAAAUAUAUGGGGGUUGAAGGAGGAAUCUUUUUUGGAAAAAAGUGUGUUUUUUGCGGAGAGAUCGAGAGAGAGAAAAGCAGAGGAAAUGAUUUUGAAGGAGAAAAAGGAGAGGUGGGUGGGGGGUUUGUAAUUUGUUCGUUGGUUUAGGGUAUUUUUCUUAUUUCUCUUUUUAUCUGCCAAAACAUAAACGGCAACCCCCAAUUCAAUGGCUUUUGGUGUGAUUCAAUUCGAGUUGGGAGAUAAGUCAACUGAGCCGAGGAGCAUCGAGUUUGGCUUGAUACACUCAGUUCAUUGGGUGAUGGUCGGAUAACGAGAGUUGAUUUACUCUUAAUGAUAAUAGAUCAUUCUGUGGGUUGUAGUGAUUGAGGGUAUUAUUUGGAUUGAUAAAAAAAAAUUUGUAAAAGCUUUUUACGGUUAAUUUGGAAAGUUGUUCCAUAGUCUCUUUAUUCUGUUUUCGUAAAGAGCAUGGUGUCUUCAAAUAAUGAGGUUGGUAAGAGCCUUUGGUCCUAUGGGUAUGGAAGGAAAGUAGUCUAAGGGGUAAAAUUCAAAAUAGGUAGGUAUUUCUUUAUUUUCAUUGGGCGAGAGAUUUUAUCCAUUUAUUUGUUUGUUCCUCUCAGCAAAUUACCUAUUUUUGUUGUCAUUGAGAAGUUGGGGACAAAAUAGUGUUACUGUCUGCGCCGAAAAAGAUUCAUUCAUAACUCCAUGGUGGGCGAGCAAAGUGUGGUGAACCAAUUUCCGUAGUUGGGCACGUCACUUCGGCAUGAGAUGAGAUGUGGGCAUUUGUAGACGGUUUACAGCUUGUUUGAUCUUUUGACAUUCGACAUAUUAGAGUCUAAUCUAAUUUAAUGGUGGCAAUUACUAUCCUUGCCAAACACUCUUCCCUGAACCAUUAUCACGUUGUUUUUGUUCUAUAAUUUAAGAAGUUCGAUAAUGGUUGGAGUGCCCGUUGGAAAAAGACACUUAUUUUUACAUAAUCACCACAUUGUGGAUACCAUAUCUCUUUCAAACCCUCUUUCUUCCCCUUCCCUCCCUAUUAAGCAACCCAUAUGAUUGCACUAAUUUAAUUAAGUACCAUAGGCCAACAAAUUAUCAGAAACUUUAGAGUACAAAAGUAACCCACAAUCGUAUCAAAUAGGGAUUCAUUGACAAAAGUUAGAAACAAGUGAUCUUUUUUGUGUAAUUGAAAUAUGACAAUUUAGUUGACAAAACAAUUUGAAGCUAAUUUUAUUUAUUUAAUUUCGUCGCAUCCAUGAUAAAUUCAAAAAAAAUGUAAUUGAGAAAACUCUAAUAAAUUAAAAGUAGAAGAGAGGGAAAUAAGAUUGGUUUCAACAACGGAUAUUACUAAAUUUAGUUUGCAGUCAUACUAACCAUCGAAUUAAAUUUUGUGCGACUGCAAAUUAAAAUCUAGUGUAUUUGGUGAAUUUAACUCGUAAAAGGUGACCGGAAUUCCCCAUUAGAGGCUGAUAGCUUGUAUAUGUUGUGAUAGACCCUUCAUUACCUUCUUGGCAUCCUCCAUAGCUCUUUCCAAUGCUUCAAAUUUCUAGACACAGAAAAAAAACAGACACCAUACAUCAGGAAAAGGUUCAAUGUUUCUGGGCACUAAUUAUGAUUAUUAUAAUUACAACAAUGUAUGGCUAAGUAAAAUUGUCACUCACGGUGUUGGCUUCCUUGAGUGCAGCUUCCAACGUCUGGAUCUUUUCAACCUUCUCUCUGAUUUCUUCUUGCCUUCUUCUGUCUAUCUGCCUACUUCCAGGUGUUGCCUUGGGGAAAAAAAGCCAGUAAGAACAUAUGUAUAAUGCUUGUGAAGAAGCUCAAAUAGAAAGAACAAAUUGUUGACACUUACUAAGGCCUCUUCUGAAGCCAAACUGGCAUUUUCUGCAUCAAUCUCUGCUUGUUCUGCCACAUAUAGUGUCUGUUUGGAAAGGAACAGUGUUAAGUGUCUGAAUUCUUAGAGUAGGUAGGAAACCAAAGAAAGAUCAGUAAGUGGAAAACCUGAAGCAAGUCUUGGAUUUCAGGGUUGUUCCAGGGUCCUUUAUCACUGAAUAAGCAUCCACCAUAGCUCGAACAGCUGCAGCUUCCUCCCAGAAAACUUGGCAAGUUACUGUCUCCAAAAAGCCCCACCAAUAUCCUUUAAUAUCUGUUCCUUAGAGCCCUUUUAUUUUUUGUUACUUAAAUGGUUGAAAAGGUCGCUUCAGAGUUCAUAAAUUACCUUGGAUCAACAGCUUCAAGGAGCUCACUUCUGUAGCUCUCUCCCAGCACCUGCAGAUCAUUUUUUUGUUCAAAAAUACAUCACACAACCUUUAGUGAAAAUAAUUAGUAUCAACAGAUGAAUCAUUGUAAUUUCGUACAACUUCAUUGCAUUACUACUCACAUGAAUCUUCUUCAAGGUACGGACAUCAAGAAAUGGCUUGAGUACUUUCCACAGCAUUCUAAACCCAGAUCCAGCAUUCACUAUGUACAGCCGAUGUAACGUCUGUUUCAACAACCAUUUCCCAAAGCCAUUAGUUUACAAAGAUUGUAACUUUUUACUUAAUCAUGACAGAAAAGUUGCAUGAAAGCAAUUCACCUCUGGAUAGUAAUUGCUGUCAAUCUUCUGGAUCUCCAUGAACAGAUACCUAGCAGGCUUGGAGAAGCUUGAUAUUCCCUAAAACACACAUAAACAAUUUCAUGGUUUCCCAUUUGAUACAUUGAAAAACAGAGUUCUUGUAACUAGUUACUUAGCUUAUUACCACUCCCUUGACAUCCAAAAUGCUGGUUGUUGAAGCUAUAUGAGUCUUGGCGACGAUUGAACAAGCAGGGUACCUUAAAUUCAUAGUCUUUUCUUGUUCAGAUAUAUGGUGCUUCACAAGUCUGUCUAACGUUGUUACUUCCAGCAACCCAUUGGUGUCCACCAUUCCUAGCCUUUCAAUGUACACUGGUCUCCCAACUCUGUCUACUCCAUGGUACCCGUUAGGAUAGCAUUUCUUCACCUCUCCAAUCUCCUCCAACUUAAACUCCUACAAUGAAACAUUUCGAUAUUUGAUGAAAUUAUAUAGAAUCGGACAUUGUUAUAUGUCUAUCCAGCGACAUAUUUUCUCAAUCUUUGAUGAUAUAUAAUAAGUGUUGCCACACAAAAAAUAAACCGAAUAGGCCCACUAGGAGCUAGGCCCAAGCAAAUAUGCGGUCCAUAAAGUGAACCGCCCAGGAAGGGUUGACUAGCCGCUUUUGGGUUUCUACUUGCUACCAUUCACAUACGGAUAAAAUCUAAAGUGAUCCAGAUCAAAACCCACUUCAAGACGAUUGUCAAAACCCUAAAGUACCCGUGCCAUCAUAUUCUCACUUACCGCUUCAAGUCAAGGGUCCCCUGAUUACACUAAUCCCUCCAAUGAAGCCACACUGCCUACUAACAACAUUAUAAUUAGUAUACUGCUCUGCCACACUUGCAGAAGCAAUCAAUUCCAAUUCCAAAGCGAAACAUUCUUCUCAAUAUGUUUCUCUCCCCUAAAUCUCCAACAUACCUUUUUUUCUUACACCAUCCUUAGAACUCACUACCACGUAUCAUAUAUGUUAUUACAAGGAAUUCAACACAAAAUACUAAAACCAUACGAAGACGAUUCGUUCCAAACCCGACGACCAAAAAACCCAAUACUUUUAUUAUCCACUCUAGAGACUCAUGUGGAAAAAAAUAAUCUUUGAUCUCUAUUUUUAAUUCCCAACCAUCUAGAAGAAGAAAAUUGUAUACCUUUGCAAUGGCAUCAACUCUGUAGUCCUCCCGCCACUUGAGAUAAUUCACAAACAUGUCCUUAGCCUUUGGAAUAUCAAAAUCUCUCAUCCGAAGAAACCUAAAAAGUAAUAAACGACAAAAGAUAUGUACUUGAUUUUGUUGUUCGAUUGAGCAUUGAAUUAUAAAUGUUACCGCAAGAGGGUGUGAUAGUCAUUCCGUUUGCCAAGGAAAUGACCGUCAAGGAACAGAACUUCACGGAAAGAGUUGACGACGUCUUCAUCUUUAGGGUCGUGAGCUCCUUCGAGUGCCAUGUUCAAGCUUCUGCUCCUCCCAAUCCUCUUGAUCAACGACACCAUGCUCGAAACGGUGGCUGCGGGGGCCGAAGAUGAGUGUUUCUCUGCUUUCAUUGGACGGAGAAGCCAAUAAGACUCGAUCGGUGGAUGGAUGAUCUUCUUGGUCUUAUUAGCCUUUCCUCCUUUGGAUACAAUACCACUGCCUCCUCUUGAUAUUAUGAUGUCUCUGGGUUGCUGGUUCUGUCUGAACAUGUUCCUAUUUUAGUCCCAAACUUUGAUCUUUCUUUAUAAAGUGGGAAGAUCGAGUACGCAUCAACAUAUAUGAGAGAAAUUUCCAGUGACUUGGAAUGAACCCAAUUGGGAGACUUUCAAUUGUUUUUUGUUUGGGAAUGAAAGAGGUGGUGGGAGAGGAAUCCUAAAGGCUUGCUGGUUUUUCCUUGGAAUAUUUUGCAGACAAGGAACCUCUGUUAUAAAAGUACAAGGAAGUUAUAAAAGUAUUUGUGUGAGGUAUUUUAACUUCAAUAUUUCGGUUGAUAUUUAUUAUGUAAGUUAUUUAGUUUAAAAUAGUUCAUUUGACAUUUUAAAAAAUGGUGGUAUUUUAAAUAAUUAACUUAAAUGAGUUAUUUAAAUUAUGUUUAUUUAUAUGAGUUAUUUGAAAUCACACGAUAUUUUGAUUUAUUUGACAUUUUCGUUUACUUAACAUCAUAUUGAAUUUAUUUAUUAGCCAAAUAAGAUAAUGUUCGCAUUAAAAAUUUUACAUUUUAUAAAUACCACAUUCUUAAAUAACGCAUAAUUACUUCAAAAUGCUUCAUACGCAAAAUAUCUCAUUCAAACUUUCCAUUAGCUUAUUUAUUUAUUAUAUAAACAAAUUAGGAUAUAGACUCAACCGCUAUGUCCGUGUUGGACGGGAAUUUUGAAGGAGUUGAAUGAAAAUUACAACUGAAAAAACGGCUAGUUAACUAAUCAUAGUGUAUAGGAUACAUGAUCGUUUGGAUGAGUUAUUUUCGAGCAAAAUGAUGUAUUAUAUAGACAUGUGGUAUUUUUAAAGACAAAACAUUUGAAGUGUAAGAAUUACUUUAUUUGACUAACACAAAAUAAUAAGUGAUAUACUUUGAAUUGCCACCCAUAACCAAGUAUUUAAAAUAAAAUACCAUAGUAUUUGUUUCAAAAUUCAGUUCGAGAAUGAGUAAUAGUAGUUCCGUAUAAUAGUAUAAUACAUAAAAACACACUCUUUUCCCUCAACGUAGGGUUUGCUCCCUCUCCUAAAUAAUACGAGCCUCCCCUCAUCGUAGAGUUUUUUCACCAACACCAUCAUCAUCGAUCAUCAUCAUCUCCAUCACACAAAGCCCCCUCUUUACCGCCAUCAUCAACCGUCGUCCCUCACCAAUCAUCACCGCCACCGAGAUUCCACACCCUCACCGCCACUAUCAACCACCGUCUCUCACUAAUCAUCACCCACCGCCGAGACUACACACCUACAUCCACAAUAAUCCCCACCAUGCCGCCAAACACAAUACCAACAACUCGACCCGAGCAAGGCCGACAUCGAAAUUAUACGCAGGAUUCCGACGCCAACAAGGAGCGAUCCAGAUCAACAAAAUGGUUCCAACAACACACAAAUCAACCAGGCGUUUGAUCGCCCAUCGGCAUAAAGCAACAUCGGAGUUGCGGAGUAGCCUCUCGCUCUGGCAACAUCUCCACCCACAGAGGAUUGGCAGACUUUUUUGAUUUUUUUUUCAAUUUGCUAUUUCGGUUUGAUUUGGAUUUUUGGUUUUUCUGUUUUGUUUUGUUUUGUUUUUUUCGUGUGUCAAGGUUUGCGGAGUUGACAGUAAGGUUUUUUCCAUCCAAUAUCUAAAUUAGUUUCAAUUUUAAUUUUAUUUUUGGAGUUUAAUAUUUUUUAAUUUUUUAAUUUAAUAUUAAAGAUGUGGCGCAUAUAUCAUUACAACUUCCAAUCUUAUAAGUGUGUUUGUUGAGGAUGUUAAUAAAAGUGCUCUAUGCUAGUUCAUAAAACAAAUAGUAUAAUACAUGGCAAAUUGAUUUCAUUUCAAUUUCCUUUAUCAUUUGGACUGACGGGACUAACUUUCUCGGGAUGGGCCAUCUUUCGAAACGCACGAGGGUCCAUAGAAAUGGGUCGUAGUUGGUCCAGUGAGCCCAGUCGUGAACACGAUAAUGUAGUGUUGUCUGAAAACACAGGAUAGAAACAAUCCUGAUCGACGUUUAGCACACAGCACGCUUUCGAAGACCGAUCAAUUAAAGGUUGAAAGUCCCGACUGAGAAGCAAGUGGACGGAGUCUUUGAUAAUCACCACUUGGUGACGAGCUCGUCAAAUUGUCGCUACCGUCUCCGGUCAAUGCUUCCGCCACCUUCAUCCAAAACUGAGAGAUCGGAGGGGCAUCAUUACUUAUAAUCGAGUUUCAUCUGCCAACUCUAGCAGUCACUGCCAUCGCUUUGUGACGAUUUGCAUCUUAAACAAAGAAAUCUACAAAGAAAGGGAGCCGCAACAGUUUCUGUGCAGAUUGCUGGCUUGCCUCGUCAUUUUUAGGUAUCCUCAGCUCCCCUGCCCCUUUUAUUUGAAAUCAGAGCCCCUUUUAUUUGAAAUCAGAGCCCCUUUUCAAAGUUUCUAUCUUUCGAAUCCAUGAAUAUUAGCUCGCGAUGGUUUCAGUGGAUCACUUGUCGAUAUUUAUUCAUAGUUUACAUCUCAUCUCAUGUUAAUUUCUGGCUGAUUCGGUGGUUUUACUUGCUGUUUUAUCAGGCUCGGACUCUCCGCUUUAAGCAGACUUGUGACCUUCAUAGUAUACAUCUUCUGUAGUCUGGAAUGGCGACUAGGCGUCAUGUUAAUUACAGCCCAAUUGCCACUGAUGAUGAUGAUGGUUACAAUGGUACGAGAAAUGACCGUCGCUUCGAGUACACUCCUGGGGCAUUCGAUAGAAUUCCGUGGAAAUCUGUCAUACUUGCAAUCUUCUUACUCUUCCUUGGAUCGGUUCUUCUUUUCCUGUCUUUCUUCGUUUUCACGGGCCACAUGGGUGGAGAGAAGUCACAAGCUUAUGGUCUCUUAGCCUUGGGAUUCCUUACCUUCUUACCAGGUACGUUCAACAAUCUUUAUUACUACGUAAGUGUAUAUGUUUAUGAAGUAACCCUUGAAAAUGCAGCCUGCAAAAUGCUAGAUGGUUGUUUUAUCUUGAAGUGAUUUGAAAGAAUAUCAGGAAACAUACGAAUGUCCGGAUGUUUCUUUCCUUUCGUAUUGUUUCCCAUUUUUUUAGGCUGAAUUGUCAUCAGAUAGUUAAGUUUAUCUAAAGCUCUAUACUUCUCUAGUUUAUACCAACAGCAAGUAGGAGAUAUUACUAUAUUAGCAUCCGCCACUGUCAAAUAAGCUUAUGAUCCAUUGCAGUUGACGUUCAUUAGGAUCACCCUUUCUCGCCCUCUAUUGUGGGAAAAGUGGCUUAAACUAUGUUUAGCGCACAACCUUGGUGAUUCAUAUGCUUCAUAAUAUGUUUGAAUUAUGAUGACAAUCCCCUUUUAUUAAUACUUUUAUACUACUCUCUGUGUCUUCUCUACCUUCAUUCUUUUAAAUGAUUGCUGAUGCAGUUGACAUGGUGCUCCCUUUUGUUCCUGAAAGCUGUUCCCGGAUUACAGAUCUGAUCCUGAUCUGACUAUAAUGAACUCAUUUUAUCACCUGUUAUUGAUGAUUACUGACAAAUUAAUACCUCAACUAGUCUAGGUUUCCAACAUAUAAAACAAAAUACAGUCUAGUUGAAAAGAAAGAACAACAACGAACUAAAGAUAACUUGUUUUAUUUAGCUUGUAGAGAUGUGAUUGUUUGCAGGGAGUUCAAUCCUUGAAAGCAUUUUCCCCAACUUUGUUAGCUCGGUAUUUUUUGUUAUGCCUCAUUUGCUGGAAUGCUGCUACUCGACAUCUUUGUUCUGUAACUUGUUCGUUGAAGCUUAUUUGGCAUGUACACUUGUUCUUUCAUAAAUUGCUCUCAUGUCUGGUAACGAAAGCUUGAGAGACUCAACAGCUGGCUUAUAUGGUUGUAGGUUUCUACGAAACCCGCUUAGCAUAUUACUCAUGGAGGGGUGCCAAGGGCUACCGGUUUGCUUCCAUCCCGGAUUAUUAACCAAGCCUAUCCUGCAAAAAUCUGCCAGUUUCCUUGAAGGUUUACGUCCCCUACGGUAUAGAAUGGUCUUGUAGAUCUGUAUGGAUUUGUUUUUAUUUUCUGAGCAUGGAAGUGUUUGUAUUUCUUGAAUCGUUGAGGUUGAUAGUUGUUUUUGAAUCUCUGAGAAACAUUUUUUGUUCAGUGUUAAUUAUUAUUUUCCUAAUGUAGCUAAAUCUUAUUAUUAUUCCUCUAUAAAUUAAUUAUGACACAGUGUUUCGUUAUUUACGGUGGGAGGGAGAAAAAAAACCCGAGAAAAAUUACAGAAGCAAGAAAAAACCUAAGGAGUUGGAAGAAGAUGACCACCAAGGAGCCAAUAUCACCGGCCGCCGUGGACCUAAUCACAUAACUACCGGACGAAAUUAUCCACAUCAUCCUUCGAAGCUUAAAAUCCCGCAAGUCAGCGGCGAGAACCAGUAUCUUGUCCAGAAGAUGGCUCAAGCUCUGGAGCACUUACCCUACGCCUAUCGUCGAGUUUGUAGAUACCGGCAAGAACGGAAAAAACUUCCAGAGCUUUGCCGCUGCCACUUCCGAGAGGCUGCUCGAAGGACCGUCAUUACUUUUGGACACCUUUACUGUCAUACUGGGGCUCCCGCUAGAGACGCGGAGAGUUGUAUGGGGAAAACCCCAGCCGCGAUCUCGACAGGUUGCUGUCAUCCGGCAGCAGCAAAUCCCCGCUUAAGGUUGUGGUUAAAAACUACAUCUCCAAUCCAGUCCUAGAUGCCGAUUUCAUCCCUAACCUUGGUACAGGAUUGUUCUUGAAUAGCUGCCACACUGAAUCUCUCGACCUAAGAGGCUGCGACAUCAGCGGAUUGGAAUUUAAUUCAGAGACUACUCGUCCGGACAAUCUCCAGGAACUCAGUCUGGACCAAUCCCGGGUCAGCGAAGAGAGUUUUUCUAGCUUUCUGGCUAAUAGUCCUCGUCUCGAGAAACUGAAGUUGCGAUGGAUUUACGGGAUUCGCAGCCUGGAUAUCUCUGCUUCUAAUUUUCCCUCCUUUAAGUCACUCUCCUUUGAUCAAGCCAGGUUUGGACUGCCAAAACUCCGUCUCAGUUCAGCUCCUCUCCUGCAGACAUUCAGCUUCAAAGGCAGAUGUAACCUCCUGAAUGUAGUUUCAGCUCCGAAUGUGAAAUCGGCAAAGCUUGAGCCGUAUUAUCCCAUCAUGGCGGAGAAAUUGAGGAAUUGAUUUCCAUGUUUCCAUCUAUCAAGGCUCUCUGCUUCAAUGCAGCAGAGCUCUCCUCAUCCAAGCCAACAAAGGUGAGGAUUUCGGCUCAUACGCUCCAGGAAUUAACUGUUGAAGGCCUAUCUUCCAAAACGGAGAUCGAAAUUGAUGCUCCUAAUCUCAAAACUUUAACCAUCGGUACCGGCAAGCUCGAAGUCAAAUGCAAUGUCGUCAAUGUGGCUCCUAGCUGCCGGUUUGUAUUGGAUUGCUCUUUUUAUGCCUACAAGAACAAGAUAACAACACGUUGGUUGAUUGAUCUGAGGAAGUGUCUGGCAGCAUUUGCUACUCAUUUCCAGCACUUUGUUUUCAAGUUGGACUACUGCUUCAAAUCGGUAGAGAUACUUAAAUUCAUCAUGUCGGAUAAUAUUGGUCUUCCUGUAUGUAUAUGCGUUUGGAAAUUCAUAAACUCUCGAACGAUUUUUUUUUCCUCUAGGUGGAGAAGUUGGAUUGGGCUCUAGUUGGAAUAGAAUCUUCUUCUCUAAUUAUCCGGCAUUUACUAAUGGGGAUUGAGUUCGAUUUUGACAAGGGUGAUAUUGAAGCUAGUUUUUUUUAUGUUGUUUUGUCGGCAUUCCAUCCAAAAAAAUUGUCCACAGCGCAGUCGCCUUGUAACGAAAGGCUAUUCUCGAUAAGUCCAUUGCUUCGUCUGUUAAUGUGAUCAAUGUUAACAAACUAAUUUUGGCAUUAUAUUGAAAUAGUAUGUUUUGGAGCAAACUGAUAAGAAGAAUGAACUGAAUUAUUGUAGCGGACACCAAUUUAAAGAGAGCGUAAUGAUGGAUGAUAUUUCAAACAUUUACAAGUCAAUGAUUUGUCAACCAUGUGUUGAUGUAAUAUUUCUUGUUCCUAAAUUCAACGAUUCAAAGCACAUCUAUUGUUGAGAAAAAUAUUUUCGAUUGUUUAAUUAAAAGGGAUUUUUUUACUUAUUGUUAUGUGAGAUUUUUUAUUGUUAUGACAUCUUUAUUUGAUGAAAUUUUUUGUUAUGAGAUUGAAAAGAUUGUAUUCCGAAUUGAUGCAAGUCCUUUCAUUCAUAAUACUAAUUCAAUUCCUUAAUUUUCGCCCUUAUACACUUUUAAGAGAAUCAAAUAACAAUUUUUUACUCAUCCCAGUGUUUCACAGCACAGACCUUAAACAAAAAGGAAAACAAAACAGACUAAACACUAUCAUAGCUUCAAGUUAGAACAUGGAGUACUUAGUGAUGAAGAUGGAGUCAUCAAUGGUGAUUAUUAUAAUCCCUCUAGCUUUCAUCUCUGUUUCAGCAGCUUGCUCAAAUGGUCAGUGCCAGGUGACCAUCUAAGCAACUUUCUCUAAUUUCGUGGUAUGGAAAUAAGUCAGGCAAAUUUCACUAAUUUCAUUAGUUUUUACUUUCAUUUGACUAUUAUUUAAGGUNNNNNNNNNNNNNNNNNNNNNNNNNNNNNNNNNNNNNNNNNNNNNNNNNNNNNNNNNNNNNNNNNNNNNNNNNNNNNNNNNNNNNNNNNNNNNNNNNNNNNNNNNNNNNNNNNNNNNNNNNNNNNNNNNNNNNNNNNNNNNNNNNNNNNNNNNNNNNNNNNNNNNNNNNNNNNNNNNNNNNNNNNNNNNNNNNNNNNNNNNNNNNNNNNNNNNNNNNNNNNNNNNNNNNNNNNNNNNNNNNNNNNNNNNNNNNNNNNNNNNNNNNNNNNNNNNNNNNNNNNNNNNNNNNNNNNNNNNNNNNNNNNNNNNNNNNNNNNNNNNNNNNNNNNNNNNNNNNNNNNNNNNNNNNNNNNNNNNNNNNNNNNNNNNNNNNNNNNNNNNNNNNNNNNNNNNNNNNNNNNNNNNNNNNNNNNNNNNNNNNNNNNNNNNNNNNNNNNNNNNNNNNNNNNNNNNNNNNNNNNNNNNNNNNNNNNNNNNNNNNNNNNNNNNNNNNNNNNNNNNNNNNNNNNNNNNNNNNNNNNNNNNNNNNNNNNNNNNNNNNNNNNNNNNNNNNNNNNNNNNNNNNNNNNNNNNNNNNNNNNNNNNNNNNNNNNNNNNNNNNNNNNNNNNNNNNNNNNNNNNNNNNNNNNNNNNNNNNNNNNNNNNNNNNNNNNNNNNNNNNNNNNNNNNNNNNNNNNNNNNNNNNNNNNNNNNNNNNNNNNNNNNNNNNNNNNNNNNNNNNNNNNNNNNNNNNNNNNNNNNNNNNNNNNNNNNNNNNNNNNNNNNNNNNNNNNNNNNNNNNNNNNNNNNNNNNNNNNNNNNNNNNNNNNNNNNNNNNNNNNNNNNNNNNNNNNNNNNNNNNNNNNNNNNNNNNNNNNNNNNNNNNNNNNNNNNNNNNNNNNNNNNNNNNNNNNNNNNNNNNNNNNNNNNNNNNNNNNNNNNNNNNNNNNNNNNNNNNNNNNNNNNNNNNNNNNNNNNNNNNNNNNNNNNNNNNNNNNNNNNNNNNNNNNNNNNNNNNNNNNNNNNNNNNNNNNNNNNNNNNNNNNNNNNNNNNNNNNNNNNNNNNNNNNNNNNNNNNNNNNNNNNNNNNNNNNNNNNNNNNNNNNNNNNNNNNNNNNNNNNNNNNNNNNNNNNNNNNNNNNNNNNNNNNNNNNNNNNNNNNNNNNNNNNNNNNNNNNNNNNNNNNNNNNNNNNNNNNNNNNNNNNNNNNNNNNNNNNNNNNNNNNNNNNNNNNNNNNNNNNNNNNNNNNNNNNNNNNNNNNNNNNNNNNNNNNNNNNNNNNNNNNNNNNNNNNNNNNNNNNNNNNNNNNNNNNNNNNNNNNNNNNNNNNNNNNNNNNNNNNNNNNNNNNNNNNNNNNNNNNNNNNNNNNNNNNNNNNNNNNNNNNNNNNNNNNNNNNNNNNNNNNNNNNNNNNNNNNNNNNNNNNNNNNNNNNNNNNNNNNNNNNNNNNNNNNNNNNNNNNNNNNNNNNNNNNNNNNNNNNNNNNNNNNNNNNNNNNNNNNNNNNNNNNNNNNNNNNNNNNNNNNNNNNNNNNNNNNNNNNNNNNNNNNNNNNNNNNNNNNNNNNNNNNNNNNNNNNNNNNNNNNNNNNNNNNNNNNNNNNNNNNNNNNNNNNNNNNNNNNNNNNNNNNNNNNNNNNNNNNNNNNNNNNNNNNNNNNNNNNNNNNNNNNNNNNNNNNNNNNNNNNNNNNNNNNNNNNNNNNNNNNNNNNNNNNNNNNNNNNNNNNNNNNNNNNNNNNNNNNNNNNNNNNNNNNNNNNNNNNNNNNNNNNNNNNNNNNNNNNNNNNNNNNNNNNNNNNNNNNNNNNNNNNNNNNNNNNNNNNNNNNNNNNNNNNNNNNNNNNNNNNNNNNNNNNNNNNNNNNNNNNNNNNNNNNNNNNNNNNNNNNNNNNNNNNNNNNNNNNNNNNNNNNNNNNNNNNNNNNNNNNNNNNNNNNNNNNNNNNNNNNNNNNNNNNNNNNNNNNNNNNNNNNNNNNNNNNNNNNNNNNNNNNNNNNNNNNNNNNNNNNNNNNNNNNNNNNNNNNNNNNNNNNNNNNNNNNNNNNNNNNNNNNNNNNNNNNNNNNNNNNNNNNNNNNNNNNNNNNNNNNNNNNNNNNNNNNNNNNNNNNNNNNNNNNNNNNNNNNNNNNNNNNNNNNNNNNNNNNNNNNNNNNNNNNNNNNNNNNNNNNNNNNNNNNNNNNNNNNNNNNNNNNNNNNNNNNNNNNNNNNNNNNNNNNNNNNNNNNNNNNNNNNNNNNNNNNNNNNNNNNNNNNNNNNNNNNNNNNNNNNNNNNNNNNNNNNNNNNNNNNNNNNNNNNNNNNNNNNNNNNNNNNNNNNNNNNNNNNNNNNNNNNNNNNNNNNNNNNNNNNNNNNNNNNNNNNNNNNNNNNNAGCUUUCAAUUUUCACGCAAAAUUGGUCAAUUUCCUUGUGUUAUACUAAGGAAAUUUGACCAUUUUCACAAUAAAUAUUCAAAAAUUUCAAAUCAGCUAAUAUUUAACAUGCAUUAAAAAUAGUUAAAAAAUCAAGUUUCACUUAAUCCUUAUAAAUAAUAGUAAAAUAAAAUUAAAAAUUAUUUUAAAUAGCCUCUUCCAAAAAUUCGAAUUAAUUUAGCCCAGAGUUAAAAAUCAUUUUGAAACUCAUCUGUUGGUUCUACUUCCUGGCAAUGCAGGAUUUUCAUGAAUAUUUAUGUAUGAGGUGUAAGACAAAAUAAUAAGCCAAGUGGGAAAAAGGGACUUAAUCAUCCAAAUAGAAAAUUAUUAUUUAUUCGAUAAUAAUUUAUAUUCUAUUUAUAUGCAAAAUAGGUGUUAAAAGGGUCUGACUUACACGAUCCAGUUGCUUAAUUACGUUAGUUGAAGGACCACAUACAUAUGCAUGGAUGUAUUCGCCAAUUCUUCAAAUUCAAUAUAUGCCGAUGCCCUUUCUAUCAAAAUCCCCCAGCCAAGAGAUUGGGAUGUGAGUUGUGACAGUGAUAUAUGAAUGAUGAAUGGCUCUGAAAACGAUAACUUAUUUUCCCAACCUCUUCUUCACUUCUUCUACUUUGGGCAUUGCUAUCCAGCUGCCAUUCCAAUUACCGAAACCUCAUCCUCCUCAGCCUCCAUGUCACACUACUUUGCACUCCAGCUGGACACCUCAUUUCCCUACUGAAACACACACAAUUACCAACCAUUUUUCACAUUUUAUUUCUACCAACUUGUAUAUACUAUAUUAUUCAAGUGUUCAUGUUCCCAACAUUGUUUUUCUGCAUCAUUCCCGUAUUAAAAAACCCAUUUAAGCCAAACAGAUAGUGGAUAAUCUGGGACAAAAUUGAGAAGUUGGUGUGUUCAUCUGCUUUGAUUGUUGAUGCAAGGGCUCCUUUUGAAGCUUUAAGACAUAGAGAAAGUACUCAUCGUCUCGGAACUUUGUUCUUCGCAGACAGUUUUAUGUUGGUUAUCAUACCCUCAUAGGCAACGAAAAAGAGCGGGCGUAGCAUUGCUAUACCUGGCUCCUACAGUUGUGAAGAAUCCUUCUAACUAUGAUUAUUGCAUCUUUUUAUAUUUCCCUCCUCAUACACCAAAUAGAGUGGUUGAUUAUGUGACCAAGCAAGUUAGAUUAGACUCAUUUUCACAUGAAUAAAUUCGUUAUACUCACCUUACUAGCUUUUUAUAAGGCAUUAUCCUUUUAUAGAUAAAUACCCACAACUUUUAAAUCAAAACAAAAAAAAUUAUAGUCAAGUGGUUGUAACACCUGACUUUGUUUCCAAAGAUUCAGAGUUUAAAGAUCGAAAUGUGUAAUCAUUUCGACGCCUGACAUCACCGAACUCACCUAAACUGACGACCGACAACUCCAAAAUUUACCUUACGUCGGAUCGAUUGAAGGAGUUUGAGAAAAAAAUACCUAUUUAAAACGAAUUUACAAUUUUACUCCAUGAUUUAUUUCAACUUUCUACUUUUUACCUUCCCACACUUACCAUUUCUAUAGACAUAUUUUCACCAUUUACAAAAUGUUGUUGACUGUCAAGUCCGGUCAACUCUCUGAAACACUUCAAAAAAGACAACUCCGGCGCACAUUAUCCUUGGUUCAAGCUUUCCCACAAAGAUGCGCACUCCCUCCUACCAAAACCAACCCUCUUCUUCUCCAAAUCAUAAACCACCUCAAACCCUUGCUGCUGGUAAUUCCCCAAAGUACCCGCUGGCCCACCGCUCAACUCCUCCUCAUCUCCACCGUUCAUCAACAUCAAGCACCCUACCUUCCUCUUCCUCUUCCUCCUCCCGCCAUCUCCACCGUCCACAAACUCGUAAAAAUAGUUCUUCCUAGGCAGCUCCACACUUGAUCCGUUCCCGGAGAAAUGCAGCACCAACCUCGGCACCUUCGCUACGACGUCGUUGUAAUAAUAGCACGGGCUCAGCCCAGUGUUCGACUCGAUCUGAUUAGCCCGCUCAUAAACCCGCCCGACCCACUUCUCAAACUCGGAAACCACUGAAUUGUACAAACCUGCGGGCAGCAUAGUGAAAGUCGUACCUGACCCUGAAUCCACCACCAAUCCUCCCAUUCCUUCGCCGUCGACUACCUGUAAGAAAUCCGGCGCAGGAAUAUUCCUCUUCCCAACCGAAAUUCCUUCCAACCCAACCGUGUAGAAGUACGGAUGUUUCGGGUUGUCGAUCAACGAAGUGUACAUAUACCGGGUCGGAACCGGGUCGGUAUCAGUACCGACCCGUUUCCGAUUCUCGUCCAACUGGCCGAUAAUCAACGGACUCGGACGACGAACCUUGUCCGAGUCGAAUGAAUGAGAAACUAAACAGUAAGAGAACCGAUUUCCUAACCCAGGCGAGUCAGCAGCGAGCUGUACAGGCAAAGACAAAACCCCCGGUCCAAACCCAGCUACACCAACCGGUUCGGCUAAAGCAGUAUGAGCGCAACCGAACGUGAAAUUCUUAAUCUCCAGAGACGGAAUAGCUAACGGCAACUUGACGGCGUCGGUGUAAAGGCGAGCGACGAGGCUCCCGUCGCCGUAGGCGUAGUAGAAAGGAGGGCAGGAGAAAGACUGACAAUCGGAAGUCUCGAUCAUGUCCAAGGGACACUUGGCAAUCGCGCAGAGGUCGGAGGUCGGGUGAUUGGAAUGGGCGGCAGAGCAAGCCGCCGAUUUACAGGGGACGAAGGCUGCUGCGGAAGAGGAAGUGAGAUUUACGGGGACGGUCAACGAUUGGUUUUCGGACUUGCCUUCGCAGAGGAUGCAUUCAAAUGGGUGGCAAGGGAACCAGACGAGGUCGCUGCCGGUGUCGAGGAAGAGCGCCACGUGGCGGGGAGGAUUGGAGCUGAGGGUGAUGGAGAGGGUGUAGUCGCUGCCGGGAGACAGGGGAAGGGAGACUUGUUGAUGACGUUGGCGGGGGGGGGGGGGGGGGGAGACAGGGGAAGAGAGACUUGUUGGCGGUGGUGGCGGCGGAAGCGGGCGGCGGAGCGGGAGGAGGUGGAUUUGAGGAGGUGGUGGGUGGAGGUGAAGUGGGUAGUGGAGAGGGAAUGGGUUAAAGGGAGGAGGAGUUGCGAGGAGGAAAAACAGAGGUGAUGAUGAAGAAAACAGAGGAAGAAAACAGAGGAAAGGAUUGGCCUUGCCAUGAUCAGUGUUUUUUUAAAUUGUGAAGCAUGUGGAGAGAAAUAGGAUUUAUAAGGAGGAAAGUUCAGAGGAAGGUUUUAUGCAUGAGGGGUUAAUCGAGGGAGGGAGAUUUGGAAGGAUAUGUGGUUUUGAUUUGAUUUGAGUCUCCUAAUAAUUCAGAAAGUGAGAUGAUAAUGAUGGACUACAGAGUAUGAAAAACAAUGCUAACUCUAAAAAAGUUAGAGUGUGAUGGAGAUUGAUGUGGUUUUAUUUAUAGAUGUCGAUCAUUAAUUACGGUUCAAGUGGGGUUGAGUUGUAACCAAGAGUUGUGUGCUAACAACUUGGUAGGUUUGAAUUCAACACAUUUUACAAACGGACCAAUGAAACAGGAAUACAUCAAUAUACAUAGUAUCUUACAUUCUGGCAAGAUACUCAAAAUAUAAGUACUCAACAGGCACAUUUGACAUCAAGAUACAUAGUAUCUUACAUUCUGGCAAGUCGCAGCCCACAUUGCAGUCAUCAUCUGUAACUACUUGACUAGGACUAAUUUAUUGAUAUGGCCUUCUUUCUGUUAUGGUGUAUAUAGUUAUAUAUACUCAUUUUGAAUCAUUAAUAAAAAGACUGUUUAAUUAAUGGAUGGUACACCAACCAUAUUUGCAGACAAUUGGAGGGCUCGCCUCACCGGCUGCUAUCCUUUUUUUUCCAAUCCAUGUUAGAUGCCACAAGAAAAGAAAGCUCUGACAAUGUGUUGAAGCUGCAAGAACAAUCUCUGUGGUAGCAAAUUAAUAGGACCAACAAGCGUCGGAAAGGAGUUAGGUAGUUGUCGUCAAGGCUUUAUCUUCUCCAGCAAUCGUUCAGCUUCGAUGAAUCCAAGUGGUCCAAGCGAUAGGUAUUUUAUGUGCUUCCAUCUGGUGCAUAUCAUUCACGAAUCAAAAUCCAAAAACUGGGUGCAUGACACAGUGAGUUCUGCGUAAAGAUAUGAUAAGUAAGCUCACUUGGGUGUGAAGGGCAAUGCAAAACAAUGGAGGUGUAGAUGGUUCACACUGUUAAAUGGUGGCCGAUGAAAGCCAAACCUGCAAAAAGACCAGACACACCCGAGAGCUUAGUCUUACUCUCCUCUUUCCACUGUCAUAGGUUAUGGAAAUGCAUAGAAAGCCAGUGUCCGAUCAUCAUCCUCCCUACUACUUUCACUAAUUAUCUGAAACUGAAGAUACAAGUAGCUGAAGAAAGCAUCAAGGUACAUGAAAUGGCUUGUGACAUCCUCUUGGAAAAGAGUCCUACCUGUGUUUUGACUCAGGAGCAUCCUGUUGCAAUAGAGUUCGACCGACCUGUAACAUGUGACUUACUGGAAAGAGUAGCAGGAUAGAAUAUCAGUCAUGAACGAUAAAGAUGAGAGGGGUAAGAAUCUAUUCAUCAUCAGUACAUCAUAUGACUAAUAGAUAUCUUUACCUAGAGAAUAAUCCUCUUCUCUUCUUCUCAGAUCAUUGACAGUAGCAAUGUGCUUCACAGGAAUUACCAGGUAAUGCCUAACAAAUUGUUAGUCACCGUAAGAAGUCGAUUUCAAGCAAAAGAGAGUCACUUUGUCUAUAUCAGCAGAUACCAAGCAAUUUCUCAAACGUUCCAAAAGCAGGAAAUACAACAGAGACGAUCCAUCAUUCCAUUGGCAUUGACAUCAUAAACACCAAAAACAUCCACAUGUAUGAAUUCCUGUAAUCUAGUUAAAAGAUAAACUAAGUGACUACUGACUAGCUAGAUCCAAUUCACGACUCGGAUCCUAAUUCAACCGGAGGGGGAAAUAACGAAAUUUGGAGUAAGGAAGAAGGAACCCAGAAAGUAGAGAAUCUUACCUGAAAGCAGAAGGCCUGAUGUCCUGGAAAGCCACUACUCUAUCGUCCUACAGCACACAGCAGCAGUUCAUUUUUGAUUCAAACACAGUCAGAGAGAUAGAAAUCAAGUUGUAAGGCUGAGAGGUAUACAGAAACUGACAGUAUUCAGAAGAUUGGUGGAGGUGGAUUUUCCAGAGAUUUGACAGAAGAUGCAAGGCGACGGCGACGAAGCUCCGGCCAUCUCCCUCUUAACUAAGCUGCCAUCUAUCAUCGUUCCUUAUUCUUCAUCUUGCGGUAUUGGGCCCAUGACAAGUGGUAUGACAGGCUUCUUAAUAUUGGGCCAUGAAAAAUUUCAGUAUUUGAUCUCUGAAUCCAAUCAAACCAGGCUGGGGCUGGGCCCAUUAGAGGACACUUUGUGACCAGCCAUUUAUCGCUUGGUGCGAGCACAUGCAGCGAAGAGAUCGAUUAUUGCUAUUAGUGAUAAACACUCGAAAGUUGGAGAAACGGCAGCCAUGCUGGAAGAUUUACGAUGGGUUAUCUCACUUAGACAUCAACACAUGAUCUUCGAGGGAGACUCCCAGAAAGUGAUGUGCGCUCUAGAAGGAUCGGAGGAAGGCCUUAUCAAAUUCGUGUGAUUAUUCGUAUGUGUAGAGGUAUUUUUCAGAUUUGAGAGGGUUUUAGUUUUCAUUUUAUUAGGAGAUAAAAAAAUGUGGUCGCUCAUGAACUUGCUCGACAAUUUCGGUUCGAUGAAUUCCACAUUUGUGGGGCAUGCAUCUCCUAACUAGCUUGUUAAUGCUGAAUAAUCUAAAUGCCCUUUUGGCAUAGCAUUAAUGAGAUAUGAGGGAUGGCUUGGGUAAAAAAAAAGGAGAUAAAUGUCUAUAACACAAUAUUAUGUAACUCACUUAUUAUAUUGAUUGUGUCUCACGUCAUGUGUACUAGAAUAUUAUGGAAUUGUUAUCUAUCUAUAAGUACAUAUACAUCUUACAUCAAUGAUACACAGUAAUGAAAAAAUCAUUCUCUUCUCCCUACUAGGCUAGUGAGAUAAUCCAUUCUAUCCUAAAAAGUAAAAAGAAGCCAAGAUAUGGUGUCACUGCGAUCUUCAGCAGCCAAUCUUGCAAAUUCGAAGUCUGCAACUUUGGCUCGGAGCUUGUCGUUGAAGAGGAUGUUCCUUUUUGUCGACGCAUUUCAAUGACUAGGAGCCGUUCUCCUGCGACAAAGGCAUACUCGACAAGUAUCCAGCACAGCUUUUACGAACAGAUGGUUCGGCAGACUCGAUUGCUAAAGCAUACCAUUUCUAACAAAGCCAUUGCAAAUCCGGCCGAUGUACGAGCAUUGGUGUUUUUUCCUUAACUGCAAUGUCUGAGUAAUAGUGUUGAGCAGAAGGGAUUCACUUACUGUCAAGAUGUUCUCUGAGGUUCCCGUUGUUAACAUAUUCGACCACGAAAAGCCGCUGAUUGUGAUGCUCGACAUACCCAUACAAUCUCACCAGAUUCAGAUUCUCAAUCUUUAGACUGAGUAGGUAUCUCGUUCCUGAACUCCAAUGCUAAACGAUAGUCAAGUGAAUUCUGCCAUUGGAAUGGGGAAUCCAAACCCAUCACCAAAAGUGCACACUGAGACCGAUCGGUCAAGCCAAUACAACUUUCUUGAAACUAGUAAAGGAUUAACAGGCAAAGUUGGUACCUUUUUGGCAAUAAGAGACCCAUCCCUGAGCUCCCCCCCUGUACAAGAUCCCAAAAUUACAUUCUCCAGUCUGUUUUUCUCCGAGAGCUGCCUCUCUCGAUGCAACUUCCAGUCGGGCCACAAGUAGGAAGUCGUAUCAAGUAUCGUCAUCUGGUACAAAACCUCUGAGUAACAUUUCAUCAUGGAAUCGAAACGCCUCCUUUAAGUUCUCCUGGCUGACAUGUCCAUUUAUAAGAGCUGUGUAUGUGGAUCGAUCAGGAUAUACGCCCUUCUCAAUCAUUUUCUGAAGCACCGAUUCAGCAUCUUGCAUUCUGCCUAGACUACAAAACCCAUUCAGGAUUGCGUUAUAAGUGACAAUAUUCGGCAACAACCCUUGGCUUUCCAUCUCAUUCACCAAUAACUAUGCUUUGUCCAUAUUUUCUCCUCUCACAAAACUAGAAAUGAGGGUGUUGAAUGUGAUAUUGUCUGGAAAAAUUUCUUUUGCAGUCAUCUUAUCCAAGAACUCAACUGCUUUUGAAGCAUUGCCGGACAGGCAAUAUCCCUUUAUAACAGUGUUACAUGUAACAAGACUGGGUCUAAUACCCCUUUCAAUCAUCUCAUCCAAUAACCUGAAGGCCUCAGAUACACUACCUAAACUGCAAUAUCCAUUUAUCAGAGUGCCAUACGAAAUGUGAUUCGGAAGCAUCUUUCUAGAAAUCAUGUCAUGCCAUAGCUGAUUCGCUUUCUCCAUUUCACCAAUUUUGCAAAAUCCAUCAAUUAAUGCAUUGUAUGUCACAAUGUCUGCUUUUAUAUGUUUCAACUUCAUCGUCUCAAACAAGCUUUGAGCCUUGCUCAAAUCUCCAUUUUUACAAUGUCCAUUGAUAAGAGUGGUGUAAGUGUAAAAGUCAGGGAACAUACCUCUCUCCAUCAUCUCGUCCAGCAAAUUAUCAGCAUCUGUGAGCAUCUUCUCCUUGCAUAAUCCGUUCAAUAUAGUAUUGUAUGUUAUCACAUCCAAAAUACAACCCUUCUGAAGCAUUACAUCCCGAAUCUUCAUUGCCUCAGUCAUCAUGCCAUUUCUACAAUGCCCAUCUAUAAGAAUAGUGUAGAUCACAUUAUCAGGAACAAAACCAGAUUUCUGCAUUCUCUCGAAAUACAUCAGCGCUCUAUAAAGAUGCCCCUUUCUUGUAGAGGUCCAAUGAGGGAAGUGAAGCUGAUUAUAUCAGGAGCAACACUUCGGUUCAGCAUUUCACUAAAAAGUUCCUCAGCUUCAGUAUUUCUACAGCUCUCAACAAGCAAUGUAUUAUAACUAGCUGCAUCAGGACUAUAUCCAUCCAGCAAUAAUUUGUCCAGAACACCCUUCGCCCUUUUAUAUUUCCCUAUUUUACAGUAACCGUUCAUAAUACAGUUGUAUGUAAGACGGUUUGCUUUGAAACCUUUACUAGACAUUAACUCCAUGACAUGCAAAGCCUGAUCCACAUGUCCUUCGCGGCAAUGUGCACUGAUUAGAGUAUUAAACGUCACAUCAUCAGCGAAAAUACAUCUGGCCUCCAUAUCGGAUAAGAACGAUCCAACUUGAUCAACCUUGUGAAGCUGGUAGGAAAUCCCGCACGUCGAUGAACUUUGGGCUCGUAAGAAUGUGAAGUAACAACAACGGUAUUGAGCAGCUCUCUAAUCUUUUGACGGCGGCGAUACUCUUUUUCUAUAUUUUUCUGUUCUUCAUUCUCGGUGGAAAUUCGAAGAGUUUAAUUAGUGUAAUUAUUAAUAGUUUUUAUAUUUAAAUAAAUAAUUAUNNNNNNNNNNNNNNNNNNNNNNNNNNNNNNNNNNNNNNNNNNNNNNNNNNNNNNNNNNNNNNNNNNNNNNNNNNNNNNNNNNNNNNNNNNNNNNNNNNNNNNNNNNNNNNNNNNNNNNNNNNNNNNNNNNNNNNNNNNNNNNNNNNNNNNNNNNNNNNNNNNNNNNNNNNNNNNNNNNNNNNNNNNNNNNNNNNNNNNNNNNNNNNNNNNNNNNNNNNNNNNNNNNNNNNNNNNNNNNNNNNNNNNNNNNNNNNNNNNNNNNNNNNNNNNNNNNNNNNNNNNNNNNNNNNNNNNNNNNNNNNNNNNNNNNNNNNNNNNNNNNNNNNNNNNNNNNNNNNNNNNNNNNNNNNNNNNNNNNNNNNNNNNNNNNNNNNNNNNNNNNNNNNNNUUUGAAAUUUUUUAAAUUUUAUUGUGAAAAUGAUCAAAUUUCCUUAGUAUAACACACGGAAAUUGACCAAUUGUGACAUGAAAUUAAAUUUUUUCAAAUUGAUUAAUAUUUGACAUGCAUGUUGGGAAUAACUAAAAUUAAGGUUUCAUCAUGUUAAACCCUUCCAAUAAUAGUCAAAUGAAGUUAAAAAUAUUUUCUUAAUGGUUUUGAUUAUUGUUGUUAGUGGAGAUGUAUAUACUUUUUAUUACAAACUCUCUUAAUCAAUUUUCUGACUCAGCUAAUACUGUCUCCUUUCAUAUUAUUUAUAUAAUUCAGUUUUUUCGUUAAGCACUGUAGCUAUCUUGAAACAUGUAUACUGAUAUUCAAGACCAACUUGAAUUGAAAUGGGACUAAGGAUCAUGCAAAGUUUCAAACAAAGAAGAAAGGUAUAAUGUUAGAGGUUCAUGGCUAGUAUGCCUCAGGUCACUCACAUCUCCGUAUCAUGUUAGAGGUUCUUGGACUCAAAUGUCCGCUCCUCGAAACGCUAAAGUUGGAGUUCGUGAGGGGCUUCGAUCACGUGAAAGUUGUUGAUUCUUCGUAGAGGUUGAAGCAUUCGAAAAUAACUUGUUGCGAGAAGAGACGGAACAUAAUCGAGAUAUGUGAUGUACCGAUUGUUUCAUUCAAGCGAGCCAUUACAGAAGAAGCUAAUCUAAUCAUAAAGUACCGAUCACACGCAUAUAUCAAAAUGUUACCCAUAUUAUCAAGUCCAAACUUAACUUACGAUUUCCCCCUUAAAGCCUAAGAAUGGCUCCAUCAAAGGUGCCACAAAUGCUAAGUUGUGGUGAGCCUUUGUAGCCACACAUUAGUUCAACUUCUGAAUUAUUUGCAAAUUGGGAUAAUUCGGAGUUAAAAAUUAUGCUACAUUUAUCAUGUCAUAAUUAAAAAGGAAGGGUAGUAAUGAAAACAAUAAUAGUAAUGAUCCAUUAUUAACGAAGUUGUACGUGCAUUUGAAAGAGAAAAAAUAAUGAAUUACUAACAAAAUUUUGAACCUUAGGAAACUAAUUGAAAUUCGUAAAUCAAAAUGCAUAAGAUGAUAACGAGCGAGUAGAUUGAUGAUAAUUUGAGAGGGAUGAAUCUCGAAGAGUGAGUAGCUCCGAAAUCAGAUCUUCCGUGUCGAACAGGCUUGUACGAUAUCGAAAACUCGGCCAGGUAAUGCCCGAUCAUCUCCGGCUUGAUCUCUAUCUGAUUGAACGUCUUCCCGUUGUAAACCCCGACACGCUUCCGAUCAUCUCAGGCACUAUGAUCAUGUUCCUCAGGUGGGUCCUCACCGGCUCCGGCUUCUCGCCUAAUAUCAAAACAAAAAAGAUCAUAAUAAUUUUAACGCUUGAUAAUUCUAACCGCUCAUAUAUCCCCGAAAAAAACAAUGACCAAAUUGGCAUUUAAUCCAAUCUCCGACCACACUAUAUCCCCGAAAAAUCCUAAUUCACCAAAAGGCCACACGUCCAGUGGCCAGAAACCUGCAUCCAGAAUGGCAGGGNNNNNNNNNNNNNNNNNNNNCCGCCGCCGCCGCCGCAUUUGCGCCGGCCACCACUUCUCUCCGGCUAGGCUCAUAUUCAACUCUUCGCUUCCUCAAAUCAAGCCCUAGGUUCCUUCGGCUAUCUCCACACCCCUAUUCUUUCCCGCCAAAAAUCCAAUUCCACCGUUUGCCCCAUCCAUUCUCCGCCGCGGAGCCACGUGGGAGGCUCUUCUGCAGCCUGGUUUCCGGAUCCCUUCAGCAGUCCGGGGAAAGGGUUACCGCCGAAGAUGUGGAACAGCCGGCGGGAGGAUUGGGGAACAGAGUUGGGGAGUUCAGGAAGAAACUGAAGGUUGCCGAUGUGAAAGGCGGGCCUAAAGAAGGCUUGGAGCGAGUUGGGCAGACCGUGGCAGACCGUGGUUGUUAUGGGUUGGGUCAAGACACUUCGGUUGCAGAGCAGCGUCACGUUCAUGGAGGUAUUAGCUUUUCGAGCUACGGCAUGAAACAAUAAGCUGAAGAAGAUGCAAAUUUGGCCACUUCAAUUAAGCUUAGUUCCUUAUGUGUUUGUUCUAGGUUAAUGAUGGUUCGUGCUUGUCGAACAUGCAAUGUGUAUUGGACCCACAAGUUGAAGGCUACGAUCAGGUGAUAAGCUUUUGAGAUAUAGAUUAGUUUUCCUAUCUCUCAAUUUUCUGAAAAUGCCAGGGGAACGUAACAAUUACAAGCUUUCUACUUUCUGUCAGUUGCAUGAAAAUAUGCAAUAGUAGUGCUCUCUGUCAAUUUGGUAGUGUUUAUGUCCAAGCUCGAUUUGUUCUCAGGUAGAAUCUGGUGCUAUAGUUACUGGUGUGUCCGUAAGUGUACAAGGAACUAUAGUGGAGAGCCAAGGGUCAAAGCAAAAGGUUGAAUUGAAGGUCAACAAACUUGUACUGGUAUGUUACCGAUCUCUUGAUUGAAUGCACUGCUUAUUUUUAUUUUUGCACUACUAAAACUGCAAUGUCAACUGUCAAUCCUGUUUGUGACUCCUACGCCUUUCCUGUUUAUGACGUGGAUCGUUGGCACGUACCGUGAGAAGAAUAGAUUACUAUGACUAACAGGCUUUUACCUGUAAUCGUACUUUGGGAUUUUCCUAGCACAACAAUAUGGUUCUUUUUCAUUACACAGGGAUACUCUAGUAAGCAACAAGUUUCCAUUUGAUUAUGUUCAUGAGAAAUUGAGAAAUACUAGUAUCUCUGUAACCCUUUUCAUUACAAAUAGAGAAAAGAUCAUACACCAGGACACUGACAGAAAAGUUCAUUUGGGUAUGUCUUGAAAUCUGGUUUACAAGUUUCUGCCUUUAUACUGAUAUUGAACGAUAUUUUCAUUUCAUAGGUUGGUAAGAGUGAUCCAUCAUAUCCAAUGCAAAAGAAAAGAGCCACCAGAGAGUUUUUGAGAACUAAAGCUCAUCUUCGUCCCCGAACGAAUACAUUCAGUGCGGUGAGUUAAUUCUGUUCUAUCACAAAACUAGUAUAUGUAUGUGCAAACUAGUAUUUUUAUUUCAUUGUGGAAAACUAGAACCUUAUGUGCGAUUGUUAUUUAAGCUAGUGGAAAGCAAGAAACUCUGUUUUGGUCAUCUUUUGUUCCUUUUUCCAAGUUCUGGAUCUAUGGUUCAGGAUCUUAAAAUGAUGCAAACUUUUUUACUGACAGAAAAUUGAUGCAAAUUUGUGUAGGUCGCCAGAGUGAGGAAUGCUUUAGCAUAUGCUACCCACAAGUUCUUUCAAGAAAAUGGGUUUGUUUGGGUCUCAAGUCCUAUUAUCACUGCCUCAGAUUGUGAAGGAGCAGGCGAACAGUUCUGUGUUACUACAUUGGUAUUAUUCUGCUUAUGUACUAUGCCUUCAUUUUGUGCUGCUUCGUUUGCUUGUGUAGUGAAUUGUUGUUAUCAAAAAGGUUUGAACGUGAAUAAAACUUUAUGCAUCACAAAGUAGUCAAGGUUGUUUGAAUUUACGCUAUGUGAGAUGAACUGUUAUAGUAUCUGUCCGUUUCACUUAUUGUGUUUUGGUAAUAUAUCGUUAAUGAACAGAUUCCAGGCUCUCAAGAAGUGAGUAAAUCACAUGUAGAUGGCAUUCCUAAAACCAAGGAUGGAUUGAUCGACUGGUCGCAAGUGAGUUGCUGUAAGCUUUUGACUGAGAAUGUUCACUGUACAUUUGAUACUUCAUUUCUCAUCAUAUUCCUGUCUAAUCCUGCUGGACGGAAGCCAAACAUGUCUUAUCCCCUUUAUUGAAUAGAAUAUCCUAUUCUGCUGCGAGUAUUUCACAAGAGUAUGCCAAGUUUUGAGCAAACUUAAGCUCCAUUAUAUCAGUUUCAUUCCACAAAUCAGCUUCUUUGGCGAAUGUUUCAAUGCCUCUACUAUAGUGACCAUAAUUUUUUUUUAAUACCAUCAUGUUUUUAUUACUCAUAUAGCAACAUACUUCCACAUCCCAUUUUGUCUACCACGGAAGCUAAAUUAGUUUAGUGGACUGUAAACUGAUAGAAGAUAAGUUGCUGCAGCUGUGAAAAGAUUUAGUUUUGGAUGAUUAAUAUCAUCAACAUAUAAAACGAAAGUUACUCUUGAAAAUACCGGAGAAAAUCUUAUGAUUCUUAUUUUUCAGGACUUUUUCGGGAAACCGGCCUUCUUGACUGUCUCUGGCCAGCUCAAUGCUGAAACAUACGCUACUGCUCUUUCAGAUGUAAAUUUUCUGACUCUGUUUCUGUUGCUGGAUUCGACCUGUCAGCUUCUGUCUACUCAAAUCCUUUCUCUGUUUCUCAUGGUAUAUUUACAUUCUGUCAGGUAUAUACAUUUGGCCCAACAUUUCGUGCAGAAAACUCCAACACUUCUAGACACCUGGCGGAAUUCUGGGUAAACCAUUACUUGUUAAUCCUUUAAUUCCCCUUUAACGACCUUAUUGAUGCUCAUUCUUGUUUAUCAUCGCAUUAUAACCUCUUCUAUUUCUCUAAUUUAGAUGAUUGAACCAGAACUAGCAUUUGCGGAUUUGAAUGAUGAUAUGGCCUGUGCUACUGCCUAUCUCCAGUAUGUAGUAUGUCACUUUCCAAAUCUUUUUUAUAGCACUUCUGUCCUUCACUGAGUUGACAAAAGGUUACAGAAAAAAUUCUCAGCCUUGUCAAUAAUCAAUCAACGAUGUCUCUUGUGUAUGGCAGGUGAGGCACAUCCUUGAAAAUUGUAAGGAAGACAUGGAAUUUUUCAAUACUUGGAUCGAGAAGGGGAUCAUUGAUCGCUUAAUUGUAUGAGCUCUCCAGUUUAACUAUACCUUCUUUAACCUUUCUGCAACGUGACUCGGAUCUUUAUGUACUUUUUUGAGGUAACAGUCAAGCAAUCAAUUUACUUGAUCUACAGAACGUGGCUGAGAAGGAAUUCGUGCAGUUGACGUACACUGAUGCAGUUGAACUACUUCUCAAAACAAAUAAGAAGUUCGAAUUCCCGGUACGGUACAUUUCUCUGUGGCAAAGUAUAAGAUAAAAAUUCAUGUCCAUGUUGAUAAUGAGGGUAGUCUUUCCGUUGGUGCAAGUUGUAGGUGGCAUGGGGAUGUGAUUUGCAGAGUGAGCAUGAGCGGUACAUAACCGAAGAAGCAUUUGGUGGAUGCCCUGUCAUAAUCAGAGAUUAUCCCAAGGCACUUCCUCUGCUUCUUUUCUUUCCCAACGCAUUAUGUGGACAGUAUAUGAUGCCAGGAUGUAGUCCUGAAACCUUUUGUUUGUUUAUUCCUCUGCAGGAAAUCAAAGCAUUUUAUAUGCGCCAGAAUGAUGAUGGCAAGACGGUUGCUGCCAUGGAUCUGUUGGUCCCUCGGGUAAUUACUUACUACUUCAUCAGUCGCUGCUAGUGGCCAUUGCCCUGGAAGGAAGAAUUUUUCGAGCAGCUUCUUGUUGUGUUAUUUACAAAGAAAAUUUGUGGUUGUUAAUUGGUCAGGUUGGGGAGCUGAUGGGGGGAAGUCAAAGAGAAGAACGGCUUGAUUAUCUGGAAGCUCGUUUGGAUGAGUUGAAUCUUAACAAGGAGAGCUACUGGUGGUACCUUGAUUUGCGACGUUACGGUUCAGGUUGGUUGGUCACUGUUUAUUGAACUUCUGUCUCUGCUGAUUUUUAAGUGCAGUGAAGCCGACAAGGGUGUUGUCACCAAUAUUUGGUGGUUAAUGGAUGUUGUUGCAGUUCCUCACGCUGGUUUCGGAGCUGGAUUCGAAAGGCUGGUGCAGUUUGCAACUGGUUUAGAGAAUAUUAAAGAUACAAUACCGUUUCCUCGCACCCCUGGCUCUGCUGAGUUCUGAUCCAAGUCUGAGUUUCUGGAAUGCCUCGAAGGGGAAAUCCAACUGAAAUCAUUUUUUGUCCAGUUCGAAAGUUACAGUCUUUGCGAUGAAUUCUGACAUGUUCUUUUUUAUUAUCUUUCCCCAGUUAUUUAUCCAGCAUUUGUAAACGAUUGCGUAAAAUAGAAAUAGAACGAAGUACCAUCUAAGAAGAGAUCGUCAAUAAACCUUCUUGUUUGUGAAAAAUCAGAAGAUCCCUUCUUAGUGUACAAGGAUUGUACACAAAAAUGGGUGCUUUCGAAAGGACAAACAGUUUUCGAUACACAAUAACUGUAUCGGUACGAUGGUACAUGAAAUCAACAUCGUCUAACCAGGUGUUCGAAGUCGCAGAAACAACUAGUUAGUUUGGUUGUUCCACAGCAAGCAUCGCCUUCGAAAAUAUAUAUGUUCAGAAAAAUAAAACAAUUAGCAUUAGAACAAUAUAAAGUUAAGCCAAUUUGGGGUAUAAUUCUAAAACUCAACUUUAUAGUAACAAUCAAGAGUUAAGAUACAAAUCAUAAGGGGCUUUAUUUUGUGCCAUCAAAUUCAGGGCUGGAAUGCUUAUCCUUUCUUCUACCUAUUCUCUAUUUCUUCUUCUCAAAAAUAAGAACAAAAGUAAUGAAACACUGUACUGUACAACGUUUGUUUGAGAAACAAAAUAGCAGAGCUGUAGAUAACAUGUAACACAAGAUUGCAAAAUACUGUAAUGCCUAGUGCCCCUUCGAGAUUACAUUAUCAGGGGGGCAAGGCAAGGGAGGAGAUUUCUUCUACAAACCAUAUGUAUAUACGUUCGACUCAUGUCGCCCUUUCUCUUCUCCCGCGCUUCUCAAAACUUACCAGUUAUCGUGGUGGGUUUUCGAUUGGGAUGAACAAAAUUCGGAGGAUGGGACCUUUUACUGAUUUCUCCCCCACCCUCAAAGUUCCACUUCCUGAAGGUCGCCAAAGCUACUGCCAUUUGUAGGCACACGAGUCAUGGCAGGCGGCUCGACAGGCAUAAAAGAUGCAGCCGGCAUGCCAAGUGAGGAUUUGGGGGUCUCUGCUGGCCUCGGUGGGCUGAAUGAGGAAUUGGUACUGCCACUCCACGAGGCUGUUCGUCGAGAUUGAGAGUUUGCACCGCCAUUGUUAUUCAGGCCGACUCUACCUCUCUGAAUGUUAUCCAGACUGGGGACCCUUUGCAUUACCAUUGGCGACGAAGAUGCCGGAGGCUGGAAUGAGUUGUUCAUGGAGGUUAUCGUUGGCUGGAAAGAAUUAUGGUCCAUGAAAGUUGCCGGAGGAAUUUCACUAGCUGCAAAGUUGUCUUCAACAUUCUCUACCGCAGUUCCGGUAAGAUAAUCGGCGGAAGGCGCAGGUGCAGGGACAAAAAACUUGGGGUUCAUAGGAGCAACCGGUUUAGCAGACGGCAAAGGCGGUGAAUGGAAUAAAUUUGCUGCCUUUCCACCGCCUUGGUUGAAAGUGUCUACAUAUCUGUCACAAAAAUUCGAUAUUUAGCAACAGCCACCAGAUUUUAGCCGAUCUACAUGGAUAAAUAUAUUACCUUGCUCGAACACCCAUCCGUCCACGGGCUGCAAAUUGAUUUCCGCCGGUAGGCAUCUGUGGAAUUCCAGAACUAUGUUCUUGUGUAGCUGGACUCCGGAAUUUGGGGCUCCCACUGGGAGGGGAACCCUCAUUUUUCAGAGCGGAAUUUAAGUUGUAGUCAGAUGCUCCAUUCUGAAAGAAGGCAGUAGUUGGUGGAGGUGGCGGGGCAGCUUCCUCAGCUGGGGGAUCUACACCUUCUUCUACCCAUCUUUUAAGCUUUUCAUCAUAGUAAAAUUUGUUCUUCUCACCUAGCUUUGCCUUCAGUGAUGAAAAUAUAGUUUCUCGAGUUAGUGCAUUUCUACUUCCCCAGUCAAGGAGAAUAAGCGAUGAUCAAGGUAUACAUAUAAACCAUUGCUGACCUGCUUAUCUGAACGGGGUCGUAACACUAGGCCCACUGUCUUCUGAAGUAGCUGGGAUCCAAAAGCAAAACGACCCAAGCGAGAUACCCCUGGUGAACUUGAUGUCUUCUCUUGGGAACUGGAGGUGGAUGCGCCUGUCGAGGGAUCAGCCUGACCCUGACAAUGAGAAUGUGAUUUUUUUAGUUAAAUAGAAGGACAAAGAUAAUUAACUGAGAGACUGAUACUAUUAGCCAACUUGGAGAUCAUCAUAAACCUGUCUUGGAGUUCGAUUGAAGUCAGGCUCCGAGACACUUCUAGAAUGUCUUCCCAUUCUAUUGCCGUCGGCAGCCCAUUCACUUACGGGUUCCAUGGAAGCAGAUGGUACCAAUGUUGACAUUGCCAUUGUUGACUGACUAGCAGCCACUCUAGGUGCCAUCGAUUGCUGAUCUAGCAGCCACUCUAGGUGCCAUCGAUUGCUGAUCAUGCUCAUAACUAUGUACACCUUGUGAUGUUGAUGGCGCUGGUGGCGGUAGACCCCCAACAACACGAUGUGCAGUACUGUCGAAGAAAUUGAGCAAUUUACCCACCAACUUUGCCGGUGCCAAAUUUGCAGCAUAUCCACCCUGAAAGGAGCAUUAGUUAACCGACAGUUGGUAAAAACAUAACAAGCACUCCAUUCAAAAGCAUACCUGUUGGUGUAUCCGAAUCCUUUCCUCAAGGGAUGAUACUAAUUGUUUCCAAGUUUCUACUUCAGGAGCUCGGCCCGUUUUCAAAGAUUUUAAUACUGCUUGACAGUACCUACAUUAAUUCCCAACAUUAAGAAAAUUGACAGACUUAAGAAAUAAGUUAAGAGUUUUGCAAAUAGAACCCACUUACUUCAAAGAGUCGGAGACUCUGCCUACUUCAGCCAGCAUGUAUGCAUAAACAAUCUUAUACGGCUGAAAUGGCAGCAAUAUGAACUGGGAGUUACCUAGCACCUUCGAGUACUCGUAAAGUUCAUUUCUCUGCAUAUUAAAUGAUCAAACCUAAAUUAACAAUCAUACACUUGAUAUUAGCAACUCAACUAGGGAUAUUGAUUAUCUUUUUAAUUUUAGAAAUUUAACCAUGGAUAUUUGUUGGGCAUAAAACCAUCAAAAUCACCCAACAACCUACCUGAAGAUGGAUGACUGUACGUUAAAUGAGAACAAGAAUAAAAAAUACAUCCUUUACCCUGGAAAUGAUAGCCAAUAUGGAAGCAAGACUACAAACAGGUAAAAAGCAAUACAAUAAGCAGAAAAGAUUAAUUGACUACGGUUUAGUGAAGAAGAGGUAAAAGCAUGCACAAAAGCUAACAGAAACUAGAAGCACCUGAAUAGCUUCUGGACUAGCAAAAGUACGAGGAUGCUUCCAGUGGUCGGCGCCAAUAAGACAGAGCCUUGCACUGUCUGAAUAUGUCUCGAAGUUAGCUUCUGCAACUAGAUAGCAUAUAUGAGCCGCUGUAAUCUGUAAAAUAAGUUCAAGUUAAAACGAGAGCUUUUAGAAAAUGCUGACUAACAUAAAUUUGAUUAAGAAAGCAUACCUCACUACGAUCUUUCCACAGACAGUCCCCAAGAUGUAUGAUCACAAGCUCAUCAUCUUUUGUUCUAUUUGCAGUUAUCAAAGCCAAAUUCUGUUCCCAGUCAUCGAGCAUGCUAUUUGGUCCAGGCUGUGAUUCAUAACCAACAGUCAACAAAUACAUGUUUGAAUGAUAUCACGCAACUUUGCAAUCAUUUUCCUUGGACAACACCAAAAAAACAGAUAAAGGAAUUGGUGAGAUGACAACUAAACUAGAGUUCAUCACUUUCUAUUUAUUUUCUUGGACAGGAAUGAGAACUGCAUUUACUUAUUUCUCAUAAUCAGGUACAUCUCCUGGGCAACUAAGGGAGGGCUUUGUUUGAGGGACGUAACACCUAUCUUAUAUGUAGGGUUCAUGUGGCACACCUAGUAUUUUUUAUCUAAAUGUUAAUUUUGGUCAAAUGAUCAUCUAAAUGGCUUUAUAAGGAGACCAACUAAAGUGGUUCCUGCAUACAAGCAUUAAUCCUUGUGCUGAACUAUUUAUUUUUGCUUAGUCGAGAACAGCUCUACAAUGCUACAAGCCUUACUAAAUACUGUUUAACUGAACAUAUGAAGGACCCUUCAAAUAAUUUAGCGCAGUAUUUGUUUACUGCAUAAUACAUUAUUCAUAAAAGGGGGAAGUUAUCGACUGACUUGCAAAGGCUGUGGAGUGCCAUCAGAUUUGGUGUCUGAAGAAAAAACUUCUGCUGGCUCCCCGGCAAUGAGAGGGCACAACGUCCGUAAAGGUGAUCCAGGCAACAAUUGGCGUAGUGCCAUUUGCUUCACGGUAUCAAUAUAGAACUGGAAUCAAACAGAGAGAUGGCAGUUUAUGACAGUCAGUCUUUGUUAGACGAGACUCAUCAGAGCAAAUGUGAGGAAGAAGAUAGAAGAACAAAAAACCUGCUGUCCAAGUUGUGAUGCAAGCACAAGUGCAGGUCCCCACAAUUGGCCUUCCUGUGCAAAUUGUAAAGCUUCUUGUUUUCUACCAGAAACCAGAAGAUUUUGUACCUCAGAAGCAGUUGCCUAGAACAAAGACAACAUUCUUUUACCAGAUGCUAGGAACCUUUGAUCAUGAAAAUAUAGUAAUGCGAUUUACAAUAUACCUGAAGUUGUGUUUCAGAUGGCAAAGUCUGCAAACAGUGGCUAAGACCACCAUACUCGCUGAAAUUUCUCUUGGCAGAUGAAAACAGUUUUGCAACUGCUGAUUCUGGUGUAUCACUUUCCUAUAAACAACGAAAUGGAAACACAAGGAAAGGGCCAUUCAGACAGUUUCAACAAAGGACUCUCAGAACAGAAAUCACAAAAUAAGAACCUAAAACACAUAAUAUACUGUAGUGCCGAGGACACUACAAUCAGAAAGUUCGUUGAAGAUCUAGUUCUUCUUUCUUAUGAUUUCAAGAGAAAACCUUCUCCGAGAGUAGUUCUUUCAGUACUACCUCCACAUAGACUAAUCCUAAGAACCAUCAAGUUAGUUAUAACAAGCUUUGAAACUGCGACAAACAUUUACAGGGCCGUACAUCUAGGAAAGGCUGAAAGCAGUAAAAAGAACAUGGAUAUUCAACAUAAUAGCAUCACACGGCAAGGGCAAAUGACCCAUAUUUCCAUUCACUAUCAAAUUGUUAGUGUCACCUUCUUCCAAACAGAAAGGGAUAAGUUAAUUACCUUCAAAGAUGUGUCCGACCCAAAAGGAGACCGAAGUUUUCCAUAAUGUUUACAUGCUAUUUUCAGCAAGGAAAGGAGAAGUUUCAAUACUUCGCCUUUUCUAUAAUCCAUAUCGGGUGACUCACAGUAAGCAAUCCUCUCAUCAAUCCACUUAUUCAAAUCUUUACUCCCAGCAUUCCCCCCCACCAGUGGACCAGGAAACGACUGUUGGCAGAGAGGAUGGAAAUAAUUGCAGGAUGCGCCUCUAGCAGUGGAAACACUGUCUAUACUACUUCCAGAAACAACCUCCAUUAAAUUCAUGAGAGAAACUGAGCCUCCGACAGCAGCCUUUUAAGACAAAUAGAGAGACCAAUUAGCCAUGUUAAUACCAAAAUACUUCUUUUCACAUUAGGGGAUCAUCAAACAACUAAAAGUCAUGACACAUGUUUCUUUUUUCUCCAGCUUAGGACAACCAAAUAGCAAAAAACUGAUUGACGCACACAUCCGGGACUCACCUGGGUGCCAAAUGAAGAGUUUGCAAGGCUAUCAUCUUUCAUUAUUAAAAGCUUUCCACCAAACCCAAAAGAGACCAGUGCAUGUGGAGGACGGCCAGCAGAAGAUCUUCCAGUAGUUGGAGCAUAAGAAUACUGCUGACUAUUCUGAUAUGAUUGAUCUGUAAAAUUCAUUGGUUUUGUACUGCUAUAUAAAUCAUUCGAAAAAUACAUCGGCUCGGUCUUCACAUUUCCCUGAUUAAAUUGUUGAUUGAAGUUGCCACCCUGGACAAAAGCUUGUGAGCCCAGAAACCCAUUGCCCUCAGAAUGACCCUGCCUCAAUUUGUCAUAUGAGGGAACAGUUCCCAUGGUAUUAAAGGACUUGUUAUUAUCAAAAUGAUUGCCCAUCAAAGCAUUUGAGCCAUAGGAGUUCUGCACCUGCUGAUUUUGACCAUAAUCUGGACUAAAAUCAUUCUUGGGAGCACUUUCUGCUUGCCACAUAGACAGAUCACUCUGGUUGUAACUUCCAUGUGACUCACCCCUGCUAAUUUCUUGUCCCCUAAUUUCUUGUUCUUGGCUAGUGUAACCAUGUGAGCCAUGCUUCUCAGCUUGCGCAAAUUCCCCAUAUACAUCACUGCCAUUCUGCGAAUACGUAUUGUGUGAACCAUAUCCAUUUUGAUUGUGUUGCUCAAGAGUUUGGGGAAUCACCUGCUGUACUGAUGAAGCAUAGCUCUCCAAUGAACGCCAUUCUUGUGCGAUUGUGUCAUAAUACCAACCUGGAUACUGAGGAUCAAAAAUCAUAUGUUCCGGGUAACCAUUGUUACUUUCCUGCGAUACCCGAUUCCAGGCAGACACACUCUCAGUUGCACUGGUCUCGGCAAUGGUUCCAGCCACAGACUGAGACCCCUGCUUGAAGAAAUUAACCUCUCCCUUCCUAUCAGAUGCAGCAGCCCAUUCACUCCCUAUAUUGGAAUCAUAACUCUCUUGGGGAUCGGCUGUAGCACCAUAACUGUCUACUUGAUACCAUUGCCCAGUGUUCAUAUCAUAUUUCCAUCCAGGAUACAUACUUUCCCAGUCCUGACUGCUACUAGAAUCCUGCUCGUUUGCAUUUUGUUGCAUAUGACCUCCAUGACUCUGCAUACCUUCUUGAUAUGCCUCAUAGUUAACCGUAUUCUCCAAUUUCCCACCUGCACUAUCUAGAACAUUGACGGUUCCGUCAACUUUUUGGGGAGAACCAUCAGAAUUACCUCCCAACUCGCUGAAAAAAUCAUAUGAACCAAACUCAUGAUUUCCAUUCGAAGCAGAAUCAGCAUACAGAGAACCCCAAUCCAUCACCUUAGCUCCAAGCUUUGUGGAUCCGCUGCCAGUAACUGGAGCUGACUCAGUAAUGAUCUCUGAUUUUAAUCCAUCAUUACUCAAUUCCACUGCAUUAGCAGACCCAGAUGAUCCAGACAAGUUCAAUGCAUCACUCACUUCUGGGGAAGCCCCAGAAAACCCUGAACUAUCACCCAUAGAAGAAAUCUUGUCAUCUCUGACCUCCUCAGCUCCAGCAUCGCCACCGGUGACAUCCUCCAUGCUCAGGUUAGCAAAAGCCUUGGCCUCAUCGGAAUCACUCCCAUCCGUCAAUUUGUCGUGGCCGGUACCAGAAAUGGUGGGGCCAAAAUCAUCAUCGACCAAUUUGUCAAAGAAAUCAUCGUCGAUUUGAUCCUCCAUCGCUUGGAAUGGAGGAUUUGUAGUCAUUUAAUUGAAAGAGCGAACUCCCGAAAAGAUUCCAACGCAAACUUGUAACCCCUCCGACAAAAUGUAACUAUUUCCACUUUCUCCCUUCCGCAGCCAAUCAAAUUGUGAAAACCCGAGCUGGAAAUGAAACCGAAGGACCCUCGAGAUCCGCGAUCUAAAACCCUAAAUCAAAGCAGUACAAACACGAGGAACAACGAGAUCUAGGGUUUACGAAGCACAAGGAAGGCGUAAACUCCGAAAUUGAGCACGCACAUUGGAUUUCUCAACAGCAGGAUAUCAUCGAUUCAAGUGGACUAAAAUCAACUUACGGAUGUGGAUCAAUCUGGGGAUUCUUCGCAGAGCCAAACAAAAGCAAAAGCAGAUGCGACGAUUGAAGAAUUGAAGCGAAUAUGGAGAGAGGCGAGAGAGAAAGAGCUUCGUUUGUUUUCCGGCUCCAGCAAACAACACCAGGUAGGAGAGAGCUUCGUUUUCUUUUUCUUUCCAGUUUAUUCAGUUUUCUAUUUUACUGGUUUUUUCUUCGACCAAAAAAAAAAUAUUUUACUGGUUUUUGCCCCCAUUUUUCAGUUUUAAUGACCUCACUAAUUAACUCACAAUCUGGCAUCAGUUUCGGGAGCCAUAAAAAGCAACGUGACCUUUACUAUUCAAUUUUAACUAACCUAUUACUUUUAUUAAAAAAAGGACUAUAGUGCAUUUGUCAUUUAGUAAAUGCUUCAUGGUUUUAACCAUUUACUUUAAUGAGAUUGUGAUUUUAAUACUUCUAAAUAUAAAUUGUAGAAUCCAAAGUAAAGAAAAAAAUUAUUUUAACAUUCACACCAAUUUAUUGCAUCCACUCAACCCUCAAUAUUAUAAUUUUUAUUUUUAAUAUGAUAAACAGCAUUAAAACUCAAUAACCGUAUACAUAAAUAAAUAAAAAUUAAGAAUGAUACGAAUUUUUUUUAGGUUGUUUUGGUGAGGAAAAAUACGGAGAGGUGAAGAAACAGGUGGUUUAGCUGAUGUGGCAAGCCAAAACUUCUGAAAAUACUUGAUUUAUCAUUUUUAACCAACUCAUACCUAAUCUAUUAAAACAUAACUAUAUGGUCCUCUGUCCAUCUUUAUCGUUAAGUACUAACGCGACAUCCCAAAAAAUACUACAAAAAUAUUUCUGAUUUUUAUAUAUUAAUUAAAAAAUGGCUCCCCCUGAAAUCUCCUUCCCCUCCCUUUUCCUCUGCCACGCAUCCUCGCCGCCAUCAUUGAUCUAUCGUCGACGGUGUAAGCUCCAGUCUCCUCCUCCCUUUACUUCCGUCAAAGACCAGCAAGGACAUCCUUGCUUUACCGUUCGGAAUGAGAGCUCAAAACCAUGACAAUGGCGGAUUCACUUCCAGCUCAAAGAUGUUACGAAUCUCCAAGCGGUUUUUCUCCACUUCCACUGAUUAGUAGUUCCGAAGGACGCCUGUACCGACUCAUCUAUUAUUUGAACGACUGUAAAAUAUUAAUCAAUUUAAACAUUUUCAAUUUUGAGUGGAAUUGUUAGCCUUCCUCAUUGAACACCUAGUAGUCUCUAAUUAAGGGCAGUUCUCAGAUGGCGUAGAGAAGAGAGGCAAUAGACCUAGUAAGAAGGGAUUGGUGUGAAAGGGAGAGACAUAUGAGAUAGUUUGAGAGACGGAAAAGCAUUGGAGUUGUGCCUGAGGAUAAUAGCUUAAGUGUGUAACAUUGAUGUACGAUAGAUGAUUGAUAUUUGUCAUAAAUAUUGUGAAUAUCGUGGGUUAUAAUAUAGCAUAUACGUACAAAGUUUAGGAUUGAGUUCUUAUCCAAAUUAGAAGAAGCAAAUGGAUUUGCAUGGAACCUGGCUGGCAUGCAUGCAACAACAAGUAUGAAAUAAAUUAUAUUAUAUGUAUAUAAAGUUUGAUGUAAAUUGGAUGCAAGCACCCAUAACUUUACAGAAGUUGCCAGCUUCCAUUAUUGGUAAACUAUUUAUAAUCUGACAAAAUUGGUAAAUAGUUACGUUUAUGUCGUCUUCCUUCAUCUGCUUUCAUUUCUGUAACAAUAUAUGCAUGCGUGCAUGGUUUAUGAAUUCAUGAAUUAUAAUAUUACUAUAUAUUUUGCACAAUAAGUUUGAAAAUUAAAAAUAUACAGGGCAAAAUCUAAAAUCAUUUUGGAAUAAAAUUCAAAUUUUAAAAAGUUUACGUAGUAUUUCAUUAUUUCAAAGCUGAAGAAUUCUAAAUGGUGACCUACGUUCGAUCGCCCAUUUUUAAUGAAAAAAAUUGGUAUAUGUUUAUUAUAAUUAUUAGUAUCAUUUUCCUGAGUAUACCCCUUUGCCCAUAUCUCAUCCUCAGGUUUUGGAAUGUAGUUUGAUUAUAUUCCGGGCACGGGGUAGCUGGGGAGUGAGCAUGGCUCACGCUAAUUUCGGUUUAGACCAUUAAACUCAUAUGCAUAUAUUUUUUUUAGUUUGUCUUAAUGAUUGGUCGUGUUGAAAUUAAAAAAAAAGUAUAAAAAAGUUUUGAUUCUUUUAUUUUAUAGUUUUUAAUACUAAAUUAUAUGUAAAGUUUUUGCUGAUUUUGUAAUUUGGUGGAAAAUGAUAUUUAAAAUUUUCUUCCUCUAUUUAUUUGUUCAAACUAAGUAGUCUAUCUUUUCAAAUUUAUAACCAACCUCUUAGUAAGUAAUCAUCAUAAAUUAAGUUAAAACCGGCCAAACAUAAGGUAAACGAUGGUGGGUUGAACAUUAAAUUUUGUUUUAACUGAGAACAAUACAACAAAUGUUUAAUUUCUUGAUAUAUUUUAACUAAGUAUUUGAUUUAAAACAUCAUUUGAUUGCUCGAUAUAAACUUUUGUUAUUCAAAUCCGAUUUAGUGCAUAUUUUGGUCCGACGUGAAGCUGCGAAAUGAUGCAUCUCAUCUCUUUUCUGAAGCAAGUUGAUGUUAGUGUGUGUGAAUUAACUUGAACCUGUGUAUAUCACAUGCUACCUGAUGUAUAUCUACAAAAAAAAAUGUAGUUUUCGACUGUUGUGGAUAAGUCAAUAAAUAUUUCUCUUUUCCUUUUCAGGUGCCAUGGACUCAUCAUGUGUCUCAUGGAAGCAAUAAAGGCAAAGGGAAAGUAUAGAAACCACAGUAAAAUCACUCAUAGGAUUAUAAAUUCAUUCCCGACUCAUUCUCUUAAAUUUGUUUGUAGGUAUUCCUCAUAUACGGCUCAUAACAUGUUCGUCAAAAUAUGUAUCAAAUCGAGAAGAAUCGGGUGCUCGUGUGUACGAAUUUGAUAUCUAUCCAUAAACAGUUAACGAUAAGGUUGGAAUAUCAAAUAUCCUCAUAAUCUUCAUUAAUCAUCAAUAUGGUAUUAGGUAUGCAUUAAAUUAAAACCCCUUACAAAAAUCCAGCUGCUUAAUAAUUAGAUUAAACACCGUGUAGACAAUGAUUUUAAUUUUUGAAACAUGCAUUUUUUUCUAUUUUCGUUAGAAUCACUGGUUCCGUUUAAUAAAAGUUUCAUUUAUAUAUAAAAAAUUAGAUUAAACACAUAUAGGACAUNNNNNNNNNNNNNNNNNNNNNNNNNNNNNNNNNNNNNNNNNNNNNNNNNNNNNNNNNNNNNNNNNNNNNNNNNNNNNNNNNNNNNNNNNNNNNNNNNNNNNNNNNNNNNNNNNNNNNNNNNNNNNNNNNNNNNNNNNNNNNNNNNNNNNNNAAAAAAUAUAGUUAUAAAAUAGUCAAAGAACAAAAUAUGCAUGAUAUAUUUUUUUUAUAAAGCAUAAGUAUAAUAUAUUUCAGGCGUCUUCAAUUAAUAGCUAGAAUGAGGAAGAUAUCACGAUUCACGAGAGUAAUAUGAUACUAGAGCUCUAGUUGCAAAUACUUGGACUUGGAGGACGAUUUGUAAUUUUUUUUAUAUGAUUCUAGUCAUGUAUGCAAUUGUUAAGAUUAUGUAUAAAUACUGUGAUAUAAUUAGGCUUAAGUGGAGCCAUAUUCAGCUAUAAAAUUUCCCUUCACUUCCUCUGGAUAGAAUUUUCUGAUUUUUCGUGUGGACGAGUUGAUUAUUUUGAUCAUAAAUUACGUUAAUAUAAGUAAGCUAUUGCAGAAAUAUAUAUAAGUAAGCUAGAGAGCAGCCACGAGAUCCCAAACCUAACCCACAUACCUAACCCACAUAUAACACGAGCCCAAUAGAUUAUGAAUACAUUAACAACUAAGGCUCACCAUACAUGCCUACGGCUUACAGAUACACCCAAAGUACUUCUCUGUCUUUAGAACACUAAUUUCCAUACGUUUGAUUUCUUUUCAUUUUUCGCUCUCAUUUUUCGCGCUAUGAUCUUCUCUUAAACGCCUUGCGAGAAACUACUUAAGGAGACUCUAAUUAGGCACAUAACAUGGGAAGAUAAAUAUAAACUCAUUUGACGCUCAAGUCGAACAUUAAAUAUAUUAUGUAUGGAAUAAAUUUUUGGUUAUGUAUAUCGAAAAAGACAUCAUUAUUAUUAAGGAUUUGUGCAAUCAAGGUAUUAUUGCAUGUCUCAUAUAUGUGAAUGCUCAGAACCUUGGUAGUGGAGAAUGGAGUGCAAUAGCUAGCUGGGAAAUUACAAGGAUGAAAGGCUAAAACCAAAAACAAAAUGUGAAGGCGAUAACCUUAAACAAACAUGGGAUAAAAUAUAUAUCCUCGGAAGAAUCGAGGGUUGUUUAUCAUUUGCUGAAAAAGAAAUUGUAUAUCUUCGAGCUGUAAACAACUUCGAGUUAUUAAAUUAAAGGAAGUACUGAUCAUCCAUCCCCCACACACACUAAUAAUUACCUAUAGCAAUAGCUAAGCUAGCUAGCAUUGGAAUGGACAUCACAACUUGAGUUGAGUUGAGACGGCCGCCUUGCAAAAUCUACUACAAUUAUUAUUAACAUAUAUGAAAGUGACUCGGAUAUGAUGCUACCACGUAGGAUAAGCGAUUAUGUGUCUUAAGUUGGAGAGCGAUCUCAAUACAAUUUGAGAAGUAUUAAAGAAUUUUUGUAUAGGCUACUGAGUGGGUAACUCUUUUAGCAGACUGACGAGCAAUAUGUUGUAUUUGAAAUCGAGGACUAAGUAGUCAGGAAGGUCAUGACUUUUGUUGAUGGCAUCACCGGCUCCACAACGUGUACUCAGUGUUGGCCUUGAUCAUGUCCACUUGCCAAAUACCUAUAGGAAACACCAAUGAUCACAAGUAUCGCGAAAAGCUAAUGGUUCCAAGACAUAAUAAAGGUUAAGGAGGUCUGAGUAUGUUUGUUCCACCACCUAAAAGAGUAUAUUGAAGAGUACAAAUCCGUACGGAAGAAUUCGAUAAAGUAUAAAACCAACCGAUAGAUUCACUAAAAAAAGAAAAUUUAUUAAAUAUUUCAUAGACGAUUUAUUAUAGGAUGUAACUGAAUUUCAAUUCUGAAUGUCAUUUGCAGAAGAGAAGGAAGCUAGUGGGCAACACGGCCACUAAUUAUUAUUUUGCAAACAAUGAUGGCCUCUAAUCAUACCUUCUAAAAUGGACCUUCCAUUAUUGGUUUAGUGAACAUUACUUUGACAAAUGUAAUUAUAUUAUAAUAAUAGAAGGGGGAAACUGUUGAAUUAGGAACUCCAUCGAAUCAACCUACUUUUCUCCAUAAAACUGUAUGCAUGUGAUUCUUCGGUAACAUCAUAUCAAUGUAGAAAUUGUAUAAUAUAAUAUUUUAUUAUGUCCUAAAUACAAAUUUACAACAUUAAAAACUUAGUUUUAAAUAUAAAAUAUAAUGUAAAAAUAUAUACCGAUAUCCUGAAGAUAUCAAACCGUUAUCCAUCUAUAAUAUGCCUUUGUAAAGUGGAGGUACAUAUGAUGAUAUCUAUCUAGGAAGGUAGUAUCUACUCUUUAAACGUGUACCAAACAUUAUUAAUUAACAAGGACUUUACGUAUAAUUAUACUAUAACUAGCUAUCUACGCAUACUUUACUCCAUUUUUACCCUUAAAGGCAUGCAUAAAGGAAAAUAUCAAAAUACAGUACUGCAUGCCCACAAUAUUUAUUUUAUUUUAUUUUAAAAAAAAUCCAGCUCAUUAUUUGACAUUGUUUUUGAAAAUCAACAAAUAUAAUAAAUAUCAAAUAUUAAUAAUGCAUAGCUGGCACCAGCUCUCUUUCAUAUAUUUCCCGCUUUGCUUGUUGGCUCCUCCCUCAAAUUAUUAUUAUUUAUUAAUUGAUCAUCACGGUUUCCCCUGCUAUAUAUGCCACCCAAUUUCUCCACUUCAAACUUCACUCCCUCAUCCUCUUCAAACAUUCUCCAUAGAAUUUCAAUGGCGACAACGGCUGCUGGUUUAGCUUUGUUAGUACUAUGCAUGACGAUGGGCACGGCCUUCGGCGGGAACUUCUACGACGAGUUUGAUCUAACUUGGGGUGGGGACAGAGCCAGGAUAUUCGGCGCCGGGAACGGCCAGAUGCUGUCUUUGUCUCUGGAUAAGGCGUCCGGGUCAGGGUUCCGGUCGAAGAAGGAGUACUUGUUCGGGAGGAUUGAUGUUCAGCUCAAGCUCGUCACCGGUAACUCUGCUGGCACCGUUACGGCUUACUAUGUAAGUGACUGGAUUCGAAUUCGAUAUCAAAUUAAGUCAUUUGCAAUUAAGUCAUUUGCAAUUUUUUGCAAACGAAACAGGGGAAUUCUUUUGCUUCCUAUGUAGGGCAACUUUAUGUGUCACUCGAAAGUGACAUUUAUAAAUUACCCUCCCUCAAUAAUUAAUAUUUGUAGCGGAUUUGGGUGAGCUUUUUUCGGUCAUGAUAUAAUUUAUUUUCGAGUUUAGAUCUUUAUAAAGUAUAAAUAUAGAAUUUUUCUUAUAUAUUGAGUAAUGACGGAUUCAAGAUCGAAAUAUACACUGAGUUGGAUUUGAAUCGAAAAUUCGUAUAUUGAGUAACCAAUUUACAAAUACUUUUUUAAACACAAUACUAAGUUAAAAUAUACAAAAAUAAAUAUUUGUUGUGCUGCUUUUUUAGUUAAAAUAAGUUAUUCUUAAAAAUUGAAUGUGUCACAAAUGAUUUUUUUUUCCUAACCAAAUGCUAGUAUUUAAUCAAAAUUAUAAUUGAUAUAGUAUUGAGUACCGAACCAAAAUAACAAAAAAUUGAGCCAUGUCUAAAAUAACUAUGAGCCGAACUUGACAUAAUUCAAAAUUACUAUUGUGAACCGAAAUUACUUUGAGUCACAGCUCUCCCGAGCACCUCUUAACAUCCGCCCUGAAACUGAGGUGAUUUGAUACUUUUCUUUAUAUAUGGUAUAUUUUAAAUUUUAUACAAUUUGACUUAGUGUAUUAAAUCAUUUUGAAUCGGGCAGAUAAUUAAUACGUUAUUUGUGUAACUCUAUUUUGGAUUUUAGCUAAUAACAUUUUCCUCUGCUAUGCAUUCAUAGUAUUAUUCCAUCUGAUAUUUUUACAAAAAGCAUGCAUUGUUUCGUACGUUAUUAACUUUUACAAGGAAUUCACUGCUCCCAUAUAAUUAAUUUUUCACUAAAUUAGAGUUUUACUACACAUUUCAUUUUGGUUUCUAUUGUAAAGAUCUAAAGAUUAAAGACUGGUCUCAGUUAUCAGGAAUAAUUUAAUUUUUAAGAUAUAUAAUUAAUCUCGAAAUUCAUCUUUAUUAUUCGUUUCCUUAUUUCGUGUUCUUGACCAUGUAGUUGUCAUCACAAGGACCGACUCACGACGAGAUCGAUUUCGAGUUCUUAGGGAACCUAAGUGGAGACCCGUACACAUUACAUACGAACGUGUUCACCCAAGGCAAAGGAAACAGAGAGCAACAAUUCCACCUGUGGUUCGACCCGACCAAGAACUUCCACACUUACUCUAUCGUAUGGAAGCCUCAACACAUCAUGUAAGUUUGUCUCUCUCAAAGUAUGCCUACGGAUUUUAAAACCGCUGUUAAACGAACUUCCAGACCCCAAUUAUGCGUAACAACAUUUUAAGUGCAUCUUUAGCCUAAUUACCUAUCUGGGUUUUGUAAAAAUUUUAAAACCAAUGUUAAACGGACUUACAUACCCCUUUUAUGUGGAACAACUUUUUUAAGUGCAUCUUUGGCCUAAUUAUUCAUUUGGGUCUUCGUAUUCGUGUAGAUUCUUGGUGGACAACAUCCCGAUCAGGGUAUUCAAGAACGUCGAAAAGUUGGGAGUUCCAUUCCCAAAGAGCCAACCUAUGAGGAUUUACUCCAGCCUAUGGAACGCCGACGACUGGGCGACGCGUGGUGGUUUGGUGAAGACCGAUUGGUCGAAAGCUCCGUUCACUGCCUACUACAGAAACUUCCAGGCUACCCAUUUGUCGUCGUCGACCAACUCCGUCCCCAGUGGCGAUUGGGAAUCCAACGAACUGAAUGCCAAUGGCCGAAGGCGGCUGCGAUGGGUUCAGAGAUAUUUCAUGGUUUACAAUUACUGUGCUGACUCCAAACGCUUCCCUCAAGGCUUUCCUGUUGAGUGUAAAGGCUCAAGAUUCUGAGAACUUGUGUUGUCUUAGGCCUAAGUAAAGUCGUAAAAUCGUACGAAAUGUACUUUUCAAUUGAUUUUUUUUGCUCUUUGUGAGUCCUCUGUUUUUUAGUUUUUUGUUUGUGUUUGGUUAUGUAUAUUCACCUUGAUGUGGAUAUAAAAAAAAUGUAACUCUUUGUAAUUUAUAUGAGGUAGGAUCAAUUUAUGAAUAAAAUUUGAUUUUGUAACUGCAAUUUCGUUACAUCAAUUAAAUCAGCAUACAUUGACAUGGUACUUAAUAUGGGUUGAUGAGCAAGAGCGGGAUGAUGAUUAACCCUCUUCCGACUUAUAAUUCGUUUAAGAAGUGAGAGGUGAUCGAAAUGAUGACGCUGGAGUAAGAAUCAAAGUAGCAAAUGAAAAAGCGGGAAUAAGCAAAGAGAAGCAAAGUGAAAAAGAGGGGAAAUCGGGAGAGAACCCCCUAACCGGAGUCCCUCUGAUCGAGGAAACGAAAGAACGAAUGACAGAAAUCUCUCGCAAAGUUCAAAGGAUUUCACGCACAUUCUAGGGGUCGGAGCCUGUUCGAAAAAAAUUAAAAGUUUGAGGUUCUUGUUUUUCACACUUUAGCUUAAAGCUAGAUUGUAUACUAUAUUUUCAUUGUGCAUAAUGUUUAGAUUGACCUAGGUAACCUAGGUUAACUUUGAUUUUAUUAUACUUAGCUUGUACAUAUGGGAGUAAUUAAGGAGCCAAAUCCAUGAUGUUUGAUUCGACUAACAUUAUUCUAGCACGAAAAGCUACACAAACUUUGAACUUGGCAACGAGAUAUUGAUCCCGACCAUGUCAUCCACCGUAUUCGAAACGAUUAUUGUAACGUACUUAGACACCAACGUCGUACACAAACUUCCUUGAUCAUAUCACUCAGUCGCUCACUCAUCGGACCAAGUAACGGGCAUAAGUCCCCACUGACUCUGUGGCACCUUGAGAGCCUUCCACACCGCUUUAGAGCCAUCCACGAUGUUGGUCUUGCAGUGGUCGUGCUUGACAUCACAUUCAUCCACCACCUUGGCACUCACCGAUCUCCCAUUACCGGCCGUAAUAGUGAUGGACCGGAAGCACCGUUGCCCCUUGGCAUACCACGGGGUAGACAACGCAACGAUCAACGAAUUAUCAGAGUGGAAUUUCCCGUCGCACUCUGCUGGGCCACCGCCAUCCUCGCCUUUCUGGAAGCCGUUGAUUGUCAGCAUAGCCCUGGCAUUCCUCAUCGUGGCCAGUUUCGUAGGCGGGAUGUUAUAAUCAGUAUGGUUUGCCACAUCGAGGAUGACUCGAGAUUCGACGUUCAAGGCCGAGAGGAGAGCCAAGAGUAGUAGUAUGAGCAAGCCCUUCAUGGUGUGUUAAGUAGGUGUUGUGUGUGUUUUAAGAAUAAGUCGGCUUGUGUUAUAUGCAAUUGAGAUUCCAUGUAUUUAUACACAAAAUAUGGGCAACAAUGAGAUUCAAUUCCUAGUAAAUAUCUAGAUUCUAGAAAUUGCUUGGUGGUAUUAAUUUAAUUCUUUUUACUAAGUGGUGAAUUCAUCAAUGGAAUAAUAAUUAUCACGGUUAAUUAAAUCCAUUUUGGUAUCAAAAUUACAGUUACCAUCGCCAAUGAACUAUGAAGGAGAAAUUUUUNNNNNNNNNNNNNNNNNNNNNNNNNNNNNNNNNNNNNNNNNNNNNNNNNNNNNNNNNNNNNNNNNNNNNNNNNNNNNNNNNNNNNNNNNNNNNNNNNNNNNNNNNNNNNNNNNNNNNNNNNNNNNNNNNNNNNNNNNNNNNNNNNNNNNNNNNNNNNNNNNNNNNNNNNNNNNNNNNNNNNNNNNNNNNNNNNNNNNNNNNNNNNNNNNNNNNNNNNNNNNNNNNNNNNNNNNNNNNNNNNNNNNNNNNNNNNNNNNNNNNNNNNNNNNNNNNNNNNNNNNNNNNNNNNNNNNNNNAGUGGUGGAUUCAUCAAUAAAGUUCCUUUUCUGUUGUCACGUUUAAUUCCCAUUUGUUUGAUCAAUUACAGUAACCAUGGCUAAUGAACUAUGAAGCAGAAGUUUUUAACUUUACUUCUUUGUCUUCUUGAGAUAGGUCACAAUCACUCUUACAAUUAAGUUUGGAAUAUCUGUAAUGUAUGAGAAUAUUGGAGUAUAGUUAGAAACCAAUCAUGAAAAAUCAAAGGUUAUCGAUUUGGUUGAGUCGCGGACUAGAUCGUUUUCUUUAAGACGUUUGCGGUACUGCCUCAAUCGCACACAACAGAUUAUCAAUCUGUCGCCUACGGGAUAAAACAACCACUUUCAAUUGCUUCCCGUUUGUGCGAAAAGGAGAAGCUCUAGGAAUUCACUCUGUGUGCUCUCUUUCUAGGAUUAGGUUGCUCUUUUUUUAUAGAAGCAAAGACCUUCGAAUUUUCCUUCUGUGUGGAGGAUAAAUUAGAUGCGUUUACGCGAUUUUGGUUCAACCAAAUCGAUCCAUAUUCCUUUUAGGUAAAGGAAAAGAAACUGAAAGGGAGAAAUGAUAAAUUAUGUCCAAAAAUUAAAUGUAGUCUCAAAACCGAUCCAACCCACCCCGCCCACCCAUUCGUCUCAACUCAACCAACCGACCCACUAGGGAGAGAAACCUUUUGUAUAAAAGUUUUUUGCAUUGGCCUUCUCCUCGAUGUGGUAUUUUGAAACUGCACUUAAUUUUUAGAAACUAUUCACAUUUCUCCAACAAUAUCGAACUCCAAAUAACUUAUAGCUUAGACUGAUGAAUUCAUUAUUUUCUCCAUGAUGAUAAGUGAUGAGCCUAUGAUGCACUAACCCAGAAUAGAGGCCCUAUGCAAGGGGCUUAUGACCUUAACCUUAAUACUAAACCAAAGUUUUUUGUUUUUGUAGCGCGAUUGAUUGUAUUGUAUAGUUGUGACCAAUGCAGUAAAACUAUUGAAUCAGCUAAAUAGAGUAAUAAUUCUCGGAAAAUCCAUUCACACAAUAGCAGUAGAAACCGAUACAAUCAAAGAUCGCAACAAACUAUUCGAUAUGAUACAAUACGUAUACCAUUUGAAUAGUGUACAUGAGUAGAAUACAAGAAGUACAAGCUCAAGCAUCGGACCAGGUAAUAUCCAGAUUUCCCCAGUUUUCUUCAGACACUCCCAACGCUUUCCAGACCGCUUUCGAUGCAUCAACAAUGUUGUUGGGACAAGGAGGCUGGUAGUCGUGGUCCGAAUCACAUCCCAUCCUGGAGUCACAUUCAUCAACAACCAUGGCCCUGGCAGUCUUCCCAUUCCCAUGAAUGUUGAUGAAAUUAAGGCACCUGCUUUUCUUGUCGAACCAUCCGGUUGAGAGCGCCACGACAGGUUUAUCGUUGGAAUGGUACUGGUUGUCGCACUCCGAUGGAGCCCCACCGCUCCCUCCUUUCUCGAAGCUGUUCCAAGUCAGAGUGGCCUUGGUGUGGGGGGUCACGGCAGGGGAACAAGUAAAGGUGGUGUAGUGCUUGCCUUUCUUGCAGCAGUCGGAUUCCUCGCCUUGGUUACACUGCCCCGGGGGAGGAGUCUUCCCUGUUAUGUACCCACUCGGCUUGCAUUGCUGCGCCUCGACGCGGCACGUAAGGAAGAAAACCACCAAGAAGGAGAGCAUGAGAAGAAUGCUGGAAACAUUUUGGUUUCUCAUCAUCAUCCUGUUCAUAGUUUGACGUGUUGAUGAUUCUUGUUUCUUGUGUGUGAAGAAACCGAGAUUUCUUCAGCAGCUUUUUAUAGGUGAAAACGUGUUAGAGUGCAGAGUAAGGACAAGCUUAUGGUCUUAGAGGAUAGAGAUGUAUGAAGAUGAUUUCACAGCACUACUGCAAGUUUCCUCAAGUAGAAAAGAAAAGGACUUGGCUGUUGGGUGACAAAACAAAGUUCAAAUUAUGCGUUUUCUUAUGUCGAAAUUUCGCAGCAUUCCUCGUUUUGGAAUUGCAAUAGAACAUAGUCGUGUGGUUUUAUCAUGUUCUUCGUAUAGGAACGCUUGUAGUACUGUUGUGCUAAUGAGAUAAUCCGUUCUAUCAAUUGAUCCAUUAACCUUGAGUGUCGUAAAGCGGAGAUAAAAUCUUUAACGCCAAACCGUGAAUUCAGUUGGCUAGAACUCGUUCGUUCAUGUUCAUGCCAUUGAUGACACAUAUAAGGUAUACGAUCCUCGGGUUAAAAUAGUUGAGAACUUGGCAGACAAGGUAACUAAGGCUGGAAGGAACUUGGGAGUUAGAUCUUAUCUACCUUAAAAAAUGGAACAAUAACAACGUUAGCUGCACACCACAGAUGUGUUAGACAAGAAUAUUCAAACUGGACCGCUAAUCUAUCCGGUAAUGUCCCUCCUGAUCGAUGUCGAAAGCAUUGUCCUUUCCAGGAACAAUCUCCUGAGUUUCCUUCACACAGAUCUCCUCUAAUUCCCUGCACUUCAUAACACUACCGCCGUGAUUCUUUUUCCUCCUUGAAGAUCUCCUCAGCAAUUUUCAAGUUUCAGAACCAGUUUCCCAGUGUCUUCCUCCAAUUCCAACCACUCAUUCUCACCAUUGCAAAUCAUUUUCCAGCCCUGCAUUUAGAGAACGAAAUAGUCAGUCACUUUCCAACAUUCGACAAGGUCUCCGGUCUGAAUCAUCGUGUUCUCUCUUGGUCAUGAUGGUAGCACCUGAUAAGCUGAUAUCAUAAACAAACGCCCAACACACUACUGGCGAUCGAAAUUCAUCAUUCUGCAUCCAAAAUUUACAGACAAGUGACAGUAAGAGACGACGAACCUUCCAUUCAGCACCAGGUUUACAAGGCUAGGUGAAACCAAUGAGAGAUUAAGAUGUGCUCAUGUUGAGCUGGACUGGAUGAAAGAUUCCAUGUAUCAAGCAAACCAACCAUCCAAGCAUUAACACUUUGAUUCCACCUCCAAAUUAAGAUGGAGAUGGGCUAUACCGAUACGCACCACUUCAAAAUCGAGCUGCUGCAGCAAGAGGGCAAUGACAGAGAAAAAGUGUCACAUCUUAUCUCUUCAAGUAAAUGAAAAAGAAGAACAAAUGGAAUAAUAACCAGCUUAAGAUCUUACAUGUAGCAAAAGGAAUAACACCCUACUCCAAAUAUCAGCCAGACUCUAGACCACUAUCAUCUAACAAAUGUCCAGAUAUUUCGCGGUGCUUUUUUGAAACAUCCAGAUUCUAUUCCUAGCCUUAGUGAUCCGUCAUUAGGGAACUCAGCGUAUAUGUCAAGAAGAAAAGGCUAAAACCUAGCAUGGAAUCUAAAUAAUAAGUUACUAAUACUUCAACGUAUAGUAAUGACAAAAACACUCUAGAUAGAAACAAAAAACAUCCAAAAGGAAAGAAUAAUCAAGUUCAGCAAGCUAGGAAGACCAUAAACCAAACUCUACCUCGUUUCUUCAUAUGCUUCAGAUCUUCUUCUUCAUGUCAGAGUCGACCUUUGCUGCAAAAGCUAACAUUGACAUCAAUGAAUCCUGAACAGAGUUUGGUACAUACUUCAACUGCAAAAGUUCCCUAUGGCCUGAGGAUUGGCCUGAAUCAGAGGAGGAGGAUAGUAGUCCCUGUAGUGUCGCAUUCAAGCUAUGAUGUUUAUCAUAAGCAGUUUUACUGCCUUCUCCAGUAAUAGAAGUUCCACCAUGUGAGCUAGAAGGUAAAUGAGCCUGUAUAUGUCUGUUGCAAUCAUCUGCUGAAGUUACCCUCAGAAAUAAAGUGUCAUGUUUUGGAGAUUCAGUUACAUGACCAGUUCUAUGAGCCAUCUCAUUCGUUUUCGGUAUUAUCACAUUGAACUCACUUGGUCGUUUAACACCUCCUGCAUCUGAGACUUGUUUAUAUGGACUUGACAUCUUCGAUAAAGGUGGCUUCAAGGAUCCAUCGAAAGAAAUAGGCUUGACACUUGAUUGCUUAGCUGCCGACAACAACAAAGGGGAUUUUCCAAACGAUAGGAAGUUAAUACCCUUUGGUGUAGCAGCAGGUGGAGUUCCCUUCAAAGGAGUGUUCGACUUGUCAGCUAAACCAGAUAAAUGUUGAUCUGUGUGAUUGAUGUUUAGUGCAUCCUUAGUUGCCACAGAUGAAGGCCCCUGCAGUGUACAAUUGGAUACACCUACCAAUGAUUUUCCAGCAAUCCCUGUGGGUGCUAUCCCAAGUGCGUUAAGCACAUCUUUUCUUCCAACUUGUUGAAUCUUUGCAGGAGCAACUGCCGCUGGAACACUUAAACUUUCCCGCUUCGGAUGUAAGUUGUCAACAAUAUCCAGCUUCCUCUUGGUACCAACAUUUCCUGUCAGAACUGAGGACUUUGGUUUUGCACUGCCCACAGUUGACACUUCCUCAUUUGGUAAAUCCUGCAGAUAGUGUAAUCAUUCAAGUAUUAUGCUGAAUAAUAUUUGAUCCCAAAACUUCAAACAAACGUCAUGUUGAAUCACAAAGGAACAUCAAAUGUCUUACGAGAAAGGUACCUUGUGAGAAAAUAGGCAUUUUUCGCCUCUGAUACAAAAACCUGUCGUCUUAUAUUUGUCACAUGGAUAUUUGGAGAGUUGGUGGUCAUAUGGACAUUUAUCCAUCUUAAUGCAUUGGUCCCGAGCAAAAUGUGAGCAUGGCUGCAACACAACAAAUAGAUCAGAAUUUACCAAAAAAUAAAAUACAUCAGAGGGUAUUCAUCAAAAAAAAAAUACAUCAGAGGGCUUCAACAACCAAUAAAAAUAAUGGAAACGAAAGGCUGACGGGUUGAACUAGAGGAAGAGAAGGUUGAGGCAGUGGGAUUGGCGGAUUCUAAUUUUCUUCAAAAUUCCAUAAGUAAAUAGCUAACUGCGGCUAUAAAUUAUUCUUAUUAUACGUUCAAAUGUUAGUUAUGAACUACAAAUUCUAUUAUUUCAGUGAAGUACAAAUUCUAUUUUUCGUUGCAAAUGAGUAGCAUGGAUAGUCAGGAUUCAGGCCUCAGGAAUAUGCUUACGCUGGCAAGGACCAUGAACGUAUAAACAUUCAAUUUCAUCAAUAAGUGCUCAAUUUUUCACUCGAUUCCACAUGACUCAGGACUGAAAGAUUAUAUCUCAAACAUCAAUUGGGGACCUUACUGUGUUUCUAUUAAUCAGCCUCCCUACUGGUGGUGCUCUGUGAAUCAUAAUACAUAUCAAGAGCUUCCAAAUAAGGGGAAUGACAAAACGAAACAACUGCCACACGUUAUAAGGUAAAGAAGGUAUUGGAAAAAGUGCACACCUUAGAUUUCGUCAAAGGAAUUGCAUCAUGUGAAAAUUUGCAUUUCUCGUCCUGUCUCACAUGAAACCAAGAAUCAAUACAAUUGUACUAUGACACCAAAGAAGAGAAAGCAUAAACCAAAACAAAUACCUCUUGGCAUCUGCCCAUCAUGUAGUGGCGGCAGACUGCUGCUGGCUUCUGAUUGGAAACUGGUUGUAGUUUGAGCCGUUUUACACCAUGUUCUUUGUUAGUUUCUGCUCGUUUCUUUCUUUUGUUUCGCUGUGACAAAAUGUUCAAUCAACAAACCAGUCGUAUCGACAAUAAGGAGAAGGAACAUGGAAAAUAGGACUGUUAGACGACACUAACAGCUUAUCUAGAUCAUCUUGCCCAUUCCCAUUUAAUUAACAAUAACAAACGGAAAUGUGUGGAAAUCAAACCAUAUGGACAAUUUCCCAAACAAAAGUGGAAAAAAGCAACAGUAAAGCUACGAAUAUGAUGAGAUAAAACGUUACAGAAUAAAUAGUACACAUGUCAAACCUUUCUCGAUUCCUUUCGUGCAUCAGUCAGAGGACCCCUUUUCUUGUUCUUGCAUAGGCUUCCAUCCUGCUGCACAUCGCAGCAAAAGCACGUAAAAUUUUAGGCAAAGAGAGAAAACAUAUCUUAAAAACUAAAAAGAAAAACUAAGACCACCAACAUAAAGUCCUAGUAAGGAACUAAGUAGGCAGUUCAUGCAUGGAUAUAAAAAUACACACACUGACACACAUGUAUUUCCUACCAAUAAAUAAGCAGGGUAAACGUCUUCAUUAACAUUUAGAAAACACUGGGAAUUACAAGAUUGGAUAUAUGAAUAAACUGUAAUGAAGACCAUACCUUAUCACCGCAGGCAGAUACUUGGCUUGUACUUGGAUUCUGACUUGAUUUUUCCACAGACAUGUCAGCAUAUCUAGCAUCAACUUUGACAACACUGCCUUUAUUUUGUUCUGCAUGUCCUUUGACUUUCCCAACCUCUCCACCUCUGUUGUUGUUGUUGUUUCUUCCUGCAGUCUCAGAAUUGAUCCGUUGGCCCUUGGCCCUGUCGCCUUUCUUUCCUUCCUGCCACAUCUCAGGGCCUUCAGUAAAUAGAAGAUCAUCGUAUACAACAGUUUUGCGAUUAGACACCAUCGGAAUGUCGAUCUUGUCUUUGUUUCCAUAUCCAUUAUUAAGAUUCGCAACUCCAUCAGCUCUUGAGGAAGAAGGAAACUGAUUUCCGGGAGUAGCACUAGAAGCAGAUUGUUUCCUACAUCCAGUUCCAUCAAGUACAUGACUAGACAAGUGCUUCUCAUCUAACUUGAUUCCCUGUAACUUUCUAUUAUCUUUACAAGACUUGAGAUCUGCUCCCUCACCUAUCCUGUAGUCCACAUAAAUCUCUCCCUCUUCAGCCUGAUCACCGACAACCAUACCAUUCGAACAAACCAUUGCAAUACUCGACUUCUCCAAUGUAAUAAUCUCUUUUAACUUAGAUCCGCUCUCUUGACUGGCCCUUGCAACUUUGGAAUCCAAGAGUUUAGAUACGUCACGAAUGCUACCUUCUUCCUGAAUCGUUUGCUCACUAACUAUCCUGCUUUCACAUAAUGGAUGACUAUCUAAACAUGUCCGUUCGCCAGCAGUCACCCCGCGAAUCUCAUUACAGUCCACCCUGAAAUCAUCAUUCCCUUUGAUCGCAUGGUCUAACUCCAUAAUCUUAUCAAGUACAGAGCAAUUAUGCGUCAGCUGAUCUUCAUCUUCAUCCACUGUCAUUAUACACUCAAUCUCAUCAAUUAAAACCUUUGUUUCGCUAAACCCUCUCUGACCCAAACAUUCAAAAGUUUGAUCAUGAGCCUUACUCUUUUGAGCUAGGCAAUCACCAUCACUACCGCCCACUUGAACGCAAGCCUUCCGGUCAGCUUCAUCACUGCUAUUGCUACCUACAGACAAACACAAAAUUCAAGCAAUCUCAGACGCCAUCGAUGCCAACAUGAACAAAAAAGAAAUUGACAGCAGGCUAAAAUAUUAUACCUGGUUUGACCACCAGUGGAGGAAGUUGGUUGUCACAGAAGGAAAAGAGCCGGAGCAGUGAAAAGUAGGUUUCGCUCUUGAGAAGUGGUUUACGACGAGGAUUAAAAGCGUCAGGGAUUUCAACCAACUGCCGCUGCUGCUGCUCCAUUGAAGGAGUGUGUAAACUCACUACAAAGCGAUUUCCGCUACGCUCCUGGCGGCGAGGUGAGACUAGCUUGGUUUGAUGACCAGCAAAGUUACUUCUUUCGAUUUGGUCCGGCGGAGUUCACGGUGGUUUGCUGGAUUACUAGAGUCCGAUCAAGGUCGUCGUCACUACCUCAGUUACCGGUAGCAUUGAAGAUUUGCCCCUCUUCGACGUCAAAGCCCUUAUUUACUUGUAGCACCCAUCUCAUGGAUUUGGGAUACGUAAGAAUGGGUCCAAAGGAAACAAGGCCCAACUCUAGGUAAUGGAACAGUGUUUGGGAAACAAGGCCCAACUCUAGGUAAUGGAGCAGUGUUUGGGAAACAAGGCCCAUAUCUAGUUCUGGACUCUGGUUUAUAAAUAUUUCUUCAAUACUUUGGGUUGGAAAGUUCCGUUUGUUAUAGAAUGUUCCUCUUUCACUCAGGUCCAGGGCUGUUUACAACUCGAAUUGGGUCGAAGCGUUAGUAUGUUCAAGUUUAGCUUGUUAAUUUUUAGAGUUAGAAAAUUAUGGCUUGUGUUAAACUCGAGUCGAUCCGAGUAUGGCUUGUUAAUUACCAAUAUAAUUAUCAGCUAAACGUGUACUCAACUCGAACUUCGCUCAUUAAAAAACCACGAUAAGAGUCUAAUUUAAGUUGAAUUCGAAACUUGUACGCCAAAAAACAUCAACAAGUCAAGCUAAAAAACAAGCUACCCUAAAAUGUAUAAGUUUCUACAUACUGUUUCAUUAUUAAGUCUACUAACAAACCAUAUUAAUAUUGAGUUAAUAUUAAAAAAUGGCUCUCGACUCAAGCCAUAUCGCGAGCCUAUACCUUUGCUCAAACUUGAUUCGUUUAAAUUCGAGCAGAAUGUAAACAACACUACUCCAGUAAGGGAGAGGAAGAAGACCAAUAAAUCCUUUUUGGAAGAUUGUAUCAGUUUCUGGUUGGUUGAUGUUACGAAUCAAAUCAUUAUUUUCAACUUCAAGAGCAAAGAAAGUACAGUGAAAAGAAAGCUCACUUAACCACAGUGCAGACUGCUGCAGAGUGCAAGAGAGAAGAGAUAAUAAAUGAAUAAAGAAUAUGCCUCCUUCCUCCUUAGAGAAACAAUGAAUAAAAGUUGCAGACAGUCACAGAAGUGUACAAAUGAAGAAGAUUUCCAGUGAGUGACAACACAGCUAGGUGGUAGAAAGAAGAGGGAAGAGGGCAUUAUUCCUUUAUUUAUAUAUACAUUUUGUUUGUAAAAUAAUAAUAAUAAUAAUAAUAGGACAGAUAGCAGAAUUUUAGUGAUGCCCUUUUCUAGCACACUGACACAAAAUGCUUCUUCCCCUUCUCAUGUUUCUUUUCACUUGGUCCACCCCCACUGCUUUUCUCCCCUCAUCUCCCAUCAUUUUGGCAAAUCACAUGUGGACAAAAUAUGGAAGAAAUCUACGAGUUAUUAGGAAUAAUUCGUUCCUUANNNNNNNNNNNNNNNNNNNNNNNNNNNNNNNNNNNNNNNNNAUAUUUUACAUCUUGAUAAGGUUGCACUGUUAGGUACUCAAAGAAAUUAGUUAACGAAGAUUGAAACUCAAAACAUACUAUAAUUAUCGGAAACAAAUAGAGAUGGUUACAUAUCCUCUAUUUUUUUACUGGAUUUAUCACCGCCCGUUUGCUAGUUUAUCUAUUAUCAUUUUUCUAAAUUUUUUUAUGAAUUUCAAUACUUGUUAUUACUUACUAGCAAAUGUUCUGACCAUGAGAUAUAAAUUGGAAGAUUUAAAUAUCCAUGAAUACACAGAUAUUCAUUCGAAUAUACUUGUAAUCCUAUUCUACCAAUUUACCCUAAUUAUCAACUACCCACAACUUUAUUAUUAUCCAUAACAACACAAAAUCACAACAUAACACAUUAUCACAUUUUACAUUCACAAUUUCACAUAUAACAAAACCUCAUAUAUAUCAAUUAAUUAGAUUUUUCUUCAAGAAAUCAGCAUCAGGGACAAAGGCAGCAGCUUUGCUUAUCUGUUAGUAGUGUGGCUACUAGUCUACCAGCUACCAAUUCCUUGGCCUCACUUUCUUGACAAAAAAUGCCCUUGUUAGUUAGUUACCCAAAUCUCAAACUAUAUAAUAACAUAGCUACAUUACAAAAACAUAUAAUAAAAUCCACCCCUCCUCCCCCCUCCUUCUCUGUGUCUGUCACGUAACCAUUACUCCAUGAAACUUGACCAACUGACAAUGAACCAAUCACCAACAACAAACAAUGAGCUUCAAAGAAAACUACAUCAUACAUUCAAUUGCCAUCAAUGUAGCCAAGUUAAAACACACAGAGAUCGUAAUAAGUUCUUCCAUGGAUGGAGGAGGAAGAAAACCCAGAAGAACUACAGAGAGACAGAGACAAAGAAGUGGGCUUUUUCCUACUUCAGAGCUUCCUAAAUCUACUGAUGAAUCAGAAUCGAAUUACCCAAUUACCCAAUUACUCCCCUUUUGAAAAAGUUAUGCAUCGGAAACUACACUGAACUCCUCGUCGUCCUCUUCCACCGCUGCCGGCAAGUUCAGAUCCCACAAACUGCAAGAAGGCGGCGGCGAAGGCGAAGGAGGAGGAGGAUCCACCGCUGACGGGUAAGAACCGGUGCGGGAGGAGAGAUGGGAUCUCUUGUGCCCGCCCAGAGCUUGACCCGACCCGAACACCUUGAAGCAAUAGGGGCAUUGGAAAAUCCUCUCUUCGUCGGAGAUAAGUUUCCGGAGGUGGUGAUGAUUACCUUUGUUGUUGUUAAGGGAGCAAAUCCGACGGUGGGAAAUCAACGCUUUUGGAGAUCGGAACUGUUUCAUACAUUUCUCGCAUUUCAGCUUCUUCUUCCCGCAAAUCCCGCGCAUCUCGUGAACUUCUUCUUCUUCUUCCUCGUUGAUUUCUUCAUCGUUUUUUUUCAAAUUAUCGAAACCCACGUCGUCGACAUUGUUGUCGAAUCUUUGCUUCUUCAUCAUCCUCCAGUUGUUCACAUCCCUGGACAGCAUCACAAGACACAUCGCCACGUCCUCGUCGGCAGCAUCGGAGGAGACUGAGCUCACCGGCGAAUCCGAAUUAGCCCACGGUUUCCGGAACUUCCGCUUGGAUCGCCGCCGGGUAGCCGGGUUCCUCGACUCAGCACACUCACUCCCCCUGUCUUGGACGAGGGCGGAGGAGGAUCCGGCGAAGGAGAACUCGGGAUCCGCGACCCGGAAGCUCUUCCGCGGAUUCUCCCUCAGCCCGUAAACGACGUCGUCGCUCUUGACGAUACUCUGCAAUUUCAGUUCUGUUUCAUCUUCCGAUGAGGAAUAAGAGGAGGAAGAAGAAGACGACUCAGUGGCGUCCGGGUCGUGACCGAGUUGGUUACGACGGGGAGGAGGGAGAGGAAAUGUAGAGUGGAGGAAGCUGUGAGAUUUCAUGUGGCCGCCUAAAGCUCUGCCGUUAGGGAAGGCUCUGAAACAGAGCUUGCAUUUGUGGCGCCUGCUCUCCAUGGGUGGCCAAAAGCUCUGGUUUUUUUCUUAGUUGGGAGAAAGAAACAAAGCUAAGUAAACAAUGGAGAAAAGGAAAGGAGAGCAUAAAAAGGAGUAGGUGACAAGCAUUCUUCCACCAAAAGGACAACCAACCCAAAACUUAUGAGGUGCACAAUUGCAGCAAAAACAAAAGGGGAAACUAAAUUAAAACAAUCACAGUUGUAUACAGUAAAGAAACACUAACAAUAAGGGGAAAGAACCCAGCUUUACUGUCUACUUAUAAACCAAAGAGCCAGCCAGCCAGCCAGCCAGCCUAGUAAUUUAUCAGUUACAAAAUUUGUAUUGAUUUUUCACCUGCAACUGCAUAUAUCAUCAUCAUGAAUGGGCCAAAGGUAUGAUCUUUGUGAUUGGAGCUGAUGGUAUUUGAAGAAAGCAUGUAAAAUUUAUAAAUGGGUAACAGAGCAUUGGUUAAUUAAUCACACUUUUGCUUGCUACCCAAGACCCACUGUGCUGGUCGGCUAUCUCUCAUUAGUAAGUAUUUACAGAAACAGAGUGUGUUUGUUGGAAUUUCUUUCCUUGUACGCAUCUAUUGUGAACAAACCAAGAAAAUGUAACUGAUAUGCAAGCUAGUGCGGAGCUGGGUUGACACUUUUAGCUAGUCCACUGUUUAAGAUAUUGACUGUGUCUGGUUUUCGUGGGCCAGACUCGGUCAGACGACCCAUUUUCGAGGUUGGUAUGUAAGAUAUAGCCAGCCGCAGCUAGAUUACUACUUGGGUGCUUAGCCACAUCUUAAUUGACGGGCCGUCUCAAUUUGAUCAAUGAUCGUGUUGAUUGCAUGGUCUAUUAGUAUGAAGUCAUAAAACAUAAAGCAGAUUAUCCUAAAUUUAGAAUGAACAUUCUAUCGAUACAUAUAUUCUAUAAUUUUUUCUUUUUCUUUCCUAAUUUUAUACCAUCUCCCAACUUAUUAUCUUAUACAAAAAAUCCUUUAAAAAUCAAACCACACCAUACAUUUUGGAUCUGGACUAUCACAUGUUCAAAACCUCUAUUGUCCUCCUGGACCUCCUGAAUCGAAAGGUGUUGGACAAUAGCAUCGAGUCAUUGAUGUCCAAGGAAAAAAGAAAUUGGUAUAUUUAAAUGAGAAAGGAGAAGGGGGAAAAGCUGAAAACAGAGCUUGCUUGCUUGUGUGUUGGGAUUUGGUAUUUAACAUUAGAGUGCCCAGCUGCGUGACUCUGAGUUAUGCAGCCACAUGAGCAUACUUCCAACUUUGAAUCUCAUAAUACUUUUUCUUUCCUUAGAAGCUGGCAAUCCAUAUGUAUCAUAGUAGCCUAGUAGGUUAGAUCUACAAUACGGAGGUAUCAAAACAAAAUAGGUACGUCCCGUACAAAAGUUUUGCAGGUCGACAUCGAAGGUGACGCUGAAGAAGUGGUAACACACGCAUAUUCGUGACGGACAAUUGACCAUGUGCUGGCUGUAGGCGCUAUCAUCAGAGCAAUUCGGGACUACCUAUCAACUAUGUCAGACAUUCGUCUUUAGACUGUUCGUCGGUCGCAUAAAGGAGGUGAUAAUCCUCACCUCACGAAUAAAUGAUUAGGCUUCAACUUCUGGCUGCUUUUCUUUUGCACAGGCCAGCAAAACCACUUUGCACAACUGAAAUCACGUCCUUUUUGCUGCUCAACCAUUAAUGAUUAUUGCGUGCUUUAACUUGAAAAUUUUGUGAGCCUUUCAAAAACUUAACCGCCGGCCACCGGCUUUGCUCCGAGUAUAAGGCAGGACUGUCGCUGGCUACUCAUGACUUUGUCCCAUUUGAACGACAAAUUGACUACUCUGUUUUGACUCAGGAAAACAACACAACUUAUUAGUUUGGAACAUUCUGAUUUUAGCACAUCUUUCUAGAGAGAUAUUUUAGUUUAGUUAUCCAAAGUAGACCAGUCAAUUUUUAUAUGCCCUGCAUAGCCGGCGGAGGAUAUAGGCAGCCUCUGUCGGGCCGCGGCUUAACUCAUUGUGAGAUAAAAAGAUUUGACGGACCCAAAAUUGUAUUAGCCCCGAAAAGUGAAUUAAAAAGAUAAAAAAAACAUUGUGUACAUACGGUUUCUGACGGUUCGUUAGAGUUUAUGACGUGGACAAUAUAAUUUGCUUACGUUCAUGAUUGAGGGCUUUGAUUGACAUCCCCAUGACGGAUAGACAAGACCUGCAAAAUCGAACAAAACCUCGAGCGGAAUUCGGCUUGUCUCAUAUAGAUGUCUAUGAGUCGACGUAUCGUAAGUGUGCUAGCUAGGGCAUGUAGAGUGAAGAGAACAAGAGAAGGAUUAUGACUUGACUUCAACGAUGACCAUUGAGUUUAUGGAACGUCGAUCAUGACUUGCUCUUGGUGAAUCGGUGUAGGAGAGUUAGACUCAGGCGGCUGAUACGCCUUUGGCCCGAACUAUGGCGUCUCUUAAGGGUCUCUAAGUAUAUCGUCAAAUGGGGUGUCCCCUUGACCGUUUAUAGUCUUUUCAUAAAUGACGGAAUGAUUUUAGUCUACUGAUCAAUAUUAUAUUGAAGAUGCAUCCAUUAACCCUAGAUGCUCCUUGGGCUCGACCUUUAAUGAGCUCAUGAGGGGUUGGUUAAUACAUCUUUAUUAAUAAUAAUCAAAAUUAUUAAAAAAUAUUUUUUAAUUUUAUUUUACCAUUAUUUAAAGGGUUUAAAAUGAUAAAAAUUUUAUGCACUUUUCAAUAUGUAUGUUAAACAUCAACCAAUUUAAAAAUUUACAAUUUUCAUAUUAAAAUUGAUUAAAAACCGUGUGUUAUACUCCAUGUUAUUAGAACCAGACUCAACUGGUCAGUUAGACCGGUUCGAUUAUGAACCGGUGAGGUAGCCGGUAUCGGUUAGACAGUUUAGGCAAUUGAUCAAACCCGAACGUUGUCUUGGUUGGACCACGGUUGAACCCUAAUUUUUGGUCGGCUCAACCAAGAGUGAAAUUCCGAUUGAACUAGAUUUUUGUGACUACAUUUUUAUUUAAAAAAGUAACAAAUGGGAUUCGAACCCUGAUCCCUAAAAAAAAAUAACGAAUGACAAUCAUUUUUACUAAUAUAAUUAUAUAAUUAAAUUAACCAUUUAGUUGAUAAUAUUAAACAUUAUGUCAACUAGUUUACAUUAAAAAAGUGACAUUUUACUUUUAAUUUAGUAAAAUAUGAAAUAAAAUGAUUUGAAGUUUAUAUACUACCGGUUUAGUCCGGUUUAAUUAAAAAAUUAUUCGGUCCGACUCAAUUUUAUUUAUUUAUUUAAUAAUUAAAACGGUUCGACCCAGUUUAGCAAACAGUUAAACCCCGAUCAAACCAUCAAACCUUAAACCCAUAGGCCAUAGCCUUACCGGUUCAAUCUCCGGUCCGGUUCUAAAAACAUUUGUUAUACUAUGCGAAUUUGACCAUUUUCACAAAAAAAAUUUAAAUUUUUAAAAUCGGCUAAUAUUUGACAUGCACGUUGGAAAUAGUUAAAAAAUCAAGUNNNNNNNNNNNNNNNNNNNNNNNNNNNNNNNNNNNNNNNNNNNNNNNNNNNNNNNNNNNNNNNNNNNNNNNNNNNNNNNNNNNNNNNNNNNNNNNNNNNNNNNNNNNNNNNNNNNNNNNNNNNNNNNNNNNNNNNNNNNNNNNNNNNNNNNNNNNNNNNNNNNNNNNNNUUUUAUCAAAAAUACAAACAUAUAAAACUGUCGAAUUUAAUUAAUUCAAUAUAGCCAAACCAAUUAACCCAUAAAAUCGAUUAACUGAUCCAAUUGUUUAGUUGGUUUAAGAGGGAGUUGGGCGGGUGGGUGGGUGGUGGAAAGUGGAAGCAGACCUACUCUUCUUCGACUGUUCCAAUCCAUCAAAUCUUAAAGACUUAGGCUGCAGUACAUACAGUGGUUGAUUUCAUUUUACAUAGUUGCAUAGUACAACUGUACAACAAACAAAUGCAGUUGAGUUAGAGUUCACUUCUGUGUUCAUAGUGGUGUUGUGUUUGUGUGACUGUCUCUGUCUUUCUUUGUAAUGUUGAAUCGGCAAUUUGGCAUGUGGAACUACUGGCUAGGUCCCCUAUUAUGUCGAAACGGCUUCAGUGUAGAUGGGUAAAAGUAGCACGGUGUCAUAUCUUAACGGUUCAUAAUUAUUCACGUACAUAUGUGGUUCCUAUUUUAUUUAUUUAUUUAGUUAUUUUCCAUCGUUAUCAAAUUGUAAAUUACUAUUCUCAUUAUUUCAGUAUUAGUUUUGUUUUAGUACAUUAUCACUCGUAUGUUACUCCGACGUUAUUAUACGAUGAAAGUGAAUAGUAUUUCAUGGGUUACUAUGUUGUUAGUCUGAUGCUAGUUAAAUGUUAUUCCAGUGUUGGUCUUGUUUUAGUCCAAUGUCACUCACAUGUUACUUCAACGUUAUUAUAUGAUGCUAUGCUAAUUUUUUUGUAUGCUUAUGUUAAUUUUCACGUACACUGUACACCGAUUAUGCCGCAGAUGAUUCCAAGAAGACUGGAACAUUUGUUUAAUGCAAGUAUAAGUGUUAAAAAAAUUGUCGUACGUAAAGUUUCGCUGUUCAUUCCGUCGUCGACACUUGAGGGAGCCAAGGAGCGAUUUUCGUAGCGAAAGCCAAGAGUAGUAAAUUCGAAAUUAUACAAUUCACUUUGCCUGCUGAUCAUCAUCCAUCCAUUUUACAAAGAAAGAACGAAAGAAAAAAGGUCCCAUUUACAAACUGGUAUAUGUGCUGUUCUUCCACCCCUCACCCCCAACAAUUUUCUCUCUACAUGCCUAAAUUAAAACGAUGAAAUAGAAGAAAGAGAACAAAUCAAUUACAAUUUUGAUUGAUUAAUUGGAAGAAAAAAAAGCUUGUCAAAAUUAGCUUAGGAGAGGCUUCUGUGGAUCGAACUCACUACUUUGCAAUGGAUCAUCUGAGUAUCCUUCUUUCCCUUUCCCCCACAAGAACAAGUACAGUCCCGUGAACAUCAGCAACAUCCCGCAAAGGCUGCAUCAAAUUUUCGGUACUAGUCGUAAGAGAAUGGUAUAACAUUCAUAAUUAACCAAUCUUUAUCUUAAUAAUUCGAGUUAUUGGGCUGUAAUGAUUCGUGACAUGAUAUCAAUGCGUUUUGACUAAAUGGUCAUGUGUACUUCGAAUCUUCCACGACCACCAAUAUGGCUUUUGUUUGAAGGACGUAUAAGAGAAUGGUAUAAAAUUCAUUAUUAACCCUCUCUCAACUUGAAUUAUUGGGGUGUAAUGGUGAUAUCAUAACAUUUAGACUAAAUGGCCACGUGUACUUCGAAUCUUCCACGACCACCAAUAUUAAUGGUUGGUUUAAGAGCACAAGGUAUGGUCGGCAUAAGCUUGGGAAUCGGUUAACUCGGUUAUUUACCGUUGGUUUUUGAUUGGGAAAACUGAAAAAUUUAGCUGGUUAACCGCCUUAACCGACCAGAUCUGGUCGGAGAUUAAUUAGCCGAUUGUUAAAGACCACCUCAGUUAAAUAACCGUGGGGUUAACCGGCCGAGUAAUUUAACGACAGAUUAAUGCUAAAAUUAGGGUAAUUUUCAUUGAAUUUAGGGUAAUUUCACUUAAGAUUUUGGGAUAAUUUUACGGUUAACCUAUGGUUUAACCAUUUUAACAAUAUUUUACCAAAUAUAUCAACCGUUCACCAACCGAUCUAUUGUCAAUUGAACCACUUUUUUACCAAUGCGAUCGGUUAACCGGUUUAAACCGAUUAACCAUAACCGAGAUCGUCAACCUUAUAAGCAUGUGGAUACUUCAAGUUUGUAAAUUGACUUUCUUACCUCCCUACGUCAAUGGUCUCCCCUAAUGUGAUGACUGACAGCACAACUGAGAUAACUGUUCCGAUGGGGCUGAACAUGGACACAAGUACUGGACCUCUCUUCUUCAUUGCCCACCCAUUGAAGCUCACACAUGCUCCUCCCACUGCACCUCCCUAUAUAAAAAAAAAAAAUUACGAGCCAAUUACCGGUCAAUGUUCGACACAAAUGUCGUAUACAAUCUCGAAAUUUUCGAACUUGAAGGUUCGAUAGUAGGUGAAGAUUACUUACCAGUAAAGAAUAGCCAAUGAGAUCACCGACAUCUACGAGCGGGAAGAAGAUAUCCGACGUCGUUUGGCCCUGGAGCAGUUGCACGAUCGCAGUUAUCACCACACCAAUCAACGACGUUAUGGCACAUAGAGACAUUGGUGCCGGAAAAUCGCUCAAUAUUGUUGCCUGCAAAAAGGCGGAACAUUUUGUCACGUUACAACAAACUAGAAUUAUUUGAAAAAUAUUAUAGAAUGUAUUAGAGAAUACGUGGAGAUAGAUGGACUUUUCAUUUUUUAUAGAAAACAUAUUAAAAAAAUGAAAACGGGAAACAAUUUAGAUCAUGUCAAUUGAAAAAUGAAAAAUACCACAAGAUUCAUAAAGGGUAAUAUGUGGGAGCUCAAAAUAAAAUUUUGAUAAACUCAAAAUAAAAUCCUGAUAAACUCAAAAUAAAGCUCUCAUAAGAGAAUCACUAUUUAUUAAAUAGUAAUUCAUGGUCUCCUUUUAUAAAUAGAAAAAUUGUUAUAAAAACAUAUUAAAAAAAUGAAAGUGAGAGACAAUUUAAGUUUAUAUCAAUUGAAGAAUGAAAAAUACCACAAGAUUCAUAAAGGAUAAUAUGUAUGAGGUCAAAAUAAAACCCUGAUAAACUCAAAAUAAAGCUCUCGUAAAAAAACUAAACACUAUUUAUUGAAUAGUAAUUCACAUUCUGUCUUAUGAAACUGAUAGAUUUAACUUUUCGGAUAAGAAGGCAGGUUUCGUAAUUUUUUUUUACCUGUAGGACGACAUUGCUAGAGAGGACAAAGACGGCGGCUAUGAGGUAGAGGCAACCGAGGAGCUUCUCCUUGUCGAUUUUUUCGAUCUCGUGGUGGUCGGUGGUGGGGGAGGAGAUUAAGGAAGCAUCGUUUUUGGUGGAUCUGCUGUGCAUGAGGCUCAUUGUCAAGGCACCAACGACACAUAACAGUGUGCCAAUGAUCUUGAUCUUGCUGUAUAUGCACCCAAAUCUAAUUCUCUCUAGCCUGGUUCAUAAGAAGUUAGAUCUAUGGCUGUAAGAUUUUGUUACUUGUUAACGGCCGGAUAUUCAAAUCUAGCCCGAAUUUUGAUCAUUAUUUGGCCAAUAGUUUUGGUCUUUUGAAAUUUUAGUCCGUUGUUUAAAUUUUUAAUUAAAAUUUUUAAUUUUGUUAGUGACGAGGUAGAUGGAGUUGACAUGGCAUUCGCUUGAUCGGUCAAAUAAAUGUCAUAUUAGCCGCCAAGUCAGCAUUUCAAUUAUAAAAUAAAAUGUAAUUAAAUAAAAAUUUGAUUAUUCCCAAAAAAUAAAAUUAAAAAUCAAACCCAACAAUUUUUGUUAUUAUUUCGUUAUUUGUUAAUUUGAUUAAUUAUAGUUUUUAUUUAAUUUAAGGAUGAUGACGUGGUUACAUUUGACAUGUCAGCUGACACUUCACUUUGAUGGUUUUAAUUUUCAUUAAUUUGAACGGAAAAUUUAAUUAAAUUUCGUUAAAAAGUAGAUUUAAGAUUUAAAGUAAUUCAGGCUAGAUUAGUGGAAUUCAUGAAGGUACAUACCCAAGUGUCCAAGCAAUGAUGAAAAUUAAUGCAGGGGCAAGGUUAGGCAUGGCUGUUGCCAGAGCAGGGGAAGUCAGCUUAAUUCCCUUCAGGAAGAAAGAUUGGAACAGUGUAACUCUGCAGUCAAAAGUAAACAAUUUUCUCAGGAUAAAGGUUAAAUGUCUGAAACUGAAUUAGAGAGAAAAAACCACAUUGAUUAAUGGUACUAUUCAAUUGUCCAAAUUGAUGGUAAUCGAAUGGUUGUAGCGUUUGACUUUGUUCAAAGAGAUCUUAUGUUCAAAAUUCGAAAUGCGUAAUCAUUUUGAACCUUAAGAGGGCAUUAUCAGUUUCAUCUGGACUGAAGGUUAGUAAUUUUAAAAUUUGUCUAAUGACAACAUCGCUAAAUAUAAUGCCUGUCGAAGGGAUUUUUCAUUGAAAAAAUGGUACUAUUGAAUUCUGAUGAAAAUUUGCUAGCUAUAAUAUUAAACAUUGAUACUAAUUCAGUUCUUGAUUUGUAAGAUUGUGAAAUGUGGUUUUUGGUGAUAGCCAAAUUAGGAGAGGGACUAUGUGUGUCUUACUUUACUUUGUUGGGCUGAACAAUUCGGUUACUUUUAACGAUUAAAAUUGAUUAAUUAUUCUUUUUGGGAUGAUUAACUUAAAAUAAUUAGAUCGAUUAAUCAAUUAAGGAUUAAAAAACUUUUGUUAACUGAACCAAAUUUGUAACCGAUUCUUUUUUAUAUUUAUAUCUAUUUUAAUCAAAACCAAACUUAAAAAUCGGAUAAUUAGCAGUAAUUGACCUAUGAAAUGUGGUCAAUUAUUUAUUAAUUGACCCGACCGACUCCCACUCAUGCGUGUCUAUCUAAAGGAUCGAAAAGCAACCAUCAUAUUGAUCAUUGUGGAAGAAGUUCUAGGAAUGUUAGUCUAAUGAAUUGUGGUUCAACGGUACGUAACCAAAUUAUGUGUGACAUCAAUUGUUCUUCUUUGUAUCGAUCAUCAAAAGAGUUAUAUGUAUGUCAUGCCGAUGAAUAAGGUCAUCAAUUAUGCAACAAAAAUAUACACAUGUAGCAAUAUAAACAACAUUUUAAGCAUGAUAUUAACUCGAAAUUAAAUUAAUGAUAUGUUUAAUAAACGUACCCUCCAAAGGAAAUGAGAAGCAGCUGGGUUACAAACUUGAAACUGAAUCUGGUAGGCCAUCUCUUCCUGCGCAUUAUGAUCAAAACAUGCAAUUAGCUAGCAUGAUCAUCAAUAUUCGAAAAAUGCCACGAAAAUGGAAACAAGAAAACAAGAAAACGGACCUUUCGAAACAGAAAGCGAAAGGGGAGACGACGAGGAAGGUGGCGAAAGUGGAGAAGAUAACAAUGGUGAGAGGAGUAAGCCCGACCGACAUCAAAUAGCUCAGUAGAAUCGAAUUCCCAGCGUACACGAAUUGGACCGAUAUCAGCCCUCCCACGAUCCCUAUUUCUUCCAAUACAUUAUCCUUCUUCAUAACCAUGGAUUUUCGAUUCGAUGAUGAUGUCUAUGUAUGUUGUUGUUGUGUUUUGGUUUGAAUGUUGUGUUCCUCCCCUCUGUUCCCUCCUAUUGUUCUUCCAACAUAACCAUGAAGAUUGGUGAUGUACGAAAGAAUAACAGGAAGGAUGCAGGCCCUGUAAUUGGAAGAGGUAAAACACCAAUUAUUUGGUUCUUGUUUUGUGUUUGGAAAUGUUUCUUUCUGUAUUUUACUCUGCUUUUAUUACAUUUUUUCUUAGCUAAUUACUUUGGUUAUUAUCAUUUUCAUUUUUUACAAAAGAAAAUUUGAUUUAUUUGUGUAAUGACGAUAGUAACCUAAUAUUCCUAUGAUCGUUCAUUUGGCCUACAUUCUCUCCACCUUUGUCUCAAUCUCCCAUCUUAUUUUUCUUCUUUUUUAGUCGAAGAUAUUAGGUCGUGCGUGAUACAUUAAAAGAUAAAAUAGGUAAUACAUGAAUUAGUUACAACAAAUGAUGAAUGAAAUGGAAGAGACAUUGGAGGAAGAAUACCCUCUAGAUAAAAAAACCUUUUGUGUCACUAAAUGAGCCAGACGCGGUACAUGAAAACGAUGUUAAUAUUGGUAUGAUUUUCCAUCUCACAGCCAGCAAUCUUGUUUACCGAGACCACCACGAUCUUCUUAGAUAGCAUUAAUAUUGUGAACAUCCUGGAAACCCGACACUUCCCGUGGCCUUGGAGUGCUAUGCCGCCGGCCCGUCAUUGGUCUGAUUUUCCAUCUCACAACUAACACACCAUGGAUCAAGUUUGUCUUCACCCCUAGGAAGAACAAUCGGUUGACAGAUUGCUAGUUCGACAAGAGUUCAUACUAUUCACCCGAAUUGGGUUACUUUUCUCAAUUAUAUUGAUAUGUACCUCUCAAAUAUUCGUCUGUAACUUGUAGUCUUAUGAAAUGAGGUUUAUGUUCAAAAAAAUGUACAUGAGCGAUAAUGACGAAAGAGGUGACCAAAGGAGAAUGCGACAUUCGGCCCGACGCAGAUGUCCUCCACCCGAAAAUUGACCAGUCCCAUUGUCUUUGCUGAAUCCGAAUAGAUUGUACAGUUUCGAAGACGAGAAGUAGCAUCUGAGUUGGCCACCGAGUUGUUUUAUGGAUUUGAACACUUCGACCCUGUUUUCGAACCGGUUUGCCAAAAGCGGUUAUUCGUAUGUUUUACGGGUUAAUAACAUAGUUAUAGAUGGUAACCUUACGAUGCAUCUUGCCUAUCAUAUCUAAUUUCUAACCAUCAAACCGAUGCCAGUUCUGGUCCUGAAGAGAGCACUGCGCAACCUUCACUGCAAACGAAUCUCCACCUUAACAGACGCAAGCUUCUCAGUUCCCACCACCUCUCACAAACUCCUUAUCGAAUCAUGGAUCACCCGGAUCUCCUCCCUGGCUCAAGUCGGGUCGGGUUCCGAACAUGCCCUUUUACGCGCGUCGGAGCUGCUCAAUUUUGCCGCCACAGAGGACUCAACCGGGCAUGCUCUGGUUCAUCUUAUCCGCGCUUCCACCGACUUGGGUCUUGAAUCUUACUGCCGGAAGCUGCAUUGCUACGUUAUCAAAUGUGGGCUCACCUCCGACGUCUUGGUUUCCACCGCUUUGAUGAGGUUCUACGGAGCUAUGAAGUUGAUAGGUGUUGCUCACCACGUGUUCGACGAAAUUACGGUGCCAAAUGUGGUUUCUUGGAAUACUCUUAUUUCAGGGUACGUACGUUCAGGCCAGUUCAAGCAAGCUUUGGGGUUGUUUUUACAGCUUGAAUGUUCCGAGGUCUGCUCGGAUGCUUACUCGCUUACAGCAGCUUUAUCAGCUUGUGGGCAGCUUGGUAUGCUACAGUUUGGGAGGUCAGUUCACUGCAAGAUCGUUAAAGAUGGAUUUGAAUGCGGUGUUUUCGUUCCGAAUUGCUUGAUUGACAUGUAUGGGAAAUGUGGAUGGAUCGAAGAGGCGAUUCGGGUGUUUAACGGAAUGGUCGAGAAGGACACGAUUUCGUGGAACUCAAUUAUAGCAGCGAGUGGUAGAAACUCUAGGCUUGAUCUGGCCAGCAGUUUUUUCUUGCAGAUGCCUCAGCCUGAUACUGUCUCGUACAAUGAACUGAUCAAUGGGAUAGCUCAAUUCGGUCAUAUAGAAGAAGCUGUGGAGAUUUUGUCUACAAUGCCAAACCCGAAUUCAUCUUCUUGGAACUCCAUUCUUACAGGGUAUGUCAAUAGAAACAGAUCACGGGAAGCGAUGGAAUUCUUCACAAUGAUGCACUCGAGUAACGUUGGAAUGGACGAAUACACGUAUUCGAGUUUGCUAAGUGGAAUCGCUAGUCUAGCUGCGUUGAGAUGGGGAACGGUAAUCCACUGUUGCAUCGUAAAACGUGGUCUCUCAACAAGAGUGGUUGUCGGGAGUUCGGUGAUCGACAUGUACGCUAAAUGCGGUGAAGUUAGUAACGCUGAUUCGAUAUUCCGAUCGUUGCCACAUAAGAAUUUGGUUACGUGGAACGCGAUCAUAGCAGGAUACGCUCAGGGCGGGGAUUCGGAAAAGGUGAUACAAUUGUUUGAGGAGUUGAAGAAGGCGAAGGGUCUGCAUCCCGAUUGGAUCACAUAUCUAAACGUGUUAGCUUCAUGCUCGAACGCUAGAGUGCCACUCGAGACAGCAACUCGAUAUUUCGAAUCGAUGAUCAACGAUCACGGAAUCAUACCAUCCCCCGAGCACUGCUGUUCGAUGAUUCGUCUCCUGGGACAAAAUGGAGAGGUUCGUUCUACUUUGAGGAUGAUUUACGACUUUAGAUUCGAGUCGUGCGGAGUGGUUUGGAGGGCGUUGCUUGGAGCUUGCGGAACAUGUGCGAAUUCGCGGGUUGCUAAGAUUGCAGCUGCAAAAGUGAUUGAACUGGAAGGUGACGAUGAUUAUGUUUAUGUAAUGCUGUCCAAUAUUUUUGCCUCUUGUGGCAAAUGGGGAGAUGUAAAGAAGGUGAGGAAUCUCAUGUGGAAGAACAGAGUGGCAAAAGAAGUUGGCUGCAGUUGGAUUUGAAAUGACAAUAAUGGCCUUUUCUACUGAUUAUCAAUCUUGUAGUGUAAAGAGUUAAAUACAUAUCAGUAAAUGGGGUUGAGCCAAGAAUAUUUCAGACUUCUUACAACUGAAAAUUGUAUCUCCAGAGAAUCAAAUCAAAAUUCUAACUUGCUUCCAAAGUAUCAAGCAGGAAGCAACAGGCAAAAUGAACUCUUUAUAAUGAUGUCUUUCUUCACCUAAAUCACCUUGGAACUGACAGCCCGAGCUCUGUUAAUGGCACCAAAGCACAAAAAGGAUUUGAAUUAGGAACUGAUUCACAAGGCAGAGAGUUGCUGGAUAGAGAAUAAUGUGCAAAUUGUUGUAUAUGAUAUGCAAGACUGCCCUAACUCUCACGGACCCUUGUGAGAAGAAAGGUCAUAAACUCAUAAUCCAAUGUCUAAAGAGUGUACAGUUUUACUCUCAAAAUCAUAAACUGCAUAUAGUUGGUGACAGAGCCCACCUCCACAAAACAGGAUACUUCUCUCACGUCCCAUCAACACCAUCUGGGAAAAUGAGCAGUGAUGGUUACUACAGUACUCUCAGUUCAUAAACAUACUAUCUAUCUAUCAGCAAAAUCAAGUCAACAUCCUUGCAACUUAGCUGGUACCCUAGAGUGCUGAUUGUGUUAUGACUUAUGGCCAUGGCAUAAUCAGCUCAAUUCAAUGUUUUGAAGAUACAAUUCAAGGAGGCACAUGGAGGGGGGUCAUAUCUAGCAGAAAGCAAGCUAUACAAAAAAUGACAGUGCAUAGGCUGGAUUUCGAUGCUAAGAAGAACCACCCUAUUUAUUCUAAGGAUAAACUUUGACAGUGAAUUUACACGAGCAUUGUACUUAUAUCAAUGUUUUGAGAAGGUCAUCGCAUUUAAAUGCUGCACUUGAAUUUCUCAGCAAAGCAAACUUCUUAUUUGGGAUCUCCUAAUAGGGACUUUGAGUUCAACUUUGAUACUGAAGUAAACUUAUUGGCUAUUGCCUUGGUACUUGGGUUAAAGACUAGAUCUUGGUCACAGAGGAACCUAGACUUAUGGAGUGGGGAAACGGCCAUUCAUCUCAAGAAUAAGCAAACUGGAACACCAGGUGAAGUGGAGCAAGAUUUAUCUAUGGAAACUCCAAUAAGGUGAAAUAAAGGUUAUAGUUAUCAACCAAGCGAAAGUUUGAGAUUAACGAGGAAGUACUAAUUAUUCAUACUUGGUAAGGAUGCAGUGGGCCAUAAUUGACAGGUGUUUGGGAAUUAUGUGCCUGCAGGAACCAAAUAUUCUAGGUCAGACUGUGUUUAACGUGUAGAAAGACUCUCUCUACACUCAGUCUUGAGAUAGUAUACUCAUAUGAGAUCGAAUCCCAAUUAGAAACACCUAACAGAAAAACGUCCUCCAAGAUUCAAUUCGGCAUCCUUAUGUUACCUAACCUCAUGAAUGAUCAGUUCAACAGCCUCAGCUUCUUAACCUGUUCAUAGAGCUUCAAUUCCCGGUCUAAAGUUUCAGUUAAGCGACCACGAAAAAGAUAAGUUUUAACAAGUCGUUCCAAUUCAUCCAAGUCAAUGAUCAUUCCCUUCAAUAGAAGUGUACAACAAUUCAAGUAUUCAACAAUCAAUAAGUAAUCUUCAAACAAUACCCAAAUGGGCAAUGGCAGUUAUAAUUCUUGCGGGAAAGGGGAAAAAACAACAUAUAUCAAAUUGAAUUAUACAAUAACAAAAUUUAGGGUUUGGAUGGAGGAGAAGCAAAAGCAACUCACAGUCAAAAGAUAGUGUAACAGCUUUAGCAAGUAGCAACUAGAGGCUGGGAGAGGUGCAGCAGAGUGUACCCUGAGAGAGCGCACGGCAGCUAAUCGAAGUGGUGCUCAAGCAUGACGUCAGCCUCGCCGUCGCCACCGCACUGUGCAGCGGCAGCAGAGACGCCACGCAUCCCAGCUCCGACGGCAUCCUGGAGAGAAAGAACACCAGAACACAAAACAGACAGUCAGAAUUCCAAACAUGGAUUCCUCUUUGUGAGUUUCGGAAAUUGCAUACCUGGAGAUGGAGAAGCGGCGGACGGAGGGAGCAGGAGAGGAAGCGGAGGAUGGAGUGGCUGAUCUGGAGAAGGCAGAUUUGGAAGCGUUGGAUUUGAGGGCGGAUUUGAUGGAGGAUAAGGAUGAUCUAGAUAUGAAUUUGGCGCCGAAGGAUGCCAUUUUGCUGAGAUUCGAAGCAGAGGAGGAAGGAUCGAAGAUUGAAAGACUGGAAAGGAAUAGUAAAUUGCGUGGAGGGUUUAGGGUUCUAGAAUUGAAUUUGGCCUCGGAUACGUAAAGACCUUAUUACCCUUAGGAGUUACUUAGUUUACACUUUAUAGCAGGCUGCGCUUCGUUUAGGGUAAUGACCUAUCUCAACUCAAUGGCCGUAUACAUGUUAUUAGUCACGACUCGAACCUAACGUAUUAAUCGGGAUGAGGUGAAUAUUUCGUAAAUGUUAUCUCAACAUAAUGCCAUGAACAAAUAAGGUUUGAUUGAUAAUUUUAUUGUUUUAGAAAUUCUAUAAAGAGAGGUGAGGAUCGAUUUGUGUUUACAAGAUGAGGUAGGGAAUGUUGUGAGAUAUAAAGCAUUGUCGAAGUCGGACGAAAGCUGUAGUAAGGAAAGCGAGGCAGUAGCAACAUGGGAAGGGAUGAAAUGGUGUAUGGAGCUAUAGCUGAAUUACGUUAUUUUUGAAGUAGAUGUUCAGAUAACGGUGAAUGCAAUUAGAUGAUAAAAAAUAGAAAACCAUUUCAAGUUUGACGAUAUUAUUAUUGAGGACAAUACUUUUAUCUAAAUCGAUUUUCACCGUUUGUUUUGGGUGUGUAAAGAAAUGUUUGAGGUGGGCCUGGUACAAAUAAUUUAGUUUGAUGGCAGUUAUUAACUGAUACCGUCCAAUUAAGAAAAUAAAUCCAAACCUGAUGACAAAGUUUCUCGGCUGCUUUGGAUAAUAUCCACUAACCUCCUUCUUCUUGUACCUUUCCUUCUUCAGCUUUGUGGCACUCACAUACUCUAGAAUUUGUCUAUAUUCAUUAUUAUUAACUAAUAUUGGAUGUAACUAAAUAUUUUUAAAAUAAUAUUUAGCCGAAUUUGACAAUACAUCAAAAUUAUAAUUAAUUGGAAAGAACUAUAAACUAAUGACGGAACUGUAGCCAAGGUAGCCACCUCCAACACCGCCUCGGCCAUUAAGCCAGUAAUUUAAAUUUAAUUAUUUCCCCCUUAGACCUUUUAAUCAGUACAAGAUAGACGAAAUAAUUAUGUUAGAAAUUGGAAGAAAAGUUGACAAAAUAACUAUGUUGUUUUGACUGAAAAAAGUUAAUGAUGUAUAUGUUACUUUUCAAAGGUUGAUGACCACUUGGUCAUAAGUCCAAUAGGUUGAUGACCGACAUGGAUAUGAAGCCGGGGUAAAAUGGGUGGUAAUAUACAUUGUGAUUGGAAGACCAAAACAAACAAGAAAGUUUGGCAGAUGGCCUGGAAAUGGAAUGAAAGUCAUUUCCAGCUUCAACAAUAUUUUAAAGACAAAGGUUUUCUUGUGGACAAUUGAAUACGGCUUUUAUUUCCCUACGGCCGGCCUUCCUUAAAUCCAGGUGCAAAACCUCACGCUUAUACCGUAUAAAUACAGUAUACACGGACGGAUGUAUUACGUAUUUACAUCUUUAAUCUUGUGUGUACAUGUCAAAUUUGUAAGUAUUUAAUGUGUUUAUUCCAAUAUUCUACGGACCGGACCGGUCGUCGAAUCACAUUUCGAUAUUCAAUAACCGGGCCGGUCGUCAUCGAAAGAGAUUUGAGGAUUUAAGGUUCAAUCGGGGUUAAUUCUUAACACUAUAUUCUUCUCCUAUUUUACUAUUGCUGCCACGGUCUCCACUUUUGUCAUGCAGUCACCCAGUCAACAUGGAGAAAAAUAAUAAUAUUUUAUUAAUUGGUAGUGGAGAAAUUAAUCUAUCGUCUUCAUGUGAUUUAUUUGUUUCUUCCAUUUGAUGUUCGGUUUGAAAAAAUUUCGAUUAAUAUUUUUUUUAUUUACACGAGUUAGUUGAGCCGAUUUGAUAAUAAAUAAGAUAAAUUCGAGCUGCAAGUCAAGUUAGGUUGUGAGCUCCAUGAGCUUAGUUCAAGAAGCUAGCUUUUAUUUACGGCUCGAUUACCAGCUCGACUAAGCCUUAAUAAUUGGCUCGAAUGCUUGAUGGUGCGAUUAUCGGCUCUAUCGAUGCUCGUUGGUUAACUUGAUUUAGGUAGCUCGCAAUUAUCGAUUACAAGCGAGCCAAACUCAAACUCAACUCGUUAGAACUUACAAACUAAUAUCCAAUCUCGAGCUCACACAAACUUAGCCGAGCUGAAUUUGAGGCCGAUUAUCAUACCUCCAAUUGAACUCGAGCCCGAUCAAACGAGUAGAGCUCGAACCGGGUUUUUCGGGUCACUUUCAACGAAAAGUAAACUAGAUGAGUGAAUUAAUCUAUGUCAAUAAUACUUUCCUUUUGUAUGCAUGCAUCAUCUACUUGGAACAACGGUAUACGGUGGACCCCAACAAAAUAAUAAUAAAAAAACUAAUCCUUCUAUUUUGUUAUAUACAUGAGAGCAACAGGCCGGAGAGGCCCACCAAGACGGCGACAUGAGUCCACGCCGCCGCCGCCACCGGCCGGCGAAUCCCUCCACCGGUAUCCGUCGAAUUCUCCGACGCCAAUAACGUAUCAAACCUGAAGUUUGGAUUGGAGCCGUACAGCGCCUGGAUACCUUCGACGUCAUCAACCUUGAGCUCAACUUUCUUCGUCCUCGGGCUCAGACUCGGGUACAUCACCGCUUCCUUCACCGAGCUGUGGGCCAGGCCCAGCACGUGACCGAUCUCGUGCGUCGCCACCGAUUCCAAGUCCACGGCCACGUUCGACUUGUAGUCCGCCUCUGCCGCCCACGUCUCCGCCGCGUCCAGGUGGAGCCUCCCGUUCUCCGGCGAGAACGCGUGGGCCAAAACCCCCAACACCCCGUCGAACUCCUCCCCGUCGCCGUGGUCGCCUCUGUACCACCCGAUCCGGAUAUCCGCCGACCCGUAAUCCUCCACCUCCCGGAAGCUCACCGGAAUCGCCGACGACCACCGCCCGAACGCCCGACGAAACACCUUCUUUAUCUCGCUCAGGCUUAUGUACGUGAUCGUGUGCUCCUGAGAGAAGGCGUAGGUUAGCAUCAUCGGCUCCCCCGGCCUGUACCACCUCGGCCGCCCGUUGAAGUACGCGAAUCGCUUCGUUGCGUGGAUCCCCUGCGUCGCCGGAGGCGUCGGAGAUAUGUCUCCGACGCCGCAGCGAGGGGACAUGAUGGUGUUGACUGUGUCAGAGUCCAACUUUUUGGUGACGUGUAAUCCGAGGUUGCGCUGGUACGCUCCGAUGGCGGCUUCCAAUUCGCCGUCGAACAAAUCAGUGAAAUUAGGGAAGUUGGAAUUUAUGUAGCCGAACCGGUGGAAGUAUCGCUUGAGAUCGGAGACGCCGGUGAGCUCGCUGCCUUUGCCGGCGUCAAUCAAUCGAACGAAAUUCUGCCACGUGGAUGCGUUGUUCUUGUUGUCGUUGUUGUCCGUUACGACAGUUACGACGCCGUCCGGUAAGAUUCUGGCGGGAACUAAUAAGGAAGAGCGGGAAAGGCAGAGGAAGAGGAGGAAGAAGCCGAAACGGAAAUAACCGAAUAACUGAAUCAUGGCUUUUUUUUCCGUUUUGGCGGCUGGAGAAGAAGAACAAAGUAAAGUUGAAUUGUGAAUAAUGGUGAAGGGGAAUGGGAUUGAAUUUGUAGUGGGGCUCUAUUAUUAUUAUUAUUAAUUAUUUUUUCUUCAGAGGAAGUAAUUAAUUUAUGAUGAUAAUAAUAAUAAUAAUGAUGUAAGAUAUGGAGGAAUUAAAUGGAUAAUAGAUGGGGUUUGAGAGAGCCAAUGGAAAUUGAAUUAGUUGGAGAGGAGAAGAGUUUAUAUUGAGAAGAUUGUGGCUUUUUCAUUGCAGAUUCUGAAUUGGGGGAAAGGAAUAUGAUGUUUUGUGGUGACUAAAUGAGACUAUGGUGGGUAAACCACUUUAUCUAAUUCUUCUUUUUUAUACAAAAAUUGUGGUUGAUGUCAUCAUUUAAUUAAUUGACUAGUUCAAGAUUUGUGUUUAAUUAUAUUUUUAUAAGGAAUAAUAAUGUGUUUUAAUUUGUAGGAGGCCAAACUUGAAUCGAUACAUGUUAAAGUAUAAAUUAUAUAUAUAUUUGCUGCUUUCGCUGCCAAUUGAGGUCGAUCCACGAUUACACGAUUUGAGUUAUGUGGAGCGAUUUUCAUUUUACAACUUAUUUGGGAUCGAGGCUCUAGAAAGGUGAACUUGUAAUUGGAUUCACAGCGCGCUAUUUCAGGUAUUCUUGGUAAUCCUUCAGAGGAUUUUCGACAUCUCUCGUGCAUCUUAGAGGCACAUCAAGCUCCUUCAGAGAGAUUGAGUUGUGCACAUUACACACACUUAUCAUGAAGACAACCACAUUGUGGAUGCUCUCGCCCACUUUGCGCACUCUCUUCCAUUUGGUUUUCAGCCCAUUGAUUGAUACUCUUUCCUUUGCAGCUGUUGAUUGUAUUCACAUGGAUUGUUUGGAUGUUGCGCUCGCCCGUUUUAUAUCUACUAUAUGAUUAACAGCCUUGUUUGUUUGUUAGAUACGAUUGAAUUCAAAUUCAAUAUUUCUGAAUUGUUAGCACAUAAUACUACCAUGUAAGUCUAUCUAUCAUAACCAUUGUUGGCAAACAAUAUUUGAGCGCAUCUCAUGAAACAUUAGCCAUUAAUGCUAUGUUUGGCAAUAAAAAUCAUAAUUCUUAAGAAUGUGAAAUUAAAAUAGUAUAAAAUAAUUGAAUUGAGGUUAAAAAAUAUAAGAGAUUUUUAAAAAAAAUUAUUUUCCCAUUGAAUAGAUAGGAAAAUUCUUUAUAUUCUUUAAUUCAAAUUUUCAUCCAUAAUAUUUUUCUAUUCCAACUCGACAUGUUUAUAUUAAUCUCAACUUAUAUUUCCUAAGAAUCUAUUGCCAAACAUGAUAUAAGUUUCUGUCGUGUUUGGAUUCUUCCUUCCAUGGUUAAUUCCAAGCUUUUGGGUUUAGGGGUUGAGUCAACUACUGAAGCUCUUUGUUGGUUGACCAAAUUAGGUGGUAGGUAGACUUAUGUAUAGAGUUUUUUCUUUCUUUAAAGUUUCUCUGGUUUUCCCUAUAUCCAGGCGAGGCAUGGCUUGAUUACGUGCAGGAUUACCUUAACUGAUGACGAUUUUCUGCUCAACCAACUUACACCAAUACAUAUUAGAUCAAACCCCCCUGGUUCAAUUAUGUUCCACCCACCGGUCACCUUCGAUGAAUGAAUAUUACGUUACCAAACGCACAUAUAGAGAUCUCCUGUAUUGAUGCAGGGUUAGUUCCUGCUACAGAAUCAGCAUAAAGGAAACCCAGUUGAGAUAACAAAAAAGCCAAUGAAAAAGAGCUCAGUUAAGGAAAUCCUUCAUUGGAUCAUCAUGGUGCACUUUCUUCAUCCGAUAUGCCUCCAUGUCCUCCACAGUAACCUGAUCAUUCCACUUCACAUUGUACUUGCGUUUCCUCUCGUCCUUCUCCUCUUUCUUCCUCUGGUCUUCCUUCUUCAGCGAUUCAGCUAGUAGCUUCUCAUCCAACACCAGAUCAUCGGGUACCUCUGAACCCCAUAUCGCGAGCCUUUUCUCCUCUACAGGUUCUGGGACGUCAUCAUCAGCUUCUUUCCGUGCAAUAUUUGCUUUCAUCAGAUCCGUUGCAGCCUCAGCUGCCUUGAUUCCAGCGGCGCCAGUGCAGUAACUGUUUCGAAUGCUCUGUCUACAGCAUUUGUAUCCCCACUGAUGAUCCUUCCACCAUGACCCCCAAACACUUGUGUGGUUGUUAACGUAGACAUCUUCUUCGUACUUGCUUUUCGGAAGCGCAACUUCCUGUAAAUAACCAUCAGAGGGUAAAAGAAUCAGUAUACCACUGCAUAAGAUAACAGGAAACCCAAUAACAAAUCCAAUGUGUUGAAAGAAUCCAAUGUAAUGCAUACUGAUGUCAAAUUUCAAAUAGGGAGACUCGGGUAAAACAUGUUCGGAAACAGAAAUUUCUAAUAUAGAAUAUCCAAGUGAAGUUGUUCUCAGAAGUUACCUGUCCCUUGAUAAAUCUUCCAGCACGAUCAUACUCGACUUGACGUUCGCUCUGUCCAAGCAGAAGUUCUUUUGGAAUGGGGUCUAGGCUAGCAGCAUUCCCAUACUUCUCAAGCAUUUGGUCUUUUGUUUGAGUCUCCAGUUUCUCCUUUAUCACCUUAAAAUUCUUAUAAAGCAGCUCUGCUUGAGAAGGAGCAGCUUGCAUGUGAAUAUCUUGACCCUUAUCAAAAGCUUCCCAAGCGUGGACGUUGAGCUGCUUGAACUCCUCAGCUUGACCACUAUUUCUAUACUGAUUGUCUCCCAAAUAGAACUUCUCAUUAGGAUCGGCAUCUGGGAGAGGGUCCUCACGCAUGGAACGUGUUUUCGGAUCAUAGUAAGCAGAAUUGACAUCAAGAUUCAACAGAUACUUUGCUGUAUCUUCCCGAAUACGCAAGUUCCUCACAGUUCCAGUACUACCACCACCAGUUGUCCUAACACGCUUCUCCACCUUAGCAAAGUCCAUUUGCUUCGACUCGUCAACUUUUGCUUCAUCCACCCUCAAAUCAUCUUCGUCAUUGUCCUCAUCACUAACAUCCUCAGCAGUCUGGCCAUUGUUUCUCUCCUCCAGCUUCUUAAGCUGCUGCUCCUUCACAUAACGACUCCUGGCAGCAUCUCGAGCUUCAUACCGCUCAACAACAAGUGCAUAACUCGCUGCAUCAUACCCAUUCCAGCGAUCACGCUUGCCAUCGUAAUCAAGCUCGAAAGUCUCGAUCUUUUCAUCAGGAGCAAUGUGCAUGUUAGUCCACUUUGCCCCAACUUUCCUUGGCCUCUCCAUGCAAGAUUUCAAAUCAUGCGUCUCGGCUCCACAGCUGCAAGAUGCAUAAAUGAUCAAUAACAGUUUCUUCCCACUAAAACGAAAACAAACAACCAGAGAACCGGUUACAAAUUGAGGAAAUUCACUUACUUCUGACAAGCACCUUUCCUGUACUUAUUCGCCUGAUACACUUUGGCACCUCUAUCAUACCAAGAUUUCGUAUAGAUCGGAUCCGGCUUCCAUUUCCUUUGAUGUUUCAAACUCUAACAGAGAUGAAAGACGAAUGGAGAUCAAUAAUCUCGAACUACUUAAAAGCAGGCAAAUUGAAACAGACAAUCAAAACCCGCAAAACUUACAGGCGUGUCAGGAUUAAGAUACCAAGGGGCUGAAGACAUAUACUGAGGAAUAUGAGGAUUGAUCUCUUUCCCAUCUUCAUCAACUUCGGCAGGAGCAAGACCAGCUUUACGCGCCUCCUCCAAUUCCAUCUGUUUCCUAUGAUCCUCUCUGGACUUGAAGGCACCUGCGAUAUUCCCACCCACAACCACAAAUCCAUUUCAGUACACAGCCCAAGCAAAGAUUUUACAUUCAAUUGAAGAAUUAAACGAUUCAAACACCAAACCGAGUCGUAAACUCCCUAAAGUCUACGCCGAGGAACCCUAAACAGAACCUAAGUUCCAUAUUCAACUGGCCAAACAACAAGAGAAGCCGAAUUAAGCUCAAAAUAAUCACCUGAAGCAGUCGCCAUUCUGCCGGAAACUCUAGAUAGUAGAAGUAUAGGUGUUUCGAGUCGCCGGAAGGAAAAUCAGCCGUGGAAACUGCUGAAGACGAAGAAUCCCUGAUCUUUUUCCUUCAAGGCGGUAAUAGUAAACAAUAAAUAACCGGAAAAAAUAAAAAUUCGCUUAAUACACUCGCGAAUCAACUUAUCGGCUUCGCGCAAAUAAUCAAACUUAUCGAAAAUACAUCUUUGUUAAUUUAGAUUUAAUAAAAUUUCGUCUAUAUAUAGAUGUAGCUGUCGUAUUGAGAAUUACGAUAACGAUAGAAAAUUAAGGCACAAUCAACAUAAACUAUUUAUUAAUUUUACGAUCUAUUAAUUCGAUUCAGAGCCUAUUCUUCCUCUCCCGUCCUUGACAACUACGAUCUUAAUAGUAUCACGAUGACUUCGCUUUUCACUCUCAUUGAAAACUCUCUCCAAAUUACCCAUUUAAAACUUUAGUGUCGACGAAGAUAUUUCCGACGACAGAUACAAACCUAAACGUCCAAAAAUCAACCUCGGGUGGAAGUUCGUUUAACUCGAUGAUCCUAAACCUCAAAAUUAUUUUUCCAAUUCUACAUCAACCCGAAACAAGUUUAUAUGGACUAUUCUGUUGUUGAUGUGGCUAUCUAACUCACCACCAUCACAAUGAUGUCAAGUUUUUCAUCAUUUUUAACGGUUAAUAAUACACACGAUUACUAACCGUUAAACUUAUUUAAAAUUAGUCUAAAAUAUAUUUUUGAUAAGUGGUGUCAUUUUUUAGGCGAUGUCAAUAAAUUAGGCUUCCGAGGUCUAUUAAAUUAGGCUUCCUAGGUCUAUUAAACCAAUAUAUAUAUAAUAAUAUCGGCUAAAUGACUGUGUUUAUGAACCUAACCGAGCCGAAUUUUAUCCGGCUCAAGCUCGGUUCGUCUCUGGUCUCAACUCUCAAUUUCAGAUUUCCCCUUCCGCUCAGAAAUAAAAAAAAAUCAGAACACAAGCUCUCCUUUCUGUGCGAGAACUGUGAUCACAAACAGUAAAGCACCAAUUUCCCGGCGCAAUAUUAUUCACAAUUACACCUCUCUCCGACGCGUUUCCGUUCCCUUUGAGCGAGCUUUGCUCUUCUCAUCGAGUUUGAACGGAACCAGAUGGUUGGGAUGAUUCUCUGAUGCCGGAAAUGCUGGGGCUGGCGGUGGCAUUUUGAGUGAUUCGGGCAAUGUCAAGAAGGCUAGGGUUGGAGAGAAAUCGGAGCGGGAGUGGCAAAGGUGUCUAGGUUUAGUUUGAUGCCGGCGCAGUCACAGCAACCUAACGGUAAAGUGAGCACCACCGCCUCUGGCGGCGGCGGGGUAGGAAAGAUUCAGAGCAGUAGUAAUCAUCACAGUGAGUGGUGCUGGUGGCGGGGGAGCUGGAGAGCGUCCUUGGCGCAAGGGCUGCAGAUGCAAUGUAGGAAGAUCCGGUGGUCGUUAGUCUGCGGUUUGAUGCUCUUCGCGCUUGGGAUGGUCUCGCUCUUCACUGGACAUAUGGCGUCUGAUCUCGAGUGGUAUUCUCAGCGGCUGGUUAAGCGGACCCUCUACUCCAGAUUUGUCAGCUCCUCUCUUUGUUAUUUUGUUUGGUCAGGGAGAAGUGUCAAUUUUCAGUAUCCAAAAGAAGAAAUCAACCUAUGUUUAAUGGAAUUGUUUGCAGCAAUUGUCGCUUUCUUAGGUUUUGUCCUCAUUAAUGAGGACUUUGAUUUUUCCUUUUUUGCAGAGUGGUAUUCGUCGUGAGCCUAUUGAUAUCUGGAAAUCCAAGUACUCAAAAUUGUUCUAUGGAUGCAGCGAAAGGGGACGCAAAUAUGCUCGUAAGUUUGAUUUUUGUGAUCACUUCUAUCCAUUUUUACCAUUCAUGGAGUUUCCCUGUAUGCAUUUGAUGUCUUUUGGAUUAAAGAGACUAGAUGAAUUGGUUCUGGCAGCUCUAUUCUCUCAGGUUCUAAGAAUGUACCCAGUUUCUGUUGGUUUUAGGUUUGGCUGUGUAGAUGGAGUACUUCCUAUUAGUGGCUGUAGCCUCCAUCAAGCAGAUUAGAUCCCGUUCAGAUGAUUUCUUUUCCUGCUUGCAUCGCCAGCUUUGUGUCGAGGACAAUGACAAUAGGAAUCAUUUCGAUCGUUUGUGCUAUUGUGCAUGGGCUUUUCAUAGAUUCAACUUCCUGAUCGUUGAUGUGUCUAUGUGUAGCUGCUACACCUCAAAGAGUAUCCAAUGGGUAUCUGCUUAUAGCAGCAAGUGGAGGACUCAACCAAGAACGAACAGGAGUAAGUGAAAAAUGUUUCCAUCUCAUUUCAACGUUUUCGAGUAAUUUGAUGGAAGUACUCUUGGUUAGAUUUAUAUUUCCUAUCGAAGUUCAGUGGUCAUUUGUAAUUGGUUUGUAAAAUUGUUUGCACCUGCAAUGCCAUACACUUUUUAACUUCACUUAAUUUGACUGAUGAAUAAACUUGCGGGUAUGAUUUGGUAGCUGUGCUCUGCUCUGUGCUCAUCACAAGAAAACUGUAUCAUUGAUUAUUCUUUUUCAUCUUAGAUAACAGAUGCUGUAGUUGUUGCGAGGUUUCUUAAUGCCACACUAGUUGUUCCUGAGCUGGAUCACCAAUCUUAUUGGAAAGAUGAUAGGUAAGUUGCAACUUUGCUAUUCUGUACACCAGUUUCUUCCUUGCACUAUUUUCGAAAUUGUCUCUGUAGUUGCUUUAACUAAAGUUACAUUACUUGGCAUGCAGUGAUUUUGUUGAUAUAUUUGACGUUGAUUGGUUCAUCUCUUACCUUGCGAAAGAUGUCACCAUUGUUAAAAGAGUUCCCGAUAAAGUUAUGCGAUCAAUGGAUAAGCCUCCAUAUACUAUGCGGGUCCCAAGAAAAUCCCCGCCAGAAUAUUACAUGGACCAAGUUCUACCUAUAUUAUCAAGGAGAAAAGUAAGCUGCUGACUUAGUUGUUAACAUGAGGAAUCUUUAGUGUUUGUACAUUUGAUACUCGUGGCAAUAUCCUUUCAAGUAAUGACAUGAUGUUCUCUCAGUCUGUUUCAUCUUCAUUUUGGGUGAACAAUUUAUUUUUGGAAUCAUUGCAGGUUCUACAAUUGACGAAGUUUGAUUAUAGGCUUGGAUAUGAGCUUGAUGAAGAAUUGCAAAGGUUGCGCUGCCGGGUUAACUAUCAUGCUCUGAGAUUCACAAAGCCAAUACGUGAAAUUGGCCAAAAGAUUGUUAUGAAAAUGAAGAUGAUGGCAACACGUUUUAUUGCUAUUCACUUGAGGUUUGUUCAUAGAUUCUGUAAACAUGUCUCACGUUGUUCUGAUCUAUUCUUGUUUGUUGGGAUCCAAGCAUUGCAUGAAUUACAUAUCACCCUAAUUGCAGAAUAGAGUCAGUUAGCUCUGAUGUUAAACACACAGUUACAUGGAAAUGUAGUGGUAGGAAUAGUUUUCCCAGUGCAGGUUAAGUUUUCGAACCUGUGGUGUCUUCGGUUCAAUUCUAACCUUAAGGCCAGCCUUGAAAACGGAACCAGAAUCUAUCAAAAAGGUAUAUUUCUUCUGGAAUUUUUACCUGGGUUACACUGGUAGGUGAUUUUACCUUUAGAAAGUCAGAGACAGCGUUUCUGGAUCUUGUUUCACCAAUUGCUAAGUGUCAGCUAUACAUCGUACAUCAACAUCACGCUAGGCGGCUGUUCUUUCACGUUUGUUAUUACUUCUGGAUUUAUGGUUUUACCAGUGUCUCCAUAAUUUCUGGUCGUGUUUCUCUAUACACCUUUUAAUAUUGAUCUAAACUGCAAUGGAGUACAGGUUUGAACCUGAUAUGUUGGCCUUCUCUGGUUGUUACUUUGGAGGCGGUGACAAAGAGAGAUACGAGCUCAGUCAAAUAAGGAAAAGAUGGGAAACAUUGCCGGUGAGAUUUUUACUGUUGAAAAUUGCAAAUUUUUAGUUUACGGCUAGUUUAGCAAUAUUUUGGAUUCCAAAAUCACUUCUGCAAGGACUAGUUAGUACAUGCAAGUUAUACGUGCUGAAUGGUUGUAUUAUUCAAUUUCAUCAACAUUCCACCAUCAAAUGUCAACUGUACAGCACAGCAUGUGUUUUGAUAUCUUAGCAAAGCAUACUUGAAUGUUUCAGGACUUGAGUCCCGAAGAUGAGAGGGCAAGAGGGAAAUGUCCUCUAACUCCUCAUGAAGUAGGACUGAUGCUGCGCGCAUUGGGUUUCGCUAAUGAUACGUACCUCUUUGUUGCAUCUGGAGAAAUAUACGGCGGGGAAGAAACUUUACGACCCCUUAAAGAACUAUUUCCCAACUUCUACACAAAGGAGAUGCUUGCUAAUGAUGAGUUGAAACCAUUCCUUCCUUACUCUUCUCGCUUGGCGGCUAUAGACUACAUUGUCUGCGACGAGAGUGAUGUCUUUGUCACAAACAACAACGGAAAUAUGGCAAAGAUUCUCGCAGGACGAAGGUAAUGCAACUUCAGUUGGUUUGUCUACGCUUCAAAUCAGUAUUUUAUAAAUGAUGCCCAAAUCUAAUGCAUACCUGCUCAGGUUUUGGAACCUCGGUUGUUGGUUUUAAGUGCAAAGCUGGGAUUUCUAAGGAACUAUCAUUUCGAGUGAUCGUUUGCAAUUCUUUUGUUUCUUUUGUUGUGAACUAAGGAGGUACGCAGGGCACAAGAGGACCAUCCGACCGAAUGCUAAGAAGCUUAGCGCAUUGUUCCUGAAAAGACAUAAGAUGGACUGGGCCACCUUCUCCAGAAAGGUAAAAUCUUGUCAGAGAGGUUUCAUGGGGGAACCAGAUGACCCAAAACCUAGCCGAGGCGAGUUCCAUGAACAUCCUGCUUCUUGUAUCUGCGAGAAACCAUUCACCGAGGACGGGAACCUCAAGGAAGACAUUGCUUACGCACAAAAUCAUACUUCUUUUAACCCGAAGAGGCAAUGAAGUCAAUAGGAAGGUAGAUACAUGCGAGUACGAGGAUCGAAGGAAAGCGGAUUCGGAGGAGGUUAUAGCAGGUGAUGAGCUAGGGCUUCUCUGCCUGAUAAAUAUGAUUCACUCAUUCCGACACCGACAUAAACGUCAAUAUGGAUGCGAAAUCUCACGACGGGCUCGAAUGAUUGUGUGAGCAGUCUUCUUUCUGCGUAAGUUCAGCGAGUAGAUGAGAGAUUUGAAGGAUGAGUGAAUGUACAGAAGAAGACAUUGAUGAGUUUGCAAGUGUUGAUAAAGUAGUUUGGUUUGGGUAGGUAAAAUGAUGUCUAGUGGUCUAUAUGGUGUCUUCUCUUUUAUGCACACAAGCAUGAGUGGUCUUUUUGCUUCCUAGUCUUCACUUGCAUUUCGUAUUGUUACAAAAGGAGGCGAAAAUUGUCAGUAAAACUAUUUGUGUAGCAUGAUUUCUCGACCACGAUAAAACUGAUCAACUCGUUAGACAUGGUUUCAACAGUUUCAUCCAAAUUAACCCUCUAAACCUCGACUAUCGCGAUUGAGCUGCUCAAUGUCUGGUCAAGUCUCGACGAUGUCUUUUGGUACGUUUGCAAGUGUUGAAUAACGAGGUUGGGUCAAUAGAUUUAAAUGCUUCUUUUCCUUUAAUGCAUCAUAAACAGUGUAAUUCAUUGCAAAGAAUGUGUAGUAUAUACAGACAGACGACGUUUGUUAUAGUGGGACAUCAAAAUACAACAGUUUUGUUAUGCUCGUAAGGCAAUACUCUUAGUUCACAGUAGGACUUUAUAGCUUUGGCAAGACAUUGUUUCUCUAGGUUCUCCGAUUUCUGGAUGAAACUCCGUAGAUUAUCUCGGUGGGUAACUCUCUCCACCUGCAUUCAACAAUGAGACAUAUUACAACAUUGUUUACUGCAGUAAUGGUGCAUUAUAGAGUCUCAAAACGUUGAUACCGAACAGAUUGUAAUUUCAGCAUAUUGAUACAGAACAGAUUGUGCUAGUCAUUCAUACCAUCUGCUCAAUAAUAGGACCAGAAUCAAGCUCUUCAGUGACAAAAUGAGAUGUUGCUCCAAUCAGUUUUACGCCUGCAUCAAAAGCCUGCAGAAAACAUGGAUCAGAUUAAUCGUGUCUCUGAGUUAGGGACAGAGGAUCCUUAGAAAAGCUUCAUUGCCCCCCAGAAGGAAUUGAAGCUGGUAUUCUCACCUGCUUUGAAGGGAAUCCGCCUUUAAAUGAUGGAAGAAGCCCAUGGUGAAUAUUAAUUACAUCUUUUCCAUAGCUUCUCAAGAAAUUACCAGAUAAUACCUGCAAUGAAUUGACUGCAGCAUGAGAACUUCUUUCACUAAGUGCACCGCAGAAACGCAAAACGAAAACUGCCCCAUGAUGACGAAACCAAAGAGCACAAGGGCACAGAAGAAAACGACGGGUCGACAAAAUAUUACUAAUAAAGAUAAAAAGAAAUUUACCUGCAUGUACCUGGCAAGUACCAAGAAAUCAGUAUCCUGGACCAAAUUCAAGAUCUCCUCCUCCCUUUUAUUGUCUGUGGUUGUGUCAACAUAAUGAUACGGAAUCCCAUUUCUUUCGAGAAAACGAAUCACGUGUGUGUUCUCACCUCUUUCAUGGUUACUGUAGCAAAGAGCAUGAUGAAUGGACCACAGUAAGCAAUCGGGGAAGCAAAUGAACUAACUAACAUGGAUCACAAUGCCAAAAACUUGACCUAAUUACACAAACUAUCUCGACCGGGAGUUUCCCAUCCUGCCAUACAUGCAGCAUAUCAGUCAGACAGUGUUCCUGCAAUAAAGAAAACCGAUGCUUAUUACCCUGCAGAUUCACAGCCACAACUAGGAACCGCGAAAAACUUACCUGUUUUGAAGCAAGUAAAGCGAUUUUGUACUUGCGGUCAAGAUCAGGCACUCGGACAACAGAUCUCGUGGCGUUGAAUGUUUUAGAUAGCUUCAGAAAGUCCUCUUCCAUUUCUGCUCUAGGCCAUUUUACAUGGUCGAAAAUGAACUCGCUGUCACAUUAAAGAAACAGUCUCGUGUCAAUGUGUGCGCAUCAGUAGACAGAAAAUGAAGAUACUAACUAAAUCAAACGCUAUUCAGAUCAAGAAAUGUGCUUUAAAUACAGAAGAAGAGAGAAAUUGCAAACAACUUCUCCCGAUUUUUUUCUUAUGAAAAUAGGAUACCCAACACUGAAAAUUAAGAGAGAAACUAGCAAGAAAAUCAUCGAUACAGAUUCAGAAAAUUAAAGAUUCAACAUACCAAUCAACCAACCCAAACUAUUAUAACCAAAACUUUGAAUCGCCUGAAUUAUACAAAAAUUGAUGCAAAAUGAAGAAACGGGUUACCUUCUGGAAUAGAAAACCUCCUUAUUUUCUGGGACGAAGACAUCAGCGCCGAGGAUAUUGCCGCCUCUGGAUGCAAUGCAAUCCGAUAGCUUAGCAACGAUACCGCGCGCAUCCUAUUCAAUCAAAUUGGAACCAUAAAGACUAAAAUUUAGCUGCUAUCUCAAAUGAACAGAAUGAUUGUCGAGAUAUGGGGCAUUAGCUAUGGAAGUUACGGGGCAUUGGAAGACAUGGAUGCCAUAGGUGAUGGAGGAAGAGUCGAGAGGCUCGCCGGGGAAUCUGAAGGACUUAAUUGACCUGCUGCUAGCGAACCCGAUGAAUUGGGGAAGAAGGGUUGAAGGAAUCUUGCUCCUCCGUAGAAUCGUGGUCAUAUUUUCAAGUCAUUUUCGAUUCUCCCAGUAGGCCAUUCUUAUUUGCUCGCCACCAACCAAAUUUGAAGCUGGAAAUGGAUCAUCUUGCUGGAUGAUGAUAGUUCGUUUCAGAUGCGAUAAUCAGACCGGUCAGUUUUCAUUUAAACCGUCCCAACCGCGGUCCAACCAGGGUUGGUUAAUAGAAUUAAAGAAACGACGCCAUUUCUUCUUUUAUUUUAACUUUCAACUUCGUGGUCGUCAUUUCUCUGAUUCUAUCUUCCUCGUCGAACCUCAAAUCGCCGACUGAUACAGGCCAGCUCCGGCUACUCCAGCUAAAUAGUCUUCGGCUUUGCUCAAUAAGCAGGUACAGUAAUCUUCAGCUCCCUUACUAUGUGAAAAAAUUGGAGGGUUUUUUUUGGUUUUGAUCAUAUUCACCAGCAUAUGCUGAUGCAUGUUCAGUCUCAGCCUGCUUCAUUUCCACCCUUCUCAUUUGGUUUGUUAAAUUCUUGCUAAUUUAUGAAAUCAAAGAAUGGUGAGGCCGUUUGGGGUCAAGGGGCCGAAGAGGAAGAGGAAAGAGCAGAAAUUUGACAGGGAAGAAACUCCGGAGCAGGAAACUGCUGCGGUAGAGGAGAAGAAUGAUGAGAAGGAUAUUGAUGCGACUAAUGACAUGGUUGGCGUCCCAAUCGUUGAGAUUGACCGACAGAGCAAAAAACCUGGGGUUAUUUUCGUGCUGGAGAAGGCCUCUUUGGAAGUUGCCAAAGUUGGAAAGGUGUUUACUAUAGCUUUCCUUGCUGUUCAUUUCAUCAUGCUCGUUUUGUAAAUUUGUGCAAUAUGAUGACGCUGGAGGAUUUAGCUGUGAUGUUUAUUAAAAAGUUCAAUUUAAUUUGUGCAAACUGAGCUCUCUAAACGUUCAUGGUGGUGUUUAUGUUUCCUGUCAAUUGGCGCAGACUUACCAGAUAUUGAAUUCGGAUGAUCAUGCGAAUUUCCUGAUGAAAAACAACAAGAACCCUGCUGAUUACCGGCCUGACAUUGUUCACCAGGUUAGUUUCACUUUCAGGGUUUCUCUUAUGCGAUGUCAGGGUAACUAAUAUCUAAUUUGGAGGCAGUAUUAUCAAAUUAGAGGAAGAAAGAUAGAAAUGGCGUGAGCAAAACCGCAUCAACAGCCAUGGCCUUUAUUUAUAUCAAUGGUAAAAUCCGGAAACACUGUUUACCCAACGGUAACAAAAGAAACGUAAAAAUACAGAGAAGGUAAAGAUAAGCGUAAACACAGCGUUUCAAUUAACUAACGGAUUCCUCUAUUCUCCACAACUUCAUCAUAGAAGUCACUGUUCCUCAUUCCGUUAGUGUCAUCCUCCUUAUCUCCAUAAGCAGCUGCUGCAGGUGUCAACUGCAUCUCUGAUUUCUGUUUCCUUAAUAAGUAUAGCCAAGGUCCAAACGAUUUUCCCGCUGAACGAUGUGUUUCGGAUAAUCGCUUAUUGCUUCUAUAUUAGAAAAUACUCAGCGAACUGAACUGUUUCUUUGUUCAAGUUAUAUGUUUAUCCAUCUGAACCAAUGCUCGAUGUUAUUCUCUGAUUUUAUCCUGGUUCUCAUGUUCCAACUGCCUUGUCUUUACAGGCUCUCCUUUCAAUACUAGAUAGCCCGCUGAAUAAGGCUGGGAGAUUGAAGGCUGUAUAUGUAAAAACCGAGAAAGGUGUCCUUUUCAAAGUUAAUCCACAAGUGCGUAUACCACGGACAUAUAAGCGUUUUGCCGGUAUUAUGUGUAAGUUCUACUCAACUCGUUGAGGAUACCCUGUUAUUUCUUUUUCACCUUGCCUCGUAUAGGAGGAUUGCUACCGACUUAUAUUCUUUUGCAGUGCAACUGCUUCAGAAACUCAGUAUAUCUGCUACGGGUAAGCGGGAGAAGCUUUUGCGUGUGAUAAAGAGUCCAGUAACCCAGUAUCUACCAGUCAGCUCCCGCAAAAUAGGUAAAGGUUUAAGCUUUAGGAUGUUUUGACUUAUCGACGUUUAUUCCAGAAGCAGAUUGAACAAAUUGCUUGCCUUUUCACAUCAGGUUUUUCUUUCAGUUCGGAUAAGUUGGUCCAAAUGAGCAAGUACGUGGAAACAGUUGGUAACGACGAUGAUCUUGUGUUUGUGGUAUGGCCCUGAAAGCAAGAUCCCUUUGGCUGCUGCUUUAUGUUGAAUUCUGGCGUUUUCAAUUUUGCGAUAUAACCCGAGUGUGAUUACAUUAAUUCAGGUUGGUGCUAUGGCUCAUGGGAAAAUCGACUGUGAUUACAUUGAAGAUUUUAUAGCUAGUAUGCUUGUUUCUCCCCAUCAUACCAUGCUGAGUUUUCUUGAAUCCAUGCCAUGUUGGUCAUGUCACCACUCUCAUAAUGUUGUAUGUGCUGCAGUUUCUGGGUAUCCGAUGAGCGCUGCAUGGUGUAUCGCAAGGAUCUGCGAGGCUUUAUCGAACAAGUGGGGUGUCUUGUGAAACAAGUCAACAACUGUGUCCCCAAUGAGCUGAUGGGUUCUCCUUUGUAAUAUCGUAAUGCUAAACUUUCUUGGGCGUGUAUUGGCGGUGUGUUAUUAAUUGUUAGAAAGACCUUUAUAUAUAGAUAGACUGUAUGAGAAUUUUGAUGGCUUGGUUUGCAAUAAGACUUUUAUGAUUUUUUGGAAAGUUGAGUUAAGAUUAAUGGAAAAUUUUGAGUUAGGUUGGGAAUGAUUAUGGAAGGAAACUUAAGUUAGGUUGGGAAUGAUUGUGGAGGAUUUUGUGUACAAGGGGCUUCAGUAAGAGAUUAGCUUGGUCGAAUGGUUAUAGGAUUGGCACUACGGGACAGUUGCUCUGACGGUAGAGUUGUGUGUUUGAUGAUGCAGAGGUUUCGAGUACGAUUUCAGCAUGACCUACGAAAUGGAAUCUAUCAUAUAUUGACUAAAAAUCUCGAUCUAUUCCGAUAAAAAUUAAUUUAAUAAUGCAAACAGUUCAACUGAUUUAGAAUCGUGAUUUAACCAUCAAAAUUCCAACCACUAGCCUGUAGGGUUUUCAGAACAUUGGGGUUUAUACUUCUUUUUAGCGGCGGCGGCGGCAGAAAAGGGUUUAUAGUUUAGAAUCCUUCUCGCUGAUUCGGACUCUGUCGUCGUUACUCUCACCGGCGAUUCAUCAGCCAACUAAAACCCAAAACCAGCUGCCCAACUGGUCCCAACAUGGCAACUCGCCCAGAGAAUCUAGCGCCACCUGAAAUUUUCUACAACGAUUCCGAAGCUCGGAAGUACACUUCAUCCUCCCGAAUUAUCAAAAUUCAGGUACUCCUUUCAGGUACAAUUCAGGUCACUCGUUUGUCAUUUUUGUUGGGUUCUGAUUCCGCUUUGCCAAAACAGUCGCAGCUUUCGGAGAGAGCAUUGGAACUUCUGGCUUUGCCUGAUGAUGGCGUCCCUAGAUUGCUUCUCGAUAUUGGUAUUUCACUGCUUUUUGUAUCGAACUUGUCUAUGCGAAAGAGAUUACUACUUUUGAGAUGUGAGUGUGGAAGUUGCUGAAAGUUGAAGCCUUUGUUAUGUUCCAGGCUGCGGAUCAGGGCUUAGUGGGGAGACGUUAACUGAAAACGGCCAUGAAUGGAUUGGCCUAGACAUUUCAGAAUCAAUGCUUGGUAUGUGUAGUAGUCUCAUUUCGAUGCUUCCAGUUAAUGAACGUGAAUUCGUGUUAGUGAAGUCCAAUGUCCUCUUCUACUACUUCGAAAUGGCCAUAUCAGCAGGGUUAUUUACUUUGUUAUGAUUUGACAGUUAAACCUUGGAUUGCCGGUUCAAUUUUACGUGUGUAAUGAUGCUAGGACGAACAUAAGCUUUUGUACAUAAGAGCGUCUGGUUUCUUUUCUCAUUUCAAAUCCAGAUAUUGCAGUGGAGCGAGAAGUCGAUGGGGAUCUUAUGCUACAUGACAUGGGUCAGGUAUCAUCUUCGCAACCUCUAUCUAAGGCUUUAUCAGUUCUUGAUUCUAAAUGCUUCAUCUUGGUGAUUUGCUUGCAGGGCUUGCCAUUUAGGCCUGGAACUAUUGAUGGUGCCAUUAGCAUCUCUGCCGUUCAGGUUUGUAUUCUCUUAUACUUGAGGAAUGCACAUUUGCACAAUUUAUUUAACACACAAACUGUUAACUUUUUCCCUUCAAUUUCCUUUCUCUUUCAUGGCAGUGGCUAUGCAAUGCUGACAAAUCAUCUCAUGAGCCAAGGAAAAGACUGAAGUAUGCUCACUUUUCGAGAAAUGCAAAGCCUUGGCAUAUGUGCUAAGGAUCAUUUUCCAACCCCCUUUUGUCAUGUCGAUCUUGUUUCAGGGCUUUCUUUGGAUCGUUGUACAGAUGCUUAUCAAGGGGUGCAAAAGCAGCGUUCCAAAUGUAUCCGGAGAGUGUAUCCCAGCGGGAGCUGAUUCUGAGAGCAGCGAUGCAAGCUGGAUUUGCUGGUGGAGUGGUUGUUGACUACCCACACAGGUAAUAGAAGACCAGUAUAAUAGAGACAUGGUUUCUCCAUGACUGUUGAUUCUGAGCAAUUUGUUUUAUUUUUCCACAGUACCAAGAGCAGAAAGGAGUACUUGGUCCUCACUUGCGGACCGGCAUCAGUUGACACAGCUGUUGCCAGAGCUAAAGGUAUAGAAGGUGAUAGCUGUUCUGAAGACGAAAGCGGUGAUGAAUAUGAUGAAGAAAAGCAAACAGUAAGUGUCUUCGGUGAACUGUGUUGUUCUUCACAAUAAGAUGAAUAUACGUACUGACCGGUAAACUAUACAGGUUAGCAUAUCGGACAGACACAGACCGAAGAAAAGGCAGAAGACAGGGAAGAAAGGGAAAGGGAAGCAAUGGAUUCUGAAGAAGAAGGAGCAGAUGAGGGGUAAAGGAUUUGAAGUCCCGCCUGAUACAAGAUAUACCGGCAGGAAGCGCAAGGCCAGGUUUUGAUGCUCUAUUUUCAGCGCUCCAUACAAAAGUUCAAACCUUGUGGAACUAAUUAGUUAACGGAGUUGAAAAAGGAUAUACAGGUCUUGCUAUGACGGUUAUUUCGAACUGUUUUGCUGGAUUGACUUGUAUGAAGACCCAGAACUCAGGAUUUCAUCCUUCUUGUUUCUUUCUUUUAUCUUGUACUUUUUGGUAAGGCGGCGUAUUAAGGAGAGGAAGAGGGGUUUUAAACUACUCACGCGAAUCAGACAUGUCCCUCAGACCGUGAAUUGCUUCGGUGGACACCAUCGGACCAUUCUUAAGGCAGUGCAAUCACACAGACACUAAAGUUGCUUCUAGUCUUGACGAAGUAACAUCGGGGAGAAACUAUACGAAUACAUUGAAGAAAAUGUUUAAACAGCUAAUAAGAAAACACUAACAUAUAUAUGUAAAGACAUUCGAAAGCUAAACCAUAAUAGAAAGAGUUACAUCCCAAACGAAACGGCUGAGAGCGGUUGAGAUUCCCAGACUGACGAAUGCUGAUGAACUCUGAUGCCAUUAGCUCACGCGUACAUCUUCAAUGCUGGUGAGGACUACUCAGUUCAAAGAGCGAAACUCGAGUUGGGGUAAAAAUAUGAGCCAAGAAAGGCUGAACAGUGCUUUGAAUUUCGAGAUGGUUGCGGACGAUUUCACCGGUAGAGAGAUCAAGGCAGAAAACUCCAUCAACUUCUUUUGCGGCAGGAUCAUCGGUUGUAAGUCGAUACAUUCCAUGUGAGCAAAGAAGUGUAGUAUCUUUCCAAAUAUCCAAGUAAUUGACAAAGCUUCUUCCUGGUGGUUGGAAGGUGAACAACUUUAUCCAAGAUUCCUCAAAUCCGUGCCUCAGCAGUCCCCAUAUCUCAUAAGGGUCGACCUCGUUCUUGUAAUCUGUGGGGCCAAAAGUGACGAUAAACGACUCCUUCAACAUAAAGCAGGACACAGAAGACCAACAGCUAUGUUUUCUGAUUCUUCGAUUCCCAGCUCUCGUCUCAACAUCAUGGUUGCGGAGUGCAGGUGGGUACGGGAAGCUGACAUGUUCAAACACUUCGGUGCUCACGUCGAAGGAAAGAAUACCACAAAGUUUGGGGACCUUAUCGUAGUACCAAUAACAUUUCUCAUUUCGAGAUGUAUGUCGUCCUUGAUGUACAUAAUUGGGAUGUAUCCCACACCCCUGAAUACCAGAGCUCAUCUCGCAAUUCAGGUCCACUCUUUUCCACGAAUCAUUCCUCAAGCUGUAAACCUAACCCCACACCACGAAAAAUCGUGUAAACAAAAUACGUAAGAUUGGUCAAAUCGAAUUCCACCCCAUCGCAACAAAUACCGGCAUAAGAAAUAGGACGAUCUUAAUGAGAAGCUUAGUAGCAUCUAGGAAACUGAAUUUACCUCAGUGUGCAGAACAGGCAGAGGACCAUAAUCACCACGUUCGUAACGUUUCUCACAAUGUAGCAUCCAUACAACUUUGUAAUCAUCGGUUACCGGAUCGUAACCAAAACCCCCAAACUCUUCAUCGAAACUGAAACCGCCAUACCCAAUUCGACGAGGGUGGUGAGGGCAUGGCGGCAGAAACUUGGUCUCAGAGGUAGUCGGAUUCCAUAGAACAACAUUGGGGAAUGAAAUCAUACAGAAAAUGCCGUCGCAGCAAGCCACGAAAUUGAAACGGAGGAUGGGUCUCUCAAUAAAGGGUAAUUUCGAAAAUUCGCCUUCAAUCGGACUGAGGGUUUCGUAGGAGCGUAAGGAGUAGGGAAUAGUACCCGACCUAAGACUCCCCGGCUCUUCUAUCAUGCCGGUGAUCAGUACCUGCAGGUCUUUCUGGUCGGCGAGAUUUUGGAAGAAGAGUAUUUCGCGAAUGAAAUUGACAUCGGAGAGCAGAUUUCGCCAGGAUCUGCAAACGCACCGGAGUCGGGCGAUGUACAGAGCGAUCGGCAACCUCAGGAGGAUGCUUAUCAGUAUAUCUUCGUUCUGGAGGAAUUCUUGGUCGGACUUGUUCUUUCCGCCGGCGGCCAUUUUUGCUGCUCUGUAGUGAAGUAUAAUUUCUGAGUGAAGUUAGAGCUGCGCCGCUUGGUUAUAUAUAUAUAUAAACUCAGCAUUAAAUUAGGUAGGCGGAUGAUUUGGUACGAGUGAUAUCAAUCAAUACCUUAUUUGAAUAUCCAGUCUUGAAAAAGCUUCAAAUUUGGUAUUACAAUCUCCACUUUCUUAAUUUCUGCUUCUUAAAUCGUAAAAUAAUAUAAUUCAGAAGAAAGAUUUUUUCUUUUCUUGGUUAAGAAUGUGGUGAUUUCAUUAAUCAGCCAAGAACACCAGCAAAAAAACAGAGACAAAAACCCAGAAAUUGCAGAGUUCAUCACAAAACUCAGCCAAUCAAAGAUGAAAGCUUUUUGCUUUUCCUAGCAAGGAAAGCUAGAAAAAAGAUGUUCAACUGUACAACGGAGUCGAAUCAGAGAUGCCCAUGGACUCAGACUGAGGUUCUCAGUAAAAAUAAAAAUGAAGAUCCUUACUUUACUAACAAACCACUCGGCAUCAGAAAUCAGAACUCAGAACUCAGAACUCAUAACAGGGUUUCCUCUCUUUCCUUUUGGCCAUGAAGUAAUCCAACAAAUAAAAGACACUUGACAUAUAAAGUGUUGAAAAAUAUUAUAUUUUCCUUAUUAGUAUAGGAAUAAGUUUCAAUAUUUUUCCUUAUUAGUAUAGGAAUAGUAAUAAGAGUUUUCCUAGUUGAGGAAGGAUUCUCCUAUCCUAACUCUAUAUAAACCCAUGUACCCCUUAUGUAAUCCCAUAUAUCAUAAUACUAUUGAAAAGCUUCCUCUCAUAAAUUCAAUAUGGUAUCAGAGCCGCCGGCUAUAUCUUCCGCUGCCGUCGGUGUUAAUCUCACUGUUGGUUCAUCAUGACCACGGACAACAAGAUUGUUUCACCUUCUUCCUUUCCAAAACACUCGUCUUCUUCCACCAUUCAUCCUUCUUCUGUCAUCUCCGAAACUGAGAUGGCAGCCAACAACAACAACAACAAUUUCGGAUCUGAACCAGGCUCUGGAGGAGCUUCCAUUAGGAAAUUCAAUGGUAACAACUACCUCCAAUGGUCUCAGUCAGUCCGGAUGUUCAUCACUGGGAAACAGAAAGGGGAAUAUCUUACUGGUAUUGCAAGCAAACCAGAAGAAUCCGACUCAGCUGCCUUCACCAAGUGGGACAAUGAUGACAAUCAAGUUCGGUUCUGGCUCAUCUCCACGAUGGAACCAGAUAUCGGCGACAACUAUCUUCUACAUCAAUCUGCAAAGGAGCUUUGGGAUGAUGUGAAAGAAACCUACUCCACGCAAGACAACUCAUCUGCUUUGUUCGAAAUUGAGUCCAAACUCUACAAUUUCAAGCAAGGUAACUUGAGUGCAACGGAGUACUACAAUCGGCUGGUCCGAACCUGGCUUCAACUUGAUUUGUAUGAAGCUCAGAAGUGGGAUACUCCGAAUGAUGCAAAAACAUUCCGGACAUUCAUGGACAAGAAGAGGACAGUUCAACUGCUUCUUGGACUAAAUCAAGACCUAGAUGCUGUGAAAAGCAGGGUUAUGGGAACGAAACCCUUUCCAAGUCUGAAGGAGGCGUUUGCUGAGGUUUUGAGAGAAGAAGGUCGGCGUCAUCUGAUGGUUACAGAGACGAAGACAACCUCUGAACCCAGCAGUUCAGCCCUGAAAACUGAGACCUCAACCACAGCUCUCUUUGUUAAGAACAACCAUGCCAAAGGGAAACAGAAUCCUACUUCUGCUGCCUCUUCAAAAUGGUGUGAUCUCUGUCAACGACCCUUUCAUACGAAAGAGGAGUGCUGGGAAAUAGUUGGUGGACCACAAGGAUGGAGACCCAGACUGAACUUGAAUAAGCAGAAGUCUCGUGCGAACGCAGCUGCCACCAAAACUGAUGAUACGACACAGUUUUCAGCUGGUCAGUUGGAGACUCUGAAGAAAAUGUUUGCACAAAUCAUGAAUACUGAGAAAGCCGACCCCAAGAAAUCUUACAUGUCUAGUAUGUUCGACAAAAAAGGUACUUCGGCUGCUUACACUUCUAGUCAAAAUUCUCAGAAUAUUUGGAUCCUUGAUUCCGGAGCUACAGACAAUAUGACUGGUUGUAAGGAGUUGAUAGAACACUUAAAACCUUACCCUAGAACCUCAGGUGUCCGGAUUGCCGAUGGAUCAAUAGCACCGGUGGAAGGAAUAGGCAUUGUUAGGGUUACUAAGGAUCUUACUCUAUGUCCAGUACUUUAUGUGCCUAAACUUGACUGCAAUCUUCUCUCUAUUCAUCAAGUAACACAUGAUCUUCAGUGUGAAGCUAAGUUUCGCUCUCCCGAUUGUGUGUUACAGGAGGUGAAGACUGGGAAAAUGCUUGGAAGUGGUGAAAUGCGUAAUGGUCUCUACUUGUUGAAGGGAACUCAGGAUGAGGCUAGUUCCAGUAAAGCCCAUAGUAGUAUUAGUGCUAAUGUUGUUUCUAGUAUUGAACACAUUGAGAAUGAAGCCAUGUUAUGGCACUUCCGUCUUGGUCAUCCCAGUUUUACUUAUCUUGAAAAGUUGCUACCUGCACUAUUUCAGAAUAAAGGUUCAAAGGAUUUGAGAUGUGAUGUGUGUCAACUUGCGAAGCAUACGCGUUCUUCCUAUCCUAGAAUCGGCUAUCGACCUACCACACCUCUUAGUGUAGUUCAUAGCGAUAUCUGGGGACCUAUGAAAGUCAAGAACAUCAAUGGGGCUCGUUGGUUCAUAACAUUUAUUGAUGAUCACACAAGGAUGACGUGGACUUUCUUAAUGAAAGAAAAGUCCGAAACGGUCCAGAUUUUUCAGCUAUUUCACAAAAUGGUAGCUACCCAAUUUCAGACUCACAUCAAGGUUCUGAAAACUGACAAUGCCCACGAUUACUUCAACAAAGACCUCGGCUCUUUUUUACACCUUCAUGGCAUCAUUCAUGCAAGUUCGUGCGUCGACACCCCUCAACAAAACGGCAUUGCCGAACGCAAGAAUAGACACUUACUCGAUGUUGCUCGCUCACUCAUGUUUACACACAAUGUUCCGAAGCAUUUGUGGGGAGAGGCUUUUCAACCAGCCACAUACCUAAUCAAUCGCAUGCCCAGUAGGGUCUUGGACUUCAAGAUUCCUCGACAUGUUCUUCUGGCAGAUUUUCCCCAUCUUGCCAGUUUCUCAGCUGAUCUUCCUCCUCGAGUAUUUGGUUGCACGGUUUUCAUUCACAACUCAGCACCCAACCGCUCCAAGUUAGAUCCGCGCGCCUUGAAAUGCGUGUUUAUAGGCUACUCUUCAACCCAGAAGGGCUAUAGGUGCUACCAUCCUCCGACCAAACGAGUUUACACCACUCGGGAUGCUACCUUUUUUGAAUCACAGACCUACUUUCCUACUACUGUGAUUCAGGGGGAGCAAACAAAUAAUGAUGACAGUCAUACCCUCGUGGAUACGAUUUGUUUAGAGGAAGAGGACACUCCAUCCGAAGUUGUGAGUCAGAGGGAGCUCCCAACUGAUGUUGUAAGUCAGGGGGAGUCUCAAAUGUCAUCAGCGGAAUCAUUAGAAAAACCUCUUCUUGUUUAUCAAAGAAGAAAGAAUAUUGUGAUUGAAGAUGAUACUCUUGAGACAGAAAAUAGUGGAGGGGGAGUUACGAAUGUUGAUCGAGAAGUGAUAAUUGAAGAGAUUGAAGAAGAGGGUGAUGAUUUGAGUGAUCUAGAGGUUCCUAUUGCUCUAAGGAAAGGUAUAAGAAAUUGCACAAAAUAUCCGAUUGCUCGACAAAUCAGCUAUGAUGGUCUUAGCAAUUCUCACAGAGCAUUUAUAUCUGCUCUUGACGAGGAACAAAUACCUAAGAAUAUUGAAGAAGCUAUGAAACAUCCAAAAUGGAGAAGUGCUGUCAUGGAGGAGUUACGAGCUUUGGAGAAAAAUAAUACGUGGGACAUUGUCUCCCUUCCGAAUGGAAAGAACACAGUUGAUUGUAAGUGGAUCUUCACCAUUAAAUAUAGAGCAGACGGAUCGAUUGAAAGAUAUAAAGCUAGGCUGGUGGCUAGAGGUUUCACCCAAGCAUACGGCGUGGAUUAUGAUGAAACCUUUGCACCAGUGGCAAAGCUCAACAGUAUAAGGGUGUUGUUUUCUCUGGCAGCAAACCUGGACUGGCCGUUACAUCAACUUGAUGUGAAGAAUGCCUUUCUUAACGGAGAACUUGAAGAAGAGGUCUAUAUGGUGUUUCCUCCGGGAGUGAAAAAUCCGAGAGAAGGGGAAGUUUGUAAGCUUCGCAAGGCCUUGUACGGGUUGAAACAAUCUCCCCGAGCCUGGUUUGACAGAUUUACCAAGGCUGUGAAGCAAGGAGGAUACUACCAAUGUCAGACCGAUCACACCUUAUUUGUGAAGCACUCACCUACAGGGAAGAUCUCCAUCCUCAUUGUGUACGUGGAUGAUAUUAUAAUCACUGGAGACGAUGUAGAAGAAAUUAAGAGACUCAAGGAUCAACUGGCAAAAGAGUUCGAACUCAAAGACUUGGGAAACCUUAAAUACUUCCUAGGAAUGGAAGUUUCGAGAUCUCAGAAAGGUAUCGUAAUCUCUCAACGAAAAUAUGUUUUGGACUUACUAAAGGAAGUGGGAAUGCUUGACUGUAAGCCUAUCGACACUCCCAUGGAGUCGAAUAAAACUCUUAGCAGGGAGGAGGAUAUUCCUGCAGUUGAAAAAGGUCGGUAUCAACGAUUGGUUGGGAAACUGAUUUAUUUAGCUCACACUCGACCCGAUAUAGCUUUUGCAGUUGGGAUUGUCAGCCAGCACAUGCACUGUCCUAAUGAAGAACAUAUGGGAAUGGUUUACAGAAUCCUAAGGUACUUGAAGAGUUCACCUGGAAAGGGAAUCUAUUUCAAGAGAACUGCUCAACGGGGAAUUACUGUCUAUACUGAUGCAAGUUGGGCUGGUGAACUCACAGAUCGAAGGUCUACAACUGGUUAUUGUAGUUAUGUCUGGGGAAAUCUUGUGACAUGGCGAAGUAAGAAACAAAAGGUUGUGGCUAGAAGCAGUGCAGAGGCUGAGUACCGAGCUCUCGCACUUGGAAUAUGUGAGAGUAUCUGGUUGAAGCGCAUCAUGAAUGAGCUGAAGAUUGAGAUCGAUGGUCCUAUCCAGUUUCUGUGUGAUAGUCAAGCAGCAAUCAGCAUAGUCCGCAACCCUGUUCAUCAUGAUCGAACUAAACAUGUGGAGGUAGAUCGUCAUUUUAUAACUGAAAAUGUUAGUUCUGGUGUGGUUCGAGUGGAAUAUGUUCCUACGAAGCAACAGACUGCAGAUGUUUUUACGAAGCCUCUUUCAAAAGAUGUGUUUGACCACUUACUGUCCAAGCUUGGGUUAAUUAACAUCUACACCAAGCUUGAGGGGGAGUGUUGAAAAAUAUUAUAUUUUCCUUAUUAGUAUAGGAAUAAGUUUCAAUAUUUUUCCUUAUUAGUAUAGGAAUAGUAAUAAGAGUUUUCCUAGUUGAGGAAGGAUUCUCCUAUCCUAACUCUAUAUAAACCCAUGUACCCCUUAUGUAAUCCCAUAUAUCAUAAUACUAUUGAAAAGCUUCCUCUCAUAAAUUCAAUAUAAAGACAUUCGAAAAGCUAAACCAUAAACAAAAAGAGUUAACUGGACAAUCAUUGAAAGCUAAACCAUAGCAAAAAGACUGAUUGAAUGCUGAUGGACACCGAUGCCAUUAGUUUGCGAGAACAACAUCUUCAAUGCGGCUGAGGACUACUAAGCUGAGCGAUCAAUACUCGAGUUGGAGUAAAAGUAUGAGCGACGAAAGGCUGAACGGUGCUUUGAAUUUUGAGACGAUUGCGGACGAUUUCACCGGUAGAGAGAUCAAGGCAGAAAACUCCAUCAACUUCUUUGGCGGCAGGAUCAGCAGUUGUGACUCUAUACAGUUCAUGCGAGCAGAUAAAUGUAGCAUCUUUCUAUCCAAGUAAUUGACAUAGCUUCUCCCUGGUGGUUGGAAAGUGAAUAGUAUUAUCCAAGAUUCAGCAACUCCGUAUUUCAGCAACCCCCAUAUCUCAUACGGGUCGACAACGUUAUCGUAAUCCGUGGGGCAAAACGUGACGAUGAAAGACUCCUUCAACAUAAAGCAGGACACAUAAGACCAAUCGUUAAGCAUUCUUGUUUUGCCAUCUCCAAGAUGUGUAAGCCUUGUUCUGGCAUCCUGAAGAUCUGCAGGAUCGUCACGAUUGCGAAGUCCAGAGGGGUACGAGAAGUUGACAGAUUCAAACACCUCAUUGCUCACUCGAAGGAAAGAAUGCCGUUGAGAUCAGGAACUCUUUUGUCGUAGAACCAAUAACAUUUCUCGUUUGGAGAUGUGUGUCUCCGUUGAUGUACAUAUUUGAAACCCAACGGAUAUCCAUCAGCAUCACCAGAGGUCAAAUCACAACUGACAUUCACCGUUUUCCAUGAAGCAUUCUUAAAACUAUAAACCUAACAGCACAGCACGAACAAUCAAAUUGGUACUGGUUUGGUUUUAUAUAUGAAUAAUCAAAUAAGUAACGUUUCUCAAAUUAGUACCUGGGUAUGAACAAGUGAAAGCGGAGCAUUAUGAUCAACAUCAUCAUCAUCACCGUCUAUAUAUACCAGAUUGUAACGUUUCUCCUAAUGCAGCAUCCGAACAACUUUGUAAUCAUUGGUUACGGGAUCGAAACCAAAACCAGUGAACUUAUCAUCAGUAUUUCCCCAGGAGUAAUACUUCCGGGGACGAUGUGGAGGGAGAGGCGGCAGAAACUUGGUUUCGGAGGUCGCCGGAUUCCAUAGAAUGAUAUCGGGGAAGGCAUUCAAGCAAAAUAUGCCGUCACAGCAUCCAACAAAAUCGAAACGGAAGAUGGGGCUCCGGAUUAAGGGCUUUUACGUCAAUUCAGCGGUCGGAGGUUCGAUCGGAGUGAGUGUGUCGUAGGAGUAUAAGGAGUAGGGAACUUGUACCGGAGUAGAGACUCAUCGGCUCUUCGGUCGUGCCGGUGAUGAGGAUCUGGAGGUCUUUCUGGUCGGCGAGGUUUUGGAAGAAGAGUAUUUUGCGAAUGACAUUGGGAUCGGAGAGGAGAUUUCGCCAGGAUCUGCACACACCGGAAUCGAGCUAUGUAUAGAGCGAUUGGCAGCCUCAGGAGGAUGUUCAUCACUAUGUCUUCCGUCAGGAAGAAUGCUUGGUCGGCAUUCUGGUUGUUGUUCCCGCCGGCAGCCAUGUUGUUGAGCUCUUUAGGGAAAUUUAGUUCCUGAGUAAAGAUUAGUUAGCUGCCUCGUUGAUUACUGUACUUAUAUAUAUAUAUAUAUAAGCAGCUCAUCAAUUUAGUUUUUGCGUGACAAAUAAGCAAACCAAUAACUAAAGAAACCUAAUUUUAAUCCAAGUCAAUAAGUUCCAAGAUUUAUCUGAGUUGCGUUAUCUUGCACUAGUGUCUUGCUCGGUCGCAUUAGUACAUCCAAAUCUCGAAAUCUUACCUAGUACUAGUACACCACAUGUACUAGGUAAACUCAACUCUUAACAAACACAUGAUGCUUCAUAAAUGAGGCCGGAGAGAAGAAACAUUUAUGGAGAGGUUGCCUAAGUUUGGAUUUAUAUAUAGUGGUUUUCAAACAACAUUAAAUUCGGAUUGAAGGUCUGGAGGUCUGGAGCUAUCUCGUGAAACCGAAAGAGACGUCAAAAGUCGUGGCUAAGGCUCUUACCGAUGGGCGGAAGGCAAUGUAGUUAAUGAUUUGGAAGGCGUGGAGGCUCUCGACGGUGUGAAACAUGAAGGUUGACAAUCGAAAAUGAUCUGCAUCGGUAGGGUAGGACACGUCGGAUUUCAACGGCCGAGAACCGAAUAAGUUGUGAAGGAUGAAAAUCGAACGAAACUCGACUCAAUCUUAAAUAAACUGACUUGUAUCGAGUUUUAAUCGAACUUUUUUCGAGUCAAACACGAGCGGCUCUGUUCACCAAGAGGAAUGGACCUAGCCUAUGGCUUUUUUUAAAAAUAAUUUAAGCUCACCAGCUCACGGUUGCAGCUGACUACUUUCCUACCAUUUCCAGCGGUUACUGCAAGCCCCUCUCUCUUUCUCCUCCGCCAGCUGCCCCACAGCAGAUCAGAAACCACAGUGGCAAACCAACUCAUUACACAAACGGAGACACAGAUCCAGAUCCAUCCAAUUCCGGCGUCGGUGAAAUCGCCGUCGACAUGUCCUGCCUCGCUCUCUCCCUUCAACCUUCCAAUGGCUCCGACAUCCUAAUCCAGACACGGGAAUGGUUCCCUCCACCGAGAGCCCUAGUCGCCACCUCCGCCUUCCGCCAGACCCGAUUAGCCUUUGCCGCUACCAAAAACCCGGCCCGCAAUCAAUCUUCCUCCUCCGAUGAAUAUUCCCCUUCCGCGUCAUCCGACUCCCUCUCCUCCCUCGGUGACGACCCGCUCGCCGCCUCUAGCGGCCAGCUAAUCGUCGGCGUCGAGAGUCAGUACCGCGUGGUCUACCGCCUCGUCAACGGGAUCUACGUCCUCGGGGGCACGAUUGCCGACGACCACGACACUUCCGCUGACGUCUUUCACGUCAUCCCCCUUCGAGUGCAUCCACGUCGUCAACCAGGCCGUCAGCGUCGUCGUCGCCGCCUGCCGCGGCGUCGACGUCACGCCGGAGAAGCUGAGCAGGAAAUACGCCGAGAUCUACAUGGCCCUGGACAUCGUCCUACGCGGAGUGAGCAGCAUCCGAUUGGCCGCAAUGCUGGCCUCGAUCCACGGGGAGAGCAUCGCCAAGAUGGUACACUCUGCGCUGGAUACAGAGAGCAAGAUCCGCGGCGGAGAGAGCUGGCUGGCCAUGGAAGGUCACGCAAUCGAGCGCGAAAGCAACGUGGCAGCUUUCUCCAACGCCGUGUUCGAGCUUCCGCCGGAGACCCUUGCCUCUGGAGAUCACGUGGCGGCGAGCCUUGCACCUGUUGAGCAAUUGGAUAAUAAAAAGGAAGAGAAAGAAGAAGAGAAAGAGGAAACGAAGGAUCCUUUCGCUGCAAGUGAGGUGGUAAACAAACAGGAGGAUUUAGCAGGUGAGUUCAAGAAGGAUAAGAGCCAGUCUAAAGAUCUGACAUUAGCAUUAGCCGGAUUGGAAGUUACUGCAUUGCCAAAUGCAGAAGCUACUAAAGCUACGCAUAUUAAUGUGGAAGGGUUUGAAGGGGAUUACGGUGGGAUUGAGUUCAACAAUGAACAAGCUUCAUUGGGGGAGACGUUUGAAGGGUUUAGUGAAGCUUGGGGUGGUGGAUUGGAUGCUUCAGAGUUUGUGGGAACGAAGAAGAUCCCAAAGCAGGAAGGACUCAGUGGAUUGGAGUUGCUUCAAACAGGUGCUGAUCCUGCCGUGGUUGUGAAAUCUGCCGCUACUGGAGAUAGUACGGGUACUCCUCUUGACAAUCUUUUGGUACAGAAAACUGAGAUGAAAGGUCCCGAAAUGUACAUAGUUGAGGAAGUGAGUGCAGAGUUUAGGGAGUCGCAGCUUGCUAGAGUUGGAUUGAUGGGUGUGGUUUAUUUGAAGACAUUGCCGAUCGGGAGAGCCGGGGAUAAAGAGACCGAGUUUUCGUUCCGUGUCGAUAACACGAAAGCAGUGAAGAGGUUUGUUAUGCAUAAUUCGAAAGUGCCGUUGAGUGAUGUAACCUGUGUGUUGAAGUUGCCUGUCGAUCCUACAUUGUUGACGGUGUCGCCCAAAGCUGCAUUGAACAGGUCUCAGAAGGAGCUGAAAUGGGUUGUGCCGGAGAUCCCACUGAAGGGCUCUCCCGGUAAGUUGAGGGUGCGGAUGCCAGUUGAUAUCAGUGAAGGAGAAGGUGAUGAGGAUAUAGAGGCUGUUUGUUAUAUUAAAUUCUCCAUGGAAGGAGCUACUUCGCUAUCGGAGAUUUGCUUACGGCCUGCCUCGGAAGGGAACACCGACUUCCACGAGGUCGAUCACAGGUACCAGAGUGGGGUUUAUACUUGCAAUUGAACCCCAUGAUCAGUUUUUCUUCUGUGUUACCUAUACCAGUAGCUCACUGGACUGGAAUAGUGACAUUUUUCUUACCAUAAUUGAUCAUCAAUUGAAAUUUCGCAUUUGUUCAGAGAAGUCUGCUUUCUAUGUUGUUGUUGUUGUUGUCACCUGAAAUCUGUUUCGUAUCCAAUUAAUUGAUUUGCAUUGCGAUAACUACCAAAUGAAACAUUGUUUGAUUUCAAACGACUCGUCAGAUCAUGAAUGUGGCCAACAUAAGAGUGUAGAGAUCUUAAACAUAUAAACUACUGCUUAAUUCGAACAAAGAGCAGGAUACAAGCAACAACAUGAUGUCUGACAUCAAACUCUCAGAAGAAAACGAAAGUUUCUUUGGACUCCGGCUCGCGAAGAUAAGAGGUGUGUACCCUGAAAUUAGCCAACUUGCAUCAGUCCCUGCGAAGACGAUGUAAAUACAGAUAAGAAUACAAUCAAUUACGAAUGGAUGUCGAAAAGCUCUGCAAUGAACACAACUGUGUAGUGUUAGAUCCUGCAUGGCCGUAGGUUUGAACAUUCUAGAUGUCGAUACACUCGCAAUCCAUCCAUACAAAACUAUGCCAUAACUACAUUCUUCAAAUUAGCUAACAAUAACCUUCAUGGAUCUGGUCACUUGACUAUGUUUUCCGAAAUUGUGCACUUCCGAUACAGUUAGACCACCGAGUUCUAUACACCAUAACAACCCAUUACUUAAUACUACAACUUCUGCAGAAGCAGAAAUCAGCACAUUGUUCAAUCGACCUAACCUCUAUGAGUCACAUUCACUAGGCAAUUGUAAACAUUAGACUGUAAUUAUUAGAGCCACUCUUCUCCAUUUUUCACCGGAAUCCAACAAUAUCAAUGACGAGCCAUCUUAGGUUCAAAUGUGCCUUGUCCAUCACGAGCAUGCAUUAGUUUCAGUAUGAAAACGUUUUCACUUCCUAUGAAACCCAUUUCGAGAUCUAAGGACAGAAGGGUACUCAGUUUAUGAACACCCUUUGGAGAUCCCCUGCAGAAUGACGUGUGUUUCUGCACAUUCUCAGAAUUCUACACUAUGGUUCGAGAACUUGCAGCCAGUAUUGAUGCACAUGAAUGGGAGUAAGCAGUAUCGCAGUUAAGUAAAAGUCUGAAAGUGAGAGGUUACCAUUACCUGGUGAUUCUAUCAAGCAGCCUGCGCGGGAAUCAUCCCAGCCUUCCUCGCAAACGCAAAAAUUCCUCCGGCGUCAAUCACCGGUCCGGCAUCGCCAAUGGGCAGCAACUUGUACUCCUUCCCGGUUGUGUGGUUGAUCAAUCGGCUUUGUUCCAGCUCAAUCGUCAACUCAUCCCCAGUUCUGCACUCCUCGCAAACCCUAACCUCCGUCUCCAAAGGAUACACUUCCCCUGUCGCGACAGAGUUCCUGAAGAAGAUCCUCGCGUACGACUGCGCCACCACCGCCGCCACUCCCGCAGCUCCCAAUGCGACAGGCGCAUGCUCUCGAGACGAUCCGCAUCCGAAAUUCUCUCCCGCGAUAACGAUCGCGUACUUCGUCUUUGUCUCCUUCGGCUCGAUGAAUCUCGUCUCAUACGACGCAGGAAGGCCGACCAAGGCGUAGGAGCCUAGCUUCUCGUACUCAGCAGGGUUCGAAGGGACGAGAGUUAGGUACUCCGCUGGGAUGAUCUGGUCGGUGUCGAUGUUGUCGCCGACUACGUAGCAGAGGCCGUGAAAUGUGGCAGGUGAGGCAGUCGACGAGGAUUCCGCUCCAGCGCGAGGAGAGAUCAAAGAAGCACGCUGAGUGCAGACGAUCGGCGCCUUCAAUAUGAGGGAUCCUCCAAUGAACGGACGCUUCGAAGAAAUGGAAGCCAAGUUGGAGACGAAGUUGACAAGUCGUAAAGUGGAGGGAGAAAAGGAAGAUUUCGUUUCGGAGAAGGAAGAAGCGGCCGUUGCCGCGAAGAAGGUCGCCGGCGAGGAUGAGCAAGACGCCGCCAUUGCUGAUUUCUGGGUGCGAGGAAGCUGCGAAUAGACCGUCAAUGGAGUAAAAGGAAGCUGCAAGAAUCUCACUCCCUGGAGCUUCGAGUAUUUAAAUUUCUUUGUUGGGCUGCCACUAUUGGGAAAAUGAGAUCGGCCCAAACUCUCUCAGCCCAUAAGGCGGAACACUCACUUAUUUCUUUCAAACGACGUCGUGGUACUGCAGCGAAGAUGGACGGCCCAGAUCUUGUGUUUUCGGUUUAUAAAAACGUCAUUAGGGUUUUGCAUUUCAGCUCACUGAAACUUCGUUCAAGCCGAAACCCUCCCGGUGAGAAGCUGCGAGCUGGUGCGACACAAUGGGUAUUCUCUAUCUGUCCCUCUGUAGAUUUUGUGCUGUAAUUACAUUUCAUUGAGAUUUCUGGAUCGCUUAUGCGAGAUUGGAUUUGUGCUCUGUUUGAAAAUGGUCUGUGGAUCUAAUUUCUGCAAAAUGUGUGAACAGGUGCUUACAAAUAUGUGUCUGAGCUAUGGAGGAAGAAGCAGUCGGAUGUUAUGCGGUUUAUCCAGAGAGUGAGGUGCUGGGAGUAUCGUCAGCAUCCGUCGAUUGUUCGUGUUACUCAUCCCACUCGUCCUGACAAGGCUAGGCGCUUGGGCUACAAGGCCAAGCAGGUAUAUUUGAUCUCCGCUUUGAUGCUCCUUGAUCGCUUUUGAAUGCAUUGCUAUAGGGUAAUCUCAGCUGAAGAAUGUUUAGUAUGAGCUAGUUUUUAGGUUUUGUUGUUUCUGGCGCUAGUCUAAAUGCAAUUGUUAUAAUGCUGGUUCAGGCGUCUAGAUGCUCUACUAGGUGGAUAUGUAAAAUGAUAAUGAAUUAGUGAUGCUUCUUGAGUCCAGCUAUAUUAAAUUUACAGUCUCAGUGAAUACUCUUUUGUCUAGAUCUGACAUGGAUUCUUACUUGUUGCAUUCUAAUCCCUUAUAUGCUGAUUCUCUAAGUGUUGACUUGUGAUGUUCAUUGUUUAGGGUUCAUGAGUUGCUGUCAUCUGUCUUUUUGCAGUCUCUGUAUUAGUUCCUUAUAAUGAUUGAAUAUGAUUCUUGCAGGGAUAUGUUGUUUACCGUGUUCGUGUGAGACGUGGUGGAAGGAAGAGGCCAGUACCCAAGGGUAUUGUGUACGGUAAGCCGACGAACCAGGGAGUUACUCAGCUGAAGUUCCAGAGAAGCAAGAGGUCUGUUGCGGAGGAGCGUGCUGGAAGGAAGCUGGCUGGUCUUAGGGUUCUGAAUUCUUACUGGGUCAAUGAGGUAUUUACUUUCAUUUUUCUUAUUUUAAGGAACCGUCUUCUGUUUUUUGUAUUUUGAGAUCUGAUUUUGCAAUUUGAUAUUGACAGGAUUCGACAUACAAGUACUUUGAAGUGAUCCUCGUCGAUGUUGCACACAAUGCCAUCCGCAAUGACCCGAGAAUCAACUGGCUCUGCAACCCAGUCCACAAGCACAGGGAGCUCAGGGGUCUUACUUCUGCGGGAAAGAAGUACAGGGGACUUCGUGGAAAGGGGUCUCGCUACCACAAGAACAAGCCUUCUCGCAGGGGUACAUGGAAGAGAAACAACACCCUUUCCCUUCGUCGUUACCGUUAGGUUUCAUUUGGUUAUGUUUCUUGUUCGUGGCUUUUGAGUUGUUAUGCCCUCUAUCAAAAAUGUUGGUCGAAAUUUUGGAUAUUGGAAUAUUGCAAGAGUGUAAUUUUACAAUCUUUACAACUCAGUUUUAUGUAUCAGUAGAUUUGCUGGUCUUUUACAUUUGCACCGAAGAUUUGCUAAUUCAUAUAGUCAUAAGUUGUGUUAGUAUUUGCUUGCGAGGCUAAUGAGUCGAGCAUACUUGAAAAUGAAACCGAGGUUGGACGCCAAUACAAUCAAUGAAUAUGUCCUAACGAGAAUUCUAUGGCCGUCAGAUUUUAAAAUUAAAAGGAGAGUGGAAUUUUGCAGUUACCGUUUCAAACCCACGAUUGGCUGUGGUGGAGUCGCGUCUUCAGAGCGUUCUAUCCAUAUAGCUAUCCUUGAGAUUCUGCAGCGCUUGUCGAAUCGCAUCCUCAUGUUGGCUCGAAAAUUUCAAGCAUAACAGCCUUUGGGCUACCCGAUAAGCCAUAUGUAGUUGCUGAUGCUCUUCGCAGUCCUCGUCCAUUCUAUUUGUUUCCUGCUUCCAUUUUCCAAAUUCGAAUCAGACACCAUCCGUCUAUUAUUGAAGGAUCUAUUUCACUCGUUACCUUUUGUGUGAUGUUUGAUGUGAUGCUUCGUGCAGUUUCGAUAACUGAGCUCGGUAGUCCUGCAACUUGGGCUAAUAGAAGUCCAUAAUGGGGAAUGCGUCUUGGUCCAUCCUUGAGUUGAAACUGUACCAGAAGCAAAAUCCCCACUCAGGAAACUAACUAAACAAGCCAAAUGGCUAAGAAGUGAAUCCAGAAUUUGUACCUUGAAAUCCAAGCGGUUGUUUCGUAUAUCGACGUCGAAGUGAAGGAUCUUCGCAUUCGGAUAGAGCACUGCAAGUUCCGCUAGGUUCUCCAUAUGGGUUGCAAAGAUCGUGAACCUGAAAAAUUCAACAAAUAUCUAAAAUGCUGCCCUUCCCCGCUGAAGGAACUUGAUCAAGAGCUUCGGUAUUAAAUGAAGCAACUAAUUAAACAACUAUCAAAGAAUGCAUGCUUAGCCUCCACCAAUGUAACCCGUAAUCGUGGUUACUUCUCUCCAUUACUUAUAAACUCGAAAAAUAGACCAGUAAGUGAGAGAAUUGAUUACGCUUUGAGCGAUAACAGAUGCUCGCAACAGCUCCAUGUGAUAGCAAAUCCGUCAGUGGAUGAAGUUGCUCUUCCAAGUUCGUCCAUAACAAUCAGACUUCUGAAAAAGAGCACAUUUCAACGAAGAAGAUUGAACUCUGUUAUUAGAUGUUCUACUUUUCUGGUUUAGGAUUUAGUGAUUUACUCGGACAGUAAUAGGGCAGUGUCCUUCACCUUUGGGAGACGUUCUGCAUGAUAAAAGCCGUCUCUUUCAUCUCUGUCAUGAACUGUAGCAGUACCAGUGUAAAAGAAAUCUGUAAGUUCUCUGUGAGAAAGAAAAAAGACCACUUCAUCCUUUAGCUAGUGUUGGGAGUUUACCGUACUGGAGUUUGAUUCCAAGCUAUCUGUUGAUCCCAUCCUUGUAAAUAUACGAUCGACUACCCGUAUAGUUGCAAAGCAAGCGGGAACAUAGCAGCCGAUUUGAGCAAGAAUGACGAUAAGACAUACUUGUUGAAGAUAUGUGCUCUUUCCACUCCUGGAUAGAUGAUUAGUUAAUGCUUAACAAUGCAACUGUAGUCUCAUAGGCAAGAGCACGAGAGAAAUUGAACACGGUCGAUAAUGUAUCCAAGCCUUAACUAAACAGUUCCUACCCAACUUGAAACUACUUGUAAUCUGGAAUAGUAAUCCGAAUAUUAGAAAUAUGAUGCAAUCUCGUCUCUGUGGAGGUUGUGUAAAACUGUUCCACGGAUAUCUCCAGCAUGCUCUUUUUCACUUUUCAACUUGUCAUUCUUGAUGCACUCUUAAGCAUGCCUUCACUUAUGAAAUGUUAUUCAGGCAUCAUUUGUGGAAAAGGAAUCUAUAAGGUCAUUCAAUUUCUUACGUGAGAAACUCAAGCUAGAGGUGUGCAGUCAAACCCGGAACAAACAGAUGAUUCCGAACAUCAAAAUGGCAUGAGAAAGCUACUGACAUUAAAUUCCUAACAUGACAGCAAAGAUAGAACCAAAUGUAUAUUUUGCUAGAGAAUUCUUACAUGUUUGGGCCCAUUACAGUUACCAUGUUUGAUGCUUCCGAGAUAAAGAUAUUGUUGGGCUGCAGAAAAAAGUGGUUUCAAAUAUUACCUCAGCUAAAUUACUCUGAAUAAAAGUUCUUACAGUAUGGAUGCAGAUAAAAGACAGCAAAAUGCCAAUUAACUGGGGAAACACAGGAGGAUUCUUACAACGAACUCAUUGUGAAUGGUUUCCAAAAUUGGGUGUCGUCCAGAAUCGAUUGCCAAUGGGCCAUCAUCUGCAAGUGGAAAGUAGCUAGAUAUAAGUUAGAAAUGGCACUGUGCUCACUGGUACAUUCAGGUCUAACGUAUCGCCCAGCAGGCUUAGUUGAGAUAGUAUGUGCAAAUGAAUUAACUAUCAUGUCUAAAAGGCAUAAAGCCUCUGCCAGAAGUGUAAGUGCAGAGACGUCCUCCCUGAUGGCGUCUACGAGAGCUGAAAAUUAAGAAUCGUUCAGAAAAGAAAAGAAAAGAAAACAGUUUAUUAAAAAUAUCAAAGAAGUUGCUAGAAAAAUUCAUUGAGAAAUCAUCAGACAUGUCAGCUACCCAACUAGACCAUUUGAGAAAUCAUCAGAUAUGUCAGCUACCCAACUUGAUUUGCACCACUAAGAAAUUCCUUCAAAUUACAAAUUACGAACAGAAAAUAAUACAAGAUCACUCAUACAAGUUACAGCAAUCAUUAAAAUAAACAAUAAAUUUUAUGAAAUCAUAAGUAAACAGACACUUACAGAAGCUAGAGUUCUAAGGUUGAACAGUGUAUCAAUAUACACUGGUAUCACUGGUAUCACAGAAACGAUGAAGAGACGAAGAACGAAGAAAAGAAAAAUGGAAAGAAACAAUCGAAGCAUUAGAAAACCUUCACUGGUAUCACAGAAUGUUCUCCUCGCAAUAUCUAGAAGCCCGUCGAUUCCAGCUUUGACAGCAAAACAUUGCUGUGUACGGGCAAUAAAAGGUACACGUGCAUGGAGUACAUCUUCAUCAAUAACCUCGCCAAUUCUUCAAGGAAUCACUCCGUCAGCACACAAAAUUAGCGUCUUGGAGAAAAUCAGUUGAUUGAGAUGGUUCAAAAAUUCAAACCGUUGCAAUCACCUCUUCCUCAUGGUAGAGUAUUUAUCAUUCUCACAGACAGUCCUGCAAAUGUUUGAAAGAAGAACACAGUUUGCAUCCUUCAGAACCUGCAAUGUGAACAAAAACAAUUCAUACGAUGUUUGGACAAGCAUACUAAGCUGUAUGUGAAAGAAAACAAACUCACCCUCCCAAGCAAAGGCAAUGCUUCCAAUGUAGUUUCAAGCAGAAUAAUGCUUGAAAUCAACACUUGGCUUUUUCUGGCAUUGUCAACGACCAUAACCUCGUUUUUUACUUUUUGUCGGCUUGAAGCAGAAGUGACAAAGUACCCUAUCUGAAAAACGAGAGUACGAGUACGUGUCAUUAGUAUGACAUGUGGAGAAUCCUAGAACCAGGAAGACGAUAUGAGGGGAAAUGGAGAAGGAUGGGGAUUAUUCACUGUGCAUGUAAUAAGCUGUUGUCUAUUCUAGUAUACUCACCAGUCUCUUUAGGAAACUUGCGGAGAACCUGAGUAAGUCCAAAGAAUAGCUGUUCAUUGCUUAUUAGCUCAUCCUGAAACCAAAUGUCAAGAUAUUCACGCUUUACAUGACAUUAUCAUUGCAGAGUUUGUACAGACCAUUUGAUCAUUAAGCGAAAGCCAAGAAAAAAUAUGACAAGAUAUGCAUAAAGAUGCAAGUGUAUCAGAAAAAACCGUUUGGUACCCCCCACAACAUCAGCACUGUAGAGUUUAUCCAGUCCAGUCAAAACAUUUAAGCGAAAACCAGAGCUAUAAUAGAUACGAUAGGAUGCACAUUAGAAAGCGAAGUCUGGCAACUGACCACGCAAUUAAGACGUGCGUUGAUCGUUUCAAUGUCUUUUAAGGGCUGCAACAGAUUGGCUCGUAGAAGCCUGGUUCUGAAGAUAAAUUAUGAAAGUGAAAUUUAAUAUUCUAUAUCUGAAAACUGAGAUUGACAUGAGGAAGCAUUAACAUGUAGAAUUUAAAGCCUCUUCAAUUUUGCUAUAUGAUAGAAAAUUUUACUAAGUGAUAAGAUGAUUCCAGUACCCUCCUGCGGUUUUUGUUGUCUUGAGCAUGUGAAACAAACUUUUCUUCUUGUUGGUGUGUGCCCAAAAGUGAAGAGUGAAGUGGGUCAAUUAAUUCCAAGUUGUGAACACUGCAGGAGAUCCCAAUCGUAAACUAAACAAGGACUCAUGGAAGAGUCCUCCCCAGAGCAGUCUAUAUGAGAGGUGGUAAAACAUAACAAAUAUACAAAUAUAUCAGGCAAAAAGAAAGAAAAUUCCAAACAGAGACCAUAUUACCUAGUUGCAUCUAUGUUCAUGUGAUCAAAUGAUCCAUUAAAGGUAACCUGGAAGUGCAAAAAAAGCCAUGAGGAAAACCAAAUUCCAUUAGAGAAGCAUAGUUAUGUAAGUACUACAGAAACAGAUGCUCUUAUAGGAAUUAAUUCGUGUCAACAUCUUUUCUUAAGUUAAUAUUGCAUAGACAAGAAUGACCCAUAUAAGUACAGCAUAAAAUACAAGCUCAGCCUAAGAAUCGGUUACUAACUGUUAUUGUCACUGUUUCUGGCAAUACGUUAUUGUUUAAGAGACUCAAUUACAUUGUUGAGGGAGCAGGAGAUGAUUCGUUACAAUAACUCCUUUUUCGGCUUCUAUCCUGUGCAUGACCCAGUACAAAAUUCAUCUUAUACAGACUGUUUAAUCAGUAAACUUAGCUGAUAGGCAAAUUGUAUACGAUCUUAAGCAAAUGCAUGGGAUUCUUUGAAAUAUGAAACCUUCUUGAAACAUCGAUGCCAAUUUAGAGAGUAAACUGUGAGACUGUCAUUUCUUAAUCAUCCAAUGGCAUCUGAGUUACAAUAAAAGACUCAUAAUAUUUUUGGAUGUGAUUCUCUGCAAAUAAUGCAUAUGCAACUUUUUGAAUUUUAAUAGAAUGUUGUUUCCUCCUUAAUUAUGCAUGUCCGAACAGAAGCCACAAAGAUCCUUGCUAAGAACGAACUUAUUUCAUUGUAUAAUCCUCAUAACUAGGAGAUCCUUGGGUAAUAUUCUGCGAAAUACCAUCUUUGUUUGGCUGCCGCUUCUGCUGCAAUCAAAUGGUAUUUUCUGUGGUUUGGCCAUUUCCAUAGCAAUUGCAGAUCUAAUCUCUGACAUUGAAUAGAUUAUGCAUGAACUAUCAGUUUGUUCCUGUUUGAGACCAUGCAAUAUGAAUCCGAUAUGCCUAGUAAGAGCUAGGAGAACUUUGUUUUGGAUGCUGAAUUUAAAGUUAAGACGUUCCUUUGAGGAAUGUAGUGUUUCGCAGAAUAUUACCCAAGGAUCUCCUAGUUAUGAGGAUUAUACAAUGAAAUAAGUUCUAGUAUGGAGAACUCAAGUGUGAAGCUUUCAGCUAAAUCCUUUCGUCCUCCAAGACUUCAUCGAUUCUUACGAACCGGCCCUCCUCGAUGGAACGCUGUGCCGCUACUCCAAUAGCUACUGAAAUCAGUCCAUCUUGCAAAUCCACCGCAGCAACUUUUUCCCCUUCAGCUCUUACUGCACUCAGAAAGUUGAGGUGUUCUAAGUAGCUUGAUCCAUGAUGAAGCCCGUCAUAUCUGUGUAACAACAACUCGGAUUCGUCAUAAAAAUAUCGUAGCACUUUCGAAAAUUGUAAACAAUACUAAUACGGCUCACAUUAUUCUGUCAUCGUCAGCUUUUAAGGUCUCGACGCCAUCUCUACCAGCAACUCGAGCACCAACGCGCACUAUGCUCUCCGGCACGAAAGCCUCUCCCUGUUCGCAAUCUCAUGAUCAGAACAUAACCGAGUGAAGGAACGCGAAGAAAGUUCGAUAGAUUAGCAGCCAAGUAACCUUUCCAAUGUUACCCACGACGGAUAUUUCUUGCUCAUUCUUGCUACCUUCAGCAAACAUGCAAAGGUCCAACAUUCCUCUCGAACCGUUGUCAAACUCGACAAUCACAUAUGCAUUGUCAAUGAUAUCAGGUACCUGAAAUUUCGACGAUUCUUCUCAAUUUUACUUCAACCGCAAUAAACGCAGAGCUCAUACUACAAAGUCUCUUAAGGCGUUUACCUUCCCGUCAUAAACUUCAUCCUUGUGGUUAACGUCUACAGCUCCGGAAGCCAUGACUCGAACAGGAUUGGCACCGGCAAACAGCUUCAUCAGAUCAAAGAAGUGGCAACACUUCUCCACCAGAGUUCCCCCAGUGUUGAUAUUGAACCUGUUCCAGUUAUGAACCUAUAUUACAACCAACAAGAAGGAAACACCAUUACCAACUACCUACUGCCAACAAAGUUCUUUCAACUUUUCGAAACCUUUUCUACCUUAACCAGAAAGGGAAACCUAUGCUCUCUGAUGGCCACCAUCUUCACAUGUCCUAUAGAUCCACUCUUGACGAUCUCGAUCAGCUUCGCAACAGGCGGCAUGUACCGGUACUCCAGUCCGACCUGAACCAGCAUAUCUGACCUCUUCCUUGCAGCAUGCACCACCUGUUUGCAGUGGGCAACAGUGGUGCAGAGCGGCUUUUCGACGAGCACGUGGUGUGCCUUGCGGUGUGCGAUGAUAUCCAUGAGAAUCUGGAAGUGAGUCAUGUUUGGACUGGAAACAACCACGACGUCGCAGAGACCGCUGUCAAGCAACUCCCGGUGGCCGGAAAAUACCUGAAGAUCGUUCCAGCCGAAAGACUGUGCGAGGUCGAUCGCCUGCUGCUGGGAAGGGAGGUGAGGAUCGGCGAUGCAUACCACGGCGACGUUGUGGCCGGAGCGAAGGUGGUGGAGAUUAAUGAGGUGCUCUCUCCCCAUCAUCCCAACUCCUAUGAUCCCGUACUUGACAGUUGCUGCCCCGGAUUCAGCCAUGGAAUUUCUGCUUGAAGUAUUUUCUUUUUCUGCAACUUGAUUCCGGGUUUUGAAGAUAUGAUGAGUGAAGAAAAAUGAUCAGGUCACCUGACAGCAAAGAUAUUGACAUUUUUCUGUUUUUGCGUCCAGGUUCAUUUGGGGCCCUGACAGAGCAUAUUUGGACGUUGCAAGGAUAUCCAGAAUUGCCAAAUUGGUGUCAUUUCAGUCAUUUGUACUGGUUAGCCUAUCGUAUUAUCAUUGGACCGUACCAAACGGUUCAACCGGGUGGUCAUCAAGUCAUAACAAUUGAACUACAUACCAUUAAUUACUGCUGUACAAUCUCGAUACAGUUCAGAGACAACUUAGCUAUUCAGGCUAUUUUCGAAAGAUUCUUCAGGUUUCCGGGCAGACUGUAACAGAUUCAUCGCAAUAACAAGAACAUAGUGGAACCAAGCCAUUUCAGCACAAGCAGAGAUAUAUGCUCCCAAUUAGUAUUAUCACUGUGAAUUACAGAAUGGCAACUAGUACAAGAAGGGUUCAGAAAGUUGCCAGAAACAUCGAACAGGGUCGACUCCCUUAAAAGUGACUUACAUUUGUUGCUACUUUCUACCCAUCAAUCGGAAUAUGGGAAUUGAAUCACAUAGAAGUCUGAUUAGAAUUCCUAACCCUGAAACACUCUUGUCGUUCUUUGUAUCGUGUUUGCAUAUCUCCGUCGAAGACCCUAUCUAGCCUCCUCUGCUUCAAAACUGAGCUACAGGCAACACUCCACAUAAAAGCCGCUUAUAUCCCCCUUCCAGAUUACACUCUCCUUAUAUCAAGACUUUGUUCCUGUUAACAACAAGAAGGUGUUCUGUAUCAGCUCAAUAGGAAACUCUACUAUGCAUUAUAUCAAAAAGAUUACAUGUCGAAUGCUAGCUCAACCACAAAGACAACUAACGUAAAACACACAGUUGAUAGAACUAAUCUGAUUGUUUCAGAAAAUCCAUCUAAGAUUAGUUCCACUAACAACACAGCUGGAAAGAACAACAUGGUUACUAGAAUUGAACAGAUUGAUUCAAAGAUUAAGGGGCCAUCCACAGAAGAUCAGCCUGCAUCAAGCAUCAUCAGUUCAUCACACAACUAGAACACUCACAGGUUCAUAAGUUUUGGCCUAGUAAGAUGAAAUUCAGGGGUUUUGUGAAGGGAGGUACGAUGGAGUUUGGAUUUGCAACGGAAAAGAUCACAAAAGCCCUAGCCACAUCGAUUCUUUGACGUCUGGAUUUAGCGUAGCCACCGCAAUGAUCAGAUUUCUUAGUUCAUUUCCUAUAACUCGCAACUUAAUCGGCUAUUAACCCACAAGAGAAGCAAUAAUUUCGAUUCAACACAGGUAAACAUUGCAAUUGCGGUUCCAAAAGCGACGAGGUAAAAAGAAAUCAGAGGCCAACAUGAAGGUCAAACCUACGGAAACCUAGAAAAUCAGGAAAUGCAAAGGCACACCUACGUCUGUUUGGAGUAAGAAGAAGAAGAAGGGACUCGCUUGUUGCGGAACAUCAUGUAUCCGACCGGAAAAACCACUCCGAUCAUCAUAAUCGCCGCGCCGAUGAGGUAUCUGAUCGGACUAGGUGGCUCGACCUCGACGAUUCUCAGAUGCUGCAAAUCGAAAACCAGAAAUUCAGAUCACAUGCCUCCAACUUAAGAACCAACGACCAGGAACCGUGUAAAGGCCAAUAUAAGAAUAACUACGUUGCUCCAUUGAGCUCGGAGAUCUGGAUCUGACAUAGAGUAACAGAGAGAGAGAACUUACAGGCAUUUUUUCCCGCCGUUGGCCCCCUGCAGCGUAGGUAACGAGAUUCAGGAACAGAGACGAACAAGGAGAAAGGAGUGAUCCUAGUGAAGGUAUUGGUUGCUUCUGCGAAUGUAUCGACAGAGAAGUGAAACUGAAAGGAGAGGCGAGGACGAUGACUAAUUGAUAUGAACUCGUAACCAGGCAGUAAUUAAAUUUUAUUCGUAUUCUUUUCGGGGGAAAAAAUAUUAUAUUUUUGACGGAUAUAAUUAGUUUUUUUUAAAACAAAAUAUUAUUCGUAUUUAAAUUGCUUUUCAGUUGGUAAAUAAUUUAUUUUCAAAUGGGAACUAUUUUUUUAUUAUAUAAUAUAGUUUCAUACCGACUGGUGACGCAAUUUUCCGGGGUGGUAAAACCUUUUCGGUAUUGAAGACCCAUUUUUGUCGAAAUUUUGGCUCCAAGAGAAGCAAUCAAUUGGUUCGUUGAACAUGACCUUCUUGUUGUCGAUAUCCAAAGUGAUGCGAAGCUCGUGCAGACACGCAUCGCACAUUUUGUAGCCUUCCAACCUCUUUAGUGGGGUGAUCAUUGAAGAAAUUCGACACUAAGACAAUCCUUCCAACUCAAAUACAUACAUAUUCGUCAAACUCAAAAUCAUAUAUUACGAUGUGUUCCCUCCCUCAUUCAUUAUCAUUACACAACUUAUCAUUCAUGGCCGGACUAUAAGUUUUAAAAGUCUCCUCUCGUUCAACGCCUCCCGUCUCAGAGCUCCCUUGUCAAAAAGAAUGGCUUCAAACUGACUCUAAAUCAAAUUUGAACACGCUUUCGAUGUUUGAGAAUUUUUUGGAUUAAUAUGAAAUCAUUAGACCUAUGUUGAUGAUUUGUCUUAGAGAAUAUUAUAGUUGAAUAGGUGGUUUGUAAUAUAACAAUGGUUAGUAGUAUAUUAUCUCAUUGAAUAUAACGCAUUGGUUAUUUUGAUACAUACAAUUGAUUUGUAACGUGUGAUAGUCUCUUUUUCCUUGGUAAUUACAUCAUAGCACUUUAAUUAGUCCGAAAACGGGUGCAUUAACUCCGUAACUCAAACCAAAAUCUAUAUAGGCGAGACAUAACGAGCUAAUUAAUGAGACACUCUCUACCAUCUUCCGAGCGGAGCUCACUUCAUUUUGAGCUCUACUCAUUAACCUUCAAAUCAAUCUCCAAACGACCAUAUACCGAGUCAAGCAUCCAUUAUAGAACAUCAAGGUUAAGAAAUUCAACGAGUUGCAUCAUACGGAAGGAAUGUGGAGCCUAAUUAAACAGCCCUAAACCCCAUGAUUUUUUACAAAAAAAACCAAAGAAGCCAGCCUAACCCAUGGAGUCAAAGGUGAGAGCGAACCAGCCGAGUUGGUUAACGAUCUGACCGAGCCGCUCCACCUGUCCUUUAGAGUCACCAAUGGCGGUAGUAAACGGAUAAACAAAGGUAACACUCUUAGCCACACAUCUGUAAGUAACCACAUCCCCUUUCACCAAGAACUCGAGAAUAUCCCUCUUGCCAUAGAACCCAUCCACCUCGGCCUCCAAAUACCUCCCUCCGUUGGGGGAAUUUUCCACGACUCGAAUCUCAGGAUUCUUCUGUGUUGUCAAAAUCGCCUCCUCCAAUUUCCGGACGGCGGAUUCCUCCGCCAUCACGGCAGCGUCAUCCGGGUGGGGGAUCCUCCAGGGGAAGGAGAAGGAUGACGACUUGGGAUUGGUUGAUACGCAGCCGGGAUUGGUGGACGGGCAGGGCCGGAUCCUGCCGUCUUCGAGGCCUAUCUGGAGGGUUUUGGACUGGGAGAAGGGAGUGGUGGGGGAGAUCGGAGGAGGGGGAGAGUUUGGGUAAGGGAUUGCGUAAGAGGGGAGAGGAGAGUUGAGUGUGAGGGCAAUGGCGAAGGAGAGGAGGUGGUCGGAGAAUGGGAUGAUGUGGUUGUUCUUGCGGCGAAGAGCGGGAAUUGAGGUGUGGAGUGGAGGAAAUUUGGAGGAGGAGGAUGAAGAAGGUGCCGGUGCCGGUGCCGGAUGUGGAAGCGGAAUCCAACGAAUCAGCUCCAUUUGCUUAUUUUGAAUUCUGGAUUCGAUAGCUGCUGCAUUUCAAGAUAGAAAUGGGUGGCUUGAAAUGGAGUGGCUUUUCAGUAGAGCUGUCAAGCGGUUUGGACGGGUCAUAGAUUGGAUUAGUCGGAUUACUGGUUAUUCGGUUAUGGGUUAGACGGAUUAUGAGUUCGCGGGCUAUGGGUUUAUCGGGCUACGGAUUGUCGGGUUGUGGGUUCAUCGGAUCACGGGUUCACUGGAUCACGGAUUCAUGAGGGUUUUGAACCGGGCGAAUUACGAGUUGACUCGGGUUGCCUAUCGGGCCAUCAACGUACAAUUAAUUUAUAAAAUAUAACACAUAAAUUUUAUUUAGAUAAUAAAAAAUAGAAUUUAAAUUCAAUGGUAUUUUUACAUUUUUUUAUUUGAAUUUAACAAAAUUGAGAUUAUAAUUUAAAUUUUAAAAUAGUAAUAAAAUUGUAGAAAUUAAAUUAUAAAUUGAAAUUUUAAUUUUAAAAUUAUGAAAUCGAUGAUAAUGAAAAAAGUAAAAGAAACCUCUAAAGAUUAUCACUAAUUUUAUCAUUAAGAUUUUUCAUACUUAUUCAUGUUUAUUUAGAAUUUAUUAUUUUUAUUUAUUGUGUCUUUUCAUCUUUCAUUAUUUUUAUAAAUAAAUAAAAAAUUGAUUGGCUCCUACUAUUUAUUUUGUUUAUGUUAAUAACUAAAUAAUAAACAAAACAUAAUGUUGAAUUUAACUACCCAACUUUAAAGAGCCAGUACCUCAAUUUAGUUCUUCGUCUAUGUUAUCAGUAUUGAAUGUGUUGUAUGUAAGCUAAUUGAUAUUAUCCAUUUCUUUUAAAAAAAUAUGAUUCUCAACUUGCAAGUGAGCAUUGAGCAAUAAUAUCAUAUUCUCUUGAAUACAAAAACUUUGCUUUUAUGAAUAUAUAUUAAAAAUGAACUAAUUAUUUUUUGAAGUAAAUCCAUCAAACUAAUUCGAGAUUAUGAAAUAAUUAUUUAUUAAAAAUUAUGAUAAACUGUACUGGGGAGAGAACUUCAUACUUUGUCGUAUGAUAUGACGGGUUAAAUGGGCGGUCUAGCCGGGUCGCGGGUUAGUCGGGUUACGGGCUGUCAGGUUAUGAAUUAAUCGGAUUACGGGUUAAUCUAAUUACGGGUUAAUCGCGUCACGAGUUCAUCGAUGCUAACCCCUAUCAAUAAUGAUCAAGUGUAGUUAAAAAUCAAUUUUACUCGGUGUUAUUUUAGCAUGUUAAAAAACGUUUUUAACUUUACUUGACUAUUAUUUGAAGGGUUUAACAUGGUGAAACCUCAAUUUUUAGUCAUUCUCAACAUGCAUGUCAAAUAUAAGUCAAGUUAAAAUUUUCAAUUUUUGUGUCAAAAUUGUCAAUAUCCAAAGGGGUUAACCUAUGCAAAUCGACCAUCUUCACAAGAAAAUUUUAAAAUUUUCAAAUCGACUAAUAUUUGACAUGCAUGNNNNNNNNNNNNNNNNNNNNNNNNNNNNNNNNNNNNNNNNNNNNNNNNNNNNNNNNNNNNNNNNNNNNNNNNNNNNNNNNNNNNNNNNNNNNNNNNNNNNNNNNNNNNNNNNNNNNNNNNNNNNNNNNNNNNNNNNNNNNNNNNNNNNNNNNNNNNNNNNNNNNNNNNNNNNNNNNNNNNNNNNNNNNNNNNNNNNNNNNNNNNNNNNNNNNNNNNNNNNNNNNNNNNNNNNNNNNNNNNNNNNNNNNNNNNNNNNNNNNNNNNNNNNNNNNNNNNNNNNNNNNNNNNNNNNNNNNNNNNNNNNNNNNNNNNNNNNNNNNNNNNNNNNNNNNNNNNNNNNNNNNNNNNNNNNNNNNNNNNNNNNNNNNNNNNNNNNNNNNNNNNNNNNNNNNNNNNNNNNNNNNNNNNNNNNNNNNNNNNNNNNNNNNNNNNNNNNNNNNNNNNNNNNNNNNNNNNNNNNNNNNNNNNNNNNNNNNNNNNNNNNNNNNNNNNNNNNNNNNNNNNNNNNNNNNNNNNNNNNNNNNNNNNNNNNNNNNNNNNNNNNNNNNNNNNNNNNNNNNNNNNNNNNNNNNNNNNNNNNNNNNNNNNNNNNNNNNNNNNNNNNNNNNNNNNNNNNNNNNNNNNNNNNNNNNNNNNNNNNNNNNNNNNNNNNNNNNNNNNNNNNNNNNNNNNNNNNNNNNNNNNNNNNNNNNNNNNNNNNNNNNNNNNNNNNNNNNNNNNNNNNNNNNNNNNNNNNNNNNNNNNNNNNNNNNNNNNNNNNNNNNNNNNNNNNNNNNNNNNNNNNNNNNNNNNNNNNNNNNNNNNNNNNNNNNNNNNNNNNNNNNNNNNNNNNNNNNNNNNNNNNNNNNNNNNNNNNNNNNNNNNNNNNNNNNNNNNNNNNNNNNNNNNNNNNNNNNNNNNNNNNNNNNNNNNNNNNNNNNNNNNNNNNNNNNNNNNNNNNNNNNNNNNNNNNNNNNNNNNNNNNNNNNNNNNNNNNNNNNNNNNNNNNNNNNNNNNNNNNNNNNNNNNNNNNNNNNNNNNNNNNNNNNNNNNNNNNNNNNNNNNNNNNNNNNNNNNNNNNNNNNNNNNNNNNNNNNNNNNNNNNNNNNNNNNNNNNNNNNNNNNNNNNNNNNNNNNNNNNNNNNNNNNNNNNNNNNNNNNNNNNNNNNNNNNNNNNNNNNNNNNNNNNNNNNNNNNNNNNNNNNNNNNNNNNNNNNNNNNNNNNNNNNNNNNNNNNNNNNNNNNNNNNNNNNNNNNNNNNNNNNNNNNNNNNNNNNNNNNNNNNNNNNNNNNNNNNNNNNNNNNNNNNNNNNNNNNNNNNNNNNNNNNNNNNNNNNNNNNNNNNNNNNNNNNNNNNNNNNNNNNNNNNNNNNNNNNNNNNNNNNNNNNNNNNNNNNNNNNNNNNNNNNNNNNNNNNNNNNNNNNNNNNNNNNNNNNNNNNNNNNNNNNNNNNNNNNNNNNNNNNNNNNNNNNNNNNNNNNNNNNNNNNNNNNNNNNNNNNNNNNNNNNNNNNNNNNNNNNNNNNNNNNNNNNNNNNNNNNNNNNNNNNNNNNNNNNNNNNNNNNNNNNNNNNNNNNNNNNNNNNNNNNNNNNNNNNNNNNNNNNNNNNNNNNNNNNNNNNNNNNNNNNNNNNNNNNNNNNNNNNNNNNNNNNNNNNNNNNNNNNNNNNNNNNNNNNNNNNNNNNNNNNNNNNNNNNNNNNNNNNNNNNNNNNNNNNNNNNNNNNNNNNNNNNNNNNNNNNNNNNNNNNNNNNNNNNNNNNNNNNNNNNNNNNNNNNNNNNNNNNNNNNNNNNNNNNNNNNNNNNNNNNNNNNNNNNNNNNNNNNNNNNNNNNNNNNNNNNNNNNNNNNNNNNNNNNNNNNNNNNNNNNNNNNNNNNNNNNNNNNNNNNNNNNNNNNNNNNNNNNNNNNNNNNNNNNNNNNNNNNNNNNNNNNNNNNNNNNNNNNNNNNNNNNNNNNNNNNNNNNNNNNNNNNNNNNNNNNNNNNNNNNNNNNNNNNNNNNNNNNNNNNNNNNNNNNNNNNNNNNNNNNNNNNNNNNNNNNNNNNNNNNNNNNNNNNNNNNNNNNNNNNNNNNNNNNNNNNNNNNNNNNNNNNNNNNNNNNNNNNNNNNNNNNNNNNNNNNNNNNNNNNNNNNNNNNNNNNNNNNNNNNNNNNNNNNNNNNNNNNNNNNNNNNNNNNNNNNNNNNNNNNNNNNNNNNNNNNNNNNNNNNNNNNNNNNNNNNNNNNNNNNNNNNNNNNNNNNNNNNNNNNNNNNNNNNNNNNNNNNNNNNNNNNNNNNNNNNNNNNNNNNNNNNNNNNNNNNNNNNNNNNNNNNNNNNNNNNNNNNNNNNNNNNNNNNNNNNNNNNNNNNNNNNNNNNNNNNNNNNNNNNNNNNNNNNNNNNNNNNNNNNNNNNNNNNNNNNNNNNNNNNNNNNNNNNNNNNNNNNNNNNNNNNNNNNNNNNNNNNNNNNNNNNNNNNNNNNNNNNNNNNNNNNNNNNNNNNNNNNNNNNNNNNNNNNNNNNNNNNNNNNNNNNNNNNNNNNNNNNNNNNNNNNNNNNNNNNNNNNNNNNNNNNNNNNNNNNNNNNNNNNNNNNNNNNNNNNNNNNNNNNNNNNNNNNNNNNNNNNNNNNNNNNNNNNNNNNNNNNNNNNNNNNNNNNNNNNNNNNNNNNNNNNNNNNNNNNNNNNNNNNNNNNNNNNNNNNNNNNNNNNNNNNNNNNNNNNNNNNNNNNNNNNNNNNNNNNNNNNNNNNNNNNNNNNNNNNNNNNNNNNNNNNNNNNNNNNNNNNNNNNNNNNNNNNNNNNNNNNNNNNNNNNNNNNNNNNNNNNNNNNNNNNNNNNNNNNNNNNNNNNNNNNNNNNNNNNNNNNNNNNNNNNNNNNNNNNNNNNNNNNNNNNNNNNNNNNNNNNNNNNNNNNNNNNNNNNNNNNNNNNNNNNNNNNNNNNNNNNNNNNNNNNNNNNNNNNNNNNNNNNNNNNNNNNNNNNNNNNNNNNNNNNNNNNNNNNNNNNNNNNNNNNNNNNNNNNNNNNNNNNNNNNNNNNNNNNNNNNNNNNNNNNNNNNNNNNNNNNNNNNNNNNNNNNNNNNNNNNNNNNNNNNNNNNNNNNNNNNNNNNNNNNNNNNNNNNNNNNNNNNNNNNNNNNNNNNNNNNNNNNNNNNNNNNNNNNNNNNNNNNNNNNNNNNNNNNNNNNNNNNNNNNNNNNNNNNNNNNNNNNNNNNNNNNNNNNNNNNNNNNNNNNNNNNNNNNNNNNNNNNNNNNNNNNNNNNNNNNNNNNNNNNNNNNNNNNNNNNNNNNNNNNNNNNNNNNNNNNNNNNNNNNNNNNNNNNNNNNNNNNNNNNNNNNNNNNNNNNNNNNNNNNNNNNNNNNNNNNNNNNNNNNNNNNNNNNNNNNNNNNNNNNNNNNNNNNNNNNNNNNNNNNNNNNNNNNNNNNNNNNNNNNNNNNNNNNNNNNNNNNNNNNNNNNNNNNNNNNNNNNNNNNNNNNNNNNNNNNNNNNNNNNNNNNNNNNNNNNNNNNNNNNNNNNNNNNNNNNNNNNNNNNNNNNNNNNNNNNNNNNNNNNNNNNNNNNNNNNNNNNNNNNNNNNNNNNNNNNNNNNNNNNNNNNNNNNNNNNNNNNNNNNNNNNNNNNNNNNNNNNNNNNNNNNNNNNNNNNNNNNNNNNNNNNNNNNNNNNNNNNNNNNNNNNNNNNNNNNNNNNNNNNNNNNNNNNNNNNNNNNNNNNNNNNNNNNNNNNNNNNNNNNNNNNNNNNNNNNNNNNNNNNNNNNNNNNNNNNNNNNNNNNNNNNNNNNNNNNNNNNNNNNNNNNNNNNNNNNNNNNNNNNNNNNNNNNNNNNNNNNNNNNNNNNNNNNNNNNNNNNNNNNNNNNNNNNNNNNNNNNNNNNNNNNNNNNNNNNNNNNNNNNNNNNNNNNNNNNNNNNNNNNNNNNNNNNNNNNNNNNNNNNNNNNNNNNNNNNNNNNNNNNNNNNNNNNNNNNNNNNNNNNNNNNNNNNNNNNNNNNNNNNNNNNNNNNNNNNNNNNNNNNNNNNNNNNNNNNNNNNNNNNNNNNNNNNNNNNNNNNNNNNNNNNNNNNNNNNNNNNNNNNNNNNNNNNNNNNNNNNNNNNNNNNNNNNNNNNNNNNNNNNNNNNNNNNNNNNNNNNNNNNNNNNNNNNNNNNNNNNNNNNNNNNNNNNNNNNNNNNNNNNNNNNNNNNNNNNNNNNNNNNNNNNNNNNNNNNNNNNNNNNNNNNNNNNNNNNNNNNNNNNNNNNNNNNNNNNNNNNNNNNNNNNNNNNNNNNNNNNNNNNNNNNNNNNNNNNNNNNNNNNNNNNNNNNNNNNNNNNNNNNNNNNNNNNNNNNNNNNNNNNNNNNNNNNNNNNNNNNNNNNNNNNNNNNNNNNNNNNNNNNNNNNNNNNNNNNNNNNNNNNNNNNNNNNNNNNNNNNNNNNNNNNNNNNNNNNNNNNNNNNNNNNNNNNNNNNNNNNNNNNNNNNNNNNNNNNNNNNNNNNNNNNNNNNNNNNNNNNNNNNNNNNNNNNNNNNNNNNNNNNNNNNNNNNNNNNNNNNNNNNNNNNNNNNNNNNNNNNNNNNNNNNNNNNNNNNNNNNNNNNNNNNNNNNNNNNNNNNNNNNNNNNNNNNNNNNNNNNNNNNNNNNNNNNNNNNNNNNNNNNNNNNNNNNNNNNNNNNNNNNNNNNNNNNNNNNNNNNNNNNNNNNNNNNNNNNNNNNNNNNNNNNNNNNNNNNNNNNNNNNNNNNNNNNNNNNNNNNNNNNNNNNNNNNNNNNNNNNNNNNNNNNNNNNNNNNNNNNNNNNNNNNNNNNNNNNNNNNNNNNNNNNNNNNNNNNNNNNNNNNNNNNNNNNNNNNNNNNNNNNNNNNNNNNNNNNNNNNNNNNNNNNNNNNNNNNNNNNNNNNNNNNNNNNNNNNNNNNNNNNNNNNNNNNNNNNNNNNNNNNNNNNNNNNNNNNNNNNNNNNNNNNNNNNNNNNNNNNNNNNNNNNNNNNNNNNNNNNNNNNNNNNNNNNNNNNNNNNNNNNNNNNNNNNNNNNNNNNNNNNNNNNNNNNNNNUUUGAAGUGCUUAACAUGGUAAAAUCUCAAUUUUUAGCCAUUCCGAAUAUGUAUAUCAAAUAUUAGUCAAUUUAAAAAAAAUCAAUUUUCAUGUCAAAAUUGUCAAUUUCCAAAGGGGUUAACCUAUGGACAUCGACCAUUUUCACAAGAAAAAAUCAAAUCUGCUAAAAAGCCAUGUUUCGCUAUGCUAACCCCUAUAAAUAAUGAUGAAACGUAGUUAAAAAUCAAGUUUACUCAGUAUUAUUUCAGCAUGUUUAAAAAUGUUUUAACUUUAUUUAACUGUUAUUUGAAGGACUUAACUUGAUGAAAUCUAAAUUUUUAGUCAUUCCCAACAUGCAUCUCAAAUAUUAGCUAAUUUAAAAAAAAUUGAAUUUUCAUGUCAACUUUGUCAAUUUCCAAAGGGGGUUAACCUAUGAAAUUCAACCAUUUUCACAAGAAAAUUUCAAACUGACUAAUAUAUUGCCAUGCAUGUUAAAAAUAGUCAAAAAUCAAGUUUCAUUAUGGCGCCGGCGUUAAUCUCCCUUGAAUCCAUCCAUGACGACCGACACCUCGACUGCAAAGGAAAUCUCCUGAGAAAGUAGACAUUGGAGGCGUUCCACACCUCGAUCAAUCUCAUCACUCGAUAAAGUAACUUUCUUUUUGAAUGAGGGGUAUGUUCUCCCUUCCUUUCCUUAUACAAUCCCUGAAAAUUCGAGUUGAAUUAUCACAUAUAAAUGUAUCUUCUUUAGUUGAUUGGUGACCCGUCUAAACUAAAAUCAUCCUCAUCUAUGAGGAUGGACUAGGGCCGUUCAACCCUAAGACCAAACCACCUCAAAGUUUCUCAUUUUUAUGUCGAGCACUUCAAACCUGAUCACUUGAGUUGAACCUAAAACCAACCUAUCACUCAUAAUUCAUAUCAAUUAUUCAUUUAUUUAACUUAACUAAUUAAUAAAAAUACCAAGCUGGGAAACUUAUUUAACUUAACUAAUUAAUAAACAAGUGCUUAGUUGGGAGUGAACGUCAAAGAAAGAACAGAGAAGACAGAGAGCUAAGCUGGUGAAUCUCUCUUCUUGUAAAACAAACUAGGAAAUCCAGCACAGACGACUUCUCAUUAGAUUCAUCUUCUGAAGCUGGAAGAAGACCAUAGUAGUGUCGUGCACCAGUUUCCAAAUUAUGAACCCUUGGAUCUCCACUUCUCCAAGGCAAAAUUCCCUUGGAUCUUUAGUUUGGAGUUAACUACUAAUUGAACCACCAAUUAUAAUCGAUUAGCUACUAAACCGUCUCAUGUGUUAUACGAUGUUUAUAACGACCAUAUUACAUGUCAAAUAUUUUGAAUUUAGGAAUCAAUUCCAUGGUUGUAUUUCAAAUUCUUUCACGGAUGAAUAUUGAGAAUCAAACUACAUUUUGAUGUCGAGUUAAGCACAAUAUCAAUUGAUACAAUCUAACUAGGCAUGCCUACCUUUAGAGAGUCGUCUAACUCUGAAUUAUAAUCUUACUCCCCGAUAAGCCAUCAAGGAUGUUUCAUUCACUGCCUCCUAACAAUCAUAUUAGAUGUUAAUUUGAUCAUUAUAGUUGUUAUUUCUCCACAGAUGAAUGGUGAGAAUCAAACUAUAUUAAUUCCUCUUUCAAAUUAAAUAUACUCAUCAGUUACUAAGCUAGCCCAAAUUUUAUUUUUUUUAUGGCAAAGAUCACCCGAUAAAUUAUGUCUAUCUAUAAAAAUUGUCCGACUCCAAACUAUGAUCUUAUUUUCUGACAGAUCAAUCAAAACUGCUUCAUUUAUUAACUCCUAACAACCAUCUGCUACCUAUAUUCUAGCUGAAGCAAUUAAUUUUGCCUAUAACUACCAUAUAUUGAAUAGUUUUAACGAAAAUUCUACCUUUUAAAUUUUAACCAUCAUAGAUAAAAAAUUUAAAUUCGAAUUUAGAACCUACGUAUCCGUUGCUUACUAAUCAACACAUAUGAACUGGACUAGAAUCCUAAAAGUUUAUUCAUUAUGAAUGGAAUCCUAAAGUUUUUUUUUCUUGAACAAAGUUUUGGAAUUCAUGCAUGUGUUAAAUGGUACCCAAAAAAUAUUUGUGUUGGUGACAUAUUAAAUUUAAGAAUGGAAUAAAAAUGAUGAUAAAAAUAAAAAAGGCUUAAAAGAAAGUGGGGAGGGGGAGGAAAGGGACAAGAAGGAGAAAGGAGAUAAGUGGAAGGAUGAGUCAUUUGUUUGAGAGGGAAUUGGAAUUGGAAUUGGAAUUAUCCCACCUCUCUUUCUCACUCCCCUGAUUUCCUCGAAUUUCACCCCAAUUUGAUGCUGAUAUUCUCCCUCGAACCAGUAAAACGACACCAUACUAGCGCUAUAGUGCAUCCUGACUCUGCUGGUAAUUUAGCGAUAUAUUACUCAAUUAGGCAUAUAAUAUAUCAUUUCAUAAUUGUUUAUAUCGAUCUUACGUAUUCCGACUCUUUCAGAUUAUCUUUUUUACAAUUCGUUCCUUCCGCAAACAUAACCUACAUAUAUGUUUAGUCCGGUUCAUUUAAAUUACCCUUUUUUUUGCAUAUGUAAGUCGUGAUGAUUAAUUCUGAUACUAAAUUACACCAUUCCCAGAAAACGUUAUAACCCCAAAUGCCAACAACAUAGUUAGCGAGAAGGUACAUCAAUCACGAUUCAGCUCAGUAACUUUUAUUUCGUAUCGUUUAUUCGUCAAUUAAAAUUAGUAUAGCGAUACACAAAGUAGGAAAUUACAAAAGAUUUCGGAUUCUAUUUAAAAAUAAAGAGCCCAAGCUAAAUGAAGAGUCCAAUUUAGUCCUACUACAGAUGUGGAAACGCGCUUUCAGCAGUGGCUUAACCUGUAGUGUUUGUUUCCGCGCGUUUUCUGGGUCCAGCGCCAGGGGGUAGUUGUGCAAAUAGUUGUAAAUUUAGGGGAGUGCUAUGGCGAAAUAAGGCAAAACUAGGGGACUGAUUGAAAAAUAAUGGAACUGAGCGGAGCCACAGAGAGAGAAAGAGACCACCAAGUUGGAAUGUUUCUUUUCUUCAACACGUCGUCUUAUUCCACUUCAUAUUUUUGUUCCCCUUUCUUAGCCAUUAACGAUGAUAAUGGUUUACAAAAAGAAUAUUAAUUUAAAAUGAAAUAAUUAAGUUGGUGAAGUUACGUAAUUGAUUAUGAAAAUUUAAAUUUUGAAUUUAAUUACACUCAACAAUGAACAUUUAUAAAAUAUUAUAUCUCUUUGAGUUCUCUCGUAUAAUCUUGUUUUCUUUAACAUAUUCUUAUAGAUGAUGGAAUAAGCAUACUUAGAUUUUUUUAAUAUUUUUAUGUUUUGGAGUUUUUAUGUUUGUGAGACUUAUGAAUUGAUGUAUUCUGCUGGUGGACAUUAAUUGUAAUGCAGAGUUGAUUAUUUUCUGAUUUGUACACUAAAGCAUGUGUUAUGGAGUUGGCAAUACCAUCAUCAGAUGUCUUGACCCUUUUUGAUUAUUUAAUCAUCAAUUUUAGAUAUAGGUUGUUCGACAGUCUGCUAAUAGGAUCGCCUCCUCAAUACUGCAUGAUAAGCUCUUUAAUAUAUUUUAUACGGUGUCGAGAUCGAUUUCACAACUUAGAUCAAUUUUUAAACUGCUUAUAUUGACAAUUAUCUAGAUAUUAUGUUAUUUAUAAUUUUUUAUUUAUUUAAUUCAAUAUAAAUUAAGUGACAUAAAAAAAACCUUCUUUUAAACAAUUAAUAAUAGGCUAAGUCACAGUGGUCGUAGCUGACGGAUAACUCGUUGAGGCGGUUCGACGUAGACUCAUCGGCGGGCCCCACCACAGAAGAAAACGGGAAAAAAUAUGGGAAAAAAUAAAAAAAAAUCCAGUCGGAAGAAUUUAAGCUUCAUUUACAUUUCAUUUCAGUUACAUUUGAAUGAAAUUAAGGAAAGGGAGCGCAAUUGGGCCUUCCUCUUUGACUUUGACCCAUUUUUUAAAUAACUUUAAAAGAAAAAGGAAAACAAAAAAAGGAGCGCACAAACAAGAAGAGCAGAAAGAGAGAGCAGAGAAGAAAAGUCCCAACUUUCCUCCCUCUUUCCUUCUACGCUGCAAAUCAAACAAAAAUCCAAAAGGCCGCUCCAUAGAUAAAUACACCAUAGCUCCCCCUUGCCUCUCUCUCACUUCAUCAUUCUUUCUCACAUCCAGAGACUCCCCCUCUCACUAUUCUCUGCGAUCUCUUCAAAUUCAACUAGGAAAAAAACCCACCAGGACUUUCGGUUUACUUGAACCUAUUACCCUUCACAGACUAGGUAAGCAUCGGUUUAUGCUUCUCUGUACUAAUUUGGUUUGUUUCUUAUCUGGGUACUUGUGGGUCUUUAUUGUUUCGAAGACCAGACUUGAUUUGACUUGUGGGUAGUGAGAGUUGAUUAGGUUUUUGCCUCCUUUUCCUGUGGUGGAAGUUUGGUGGGUGGGAAGAUUAGGUUUGAGAAAAGGGGAAAACCCAAAUAGGGGAUGAGAUUGAUUACUGGUUAGUUUCUGGGUUGCUUUCGUCUUGAUUUGGUUCAGCUUGUUCUGCCAAUAUUGGAACCUUCUGGAUUUAAAGGUUCUCCUUUUCCUAAUUUUUAGGUGGUUCUGGUUAAGACUCUUUGUAGCGGAAACUGCUGGCUAUAUAAUUAAUUGCUAGUUAAUUUUGUUGAAAGCGUUAUCUAAGUUUGAAUUGAUUUUUUUGCAGUUUGUGUUCCAAACACCAAACAUGGUGGUAGAGCAAUCAUCGUUCAGGCAGAAAGCCAGCAACUUGGGGAGAUGCUCAGUUUUGCUCGAGCUGUCUGCAAUUGGGGAUCUAGUUUCAUUCAGAAGCGAGGUUGAAGGCAAGGGAUUGGAUGUGGAUGAAGCAAGCUGUUGGUAUGGAAGAAGAAUCGGCUCGAGGAAGAUGGGGUUCGAGGAGAGAACCCCUCUGAUGAUUGCAGCCAUGUUUGGAAGCACUGAUGUUUUGAAGUACAUCAUCGGAACUGGCAAAGUUGAUGUGAAUCGAGCCUGCGGCUCGGAUAUGGUCACUGCUCUUCACUGUGCUGUUGCUGGUGGUUCGAAUUCUUCAGUUGCGAUUGUUAAGACGCUGCUUGAUGCUGAUGCUGAUUCCAACUGCCUUGAUGCGAACGGGAACAAACCGGAGGAUCUCUUUGCUCCCGCCAUGAAGUGCCCUUGCAAUUCGAGGAAGAAGCUGAUCGAGUCGCUGCUGAAAGGUGAGAGCUUGAGCGAAGAUGAGGAAGAAAAGCUUAUAGCUUUGCCUCAGUUUGCUAAAGAAGGAAUUGAAAGGAAAGAGUAUCCUAUCGAUGUCUCUUUACCUGACAUCAACACCGGAGUUUACGGUAGCGAUGAGUUCAGAAUGUAUUCCUUCAAGGUGAAGCCUUGCUCGAGGGCUUACUCUCACGACUGGACCGAGUGCCCCUUUGUCCACCCUGGGGAGAACGCGAGGAGGAGGGACCCGAGAAAAUACCCUUACAGCUGCGUUCCUUGCCCCGAAUUCCGGAAGGGGUCUUGCCAGAAGGGCGACUCUUGCGAAUACGCUCAUGGAGUCUUCGAGUCGUGGCUGCACCCGGCACAGUACAGGACCAGGCUUUGUAAAGACGAACCCGGCUGUGCGAGGAAAGUCUGUUUCUUUGCUCACAAACCCGAGGAGUUGCGCCCUGUGUAUGCCUCCACCGGUUCAGCCAUGCCUUCUCCGAGGUCUUCUGGUUCUGCGGCCAGUGCGAUGGAUAUGGCAUCAUUGAGUCCCUUGUCUCUUGGUACGACAUCCUUGCCUACCGCAGUUUCUACUCCUCCGAUGUCCCCUCACGCUUCGUCUUCGCCGAAGAGUGGAGGGUUAUGGCAGAACAAGAUCAAUUUCACACCGCCAGCUUUGCAACUUCCAGGGAGCAGAUUGAAGACAGCCAUGAGCGCUAGAGAUUUCGAUCUGGAGCUGGAAUUGCUCCGGUUAGAGAAUCAUAACAACCAGAUGCAGCAACAGCAGCUGAUCGACGAGAUAACCGGUCUCUCCUCCUCCCCGACUCGCUGGAGCCAGGACUUCAACAGGAUGGGAGAGAUGAAGCCGACUAAUCUCGACGAUGCAUUCAGAUCGUUGGAUCCUUCUUUGUUCUCUCCGAUGCAGCAGCAGUCUCCGACCGGGAUGCAAAUCCGCCAGAACAUGAACCAACUCCGUUCGAGUUUCCCGUCCAAUUUAUCAUCCUCCCCAGUAAGGAAGCAGCAGGGAGGAGGAUCCUACGGGUUCGAAUCUUCAGCUGCAGCUGCGAUGAACGCAAGAUCCUCGGCUUUUUCGAAUCGCAGUCAGAGCUUCAUUGAUCGCGGAGCAGUAUCAGUCAACCGUCUUGGUGUGACUGCAGCUGCAAACUCAGUGUCGAUGAUGUCUUCAAACUGGGGAUCCCCCGGUGGGAAACUCGACUGGGGGAUGCAAGGAGAUGAGCUUAACAAGCUCAAGAGGUCGGCCUCGUUCGGAUUCCGCGGUGGCAACAACAACAGCAGUCCGGUAACCAGACCUGCAGAUGUGGCGAUGUCGAACGGUCAGGAGCCGGACAUAUCGUGGGUGAACUCGUUGGUUAAAGAUGCUCCGGAGAACCGUCACAGCCAUGUGAAUGGAGUUCGUGAGUCCAUUCCGCCAUGGAUGGAGCAGAUGUACAUGGAACAGGAGCAGAUGGUGGCGUGAGAGUUAUAUUAUCACAACAGCAAAAAAAAAGGCACCAUCACCGUUAAGCUCCUAAAGCUUGAUCAAAAAACUCUGACAGAGCUUUUCUUCAAUUUUUACAUUCUUGGUUAAUUGUUGUCUAGUAAUUCCCUAUUUACUAAUUGUAUUUACAGUUCUCCUGAGAGAAAGGUUAAAGAGGGGGGAAAGGGAGGAGAGAACUAGGAUCAAGAUCGAAACUUUUAGGUGCAAAGGAAUAAGUGAGAUUAUAUUCUUUAAUUAUUUCAAUAUAAUUAUAAUUUGUUCGAGUGAUUUGUCUCAUUUCUUCGUAAUCUCUUGAAUGGAAAUGGAGAAGGACGAGGUCUCUUCUGUAAACUGUGUUUACUUGUUUGACUGUUUCUUCUUCUUCUUCUUCAUGAAUGUACCUUUCUGGAUUCAGCAGCAGCAUGUACUAAUAAUAUAUUAAUGCCAUGUUUGGAUUUGGUCCAACAAUUGCAUUUAAUUUCUUUCUUCAAAGUCAUUCUAGAUGAUGUUGAUCUUGCACUCUUGGUCCUACAAAGGCUGCAAAACUAGACUAACGAGUUUGGACAGUUUGAAAUUCAUAGUAGAAAAAUUGGCCUCCGUUUUGGAUUCAUUAAUUGUGAUCCACAGUUUUGAUGUAGAUAUAUAUCUUAAAAUUUCGAUUGUAACACUCUCAUAAUUUUGUUUUCGAUAAUAUAUUGCCGGAUUUUUGCAGAUUUGUUUCAGGAGAAAUAUCACAGCCAUUAGGCAUCAUAUAAUAGCAACGUAACAAGUGCGAAGCAUAAGAUUUGCAUGGUUUCCGAUUGAAAAAAUCGAAUAGUUCCGAGGAGAAAAGAACGAAAUUUUAUCAUCAACUAAGAAGUUGAAAAAGAAAAGAAAAGACAGAUGUUUUAUAGAGUUAUAUAACAUCUUUUAUGCACUGCUUUAGUUUAGGUACGUUAAUUUUCGAAUUCGUCAAGUUUGGCUCCGGCGGUGGGGGCAAAACAAGUGGUGGUGGUGGAGCCGCCGNNNNNNNNNNNNNNNNNNNNNNNNNNNNNNNNNNNGCGCAGAGGGGGGCGGGUCCACCUGCCAUUCUACGGGGGUUCGGAGGUGGAAACUUGAAAUUUCCUUGCCUGCCAUUGGUUUCUAGUCACAAUAAUAAUUAAAUAAUUAUAGAAGAUAAUAAUUGGACCGGCCAUGACCUGGGCGAUGGUGGCGAGAUGCUUCCUCCUUUAUUUUUUUUUGUAUUGUUUCUUAAUCAUGGUUUUCUGGUAGGGCCCAGGCGAGAGGUACUCAAAAAUAAAUAAUAAUAAAAUGGGCGAGAAAAACUGAAAAGGAAAAAGGAUGUCCACCAUAAUAAAUAAUAAUAAAAUGGGCGAGAAAAACUGAAAAGAAAAAAGGAUGUCCACCAUAAUAAAUAAUAAUAAUAAUAAUAAAAGCCCAUAUUUCCACUAAUAGGCGUGCGCUGGCCGAGUGUUUUGAACUACCUUUGAGAGAUGGGGGCCCAUUUAUCUCCUUAAUGGUCGGUCCACUCCCAUCCUCUUCUUUUUAUUUUUCCUUUUUUCUUUAUUUCCCCCCCCCCUCCCUCCUCUUUUUACGUGGAGAUUAGUUGAGUAGAUUUUUCUAGACGUUUUCUUAAUCACUCAUUAUCUGUUUGGCCAUGUAUUAUUAGUACAAGGAAAUGGUNNNNNNNNNNNNNNNNNNNNNNNNNNNNNNNNNNNNNNNNNNNNNNNNNNNNNNNNNNNNNNNNNNNNNNNNNNNNNNNNNNNNNNNNNNNNNNNNNNNNNNNNNNNNNNNNNNNNNNNNNNNNNNNNNNNNNNNNNNNNNNNNNNNNNNNNNNNNNNNNNNNNNNNNNNNNNNNNNNNNNNNNNNNNNNNNNNNNNNNNNNNNNNNNNNNNNNNNNNNNNNNNNNNNNNNNNNNNNNNNNNNNNNNNNNNNNNNNNNNNNNNNNNNNNNNNNNNNNNCAAAAUCUUAAAAUAAUAAAUAAAUAAAAUUAAAAAAUAUUUUUUUAAAAUUAUAAUAAUUAAUAAAAUAACUCAUUCAAACCACUUAUUAAUUUUGGUUGCGAUGAAUUCAUCCUAGGGAGCAUGGGCUUUUCACUCUUUCUAAGAAAUUUGUUGUGAUGUUAUUUGAUUCAAAGAAGAAAAAUGAGCUGGGCCCUGAUAGAAGAGUGUACAAAAGCCUAUUGGGUUUCCAUAAAUCGGCCACUGAGCCCAUACCGCAGCUCAACGUAUCUUUCAGUUCAGCUCCCGCUGUCGUUCGUGUUCUCCGUUCAGCCGCCGAGCUUCCUUUAUCUUCCCUCCCUCCGUUCGUCAUCCACCGCACUUACUUCAUCGCCGGCGCCACAUCAUCCUCACUUCUUUUAUUGUGCAAGACUCCGCCUUUUCAAUCCUUUCCGAUAAUCUCCCUUUUUUUCCGCUAGUAAUUUGGUAUGCUUUCAUUUUCCACCCGAUCAUUGUUCUCUGUGUUACAUUUCAUAAUUGAUUAUACAAUGUUAAUGGACCAAGUGCUGAAUACGAUUAGUUUUGCUAUCAUUUUCUUUCAUCUUUAUCUCCUGGGUAGUGGAAAUGGGGACGGUGCAAUUACUGGAUCCCUCUUGAGUGUUUCUAUUCGAAACUGAUUAUGUCCAUUUCAUCUGCAGAUAUUGAAAUUUCGGGGCUUUUCUGAGGUUAGAAGCCCUUAAGCUGUGGUGAGCAAGUUGAUGAGUAAUUUGAAUAGCGUGACUUAAGGCAUCUCUUCAUAAUGUUGGUGGCUAGUGGCUCUGCAGGAUUGUCCUCCAUGGCAGGUUUGCAUCACUUUCUUAUGAAAUUUCAAGACUUCUUAUGAACUCUGUGAAUACUAAUGGAAAUAGGAGUAGAAGAAAAAAAAAUUCAUGUUGAUACAAAUUUUGGCUUAGCAAAUCUAUUGUGCACUAUUCAGACAGGUGGCUCUGUGUAAUUCAUCUAUUUCGAUGAACAAUGGCCUUCCUGCUUCCUGGUUUCUCUAGUUUGCAUCAGUAAUUACGUUUAUGGGAUUGAUUAGAGUUGUCAAAUUUACUUUAUAAGGAUCUUGAAUUUUUGUCAGGUGCAGGUAUGACUGUCGAAAGACUGAACCUUGUGAAAACCAGGUGUUACUCAGGGAACAGAAUCACUAGCAGGGCUGCUUUAUCAGAGAAAGCAUCAUUUUCUGUUGGGGGAGAUGAUGAGAAGAGUUCACCAUUGGUGAAAAUGUGCGGAAUAACAUCAGCUAGAGAUGCUGCAAUGGCUGCAGAAGCCGGAGCUGAUUUAAUCGGGAUGAUCCUGUGGCCUAACUCCAAACGUUCGAUUUCAUCUUCUGUUGCAAAAGAAAUUUCGAAAGUCGCGAGGGAAAAUGGAGCGCAACCUGUUGGUGUAUUUGUUGACGACGAUGCAGAUACAAUUAUGAGAGCUGCAGACUUAGCUGACCUUGAAUUUGUACAGGUACAUGUUUUUCAACUUUCAGUCAUACUUCAUUAGCUUUAAUAUAAAAGCCAAUCUGAACCAUUUCCCAACAACUCGAAUUAUGGGGAUAUAACGGUUCAUGACAUAGUAUCACUAUCAGAGUCUUUAAAGACACAAAGAUGUUUCCGUUUCACAUCAUCCUCUAACCCCCAAAUCUGCGCACAUGUCUUACUGAAGUUGUGCUAACGUAAGCUCUUCGAAAGAACUUCCAUUUGAAGAGGGCACAUUGAUGAAUAAUUUAAAAGCCAAUCUGAACCCUCUCCCAACAACUCGAUUUAUGACAGCCACUUUGUUGAAUGCAGCUUCACGGGAAUGGUUCAAGGGCGGCUUUCGGACAACUAGUACAAGACAGACGAAUAAUCUACGUUCUCCACGCAAACAACGAUGGCGAGCUUCUGAAUCAAGUUUCGGAGGAAGACUGUUCUUUAGUCGAUUGGAUUCUCGUCGAUAGUGCAACCGGGGGCAGGUAAACCAGAAUCCAAAUGCAUCUAUCUACUCCAAAGCCAAAAUCUUUAACUUGUUGAAUAAGUUUUUAGCUUAAUGCUUUUUCUUGCAGUGGCAAAGGGUUUAACUGGGAUCAGUUUCAGCUACCACCAAUCCGAAGCAAGCACGGAUGGCUCCUAGCUGGAGGGAUCAACCCAGAGAACGUUUCUGAAGCUUUGACGAUUCUGAAACCUGACGGCAUAGAUGUUAGCAGCGGCAUUUGUAGCUCGGAUGGCAUUAGCAAGGAGCAAUCCAGGAUAUCUUCAUUCAUGAGUUCUGUACGUUACAUUAGCUAUUGAUAAAAAAAGAAUUAAACUUUGAAUAAUUUGAAGUGUUUUGGCUUCACUUCCCAGUCAAGCAAGCAUCUUGCGCAGCUUUUGGUUGACUCGUGUACUUCUCUAGAAGCUUCAAAGGGAAGUCUGCUGGAAAACAUCGUAUGAUCCGGAGGUUGUACCAAACACAAGUUUAUCGGCCUAAUUGAAAUUGAUUAAAUUAUGAGCUAAAAUAAAGAACCUGUAAAACGUGUUAUAUAAAACUGUGGCCGCCUCCAAACCUAUUCAAGCUAAAUUUGCACACAUUUUGUGAUGUAAAAUUAAAUUUACAGCUCUAUUAUCUGUAAAUGCAAAUGAGAAUAAACCAUUAGAAAAAUUGGAACAUAUCUUCAAAUAUAAAUAGAACAUGCCACUAAAAAAGUUAGGAUUUUUAAGAUGAAUAUGCUACAGGUCACAUAUGGACUACUUUGACAUAGUAGAGCCUAUAAAGCAUGAGCUAUUCGUCCUCUUAAUAUCUACUUGUUAAAUUCCCUUUUAGAAGAAUCAUGUUGAUCGGGACAAGCUCAGCGAUAUAAGACUGAAAGAUUCACUCAACAAGAAAAAAACAAUUAAACAUUAUAUGAGUGUCCAUUAUAAAAUAUAAUUAGAUUCAAAUCCAAAAUUUUCAAAUUUCCAAUACACAAUAUCUGAACUAAUCAGCUAGUCCACUUGGACACACCUUUUUCUUAUUAUUAUAUAGCUUAAGCUUUUCAAAUGAUUCUAGGAAGAAAUCCUGGUGCUUGUCCAGAGGAUCGAUGAUGAGUUAGUGGGUGUAAUGAGACAGCAUGCUCAUUAUAACAAGCCAACACACUGCCCAUUAUCUUUCACAAAAAAAGGGGUCGGCCAUCGUACAAAAAUUUAUUUGAUAUGCGAUAUUUUGAAUAUGAGUUUCAUAUCAUUAAAUCGUUAGCUAGUGGAGACAUGUCAUUACCAAACGUAGACAGCCUCAGAAUUCUAGAUGAGCUGGGUACGAUGUACCUGUUAAAUGUCUAUAAGGGAAUGCUAGCUGGCCGGGGCUUUAUGUGUCUAAACUUCCAAAUUUUUUAUACAGAUUACAGUAAUGUUAGCAUAAAUAAUAAGAAACUGGUUUUUUUGUGUGGUAAAACUAGAAAUUCAUUUUAUAUACUAUUAGUUGUAGGCAAAUAUUUUUCACCAAAUAUAUUCGUUACCUUUUACCAAAUAUUUGUCUAUGGUUUCAUUAUAGGUUGAUGGAUGGUCGACAUUGAAAAGGAUGUUGUUCUUAUCGUAUAUUAUGUUGUUGUGCUACAAGUUUUUGCUUGAUUGGUGGCAUUAUAAUUAAUUAUAUAUGUCUCUUAUUUUUUAUGUCGCCCCGUAUGUAUUUAUUAAUCGACCGUUAAUAUAAUUGAAAGCAUGUCAAUUAUGAAUGAUGUAUGGGGUUGGUAUGUAUAAACAGGACUUUGAGUUGGGACUGAGUAACAUUUUUGGGCUAAACUAAAUACUCAAUGUAUAGCAUUUAAGUGUCUCGAUUAUUUUUUAGGAUCAUUUUGANNNNNNNNNNNNNNNNNNNNNNNNNNNNNNNNNNNNNNNNNNNNNNNNNNNNNNNNNNNNNNNNNNNNNNNNNNNNNNNNNNNNNNNNNNNNNNNNNNNNNNNNNNNNNNNNNNNNNNNNNNNNNNNNNNNNNNNNNNNNNNNNNNNNUGGCAGCCGACACACUCUCCCGCCUCCUCAACCGCCUUCCCGCCCCAUCUCUCUCACUCCCCUCCCGCCGCCGCCCCUCCCCGCUCUCAUCCUCCGCCGACACGUCAUCAUCAAUUUCCCCUCCCGUCAUCUCCCUCUCCGAUGACCACUCCUUACUCUCAGCCGCAUCCCAACACGGAUUCUUCCAGCUCACCAGCCACAAAAUCCCCUCCCAACUCGCCAGCUCGGCCGAGUCGGAAGCGCUCUCCCUCUUCGACCUCCCCGACGACCAAAAGGAAAUGCACUUCCCCAGGAACUGGCCUCUCGGCUACGAGCCCGACGAAGACGGAAACAACGGUGGCCCGUCAUUUUGGUUCGACUCGGCCGAAAACGAUAAUUCGUCGUUUUCGAUCGAGUCGCUGAGGGAGCUGACUCGAGCGAUGGAGGGGGUGGGGUCAGAGGUGAUACGGAUGCUUGCUCGGGCUGUCGGGUUCGAGAACCCGACUGCCCGAGUUUGCUCCAUGAUGGUGGUGAGCGAGAGCGAAAGGGGUUCGGGUUCGGGUGGCGGGUUUUACCCGUAUGUGGUGGCGUUGCAGUACCAAAUAAGGAGGCAGAAGCAUUGCUUGCUGGGGGAUUCCGAGUCCGGGUCGUGGGUAACGGUGCUGCCCGAGGUGGAGUCGGUUCUGGUGACCGUGGGCGACAUCGGGCAGGUGAGUGACUUUUUUGUCGUUUUUCGAUUUGAGUUCUGUUUAUUUAUUUUAAAAAUAUGAUAAUAUAUAUAUCGUAUUGACUGGCUUUUUUAAAUUGAAACUUUUGGUUUAGGAAACAAACAUCAUCUAGAGAAAAUGAUGAGACAUUUUGUUUGUAACUUGUUAUUCUAUUGUGAUAAUCAUGGUGUGGUUGAGUCAUCAUGAGUGUGAUGUCUACCAAAACUAAUCUAGAAGGAGAAGUCUUGAUUAAGAUAAUUGAGGAGCAGAAUUCAAGGAAAGUAUUCGAAUUAGUUUAAUUUGUAGCAUGAUAUUCAAUUAAUGAUGUUCACAUUUCAAUUACCAACCCUUAAUUUGGCCGAGUUAUAUAUAAAUCAUCCACUAGCACUAUAGGUUGGCCGCAUUAUAUUUGACACUAGCUAGCUACAUUUAUGGCUUGUUUGUUAUCUAAAUAAAAAUCAUGAUAUAAUAGAGUUGUUUCAAAUAUUUAUGUAUAGGGUGAUAUUUGAAAUAACUCUACUCGUUAAUUAAUGUUUCUCUUUGUCAUUUAGGUUUCAGUCAAUUUAUCCAAAGCAUUGUCGCUAUAAUCAGAUGUUGACAUGCAUCAAAGUUAAACACCAAAGUCCAUCACUUUGAGAAUCUAGACUAUAAAUGGAUACAAAAAUGAUUUAGAUAGGUGAUGAGUUAUAGUCAUGACGGAACUUGGGGUCGGUGAAUUUAGGUAACUCUCCAGUGUCAUAUGGUUCUAAAAUAACAAAAUUUUAUGUAGAAUUUUUAAUAUUGAAGUUUCUGCACAGUGUAUUGUCAUAUCGUACUUAGUUUGCUUUCAAACUCACUUUAAAUAUAAAAUUUCAUUCAUAAUUUUCGACCCUUCUAGUUCCGCUAUUGAUGAGUUGAGGUUUUGAUGGAAAUGAAAUAGGUGUGGAGCAAUGGGAAGCUAAAGAAAGUGAGAGGGAUGGGACUGGGGAGUUCAGAACAAGGAAUCGACGACAGCAACAAAAGUUCAUUGUCGUCAUCAUCAUCGUCGUCAAGGAGAAGCAUAUCCAUGAGAUUGUUGAUCACUCUUCCACUUGAAGACACAAUCUCUCCACUGGUUUCUUCUAAGCUCACAGAAUCUGAUGAUGAUGAUGAAGAAGAAGAGUUGAAGUUCAGGUCAUUUGGGAUGGAGGAUUAUGCAUGGAGAGUUUAUCAUGAGCCAUUCAUCUUCAAGGACCCACUUCACAGAUAUCGCUCUUCUCUUUGAAAAACUAGCUCUUUAAUUUGUUGGAUUGUUCUUCUUGUUUUCAGUGCUUCACUUUCUUUUGAAAAAUGAAUCUUAUGUGUACUUUGGUUAGUUAGCUUCAAAGUUAGGUUUGUUUGUUCUUUUCCCCAUACCAGCAGAAUCACUCUGGUUUGACUGACUGGCUUCUUUUAUCUCUUCUCCCCUUUUUAAAAAAUAUUUGUUUAUUGUGCUCGAGGAAUCCACGUGUACAUGUGGUAUUGAGACAGUUUUCUCGUCAUUGUGAGUUGGAAUCGAUAAAUGGUUCGUUUGCAAGGAGAAAUGUGGAAUGGAAUUUAGAUGAAAAUGAGGAAAUUAGUUCUUAAAAUGCACUUUGUUUAGAUUUAAAUUUUCCGUUUGAAUGAAAGUAUGUUAAAAAUGAUUUCAUCCCACAUCUCAAUUGCCAAACGAACAAAAAGAAUUCAAUUUCAGCGAAAUUGACUAUUCGAACGGAACUAAUUAAAUUGCCUCAGAAUUCAGAGCCAUAAUCAUUAGUUGAAAUAAACAGUCCCAUUUUGCUAUUGGUAUCUCAAACAAUCGUUACAUCGCAUAAAAAUUUGAGGGAUUCUUAAUCGCCAAACUCAAUGCCUACAUGUUUCAAGUCUUUACUACCGUAGCUAUCAAAACCUACUGCAUCCUCUACCUCUAAAUUGAUACGAGUCGAGUCGAUCGAAACUCUACAUCGAAUCCCCACCGCGUCUUCCUCACCGAGGAAAAGGGAACAGCUUUCGUAAAACCCGUCUUUUGGCGGGAGAUUCAAGAGGCAAGAUCUCGGGGCGGAGACCUUCCAUCUAGUGGAAUCACUACUAGCAAACCCCUUCUGUUGUUCUUCUUCAAGGGUUAACAUUAGUCGAUGCCUGCGACCUAGAAGUUCGGCCACGUAUUCCAUGUCCCCUGCGGCUAAAGCAUGACGAACUCGAGUAGACGAGACUUGUCCUUUAUCUUUGAAGUCGUUUAGAUCUAGCUUUGAAGGAUCUUGAUGCUUGUCCAUGACGGAAUUUAUGAUGCAAGCCUGGAUUCCAAAUUCUUUGCACAGGCGCAUGAGUUCGGAUGUGUCUCCAGCAGCUUUAUAUCCAAAGCGAUAGUUUUCGCCUGAAAUAGGUAGCCAGAAGUUAAUAUAAGAGAUGAGGAAUGGACCAACUGGGUUGAUUCGGUUUACCUGCCACAACUCCGGUCACCUCGAGCUCCUUGCAUAGCUUCUCGACAAACUGUCGGGGAGUUAGAUGCCGGACGUUUGAAAAUUCUAGUUGGAAUUCAGCUGGUACUACGUUUCCACAGUAGGGUGCCCAGGAUGAGAGGACCCUAUGCCGGUCGCAUUUUGCAACUAUCAGAGCCCUGUUUCAUAAAUCAAGGGAAACUAGCUGUAAGUACCUUAAACGAGGAAAGUAGAUUUGGUAAAACGAAGCAAAACUUCAUCUUUCAUAGAGGAUACUACCUUGGUUCCCAACCGAGUACUUCAGCCAUUCCUACAAAGGAUAGUAGGUAUGGAACUCCAAUCUUUGAUGCUUGAAUUGCAAGUUCUCUAUGACCAAUGUGAAGAGCUUCAAACUUUCCUAGCGCUACUAUUCCUCCUGAAACAAUCACAAGCAUGUGUAUAUUUCUCAAGCGAAUAUAGUACAAAGUUAUGAAAGCACAGACAAAUUGAUGAACAGGAAAAAAGGAGAGGCGAGAAAGUACAAACCUGAAACGGAGGAAAAUCCUUCAGAGAGGUUCUUGCAAUCAUCUUCUCGUUCGCUUUGCAUAAAGAAAAGUCAUCAGCCACUUGAUCAAACACAGGAACAUUAUAACAACACAUCAAUCAUGUUGCACCAAAAGCCAAUAGAGAAAAUGCAGUCUUGACAAAAUCAUCAAUUCAAAACAAAAAAAUGAGCCAGAGCAAAGAGUGCUAACCUGAAACAAUCAGCUACAAAAGGAAUUUCUCCAGGAGACUUCGAUCGGAGGGUUGAGAACAAACGGAUUCUCGGCUGCAUUGCACGCCCGUAGCAGCUGCUGCCACCAACUACAGCAGUGGAGUCAGGUUUGAAUACAAGAGAAGAGAACUGAACAAUUCUAGAGCUGCAAAACCCCAACCCUGCUGCAAGUGCUCGCUGAGUAUCUCUAAAGUACUGGUUCCGGUGGUUACACUCCCGUAAGUGGUGUGAAAUACGAGAGCCACCACCCACCAACAUUAUGAAUAGAUGCCUUAAUUCACAGCUAUCCAAUUAUCAUCAACUUGCUUUCAGCUCCUGAAGGGCUUCUAACCUCAGACAAGCCCCAAAAUCCAAUAUCUGCAGGUCAAUUGAACAGAAUCUUAAGGCUUCUAACCUACAAUUCUUCAAGUGUUUCAAAUAGGAAAAACUCAGUAUCCAGUACUUGUUCAUCUCCUUUUCCUUUGAGGCAAAAACUAUCAGGAAUCCUACUAGCUAGGAGAUGCGAUGGAGCAUUAUAAACUAAUAGAUUAUGAACUGAAAUUUAAACAAUGAUCGGGUGGGAAGAAGGCAAUUGAAAGAGUACCAAAUUGAUAGCGGGAAAGAAGAGAGAUGAUCGGAGAGCAUUGGAAAAGGGCGGAGUCUGGAACUUGAAGUCUUCAAGAUGAAGAAAUGAGGAUGUGGUGCCGGCGAGGAAGUAAGGGCGGCGGAUGACUAAACGGAGGGAAGGGAGAUAAGAGAAGCUUGGCUGAACGGAGAACACGAGCGACACUACAGAGCGACAACGGUAGCUGAAAGUUACGAGAAAGAUGGCCGAUGAGCCAGCCGUACGGGCCCAGUAGCUGGUUUAUGAGAGCCCAAUAGAUUUUUAUUGUACAAUCUUGCUUCAGGGCCCAGCCCAUUCAUCUUAUCUGAAUCAAUAAGAAUUUAAAUUAUUCACAUAGUUUAUUUUUUCGGAACUAGACUUUUUAAUCGGUACAAAAUAAAAGUGAAAUAAAUAUUACAUUAGUGGUUGGUAUCCAUUUAUGGUGUAUGUUUGAUUCCAAUUCGGUAUCUUCAGAUCGCCAACUUAUACUCCGGCAAAAUUGACAAGUAGAGUUACAGAGGCAUAUUAAAUGCUGAAAAUAUCGCUCGUUCGGAAGUAGUUUAACUUUUAAUUCAAGUGGUUCUUGACCGAUUGUCAAUUUGUUUUUGUAUAAAUGAAGAGCAUACAUCAUCGUCGAAACUCAUUAAAUACAUCCAAACAAUCGUAUUCUGCCUACACUUUAUCUACACUUCUCACUUCUCUCCUUAUAUUCCAAUUACUCUUUUCACGUCUUUUUCUCGUUGAGCUCGAACAGAGACAUACAAACUCUCAUCUCAACAAUCAUAUUCUAUCUAUAUUUUAUCUCCACAUCUCACCUCUCUUUCUAUAUUCAACUUAUCCUUUUCACGUCUGAUUUUCGUUGAUCUCAAAUUACACCAUGUGAACUCUCACUAUUCCGCAUUCAUUCCAGCUCGGUACUAACAAAUUGUUUCCAACAGAACCCCAUUUAAUAAAGAUCCUUUUUCUACCCUAACUUUAUUACAAAUUACCAUAUUACUCAUGUAGACCAUAAAUGGAAAUCCAAAUGUGAAGAAAUGGAAGAAAAUCUAAUUGCCAAAACUUUCCUAUUUACUCAAAACAUUACCAUAUCUAAUAUCUUAUCUACAAAGAUAAAUAACAAGUUACUGAAUCUCCCAAAACAAAACAUUAUUAUGCAAAUUCAUUCCCCUUGUUCUGUCUCUCCAUCGAAGGACACAAAUCCCAGUCCAGCGAAGUACAACAACGCCAUGGUAAGUCUUCUGUUUUUCUUUGUAAAGUCAACUCUUUUUCCUUUGAUCGUCUCUGCAUAAUCGCGUUGACAUGUUUAUUAUAUUGUCCAGUUGUUACUGGUCCUUCAAAUAUGGAUUUUCAUCUUCACAAUUUUCGAAUUCUUUCGGUAUGGACUUUAUAAUGGGAAAUAUAACGAUCGAAAGUGCAAAACAACAUUCAAUAACGUUACACAAGUUUAAAUUUCUGAAGUCGAAUAAUUUAUUGUGACUUUUGGGUCCAAUUCGACGUCAAUUUUUUUGAAAAUGAGACGUAACACCUCGAUAUAAUGCUAAAAACCUUUUAUAUUUAGAUGCUCAUAAUCAACAAGAUAUUAAUUAUCUAGUAAUUAAUAAGACGAUGAGCGGGAGAAAUGUAAUGAUUGGAUCAUUGUAAUAAUUGAUAAUAACAUAAUUUACAUGUCAUAUCUUCGCAUUAGGGAUCAAUUGUCGUUAUUAGAUGUAGUCUCUAAUAGCAUCAUAAUUUGCCAUGUCCUCCCAUCCAAUUGUAACAUAAGUGAAGAAUAUAUAUAAUUUUGUGUACUUCAUAAGAAUAUUCUAACCGUUAAAAAUGUUUAAAGUUAACUACCAAAGCUCAAUUAAGCCGGUAACAAAGCCUUAAACCAGCUAGCUCGCGAACUAAGCUUUUGGAGCUCACAAGUUCACCCAAACAAGGUCUGGUUCGGCUCGUAAGCAAACUAGUUUAAAACUGGGCCAAAUUUUAAUUAAACUUUUUUCUGAAUCGAAUACCGAACAGCUCGCAACGAUUUGGUUGGUCACGUAGCUCUACCCAUGGCCCGGGGGCCGGGACUGUGGGAGGCCCAUGUAUCCACGUUAGAUUGCAUAUGCAAAGUAGUUAUUUCUCUGUUUGGUUGAUCACCUCCUGGUGGUGUAUAUAACUACAUCCUGCCUUGCCUUCAAAUAACAGCAACCUUCAACAAAUAAAAUAAAAACUGUCCUUCAAACAAACAAGUCCUAGUUCUAGCAGCAUAUUUGCCUUAGGGUUUACUUCUCCUCAAAUAUGGAAGUGGUUUGUAUACGUUAUAUACUUUAGAAUAAAAUGAUGUAUUAUUUAAGAAUGUUGAUUUACGAAUGUUAUGUUUGGCAAUUGGAAUCAUGAAUCCUAAAAAAGUUGAAUUGAAAUAGUACAAAAUGGUUGAGUUGAAGUUGGAAGAAAUUAAGAAAAAAUAUUAAAUUUAAAGGAUAUGAAAGAUUCCUAGGAAAGUUUAUUUUCCUAGGAAGUUUAGUUUCCAUCCAUAAUAUUUUUCUACUCCAACUCAACUUUUUUAUGUUAAUCUCAACUCAACUUUCUUAUGAAUUAUAAUUCCUAUUGUCAAACAACUCCCAGAAUUUAUAAAUUAGUAUGAAAAAAUUUGUUAAGUUAUGAUUUAAUUAAGAAGAGACUUUAUAGUUAAUCCAUACAAAGUGUGGACAAGCUUUUGGGUAUAGUGGUUGGUUGAUUUAGAAAUUUCACAUGGUUUUUUUUGGUUUGGUUAAUUAACUAGAACAAUGUUACACAUAAUGAAGGUCUUUCAGUUUUUAAUUAGUAGACUUUUUGGGAUUAAUGUGUAAUUAUUGCAUGGUUUUGCAACCAACCCAUCCCCCUUAAACGUUGACGUUUCACAUGUUGGUUAGGUGGGUAGGUGAACCUUGUAACAUUGUACUCCUUAGUUGAGUUGGCAUUUCUUGUGAUUCCUCUUUCAUAUGCAUAUAUAUUAGCACAAGGAAUAAAAAAACAAAUAAUGAUGUUUGCAAGUUGAUUUUGAUACAUAGAACCAAUGUUCACAUAUCCCACUUGUUAUNNNNNNNNNNNNNNNNUUUUUUUUUUUAGAAGUGGUAAAAAAAAAAAAAGAGAAAUUUUAUUUUAAAAACUAUAUAAAAAUAAUAGCGGAACUAGAAUGGUUGAAGGUUGUUGGUAGGAUUUUAAGUUUAUAGUGAGUUUGAAAUUUAUGCAGGGUGAAAUUCAACAUUUUAAAACUAAAAAAUUAGAAUGUAGUUUAGGUUUGCUCACCCCUAAUUCCGCUAUUACAUAUAGAGGUAUGUUUCAUAAGAAAAUCAGUUAUGGAGAGCUGAAUUUAGGUUAAAAAAAGUCGUGAGAGGAAAGUUGAAUAGAGGAAUAUAAGAUAUUUCAAAUGAAAGUGUGUCUUCCCUAAUUCUUCAGGUAAAAAUUAAACUUUCAAAUAAAAUUAAACAUUCACUUAAAAUUCAAAAGAUUUAUUAAAUAUUGAAGAUAAAUAAUAUCUCGUCGAAUUUCGUAUUUUUAUAUUGAAGUGGGGAGCCGUUACACAAAAUUCCGCAACCCCCACACUUGUAGUUCUAUCCCCUCGCAUAUUAAUGCAUAGAGAUCGAUGUCUGAUCGAUCAACCACACUUGUCCAACUGCACUCAUGGCCACUACACCCCACAUAUCCCAUAUGUCCCCAUGCCAACGUAAAUACAAUGGCUCCACAAUGUUGUAGGUGAUUACAUAAACAUCACUCAACUUUGUCUAACUAGCAUCCUCUUCACCGAAUUCCUGACUCUAAUGGUUUACUAGAAUUAUCCGCGCGAUGCUACAUAAAGUUAUAGAGAAUAAUUGAUGAUAGAUGAACUAUUUUUUUGUUAUAAAAAAUGUAUUAACAAAAUGAAAACGCGAGAUGAUUUAAGGCAUGUCCAUUGAAUAAUGAAAAAUACCACAAGACCCAUAAAUGAUAAUAUGUGAGCUCAAAUAAAGUCUCGUAAACUCAAAAUAAAGCUUCAAUAAACUCAAAAUAAAGGUUCAAUAAACUCAAAAUAAAACUCUCAUAAGAGAACCAAACAUUAUUCAUUCAAUAAUAAUUUAUUUUCUCCUUUUAUAGAUAAAAUAAUUUUAUAUAUUCUUCACGUUCGGAUUCAAAAUGAUUGUGUACAUUUAACUAAAUUGUAUAAUAUAUGAAAUGUAGCUAUUUGAAUAUGACAAAUAUAUUAAUUCUCAUAUAAAAAAAUAUAUAAAAAAGAUAGAUUGGGCCUUAGUAGACUAGAUACUCCCCUAGAGGCUAGAUCAGCCACUCAUUUUGUUUCAACUAUACAUUGAGAUUUGACAUCAAGUUUAUCUCUUUUUGUUCUCUCCCGACUAGACAGACUUCUGAGUCAUGAUAAAAAAACAUUGACAAUAAUAUCCGUUUAUAGAUUACGCUGAAUUCGAAUCCAAAACUUUUAAAUUGUUAACACGUACAACUUUAUCGCUAAAACAACCCAUAUUAAUCGGUCAAAACAUGAUAAGUAUGUUCAAACAUCAUAAUUAAUGAAAAGACAUUACUCUUAUUGAGUAAAAUAAGAAGGAAAAAAAACCCCUAUCAUCAAAUAAGAAAUAGUCCUUGAUCACUUCCAGCAAUCCUUCAUUUUCAUUAUGCCAACAAAAGACUUGAGAAUCACUCAAAAAAACACCCCCCCUUCUCUCUUCUCUCUCUCUACCCUCUGCAUCACUGUCAAUCUUUGACAGCAAACUAAGAAAGAGAGAUGUUGAAGAAGAAGAAGCAACUGAACAAAGUUGUUAGCAGAACCAAAUAUAAUACCAGCAGCAGAGAUCAGCCACCACAGAGGUUGAAACUAAACUUGAGAAUGACCCCCCUCCCUCCACCAUAACCAACACCACAACUCCAGACAAACCCAUCUCACCAAAUCCCAUUAGAAAAUCAACCCACAUACCAAAUACUAACAAAGCUCUGUUCUUGCUCUCCCCCUUUUUAAUCCAAGUGAGCAAAGUCCCUUUCUUCCUCUGUAUACUCUGUUUUUCCUUCCUCCUCUGUUUUUUCUCUUACAAAAGCUUCAAUCUUUCUUGUUUUUAUCUUAAUAUGCAGCCGGCUACGACAGUCCGGAGGAAAUCCUACCAGCACCACUUCUCCACCCUCAAAACGGCGGCGAUGAAGCACAGGAUGAAGAGCAACAGCAACCUCUCUGUUUUUGUCGUCGUCUCCUCUGUUUUCCUCUUCGGAGUUUUCAUGUACAACGAAGACGUCAAGUCAAUCGCCGAGUUCCCCUUCUCCUGGCCCACUUCUCUAGAUCCUUCCGUCGAACUCGCUAAGGCAGCCGCCGAGUUCAACGCGAUGGUACAAGCAGAGGAGGAACGGGACAUGGCGGAGGUUGAACUCCCUCCUGAAGAUUGCGAUUUGUUCACUGGCAAUUGGGUUCUGGAUAAUUCGACUCAUCCGCUGUAUAAAGAGGAAGAAUGCGAGUUCUUGACUGCUCAGGUUACUUGUAUGAGGAACGGGAGGAAGGAUUCGCUUUACCAGAACUGGAAAUGGCAGCCCAGAGACUGUUCUUUGCCCAAGUUAGUAGAGGAUUGGUAAUUUGUGAACGACGACAUUACCCUUCUUUGGAGUUACUAUAUUACCCUUUGUGUGGAAACUACUGUAGGUUCAGGGCGAGACUGUUGCUGAAAAAGCUGAGGAACAAGCGGCUGAUGUUUGUCGGGGACUCGUUGAAUAGGAACCAGUGGGAGUCGAUGAUUUGCUUGGUGCAGUCUGUGAUCCCUCCUGGGAGGAAAAGCUUGAACAAGACUGGUUCUUUGGCUGUUUUCAGAAUUGAGGUGAGGUACCUUAUGUUUAUGGGUUUUGCUGAUUUGGUCACUGGUUGUUUUUAUUGUUUACAUUCGAGAAAAGGGUAUAAAAGUCACUGUCUAAGUGUCAACAUUGGUGGGUGUCCCCAUUGCUUUGAACGAAAACCAAAACAAAAUCUUCUGUUGAGGUUUUCAUAAAGAUGCUACCUUUAGUAAAAGUCAGGGUUCCUCCACCAUGGAGGAAUCUUUCUUGUUUUCUUUAGAUGUUAUUAUAUUAUAACGGAUUUUAUCUCGAUAAUUUGAGUUUACGGGAGUGAUUUAAGUUGGUUUUUAAUUAUAUUAUUUAUUAAUAUAUUUUUUUUCGAAUUUAUCAAAACAAAACGUUUCUUCAAAUAAAAGCUUUUCAGAAGAGUUGAUGUUUACACUGUUUAGAUACAAUGGAGACCUCCUAUUCUUUAAAAAGCUUCGAUAUCAUGUCAAGAAUUGUUGCAAUUAAUCGUAUUAUAUUAUUUGUUAAGAACAGUUGCAUUCCAAUAACUUGAGUUAUUGAGAGAGGGCCGAAAUCGGGUUUUAUAUAUUCACUAACACGUCCUUUCGAAAGGAAGCUCUCAAAAGAGCCGAGGGUUUGUACCGUUAUGAUAAAUUAUGUGCCUAGAUUGUGAGCUACCAGAAUUUCAAAUGAAGACUUUCCGAAUUUUAAAAGCUCUCACACCAUAUUAAGAACUAUUGAAUCUCAAUAACUCGAAUUGUUUGAGGAGAGAGGCUACUUCAGAUCGGUUUUUAUAUUGUUAUUUAUUACUAAUAUUAUCGUUGCAUGGUUUGGUAAUGGACGCCACUUAAUCCUAAAAGUGAUUUAGCAUAAUUAGUCCUUUUAGUAUUACAACAUUUGAAAAUUGUGGGGGAUUUGGUAUGGUGAGAGCAGGACUACAACGCAACGGUGGAGUUCUACUGGGCGCCGUUCCUGGUCGAGUCGAACUCGGACGAUCCUACGAUGCACAGCAUCUUGAACCGGAUCAUAAUGCCGGAAUCGAUAGACAAGCAUGGGCAGAAUUGGAAGAACGUGGAUUACCUCAUCUUCAACACCUACAUUUGGUGGAUGAACACCUUCUCCAUGAAAGUCCUGUAAGUAUUUAAAUCAAUUUGUCUAGCUAUAUCUUGCAUGUUCAUGGUGGUUAUGAAUUGUAUACUGAUGUCUUCGAUCCUCAGCCGGGGAUCUUUCGAUCAAGGAGCGACGGAGUACGACGAGGUCGACCGACCGGAAGCGUAUCGGAGAGUGAUGAAUACAUGGUCCAAGUGGGUUGAUCAGAAUGUGGAUCCUAAUCGGACCAUGGUCUUCUUCAGCAGCAUGUCCCCGCUUCAUAUCAAGUACGUACCCUCUCGAACUCUUUUCGUAGGCUUAAAUUAACGUUCUUACGAUAGAUGAAUCGUAUAAAAAAUCAAAGUUGAAUUAAAUCCUUUCUUCCAACAAUGUUAGCUAUUGGGAUUCAAAAUGGUUAUGUCACGGUACUGGAAUCUUUCACAGACAAGUCAAAUUUUGUAUCACGAUAGCCCAAACAACGCUGAUUGCACAAGACUUACGAAACUGUACAAACUUUAUUCUUUUACGAGCUUUCGUUUAUUAUUGGGUAGUAAUAAUUUGACUAGAGUUACAGGGGAAUUUAUAACUUUCUCCUUUUGGAAAGUAGGGAAUUUAAUAACUAGUAACAUGGUCCAUAUAUUUUAUUUAUGAGUAAGAUUUUACUGUUAUUAAUUAGUGUCGGUGUACUUAGGCCCAACAUUUGAUUAAUUCUGUAAUUUUACUACUUUAUUAAUUUUAUUGGGUAGGUAAUUGCUGACCAGAGUGGUUGAGAACUGAUUAGUCAUUAUAUUUUUUUAAAUUGCCCAUUUGGUCAACCACCUAAUUACUAGAUAUCAUUUUCUAACCACUUAUUUACCCAACUUGUUUUAUUUUUAUUUUUUAAAUUACAGGAGUGAGGAUUGGGAGAAUCCGAAUGGGAUAAAAUGUGCGAAGGAAACGACACCGAUUUUGAACCUAUCGAUGCCAUUGGAGGUGGGGACGGACCGGCGACUCUUCACCGUGGCAUCGGAUGUGACAACGGAGAUGAAAGUGUCGGUCCACUUUAUAAACAUAACAAGACUGUCGGAGUACCGUAAGGAUGCACACACUUCAGUGUACACAAUCCGGCAAGGGAAGAUGCUGACGACGGAGCAAAAGGCGGAUCCGGCAACAUAUGCUGACUGUAUCCAUUGGUGUCUUCCUGGAUUGCCCGAUACGUGGAACGAGUUCCUUUACACCCGGAUCAUUUCUCGCUUGUGACAAAAUAUGAAAAAAUCAGGAUGAAAAGAGUAAUAACAUCACCAAAUUCACAUACAAACAACAAAAGAAAUGGUUCUUUUAAAAAAUGAUUUUUGGUUCUUUUUUGUGGAUUAAAUUUAAAUUUAAUUCUAUUUUGUCCAUCUUUCUUUUUUGUAAUUGGGGGAAGGGGGCUCUUUUUUCUUUUUUCUUUUCUAAAGUUCAGGAGCGUUAUUGUAAAUUGAACAUUUUAUUAGGAAGCCAACCGACAAAAAGACAUGGUAAUUUGAUUGGAUGUGCGAGGGCAAAAUGGGACGAGAGGAGUACGUGGUUAAGGUAGCUGAAGGCCGUGGAGUUUGGCGGAGUAAAAUGCGGCCCAUGCCACUAUAAUUUAAAGUUAUUAUAUCGUUUAUUAUUAUAUUUUAGAUUCUAUAUCGCAUACCAUUAUAGUUAUAUUUUAACUGCAUAUACCCACUAUGGUAGGUUUCCUCCACUCCAGUCCGGUUACAACUUUUUCUCUUUUUCGUCUCUGUCCAUCUAUUUUGAACUCAGACUGAAUAGGAUGAUUUCCGUGUUGGUUUUUUCCACUCCGACGAGCUUAUGUUUGUUCAUUAUGUGAUUAAAUCUGAACUUAUCAGACAAAAUAGGAUAUUUGCUACGUAUUUGUAGUCUGUACUAUCCCUAAACCAGCUGCAUCUUAGGAAUGAGAUUCUGUAAUGUUAGGAUUUGGUUGAGAAAUUCUAAUCGAUACUUCUUGGAGGUUAUGAUGACGAUAUUGAUUAAAUUAAUUGAUGGGGAUUGAUGGUGGUAAGGAAGUUUUUAAGGAAUUUGAGGAUGGAGGAUUGGUGGGCCUUCAACAAAGAAUUGUUGAUCGGAGAGAAGUUGUAAAUACUGAUCGGCAGAAGUGUUUAAACAUCUCUGGCAUAUUUCCUUUUUAAUUAAUAUCUUCACACAAGCUUUUAAGCAUCUUCAAUUAAUGUUGAAGAUGUUUGCCAUUUGGUAAUGUUGCCAUUUGAUAAAGAUGAUGGGUUUUGAAACUUUCUUUUUUAUAAAUGAGUUUUGAAACUAAUUCAUAGAAUCUUGUUUAUGAGCUUAUCAUCAAAAUUAUUAUCGGUAUAACAGCAAUUGACGGGUAUGGAAAAGAGAAAAAUUUGUAACCAAUUGAAAUANNNNNNNNNNNNNNNNNNNNNNNNNNNNNNNNNNNNNNNNNNNNNNNNNNNNNNNNNNNNNNNNNNNNNNNNNNNNNNNNNNNNNNNNNNNNNNNNNNNNNNNNNNNNNNNNNNNNNNNNNNNNNNNNNNNNNNNNNNNNNNNNNNNNNNNNNNNNNNNNNNNNNNNNNNNNNNNNNNNNNNNNNNNNNNNNNNNNNNNNNNNNNNNNNNNNNNNNNNNNNNNNNNNNNNNNNNNNNNNNNNNNNNNNNNNNNNNNNNNNNNNNNNNNNNNNNNNNNNNNNNNNNNNNNNNNNNNNNNNNNNNNNNNNNNNNNNNNNNNNNNNNNNNNNNNNNNNNNNNNNNNNNNNNNNNNNNNNNNNNNNNNNNNNNNNNAAUUUGACUUUUGAGAAAAAAAAUUCAAAAUUUCAAAUCAACUAAUAUUUUACAUGCAUGUUAAAAAUGACUAAAAAAUCAAGUUUUACUAUGAUAACCUCUAUAAAUAACGGUCAAAUAAAGUUAAAAAUCAAUUUUACUUAGUGUUAUGUUCAAAAAGAUGGUAAUGAUGUCACUUAUGCGCUUGCAAAGCAAUCCCUUACAUAUUAUGUAGCCAUUUUAGGUGAGAUUCCUCCAAAGUGAUUAUCCAUGGUAAACACUUAUUUCAUUGAUAUUAAUAAUAAGAAUUGAUUUUACUUUGAAAAAACACUGCCAAACCAGACCACACUAAACUUUACAAAUACUAGCUAAUUAGUCACUAAGACUUCGAAAAAGUUGAUAUAUGCAAAAGUUAAAAAUCGAUUCAUAGAAUUAACUCACAACUAACCAACAUAAAAAGUUACUGUAACCAUUUGAUUACUUGACCAUGACUCAACCCAAAUCCUAAUAACCCCAUGGACUAACUCGAGUCCUAAUUACCCCAUGACUAAAAGUCACAAACAAUGCAUGUGUUGUUCGAACCAGUAGAGAAUUUAGAGGAAGCUCUCCCAGUUCAUUGCCCAAUCUAAAUAUACUUUUUUAUAUGCGGCUUAGUGCACUCAAUCGUUCUAGAUCCGCCGCCAGUGAUUCGAACUCCCGAAGUUAAAAUAUACCCAGCCAACACAUCAUCAUCCUACUAUUAAAAUCAUCCGUGUGGCCAAAUAAAUAUCUCCAGUUAUUAGGAUGAAUUUAAAUUAAAUGCUACGUGAUACAACAUAAGUUACAGAACCAUAAUAUAAGAUUAGACAAAUGAGCAAAUAAUGCAGUUAUGAAAAGAUCAAAUUCUACCUUCUUGAACAGACAGCAGCUGAACAAUCCGGCUCACUGCACUGACGUCGGUUCCGGGCAGCAACAAUCGAAACAACGGGACCGACAGCGGCAGCCCCCUGGGUUUCAACGUCGCCGUGGCAGCAUUGAUUACCGACAGCGACGGCACUCCGAACCACCGGAGAUACCAUGAAAGCAGCACGGAUUUGUUUUCGACAUUCGGCCAUCUUCCUGAGCUCAAGUAGGUACGUAGAUCGUUUUUCAGUUCAUCUGAGUGGUUUAGUAGCUCUUCCAUUCUCUUCUUUAGGGAGCCUAGGAAGGUCGACUGGACGAUGCUGCCUUGCCCGGUGGUUAGUUUCCCUCUCACCACGGCUUCGUUGUACGUGAGUGCAAGCUGCAGAGGAUCUCAUAUUCAUCAUCUUUCAUUUACUUAGAAGUAGUAAAAAAUUCUGAUUUUGACGUUAAAAUCUUAGAGUCUUACGAUUUAAUUAGUAUCUAACAAUUCAGAUUUCAUUUUGUCAUUUUAUCUCACUUGAUUUAACUUAAAAAAAGGAAAUUGUUGUUUAUUUAUUUAUUUACAGAGAGACUGAUUACUGUAAUUUAAAACAAAAGUUAACAUACUAACAAUAGCGUAAAGUAUAUUUAUUUUCGGCCUUCCCUUUUAUUUUUUUUAUCUUCUCAAUUGUACAUGCAUCAUAAUUUCUAUGUACUUAUGUUUAAUGCAUUAGUAACAUUUAUGUCUUAGGUAGUAGUCCAUAAAAUCUUACGAUUUUAAAAUUUAAAUCUUCGAUCAUAAUUUCACCCUAGUUUUUUAUUCCUCGCGGAUUCACGAUUUUGACUAUCUUCCCUAGGCUUAAGUAACGUUCUAAGUUUAUUCACCAAGCAUAGCUAUGCUGUAUUGACUAAACUAUUACAAUCCCACAAUUUUGCCAGAAUCAGAGAGAUCAAGGAGAACAUUACCUUGAGACUAGAAACGGCAAGCGAGUCUCUGAAAAUGAGAGUCCCGUUGCUGACUUGCUCGGCCAAGGACGCUAGAGUGGUGUAUAAAGACAAAUAGACCUGCAACGAAAGAUAUCCAAGAUUGGAUUAUGGUUUAUACAAGACGAGAUAAAAAAUUAUGGAAGGUAAAAAUGAAACGGUGUAAUUACCUGGAGAAGAGCUGGUCUGUCUCUGCUAAUGCACUCGAAGAGUACUUGUAAGCAGAACUCCUGGAAGUCAACAUCGGACCUACAGAUAUGCGGAAAGGAAUCGACAUCACAAACUGGUGUCACCGGAGGAGGAAAAUGCCGUCUUUGUUUCCCAGACUUGUUAUAAAGAGGUAGCAUGUGAUUUUAUUGAGGAAAUUAUUUAUGCAUGGUGUUCACCGAUACUAUCACAGUAUCAGACAAGGUUUUCGGCCUUUUGGCGAUUCUAGCAGUUCGGAAAUGAAACUGUGUCGACUCUAAUAUGGUCCGAGGUUCUCUAGAAAGACUACGGAACAGGCUUUUCCUAAGAGUUUGACGUGCUGUAGAAGGUUCAUUUUGAACUGAUAGAUAUAAAACUACAUGUGAUGGAUGUCGGAGGAGUUUUGGAGCAAGAAACAGAACAAAAGAAAUAGGCAUUGUCUGGAAAGUUCACCUGCUAUUCCAAGAAGCAUCACAGCAGAGUUGUGCGAAGGCGAUCAAACUAGGAUCAGAAGAGAAUGUACUGACCAACUGAUCAACAGUAAGAGAGCCAUGCCGGUUGUUGCUGCCCGCCCAUGCUUUGACGCUAGUCAAGCCAAAAACCUGAGUAAAAAAUAGAGAAUUAAACGCUUCGUUUAUGGGAUAUAUCAAACACGAUAUUCAAUUAGGGGUCAAAGACAAUUUUCUUCAAAACCUUGUGCAUUGCUCGAGACAGCAAAGACUGCCGCCCAAUGGGGUCGUCCACAUACGAGCAAGCUCCCACCUUCCGCUUUACGUAGAGAAUACCCGAAUUAAAAGGGUCAUUCUUGUCCCCGAAACUCCACCAAGGCUUAUCUGUCGACGGGUGAGUAGAAUGAGCCAGAGAUGCAAGAGACAGGAAAGGUGCAGUUGAAAAAUUGACCAACCUUCAGGGUCAAGCUCGAUCUUUUGUGACCAGUAUCUAGGACCACAAAUGCACACCUUCUUCAACUGUAAAGAGUUAUUAAACUAUGUCAGCGCAAUUAUGACUACGCAUUUCCUGUAUGAAACAAAGUAAUAGGAGCAAGAAGCUAUCAUAUUUUAUCCAUAGGAAUCUUUAUGCAGACUAUGUUACUAAGAGAUAUGAAGAUGCUCCAAGAUACUUACAAUAGAACGCUCUGGCAAAAUACAUGGUGUGACCUCACUGUAAGUGGUUUCUGAAUAAUUUUCAGUCUCCUCGAUGGAGACUUCAAUGGGGACAUAAACAGGCAAGCCACUGUCGACAUCUACAGUCUGAACCCAACGAGCUUCAGUAGCAAGGACGUAUAAAUGUCUGAAUGCCUGUAAAGUGAAAAAAAAAAUGCGUGACCACGCGUCCAAAGCAGAACCUUUUAUCCUUUUUUCCACGCAACCAGACUUUGAACCAUAUAUUCUUGGUAAACUGUUUGUCAUUCAUUUGUGUGCACCUGAAGGUGGCAACGAUUGUCAUUGGGUCCAGUAGGCAACCGUGGGUAUAGAGAAAUCAGCAAAGCGGCAAUGGCACCAUUGCUUGUUGAAAAUGUGCGCAUUCCUCCCCCAAGAAACAAGAACCCAAUUGCCAUGCUCACCUAAAAUCAACAUGUUGCAUAUAUGUCAAGAUUUACAGUUCAUGGCUGGACAACUACAAAACCGAAGGUCAAGCAACUUUUUUUGGGUUCAAUUCACCCAUGAUGAGAAGAGCCUGACCAUUACAGUCCUUGAACACUAUGAAGAAUUCCAUUAAAUAUUGGAUUGUAUUCAGUUAUCUACUUAGCUUGAUCAAACUGUAAGCUUUCCACAAUGUCUUGGAGAUGGAGAGCACAGGUAACUUACAAGAGUGAUGACUAUCCAGCUAUAUAGAAACAAAUCCGAAGAACGAAUUCUUAGGGUUAUUGGAGAUACUCACAGCCAUUUGAAUGCCAUAAUUUGUAUGACCAUCUGGAGAGCUACGGCCACGAAGGAACUUCAACAACCUAAAUGUUUGAAGAUGUCCAGAACCAGCCAUUACCUGCUCUCUCAAAUAAGCAUCAUCAGGAAAAGCAAUGUCGGUGAUAUCAAAAGAUAUCUAAGAGGAUACAUAUGAAUGAAGAUAUCAAGUUCACAUACCACAGACAACGCAAGAACAACAAGGUGAAGGCAUAUUUCCAGUGUGCUCCUAUCAACAUAGCGUGACAAGCCCUUGGGAAAGCUGUUAGCUUUUGCAGCACAAACAGAUUUUAUCUAAAAUGGGGAAAUAGAGAUUCAGACCCUAACAACAUGUCCAUCGUUGAUUCAGCUGAACAACUAAUCUGAGCUUUUAUAGAUACCUCAUUCAAAAAGUACAGAGCACAUUCAUAGAGCAGUUCCUGUGCAUUUCCAUCCCUUGUACCCGCAAAUCUCAAUCCUGUAAUUGUUGACAAUGCAUGGCAGCACUUAUGUUUAAUUGGCAUUCCUGUUUAAACACGGAGUAUUAUGUUAUUAUAUACUGCAUACCAAGAGAAAUACACGUCCCAGCCACUAUAUUGACAUAUGCCUGUACAAAUGUUUCAGCAUCCAUCUCAUCGAUAUUGCUAGUGUCAUCUACAAGGCCUUUGACACCAGUUGCUAUUAUCUCGGGAAUCUGGUUCAGAAUCCAAUCCUUGGAUGGCUGCACCCUAGGAAAACAACACCGGCUUUGAACUAUUAGGCAGGCCACACAUGGCUAGCUUGUCUACUAUUCAAAGAUACAUGAUCCGUCAUACCUGCUCCACAUUAUUAAAUUCCGGGCAAUGACACGAAGCAUUAUGAAGUCCGGCCUCACAUACUGCAGUUCAUAGUGGGUUUUUGGAAUAGACAAUCUUGACACAAUGGCCUCUGAUUCAGUCUGUUAAAGUGGGAAUAAAAAAGAGAAUUAUUUUAAACAAAAAAAAAAUCAAGCUGAUAAACUUAGCUGAAAUAGGCUACUUCAUAAGUUAGAACUCUGUGUCUUCACAAUAUUCAAGGGUGUUAAGUUAUCAUAAACGAUCAGUCUCUAUAGAUUACCUUUAAAAACAUUAAAGCAAGGGCAAUGAUAGCUCCAGGUGCAGUAACAUCAAUACUAACUGCAGUUCCAUCUAUCAUCUGUAACAAUUUAAGUGCAAAGCAAUGACGUUAAAGGGCAUGAGAGGACCCAAAAAGGCUUCAACUAAGACUCUGAACAGUCGAUGAUACGAAACAAAACAAAAGCAUUAGAUGACCUGCCCAGCACCACAGUUGGACUCAUCUGCCAAAGCAUUGAAUGAUAAUGGUCUUUCCUGCUGUAAGAUAACAUGAAAAUUAAUAUUUGGCUUCAGCUGAUACGGAAAGAUUUGACUGAUGUCUUCCCAUACAUAUUACAUUAUCAUAGUUGCAUUACAAUGCUAGAGGAAAAUGAAUUCGGUAGCAUACAUGGUUAAGUUCUUUGCCACCAAUAUAGUGGAAUAACCUAUCCACCAAACUGUCCACGAAACCCAGUGCAUCAUUUCCUCGACCUUCAGUUAAGAGGAUAUUAUCAAGAAAAUCACAAGAUUAUAAAAUUUAUUAAAUUGUAAUCGUCAGGAAACCCAUACCCAAGGCAACUAGGACCAACGAGAAUCCAGCAGCUACAGCAUAACCUUCCCUUUCAAGUACAUUGUCACCAGAACUUCUGCGACCCAUCUCACCCUGCAAAGCUUCUGAUGUAAGGACUGCGAUUUAGAGAGCAUAGAGUGUCAUAUCAUAUGCCAGAAGAUAUAUUGUUACCAAGAGAAUCUGCAUUGUUUGCGGGUGCACUGAUCCCUCGAAGAGGUAUCCAACUGAUACUAAAGCAGCUGACUGGGAAGACAACAAAACACUACUCAGGGACAAUCUCCGUUGCAUAAAUGCUCUUAAUUAAUCAUAUGAACAGCCUUCCUAGCUGGGGCGCUGAGUGCAGAGCCCAAAUAAGCCUUGGAAAUCAAUUCCCAGCAUUUUCAGCAUGAAACAAUGAACUCUAUUCUAGUUAAGAUCAACAAACAGACUACUUCAAGGAAGAAAGCUAAGUAUAAAGUCAAGUACUUGGCAUAUUAGUAUAGAGUUGAUGGGAGAAGUAUAGCUAAACAUCGAAUUGCUCUACUUAUUAAUAAUGGCCAAUAAUCGACAUUUAUGCAUACACAUUAAAAACUAAUUGCCAUGGCUAUAGACCACAAAGCCAGAAGAAUGAAGAACAAAGAGCACACGCAGCUAGUAAGGUUAUUAAGAUGACAAAGCAUAGAAGAGGCCAUGAAAAGUAGUUAAUUGUAGCUACCUGAAGAUGGGAAGGUAACUCCAACUCCGCAAGUGAUGAUGAUUGUCGAGCAGGUAUGUGAAAGUAAAGACACUGUAACAGACAGUACAGUGAUCAUGAUAGAUUAGCAAGGUGCGCAUGGAGAAAAAAUAAAUUGAAGUACGAUGUAACCAGCGGACUUAAGUGUCUGUAGUAACAACAUAGAAAACCCAUAGUGAAGAUGCAAAGAGUCUAGAGUCUAUCAUCAAUUGAAAAAGCAUAUCAACACUGACAUUGAUUCCCCUAUGAGAGAAGCAUGGGAUGAAUCUUUACAAAACCAGAGGAAGAAAAAAUUAGGAAGACAGUUGUCAAAGAUCAAAAGAAGACAUAUCACUACAGCAAAGUAGGUAAACUCAUUUUUACCUUUGAUAUAGAGGAUUCCAUGGUUCCUCGAUAGGAAGCUGCAAGCCCUAGCAAUAGUCCAAUGGUUGUGCAUUCAUGUUCCUACAGAUUAUCGCCAAACAAAAGUGCUUUAGAGGCUAAAAGAGUAUAAAAUUAUAAAUGUCGAGGGCACUUUGGAAUCAGAACUUUCUACCAAACGACCUGGAAUUACACUGUCAUCAAGUAACUAGAUAGAUAUCUUGCAAAAACUGAAAUACAGAUUUCAAUAAACCAUAUAAAACAUAAUGAUUCGGUAAACAAAAGAUAUGCAAUUCACAUCAAACCUGUGUGAAAUACUUGUAUAUGUCUGACAUGGUUAACCCAUGCAGAUAUCCAUGUAAACCUAAUGCAAGGAGAAGUCCCGCAUGGACAACAUUUGGUACCUCCGGUUUGUUGUACAUUAUCCAUGUUCUUGACACCUUACCCUGAACAUGAAAUGAUAAAUUUAAUUAUUUAAAUAAAUUGGAAUACUUUAGCUCACAGAAUAUCUGUAGAGAGGUAGUGCUGCUAGUAAAAAAAUUACCAUUUAUACUACAGCAUGACUACAUGAAAAACUCUUAAAUAGGGCACAUAACUAAUAUCUCAAGAUUCACCUGGAGAGGGGCUAACCGUAGUCCAGCAGCAACAGCAUUAUGAAACUCUGGCCAUGAUUUAAGCUCUUGUAUAUUUCUGAUACUCGGAUCUAGAUUAACCUACCAAAGGAGAAGAACAGUCAACAAAAUACAUUCAUAGAUACACACUACCACUAAUAGAAUAGUAACGGAAUAGAAAAGAAGACACUAUAACUAAUAAUUCACAGACCAAGCAUCAAUGGAGGUAAGCAAUUGUAUUAAAUAAAAUAGUAUGAACAUACAGUUGCAUUUUGUUGGGCAGGUAACCGACCUGCUAAAACAAGCUUGGGUACAGCAAAUUCCUGAGAAAAAUAAAAUCAAGGUAAAUCAAACUGUAUCUAAUGACAAGACGUCAAAAUAAUAGGAUAAGAGCAUCAACAAAAAAAAGUACCUCUGUUAAGAGGGUAGAUAUGGUUGCUAAAGUGAAUGCCCCGCGACCAAGAGGAAGAGCAGUGGUUCGUUGGGCAAGGUGCCAUAGUUGAGUCUUACAAAUAUGGAAAAAGAAUAAUGAGAAUAAUUACCAAAGAAGAACACAGUGUAACAGAAGCAGAGGCAACACAACUAGAAAGUAUAUCUUCGACUGAAUUUCGUACACCAAAAAACUGAAUUUCUUCCACCUACAGAUAACAAACUAUAGUCCCCAACUGGGAAAACGGGUUACUACAAGGAGUCAUGAUGGAGGAAUCACAACAGAAAUAAAUUAACAAAUAAACCAAAGAAGUGUACAGUAUGAGACUUGACAUAAUCUACUAGAACCAGUCCAAUGAUAAGCAACCAAACAAUCCAGCCUCUGAGAUCAGAAUAUAUGAGGCUUAGACGCUUAGUACUCUUAAGAAGAAAGAGUACCACAUUCAACACCCAUCGCACUUCAGGAGCAAAACUCCAUGUGAAUAUGUAAAAAAUUGACUUCACUUGGAUGUGAGAAAAUGCUUACAAUACAGAUGAAAGUUAUCUUGAACAAAUCAGCUAUUAUACAAUAACCAACAUGAAAUAUGAUCACCCCCUUGGAAACAACGAAACCAAAAAAAUAGAGGGAGAUAUUAGGAUGAUGCCAAUUUGGUGGAAUAUUAUUGAUGAUUGGUAUCUACUAGUGUCAGGAAAAAUUGAUAUCACGGCCUUUUAAAAGAUACAACUACCAUAUAGGAGCAACUAGUACAAACCUGUUGAAUAUCCUGGUCCGAAGGAUUGGGGUAUGUAGAUAUUUGGAUUGCGACAGGUCUAGCUGAGCAUAGAACACGCCUUACCUGGAAACAGUUGAAGCAGUUUUAAGGUAAUAUAACUCAGACCACUGAGUACAUCAAUGGAGCGUGUUUAGGAAGCAUGGAAAGACAGUUUAGUUACAAAAUUAUAUAGCAAUUACAUGUGCCAAAAAAGUUGAGCAUUGACUGUUAAAGGUCAGACCAAUUAUUUAAAUGAAAGCUGCAUAUGAUGAAGUAAACCUCAUUCAAUCGCAGAUCACGACCAUAACGUAACUGAGUGCUAGAAGAGAAGAUAUGUUCCAUCCCAUCCGCCACAGACACAUCAGAAGAGGUUGAAUUUUCCAGUUUGGAACUUUCUAAUCCCACGGUUUCAGUAACAGUAGAAGGAACGGUCACUGGAUGUAAAUGUAGCAUGUAAGGCGUUGACAUUGAUAUUAAAUUCAUGUCAGAUCGGCUUCCAAGAUCCUUAGAUUUGCGGGAGGGAACCAAACGUGACAAAGCCAAAUCUUCUCUCCCCAGAAGAAUAUAUGCAGGUGCAGGCCAAUCUGUAGGUGGAGAUUCCCGGCAAGUGCUCAGUGCCUGCAAAGAGCACACACAAUCAAUGUAGAUAUAUAUUAUAUAAGAAAGUAAUGAGUCCACGAGCAACUAGAAAGGAUUACCCAAAUUUUCCCUUACUGAUAUCUUUUGACAAUGGAUACAUUUCACAUAAGUAAUAAAGCAUUUGUACAACAAAGUUACUUAAGCCUCUGCGCUCAAGGUCGGAUAGAAAUAUUAAUAACCACUUACAUGUCGCAGAGGUAAAGAUACACCAGAAGGCAGUGUGUCAAGUUGUCGUAAUCCAAACCUUUCACCGACCAUUGCCAAGACAGUCAGCUCCUCAGUGGAACAGGAUGAACCCGAAGCAAUGUUACAGUAAACUCCAGAAGAUACCUUCUUACCCAUCUGUUCACCACCACAUAACAAACUGUAGAAGGAAACUAUCUUUCGCGCCAAGCUCACAACAUUACUUCCAUCUUUGCAAAUCAGGGGUGGAAGAUCAUUUGCACUAGCUGACUUACAACCAUGUUGCAAACACUGUUCAAGCCAUCUGAAUAAACUGGGAGGAGUUGUCCAAGAAGAAGACGUACCACGUCUCUCGAUUUGCUUUUCAAGACCAGGAAAAUCACGGAUAUAAUGAUCUAAAUAACCUUCUUGUCCAAGAAAUGCAGCAAUGUUGCAUAAUAGGACCACCAGAAGCUCCAAAUCUCUGCAUGAAGAAUCAUUGCACUGAACAUAAACCAAUUGAAAAAAGGAUGUAUUUAAUCAUAUGUACAGACAUCAUUGACAGCAGAAACUCAUGAAUCCUAAUGCAUGAAGCGGAUAAGAAAUGAGUUACACUUGGCGCUUCAUGAAUCAAAAGACAUUUACGCUAAACUACUUUGAGAAGAAAGACCGCCUAAUCGACUGAUCUUGGACUUUCAAUCCUGCUGUAUUGAACCUUGUGUUAUACACUUAAACAGAAAUGGAUGAAGACAUCAAUAUAAAAAAACCUUAAUAUCAUAACCUAAUCCAUUUACAUUUUCAUGUUUGGCUAAGUUUAGAGAAGACAGUAAUAAAUUUAUAGGCCUCUUAGCUUGGGAUAUCCAAUUCAACUUUAACACUGAAUUAAACCAAAGCUUUAAACCACAAGAUUAUGGAAGAAAAUGAAGACGGGGAGUUGGAAUAAAAUUACCUUUGUCGUAGACUAUCCAAUUUUAGAGUCUCAUAGAGUGCAUGGAGGCAACCCAAAGUCUCCCUUAAUAGCUCAAAACAGGUAGAGUUCGGCAAACUACAUUUUCCUUCCGCAAUUGAUCCCUGGGAGUGCAAUUUUUCCACAUCAAGGGACACACAGGAAAAUCCACCACUUACACUAAUUUUCCGAUAAUUCUUGUGGAAGUUGCUGUUCACAAGGAAUUCCCAAGAUGAAGCUUGUGGUGGCUUAACACACUUAACAGAACCAGAUUCCCCGCAAAGUCUGAGUAUGAUGGUACAGAAUGAAUCCCAUUCAGAGUGUAGACUAGACUUGCCACUCAUCGAAUAGUCAGAAUCACCAUCACCCCAUAGAAGAAGAAGGAAAUGUUUGUACAAGCUAGGACAGAGUCCAUCAGCCAUUACGGUGAUGCAAUCAUUCACCAAUUCAGAUGAAAGGCUACUCCGAAGAACACAUCGAAACAUCUGGAUAUCAUACAUUGAAUGGGAAGAAGAAAAAAGGUGUCAUACAUAUAAGAAUUGCCUUCAUAUUCCACAAGCAAAGAAACAACCAAUAAAUGGGAAAAUCAUCAAAUAAAAAUGUGAUUGUGAUCCCCAAAAUCGGUAAGACAGAGUCAUAUCGUCAAAACAGUUUUUUCCUGAGAUAUAAAGGAAUAUAUACCUGUCCAUUGUUUACUAUAAGAUUGAAACGGCCCUCCACAGCAUCAGCCAGUCCUAAAACUUUCGAAUCAUGGUGAACGGAAAUGGUAUUUGAGAGCUCUGACUGAGAAGAAAGAUGAAGUUUACCCAAACAUGGAGGUAGUGAAUAUCUGCACAGACAUUGAUGCCCUGACUGCAAGUUUAAAGUGUUAAUCAUGCAAAUCCAACUUGACCAUAAAUAUCCUCGCACAAAUAAUGUUCAUGACUGUAAAUAUGCUCGCACAAAUAAUUUUCAAGGUUCGAACGUAGAGAAUAAGAGUGUAAAUUUCCACAGGAAACCAGUUGCAUUGUAGUAUAUGAACAAUUAUUGCAUGGAAAAAGUAUUAGGUGUGGUAAUGAGUCAAACGCAAAACAAACUGCACAGAUCCAAUUAGGUCCAUAUUGUAGCAUGGAACAAGCAACUCGGAACAAUAAAGAAAACAUCUAAAAGAAGUAUCCUUGCGACAUGUGCAAAAUCAAAGAAACAUCUCACAUAAGUAACAAUGUUCAAAGCAUCACCCAGUAAGAAUUGGUGUAUGCCGUAUGAACUUACAUAAAGAGAAAGAGUGUUGUCAGGGGCCAAAGCAAUAAUGUCAGAAUAUGGUAGCAGUCCCACUUUCACUCUGUGAAGGGAAAAGAGAAGCAUAUAGAAGAGUAGAAGUCCAAUCGAAUUAAAAAAAACACUGCGAGAGAGAAAAGAAAAGGGGGGCAGUGGUGUUCAGGAUCACCUUGGACGUGUCACCACCACAGGAGCAGCUGCUAUCGCGGGAAUACUCCAGCUCAUGUCGGGUUUAAUAUCAAAGACAGUCUCAUUGUUGAUUUCAGUUGUUUGAAGUCUCAAAGACAACAGUUUCUUUUGCUCUUGAAGAAGAAAACAAAUAAUGGGGCUAGCAUCAUCAUCAGUAGCAAGAAAAACCUAGUAAACAUGAAAGAGCACAAUAGAUAAGAAAUUUCACGGGAUAGAGAUAUGAUAGUGAUGUUAGCCACUUAAACUUCGAUCAACACUAAAGAUGUUGAACUGGCAAUAACAUGCACCUUACAAGCAGCUGUUCGGGUACCUCUCCCCUGCCAGAUUCUUCGAAAGGAGACUUGUUUAGCAGACAGAGCAUAAGGGACUGCAUCAGUUGAGCUACCAUUUACCACCUCAAGAUUAUCAUUGAUUAUUUCAGCAACCCAAACAGAGUGCUGCGAUUGUCCUGCUCAAAAAGGAAAACAUGGGUAAUUACCCCUCAAAGGAAGGUAUGAGAUUCAACAACACUGAAAAGAAUGAGAACCUCGAUUAUAUGAUGCCAUCAAAGGAACCAGGUCGCUGGUCCAUAUUGUUCUCUCCUCGAGGUCCUUCAUAAUGUUCCACUUUCCUCUCUCUUCUACACAAGUUGGCUGGAAGUAACACACAACAGCGUAGUCCCAAAACAUAAGAAAAAGAUCCAGAAAAAUAAUAUAACGUAAUCCAGGCGACAGAAAAUAAUAUGUACCUGUGGUUCUUCCAACAGAUCCUUCAGAAUCAAAUGUGAGGACAUUGUAACUGCCUCAUUGUUGAUACCAUAAACAGAUGGACUGUAACCGCUGAAACGUUGUUGUGGAGAAUCCCUUGUGUCUCUCUUUGGAUACAUUCUAUCAUGCGAUGAUGAGAGGGAUGAAUGUGUUGGCCGACUUCCUUCAGAAGCUGCCUGAAGUAACAAACCAUAUGGAAGGGGCCAUAUCGAUGCGAUUCCGCAAGGGAGAGGGACAUAGACCACUUCGCCUAUUACGAAAAGUAACAUGGUCGAGUAACAGUCUUAAAAGAUAGCCGAUAAUUUAAAAGGAUUCAAGAGCUGUACCAGAUAUACUAUAUACUGUUAGAGUAUCAGCUUCUAAUAUAUAUAGGCAUGCUUCAGAUGCUUCCCCCAAUCGACACCAGCAAGCCUACACAUAGAUAAAGCGAAGUUACCACAGAUAUAAACUUCCGAAGGUUACAUGGUCCACUUCUAGGUCAUAACAACGUAUUAAUCCACCCACCAUGACAACUGCGGAUGGAAGCGUGAAUCUCUUGAAAACUCUUGCUCCCGUAGACCAUAAGAUCCUACCAACGAAAGCAUUACAGUUUAGUCCUGGAUCUCAUACAUGAUAAACUCAAAUUCAAAUUCAAAUGAUCGACUUCGGUUCACAGUCAAAAUGCAGAAUCACAUUGCGAACACUCUUCACUCAUUUUGCAUUGACUAAACAUCAACGAAAACCAAAUCAGCCAAAAUCCUCCGAUUGAACUAGUCUACAGUAGUGGUUUCCAUGUAAGAAGGCGAACUCAAACAAUGAAAUGCUUAGUGUUGCUUACUUGUUCCCCCUGAUGAACAGCUCGUGGUCGCAAUGAUCGCUAAGUGCAGAAGCGGUAGAGUCAUCGGCUCCAUUUCCAUCUCGGACGGUAUCUGCGUCGAAGAGGAAGUAGUCGUACUUAUCGGAGACACUGCCUCCGCCGUCUUGGGGCUUGCCUCCGUCGAGAGCUUCGGCGAUCAAGCCAAAUGGCUUGAACUCGCCGAGCACGGUGAGCUCCCGAGCUGCAACCGGCAUUUUAAGGGUGACAGCUGAAGCGCUUGUGUGGUCCGAGUGGGGGAAGUAAAUGGCUUGAACUCGCCGAGCACGGUGAGCUCCCGAGCUGCAACCGCCAUUUUAAGGGAGAGAGCUGAAGCGCUUGAGUGAUCCGAGUAGUGGAAAUUUGGAGAACGAGUGAGAAAUGUAGAGAGGGAGAGCGGAGAGGUUUCAUUUAACUGGCAUUCUUCAGAUUUUCCUCUCCCGCUCUUUUUUUUUCUUUCUAUCCUUGAAGUUGACUGAAGGCUUCAACCCUAAACCCCGACUGUUUUCAGACUGUGCCCGGCGGAAUGUUUCCGGGUUCACAAUCGGAGCCCCGGGUCCGAGGCCCGGCCUGUUGGGCUGUGCUACUAUCAUGAGAUCUUGAUAGUUCACUGAGCUUAAUGCUUAACAUUGUUGGAACGAUGGUGUAAUCAGUAAUCUUGAUGGAAAAAUGUACCUAUAUGACUAUAUGUACAUUGGUGGUGAUGAUUUUACAUAUCCUAGCUAAUUGAGUAUGAAUAGUAUAUAUGGCCGUGUGGAAUUAACCAUUUUAUAAUCAAUUAUUUGGGUAUAUGAUUAUUGAAUUCGUUUGGUUUAAUUUAUUAUAAUUAAUAGUUCCUAGCGUAUAUUUCUAUUUAUUUAUGUGUGUGGCUCUUGUACUUUUUGAAUAGCUUAUUAAUAUUGUUCAAGUUAUAUAUAUUUUUUGGCACAGUAUGAAUAAAGUAUAAUAUAUGACAUGCAUGUCGAAAAUGGCUAAAAAGUCAUGUUUUCCUAUUACACAACAGACGCGGUGGCCACAAAGCCCUUCAUCUCCUUGAGACAGUCAGAUCUCACAUUUAGCUAGGACACUAGCUGAUUUCAUAUUUGGCACUACUAGGCUAAAUCGUUUGAGAUGUUCAAAUCCACACCACCUCCUCAAUCGAGGACCACUUCAUUCCAUCCUAAAUCCCCUUAUACUACAUCUAAAUGCGCUACACAUUGGUACACCAUCAAUUCAAAGAAUCAAAUACUAUUUGUAUGCCUAUAAUAAGAUAUUUGUUACGAGGAAGGUCAUGAGGGUUGUUGGGAGAAUAAAAUAAAGCAGCACUUACAAAGUUUACAACCGUCAAAGGACUGAGGUCCAACCUAUGAAGAAGUCUCAAAAUUUAAGAUCGGGGUUGGUUUGGAUUAGGAUGUCAAACCACGAAUGUUUAAACUAAUCCAUGACUUAAGGACCAGAAUGUUAAUAAAUAUCGGAUUAGAAGCAAUUCGUACUUAAUCCAAAAAUAAAAUAUACCGUUAUGGGUAUGUUGAGAAAAUAAAACACCUCAUCCGCACUGGACUGUCACCCAACUUUUCUACACGUCCCUGUUUGUUCGUUCGUCAGAUUCCAAAGCUUUUCUCAUUUUUAUAUACGACUAAUUAUAUUCUUCUUUCAUUUUCUUUUUCUUCUUCACAAGAUUAGAUCUCUGGCUCGCCAGUAUUUCUUCGUUGGGUUCCCUUUCUCACACACCUUUUCACUCUCAUUUCCUCUCUGUAGAUCAUUGUCCCCUCCUCGUUCUUCCCUUUUUCCAUCCGAUUGAUUGAGCUGCCGAGGGGUCUUUCGCUGCUCUAGAUAGAUCUUGCAGCGAUUCGAAUCCCUCCCACCGGUGUCUGUUGACACUUCCCCGUCGACGGUUUCACGACCUUUCGCAGAUCUGGUCCUCCACUUCUGAGUCGUCGAUCACUUCCGUCAUCAUGGCGGCCGCUAACGCUCCGAUCACCAUGAAGGAAGUGCUGACGGUAUGUAGCUGCUCAGCUCGUUGAUUUGAAUCCGUUGAGCUCAAUUUUUGUUGUCCAAUUUUGGAUCUCAGAUUAUUGCUAUGCAUGGUUUUCUCGUGAUUUCUCACCGUUUGGAAUUUUAGUAAUUCUCCUAGGCAAUGUCGAUCUGGUCAUGCGUUUACAUUUUUAGAUCUGCUGAUUUCAUGUCUCCAGACCGUUGCGUUUGGUUUUUUGUUGUUUUCGCGAAUCCGAACGUUCUUAGGAUUUGGUGAUUUGAUAAUUCGGUGAUGAGUUUGGGACGUGAUCCGUUUGUUUGUGCAGUUGCCUAGUAUUGGGAUCAGUCCGCAGUUCAUCACCUUUACGAAUGUCACCAUGGAGUCGGAAAAGUACAUAUGUGUGCGAGAAACUGCGCCACAAAACAGUGUCGUUAUUGUCGAUAUGAAUAUGCCAAUGCAGCCAUUGAGGCGGCCGAUCACGGCGGACUCUGCUCUUAUGAAUCCUAAUUCUAGGAUUCUCGCGUUGAAAGGUAAGGAUCCGGUGCCAGAAUACAUUUUUAUGGUUCUGGAUGAUCAUUGUCAGUGCUAUGUGCAGCUCCAUUGAAAUUUUAAUAUGAUACGUAAUUGUCUUAGGCAAUUGAACUCUGUCCUCUUUGUGAUUAUCAUAAAUGAGAAUUUCUCUAUGGACGAAAGUUUACUGCGUUUAAAAUUCCUAAUAUGACUUGAAAUUGAAUGGGUUUGAGCUAUAGUAGAGGAGGCAAUUUUUUUCUAUUUAUAUGAUUCAUGUGAGCUAUACUUAUGGCUCUCUUUUUUGAAGCUCAACUCCCGGGCACCACUCAGGAUCACUUGCAAAUAUUUAAUAUUGAGAUGAAGACAAAAAUGAAAUCAUACCAGAUGCCCGAGCAGGUAAAAUGAUUAUUUUGGCUAAUAUGGGUCCUUCGGUACUUCAUCCAUAUUUGGUUCAUCUAAUGUCUGCUUUGUUUUACGAGUAGAUUGUGUUCUGGAAGUGGAUAACUCCCAAAAUGUUGGGGCUUGUCACACAGUCAUCUGUCUAUCAUUGGUCCAUUGAAGGUGUGAUUCUCCUUUCAUUUCCUUAUUUGCAUCUGUUAUUGUAUUGUGUUGUUGAACAUGCUAUAUCAUCAUAGUCAUUUUCAGAUUGCUGAUUUAUCUACUAUAACUUCAGGUGACUCGGAACCCGCUAAGAUGUUUGAGCGAACAGCUAAUUUGGUGAACAAUCAGAUAAUAAAUUACCGAUGUGACCCUUCAGAGAAGUGGUUAGUUUUGAUAGGGAUUGCUCCAGGGUCACCAGAGGUACUUGAUUAGUGAAGAUCGACUGUGUUUGUUUAUUCUUGAGUUUAAUUUUAGGAACUAAACUUAGAUUUUAGGCGAGUAAGAAAUUGAGGUGUCUUGGUAAGGUUUUAUUAAAAUUUGAGAUGUGGAAAUGAGAUGGAGUUUUUGUUGAUAAGUUGUUACUAAUGAGACAUUUGAUAAUCUUUUAGUGAUAAAGAAAGGAGUGGGAUUUUGCUAAUGGACUAUAAAGAGUAUAACCUUAAUUACAUAUUCUUAUUUCAACGAGGCACACUCGGAAAGUUAGAUUCUAUGAGUAAAACUUAGAUGAAACAAACACUACUCAGCAUUUGCUCUUUUGCUACCCUUCUACCUAACAUGUAUCAGUGACUCUAUUUUAUGUGCAUGAUCCUGAUAAUGAGCAUUCCUGUUUAAUGAUUGUGCAGUUUUUUCAUAUGAAGUAUUGUUUCUAUACAACAAUUUUUCAGUAACUGUUUUGUGCUACUUGUUUGCAGAGGCAACAACUAGUGAAAGGAAACAUGCAGCUUUUCUCAGUGGAGCAACAGCGUAGCCAAGCUCUUGAAGCACAUGCAGCAGCAUUUGCCCAAUUCAAGGUGGGAAGGAAGAUUCAUGACUGGAACAUUUUUUAGCCAUAAGUAUUGACAGAAUUGCACUGGCCAAGCAUUCGUCCUGAAGGUUGCUUAUGUAUGUCUGCUAUUCUGUUACAGGUUCCUGGAAAUGAGAAUCCGUCUACUCUCAUUUCUUUUGCCACGAAGAGCUUCAAUGCUGGGCAGAUUACCUCGAAAUUGCAUGUUAUUGAACUUGGUGCUCAACCAGGUCAAAUCUUUGAGCCCUUUCCAACUUCGUGUCUUCUACAAGUCCUCCUGAAAUCUUCCUGGUGUUUGUUGACAUUGGCUUUAUUGAGUUAGUGGAGAUUCACGGCUCUUAUGUACUUUUUCUGUUCAGGGAAACCUUCAUUUACAAAGAAACAGGCAGAUCUUUUCUUUCCUCCAGAUUUUGCUGAUGACUUUCCUGUGGCGAUGCAGGUUGCCUAACUUCUACUCCCUUGGCCCCCAAUUUGUCUAGUUAUUCAUCUGCAUUCUGAUGACAGUUUUGUGACUCUGCUACUUUGCAGAUAUCCCACAAGUUCAAUUUGAUCUAUGUUAUCACCAAGCUAGGGUUGCUAUUUGUUUAUGACUUGGAGACAGCUGCUGCUGUCUACCGAAACAGGAUUAGUCCAGAUCCAAUAUUUUUGACAUCCGAGGCCUCUGCUGCUGGGGGGUUUUAUGCCAUUAAUAGACGAGGUCAAGUGCUUCUUGCUACAAUAAAUGAAGCAACGAUUAUAGCAUUUGUCAGUGGACAUGUAAGUUCAUAUAAUCAUUUCCUUUUGUUGGCUGCUAAAGUUUAGUUUUGUGUUUGAAUUUUCUGUAUAAAUGGUGUUCUUGCAGUUGAAUAAUCUUGAGCUUGCUGUUAACCUUGCCAAAAGGGGAAACCUUCCCGGUGCAGAGAAUCUGGUAAGUGAAGUUUUUUUCUGUACAAUCUGCUGGCAUUCAAUGUAUUUUUAAUUGUAAUAAAAUGUACCAAUUUUCGAUGUUCGAAAUUUCAGGUUGUGCAGCGAUUCCAAGAACUUUUUGCUCAAACAAAAUACAAGGAAGCUGCGGAGCUUGCUGCAGAAUCCCCACAGGGUAUUCUCCGAACACCGGAUACAGUUGCCAAGUUUCAGGUAUGCAUUCAGCUUCUGAGUUUCCAGUUUUACAAUCACCCUUCCAUUUUUUGAUGACCUGAAGCUUGAUAGUGAUCCCGCUUGACUGUAUCUUUUGUGAACUCCAGAGUGUUCCUGUACAAGCUGGACAAACUCCCCCACUGUUGCAGUACUUUGGAACUCUACUGACAAGAGGAAAGCUAAAUGCAUUUGAAUCAUUGGAACUGUCACGCCUUGUUGUAAAUCAAAACAAAAAGAACCUUUUGGAGAAUUGGUUGGCUGAGGAUAAGUUGGAAUGCAGUGAGGAACUUGGUGACCUUGUUAAAGUAUGUUUUCCGCUGGGUGACUUACUUAGAUUAUACCUUCUUUUAUGGUGGGAAUGUUAUUUUGACAUUAGUAACUGUGUUGCCAAUGUAGACCGUGGACAACGAUCUUGCACUCAAAAUUUAUAUUAAAGCUAGAGCGACACCGAAAGUUGUUGCAGCUUUUGCUGAGAGGAGGGAAUUCGAUAAAAUUCUGAUUUACUCAAAGCAGGUAAUGUGCUUAUAAAUUUUCUUCCAUUUCGUUAAAUUUAGUGUUACUGGUGCUAGCAUAUUCAUAUAUUUAAGGGAUGUGUGGCUUUUAUUAACCUUUUUUUUGCUCUAGGUUGGGUACACUCCUGACUAUUUAUUCCUGCUCCAAACAAUUCUCCGUACAGAUCCUCAGGUACUUUUUUUCUGAUAGCUGGAUUAUGGAAGCAGUAUGAUUAUUGUUUGAAAUCUGGAAUUGUUCGUGUGUGAACUACUGCAGAUAGGGAUUAAUGUUGUGUUACCUGUUUUUAUUUUGUAGCAUAAUAGAGUUUAUAUCUUGUUUUGAGUUGUAGGGAGCUGUUAACUUUGCUCUGAUGAUGUCCCAAAUGGAGGGGGGCUGUCCACUCGACUACAAUACUAUUACUGAUCUCUUUCUUCAGGUUUGGUUUUCUUAUUGAUGAAAUUUGAACUAUUUUCUUUUAGGAGAUGCCCUUUCUGUAAAUAUUGCAUUCCUGGCUUUAUUUCUGUACUAAUGUCUGCGAGCUUGGUCUUUCAUUUUGUUAUAUAGAGGAACUUGAUUCGUGAGGCUACUGCCUUCUUGCUGGAUGUCUUGAAGCCCAAUUUGCCAGAACAUGCUUUCCUGCAAACAAAGGUUAGAUAGUUGAACCUUCAAAGUAAAUGUUCCACCUCUUUUCCCAUGCCCGAGUUCCUCAUGCUUUUGUUUUUGCAGGUCUUGGAAAUCAAUCUGGUAACGUUUCCUAAUGUUGCUGAUGCUAUAUUGGCUAAUGGAAUGUUUAGCCACUAUGACCGCCCUCGUAUUGGACAGCUUUGUGAAAAAGCUGGUCUUUACAUUCGAGCUUUGCAAGUGAGACACCCAACCCAUCUUUUAGUUCUGUUUCAACUUAUUGUUGCAGUUUCUAGAAGUAAAUGUUCAUUUUCUGUGCAGCAUUAUGCUGAGUUGCCAGAUAUCAAACGUGUCAUUGUGAAUACACACGCAAUAGAGCCACAGGUAAAUUUCUUCAGUGCUUCUGAUUCUACUAAUACUUAAGAAUUAUAGUUUCUUUUUUUGAAAAGAAGAAAAGAACUAUAGUUUCUGAUGUUUAACUUUAUGUUCUGUUCAGGCACUUGUGGAGUUCUUUGGUACUCUUUCUAAAGAGUGGGCCCUGGAGUGCAUGAAGGAUCUGUUACUUGUCAAUCUGAGGGGAAAUCUUCAGAUAAUUGUGCAGGUAACUGUUUUAUCAUGCCUGAUUUUCUCAAACAGAAACUGAUUAUCAGUUCUUUUGAUUGUAAGGCUAAAUUAUGUGCAGACAGCGAAGGAGUACUGUGAGCAGCUUGGUGUUGAUCAGUGCAUCAAACUGUUUGAACAGUUCAAAUCUUAUGAGGGGCUCUAUUUCUUCCUCGGGUCAUAUUUGAGUUCUAGGUAUUGCACUUUGUAGUUGAUUAGCCUUUUUAUUCUCCAGUUUCAAGUUGUCCGUGCACUUCUAAUCCAAUGUUUUAACCUAUCUUGGUGAGCAGUGAAGAUCCUGAAAUUCAUUUCAAGUACAUUGAAGCGGCUGCUAAAACUGGACAAAUAAAGGAGGUGGAACGUGUCACUAGAGAAUCAAAUUUCUAUGAUGCUGAAAAGACGAAGAAUUUUCUUAUGGAGGCCAAGCUUCCUGAUGCAAGGCCACUGAUUAAUGUUUGUGACCGGUUUGGUUUUGUUGGGGAUCUCACUCAUUAUCUGUACACAAACAACAUGCUCCGGUAUAUUGAAGGUUAUGUUCAGAAGGUAUGAUACUAGUGUCAGUUCAGUGCUUGUCGAAAUGUGCUGUUGUUCUUGAGAAGCAGUAGGCUGAUUUGAUCUCCCUUUGAUUUAUAGGUGAACCCAGGAAAUGCUCCGAUGGUUGUUGGGCAGCUGUUGGAUGACGAAUGCCCUGAAGAUUUCAUUAAAGGGCUUAUUCUCUCUGUCCGUUCUUUGCUUCCAGUCGAGCCCCUUGUGGAUGAAUGCGAGAAGAGGUAGGUUCCGUUGCAGAAACACCCCCCGCCCCCAACUUUUCGUUUUCUGAUAAUAAUGUGCUGUUGCUCUCUGUAGAAAUCGGCUACGUCUGCUCACUCAGUUCCUGGAGCACCUUGUGAGUGAAGGAAGUCAAGAUGUGCAUGUUCACAAUGCACUGGGUAAGAUCAUCAUUGAUAGCAACAACAAUCCGGAGCACUUCCUCACUACCAACCCUUACUAUGAUUCAAAGGUUGUUGGUAAGUAUUGUGAGAAACGUGAUCCCACCUUGGCUGUUGUGGCUUAUCGAAGAGGGCAGUGUGAUGAUGAACUUAUCAACGUCACAAACAAGAACUCCCUGUUCAAAUUGCAGGCCAGGUAUGUGAUGUGGCCUCUUCUUUCUUUGCUGUGCAUGCAUGUAGGAGUUAUUAGUAACCUUUUUUCCUGUUUUUAGGAAAUGUUAGAUGCUCUGAAAUUUACUUUUAUUUGCUUGGCUUGGGAUACAGAUAUGUUGUUGAGAGGAUGGAUGGUGAUCUUUGGGAGAAGGUCCUUGAUCCUGAAAAUGAGUAUAGGCGGCAGCUGAUUGACCAAGUUGUUUCUACUGCUCUACCUGAAAGCAAGAGCCCGGAACAGGUUUCCGCUGCUGUCAAGGCCUUCAUGACUGCUGACCUUCCACACGAAUUGAUUGAGCUUCUAGAAAAGAUAGUGCUGCAGAAUUCUGCAUUCAGUGGAAACUUCAAUCUUCAAAACCUGCUUAUCUUGACAGCAAUCAAGGCAGACCCCUCUAGGGUUAUGGAUUACAUCAACAGAUUGGACAACUUUGAUGGUCCUGCUGUGGGGGAAGUUGCAGUUGAAGCACAGCUGUAUGAAGAAGCCUUUGCAAUAUUCAAGAAGUUCAACUUGAAUGUUCAGGCUGUAAAUGUUCUAUUAGAUAACAUCAGAAGCAUCGACCGGGCUGUGGAGUUUGCAUUCCGUGUUGAAGAAGAUGCUGUAUGGAGCCAAGUUGCCAAGGCUCAACUUAGGGAGGGUUUGGUCAGUGAUGCAAUUGAAUCCUUCAUUCGCGCAGAUGAUGCCACUCAAUUCCACGAGGUCAUUCUUGCAGCUGAGGGUGCUAAUGUCUAUCAUGAUUUGGUGAAGUACCUUUUGAUGGUCAGGCAAAAAUCAAAAGAGCCCAAGGUGGACAGUGAGCUCAUUUUUGCAUAUGCCAAGAUUGAUCGGCUAGGUGAAAUAGAGGAGUUCAUACUUAUGCCAAAUGUGGCUAAUCUCCAACUUGUCGGUGACCGCCUAUUUGAUGAUGCUUUAUACGAGGCUGCAAAGAUCAUAUUUGCCUUCAUAUCUAACUGGGCAAAGUUAGCUUGCACACUUGUGAAGCUCAAACAGUUCCAAGGUGCUGUUGAUGCAGCAAGGAAGGCCAACAGUGCAAAAACAUGGAAAGAAGUGUGCUUUGCUUGUGUUGAUGCUGAAGAAUUCCGAUUGGCUCAGAUGUGUGGUCUGAAUAUCAUUGUCCAGGUAAUUUUCGAAGUCCUAUAGUAAAAUUUCUUGCUCUUAUAUAUCAGAGAUGCAUAACUUGUUGAUUGUACAAAGUUCUGAGGUUUGCCAGUUUGUGAUUACUUUCAGGUGGAUGAUUUGGAAGAGGUCAGUGAAUUUUAUCAGAACAGAGGAUACUUCAAUGAACUAAUUUCCCUGAUGGAGAGUGGUUUGGGUUUGGAACGCGCACAUAUGGGUAUUUUCACCGAGUUGGGGGUUCUUUAUGCUAGAUACCGCUAUGAGAAACUCAUGGAGCACAUAAAAUUAUUCUCGACCCGUCUCAAUAUUCCUAAACUUAUCCGAGCAUGUGAUGAGCAGCAGCAUUGGAAAGAACUCACCUAUCUCUACAUUCAAUAUGACGAGUUCGAUAAUGCUGCUACAACAGUAAUGAAUCAUUCUCCCGAGGCAUGGGACCACAUGCAGUUCAAGGAUAUUGUGGUCAAGGUUGCCAAUGUGGAGCUAUAUUACAAGGCUGUUCAUUUCUACUUGCAAGAACAUCCUGAUCUUAUCAACGAUGUCUUGAAUGUAUUGGCGCUACGGGUUGACCAUACUCGUGUUGUUGACAUUAUGCGGAAGGUUUGUUCCUUUACUUUGUGGAUUUCCGUUUUUGUUUAUGACUCUGCUUUAGUUGUGCUCAAGUGUUUUUUUUCGUUUUCAGGCUGGCCACUUGCUUCUUGUGAAGCCAUAUAUGGUUGCAGUCCAGAGCAAUAAUGUGUCUGCUGUGAAUGAGGCUCUCAAUCAGAUAUACGUCGAGGAGGAGGACUAUGACAGGUUACGGGAAUCGAUCGAUUUACACGACAACUUUGACCAGAUUGGUCUUGCCCAGAAGGUGAGAUUGGUGUGAGAUUGGUCUUUGACCUAAUCAAUCAACUGUCUAUUCUCUUUUUAGUUAUGUGGUUCUAACUGGGCUUGCUGUACAAUGAUGAUCACCAGAUUGAGAAGCAUGAGCUUCUUGAGAUGAGACGAGUUGCUGCAUAUAUUUACAAGAAGGCUGGCAGAUGGAAGCAGUCCAUUGCAUUGUCAAAGAAAGAUAAUUUAUACAAAGAUGCUAUGGAGACUGCAUCACAAUCCGGCGACCAUGAACUUGCCGAGGAAUUGCUUGUUUAUUUCAUCGAAAAGGUAAGGCACCUCGCUCUAUGAUGUUCAUUAAAGAUCUUGAAAUCAGUUCCGUAAAGUAAAUGUUUUUUGGUUGCUUGCAAUUAGCUAAUAUAUCAUGAAUUUUUCUGCAGGGGAAGAAGGAAUGUUUCGCUUCUUGCCUCUUUGUGUGCUAUGAUUUAAUUAGGGCAGACAUUGCCCUUGAACUUGCUUGGAUGAACAACAUGCUUGACUUUGCCUUCCCAUUCUUGAUACAAGUAAGCUCUUCUUUACUUGUUAUUAUUUGUAUCUGGACCAGUCGCAACGAAGCAGCAAAACGAGGAUUGUAGCAGAAUAUGGUGCCGUGUUUAUAGUACUUAAAGUAGCUUCUUCGUUGCAGUUCAUUCGUGAAUACACGGGCAAGGUUGACGAGCUGGUGAAGGAUAAACUUGAAGCUCAGAAGGAAGUAAAGGCUAAGGAACAGGAACAAAAGGAUGUGAUUGCUCAGCAGGUAAAUACCCGGUGAUUUAACUUGCAGAUAAACUUGCAGCUGUAGCCCUGUGAUUUAAUGUAGCUUCGUUAUACUAUUCAAUUGUCUUGUGAUGCUGACGAAUUUCGUUGAUCUGACAAUUGCAGAACAUGUAUGCUCAGUUACUUCCUCUUGCUUUGCCCGCACCUCCAAUGCCGGGUAUGGCUGGACCCGGGAUGCCAGGAGGUUACGGGCCUCCUCCGCCCAUGGGCGGAAUGGGAAUGCCUCCUAUGCCCCCGUUCGGGAUGCCUCCAAUGGGCAAUUAUUGAUUGAUCUUUUACUGAGGCCACCACGCUUUUUGUAGAAAGUAGGCAGUAAAAUCAUCUCUGCGGCACGCAAAAGAGAACGGAUGUUUCGGACAAGAGGCAGCAGCAGCAGCAGUCGGGAAUUUAACCAUUUGGCGGUGUGAUUAGUCGCGUUUUGCGAAGGAGAUUUGUCAAGGGUUUGCAUUGGGGUGAUGAACUGAGUGUAAUUUUGGAAUAAUUUGCCACUUUUUCUUGUGAAGUGCCGUCAUAUAUUUCAUUAGAUUUUUGUGUGGAUAUGUGUUGUAAUAUUCUUUCCUGCUGAUAGCAGAAACACAAAGCUAGACAAGACAAUACAAUCUUCUCGGAUUUGUAUUUUUCAUUCAUUAUUUUGCUGCUGUUUGUUUGUUUUAGGAGUUGAUUCCUCAUUAUACGAAUUUUUUUAGUACAAAAAAGAACAGUUUCAAUUUUGUUAUCGAUUUUGGUUUAGUUCCAUAACUUCCAAUGCCUUCCAGAUGUUUUGAGCAGUGUAGUGUUCCAACGGUUGGAAUCCAACCCAUGCCGAUUCGAGAUGAUGACAAUCCAGGCCUCGUAAUAACGGACAACAAUCCUUCGCGGCCGCUCCACCGUCAACCCCACGACCGGCCAUCUCUCAUCAACCGUCGCAACGUCCUCAGUUUUUACUCACUCCACACCAAUGUGGAGAUACUACAUAGAUGCAGCAAUCUGUGCCUUCUUCCUCUUCUGUCAGUUAGGGAGUAGUUGGGCUGGUGUUUAAGAUGGAUCCAAGAUAAUUCUUUCGAGAGUCGUACAUAGUUAUGCCGAUUCUCGUUGAAUGUCAAAGCAUCUCCUCCAUCUUACGAUUGAUCUGCAUCAAGUUCGUUUCGCGACAUGAUAAUAAUGCUGUCGAUUUAGUGGCACGAGAGGCUCUAUAUUAUCCUUCUAUCGAGUGAUCUUUAGUUUUGUGUUACUAUAUUUCUAGUUGAUCAUUUCUAUCUCUUGUGUAAUACCUCCAAUAAAGAAAAGGUGAACGAGGGACUAAAUUAGUUAUCAAGAACCUACCAAGUUAUGGAUUUAAUUAAAAUUAUGUUAAUAAGUGACUGAUUUACUACCAGAUACAAACUUUAAUGACGGAAAUGCAUUUUAUCCGGAAAAAUAACGAUAACGAAGACGGAGGUUGAACAAAAACGCAGGAGGUUAAUUAGAGAUCUAUCUUCCCCCUUUGAUCUCCCGGCGGUUCAAACAAUGGCGACGAUCACUGUCCUCGUUCUAUCUCUUCUCAGCUCUCUCAUCUUCUACAUCUUCACCUUCAUCGCCUUCCACAUUCUCACCUCCCGCCGUAACCGCCAAAAAGCCAUCGGUUUCUUCCACCCUUACACAAACGACGGCGGCGGCGGCGAACGCGUGUUAUGGUGCGCAGUCAAAGCAAUCCAGGAAGAAAUCCCCGACUUCGAUUGCAUCGUCUACACCGGCGAUCACGACGCCUCUCCUCAGUCCCUCCUCGCCCGCGCCACCGACCGAUUCGGCGUCCAAUUGCUCCGUCCGCCGGAGGCGGUCCAUCUUCACUGGAGGAAAUGGGUGGAGGAGUCUACUUAUCCUCGAUUCACGAUGAUCGGACAGAGCCUCGGUUCGAUUCUACUCUCCUGGGAAGCUCUAUCGAAGUUCACUCCUCUGUAUUACUUCGAUACUAGUGGAUACGCUUUCACUUACCCGAUCGCUCGAUUGUUCGGAUGCAAAGUCGUUUGCUACACGCAUUACCCGACGAUCAGCUUGGAUAUGAUCUCCCGCGUUCGUCGCCGGAGCUCCAUGUAUAACAACGACAACUCAAUUGCGCGCAGGUGAAGAAAAAUUCUCCAAACCUCUCUUUCUAAUUUGUCGUUAGGAAAUCCAAUUGCCUUAAGACCAAAGUGUGUGUGUUGCAUUUCAGUGAUUGGCUAUCGCAGUGUAAGCUCAUCUAUUACACAUUCUUCAGCUGGAUAUAUGGAUUUGUAGGCUCUUGUUCACAUCUGGCUAUGGUGAACUCUUCCUGGACUCGAUCUCACAUCGAAAAGCUUUGGCGUAUUCCUGACCGGAUCAAGCGAGUCUACCCUCCUUGUGAUACAUCAGGGCUACAGGUUUUUCAGCUUGCUAAGUGUUCUUAGAUUAGUUUAGCUUCUCUUGUAUUCGAUUCUGCUAUGUAUAUAGAUUAGCUUAGUGCUUAGUUUGGCAAGUAGAAAGUUGGAUGGAAAUUUUGAACAUUUCCACCUGCCAAACAAAUCCCAAGACUCCAUCUGCAGUUGUCAUUUUCUGUGUUUGUUAGCAUUUUUUAUAUAGCUCAAGUUUGCUGCUUUUAGGUGCUUCCUCUGGAAAGACCGGCGGGAACUCCAGUGUUCAUAUCAGUAGCUCAGUUCCGUCCUGAGAAGGUGGGGAAAUUUUGAGUAACAUUGUGUGCAAAAGGUACUAACAGUUUUUUAUGGCUCUUCGUUGGGGGCCGGAUUGGAGUUUCGUUCUUAACCUUGAUUUGAGCUUUGUUUUCAAAUGGUUCAGGCGCAUCCUCUGCAACUCGAAGCCUUCUCUCUUGCCCUUGCAAAGUUGGAUGCCGAGGUGCCGAGGCCAAAGCUCCAGUUUGUUGGUAGUUGCAGGAAUAAAGCAGACGAGGAGAGACUGCAGAAAUUGAAAGAUAAAGCAAUUGAGCUGAAGGUAGAUGGAGAUGUGGAAUUCCAUAAGAAUGUCAUGUACAGGUUAGUGCCAAUCACGUAUAUGAUGAUUAUAUUUGCUCUUUCAUUGUUAACCUCUACUGGACUUCAACUUUGACAUGAUAACAUCUUUGUGAAAUUUUAUCUUUAGGGGUCGUAUGGACGAUCCAAACGUAUUUUAGAGCAAAACGAUGUGUUAUUUUGAGAAUGUGGCGUUUAUGAUGUGUAAGGGAUGUGGUGUAGAAAUUAUCUUGUUUGGCUAAUGACGUAAGUAAUCAUAGCAGCAGGUGUAUUGCAUCGUCAUUUAGUUAUUUUGCUGCUGUAUUGGAUUUCUAGUUCAUGUUUGGAGUAGAUGUCCGAAUGCUCAUCCGUCUUCUGGCAAAUUUUCAGGGACUUGAUAAAGCUACUGGGAGGUGCCGUUGCAGGAUUACAUUCUAUGAUAGACGAGCACUUCGGCAUCAGCGUUGUUGAAUACAUGGCUGCCGGAGCCAUACCAAUAGGUAAAAUCCUCACUCUCACUCAAUCCCUUUUAAUAUAUUGUCGUUGGAAAAAUGCUGCCACAUAUGAACUCACUUUGCACCGUGAAUUCUCCUCUUUCUCCUCAGCUCAUAACUCCGCCGGUCCUAAAAUGGACAUUGUGCUGGAAGAAGACGGGGAGUCGACAGGGUUCCUUGCAGAGACAGUCGAAGAGUUUGCAGACGCCAUCCUCAAGGUCAUAAAGAUGUCGGAAUCCGAGAGGCUCAAGAUCGCUGCAGCCGCCAGGAGAAGGGCUACCAAGUUCUCGGAACAAAGGUUUUAUGAGGACCUCAAAACUGCCAUUCGACCUGUACUAGUACGAAGCCGUUCUUCCACAAAUACCUGAUUCCUGCACUAAGUAGUAGGAGUACUUAUCCAGUAAUCCAGUAAAGCCAUUACUUUUGACUGUUGAAGUUUUAACUAUACUGGGGAGAGGUUUUAGUCUUGUGCUUUGCUGUGGGAUGGAAGGUACUGAAUAUGAGAAUUCGGGAAUCUCGAAGUACUGAAUACAGUUUUACAUUUCAGGAUUUCAAAAUUUCCGCACUAUCCAAUCCUCGAUCUCCAGAUUCCAGAAACAAACUUCACGACCUUGAUCUUGACUUAAUCUCGUAAGAAUUCUGAAAACGGUAUUUCAUGUGGAGCUUCAUUGAUGUUAAUUUCGAUACGGAGUCGCGAGUUAUUCGAAGAAUACCGGCCAAACUUCCACCUCCAAAUGCAGUUAGCACAAGCUAGUUUCGGGGUCUAGCAAUAGUUUCAUCACUUGAUUAAUUGAUUGACUAAUUCCUUGAAAACAGACUUUUACCAAGGGAAUCAAAGUUUACUGCAAUAGUUUUCUACCCAAAUCCUUGCACCCAAAGAAGAAAAGUCUCUGGCUUUCUAGGCACCACAUACAAUCUACCAAUAGCCUUUGUCCAUAAGUGAAUUGGGAGGAGAUGUUUGAUCAAACGUCGGAUCAAUUAAGUCUUGAAACCCCACCACCUCUUCUGCUUUAAUGGGGCGUGACUGCGAGUUCCUUUUCUUCAGGGUAAGCUUGUAGGUACCGGAACCAGACUGGUCCGAGACCCUCGACUGAAUUCUGAAUUUAAAGGUCUAAUUCAUGUAAAAACUCAACAUGGACUUCGAUAUCGAAAAUUUCACAUAGAAUUUCAUCGCUCCGGAUCAGACCCGCCUUGGACGGUGGACUAAGUUGGCCCACAUCGAGUUCCGUCAUUCCUCGUAGGGCUCCCUCCUGCUGCUGCUGCUACUCUCUGAAAGUCCUUUGUUUUCGUGUACUACAGUGGCACUCACUAACUAAGGACAGUCCUUUCAACAUUGCCUCUUUGUAAACAAACGCAUGGGAUGUGGACAAAGACAAAAACAAAACAAAUUGAAUGGCUGCUUUUGCUUUCAAAGAUAGCAUCUUAGAUUACAGGAGCCGUAAUUCUGUCACAUCUCUACAUAUGAGCUUUGUGCUUGUGGGGUUCUUCUUUCUUUGUAAUUGGCACACUCUCUUCUUGGAUAAGCAUCCCACUUGGUUGAAAGACUUAAAACAGUUUGAGGGGAAUAGGCACGCUCUUAAAGGAAGGCCCCUAGAUAGAUAUCUGCAUGUAAUCAUUGACCAGAUCUUAAUUCACCCUUUUGAACCUCUACUGGAUUGACAGUUGAUUCCAUAUGAACAUUGAACAUUUGGUUAUGAUUUGACAUAGAGAUAUGUGUUUCGGUAUAGACCGAUGGGACCAAUAAGAGUGUGGUGCGACUGGAUGGAUGGUUGUGGAUGAUGAGUAGAGAGCAUUUUCCCUUGAAUUAUGGACACCUAGGAGUUUCCAAUGGAUGGUUCCUCACAAGACGGAUAAAUCAGAGAGUAAGAGAGAAUAUGAGGGGGUGGGCGUAUAUGGAAGAGACGAGAGACAGAGGACUUUCAUGGGCGUUUGCCCUUUUAAGAGGUUGACCUGUUGUAAGUGUAUAGCAUGGUAUGGUGCUUACGACUUAAGUAUAUUUGUUGGUCUUAGUGGAACUUAUGUGUCAUAAAUGUUGUGGUUGAUGAGCCUUUUAUACGGCCAUGAUCGCAUGAUACGGUUUCCACAUGCCCUGCUAGAAGUCGUGACUAGUGACUAGGUGCGGGCCAAAUAUGAGCUUUUGUGGAUGGACGGUCAAGGGGCAGGGAUCGACUAGGCUUGUGUAGAAUGGGCAGACGAACCACUUUGUGGUGGUGUGCGCAUGUCCCUUGAUCAGACUGAGUGACGGUUGAAGGUGACUAGCUAGGCUGAACUGUUCUAUCAUAGUGACAACGUGCAAUUCAAUCUUUCGGUCUUUUUCUGUUGGGUUGGACCGGCUGGGUCGACCGGCUGAUUCGGAAAUCUAAUCCAUUGGGCUAGGCCUUGAGGUCAAGGGCCAUCAAUAAGAUCCCAUGCAGCAUCUAACAAUCAUAUCUUAGUGCAUCCCAACUGUUAGUAAUGCAUUCAACUGUGUCUUUUUCUUGACUGUACAAAUAUACAAUACAGUAAUCACCAAAGUAGUUAAUGCUGCAGAUCCCCAAAAAUCCCUCAAAAUCCAUAACCAAGAUUCAUCUGUCUCCUGAAAAAAACAGUCAAAAUGUGCAGAAAAAACUGUCAUGCGCCUUCUCCAGUGAAUGAAGUGACAGAUGAGUAACUCCAAAUCAUGAUUUCAAAAUUUGACCCAAUUGGACACAACCCCCUCCCAAACAAGAUAUCAAAUCAAAUACAUGAAAAUCAGAUAACAACAACACAUUAUUGUUAGUCACAUAUAACCACAGUUCCCUAGUCUUGAAUUGUCUCAUAAAUAGACUGUCUUUCUGCUGCUAGAUUUUUCCAUCUCUGUUCUUGACCAUAUACACUUCAGUAAAGCAAAAAAGAUAUGGACUUUACUGACAAUGGAGAUGAAUCGGCAUUCCCCUUUUCAUGGUCCAACUGCAGUUUCUUCCCAGUCCAUGAAUCUGCAGAGGAUAAAGCGGCUUCCAGCUCCAGAAGCCAUAGCCAAGCUGAGAAGCGCAGACGAGACAGAAUCAACGCUCAGCUCACCACCCUAAGGAAACUCAUCCCCAAAUCCGACAAGGUAACAAAUUUAACAACAAAUUUUCAUUUCCCCCAAUUUGUUCUUGAUCCUGAAAUUGAUUCGAUUUCCUCUUCUGGGUUUUACUAGAUGGACAAGGCGGCUCUGCUGGGAAGCGUGAUCGAGCAAGUGAGGGAUUUGAAGAGCAAAGCUAACGAAGUGGAGAAGCAAGUCACCGUCCCGUCGGAAAUCGACGAGAUCAGCGUCGAUUGCUGCGACGUAGGAGGAGGAGGAGGAGGAGGAGAUGACAACAACGUGUUCUUCGUCAGAGCUAGUUUGACGUGUGAGGAUCGGCCGGAGUUGUUAUCCGAGCUGAUCCGCAUGGUGAAAGGUCAGCGGCUUGAGAUUGUACACGCUGACAUUACCAGCGUCGGCGGGAGAGUGAAAAGCGUCUUCGUGUUUUAUAACAACGGCGGUGGCGAUAAGAGAUCGGUUGUUAGCGGGAUCAAACAGUCGCUUAACGUAGUUCUGAGUAGAAUCACGUCGGCUACUGUGCCUUCCAGUUAUCGUAUUAGGAGCAAGCGGCAGCGGUUCUUCAUGCCGUCGAAUUGAUCGUCGCCGACGACGACGAAUCUCAGCUCCGUCAAGCUUCAUCAGUCCGAUGGAUGAACGGAUCCUUUUUAUUUAUUUAAUGGCGUUUCGGUAAAAUGUUGGUUUUGAUUGGGUAAAAAAAAUGAAUGCAAUUAGCCAAACUAAACAAACAAAGGUACAAGACAAAUGGGUUCAAAAUGAGUCCAAGUAGACAUCUCAUGGAUCAUGAUGGCCCACAGGCUCUGGAUUAGACCCAAGAUUAAGCCCAUCUUGCGCUCUCAAUCUAUCAAUGUAACUCCUAACUUCCUCGGCGAUCAUCCUCUGCAUGAUCUCCAACAAACAACUCUCCUGCUCACCAAUCCCCGCCGCCGCCUUCAACCACUUUUCCUUUCCGCCGCUAUCCGCCGCCGUCACAUCUUCUUCCGCUCCCGGUGGAGACAGCGUCAACAACGUAGUAAUAAUCUCCCCCUCGCCUCCAUUACCAGUAUCAUUAUCAUCAUGACGUAAGCAGAGCUUCUUGUUACUCCCCGAUUCCCCCUCCGAAUCGGCCAGAUUCGAGCCCGAAUGCACAGGCUCCGCCGGCGAAAAAUCCCGAUCAUCCCUAGCGGCACGUUUGCGGCGGAGCGUGGAGUUCCAGUGGUUUUUAAUCGCGUUGUCGGUCCUCCCAGGGAGAAGGCGGGAGAUGGUGGCCCACUUGUUGCCGUGGAGGGAGUGGGCCCGGACGAUGAGGGCGUCCUCGGCGGGGGUGAAGGGGCGGUGCUGGACGUCGGGAGAGAGCUGGUUGCACCACCGUAGCCUGCAUGACUUGCCGGAGCGGCCGGGGAUUCCUGAGCUGAUCAUGGACCAGUUCCUCGGUCCGUGCUGCUGGACGAGCUUGAUGAGUGCUGCGUCCUCCUGCGGGCUCCACGAGCCUUUGAUCCGAUCGGCGGUGAAAGAAGACGGCGGUUCCAUGGAUGUUUGUUUGUUGGGGGUUAGAAAAUGCGGUGGAAAUCUUGAUAGAAGAAAUGAAGAAGAAGGGAUGAUAUAAUAUAAGAGAAUAACGGUUAAGGGGGGAAUUUGUUGUUUGUGUGUUGUUAGUGUGAACCGUAAAACCGCCGCUACACGGCGAUGGCGAUAAUUGUAACGACUUUGGCUCGUUACAUGGGGAAGUUAUUGAAUAUUUAUUUUAAUUGAUUUUUGCGUGUGUGUAUAUAUAUAACUGAAUGAAACGGAAAGGAUGGCGAUGUAUAAUUGUUUUUAAAAAAAUUGAAUGUAACAGACUAGAUGAAUGAAUAACAACUUUAAGUCAGGAUGCACAUGUUAAGUGUUAUUCAGGGAUUCGGUAAGAGAUUCAUAAGGGUUUGGUACAUUAAAUCGGAUUGUAUAAAAUUAAAAAAAAAUAGUAUAUGAACAAUAUACUCAUUAAUCUGCAAAAACUUCCUGCAAGGAGUGUUGGUGUCGUGAUGGUGAUUUGUAAUGACAUUGGUGAGGUGUUGCGGUUUGUCAUGCAAUACUUAUCGGCUCGUCAUGACCCGAGGGAAGCGAAGGCAUUGGCGUUAUGAUCGACUUUGGAAUGGACGAAAGACAUUGGCUAUUAAGUGUGCUGCUUCGAGAUUGAUAAUUAAAUUGCGGAUUUGGCUACAAACGGUGACGGUAGAGAUAUCUCGAAGUUCGGACGCCUCAUCGAAAAGUGUCGAAGCAUCGUUAAAUACAGACCGCUUUUCAUAAUGACAAGAGAUCUAAAAAUGGAGUUGCGCACGAGUUUAUUCGCCGCUCCCACAACCGUGUGUGUGAUUGGUGUGUAACUUUUGUAAACAAUAUUUUCUUUGAUUUAAACCAUUAAUAUUGAAAUUCUAAACUUGAAGAUGACUGGAAUAGUCCGGAAGUGGCACCGCACCAGCGACAGGUGCUAUCUUUGAGUUCCUAAAAUUUAUAACUCGCUACGUAUAUUUUGUUGUAUAUGGUAUUUCAGGCAAAAUAUAUGUUGUAUUAUUGAGUGUUCUGAAGAGUUAUUUUAUUAAAUUAGUAUUCUAGUUGGCACUCAAGGUAACUCGCAAGUCUAUUGAGUCGAAGAUAUCCUAAACUUGACUCAUUGAGAAUCGAAUCGACUCGAGUCUGCUCUGUGGGCCUUAUGGAUACUGGCCUACUAGCCCAACUGCUAGCCCCUCUAUCCUCAAGCCCACAGCUCAACAUAUUAGGGUUACACUCCCUGCAGUAUAUAAACUCAGCUAGCAUCCACUUUCAUUCCUCUCCGUCAGUCUCCUCCCAACAAAAGGUUUAUCCAGCUUCACACAGAGAAAAGGGUAAACCGGAGGAAAAGCAUUCGAACUCCAUCACCAUGAGGGCCAAGGCAAGCUUCCGAUCUUCAAUCCAUCUUUCAUUUCUUCGAUCUCGUUAUCUCUCCUUUCUGAUUGUUUACUGAUCAUCUGAUUUUUCUUCUGUGUCUUGUUUUGUUGUGCAGUGGAAGAAGAAGCGGAUGAGGAGAUUGAAGAGGAAACGCCGAAAGAUGAGACAGCGAUCGAAGUAGUCCGCCUCCUCCUCAUCGUUCGCGGAAUACGGGAUUAGCUUGCCGUUCUAGGUGGAGUUUUCCUGUAUUUUGUUGUUUCCCACCGUUGCAAGACUUCGCCGAUCGUUUUGCCAGUAGCCGAUUGUUGUUUUUGUUUGAAUUUUGAAUGUUUUAAGUUGGAGACAAUGUUAUUUUGCUACAAUAUAUCUGUUAGUAUGUUGAUGGAUAUUUCAGUAAUGGAGCUUCCUAGCCUUUCUUUUCUCACAGCUUACUGCAGCAUGCUCGUCCUUAUUUUGCUUCAAUAUGUUGUUCUUGCCUCUUGUGAUCUGAUGUUUGCUAUAUUGUGUUGCUUUUGUGAUCACCAUUCGCCAUAGAUGACUGUAAUAGGCUAUAAUAGAGUUGAUUCUGCUUCGACAUGAAUGUUGAUUCCCGUCAGUUCUAUAUAUCAUACGGCUUAGCCUGGCUGUUCAUAGUUUCACCGUAGAUGGCUGAUAUUUAGCUCGCUUUGCUAUCUUUAUUGUGUUCAGGUCCUAGUCUUUUCUAUCUGUGAAGUCGAUAAUCCACUGCUUUCUCCAUGUUUCAGUGGCAAUGCAUGCUUCCUAGUAGGUCUAGAGUUGAUGUUGUUAUUUGCUUUUGUUAGAUGCUUAGUAAGGUGGAUUUUCUAUGGGUUUUUGCUCAUUGGCCAACUGAUUUAGUCGAAAAUGGAUUUGGGUUUAAGGUUUUACUUCUCUUCCAAUCUUGUUGCGUGGUAUUCAACUUUGAUUUGCCCUUUCAAGUGUAACUCUUGACAUCAAUGCACCAACAGCUCUUUGGUUUCGUUGGUAUAAUGCAAAUUGCAUAUGAUUUGGUGUAUAUGCUGUAUUAUUGAAUCUAGCGAGUUGUGAACGAUCUUUUUUGGAGCCGAAAGAUGAGUUGCUUGUGAGCUAGUGUUACGAAUGAGUUUUAUCCGAGCUGAACUAUUGACGAUGUUGAAUUCUGGCACACUACAAAAGAAACAUUGAAAAUGAUUUCGACUUCCAUUCAUAUUUCCUAGAACAAACUUUUUUUUAUCAUUGUAGAACAAAUUGUUACAGACACUGUACCACGAGCAUAGUUAGUUUAAACCUGAUUAGCAAAAAAAAAAUAGAAUUCCCAAAACAGUUAAACUUCAACUCCUUUCCCUCGCCACUCGAGACAAAACGAAAGAAAAACAAGAUGAGCAAAUAAUAGUAAAACAUCGCCACUGCCAAAAUCGCCGCCGCCGGAAGCACCCCAAAUGAUCCAACCAUUUCCGAAGUAACCUGUCUCAGACGACAUCCUGAUAAACGUCGUACCACAAUUUGCAUCCGGUGGCGUUGAACCGAGCUCCCACCUUAUGAGGACACCUCGCAAUAACCUUCUUCGCCCCGUCCUUCAGACAGCCGGAGCAAUCCGCCGCCGACAUGUUCCUCGUACAUGCCCCCUGUCCCAUCAUAAUCGGCCUGUCUAUUUCCGGAAACUUGAUAGCCAUCGCGUAAUCCUUGCUGUUGCUCACCUCGUCGCCCAGCUCCUCCAGCACGUGCUUCACGUAGUUUUCGAUCGGGUACACGUUCGUGUAACUCGUCUCGUUGCACACCACUCCCGCCACCGCCGGCCGAGGGGACAUAGUCGGCGAUGAAGAGUGUGAAGAGUGUGAUUUCGUUGGCGACCGCGAUGGUGAUAGAGAUCGAAAGCGCGACGGUGAUGGAGAUGGCGACGGUGAUCGCGAUCGAGAUGGAGAUGGUGAUGGAGAUGGAGAUGGAGAUGGAGAUGGGGAUGUUGCGUUGGAGGCGUUAAUGCCGGCGGUUAGUAAUACGACGACAAGGGCGGUAGUGGCGAAGGCAAAGAUCAAUAGGCGGCUCAUUUUUGCUCUGUUUUUAGAUUUCUUGUUCUGGUUUGCUCGGUUUUCUUGGUUACUUGCUCUGUUUUUGUUUGCUCUGUUUUUUCUUUGGGGGCUAUGGUGGUUUUUAAAUGGGAGAAAUGGAGGGAGGGGAAAGAUGUGGGUUUCUGGAGUGUAGCGUGGGAAAAGAGUUGAUUUUUACUGAGACGCAACGAAGAGUAUCAUUGGUGCCUGCAAGAGGAGGAAGAUUGAUGCUGGGUUUCGUUUCAUUCUAUCUUUGCCAAUCACAAUCCAGAAAGGAUCAUUCUUUCUCGUUUCUACCGCUUUGUGUUAUUACUCUUCACAAUUAUGAUCUUUUUUAGUUAAAAACUAUGGAAUAUAUUACCAAACAUAACCCCAUCUAAAGUAAAUAAAAAUUCAUUCUAACCGUAAUAUGAGAAUAUAAAUUAUAAUAGUGUUUAGUGUUUUUAGGAGGAUUUUAUUUUAAAUUUAUUUGAGUUUUAUUUUGAGUUUAGAGAGGCUAAUAGUUUAUAUAUUACCUUUUAUGGUUCUUGUGGUAUUUUUCAUUUUUCGAUUGACGAUUGACAUCAUUUAAACCGUCAAACGUUCCAUUUUACUAAUACGAUUUUUAUAACAAAAGAAAACGUCAUCUAUCUCUAUUUCUUUUCUAAAACUUUCUAAUAAUCUCAAAUUUAUUUAUGAUCCCAUUUUAAUAAAUAGUCUUCACUAUUCAAUAUUGUACAAAACAAUUACUUUAUAUUACACACAACUUUUUAUCACAAACAAAAACUUUUCACUCGAUUUCUUUUCCUCAAUGAUUUUUAUUCCCCAGACCAAAAUACAACCUAUAUUUCAAUUUGAUCAUUUCUUUAAAGUUUGAUGAUCAAGUUUAACAUAGAAAAAUUUGAUCAUCAAACUUAGCAUAUAAUAAUCGGUGGAAAAAAGUAUAAAAUAACAACUAACAAGAGACGGACAUUGAUGCCACGUUUGGCCUCUAACUAGGCCUUUUAUUUUACGUAACCAAUUUUUUUAUUAUAAUUGUGUAUAUAUAACCCAUUAUUAUUGUAUUUGUUGACGGCGUCAGUGGCAUCCGUGGGAUUAAUGAUCGUCGGCAGGUUACGACGCACCAUCUUAUCAUCAUCAUCAUCCUCCUGAAAAUGGCGUCGAUACGAGCGCUCAAUGGGACGGUUUCUGAUGCUCUUGGAACGCUACAAACUUGGACGAGGAUCAGAGGCGGCCGCAACUGAAGUACUGCACGGAUCUUUUCAAGGGGCUGCUAGACGACGGCCGCUUUCUGAACAGCGACGAUUUCACCGUGACGAUUACCUGGACAAUGUGAUAGCAUGCGCCGACCAUGUGUCGCCGCCGGAUCUUUAUACGAUGGUGUAUUGUCACUAUCAGAGUGAUUGCGAGAAGUGUCUCGAAGACGCUGCUUCGUUGAUCGGUCGAUACUAAGCCGACUGUUACGGGUUUCCUGCGUUGAGUAACGAUUGUUGCGUGAGGUUUGAUUUGCUUCACUCGAUUUGACUUGAAAUCUAGUAGUUUUAUUCUAUAGUUGGGUCAACUAUGAAAGAAUGAGAUGUUGUGUUUAAGUGGAGUUGUUAUAAUGAUAAAAUUGUAAACAAAUACUUGAUAUAAUAUUUAUUUACUUUGUAAAAUUGAUAUUGUAUAUAUAUUUUUAAAGUAUAGCUAGGAGUUAUGAUGUUGAUAUGGCGAUGAAUAUCAUGUUAUUUAAAUUGUCAUCAUUACAAUUAUUAAUGUAAAACGGUGUAAUUUUAUUUAUGAUAAUAUUUAGUUAAUUAAUAAUGCUCUAUUAUUUGUAUGAUGUUGAUAUGGUGAUGAAUAUCAUGUUAUCUAAAUUGUCACCAUCACAAUUACUGACUCGUUAACGUAAAACGGUGUAAUUUUAUAUAUGAUAAUAUUUAGUUAAUUAAUAAUAAUAUAUUAUUUCAUAAAAGUAUAAAAUUAUUGGUUUUAAAAUCCCAAACUCACCAGCUUUUCCAACCAGUUUUUACUAAUUGGUUAAAGAAACGAUCCGCUUGCAACAACAAAUCGAAAUGAGCAUUUAGUUGGGUUUGUUUGAUUAAUAAUAACAGGGCGGUUAAAAUCACAACCCGAUCAAAUAUAGUAAUACUAUUAAAAAAUCAAACCCAAAUUAUCAAAUUCGACGGUGAAUAUGCACUAACCAUCAUCGAUCGGAAGCGUUGCCAAGCAUAGUUCAAAACUUUAACUUAUUACAUAAUGUUUUUAAUAUUUUGAGAUGAUUUGUUAUAUGUUUUCAAUAUAAUCUAAUAAAUUUUAAAGUCUAACCCAAUGCAUUAAAUCAUUCCGAAUUUAUUGGGGGUCAUUUUUAACACAUACAUGAAAGGUAAUUGAGACAUUUAUUUGCUUAACAUGUAAAGUUGAAUGCAUUUAAUUCCUCUACAAACUGAUUGAGACAUUUCCAAUUGGUACACGUCAAAUGAAACAGCAAGGUCUGGCCCGGCGCAUUUGUCUUCAUCAACUACUGCCGGCGAGUUGCUACGCUACGUCGGUGUAAAUUAACAAAAACUACAAAGAUAACACAACACAUAAUAAAGCUGAAUUUUGUCAGUACAUAAGCUAACACAACUCAGCAACUCAGUAAUUGUAAACAUGGCCGGUCGACGCUUGGAUCUCUCAACAACAACAACAACGGCAGCCAUCGGAUUCAUCAUCGUCGUCACGCUGUUCGGAAUACGAGGCAAGGCCGAAUACGACAAAGGUUUCGAAUACUGAAGCAAUACGACCAAUUUCAACCCGGUGAAAGGCAGGGUAAUGUUUCAAGCCGUCUUGACAUUUACCUACUUGGUUGCCGAUGGCACGACGUACGUUGACUAACCGGGGAACCGAGACGGUUUAAUCUCCUACGGUUCGGGCGAGAUGUGGGUCUACACUUGGGUCCACUGUGGAUCUUAUAUAGCGUGCUCAAAUUGUCUUCGAGCUGCUGCAUCGACGGCGAAGGGAUCCUGUACUCAUUCUUACGGGGUUGAUGUCAUCAAUGACGAUUGCAGGAUUCGGUACGAGACUUACCAAUUUUAGGCCAACUCGUUCGAAUCCCCCAAAUGGGUUUUGUUUAGGUUUUCUGUUGGUCCUGGCCCAUUUUAUGGUGUACUCUUAAGAGGCCAGUUUCAGUCAUCAGUGUGUGCAACUGACAUAAUUUUACAGUGUACACCUUAUUUGAAAAUGUUUGUUUCUUAGUUACGUCUUUUCUUUUCCUUACCGCACUACAACAGGCUCCGAGCCACUAAUUUAGCUAAAUACAAUUUUAGCCUUACAACAACAAAGGCUGAGAUUUGUUCUUAUGUAGAUCACCACUUAUUGCUGUAAAUUAGCACGAUCUUUGAAGAAUUAUGUAAGAAAAAAUAUAUCUCCUCAUUUAGGGUAGAUACGAUUCACUUACAUUAUACCCCUAAAGUUUAAACGGUCCACUUCCACGUGUAAGGAGUUGUAAUUCGCACACCUACCACCUUUUUUGGAUGUAGUAAACGUUUUUCAAACUCCCUCUCCAAAAUCGAAUCAUAAUUUUCCAUCACCCGUUACUAGACCUCUAUCCAAUACCAUCAAAAAUUGAUGGGGAACUUUUGAAUGAUGCGUCACCGACUCGAGUACCUUGCCAUCCACCAAAUUAUCAUAGAUCAAUUAUCAAAACAACAGGAAAAUACCGCGUUGAAUUUUAUUUAAUAAAUGCGUUUUUUCGUAUGUAUUAACUCUAAAUUUGCUAAGGUCAAACAAACUAUAUAACAAAUUUAAUGAGCCAUAAUUCCUGGCCGGACUUUGGCAUCGUCGACUACUUCUACUGUCUCGGCCCGUCCCUCUAAAAGCUAUAUAACUAACGACAAGUUGGUGUAAACCGACAAAAACUACAGACAAAACACAACACAUAAUCAAAUCAAGAAGUAUACAUAAGUCUCAUUUAUAUAAAGCCAUCCAAAACAUAACUCAGUACCAUACACAAAGAAGUACUCUGUAAUUUCUAAACAUGGGUCGUCGACGCUUGGAGCUUGCAACAACAACAACAGCAAUAACGGCAGCCGUCGGAUUCAUCAUCGUCGUGGUCGCGCUGUUUGGGAUACGAGCCAAGGCCGAGUACGAUAAAGUUUUUUAUUACCGAUGUAACACGACAAAGUUCGACACAGUGAAAGACACGGAACUAGCUAAUGACGCCAGGAUAUUUAUCAACGCGCUCAGCGAUGGUAUCUCAUACGGUUACGAACCGGCGAACCGCGACCGGUUAAUUCCUUAUGGUCAGGACGGGUCGUUUAUCCAUACUUGGGUACACUGUAGAUCUUCUGAGAUAUGCCCGGUCUGUCUCCCAGCUGUUGCAUUGACGACGAUCCAAAAUUGUAACAACUGUUACGGAGUGGACUUCCAGAAUGACGAUUGCGAGAUCAGGUACGAGACUUACCCAUUUUAGGCCCAACUAGUUUUUAUUCGGUUUAGGUGACAGAACAGUGUGCCUAGCAACCUAGAGAUCUCGAGUUCAAAUCCAGCACAUCCCUACAAAAUGAAUACUAUUAUUAUAUUUACUUUCAAUGUUUUAUCGUAAGAAAAAAAAAGUGUAUUGUAAUUGGCACGCCAUACUCAAGGGCUACCAGUCUACACAAAGUUCAAAUUAUAAUCAGAAAGAUCAGGAACAUUUAGAACCCCUCUUGAAAGUCUAUAAAUCAUCUCAUAAUCUUCUUCCUCCAAGAGCUUAUGAACAACUCCGUGUGGAAGCGUAAUCGAAUGAGUAGGCAUGUCAUAGUUCUACAAAAGCUAAUUGGCAAGGCAGAGCUUUCAAGACAUGUCAACUUGUCGAGACCAUAUUUCGACUUUAACAAUAGUAUUCACACGCUUAUCCACGAUGUUAUUUUAGAGGAAACUCUUCCAGACUACAACCAAGUAUCUCUUUUAAGCAUAAAACUCCAAUUAGUUCAUUAAUAUUUUUCUUUUCAUACGCAUGCGGGUCAAUGCAUUUCAAAAUUUGUACAAUCCGACUUCUUACAUAACCCAACCUCGAUCCACCACGACUCCUUUCAACGCAUCAAAUGUACGUUGGAGACAUUUCCAAUGGCUACAAGUCAAAUGAAACAGCAAAUUCUGGUCCGACGCAUUUGUCAUUAUCAAGUAUCACUACUGCCGUCGAGUUGCAAACAAAUGUACAAGUUAAUGUAUCAUCAUCGUCGUCAUCAUCGUGCUGUUCAGGAUACGAGGCAAGGCCGAAUACGAUAAUGGUUUCGUAUACCGUUGUAACGAGACAAAGUUCGAACCGGUGAAAGACGAGGUGCUAGCCCAGGGCGCCAGGGUGCUGCAUCCACGGUGUCCCAAACUUGUGAUAACUCUUAACGGAGUUGAUAUCUUGAAUGACGAUUGCGAGAUUCGGUACGAGACUUACCCAUUUUAGGCCGACUGGUUCGAAGCCCAAAUUCAUUGUGUUUGCUUUGUUUUUGUUGGGCCUGGCUCAUUUCUUUUGUAAGAGGAUGCCAGUGAUUUUAUAUUAUAGGAACAAUUACUUGUUGUAUUCGGUUUGGUAAUUGAUCCGUUAACCAAACCAGAUAAAAUGGUUAACUUGACAAUUGAUUCGUUAUGACAGUCCUUAUUCUAUUAGAUUAUCAAUCCAAUCACUGUUUAUGUUUUUUUUUAUUAAAAACCAAAAAAGAGCCUUACUUCUAUGGCUUAGAUGUCUUAUAUUUAUCGAAAAAGUGAUUCGAUUAAUGGGAUUUGAUAUGAUACUUAUGAGAUCGAUGAGAUUGAUAUCGAUCGACAUUCUUGCGAGUUGGUAAGCGGAAUAAAGAAAAGAUAAUGAAAGGAUAGAAAGAAAUGAAUCCCUUGAAUUCAUAUAUCCAAGCCCAAUUUUGAGAACAGGGAAGGUUUCGUUGGAACAAUUAUUUAUUUCAGGUACCUCGUCUUUUUUUUUAAGAGGCGAAGUUUUUUUUGGGGGAUGAUAAGAAGAUAUUGGAACAUUAAUUUAGAAGAGAUGCUCAGAGCGGGAAUUCAUUUCGGUCAUGGAACUAGAAAAUGGAUC